UCCUCUCUCUCUCUCUCUCUCUCUCUCUCUCUCGGAUUGAAAUAAUGAAGCAUGUAAUAACUACUGUAGCUAGCGCGCAGCAGCAGAAGAACCUCUGAGGGAUUCAGGCAUUCAGCGCUAGCUGCUUCUGAGUUGUGGGCUUGUGGCAGAGAUGUAUAUAGUUGUGGUCUUGUCUUGGCUGGCAGUUGGCACUGACUUCCCCGUGCACUACUAUAAUAUUCAUAUGUAGAAAUAUCAGUUGAUUUAUUCAAAAACAAAAGAAAAAAUAAAAGAAAUUUCAUCUCGAUCUGUGUACGUAUGUAUAUAUAUACGACAUAUAUAUAUGAUUCUGACACGUACAGACACAGCGAAACACUCCUCUUUCUCUCUCGCUCUGUGUAAAGCCCUAGCUAGCUUAGGCUAGUGGUGAUUGUUAUGGGACUCUUCAUUAAAAUGGGGUGGGGAGAUCGAGCUAGACGUCUGAGACAGAGAGGUUGAUCAUCGAUCCCAUCUCUCAUAUCAAAUUAUCAAUAGCAGUGGCAGUGACAUGUCUAAUCCUUAUUUGUUGGUUGGUUAGUUUCGUUUCGAACUAGUCGAUCCUGGCCUCUGAUCACUCUAAUUCUUUUUGCAUGCCUUUCCUUACUCAUCCCUUCAUCUCCGAUGGACUUGUCAUUCAUGAAAUGAUCCAUCGAUCUCUUCAAGCUCUCCCAUGCCAUCACUCUUUCUUUCUUUCUUGUCAUCGAUCUCUCUGUCUCUCGAUCUGCCUUCCUUCCAUAGAAAAAUGAGUGUACGUACGGCACUGUUUUUAACUGCAGUUAACAGCCUGUGACCCCUGGACAAUAAUAUAGCUUUGCUUUUCUCAGCUGCAUGCCGACAAAUAGACAAAACCUCUUCCAUUAGUUUUGCUUUUCUCUUUGUUUGGUCCGGUCCUUUCCAUAUUUCCUUUUGUUGUAUUUUUCAAAUCUGCAGAAGAACCACCACAUAACAUAUUUGACCUAAUUAAUAGUAAGGGUUUUUUUCUAUCUUUUUUUAUAAUGCUAAAAGACUAAUUACAAAAUAGAUCUCUGGAAGCAAUCUGCUCCAAAGAGAUCAAAAUUAACAGCAAGCCCUACGGACAAGAGAAAAUCCGACUCCCAAUAGCUAGGCCUUGAAAGCUGGUGACCAAGAUUUGCUAGCGCGUUGUCAGCGACGUUAGCUUCGCGAAGAACAUGAUAAAAGACUAUACUCUGGAAAGCGGCAAUACUAUUGAUGUUUUGGACAAGUUGCAGCAGCCUCCACGGACACUUAAAGUUUCCCUUGAUACGGUUGAUAACUAAUGCGUAGUCACCUUCCACGAUCAAAUCUUGGAAUUCCAUUUCAUGAGCUUUGAGAAGACUAUCUCUUAGAGCAAUGACUUCUGCAAUGUGAACGUUUGUCUUCCCAAUCUUUUGCGCAUAAACAAUAAUAGGGCACCCAACAUCGUCUCUAAGGAUAAAACCAGCAGUAGCAUCAGAUGUUUGUUGUAACAUCGAACCGUCAAAAUUAAUCUUUAUUCUGCCAUGAGUAGGAGGAUUUCAUUUGAUAUUGGAGCCUACGUACUUGUGUUGUUGAGGCUGAUACUACUACGAUCUCUAGGAAUGCAAUUGUAAGUGGCUGCACAAGCAACAACUGCAUGCGGAGAGAAACCCUUGUUCCUGAAAACAAGAUCAUUACGCUUUUGCCAUAUCUGCCAGCAUAAGGUAAGAAUUUUUCCAAAGUUAUUCGCAUUGAACGGACUAUCUGCCAGCAUAGGAUUUUUUCCUAUCGAAAAAAUGGUAAUUAAGGGUUUCUCAAUUGAUAUUAUUGCUCAUUCAUCAUAUGAGUAAUCAAAGGCCAAAAUGACACUACAAAAUCUCUAGAGAUGGGAAAAUCAUACUAUUACACUUAAGACUCAUAUCAAAGAUUGCUUACGCUAAGCACAUAAUUGAGACUAUAAAAUUGCGAACAACAAAAAAAUAUCUGAAAACAUAUGAAAAUAACUAAAUAACUUAGUUACAUAGUAGAUCUAUGGAAAGUGGAAACCCACCAAGGAAGAGCCUAAACCCACAACUCAACAGACACAAGCAAGAAAAUCGGCCCAGCCACGUCCCUCUGCGCUCACCUUCGUCCCACAACAACCUCUGUUACCGUUCCUAAAACCCGAUCAGUCACCGCCAGCAACUAGAACACCUUUGCACUUGGAAGAUGAAGAGCGAGCCUUUCACCGGCCUGUAGUACUGAACAUCCAACACUUUGGGAGUUCACGAUGAAGUCCACAAUCAAACCAUUCCAUCAAAAUUGAGCACGCACAACAAACCUCCCACAUAGUUUCCACCAAGAAAUAGCACCAAAACGUAACACAUAUUCGGCAACAUACAUCACGUCAACAAUGCUAGAGACCAGACCAGUUGUGAAGGCGCUACCGGAACGGCGAGGAAAUUGAUAAAAACCUACCUCGGCUUUUGGAGAACUCAAGGUGCAGAGCGACUAGAAAAAACUAAGAUAUGUGUAACAAAAUUUUAUAUCAAAUUAACAGUACUUAAUUAGUAUAAUAUAUUGGUGAGACGUGGUCUGUUGGUUAGCUAGCUUAACUGACACCCCAAAAGUCAUUUUCAAUCUCUCUAAAACAUGUAAAGGUGGGUUGGGCUUAAGGAUUCUAAUAAAAAAAUAUUUAAUAAUUUCUACUAAGCUUUUUAUGAACCUAUUUGGUAUAGUUUUGCUUUAAAAAAAAAAAUUGUUUUUAUCUGCAUUUUUAGAUUUUAUAAUGUUUGGUAAAUUAAAAAAAACCAUUUUUUUUUAUUACAGGUCACUAGCUAGGUGCAGAAUGUAGAAGCAACCUCAACGUUUCUUUUGAAAGUUGUUGGCAUUAACACAAAAAAAUAAUAUUUUAUGUCAUAAUAGCACUUUCAAAAGUAAUAUUUAUCAAGUAAUAAUUUUAACAACAAAAAGGUAUAUACCAUUUUUUUCUAACACCUAAAAAGCGUUUCUCUCUCUAGGUUUUCUCGACCUAGGGUUCAGAGUUCUCGGUGGGCAAAGGGAGAGGCGGCGGCAGUCUGAUUCUCGACGUUGACCCUAGGAGUGCAGGUACGAGCGGUUGGUGACGCGUUGUCAAAGCCGAUCGUUCUCUGUCCACGUGGUUCUAAGCGAAGGACGUCAGAGAUCUUGCUCCGGUGGGUCGACAUCUGCUUUGCUAUUUUGGAUUUUCAAAUGUUCAGGUACGACGAUUGGUAAUUUGAUUCCGGAUCAUGACAAGGUUUGAUUAACGACGUCUUGUCAUUGAUUCACUCCAGGGGGAGACAAGUUUUGGUUGCUGGCGGUCUGGGUUGCUAAGGUCGGCAGCUGCUUGGGGUAGGGACUCUCUUGGCGGCGGGAUUCUUGGCUUGUCUGCCUCCGAAUGAACCAAUGACAGCGGCGAGCCAUGAUGCUUCGUGAAAUCGGGCUCUAUGACUGGGCCUGAGUUCAGUUAUUGGGCUUGGUUUUCUUUUUAAUUAUUUUUUGUGAUAUGUCCUAAUGAGUGUUGUCUACUCUAUGAAUCUUUUGUUGACAGCUAGAUCCAUUUGUACCAUAAUUGCGUGCUAGGCAGAGGUAAGAGACUAAAUGCAUAAGGAGCGAGUUGUAAGUACUUAGUUGGGCUUACUAUAUAAUUGAGCGUAUCCGUGAUUUUAUUAGUCUGUUAUUACAUAGGUUAGGUCGAUUUUUCUGUUUCUUGCUUAUGUACGACAUCUAGAUUAUAACUGAUUUGGCUAUCGAUAUAUUUUUAUCAACAAAUCUUGAUUAAAAAAAAGUAAUAUUUACCCAUUUAAUAAAAAAAAUGUACCAAACAUAAAAUUGUCUUUAUUCACAGCUGAUUAUUAUCAUAUUACAAGAGCACUAGUUUUUUUAAAAGUCGCAGCAGUCUCAAGCUUGCCCUAUGACUGGUCUUGACUAUGUCCAAUUGUCCAUAUGAGAGAGAGAGGUGCGUGUGGAACCAAAUUAGUUUCUCAACACAUGGUUCAUGAUUGGAAAAAAGAAAAAAAAAAGAAAAAAAAAGUAGACGAACAAACUUCUAUGAUUAUCAUUUGUGCUGUUAAUGAAAUUUUCAUCUCGAAUAAUAAAACGUGUUGUUGCUUCAAAUUGAUGCCGCACAGAGUCAUCAAAAUUUAAUUUGAGUCUUUAGGUAAGGCUUGUUGAUCUAGUGAGAAAUAGUUCUUGAAGAAUUUGAGUACUCCCAGCAAUUCUCUACACUUUGAUGAGGAUGGGACCGGAAUUAUUUAAUGAUCCAUUGAUUUUCAGACCCUCCAAAUCUGCCAACAAAGUAAGAGAAUCGAACUUUUCCGGUAGCAAUCGUCAAAUCUUGUUCAAUAAUCUGUCAAGCAGUGAAAGUGGAUAGCCAAUCUACAAGUGAUUCAUUGGCAUUGAUUGGUGUUGGGGAAGAAUACACACAGCUCCAGACAGCAUCAGUGAUUGCUUUUGCUACUGCUGUAACAGUUCUAUGAAUUACCUUUUUCUUUUGCAUUGUUUAAUCAGAUCAUACUGUGAUCCCGUUGAUGUAAAACUCCAAGUUAAUUCGCCAAACUCAACUUGCAUCCCUGACCCGAUCACCCUGCUGCUCCCUGGACCCGUAAGUGUCACCAGAAAUGUCUCUUCACCAUUCACCAAAAAAAAAAAAAAAAAAAUAACUCUUCACCCCUAAGCCACCCUUCCCCCCUUAGAUUGAACAACCACACACCAUUUCACUUUUUUCUUUUUUUUGUAUGUACUUCUCAUACCAAAAUACCUUCUCUUUCUGACGCCCGGCCUCUUCCCAUAGAAACCUGCUGAUUAGUUCUUGCAACAAGAAAUCAUAGCUAUGCAGAUAUAUUUUCCAUGAAUUUGGGAUGUAAAGUUGAAAUUAGGAAUAGACAAACUCCUAUUGUUGAUAUUUGUAACAAUGUGAAACAUACAAGUCAUUACAGGGGAAAAAGGAGUGGCUCUGUGUUAUACUCCAAAGAUCAUGACUUGAAGCAUGUAAACACCCUACAACGACAUUCAUCUAAACUAUCAGGACCAUGAGUUCACCCCAGAGACCAAACAUGUAUCAAGGUACGAUAAAUUUAACAUCUAUUGCUAGACAUUAAGCUCCACCUCCCCCCAAAGAAAAAAAACACAAGAUGAAAUUUACAUCUUCAGGAAAAUAUAUUGGCAAAGCUGUCGCUGAUACAUUUCAGACAAUUGCCCAAAACUUCUUCCUACAAAUUAAUACGGUUUCACUGUUCUUCUUUAUGUUGUCCAGCACAUGUGAUUCAACCUCCCACAAAAAUUUUGGAGCAAGAUCCUUGAUCGUUGAUGUAAUAGCAUCCUCAUCUCUAAUGAUAAUAAAUCCCUGUACAUCAACACAAUACCAUUGUGAACUAUAUACAGUACAACUUGGGACAGAAACAAGUUGCACGCGAUAUAUUUUGGCAGGCCAAUAACUAAAAGGAGUCUUAAAUAAAGUAAUCCACCAUUUGCUACAGCACCAAAUGCUAAACAAUAAUUGUCGAGAAAAAAAAAUGCUAAACAAUUUUAAUGGAAGAAAGACAUUAGCAUGAAACUGUUGUGUGAAAACAGCAGUUUCAUUCAACUAUAAAGAAAAUUUGAAUAUGAAUAAACACAUUUGAAUGUAAGGUUUCAAGAAGUAGCUAAACUAAAACAGCAUCUAUGCGACACAGAAUGGCCAGUAUGAUAUUUGAUAGACUCAAAUGGUGUGUCGUAAAGUUAUUUAUGUUGACAUUUGUUUAUCUUUUGGUUUUCCAUGAUAUGGAAUAUUAAUGUAUGAAUAGCAUCCUAGAAUCAUUUCACUAAGGUUCUGCGGCUUAUGUUGAAUGGACUUGCUGAAUGGAAAACAGUUAUUCUUGACUCUUGGUUAUCACUCAUACGUUUCUAUAUAUUCUCUCUAAACCGCUGAUUUUCCUUCUCUUCUAAAUCCCAAGAUUCUACAUUCUGUCAAUCCGCUUGGUGUUACACUGAAAAGGACAAUGACUAGUAUAUUCAAGAACAAAUAUUCAGAAGAAACACUUCCCUAUAUUGUGAUCCAGUAAGCAUAAUGGUAAAGAAAUAGUUGGUCAUGAGUACGUAAAACUAAAAUCAUAGUGUGACAAAUGAAAUGAAAAGACUAGAAAGAGAAAGAGACCAACACAUCCUCAUAAAAGGAGAUAAACAUAAUAAGAUGGAUAGUAGGAUUGUACAAAACCAGCCUUUCUCAAGUGCGGACGUCCGCACCAAAGUUUUGGUGCGGAUUUCCAUUUUUGCAUCACUUCCCGAUCGAAUUUCCUCAAACUUCCUUCUAGACACAUCUAGAUCAUCUUGUGUCGAUCAUCUCUGCAAAAUUUCAGCCAAUUUGGUGAUGGUUAAGGCCCUCAAAAUCGAAANNNNNNNNNNNNNNNNNNNNUCUUGUAAUUCACCUUUAUAAUAGAAUGAGAGAGUUCCUCGUGAGCCUUGUUAUUUGACAUUGUAAACGUUGGUUACCCUAGAGGUUUCUUAUGCAAUUUCUUUUUUCUUUUAUAAAAUAAAACAUGUUUUAUUUGUCGUGUCAGAAAAUUGUCGAUAAACAAAAUAUAUAUAUAUAUAUUUAUAGAUAUACAGGAAUUCUCAGGUGCGGAUGUCCGCACCUAAGUUUUCGUGCUGAUUUCCAUUUUUGCACCACUUUCUGAUCGAAUUUUCUCAAACUUCCUUCUAGACAUAUCUAGAUCAUCUUGUGUAGAUCAUCUCUGCAAAAUUUCAGCCAAUUUGGUGAUUGUUAAGGCCCUCAAAAUCGAAAAACAAAUCUGAUGGACUGAAUUCUGUACGGUUCAUCAUCUCCAUUUGUUUUUCGAUUUUGAGGGCCUUAACGAUCACCAAAUUGGCUGAAAUUUUGCAGAGAUGAUCCACAAGAUGAUCUAGAUAUGUCUAGAAGGAAGUUUGAGGAAAUUCGAUCGGAAAGUGAUGCAAAAAUGGAAAUCCGCACCGAAACCUUCGGUGCGGACGUCCGCAGCCGAGAAGGCCUGUGUACAAAACUGCCAGAAUAUAAAAUCUAUGCACUGAACAUGGAGAAUAAUACCUAUUCACGUUAGGAUCUACGAAUAAUACUAACUGCUAAACAUACUGAUAACAAAAGAUCCAUGGUAGAGUACAAUUUAACAAUUACUACGCUGCACAAGAAUAAUACCAGGGUAGCCCCCCGGAUGAAUAAAUUAGGGUAGUUCAAACUGGCUCAGUUCAAUCCCUAGUAGUGUCAGGUUACUUGGAUUGAAUUACAUCAAUGUCCAAGGCAUCCUUACUUAGGGUUCUAGGUUUUCUAGGUCUCUAGGCAGGGUAGCACCCUUUAUGGGUGAGUUACUGUGUAUUGUAUGCCUCUCUCUACUUACUUAAUGGAUUGACACCCUUUUGUUAAAAAAAGGAAUAAUAUUAUGUCCAAUAACACAAAAGCAAAGAAAGUAAAUUAAAAAAGAUAAUUGGCUGAUGAGAAGUACGUUCAACUUAUAGUCAAUGGGACUAAAGCAAGGAAAAGGUUGGUAAACUAUUGAUGCAACUUGGAAUGAAAAGUAUGCAGAAGGUAAUUAAUUUCCCAACCUCAGCAUGACUAGAGAGAAUGUUUUCCCUACUCUUGUAAGAUAUAACAUAAAUUUAUGUCUUUGAUACUCGAACACGAACAGUUAACACUAAUAAAAAAUGUUACCUGCGGUCUUAUCAUCCUGUCCAUUUCCAACAGGAUAUCCUCCAACAAGCAGCCUUCUCCACAUUCCUUAUAAUGAGAGAAGAGGAAGUUGGCAUGCAAUAGAUCAUAUGUGCGUGGAUAAGUAGAAAAUGGUUCACACCUGAAAUUAGAUAGGGAUGAGAUGUCACAUACUAAAUUUGGGGAUUCUCUCUGUAUUUAUUUUCUUUUAUUCAUAAUUUGAACCAACAAAUUUGAUACUCAGAUUCUAGAAUCAAGACGUCACAGACAAAGAACAUACCAAUCAUGGAAAGCACCAAUCAGACCACGGUCAUAAAUGGCAGACAAUGUAUUCUUCAUGGUUGCAGGAACUAUAUUCAUCACCCACAUCGGUGAUGAAUCUAAGGCCACAGCAAAUCCACCACAAAAAGCAUUCAUGUCCAUGACAUUUCGUAUUUCUGUCUUGUUCACAUUCAGCAGCCACCAGUAAUGCUGAACUUGAUCUUGCCAAAAGACAGUCUCCGAAGUAAAUUCCUCUUGACUAAUACCUAUUAUGAACACAAUAAUGAGGAACUUGUUCAGACUGAAAAAUAUUUAUUUUUCAAGUUCAUAAACAAACAAAGAAAGUAAAGCGCUCUCCAGUAUUCCAAGUUCUCCAGCCCUUAUAUUAACAUCAUGAAAUAAAGCUGCUCAAAAUUUGGUUUAAUUUUGGACAAGAGGUUUCCACAGCAGGAUCAAGUGAAUAGAACUUGCAGGCUACAUAGUAUAACUCUAUAAUUUUACUCUGCAAGCUCAACCUUUUUCUCUAGAUCCCUCCAUAACCUUUUUCUCUAGAUCCCUCCAUAACCUUCAAUGUGUUGGAAGCUCAACAUUUUCAGAAAAGAAACUUGACAGAAUAAAGGAAAUAAAGUAAAUUUAUCCAUAGUCAAGUACUAUUUGUCUAGAGAUCAAGAAUCUAAGUACAACAAAAUAUAGCUAAGUAGAAGAAAAUUUUAGGUACUUAUAUGGAUAUAAGAUUGACCUGGGCCUGGAGAUAACUCUUAAUGUGUGUACUAACCUCAUAUAACGAGGGAAUAUGCAUCAUCAAAACCAAAACUUGUCAUUCUUAACUUUAAUUUGGUGUUAUAUGCAUGAAGUUGCCUCAUGUCAACUUGGGAAGUACUAAAGACAAUAGAUAGGAAAAGUAAAUAAAAGAGAAUCGAAAAGGAGAAGCAGCGAACCAAUUUUUUUAAGACUCUCCGAGUAUAUUGAUAGACGAUCUGGUUUAGAAGGGAGUUUUGGAGCAUUUGUUUGCAUGCCCCUUACUUGUAUACAAUUUCCCAGUUUUGUAUUCCAGAAUGACUUAGAAUCAUCAGCAGCAUCACAUAUAUCUAUAAGCUUCUGUUCAGAAAUGCGCUGAAGGCAUGCUGGAUCUUCUUGUUUCAUCCAAAUAGCAGUCUGAACUCUUUUAGCAAUGAGUUUCCAACACAUUGCCGAAGUCAGAUUCACUAACUUCUCCCAAAUUAUUGGAAAGUCUUUAUCCUUUCUAUAAGCAGGUGGUGCUGAAUAGACGAAGUACCCAUUAGAACGCAGAAGGCGAUCCACUUCUUUUAGAAGAAUACCAUCUGCACAAAAAAGAUAUAAGGAAAGGAAAACACAGCAUAAGACCACUCAUUACAAAUAUAGUAAAUUAGUGAUGAGACUGAACACACUGCAAGAUCUAUGAACAGUAAUGUUAAAGGUAUUCUCACCAAAUCUAAUAUUGCUUAGUUAUACCUCAUAUCCCAGCACAAAAAUUAUCAUCAUUUAUUCUUUUUAUAGCAUGCCAAGCAAAUAAGUCCAGAUAUAUUGCUACAACUAACAUGAACAAUGCUAGUUCCAUUUGUCAAACUUGAACAUAAGAAUUCGGUAUGGAAAUCUUUAGAUACUGUUCAUAUGAUCUUUCAUUCUUUUGUUAUCAACACAUAUCAUCUCGUGGAGAAGUUGAAGUCUUAGCGUAUUUUUACAUUUAGACUUCUUUUUCCUUUUCAAAUAUAUUUGUGUAUGGAUACCAUGUAGAUCACCAAUAGUCCAAUACAUAUGAAGUAUAUAAAAGACAGUUACCAUUUUCAUGCCAAUCAACACGACACCUAGAACAAUGAACCAUCUCAAACGAGCUACUGGGAUAUGGCAACUGCUUUGUUGCUAUUGCCGAGAUCAUUGCACCAAUGCCACGCUCUAGAGAAAACUGAAUUUGAUUCUCAUGUCCAUCCUUGGGAGCAAAGGACAUGGUCUGUACACCCAAGGGAAGAAGGAAAGCAGAAAAGCUGGAAACCCCACAACCAACAUCCAAAACUUGAACAACCCCUGCAGUACGCAGAUCACCUGAAUCAUUGGUUAUCAUAUUUCCCAAUCUGCAAACGCCAGAACAAUCUAUUAAAGUAACUGAAAUCAAGAUCCAGACAUUGAAAUUGAAAUUGAAUUUCAUCUUAAUUAGUCUAUCAGUGGAGAUUAUAUGACCAAUCAUGUAUCACAUUUAUUAUUCUCCCUCCCAAAACUUGCAUUAUAUUAGGAACCCUUUUCACAAUAUGAUGAAUCAGAUCUUCAAUUAAUGCUGCCCCCAAUUUGUAUAGGGUGAUUGUCAACUUAGGUCCUGAAUUGGAAUCAACAUAACCACAUGACAGGUUAUAUAACUAAAAUGUCAUAUGCACUAAAACCAACAGGUCAAGUUUGUAAACAAAUUGAAUGCAGAUACCUCUGAAUGUAUUCAGGUGCACCAUGUUUAAAAUGGGUACCACCACCGGGGAACCACCAGAGUUGAUCCUUCUCAUGAACCCAAUUCUGUCCUCCUUUGACUUCAGCAAGAUGAGUAUGGUUCACAUUGCUUCGCCACACAUAGUCCCUGCUGAUUGGCCAUCUUAUAGGAAUCUUAUAAUCUCUGGGUGGAGGAACCAAGCAAAACAAGCGCUGUUGAACUGGAGGGCAGUGUCUCUCUAGUUCUUCUCUUCUACUAGUGUCCAAACUGGGGAGCAAAGUUUGUAUGUAUGAUACAUUAUGGCAAGGGAUAUAUUCAUUGAAACUCGAGGGACAAACAUCCACACCAGUCUCUGGUAUCACGAGUGGUGUUCUUCUAUAUGUUAAUUCGACUUUGUUCGCAAACGAGGAAGUACCUGCAGCACCAGAAUGAGAGCCCAAUAAAACUCAGAUUUCUUCAACAAGCCUUAUAUUGAAUCUUGGAGCUUACCAGGAAAUGAGAAAUUGUUGCUGAGCUGCGAGAAGUAAUUGGGAGCAUUUUGGCGAAAGAGAGUUCCAGCAUAGAAGGACCCAAGCAUUAAUAGGAGAGCUAAGGUUAUCAUCUGCCAUGACUCUAAUUUAAAAGCUGAACCUCCUCCCAUUUCCUCAAUUACCCAAUUGGGUUGAUUUACGGAGGAAUCGAAAUGUGCUUUUGGGGAGUGUGAUCUGAGGGUUCUAGGAUGAACAAGGAUUUGAUUCAGAUCGACAUUGUCGCCGAAUCCAGUGCUGAGCUCUGGUUCAGUUUUACUUCACACGAUAUGUGCACGUGCCCCCUCCGAUGACGUUUCUAGAGCAGUUGUAUAGUUAAUUUAUAAUUUAACUAUCUCUACUACUAUAAAGGAGGGAAGCCCUUCAAAGUUUCACCAAAUUAUGUUCUUCUUAAAUUAUCUUUAUUGUGUUUAAUUAAAACAAUUAAGUAAACUAAACAUUGUAGUAAAAAGUAAAAAAAUAAAAUAUCAAAAAUAGAGUAGAUAAUUGUGAAAAUUAGGAAGUUAAAAGUUUUAACUGCAAACAAGAAACUCCCCUGCAACAUUAAACUCCCCACUAACUUCACAAAAAGAAAAAACAGCUACAAAUGAGAAAAAUAACUACCUACUAACUAUAACUUCUAUACGCGAGUUUCGCGUGUAUAAAGGCUAGUAGUUAGAAAAUUUAGCUAUUUAUAUAACAAUUUAGCUAUAGUAAUAGUUAUUUAUCAAUUCUGCUUAAUAUUUUUUUGGAAUUAGCAAUCUUUUAGGCAUAUUAUUAGAGCUCUGUUGUAGAGAGAAUAGAUAAUCAUCAUCUUAUUCAUAUGAUAUGAGUCUUUUAUAUAGGGAUUACAUAACACAUUUAGGCGUUGUACAAGGAAACAUAACUUUGAUAUCUUAUUUCUAUACGGAAUCAGGAUUCCUUGUUUAACUAACAUUAGAACAAGGCACACACAUGUGCAAUAUUUCUACAACACUCCUCCUUGUGCCGCGUGUCUACAUGUCGAAUGGUGCAUACGGUGUUGCCUCGUUAAAACUUACCAAGUAACAAAAACCAUGUGGGAAAAACUAAAUCUUGGUCAAAGGAUGAAAGAGUAUAACGCAUCAACUACUUCAUUGAGAACUCGAUCAUGUGAUGCUCCCCCUGAUAAGUAUCUUAAUCGAAGAGACUUGAUAAACGUCGCAUUCCAAUGUUUUUCACAUGUUUCUCAAAAGUAUGUCAUGUGUAAUGAUUAACCUUAACCAAACAUGUUCAUGAAUAACUUCAUGUUGAUCAAUGAUCUAUGCAAGAGACAAGCGGUGUAUGUGAUGUUGCCUCAUUAAAAACCUUGUCAAACAAAAACCCAGUAGGACAAAAGUUUUGGUCUAAAGGAAAAAGAGCACAACAGGGUUGAUACGACACAACCGUACCCCACAUUUGAUAAUGACAUGUAUGUGCUAGACUCCCCCUGAAGUCUGCAUCUCUCUCUUAUUCUUAUAUCAAUCAUAAGGCGCAUCCUGAUUCUUAUCACGGAAGUAUCAAUAACUUAGCAUAUCAAUGCUCUUUAACAUGUCUUAAUGUGGAAUUAGAUAAUGAUUAACUAAAUCAUGUCGUAUGGACCUCAAUUCUGAUCUUUCACACAUUGAUCUUGAGGAGAAAGCUGCUUGAGAACUUAAAACACAAGUUCGUGCAGAAAAUCAGAUUCUCGAGCAGCAUGACCUUCGGGGACUAAAACAGCCAUAACUUCCUAUAGAAAAUAGAUAUCGACGAACCGUAAGAAGAUAUGGAAAGUAGAUUCACGUAGCGUUCCAACCAUAGGUAAUACACAGUUUCGUUCAUCCGGAGCUAUUCACAAAGCUCUGUCGAUUUUGGCUGAUCAAAAAAGGGCAGAUUUUCUGAUUCCGCUUUUGAUGCAUCUUUACUCAUGCAUAGUUAGUGAUGGCGUAGAUAGCGUGCAUUCUAUCAUGCCAUAUUCUAUGUAGGGAUUGAAUAAGCCCAAAUACAUUUAUGUAUUGAAAGGAUGUCCUUAUGCCAUUCCAUUGGCGUUGCGUGGGCGCAGAGUUACACUUAGCUUUACAACUUUUCAUAACGAAUGAGAGGUCAAGUCUUUCUUUGUCAUCUUCCAUUAGACGAAAACAUAUCUCUCUUUAGAGUAAAGACUUUGACUAAUCAUAGGAGUAUAUGUAGACCUCACUCUCAUUAGAGUAUCUAAACCGAUUGAUGGAAAAACAUCAUCAAUACCGUCCUCGAGUACCUUUUCGAGACCAUGUCUUCCCAAGAUCUUUUCAUUCUUAACUUCGGAUGUUUGAUUCAUAUUGGCAUCUCUUGUCCAUCAAGAGUCCAUGUAAAUCCGAAAAAAUCAACACGCAAGGGCACUAUUCAUCAUAUCCCUUCCCAAUCAAGUAGUUACUUAGUGUGUGUUCCAACCUCUCUUGCAAACGCACGCUCCUGUGGUCUGGAGCCACUUGAUUUGGGUGGAUGAAGUCUCUUCAAGACCUUCAUGUAUAUCUCUUAUCCCAUAGAGAUGUGUUUACAACCACAUUCAUAAGCUGCAUGUCCAGUUAUUCGGAAAAUACCAAACUGACAAAGUAGUGGAGUGCAAUGACAUCCAUUACGAGAGCAUAUCUCAUCGUAGUCAAUCCCAGUGCGUGUUAGUGAGAUACCUUGCGUCAUGAGGUGAGUCUAAGCUCUUGUUCUCAUUACGCUAUCUAAUGAAGACAUAUUUCACAUGGUUUAUACUUACGGUGUCAGCAUCACCCCCAAGGACCUAUCUCUUUGUUAUGCUAGAUUGCAUAUUUUCGUUAGGCCAAUCUACUACGUCGAUUUAUUAAUGAAGUGUGGUUCGAUCAAGGAGGAAAAUUUUGAUGGUUACGGAAAUUUCGACGGAAAUUUUGGGGAAAUAUCGAUUGCAGUUAAAAAAUGAGAAACUUGAUGGAAAUCUAAAGAAAAACAAGGAAAUUUUAAAUGAAACCUUGAGAGAUGUUUAUUUUCUAUAUUAUCUACUAUAUUUGAAAAGAUAACCUUGAAUAAACAUUAAUCUAUAGGGAAUUGUAGUAAUUUAAGGGGAAAAAGUAAUCACUGAAUCGUUGAUAAUUCUUAAAAAUUUACUUUAAACAUUUUUUUAUGGCUGGAAACCCAAACGAAGGCUAGGUCAUCACGCCAUACAUUUCACAUGGAAUUACAUAAGUAAUUUAAAAUCACAUAAAAGACCUAUGAGGUAUAAAAUUUUCACUAUCGUCAUCGUCUCUCUGUAUAUAUCCUUUAGUGUAUUGUGAAGAAUAAUCAUUAAAUGAUACCUCACGAAGAGAAUAAUGAAAAAUGGAAGUAGCAGAUCAUGAAAUGGAUUAGAAAGGAUUAAAUUGAUGUAGGAAUUUUUUUUGAAAUGUAAUUAUGGAAAAUUUGACUUGUUGAUAAUUAUAAAUAGGAAUUAAGAAGUGUAGGUGAAAAAUACUUAUAAGUUAAUUGUAAACUAGAUAUUUACAUAAUUUUAUAUAUUUCAGAUUCGUAAAAAAGGAAAUAUAUAUCAUCAAGAUGCAAUAAUGAAUAACUUGGAUGCUUAGCAAAGUUGGUUAUGGCAUUGAAAUUGUAUCAACCCAACCAGGGUUCGAGACAUCUUAGGAGCAAAAUUUGGUUUUGGUUUGAAUUUUAGUUUGGAGACAAGGGGACAAAGGGACAAGUUGGCCACGUGGGGUGCAGAGAAUGGAGACAAGGGGACAAGUUAAACAAUACAAAUUAGCCACGUGGGGUGCGGCCCAUGAGUUAGUGGCACUUUCCGGAAUAUUUCAAAAAUAUCGGUGAGAAAUUGAAUAUUUUGUCGAAAUAUUGACAUUUUCGAAUGAGAAUGCUUUGAAAGGCGAAAUAUCGCUGAAAAAAUCGAUUUUUUCUUCUUUGGGUUCAAUAGUAAACUCAUUAUUCCCCGUCCUCAUGUCACUAGUGUAAUACUAUUAGAUAUCUUAAUAUGGAUUGGAUUUGACAUUGAAGUGUCCCCUAAUGAUAAUCAUAAUUCAAACUACAUGAAACAAAUUUGAGUAUCACCGUUCUACGUAUUUGAGGAGAGGAAGGAUUUGAAAUACAAUAGAUAAGGUGUUUUUUAUUAAUUCAGACAUCACAUUCUUUUUGUGUUUUUUUUUUUCAUUUCUUUAUCCAAUCAUGUAUUUUUCUCCCAUUACUUACCCUCUCUCUCCUCAUUCUAUUUUAGAUGGAGUACUAGUUCAAAUAGUUUAAUAUUUAUAUUUGGCAAUCGAUUAGAAUCUGUAAUACCCCGAUAAUUUUUAAAGUAAAUGAAUAUAUAUAUAUAUAUAUAUAUUAUUGAUGUUGAGAUGUGAGUCGAAAUUAAAAUACCGUGGUAAUACGAAUUAGAUGUUUUGAAAUAUGUUUUUGAUACUUUUUUAUGUGCCUCAGAAUAUGUGUAUAAUGAGUAGUAUAUGCACAUAUACCCUCUCAAUUAUAGUAAAGUGAAUAAGUAAGAAUAUAAUAUUAUUUGAGAUAUAGUGAAGAUGGUGGUUUGAUAUUGUUUAGUAAAUUUCAAGGCUUAUGGAAAAUGAUAGCAUGAUUUUAUUUGAGAUUUAGUGGAGUUAUAGAGAAUUAAGGAGUUGGAGAAGGAUGGUCGUAGGACUAUUCUGUGUUGUUUGGAAUGAAGAACGGUAGUAUUUUUCUAUUUAUUUUAGUUACCAUAGUUGUAAUUGAGUUGAUUGGAGAGCUUGAAUACCAGAAAAUGGAAUCUCUUAGCAUAGUUUUGGCUCUUUGAAAUAUUGGGGUUAAUUAUAGAUUUUGAACUUAAUCUGAAGUUCAUUGUUGACAGUGUAGUUGAUGAGUUAUUUGGACUCAUUCAUGUUUUCAAUUUUGUAUUGAAAUUUAUAUAGGUCAAUAGAUUAAGGUUAUUAUGUUUGAAAUAGGCUUGGUUAUUUUCAAAUUGUGUUUGAAGAGCGAUAGAUUUGAAAAUGUCAGCAAGAAUCAAGUUAAGAAAAAUAUAGGGUAUAGUUUAUUCAUUUUUGGGUUAGGGUGUUACAUAUUUCGUUUAUUUCGAAUUAGACUUUCUUUUUCUUUCUUCAUUGUCAUUACAAUUAAUUUUAGAUGUCAUUUAGGUUUUUUGUGCUUUUUUCUGGUUGUUUGGGUUUUUAUUUUUUUCGUUUUGUAGUUAUUUUUGGCUAGUGAAUAAUAGGAUUGGAUUCAACAAUUGUUGGUACUUGGUUUGUCUGCUUUGCAAAUCAUUGUGCCUGACAUUUAUAAUAUAGUGUAAUCAUUCUCUAGCUUGACAAAGUGACAUUGUAUUUCAAUAAAUGGAGUCUGACUUCGUUUCCCUCAACAGAAAAAAAAAAAAGUUUUAGAUGUUGCUAGAUAUAUUAAGAAUUUUGAUGGGUUAAAAUACCCUUGUAAGAAUUCCUUCUCCUUUAAUUUGGGUAUGCGCAUGUCACCAAGAGUACACUCACUAUCUAUGUACUCUAAAUUUUUGUAGAGUAUUAAAGUUUUAAAUGCAUAUUUUUUCUUUAAGGGAAAUGCACAUUUUUUUAAGGGAAUAUUUAAAUAUUGAAUCAUUCAUAUAACGAUUUAGAUUAUGAUUGUUGUUGACAACACUAUUAGAGCAUCUCUAACAGCUCAUGUAAAACUAGAAUUAUUUAUAUUAUAUUGCUUAUGCAUCUAACGCUCUUUCCUGCCUAAAACUAGAGGUGGAUUUGGUACAGUUAUCGGCUUUUUUUUACUAGUACCGUGUACAAACCAACUUAUGAUUGGUAGACAAAAUUUGCUACCAAUACCAGCCGCCGAAGUCGGUAUACCGACUUCUCGGUACUGGCUAGUACUGGUUGGUAACGGGCCUCUAUCAAUAUAUUAAUCUGGGCCAAAAUAGUUCAAGGCCCAAUCCAAUUACAUAACCCUUCACCCUCUCAGACUCGGACCCUCCACGGCUUCCACCACCAAUUCCUCGUUGAACUUCCCACUAACCAAUUCCACCACUAAGGAAUUAGCAUCUAAAAGACAAAAACACAUGCAAAAUUCAAUAUACUAAACAAAAUCAUAUCAAAUAUCAAAACAAAGUGUAAACAGAACAAUAUGUAAUUCCACUAUGCUCAUGUGUUCACCUGUUACAGAAGUAACCUAGAUAAACCAUCACUUUUUGUCACACUGCAAAUAAAUUCACUAUCUUUUCACUGUUCCUUACAUCCUAAUUCCCAACAACCAGAUAAUUAGACUUUUUCCAUAAUUGUAUUCCUUUGAACUAAUCAACUCGACUCUAGGCUCACACGAAAUUCAAUCAGCUCAAUUAAGAUCUAAAGAGCGAGAGGUGUUUAGUACCCAUGACAGAAAUCUUGAGCAUUUUCAUGGACAUGAUUAGGGCUGGGCACGAGCCCAGACCGGCAGACUAUUUACUAGGACCGGGACCAGAUUGAGCGUACCAGAACCGGGCCGAGAUUUGUUGUUAUCAGAUGAGGGACCAACCAAAACCAGAACCGUCACAAGCCGGGCCUACAGUGUGACUGAAAAUCUGCUGCAUAAGUGCAUAAACUGCUACAUAAUCUGAACAAAAGCUUACAUACAUCCUUAUUAAAGUACAACACAAAACAAAACCUGCUACAUAAGUGCAUAAACUGUAAUCUUAUCUCUCACAAUUGCAAAAAAUCAACUUGUAAAUGAAAGGUAAAAUGAAAUUAUGCAAGGCAGUUGUGAGUUGUUAGAACUCAUAAGUCAUAACUGAAAACUCAUAACAACUUAACAAGUUUAUAUAGCAUAAAUGCAAAUGCCUUAAUGCCUUACAGUCCAAAAAUCCAAAUUCUAAAAUGCCAACAAAGCAGCUCCAUCUCCAUGACUGAACAGCAAGUAAUGAUGCAGCUCCAUGACUUCAAGUCUUCAACUUUUCAAUGAUAUGGGUUGUUGUGCACUUCACUUUUUACCUAUAAGACAAAAUGGGAAUAUUAGUGUAUAACACAUUAACAAUGUAACAUUAAUAACAUUGAAAACCUGGACAACUUCAAACCAUGACUUCAUGAACCAUGAAGCAUUAAAAAUUUAAAAUUAUACCUUUCGAUUUCUUCGAUGCAAGAACCAUCUGUUUAAGUUUUGCAGGCUGGGACUUGGCUUGGACAUCAGCAGCAGCUGGAACAUUUUUUUUUUAUAAUGUUGCAAUUGGAGUAGAAGGACCUGCUGUGUCACUUUUUUAGCAACUUUUGCUGCUUUCUUCAACUUGUUGGGCUGUGAGGUCCUGAGGGACCUGUUGCCGCCACAACCACAACUUCAUCUUCACUUUCUGUUUCUGAUACAGCCACAAGCUUUCCUUUUCCCUUUCCCUUUCCUUUUCCCUUUGCCUUCUUUUCCUUUGCCUUUCGCUUUGCAUCAUCUAAAACAAAGUUCGAAAGAAUGAAACAAAUCAAGUCCAAUUUAUAAUAUUAAUAAAAUUUUCAAGAAUGCAAUGAUGCAAACAUAUCUCUUUCCAUCUUUUCAUAAAAUUCAAUCUUUUCUUGGCUUGGAUAAUACUCAAUUUCGGACUGAUCUUUUUUCUUUAUCCAAUUUUGCACGCAAAUCAAUGCUUCCAUUGUUUUAGGAAUUAAAGAACUCCUAAAAGGGUCAAUCAAUCUAUGUCACGCCCCAAUUAUUGAAGGAUAAUUUUUCAAAAAUUUGAACAUGAUAUAACUCAAAAAUCUUAAUAUCCCAUACCUGGUCAAUGAUCUUCAAAGAAAACCAAAACUCAAAAGCAGAAAUGUAAUAUCAACAAACUCAUCAACCGAGUUAAACAUUAUAUCUCCUUAAUUACAUCAACUUCAAAAGUCUAGUAAUAAUAAAGUCGCUCACAUGAGCUUAAAAACAAACCGCCAUAAUAUAAUAAAAUAAAGUGCACAGAAACUAAAAUCCUGCCACUAUGCCUCCGCCUCAAGCUUGCUGAUCAUCACCUGCAGGUCUAACCCCUACACCAUGAAUUGGUGCACCGGGUUGUAAACAACAAAACCCGUAAGCUAAAAAGCCCGUAUGAACUCCCAAAAAUAACUCAACCCAACAUUACACAAGAUAAAACUUGUAAUUUCUGCUUUAAAACUUAGUUAAGGAAUCGCCUCAAAACAAUAAAAUUCAAAAGAGAAUAAAUAAUAAAACACCACAAUUCACAAACAAUCAAAAUCAUAAGUGAAAUCCUGCAAAAAUGAUAGUUCAGGAAUUCCACUAAAAAUCACACAAAUAAGAUUAAAGAAUCUCCUACAUUAAGCAUAGUUCAAGAGAUACUCAAAACAAGGAAGUUAAAUGACAACAAUUAAGAAUAAAGUUAAAAUCACAUAACCAAUACUUUACAAAAUACAUGUACCCAUGAGUCCUAGAUACCAAUAAGGUAUCUCCCAUGACCUACAACAAACACAUGUACCCAUGAGUCACAGAUAUUAAUAAAUACCUCUCAUGACCUACAACAACAAUUUAUAUACCCAUGAGUCCCAGAUACAUUCAGGUACCUCCCAUGACCUACACGGACAGAAGGACUAGAGCUCUAUUCCUAACCUUAACCAAUCACCCGGCCAAAGGCUUGGAACUCAGUUUAACUGUUCAAUAUCAAAUCACAAAAUAAUAAUAGCAUCAUAACCGUAACCCAUCACCCGAUUAAAGGCUUGAAACCCGGUUUGACUAUUUAAUAUCAAAUCAAAAAAUAGUAGAAUCAUCAUAACCGUAACCAAUCACCCGAUUAAAGGCUUGGAACCCGGUUUGACUAUCUAAACCACAAAUCACAAUAUAAUAAAAUCAUCAUCAAUCAACACAAAGAGCACAUCAUAAAAAUUAUAUCCUUCCAUAUAGAUAUAUUUAUACGAACAAACAUAGUUAUUCCCUCAAGAAUAAUCUAUCAAUAGCCAAAACAUUAUGAUCACAUGAACCUUAAAAAUAAUCAUAUAAUAAGAAAACUUGUUUUAACUUACCUAUGAGCCGUUGGCGAUCAAGCUCAUAUAUUUUAAAUAAACAAAAACAUAAUUUUUAAAAUUAUAAUCAUCAUCAAAAUCAUUAUCAUCAUCACAACCAUCAUCAUAAUCAUCAUCAUAAUCAUUAUCAUCAUCACAACCAUCAUCAUAAUCAUCAUCAUAAUUAUCAUAAAUAAUUGGUCCAAAGUGGACAUUUGUGAGAUGUUACUCACCUUUAUAUUCCCACUGCGUCUUCACCAAAAACACAAGGAACAAACUCACUCACAAUUCCACAAGCUACCUAAUUAGCACAAAAUAUAACCUUAUUAUCCACUUAAUAAGAAACAAAGUACCCUUAACCAACCCUUAACCUAAAGGUUGCCCAAAGGAGGGCAAUCCUUCCUCCGAGACCUCCCAAGGUCGUCGGACACUUAACAACCUAUCCAAGCUGCCUCCAAGUUCAACUUCCAAAGUUUACAACUUAACAAACCUCAAUGAUUAACAUAACACCUAAACUAUCAAAUCAACACUUAACCUUAUCACACAACAACACUCACAACUACAACAACUAGUUAACACAGCCACCCAAAUUCACUCACACUGCUCGGACGUGCUUCCACGCGGCGGCGAGAAGGCCCCACGCGCCACCCCAUCAACUUCAAAAUCUGAGCAAACUCCCAACAGCAAACUUGUAGGUCACAUCAAAUGAAACACUUUUCAUACCUGUGGCCAAAGCCAAUUCGGCCGAAAAGAGGCCGAAAAUGUCGCCGAAAAGAAACAAGGAGCAUUUCGAACUCCAAAGCUCCACGCUUUGAAUUAGGAUUCAAGGCUGGUAUCAUCGUGCUCAGAAGGACAAGAACUUCUAGAAAUGGGUAGCCUCAAACCUCGAUGUCGCCGGAAUCAGUUGGAGCUUUACCGUCGCCGGCACCAGUAACUUGCGGGCCUUGCUGCGCCGUGCACAGUACUCCAUAGGGUGUGAGGCUGGUAUGAAUAGAAAGAGGGGAGUGAGAGCUUUCCAACGAUACCAAACAAGCCCAAAUCCGUCACCGGAUGGCCGAGUUAUGGCCGGAAGAAAUUUGAGGGUGAAAAUGGAGACGGGAGAGAGAGAGAGAGAGAGAGAGAGAGAGAGAGAGAGAGAGCGCUAGGGACCGGGGGGGGGGGGUUUAUUAGGGUUCCAAAAAUAAAAACCCCAAACUUUUCCUAUUAUACUAAUAAUCCCGAAAACCACAAGACUUCCGCUGGCCAAAACUUCUUCCUACGAAGUCCGUUUUACGCGUGAUGCAUGUCUAAGAACUCGUAUCACCAAGCUCUACAACUUCCGUGAAGGAAGUUUCUCGAGAAACCCAACGAAUAAAAAGUCAACUCUAUGACCCUUAAAGAAACAAAAAGAACCCUUUUUGGGAAAUUUACGCGUCCGAACACUUCCGCUCUUUCUUCGAACCUUAAAAACACACUAACUUCUAACUCGAAAACUCCCAAAUAAUAUUAGAAACUAAUAUCAAAUUUCCGAGGUAUUACACUCUACCUCUAGUAUAGAAGGAGGACUCGGAUGCAACGGUGCUAACCUGGAUAGCAAGUACAUCCUUUGCCACAAGAGCAAGGUUUGGAUACUUGCAGCCAUUUGUCUUCCACCAACUUAGUAGACACCAACUAUCUGCUUCUCGUUUUGGUGGAACCUCGAUUGGAUCAAGUAGGUAUCUAUCAACUUCACUCUCAACAACAACUUCGUCGGAUUCAGCUAAAGCUUUUUGCCACCCUACAAUAAAAAGAGAAUACAUCACACAGUAAGUUUUAACAUUGAAAGUAGCAUAUAAAGUUAUAAACAUAAAUAGAAAGUAGGUACUACCUUCCAACAAGUUAGCCAUUUUCCCUGUCAUCUUCACAUUCUUGGACUUCUUCGACUUGAAAGAUGAUGAGGUUGUUGUUUUUGUGCUGCCGGAAACGACACUUGCUGCAGUGCUGCACUUAAAAGAUGCGUUGCCAUUGGUUGAUGCAUUGGAUGAUGUUCUAUAGAUGUCAGUUAAGGAUACCAAGAGCUCCUUAACAGAGUUGGCCUUGGCUUUUGCUUCCUCAGCUGAAUAUUGGAGCACUUGUAGGUAAGUAUGAGUUAUGUUCUUCAGCUUGAACCUAGAAUCCAAUAUUAAUGCAACCAACAGAAACUAAUUCAUGUCUUCAAUACAUCCAAAAUAUUUUCUAAACUUGGCAAACAUAUUUUUUGCCAUCUUCAACAUUAGCAAUUGAACUUCAGUAUUAGUUUCAGCCACAUGUGCAAACAGUGCAUUAAUCUCCCCUUCUAUUGCUACAAUGUCAUGAAAUGCUUUAUGAGCAGUGGGGUGUCUAGUCAUACUCAUCCUCAUUGUCACAUAUAAAAAACCCUCAAGAUCAACACAAAUAUUUUAGCCUUUUCCCAAUCCUCCUCUUAUGGUGGUCCAACUGUUGUUUUUCUUGUUGUUAGUGUCACCGGAACAUACUCUUGUUCUUCUUCCUCCUCGAUCUCAUCUUCUUCAUCAAAAUAGCUUUUAUAUUUGUUCAUUUCCUCCGCAGCCAUCCUUUCAAAAGCAGACUUCACAUCUAAAUCUAUGUCCAGCAUUAAAAAGGUAGAAUUCCAUCUUGUUGGAAGAUCAAGCGCCGAUAUUUUUUCUGUGUCUAUGUCCCUUAUAAUGUCUCCUUCUCCAUCCACACCUUGAACACGUCCAAUCUAUUAGAACUACUUCUAAUAGACUUGACUGCAUUCUUAAUUGCCGCACCACUUUUAUCCAUUAAGGACAAACCAGCCUUCACUAUGAUGUUUAAGAUGUGAGCCAAACACCUCACAUGAAUGUGCUUUCCUCCAAACACCGGUGGGUCUUCCAUGCAGCCAUUUUCCCUUGAAUGUACUCUAUCGCCACCUUAUUUGCACUUACAUUAUCGACCGAGAUAGUCAACACCUUCUCUAUCCUCCAACACAGCAAACAAGAUUCUAAAAUAUUUCCUAUUAUUAUGCCUUUGUGAUUGGGAAUCACACAAAAGUUGAUGAUUCUCUUGUGCAAAUUCCAACCAGCAUCUAUAAAGUGUGUCGUCAACACCAUAUAGUUAAUGUUCUGAAUUGAAGUCUAAGUAUUUGUCGUUAAGCACACCCUGUGACUACUUAACACCUUUCGAAGCUCCUCUUUCUUCUCAUCAUACAACUUCCAGAAGCACCUUACUAUUGUUCUCAUAGAUGGUGGAGUGAAUUGUGGGAUAGCCACCUUGCAGAAAUGCUUAAACCCUUCAUUCUCAACAUGGCUAAAUGGCACCUCAUCAAUCACAUGCAAUCAUCUCAUAAGCAGCUUGUACACAACGAUCAUUGGUCCACACUGUUUGAAGUCCCAUUUCAGGUUCAGCUUCACCAUCACGGACAUUACCAACUAUCACAGCUUGUCCGUUGUCUCCCUACCAGGAUACUUCUUGCAUACCUUCUGCACAUGCCUACGAAAAGUACUAGUACCAUUAAAGGAAGAAUCCGCUUUCAGGUCAGCAUCACAAUGCACGCAUAUUGCACGCUUCUCAUGCCCCGCGUACACUUUCUUCCCAUCUCGUUGAGUGAAGAGUUUUCUGUCAUACUUCCUGAAGUGCUCCCACACCAUUGACGUUAAUUUUGAAGCAACCUUAGGUCCAAUUGAGGUAGAACCUCUCCUUUUUUUCGGCACACCCCGCGAAAUCUCAGUUACUGCUGGUGCUUCUUCUAUAACCUCAAUUGGAACUUCUAGUUCUGGUUCUAGCACCUUGUUCUCUGGCAUCCUAGCCUCCGCCGCAACCAAAUCAUUCCUUAUCUGAGUCUGAGCUGGUACUUCUUCAAUGUCUUCUUCUGAGUCGUAACACCCAGUCUCACUAUCAGAACUGACUAAAUGGCAGCCGUAUUGUGAUGAAGACGUCGACAUCACACCUGCAUGAACUCAAGUACACAACCAGCCGUAUUGUCUCAUUGGCAACAACAACCAUAACAACAACAAAACAAAAUCGAAAACGAAACAACAACCAAAUGAAAUCGAGCUAUGCACUAAAACAACAACAACCAAAUUAAAACAAAAUCGAGCAGAUGAAUUGGCAAAUGAAUUGGCAUAUGAAUCGGCAUAUGAAUUGGCAAUUGAAUUGCUAAAACAAGUAACACAACCACAAAUCAAAUUGGCAGAUGAAUCAUUAACACAACCACAAUCACAUGAUUCACAUCUUUUAACUUUUUAAUCGAUUCAGUCAUUGAGAUUUGAGAGGAAGAGAGAAGAGAUAGAACUCAUAGAAGCUGAGAUGGAAGCGAAGGCUUACCGGAGGGCGGAGGCGGUGGGCGACUGAGGAAGAGAUGCGUGCUAGCGUCGUCGAUCGAGAGGAAGAGAUGGGCGCCAGUCGUCGUCGAGAGGAAGAAAUGGGCGCCAGCGACGUCGUCGAGAGGAGAGAAGGACUCGAGAGAGGCGAAGCUGUUUCCAAAGUGUUUGACAGUUUGACUUAGGGUUACUCAAAUUCAAUUAAUCAUGUGUGGUUGAACUUAUGGUAAUAGUAUAAGAUCGUUAAAAUUAUGAAUUAAAUUCAGUUUACCCGCAUGAGGUUUGGGAGUAACUUCAUGUUAAUCCCUAUACUUUCAAUUUCAUCAGUUUACCCCCUUAAACUUUUAAAUUUUCCUCAAGCGUGACCAAAUGUCCUAUAUUCUGUCCAAAUCGGACGUUAACUGCUGAUAAUUUUAACCUUAACUGUGAGGCCAGUAUCUAGAAUUUGGGCAAAUCGAACCUUAUAUGUCCAAAUUGGACCUUAACUGCUGAUAAUUAAAGGUCAAUUCAAACGGAAUAUUAGAAUUUGGGCACGGCAGACAGAAAUUGAAGAGUUCAAGGGGUAAACUGAUGAAAAUAAAAGUGUAGGGACUAACAUGAAGUCACUUCCAAACCACAAGGGGGUAAACUGAAUUUAAUUAUAAAAUUAUCCAAUUGUUGAACGACACAUAUGUAUCUCGGACUUUCGAACCAAAACACUUGUUCAAAUUUAGGGACCGGGACCGGCCCGGGUAUAUCUAGGACCGGCCCAGACCGGCAGAAAAGAAAGAAGGGCCCGUGAAAAAACCCAACCUGGCCCGGUCGGGCCAAUCGGUUCGGUUUGGUCUUUUUUCUCCGUUCGAGUUUUAUUCCCAGCCCUAGACAUGAUGACCUCGUCGGUAGGUUUGAGCAGGCAGGCUUCAUUGGUGCGAUUCUUAAGCUUGUUUAGAUUUGUUAAAUUGAGGGAGAUUUUGGUAUGGAUACACGAUAUUGCAAAUAAUUUUGGUGUGAGUAUCUUUGACUGGGAGAGAUUUGUUUGUAAUUGAAAUUGAUGAGAGGAGAUCAAGAAGAAGAAAGAAACGUGAGGAGAGAUGAAUUAAUGAAUAAUUGAAUAAGAAAGAAAUGUGAGGAGAGCAUCUGAGAAAUCUAGCUUCUGCAUAUAUAUUAACAACAAGAGCAUCUGCUCUAGUGGUCUGAAUCGAGUCUUUACAACGAAGAUAUGCUGGGUUCGAGUCCCGGCCUUUGUAAAAUGUUAGACAUUUUUCAUUUGUGGCGUACUAUAUACAUAUAUUGACUGGUAUACGUAUAUGUUGUCUAGUACGGUAUACCGAUGGUAUACAAAAUUUGAUACUAUAGUCAUGCCGAAUACACAAACUGGUAUGAUAGUACUGUACCGAAUACGUACUGAGUUUUUUAGUUACCAACUUGGUUGGUUUGGAUUGAGCCCAAAUGCCAGCCCUACCUAAAACGCAAUUGCGAUACAAGUAAGACCUAAACAAGUUAACAUAAGACUCAUAGAUACAGACAACUGGCAAGGACAUCUUAUCCCCAGACUAAACUGAAAUCAAAUAACAGUUUUAUCCAUCCUUUUUGGGUCGGAGCUAAAACUGCUUCCAAUUUCAUUGAAGUAUGCCGAAACAUUCCUCCUAGCAGCAUAUCUUCUCACUACUAUCUUCAUUUUUUUCUUAUCACCAAACGACAACUUAUUCAUGCUUUUUGGCAGGCCUACCUCUCUUCCACUUUUCUUGUGCCUCAUACAUCACAUGAUUUAACCCCAAACUUGCAGGUUCAAGAUUCAGACUACGCUUACCAAAUAAACUGAGGCGGAGCUUCACUAGGGAAAUGGUGGGAACAUCUUCCUAUUUUGUUCACAACAUUACUCGGUAAUUCUAGCCACAGCAACCGAACCCAGUUGCAAACAGCUCUCUCAACAUAGCACGUUGGCGAGGAUGUGGCACUGAAUCUUUCAACGCCACACACCCGACAAGUUACCAAGAACAGAAGAAUUAACGACUAGGUUUUGGCCUUGCACCGAAAACCUAGCCCUGAAGUUCUCAUGCACUCACACUAGGGUUAAAGAACCCUCUCAUGUAGAAUACCGGGAUUGGCAUAGGCGUCGUCGACGCUGCUGUCAUUUGUUUGCCCAAUGUUGUAAACUCUGCCACCAGUCAUCCUCCUGCAUAGCCGGACUAGAACAUGCCAACACUAGAUGCGUCACCAGCCCACGCAUUGAGAAUCUUUCAAAGAGUUUGUCAUAUGAAACUUCCAACAAAUUCAAUUCCAUCCUCCACAAGAUACCAUCAUUUGAACGGAAUAGGCUUGUGCAGCCACAUCUCCACCAUAAUUCACAGCAUCUCCAUCUUCUUGGCUAGCUUGUCAGUAUUCUUGUAAGUAAAAUAGAGUAUCCAACCAUUGUCAUCACUCAUUUCGAGUGAAAGGCUAAAGGGAUGUAUUGCAGAGUUAUCCAAAAAAAAGGACUUCUCAAACAACACCAUUUCGAUGGAAAUGAUGAUGUCAUAAUAGGCCAACGCAACCACCAGUGCCUGGUUGAAGCCCCAUAGACCUCCCAUCCAGAUCCAGUCACGAUCGUUCAUGUCUAACAAGGUGAACAUCACCAGUCUUCCUUCCUCUUCCUUAACUUGCAUCGUUUCAUCCAACUGCUAUGUAGUCAUGAGCAUAUUCAAAAACUAAGGCACCUUUAAAUCCCUCGUUCUGAGUAGCUUUCCCACAAGAAACACAUUCGCUUGGCUCACACCCUUUCCAUGCGUAGGCCGCAUGCCGCAUGUGGACUUGCUUGCGGUCCUCAGCUAGAACUAAGUAUUUGCCAAACGCGCAACCAUUGCAUCAAUCAAACACAUCUCGUGGAAGUAUUGAUAAAAAAAAAAAACCUUAACCCUAGAGAGAAGAGAGCAGCUCCGCUUUUCUUGUAAACUAGUAAUUACUUAAUUUUAACUAUCAAGAAAAACAAAUUUUAUAAAUCUUCACUAAUUUCUUUUUUAAGAGGUCAACCAUAUGAAAACACGUAGACUUCUUUUCAAAAAAAACUUUGACAUAGUCAGUUGCUUUGGUCUAACGGCAUAAUAUUCCCUUGUUAGUUUGAAGUUGUUUUGAGGAGGAGGAAAAGUUGCAUAUAACGUCAAAGUUUUGUUUAGAACCACUUUGCAUUCUCUGCAAACAUUAAACUCUGUAAAAUUGUAAGAUGUCAUAUGUUAAAUCCUAGCUAGACAUUUGGUUGUUGGGUUAUGUUAAUUAAACUUUGAAGUGGAGAAGUGUGGCAUCAUAAGUUCUCUUAACUGCACCUUGAGCAUGGAGCAUGAACCUUGAAGUACAUUUUACUGUAUUAGUUAUGUAGAUUGGCAUAUUGGUUGUGUAAACAUAAAAGUAAAAAGGGAUUGAUUUCAUAUUUAUGACCGAAUGGGUUCUGGUUCAAAUGGUAUUGAAUUUUCACAUUUCUCUUGGGGCUUGAUUUCAUAUGAUUGACCUAAUGGGUGCAGAUAACAGAGAGUUAUGCCUAGUUACUUCCCAAAGAACGAGUUUCCAACCACAAUGUCAUCAUUAAGUCAUGUUCACACUGAGAUCUCCCUAAUUUCAUCAUAUUCAAACUUCAUGGACUUGUGAAUGUCAUCAGUCCUUUGUUCAAAUAGGCAAUAGCACAAGGAAAAUUCUAGUGUGCAGCACUGCAUACCAUGCAGAUCUCACUAGAAGACAAGAUAGCUGAGGUCAUCUAACAUUUUUGCAGAAAAUCCAACCGGAAAACCCCUCUAGCCAGUUUUUACCCUUUUAGUUUUACCUUUAGUCUUUGUGUGUUCAGUAAAAAAAAAAAAAAAAAAAAAAAAAACUUUUAGACGGAGCAUGGUGGGCCUAUAAGUAUAAAUUUGUUUACUUAAGUACAAAUAUAGAUCUAUCAUCUUCACUCAAGGGUAAGCAGUUAAUUUUUUAAUAACUCAAUUGCUACAGCUACAAGAUUAGAAUUUUUAGCAGAAGCUAAAUUAUCCUAUAAAGAACUACAAGAAGAAAGAAGAAAUUUGAGAAAACUAAAAGAAAAAAGAGACAAGUUUCCAAGAAGUACCAAAAAUUAUUGGGAUAUUAUCUUUCAACUACAACGAAGGAUAUACGAGUCAAGAGAAGAAAUUGAAGUUCUUCAAGAAACUUUUGAAGAAGACCAAAAACCUCUUGAUAUUUUGAGCAUCGGUUAGAUCCGCCAUAGCUGGUAUCAGAGCCUGCUUGGCUCAAAAGCAGGUGACAAAAGGCUUAUGCCACAGAGUUGGCUUCUCUCAACCAACAAAAGAGAAUCCAAACUGAAAAACUAUCAGUCUUUUUGUACUACAAAAGGAACUGAUAAGUGGGAAGUGUGUUUUCAUUCAAGGCAUAUACAAGAAAAUCAAUAUUCCAUUGAAUAUAUUUGUAGAGUACUAAAUACUCUAUACGACGAGCAUAUUCAUCUCCAACAGGAGAUCGGAGUAGAAGAGCUUGAUCCCUCAAGACCAAGCUUAAUCGAGUUCUUAAAUCAUUUAUCUAAGAAUAAGACCUCUGAAAAGGUUAUAGAGCAACUCGAGAGAUUUAAUCUACGGAUUACUCAACUUGAGGAAAUAAACUCAAAAAUUAGCAAGCUUGAAAUCAAGCUAGAUUACCUCAAGGAAAAACAAUAUCUAGCAGAUAUUGAAAAGAAAUUAGUUCGUACUGAAAAUCUUGCAAACAAUAUUCAUCAGCAAGCAGUAGAACUAAGGAAUACUCAAUAAAACUUGAAAACGCUUUUAGAAACUCUCAUUACAAGAAUAGGAUGAAUCUGAAAGUAGAUCUAAAAGUAAAGCAAGAAGGUGUUAGAGCUAUUGGCUUUCAUCAACCUACAGAAAAACUUGCCGAGAAUGUAGAAGCAAUAAUCCUUCAGCAGAAUUAUAACAUCGCUUAUCUCCAAAAGAUAGGUACUGACCUCGAAAUUCAAUUUCGAGAGUUACAUAAUAGAAUCUCUAGUCUACAAAAGACUUUAGAGAAAAUGAAGGAAGGAGAAAAUUAUGAAAGAACUGAUGAAGAAUCACUGGCUCAAAGUGUAGCUAGUAAAAUCAUCAUAAAUUCUCCACCCCUACCAAUGGGAGAAAGUAGACUAAGGUUUAGUGAACCAAAGUUACUUGAAUGGAAAUCUACAAAACCAGCUACCAAAAGAGAUAUGAAGAUGCUAAGUAGAAUUCUUAGCAAAAGAAACAUAGCUCUAGUUCAGCUGAUAAAUGCUCAAGAAUUUGAGUAGAAUGAAAUCGAGUCUAGUGUAAGGGAAGCAUCUGCCCCUAGAUUUAGAUUUAAUGAGAUCUAUAAGAAAGGAUCUUUCCUUAUGGAUUCACACAGAUUCAAGAUUCUUGAAUUAACCGUUCCUGCCACAGGAGGAGAAACAGAUAUCAGGCUAAUAACUCCAAAAGAAGUAAGUGAAGCAUUCCAGAAAAAAUAUUCCUAUAUGCAUAUUGGUGCGGUUCAAGUAGGAAUAAAACUCUUAGCCAGAGAUGGUAUUGACUGUUCUGUUCUAUGUGUCUUACAAGACGAUAGAAUAACAGACUUCAAGAAAAGUCUGUUAGGAAUAGUAGAAGCUUCUUUGUGCAACCAAGUUACAUAUUUCAAUGUUUUUCCAAACUUCACAACGCAUCUCAAAGAUGCUACUCACUGUCUAAGACUAAGAAUCAAGACAGAUGGGAUUUCUAUGAAAAAAGGAAUGAUGGAACUAGCGAUAGAUUAUCGCAUCUAUUAUAAGUUGAUGAGCUCAAAUGUGACUCCUAAUACCAGGUUUCUGAAUAGCCCUGGGAUUACCACAUCUGUUCUCACCAACCCAAAAAAUAAUUCUCAGCAAAAACAUGUCACGAAAUGGCAUGAAGUAACAUUCCCAAGAGAACGGAAUCUGACCCCUCCGGUCAGACAGCUUGAGAGCUCCAAUGCCUCAGUCUAUGAAGACAUGGGAGGAAAAAUCAGUAUACAAUUUCAUAGGCACUCUUUUGCAAAUUAUGAAGAAGCUAGUACCUCGGAAACUAAAACGGUUUAUAACGAAGAAUCUCUGGAAGAAGAGGAUACUAAAAGACCUAUGAGGAUGUUCCAAGCAAUGGAAUUAAAAGAGUUAUAUGCACAAGCUGAGACUUGUGAUUCUCCAGAAGAACUAGAGAAGAUUAUCAAAGAAAUUUCUCAAGUUCAACUUGGAAAGAAAAAGAGGAAGAUUCUUCCUUAUCAAGCAGCAAAAGAUGAACCAGAGCCAUCAGGAGCAUCAAUGGAGACAGAGGAUGAAAGACAGACACCUCCAGGAGGUGGUCAUACUGUAAUACAGAACAUCACCAACAAUCCUACAAAGAUUAUUCGAGAAAAGAAUAUCAAGCUUCCAAAAGGACAAGCUCCUACAGGAAGAUAUGGAGAACGAAGUUCUCAGAAAUACAUCCCUACAGAACCCAAAUGGGGACAAUCAGUGUCCGAGAGAGGGGUUUAUCUGGAUUUGGACCAGGUAUGAGAUAAGAGAAAAGUCAUAGACAACUGGGUUGCUAGUUUAAAGCUAACUCAGGCCCUAGUGUUAUCCAAAUAUGCCUAGAGGAAGCUCAUGCAUACUAUGAGUCUACCUUAACUGGAAUAGUCCAGAAAUGGUAUCAGUCCUUCAAGAGAAGUUCUCAAUGGACUGAUUGGGCAGCAAAAAUGGCUCAGACUAAUAAUCCUUUAGAUUUUGCAGUCCCUAUCUACGCACAAUUUUGCGGAGAUAUCACUGGACAUAGCAAGCAAUCUAAAGAAAGAGCUAAAGCAAAUAUUCAAAAAUUGAGUAUUUGUAACAUGAGGUAUUUCGAGAAAUAUACCAAUGAGUUUCAAAACUACUACUGCACCAUCGGAGACAUUGAAAAUAAUGAUCUCAUCAGAACAUAUUACAGAAAAUUGCCAGAACCCUGGAAUGAUGCAGUAGCGCAAUCAUUGGAAGAAAACCCCCUUCAGUAUUUUAUUGUUGGAGGAAUAGCAGAAAGAGUUAGGGAUCUCCUAAGAAAACAAUGUACAGAGAAUAGAAAAUCCAAAACUGCCAAGGAACAACUCAGAGGAGUUGAAAACAUGUGUCCAAAGAUUUUGGAUACCCCGACACAAUGGGGAUGUCAUGUUUUGGAAAAGAAAUACAGAAGAAAAAUUCNNNNNNNNNNNNNNNNNNNNCAUUAUGCGAAUGAGUGUCCGAAAAAGGAUAAAAGAACUUCAAAAGUCUUAAUGGCAGAAUAUGAGGAAGCUAUAAAUUAUGCUAAUCUAAAAGGCUUUGAAGUUGUUUAUUCUGAUGAAGAGAAUGAAUCAAUAUAUUCUCUUGAAUACCCAUCAGAUAGUGAAACAGAAAAUACUUCAGAAGGUUCUGAAGAAGAUGAAAAAGAAAUAGGACAUCAUCCUAUAUUUGUAUUACAAAUACAGAAUUGGAAGGAAGAAAAUGCUGAUAUUAUCAGCACCUUUCAUCCCAAUCCUGGAAGAUUUGUAUGUGAUUAUUGCGAAUGCGAAGAUGAUAGUACUAUCCCCAUGUACUGCGAAAGUACAGGAGAAACUUAUCAUCAAGAAUGCUUUAUUGCAGAACUCAGAAGAAAAACUAAAGAUAGAGAUGCUCAUACCUUGGUAGAAAAGGAAUAUAUUGUAUUCCAUAGAGAAGAACAAGAAAAAGAUCUUAAAAAGGAUAUGAACACGAUGAAGUUUAUAACUUCAUUAAGCCAAAACAAGAAGAUAAAAGAGUCUUUUGACUUUCUUACUCCCACGAUUGCUGGGACAAGUGCCAAUCCGAUAAUUAGUAUUAAUCCUCCUGAGUCCAUAACUGCUGAAAGACAAGUUAAUCCUUUCACAGAUUUACUUGUUGCUCCAAAAAAGCAAGAACAAGUAAUGCCAGUCCAAACAAGCAUAUAUAGUAAUUAUAUUACUAUAGGAUUGAAGUUUCCCAACUAUAGGAAAUAUCAUCUACACGCAUUUGUAGAUACUAGUUCAGGGUACUCUCUUGCCAAAAGAUAUGCUAUCCCUGAAGAAUUUUGGGAAAAAUCUCCAAGAACAGUUACUGGAGUUGCCAUGGAAGAAAACAAAAUCAUCAUGAAUACCAUGGCUCGAAAUGUAAAAGUUUCUUUGGGAGGAGGAACUUUUAUCAUCAAAAUGCUCUGGCAAUGCGAAGGCCAGACUGCUGAUUUGUUAUUAGGAAAUGACUUCCUUCUUCAACAAACAGUAAUCCAAACCUCAGAAAUGAUUGGGUUUGAGAAAAAUAACAGAUUUCAUUGGGAAUCUAGAUUGACAGACGCGGUACGCGUUACAACCAAAGGUUUCACCAAUCCUUACCAGAAGACGCUUGCGAAGAGUGGUGAUUAUAAGUCAAUUCUGAAACCAGUUUUACCAAUUUUGCAAGAAAAACUUAAGGGACACAGUGAAAUACUGAUAAAUGAAUCAACAAGUUCAGAAGACUCUGAAUCAGAGACAAAUUCUGAAUAUCAAAUUUCUGACAAUGAGGUUCUGAUGAAGAAGAAGAAUACAUCAGAGAACAUAACUUAAAGGUAUAUGCUAGGAAAGCAGAACAAAAAAAAAUACCGACUCUCACAGAAAUAGAAAACUUGCUGAAACCAGUAAUCAGUGAAGAUCCUCAGUUGUACUGGGAAAGAAACCUAGUAUAUUGUCAGCUCAAAAUGCAUGAUGCAAAUACUAUUUGCCAUGUCAAGGCCAUUCCUCACUAUAGAGAAUAAGAUAGGAAGGAAAUGGAAAGUCAGAUCCAAGAGCUUCUUGAAAAGAAGUUAAUUAGGCCUUCGAAUAGCCCUCAUCAUGCCCCAGCAUUUUUGGUAAGAAAUCAUGCUGAACAACUAAGAGGAAAAGCUAGAAUGGUGAUUGAUUACAGAGAUGUAAAUAAAAAGACCGUUAAAGACGGUUAUCAAAUUGCUCAGGUUAGAGUUCUCAUCAACAGACUUAGAGGCGCAAAGAUUUUCUCUAAGUUUGAUGCAAAAUCAGGCUUUUGGCAAGUCAAAAUGCAUCCUGAUUCCGUUGCUUUGACAGCUUUUGGAACUCCUCAAGGGCAUUACGAAUGGUUAGUUAUGCCAUUUGGAUUAAAGCAAGCUCCUAUUUUCCAAAGGAAAAUGGAUAAUAUCUUCAAACCAGUUACAGACUUUUGCAUAGUUUACAUAGAUGACAUUCUUGUCUUCUCAAAAACUAUGGAUGAACAUUUAAAGCAUCUUGAGCAGGUGUGUAAGCUUAUUGUCCAAAAGGGAAUUAUCCUUGGACAAAAAAAGAUUCAUCUUAUUAAAGGUGAAAUUGAUUUCCUUGGCAUUCAUGUUAAGGAUGGAGAGAUUCGUCUCCAAGAUCACAUUGUUAAGAAAAUCAGCCAAUUCCCUGACAAUAUUCCAGAUGCGAAGUCUCUACAGAGAUUUUUGGGAGUUGUUAAUUUUGCGAGAGAUUUUAUUCCCCAAGUUAGUAGUCUAACUGCUCUCCUCUCUCCAAAAACAAGUUCUAAGAAAAAAUGGUCUUUCACAGCUGAUGACAGUAAUACUGUCAGAAAGAUUAAAGAAUUAACAAAAAAUCUUCCUCCUUUACAAUUACCUGAAGAAGGAGAUCUGAUCAUUUUGCAGACUGAUGCAAAUGAUUAUUACUAGGCAGGAGUUGUUUUAGCUGUUGCUCCAGAUACAAAUCAUGAAAAGAUUUGUAAAUUUCAAUCUGGAAAGUUUAACGCUGCUGAGUUAAAUUAUUCCACCGGAGACAAGAAAGUCCUGGCCUUAAUUAAAAGCAUCAAGGGUGCUGAGGCAUACCUAGGAAAUAAAUUUGUAGUUAGAACUGACAACAAAAGAGUAAAAAACUUCAAAAACUACAAAUUGACUGAUGCUGCAGAUAGAGAAAGAGUGUUGAGAUGGCAAAUGUUUUUAACUCGAUAUGAAUAUGAUGUUGAAAUGGUUGCAGGAAACAAGAACUUUUUGCCUGACGCGCUUACAAGAGAGAUAGUGAUGUUCGAUAGAGAAGGUCGCGAUCCCAGAAGUCGAAAACCGGAAUCAGAGGAAAAUAAGCUCUGGGAAAGAUUCAAAAGAGGUGAUAAAACCGUAAGACCUCUUCAUGACGGACCAAGUUAUCAAUAUAUGGUCUCUUAUGGAACUGUUGAGUCUAGUCAAUCUUCAAGAAUCAAGCCUAAACCAGACUUUGAAGAAGAUGGUCGUUCCAGUCAUUCCGGCGGUACUAAUGAAGAUAAACUUGUAAAUGAGUUUUUGCUGUGUCCGAAAGGAUCAGCCUUAACUGAUCAGUCUCAGGGGUUUAGGGUGGCUAGCCCGUCUCAAACGGCAGACGGUAAAGACAUAUCAAGUCCGUUGAUGGCUGCUGCUUUGCCAAAAAGCAAGAAAGGCCCUCUCAGGGCAAAUAAGCUACCAUUAGUCACAGGAAAGAAGGUCAUCCAUGAUCAACCUUUGAAGAUCUUUCAGAAGCCAAUUUUCAGAACAGAUAGGCUAUUGGCUUUUAAACAGAAGAUUAUUAUUGAUAAUAUUCUGUAUUCUUUCUAUGAGGAAAAUGAAGCUCAUUUACUUCAAACCCUCAAGGCUUUAACAGAAGAAAUGUAUGGAGUCCAUACAAAAGACAAAAGAGUUCUAGCAGAACCAUCUAAAGUUGUAUACCUCGAGAGUCCUGAAAGCGCAAAAAUUCCUAUGCUAGCUUUAAAGGAAUCUGAAUGGUAUAAUUUCCAUAACCUCUUAGGUGAAGGAAAAGAUGUUCUUCCAAGAACAUUAUCAAUAACCCCUGGCCCAUAUUAUGGGAAAUAGCUGGUUGAUGUUCAAGCAGAGCAUCCUCAGAAGCACAAGCUAUGGCUCAUAGAAAAUGGUUUUGUUCAUAAUUUAUGGACAAAAACCAAUGAAGAUCUUAAAGGCUUUCUAGAAAUAAUAGCCGAAGCUGUCAAAAAUAUCAAACCCAAUGGAUGUAUCCUAAAGAUAAAAUUCAUUUCAACACCACCAGAAUAUACCAUGGUAAAUGGACAGAUGAAUUAUAUCUCUCCAUAUCAUUAUGUCAGAUUAAUCCAAAGUCCGGUUCAAAAGCCAGCAUUUAUCAGUGGCAAUGGGAGACCAAAUCAGAGCAUUCCAUGGAUGAAAGCUAUGAUCAUAGCAAUUAUCAAAAAUAUAGUUCUGAGAGACUAUGAUUCAAGCCUCCUGGCAAGUGGAGAAAAAAUAAUGGUCACCUGCUAUAAUCAUCCUCCUCUUGAGAACUGUGACUUUUUCGCAGCUCUUAUGAGAAAUGAAGUGGAUUGCACUCUAGCUACCACUAAGUGGCUAGAAAAAGUUGAGACUGAAGAAAAAUAUAAGAUUUCUUAUCCCUAUGAUUCAGACCUCGACGGUGGAAAUGAAGGCACUACACAUGAUUGGGAAAGUAAUGGUCCCAACUCCUCAGUAGGAUAUUCUGAAGAUCCAGAAACAUAUCACAACAUAGUAAACAUGUUGGAUAAUUGAGCGAUGGCUGACGCUUCAUGCCAAACUACUUUUCUUUUGAUAAAAAAAAAGGGAGCCAUCAGCACAAGAUUUCAAACGACUUUACUUUUUCAAAAGUAAAGUUAUCAGGAUUAGAUCCCUCUUGUCCUCCACUUUGUACAGGUGUGUUUUAUUUUUAGCUUGAGUUUCGUCCCUAUAUAAGGUCCUCAAACUUCAAAAGGAAGGCAUCGAAAAAACAACGAAAGACAAAAGUUUUUCACUCUCCAACCUUUCUCAAGAAGUAGUAUAGCCAAUAAACAGUCUUUGUAAUAUAGUAAGUGUGAGUAAGAGUGUAUGUGAGUCAUCUGGUGUGAAGUACUGUAAAAUACAAAUAAGUAUUUAUCUUGUAAUUAUGAGUAGCUAAAUAACUUUUAGCUGUUUACCUAAGAGCGAGGCUUUAGGUUUUAUGUUUGUAUCUUUGGUUGAAUAAAUUCAUCUUGGUGCUCAAAAUCCCGUCACAAAAAUAAUUUGCAUAUAUAUUAGUCUGUUAUUUUUUGUUGUUUUACUUAAUCUCUGCAUUACAAUUAGAACCAUUUCUUUUUAAGACAGCAGUGAUUCCGCCGUGCAUAGUAACCAGGUCGACCGAGGGUCUUUAGGUGAAUCUUUUCGGCAUGUUGAAGGCUAGUCUUUUUUAGGAAUGUUUUUAGUUAUUUACAGGUAAUUAUAAUUUGUGGUAAUAACCUAUAGAACAAGUCACUAGCAGGUCAUCUUAAGACCACUUGCCUUUUAAAGACAAUAAAAGCAGUCUGCAUCCCAUGCAGCACUGCAUAACAGACAUACCCAUCAAGGGAAAAAUGCACCAGAAAUGCUAGAUCUCAUGGGAAGAAUUUUCAAGUCUAUGGAACAAGAAGCCACUGGAUUACUAGUUUCAAGAAAAGCCAUUAACUUCAGAUUCGAUCAUGGAGGUGGAGUCUAUCCCAGGUGUUGUCUGACGCAAAAACGUUGUGCUGCCUAUCUUACUAAGCCAGUUUUUAUUUUUAUUUUUUAUGAUUGAUUACUAAGCCAGUUAUGAUUUAUGAACCGUUACUUUUAGAACUCUGUGACCCAUUAUCCAUUAACAGCUGAUACCUUCCACAGGUAAAUAUAAUCGUAAGAUUAGAACACAAGUAAUUAGAUAAAUGCAAGCAACCCAGGAACCUAAAUCUUGUGAAUCCAAAAGAAACCCAUCUUACAAAAUUAUACUUACCCGGUGUAGAGCUUAAAAGGAAGUUCACCAUAGGAUCCCAAAAAGAUUUGACCAAUUGAGAUCUUGCCAUGCAUUGCAGCUACCAUAAGCUGAGUCUGGAAACCAUUCAAGUCCAACAAAACCAUGAGAACUUUACAACCAGCCAAAACUAAACCACAGAGAUCAAACAUUUUAAAAGCAAGAAACUAUCAUAUUCAGAGCCAAAAGUAAACCACGUCACCUGCUUGUGAAUAUUCAACGCAUCAGGAAUUACAGAUCGUUCUAACAGCUGAGAAAGAAUUUGCAAAUCAAACCCAAAACAGAGCAAAAAUGAUCAGACCAAACAACCAAAAAGAACAAGGAUUUCCCAGCAAGAAACAAAAACCCAGAAAAACCCAUUUGUCCAAAACCCCAAAAAUCUUGAAGCAAUGUCUACACAUGACUCCAUAUUACACAACAAUAUCCAAGAUGUUUUGAUUGAAUAAUCUAAACUUUGAUCAAUCUUGUUCAGACUACAAAAUGCAUGUAGUUCUUGAAAAUAAGUAUCCUACUAUACAUAAUCCAUCUACCUGCAACAGUAAAAACGAUAACCAAUCUACUCCGAAGUAAAAAAUCAUAGCUAGGAAGACUGUUCUCUCUGCUGUCUUCAUAUUUGGGAUUGUCAAACCUAUUUUGAAUCAGAAAAAAUAACAACAGUUUGCAACCACACCAAAAAAAAUUGCUGAAACUAAACAAUUACUUGGAGUUAAUUACUUCAUGAUCAUCUACCACAUUGGAGCAAUAUAAGUCGAUAGAAGCCAUUGACGUGAAGCUACUGCCAUGCCAGAUUGAAUUUAAGCCAUACUAAAUCUAAAUACAAGUCUGAAACGAAGUUCAGAAGGGCAGCAAUAUAGGUCAAUAGAAGCCAUUGACGUGAAGCUACUGCCCAUGCCACAUUGGGUUUGUGCCAUACUAAAUCUAAUUGCAAGUCUGAAACGAAGUUCAGAAGGUCCUGAAACUGCCUCUAUUGAACUUUCUUGCUGAACGAUAGGAAUAGAAUGUAAGCACAGUAAACUUAUUACUAUAUAUUCUUUGUUCAUUAAGUGACCGGCUUUUUGAGCGCGUUUAAAGUGUGUUCACAUUGGCAAGCAUCACUCGUCAAAUUUAGCCGCCUCUUCCACAGAUAAUAGGUCGAAACAUUCCUCUGCAUCUUCCAUCUCGGACUUUCAUAUAACCUACAAACACAACAAAUAAUUCAUAAUUCAUGACAUCAACAUUUCUAAGUUCUAGUUAUAUUUUCUAUUUUGGUCCACAAAUAUCAACACUAUUUUAUUCUCAAACUCCAGGAGAUGAAUCGAACUUACAGAUGAAUAGCUUGAGAUGCAAUGAUCAAGAUUCCGAAGCAAAGUUGUUGUUGCUCCUGAAACUGUAAAAUUGCAUUAGGAAAGGAAAAAUACAAGUAAAAAGAGUAGCUUACUGGCUUGACUUUUUGGCAUGAGAUAUAGACAUUAAUCCUAAAAGCUUACUGGAGAAUUUAUUAUGUCAAUCUUGUGCCAAAGCGAUCAAACAAUGUUCUUCUCAAACCCUCUCUCAUUCUUUCAAACUUAAAUAACAGUUAAAGAUGGUAAAUUCUAAAGAAAUGCUCCGGUGUUAGCUGGUACAAUUUUUUCCAUCAACAAAUCUUCUAUCAAAUCCAUCGCGUGACUAAACAGAGUAACAAACAGUAAUAUCCAUUUGAAACUAACAUUCAGAACCAAGAUACUUUCUUAUAACAUGUCCACCGUGCACAUAAACGGAGCCAUGUAUCUAGCCAAACCAAGUUAAUAAAAUAAAUAUAAAUAAAAAAGGAAAAGGUAUAUACUGUAUAUAAAAGAAAACAUAUCAAAAUCAAAUUGGUAAAAGGAUAACUGAUAGUUCACCUGUCAAAAUAUAUCUCAAACCCUUUGGAGUAGAAAAAUUCGCAGUUUCUGUGAGUGCUCGCGCCUUGCCCAUCAAAGCAACCUGAAAGAAGAGAAAAUAAUUAAAAAAAGAACAACUUUCCUAUUCAAAAAUCCAGCGCAGCAAACAUAAGAGUCUGCAAGGAAAAAUCUCUAAUCAAUUAACUUUUAAUAGUCCCCCAAUAUUUUAAAGUAAAGCUUGUGAAUUAGCAGCUUAAAGUGUUAAAUUUCUAGCAUACAUGAACACCUACUUUGACCUCUUUCUUUUUGAUAUCACAUCCUUCCACUCAUCUUCCCAAGUUAUACAGAAUUACAGAUUGUUGCACAGGUAGUAUCUUCACAUUCUCAUAUUCAAGUCCAUGAUAUGCAUGCAUAAACUUAUCUUUCAUCCCUAUCAAUUAUUGACGGCAAAUUCUAAUGGACUCUCUUAAGCUUAGAAUUAUAUUAAAUUAAACACGUUAUCAUGCUGCUCGCAGUUGCCUAGCCUUCCAAGUUCUCAAAAGCAUUUCAUUAGGAAAUCACCAAUGCCCGAUAACCAAAACAUGUAGAGUUCACUUCAAACAGAAAAUUUAGGGGCAGAACAGAAAUUGGUACACAGAUUUUACUUCUGUUUCCAAGUCAAUCCUAAAAUCCCUAAACCCCAGUUAAACCCCCUAGGUAUAAAUUGGUGAAGUUUACUACAGAAAGAAAUAAUAACACCCUCAACCUAGGGGGUCACUAAAACCCCAAUUACCCCUAGUCAAAGCAUUCAGCCAUUCCAUUAUCACAAAGCUAAUUCCUCUAUUGAUUGGUAACAUGAUCACUGCAAAACACACCAUUUAAACCAAGAAACUUAGCCACAGAGAAACCAAAAACUGAGAGCUCAUUCACAGCAAUGGGAACUCGAAAUGCUUAAUUAACAUACAUAAUUCAGCCUUGCUGCUGUGUCAGUAUCAAUCACAGAAAAGUUAAACUUCAUUAUAAAAAUAUGGCUGAUUAGAUAUAGUUACUGUUUUUCCUAUCAAUGAAAGAGAUAAAUUAUGACUUACAGAUCAAAGAGCAUGAGAAACUUAUCAAUACCUCAAAAAAGGAAAGCACCCAGUAAUGCUAGUAACAUGUACCCAAUCACCCAUUACCCCUCCAAAUCCCGAGGGAAAAAAAAAAGAAAAAGAUAGAGUAGAUUUCGUUCAGUUUCCAGGAACAAAUAAGAUAACCCAGUAAGAACUUCAUCAAUAAAGUAAAAGCUACAACUCCACAACUCAAUUCCUCAUUAUCCAAAGCAGAACAGGUAUUAGAGAACCUAAAUUUACAGCAGAAGGAUUCAAUUCAGAUCGACUUGAUGCUUUUAAAGAUCACAUGCAUGCACAAAAGGCAGCAAUGCAAAGAAAUACCCCAAAACUUCGAGUGAGUAAUCUCAAGGACUCCAAAUUCUGCAUAAUAUGAAGGAAACUGACAAAUCUUACCAAAAAUGAAGAACCUAAAUUCAUUUGCACCACCCAAAAGCUGCAUGGACCGAAACUCAAUCGAAUCACCAGAAUAGUUUAAAUAGAAAUUCAAUCAAGUCCCAGAUUUGAUCAAACUGAACAUAACGCAAUUGGUUGAAACCCAAACGAUCAAAACUUCAAUCUAACACCCAGAAUAUACAUAAAACCCAACAUUAAGAACCAAAAACCCAUAUCCCAUAAGUCAUCCUAACACUGUAUCAAACCCACAACACUUUAAAAAUCAAAACUUAAGCUGAAAAAUUAAAACUUUGAAAUGACAAAAGGGGACCAUUUUCUUACCCACACUUGUAGCAGAGAACCAGAUCGCAAAGGCCACCCAUUCUUCCAUUCAUGCGUAUUGUUCGUCCGACAGAAACCGUUCAUGCAAAUCAUGGUCACCAUGGCCCCAAAAUUCAACCCCUAAAACCAACACAAAAAACCCACAAUCCCAAAUCCAAAUCCCUAAAACCCCUACUUCACAAAUUAAGCCCAGGACAUCACAACAAUCAACUAUUCAAUAAACUCAAUUACCCUAAAAAAUAAGACCAACCUACCUCCUAUUUUCCCAAUUCGCAAAACCGAAAUCUCGAAAAGGCCUAGUCAUUCAAACACUGAAACAACUCUUUGAAGGGGAGCUUAAUGGGUCUGACUCGACCCCAAUUAAUGACAAGUAACAUGAUCAAUACAGAAGAUAUUCCCACUCAAUAAAAUCUCCAAAGAUUCAUUUUCUACCAUGCACAACUUAACGCAAAAAUGUAGACAGCUAUUUGACAACACAGUACUUUAAGUCUACAAAAAUGAGACAAAUUUUUUAGAAAAGACAGUACAAAGUUUAACAUUGACUAUAGCAGAAUUAUGUGGUUUUUAUGAAGCUUGCAAUGGUAAAAACUAAAAAGUAGUCAAAUCUUACAGAGAUAAAAUUAAGCUUUAAAGUCAAUAUUUGGCACAGAGAAUUAACAGUUUCUAGUUUCUACCAUGAACAAGACAACCAUAAGAUGCAUAACUGUGUAAUCAAACUUUUCACGAAUUUUACAUAAUGUCAUCAACUAAAAAUGAUGUGUACAAAUCACAUGAAUGACUGAAACUGCACUACAACAGUGAAUAUUUAACCAAUUGCAAAUGAUCAUAUAUAAAUCAAUACAAUCGAUCAGAUCACCCACCGGGCCUAUACAGAUAUGUAAAAUGAGGUAGCAAGCCAGAGGACUGAAAACUCAGUCUACAUCCACAAACACAAAGGAAGUACUAUCAAUAUCUUGAAACGUGAUUCUUCCCAUGUAUAAAUCAUGUAUGUGAUCAGGACAAAGAGGGAAACAUUUCAGAUGGAGACUCCCAUUGAUUGCGCCCAUCCCCGGCACCCAUUUAUUUUCAUCCAAGGGGGUUACAUUCAAUCGACUUUGCAAUAAUCGUACCCGAUAAACAAUAGUAUCUGUUCUGUCACAGAAAUGAGCAACACAAGAAUAUGGAGGCUCAUCAGAAGCUAAUCUAAUCAAAGCCAAAGAAAAUGCCCCAUCCACAGGUUUUGGAUCAGAAAGAUUUUUAUCUCCCAUCAUCUUUACCUCUCUUUCGGUGGGAAAGAAUACUUCUUCAUUUCCAUUUAUAUCAAAGACUUUUAAAUCCUUAGUAUAAUGUUGCAUGGCUUCACGUUUGGUGGAUUCAUGCUUUUCAGCUAGAGUCAGGAUACAAGAGAACCUCAAAUGAUAAGUUACAAUAGUUUUCACCAUCUUAAAGUUAUGGCAGCAGCAGUAAAAAUCAAGCCAUCUUCUCCCUACACCAGCAUACCACUUGAUGAUGUCAGCAUCUUCAAGAGCAGUUAGUAACGUGAUCGGCCUGGGACGACCCAUAGAAUUUGUAAACCCAAUCAACUUAACCAUCUUCCUCAAAACUUCUAUAGGCGCAUCAGCUUUGAUACAGACCUUUGUCAAAUCCUCAACUGUUCUCUUAGCAUAUUUCUGCUCUGCUUCUUCUGUUACCCUCCUUUCUUCUUCCUCCCUUGCCUUUCUAUCUCUGACUGGGUUCAGAUGCUUGUCUACUUGCUCUUGGAACUUAUCAUAAGAAUCUACAAGCUCUUCAGACAAUUGUUUUCUAAUGUGCCUUAGAGACAGAAAAGUACCUGCUGAUAACUUUCGAUACCAUUCCCAACGCUCAUCCAAGGACCCAAGGAACUCUUUCACUACUUCAUCAGCCCAGGUGCUGAAUAUUUCUCUGACUUCAUUCUCAAUUUGAUACUCAGAUUUCAAUCUAUCACCAGUCUUCAGCUUUUUAAAAACAUGGCCCAUAAUUUUCAUUCCCAAUUUCUUUCUAUUCCUCUCCCUAGCAUUUUUCAAUUCUAUAGCUCUGACUUCCUUCUGUCUAAGGUACUUUUUCCGUGCUCUAAUAGCUUUUUCAGACAUAGGGGGGUGCGACACCGAAGGUGGAACUGCCCGUAAUUCCAUGCCCAUGAAAUCAAUCUUCUCAGACACUGCACUGUGAAUAGAUGUCUUUACCUUAUCCACCAUCAAUUCCAAACUCCCUUCCAAGUAGUUGACAACCCAGUUCUUCAAAUCCAUAGUCAACAUUUUAGACCCGGACGUCAUCACUAAUAUCUCAUCCAAGUACCUAACCGCAUAUAUCUUCACAGGCUUGUAGAAAACACCAUCCUUGGAAACAAGCUCAUCCGACUCGAACUUGGGAUGCUCCUGAUUCUUCCUCAGACGCAUCUCCUGAAUCUCUUUAUCGAAACCAUUAAAGUAAAUGUUCAUCAAAACUGAACUCAACCCACUCUCCUGAGGAAACCCUCUUCCAAAGCAAAAACUACCCAAUUCAAUUCUCACAACGCCACAUUCAAACAAUGUCUUAAUGAUACCAAUCAAAACCUCAUCCUCUAUCUUCUCUUCCAUAAACAAGCAUAGCUUACUCACAUGUCGUUUUUCGAACACUCCCCGACUAAAGCCAACACUAAACCACCAGGUGGGAUUUUCAACAGAGUUCUUAAGGUACCUAAUGGCCGUGUGCCGCCCCAGAUUAACACGACCGCCAUAAGAAAACGUGACAAAGCGUUCAUCAUAAACAACGCCCAGUACAAUCCUAAUAGCUUCAAUCAAAACUUUGAGUUUCAAAGUGGGUAAGACCAACAAAGACUCACCUCCGUCGCCCAUUGAGACGCUAGAAGCUCCCACAUCGAAGCGAUUCUCGCGGAGCUGGCGACCCAUUUCGUGAAGAGAGAAGCGCUUGGAGACGGAGUGGAGAAGGCCAUUGUGAAGGGGUUGAGGGGUUGUGGCGGUGAGGUUUUGGCAGGCGGUGAGGAGAACGGCGGGCAAAGCGACGACGUUUUGGAGCAGGUUGGUGAAUUUGCCGCGAGGAGUGUAGUGGCUGAGGACUAAGGAUUUGAGUUGGGAGUCUGAAAGAGGCUCCUGUGGUGUAGAGUCGGAGGGAAGUGUGCUAGUUGAGAGGAGGUUGCAGAGUGAGCGGUUUGGGUGAAAUCUUCUUCUGAGGUUUAAGAGCAUCGAAGCCGAUCCCAAUAUGAGCAUGUCAUCCAAAACCCUUCCUUGGUUAUUUGCUACAAAUAAAGCAGCAGUCUUGUCUAAUAUUUGAUAUUUUAAUCCUGCAACUAGAAAUAGUUUGCCCAAUUCCAGUACCAAGCCAUCCAUGAAGCAACACAAGAUGUUGUUUCUGUUUUUGCCAUGAACUCCAAAUUGAGGAGCACUAGAAACACUUAUUAAAGAGAUGCCAAGGCAGUACCAUCAGGAAAUUAGCAAAGGGGUUGGUCAUUUUUCAGUUUCGUUUGUGUAACAAAAUAGAAAAACACUCAUCAUUGGACUAGAUUUAUGGAAGAUCAAUCAUGCAAAUGGUCACAAUAUGAUUAUCAAUUACUUCACAUGUCGAGUGAGUCCAAUCCAUGUGACCUCAGUUUACACAAGGAAUUUUAUUUAUUCCAUGACCAAAGAAAAAAGAAAGUAGAACAUAAUAAAAUCUAAUCUCUAACAACUCUUACAAAGUUGUUACAAACACACAUGUCACACAUAUCACAUUUGAGUCGCACUUUAGAAAUCUCGUAUAGCCCUUCGCUUCAAUGUUUUGUUCGUGCAGUUUACAAAUAAGGUGGACUUGUUGGAAAGUUUCUAAUGAGUACCUUAUAAUGAGUACUUUAUAAUGAGAACCAAAUGAAGACUUUUGAAUAAACGGUUAAACAAAUAUUUUUAGUUUUAGUUGAUAUUUUUAAAUUCCACCAAAAUGCUAGAAGCUCUCUCGUGGGUUUGUUUUCUUUUUUUGUUAUGGUCUAGAUGGAAUCACACUCUUAUUCAAUGCAAGUUUUCAAAUGUACACACAUUGGCGAUUGGGACGAGAACCUCAAUCACUUAUUUAUCUGACUCGUGCAUUUGUAUGUAGUGUUUUUUCCACCGAAACCAUCAGUGGUAGCCCCUUUAAACAAAACAGUGGGAGCCAAGAUAAUAGUGUCCGACAUUGAAAGGCAGGCCAUGAAGUUUCCUGGAAGUUGGAAGCCUUAGACAAAGUCCCCAAAUAGGACAAACUAACAUGGGCAAAUAUAAGUUAAUUGACAUUUUCAAACGAGGAACAAACCAAAAACAAGAAAGGGAUUGUUGUGACUUGACAUCUUGUCUAGAAUUGCAUACACGUUCAUCGCCCCCAUCAAUAAAAAAGACACUGUACCUUUCAACCCAAAAACUCCACACUCCACGCCAAACCGCCCGCGCUUCUACUCACCAUUUCAUUUUCCACGAAAUUUAUUCCAUACUUAGCUUCAUAAAAUAAUUAACGCAAUGAGAAUGAAUACUAUAAAAACCCAUGAGUUUAGUCUAGUGGAAAGCAUGAUGGGUCUGCUUGUUGAGCGAAUAUUACAGUGGCACUUCUGGUAAUAGGAGGUCACUGGUUCGAUCCUCCACAAGUAAAACAUCUUAUGGGGAGAGACCAUACCCAUGUUGCUCCCGGCCUCGGAGUGGUAGUCCCACCCGACCACCAUUUCUUGUAACCGAAAAAAAAAAAAAAGAAUGAAUACUAUAAAAGCAUCUUUAGCCACGUCAACCAUUUUCUAUUUGAAUUUUAACCAAAUUAACUAUCCAUAUUUUAUAAAUCAUCAGUUCUCUUACUUUUAUUAGAUAGUUUUAUUUUUUUAUUUUGUUUUUUACCGUAAUAAUCCUGAUUUUUAAUAGUCUGAAUUAACUUAAUAGGGUAAUAUUGACAGAAAAAUAUAAUUUGAUGAAUUUUCCGAACUCUUAGCUUUAUAGUAGUAAAUAUGUGAAUUUGUAUUAUUUAUUUAAUCAAUGAAAAGUAGGUCAAAUGUAUUUAUAAACCACACAUGAUUAAUUCGUUACUCUCUCUCUCUCUCNNNNNNNNNNNNNNNNNNNNUAUAUAUAUAUAUAUAUAUAUAGUAUAUAUAUAUAUAGUAUAUAUAUAUAUAUAUAUAUAUAUAUAUACUAUAUACUACUACUACUACUACUACUACUCUCUCUCUCUCUCUCUCUCUCUCUCUCUCUCUCUCUCUCUCUCUCUCUCUCUCUCUCUCUCUCUCUCUCUCUAGGGUUAGGGUUUCAUUCGAGAAAACAUUGCAAUGACUGCAGACCUCGUCUCCAAGCUUUCCCCUGCCACUAAGAGGAACCAGUGGAUCUUGAUAAUCUUUGGUGUCUAAAUUAAGGUUUUAUGGCUCCUAGGUUUUACCUAGUUGGCCGCUUGAACACAAAAAGGACUGUGGUUUUUUAUUCCUUUUGUAGUGUUGUGAAAUCAAUGUGGAGAUUAUUCACAACAGUGGAAGUUCAGGCUAGGGGUGACCGAUUCUUUUUUACCUUCACCAAUGAUAGAGACGUCAAUCAAGUGAAGAAGGGAGGUCCAUGGGUGUAUCAAAGUGCCAUAAUUUUGCUAAAUGAUUGUAACGAAUUUUCUGAUAUCAUGGCUAUUCCUCUUGAUUUUGGUGUGUAUUUGGGUGGAGAUCCAAGAUCUCUCGGAAGCCCUUAUGACGAUGGCGACGACGAGUUUGGUAGGGGAGGCCAUCGGAUCUACCAAGGAAGACUGAUAUGUCCCCAGGCCAAGGAAGCAGAGGCUACGGUUGCAGCGCUAGUCGUCGCCCCAAACCCAGCGACUUUUCCCAUGAUUUCUUAAGCGUAUUCAGAGCAGAACCUAGUCUGUCCCUCGAUGCCAAAUCUCUCAUCUCUUUUUCCUAAAGAGGAGAGAUCAGUUACCAUCCGAGAAGUACCAGAAUUCCAUUCUCUAGUCAAGAUUGUUGGUGUUAGCCGGCAAAGGGAAGAGAGAGCUCUGAAGAUGGAAAGCGUGCUACGAACAAUUUGGCGGUAGUUCUGUUUCACCUUGAACCAGGGGAUCUAGGGUUUGUGGUAGGUACCGAUAGUUCACUUGGAAUUCUGAAAAAGUCUCAAAAGAAAAGAGGUAGACCUUGGGGAAGCAGAAACAAGAAAAUGAUGUAGGGCUCUGGUUAGACGGACUCUAUGGUCCCUAUGAAGUAGCACCAAGAUCCCAAUACAAGAGUACCCCUUUACUUUGACGGCAAGGUACACCAUUAGAUAUUAGACCUCAUGUCAUUUUGGAAGGUUCUUUGUAAACUUAGAUAGGUUCAUUGCUUUUUAGUUAGUAAUUGCUUUCUAGUAGUGUAUGUCCACCUUUUUGACCAAUUUUUUUGGAUUAGGUUGUUCCCUUUCAGUUUUGUAUUUGUGUUCGAAUCAUGAGUUCUAAACUUGUAUUGGUGCUUGCUUCUGCUUGAUCUAGCAAUAUUUGNNNNNNNNNNNNNNNNNNNNNNNNNNNNNNNNNNNNNNNNNNNNNNNNNNNNNNNNNNNNNNNNNNNNNNNNNNNNNNNNNNNNNNNNNNNNNNNNNNNNNNNNNNNNNNNNNNNNNNNNNNNNNNNNNNNNNNNNNNNNNNNNNNNNNNNNNNNNNNNNNNNNNNNNNNNNNNNNNNNNNNNNNNNNNNNNNNNNNNNNNNNNNNNNNNNNNNNNNNNNNNNNNNNNNNNNNNNNNNNNNNNNNNNNNNNNNNNNNNNNNNNNNNNNNNNNNNNNNNNNNNNNNNNNNNNNNNNNNNNNNNNNNNNNNNNNNNNNNNNAUGGGAACGAAGAUGUGUAUCGAUAUGGGGGAAAAAUGGUUUGAAAGGUAACUUUUAGAAUUUGACUUUAUUCUUGAUAUCAAGUCAUCACUUGACAGAGGAAUUAGAUGAAUAUCAAGUCAUCACUUGACAGAGGAAUUGGAUGAAGAUUGGAAGUUUGGACAUGCGCAGCUGAUGAAAAUUGGGAGUUGAGGGGUGUUUUUGAUGAAAUUGAAAGAAUAAGGACUAACAUGAUGAUCGACCUAAAGUUGAUGGGGGUAAACUGAAAUUAGUCCUUUUUUUUUGUUUGAGGAAAAGGGAUGUGACUCCCGUGGGCGUAAACCCAUCCAUUGAUCGAAAGAUCAUACAACGAGCACUCUCGCUCAAACUAAGGGAUCUGAAGAUCAUAUAUUACAUCCACUGCUCAACUGACUAACUUAAUAGCCAGGCUACCAUCCAAAAAGAUGAUAAUAACUACAAUCUACAAAGAAAAUAAAGUCCAAAAAGGUGGACAAUCAAACUAAACCCAAAAGACUGCCCAAAAAAGCGGACAUCUAAAAACUAAUUUAUUCUUCAUAACCCUAAUUCCCAACAUCCGUCUUGAUUAGCUUGGGGCCUAGAGACCUUCAUGGUGUACCCCUCUACCCGUCAGAACAGUGAACAUCGUAGAAUGAGGGUUACGUAAAAGCCCGCUCGUAGAGACUCAAACUCGGAACAACGAGCCUAAAAGUAAAACGUGAGAGAAGAGGGAAAAUGGCCCAGACCCAAAAGGACCAAGCCCACUCCCACAUGCCUCUUCCCAACCCUCAGCCCACUUGGACCUGAGAUCCGGAUUGGGCACCAGAUCGAACCACCCAAGCUAGCCAUAGCCGUCAUCUGUCGGUCUCUGACGAGCAGAAGCAUCCUUCAGCCAUGGGAGUGGCGAACACGAAACGCAGACGCACCCAAAGCAAGUUGUCACCACCUUUGAGCCGUUGCUAACCUAGUUGCAAACGCCGCCGGACAAAACAACAAAUCAGUUCAUUGAGAAAGCGCAGAGUUAAGCCGCUCCUCCUCAAACUCCUCCCUAGCAGAUCGGCCUCCCUCCUAGCUUGCAAGGUGCUCCAUAUAUGAUGCCUCGUUUGGUUUAGGGUAACUAACAAGAAAGAAAAUUUGUUAUUGUCAUGUUAUGUGUAUUAAAAAAGGCAAAAGGAAAAGAAAUUCUUUUAUGAAUCUCCUCUUAUUUCUUUAUCUUUAUUACUUAUAAUAUAUUAUUUUAUUACAUAAAUUAUUAAUUUUUUAACAACUUUCGGGAUCGCUUUCCGUAUAUUACCAAAUAUUGGGAAUGAAAGUAGUUGAGAAAUUCUAUUUUUCUUCUCUUUCCGUUCUUAUAAAGACCCGAGACCUGAAAGCAUUAUGUUGGAGAAACUUGGAUUCGAAACCAAAGGUUCUGAAAUUUGAUAAUGAUGACUGGGUUCAAUGUUUUUGGUUGAAGCAGGAUGUCCAGUGAGCCAAUCCCUUAUCAUAUAUUAUAUUAUAUUCCUCCACCCACGAAAAUGGAGGACAGAAGAAAAGAACAGAAACAUGACCCAAUUCACCGGAAAAGAACAUCAUGUGCAGAAAAUCAACCACAUCUUAUCUGAAACGCAAAUUAUGAACACUAACACCGUCUGAUUCUCUGAUCAUUUCCUCCAUUUUUUUUAUAGGAUUCCAAAAAUAAAUACAAAGAGAAAGAGUGUAGUUCAUCGCUGCAGGUCCAUCAUACGAGCAAAGUCCUGAAAGCAGACGAAGCCGUCCCCGUUCUUAUCGACCUCCGCAAUCAUGCGCCGGCACUCCUCUAACGUGCACCGUUCGUCCCCUAUCGCCGUGAACACGCUCAACAGCUCCUCCGCGGAUAUCUUCCCGUCGUGAUCCGUGUCGAACACCUCAAACGCCUCCCGCAGCUCCGAGUCGGCCGCCGGCUCGCAACCCGGUCCGAACCGGUGUAAAAGAGCCUCCAGGGGUAUGCAGCCGUCGCCGUCGCCGUCGACCUCGCUCAGCAUCAUCGCCACCUCCUCCUGGGUCGGCGGCUCCGCCCCCAGCAGCCGCUUCAGCAGAGCCUCCAGCUCUGUUCUCGAGACCACUCCGUCGUUGUCUCUGUCGAUCAGCCUAAAGGCCUGCGCCAUGUCGACAGAAGAGAACUCCGACCAGUCCCCCGGCAGGACGCUGGUCGGAGUGGCGGCAGGACCACCAGGCUUGUGGAGGGAAUCGGAGGAGGAAGAGGACGCGGUUCCGGAGCCGAAGGAGGGAGGGUCGGAGCGGGAGACGGCGGAGCGGUCCUUCUUGGAGCGGAAGAGGCGCUUGGGACUGAGGCUGUUGAUUUUCAUAAGCUUCAUGGCGGAAGAUGGAUGACGAGGAAGAGAGAGGAAGAGAGGAAGAGAGAAGAAGAUGAACUGAUGAAGGGAAUGGGAAGGAGAGAGGAAGGGGAGAGGGGUUAAAUGGUGGGAGUGAAGGGAGAGCCAUGGCAGCUUCCUGGAAACUUCGUGUUACUGGGAACCUUUCCAUGAGCGGCUUAUUUAUAUAUAUGCUAAUAAUUCUUCCCGCAAAUUCAGACUUUUUUGUUAUUUCUAUCUAAAUUUCAGUUUUUCUGUUCCAAUUCCAUUAAUUCCUCAAAGAAACAAAGAAUAUUAGGUUAUUUAUUAUUUUUUGGGUGUAGGUUGAAUUGUAUAAUACAAUACAAAGGAGGUUUUGGUGGGACUUGGGGGCCUUUGUUUGUUAGUUGGUGAGUGUUGGGAACUCGGGGCAUUUACCAUUUUGUUGGUUGUAAAAGUAGAUGUUCUUUGUACACACUUUAGGUUUAUUUUCUCAUGGGAGGAGAUUCUAUCAUUUUACAAUUAUUUGAUGUUUAUCAUUAAAUAUGGAAGAAAAAGAAAUCAUUCACAACUUUGGGGCAAAAUCUUUCAAUAAAAAUUACGAGAAAUAUCACUAUUUCAAGCAUGGUUUUUCUCAAUCAACAUAAAUCUUAUUCUCUUUGAAAAACCAACACAAAUCUUAUUCUAAGUUUUUGUUCGUCUAGCUUUGUUUCCUACGGUGUAUUAUCAGUCAAUGGUGUUUAAAUCGAUGGUUAGAGACAUCCAACGAUAGUAUACAACAACAAUGAUAACAUUUUCAAAAACUAAUCCAACAAGAUUUUCUCUUGUUCAUGUUCAACAAUAUGGUUGGAGAAUUCUAGGAUUGGGUCACUCAUUUCAGAUCUCACGAUCUUGGGUCGAGUUGCCAGCCUCAGGUAUGCUCGCGUCAAUCGAGUUAGAAGGUCAGUCAAGAGCAAUGCAGUCUAGGUCUCGCGGUUACCAGAUGAAGGCUGCGGGCCGGGUCAGGGUGGUGGUCACGGGUCACGAUUUGACUAGAUGGAAUUUCGGCCUCUCCAUGGGCUAGGUUGGGGACCAAGAAGGAAAAGGGUUGUUAGGCCUAAUCAUGGAGUUGUCUCUAUUGAUGGGCCUGAUGGUUCUGGUCGGAGCAGGAUGAUGGGCUUCAUCGUUGUGGAUAUGGGCUAGGUUGUAGGAAGUAUAACCAGGGCCAUACCUGAGAUUUUGAGGCCUGAGGCCGGGUCUAAAAAUGGUGCCCUCUAAUGGUAUACCUUCUUUAUUAUCUUUGGUAUUGGAACAAGUAAUUAGCCCAUUUGUAGUCCAUUACAAUCAUUGGUAAAUAAGAUGGUGUUGGCUGCUGGGCAUUUGUAAUCUUGAAGGCUUCUUUCUAUGUUGGUGUGAUUGUGUUUGUCUCUAAAACACGCAAUCACAAGAGAAAGACUAGGAACGGGACUGAGGCAGAGGCAGACAAGAUCUGUUACGGCCUUAUGAUACCAACGACACCACCGCCCUCGAGCUUGGCGGUGUUCCCAUUCUUUUAUUCCCAGCCUUUAUGAUGCAUUGAUGACGCUCUUUACACAAAUACCAAACCCCCACUUUGAUUUUCUAGAGCAUAGUAUCGUGUGUGUCGAGGGGAUUGUUGUGAUUUUGCAUAACAGUCAUAUAUUGACUGUUUCAAAUUGGGAUUGGUGCCCCCAAAAGUCAUAUAUUGCCUGAGGUUGUUGCCUUUUAGGCUCACCUCAGGUCCGGGCCGAAGUAUAACCUCCACCCCGGAAGGGAAAGAGGUUGUAAUCUUCUAAUUUAUGUUUAGUCUAGGGAAAAGUCUUUGCCGGUCUUUAUUGCUUUAUGCAACUUUUAUGUAGACAAAUAGAUCCAUUUGUACCACAAUUGCGUGCUAGGCAGAAUUAGGAGAGAAUAGAUCAAUAGAUGCAUAGAAUCAUAGAAGGCGUGUUGUAGACACUCGUGUAAAGACUAGCUUAGUAGCGAGUGUAUCAGAGAUUUAUUAGUCUGCUUAUUACAUAAGUUAGUUCGGUUUUUCCGUUUCUCUUUUAUGUAAGAUAUGUAGAUUUUGCUGAUUAUGACUAUUAAUUUGUUGUUAUUAGUAAAUGAUAUUUGAAAAAGGAUCAAUCGACUCUUUUUUGCCCCUAGCUUGCUACGUCCAUGGAUAUAAAAUGUUGAUACGACUGAUCUGAGUCGAAUCAGUUUUUAAAUUUGGACUAGAUAUCUAUAUAUACCGGCUGAAAAGUGUAGUGUUUUACUAGCUUCUCUUCUUGUUCGUGGGGAAUGUGUUAUAAUUGUUCACCAACAUGAAAGGACACGGGAAGCACACGGAGACGGAAAACUAGAGAGCUGUGGAGCACGCGGAAAGCAACUCAUCCAGCUCUCACACUCAUUUCACUUGGAUCACUUCAUUUUUGGUGGAACUGAAAUUGGAAUUACUUUUCAGUGUUGGAGCGAAAGAAGAUGGAAAGGACACAGCUAGCCACGAUCGUGAGUGUGCUGGACCACCUCGCAUGCAUGUCUAUGAUUGAUGAUGUUUCACUCUUUGCUCUCGUCCACUCCUUUUGGUUUCCCCAGAUUUUUACUCUCAGUGUUGCUGCAAGUCCGCGACCACGCGCAUUUAAUACCACUACUCAUUCUCCUUGAUAAAGUUAUGUCAUUCCCUUUCUAAUUUAAUUUGGUACCACUCAAUGCGCAAUCGCACCCGCUCGGUUGGCUUCGGACAAAGCAGGAAGGUCAGCUUAGGACCUCUAGGUAGUCUUGAAACUGCUUCUUGAGGUUUUUUAUCAAGUAAGUUCACCCGUUAGGUCAGCGCAUCAUUAGGGGUAAACCUAGGUCAUUGGUGUGACUUGUCUAGGUCAUUGGUGUGACCUGUUAGGUCAUUACUACUGGACAACAUUUUUCACCCUUUUGUUUUUGAAUUUGGAUCGCCACAUGUACAUGAGCAAUGUACAGAGCUGUAGGUAUCUAGGAGAAACUUUUAUGAGCCUCAUAAACAUAAGCUAGCUUCGAUCUCAUGAGAUCAAAUAGGAGAGCCAAAAGGGAGGAAACUGGAUGGCUACUAAAAUCUUGCAUAGACAUAUAUUGCAAGACUCGUAAGGAGUCAAGUACGCACAAUAGAACCAAAACAUAAUUGAGUUACUUGCGUAAGUUUAUGAUUCUGGCAAACAUUGUAGCCUUUUCAAAAUUGAAACUAUUCUGAACACUUGAGAUCACAGAAAAGUAACUUGGCACCAUAAUGAAGCUAACUCAAUAUACUCAGAACAGAUGCAAAUUACAGAAACAUACAACUGUAUGCAAGGAUACAAUCCUCUCUCCUGAGAGACGCUAUUUCCGAUUAGUAUCUUAUAACUCCACGCUCCUCAUAUCUUCAAUAACAUAUAGGUGGACAUGCCAGUAUAAUAUUCCAGUGGAAUGCUACAAUUCAUAUCAAGUAUGUGUUGGAAAAAGCCCCAGUGAUACUUCUUUCAACUCUUAUUAAAACAAUGUUCAAAGUGUAAUAACAAGUCCAUACAUAUAUAUCUGUCCAUUAACCCCAAAAAACAAUUGAAUUCUGAGCUUAAAUGAAACAUAACAACUAUGAUCUAGAUAAGGUGGAGGUCCAACUUUGGAGUGAAGGUGAGAAUUUUGGUUCACACAAGUCUUAAAAACCAACCGCAUCAGAGAGACUAAGCUAUAUGAAUCACAUAGUUGUAUACCAUUUAUAUAAAGCACUAAGUACUAACUUGGAACAUUUAUUUUGAUUUUUUGAAUAAACAAAAACUACAUAUUAUGUCAAACACUCAAACUAACAACUGCCUGCACUCUUCAGAGCUCUGAUUAUUAGAAUCAUCAGCAGUGAUAGAUUGAUCUGUAGACUGGCUACAGCUGGCCGCUGUAUCAUUUAAUCCUAUUUCUGAAGCAGAAUCAGCAUCGCCAUAUUCAGAUGCAGAUCUAGUAUCCAUCUCCUUUUCGAGAGAGUCGAGUUGCACACACUCAGCAACUUCAGUGUUAAAAUUUUCCAUAUCCUGACUCCUACUACUUGACAAUGACAAGUCUUCUUUCUUCACAACAUUGAAUACAAUCCCGUUAUGUAUCCUUUCCGGCUGCAAAAGAUCACCUUCUGUCACCAUAAUGCUAGCACUGUUUACUGAAGCCACAUUCCCGAAAUCCCUCCUAUCAAAUCUUGUGCUGUCCGGGCUACGGUCUGGUGUACUCCCCCUUGAGCUGUGAUGGUAUUGAUUACUGCCCCCCAAUUGGAGCGUCGUACCUGAGUUAGGAUUAACCAACAAUCCUCUGUUCAGUUCCGCAUCAAUGUCCAAGUUUUGGACAAAGUCGAUGAAUUUAGUUGCUGACGUCGUUCUCAUCAAGGGUCCACCGGAUCUGGUCCAAGAAUUUAAAUCGGCAUUCUCAGAUUCGCUGUCACUUCCAUGACCAUCAUGUAUGUUACGGUGGGUAUGGAAGUUUUUACCACCGGUGGGUGUGCCAACUCCAUGAUGGAAUGAGGAACCAGCAUCUCCAAGGAGGUCUUCUUCAAGAGAACCACUAGAAUUCUCACGAGCAAUGCAAUUCCAAGAUGGAAUUCUUUUUGAUGCACUGAAUCUGACUGUGCUCAGUAGGCCAUGAGAAGAAGCAGCAGCUCUUUCAGCACUCCUUUUCAGUCUACGCAUGUGAUUGAGAAUAACAACAGACUCAUCAAGAGCAAGUUCAAUGCCACAGUUUGCUUUUAUCGCUGACAGUUUCUCCCAAGUGCACCGUCUACCUUGGUUGGCAGCCUUUUGAAGCUCAACAUAUGUUGGGUUUUGUAUAAUUUUUGAAUACUGGUCAAGGAGCAAGGAAAAAGAAACUUAUUAGUUUCUCUCAAUACUAGCAAUUGGUCUACAUGAUAAAAGAGAAAAAAAAAAAUCUUCAUAUAUUCCAAAACAAAACUUUGUAGCACUCCACUGUGGUCAAUUCAAUCAAUCCUAAUUAAAAAUCAAAUAUUAAAAAUAAAUUAAGCAAGAACAGCAAUAAAGAUUCACUUAAAUAAUGAAGCCUAAGCCUAAACAAUUAAGAUCCCCUUGGUCUUCUCUUUCGAUAAAUUUUAAUGAUAUUUAGCCAGAGACAAGAGAAAGUAAAAAAGAAGUCUAAUUCACUAGUACGGAGUUACUGACUAGCUGAUUAGAUGUCUAUCACUAUCUGUUUUUCCUCCACUUACCUGAGCUAGAGUGGCAGGCAUCACAAUAGUAACAUCGCCCUCCCAGUCUUGAGCAAACAGCUUAGCAAGUCCGCCUAAGGGAAAACCAAGUUCAAGGAUCUGGUUACAUCUAUGUUUCACCUCCAUCUCAACAAGAUGCGCAAGCUACAGAAUUCAUAUACCAAGUUAGUAAACCAACAAACAAGAUAACGCUCAUCCAUAAAUAAUAACCACCAGCAAUGAAGCAGUACAAACAAGCAAUUCAGUAAUCAGUAUAAUGUUCUUAUUGAAAGUAUAUCCCAGAGCUGGAUGGUCUUGCAUGGAAAAUUAUGAAAUAUUUGGCCUCUUCACCUAUUGCCAUUCCGUUUUGAGUUGGACGGACCAAUUUCUACAGUUUUUUGUUCUUGCAAUGAGGUGCUUAUGACAUAUUGACUAUGGCAAACUUUGGUGUUCAUCAUAUUGGUUAACUAUGAUGAAAGACUAAUUCAAAUCUUAUCAACAAUGACUUGUCAAUGCCAUGAGACCUGGAGUCCCAUAAAGAUGUAGCAUGAUCUUCAAAUAACAGGAAACAUUUUCUGUGCCAUUAAUACUCGCCACAAGUUUGAACUAAUUGGAUUUCUCUAACUAAACCAUUAAUGACAUGUUGACAAAGCAGUCAAAAAGCGGCAUCAGCUGUUAUACACUAGCUACUAGAAACCACUUUUAAGAAGCAGGGUGAACAACAAUGAUAAAGAAAAUCAAGAACUGCAACCUGAACAUAAAUGGAAGCGUUGGUCGCAUUACAUUUCAAGCAACAUUCUGCCCAAGAUGAGUUCAAAGUGAUAUACAAGUUAACUAAUAAGAAUUGGUCUCCAACUAUAUAUUGUAUUAUUUCAGCUAAAGAUUAUAAUACAAACAGGUGGAGGAGGAAAAUGAAGGGAAGCAGUAAGAAGGGAAGAGCACGUUGAAAAGGCUACAACCGAAUAUACUUCUAAUGAGUAAAAUUAAAGCUAAAGAAACAGAACAAGAAGCCAUAGACAAAGACAAAAAAUAUAAAAGAGAGUCUAAAGUGAGGUUCAUAGAUACAUACCUUGGCAGCAAAGUUGCCUCCAAUAGCUCUCACAAAUUCCUUUAGUCUUAAUAAUGGUGCAAUAUGAGGAUUUGCCUGACUGACUAUAAAAUGAUUGACAUUGAACAGUUCUUUUAGUUGCAUCAUAGGCAAAUCAAUUUCCAGACUACCGUCCCGCCACCUACGCACUGGCAUUGUCCCUGCCUCUGGAUCCAAAUUAAAUGGAGGAUGGUAAGGAACAAUCUCUCCACUUCUAUCUUUCGCCAUUAGUUCCUGGGCCUCAAAAAGGCCUGGGAAAGCACAAGAAGCUGUCACUGCACUCCAUAUAACAACGUGAGGUGAUGUCAAGUAGUUCAGACAUCUAGGUGGCUCGUGCUUCCUUGGGGAGCAAACAGUUAUCCCAAGAAUUCGACCUGUCAUGUCGUAUGCUUCCUGAAAUGUUAAAUUACUGGUUAAAUGCCUUAGCAUCAUUUGCAACUGCCUGAUCUCAUGGACAGCCCCACGUGUCAUGACCCUCUUCACAACUGUAAAAAUUCCACCCAUCUGAUCAAAAAACUGCAACGAGUGCCAAGAAUCCUCAAAAAAACUUUGCAGCUCUGGCCAAGACCUAGUGGCAACAACAGAACACAUAAUGGACCCAACACUAGAACCAGCAAUUAUUCUUGGCAUAAGCUUAUGUUCCACCAGUGUUUUAACUACACCAACAUGAAAUGAUCCAAGAGAAGCACCCCCACUCAAGAGCAAGGCAGUUCUCCCAAAAGCGUGUCUUGUUUCAUGCAUGAAAGCAAGCUUCUCUUCCAAUGAGAGCUCUUCUGAGUCUGAAUCACAAACCAUUCUCAGCUGAGUUGAUACCUCAUCAAUAUAUUCUUUUAUAAGUUUGGGCACGUGAAGUCUCCCCUUGUGAAGCUCAGGGUUGCACAUGUUACCAAGAUUUCUAACAAGAUCUGCUCGCAUACAGAAAAUUAUAUCUCGGAGAGAACCCUCUUCACGACGGUGGUGGAGUUCUUGAAGCUUGUUCCUAACCACUUCUUCAUCAUAAAGGUCUGAUUCAUUCAUCUUUGGGGUCUCCUUAUCAAGCAUCUUAGCAGCAUGAGCCCACUCCUCGUAUGUCAAGGCAGUCCUCAUCAUAUUUCUCCAAAAUUUCCUCCGAUAAGCCAUUUCAGCCUUCACUUUUACAUUUGUGUAUCGUUUCAACACAAAGGCGAUAAUUGUCACCAUUGCCAAUAUCCCUUGCGGGUUUCUAGGAUGCAACCAUGAGAACAUAGGAGCCAAAAAAUUCCUGAAUCUAAAGACGAGACUAAACAACAUACUAAAGAUCUGAUGUCUCAAAUGAGUCAUGGACUUGCAGAACAAAAUCCGGAAAGCAAUGGUCCGACCAAUAAUGGUUGAAGGUCCAAUAGGAAAUGGAUCAACACUGGCUUCAUUACUUAUAUCCAUGAUUUUGGAGCAAGUAGAAUGUACGUAUAUGUACGUAUAUCCUGGAUCAACAAAGCUCAAGAGCUCUACUAACACAAUUCAGUUUUAGCUCACAAAGUUUACAAAAGAAUGAGAAAGGCAAUUGAAUCAAUAUGAACAAUUGCAAAGAAGCAGAAGAUUCCACAAUCUCAACAAUCAGAUAUUUCUAAAUUCUUGGAACCAAGACGGUACCCAAUAACUGAAACAAGAAAACCAGUAUUUGUGAAUGAAACAUUUUCCAACCUCUUUGAAGCUUUGCAAGUCCCAGCAGAGAAAAAUUGACCCAAAUUUGCAAGACCCACCAGCUCAACAACUAGGUGGGUUUCCCCAACCAAUCCUUGAAGGACCCAGAAGAAAACUCAACCCAGAAUUUCAAAACCCAGCUGGGUUUUACCAAUGAAAUUGAGAGACAAGAGGGUUCUUAGUUUAGUACCUACAAAAAGAAACCCAGAAUAAUGAAACUCCAAAACAAGAAAUUCACGUUGAAUACACGAAAGCCAAUAUAAUACCAACAAGAUAAAAGUCGGAUUUAUUGGGAAGUGUGAAAGGAUAACGAUAUUGACGCCGCUUUGAUUACGAUGCGAGAUACGAAAUUCGGAUUUUGGGAAAUUACUAUAUAUAUUAAAGCAAAACGCAGGUAGUACUGUUCAUUCCACGAGGAUAAGGUGGCAGAGACCAGACUACUCCGCAAUCCUCAAUCUUGGAACCUUCCAUUUAUACAUCUAUUUAUAGAAAGUAAAACCAGACGGAACCAGAGUUUGGAGUAGACGGAACCUUGCGGGCCAACGCGAACCCGCCCCGACCAAAAUCAGAGAGUUCCUUCCAUUCUUCAGUGACAAGCUUUCACAACUCAAAUGUGAGCUCACCCUUCACCCUCAUACAUAUAUAGUCGGUGAGAAUCCAACCAUAAUCCUUAGAGCAAGUUUACUUGUUGGGUUAGAUCGCUAAAGUUUUAGAUCAAUAUAGGUUACCUGUUAGGAAUGUGACAUGGGUCGCCAUGAGGUAACGAGGAGAUGAACUUAACAAAGAUGUAGAAACAAAAGUGUACGACAAAUGACCUCUUGAAACAAAAGUAUCAUAAAUUGCCCAAUUAAGUAGUUAAUGAGCUUUAGGGUUUAUCUACUAAGGUGGCAUCUGUUUUAACCGUUGCAUAUCACAUCUAGGGUUUAUAUUUAAGUCAAGGAUAAACAAGAACCGUCCCUAGAAGGAGAGGAUCAUGAUGCAUGAAAAAUGAUGGAACUGGUGAUGUAUGUAUUUAUGGGUAGUAGUACAAUUUUUGUUAGGGUUAGGGUUGUGUGUUAACCCAAAUUUUAUGUAAUGAAGGUCUAUUUUAAUGUCCUGAUGCAAUAUUUAUAUGUUGGAUGCUUGUUUUCAUUUUUGUUGGGCUAAUCAAAUCAACUCUAGGGUGUGUGUUUUGAACAUGUCUAAGAAAGAAUUAGAGGCUUGACCCCCUCUAGUGUUACAAGCAUGGUAAUUUACACCCAUUGCGUUUUUCACUUUCGUGGUUUGGCUCAUCGCUAGUGCUCUUUCUCAGCGCAGUCUCUCCCGACUUCAUUUCAGGAAACUCGCUUAUUUGCAGAGUUUGGAGCCUUCUUCCUCUUCUCUAGCUACUUCAUCCCAAAAAAGAGAGCAUACCAAUAUACAGGUAACCAUUGGACACAUUGCUAACGAACGAGUACUGGAGCGUUAGAAGUGAGUGUUUGCUCACAGGCAAUGAUGUGUUGAAAAUAGGGGACUUGACAAGGACACCCAAUGGAUCAAUGUAGGGAUCAUGUUUGGCUUCUUCCUGUUUUAUCGCGUGCUUUGUUGGGUUUAGGGUUUAGGGUCAUUCUUUGUCGAAGGGAUUCAAAAACAACAAUUUAAUCACAUAAGAUCGAUGUUAUCGACUACAUCCCCAAUCUUUCAUUCAAAAGAAAUCAUGUAAAAGUUGAAAAUAUAUAAGAUCAAAGCAAGACCAAAAUAUUGAACACGUUGUAACACAAGUUGUCAAACACCAAGUAGAGUGAAUUGAAACUUAUAAAAUGUCUUUUUUCUUGAGACCUAGAAAAAUCAAACCAAAAGAUUUGAGACUUGAGGAGCACAAGAGAAAAUUAUAUCAAGAAUUGAACUCUUGCUGCAAGGGUGCAAGAAACAAGUGAAAAUGAGGAAACUGAAACCCCCAUAACGUUAAACCAAAAUAAACGCACACGGAGCCACAAGGAAAAUUAUAAUCUAUUCUUCAUACAAAACCGGAACUAUAAUCACGGCCAAAAUUCAUCAGAAUCUAAUAGACUCACUUACAUAAGCGGCAGAUAUGCAUACAAUGCAACACACGUACCAAAAGCAGUAAAAGUUGACAUUAAAUUCAAAGCUCAUCCUCCAUCCUCAAGUACUCUCCAAUAUCAGCCUGAUGAAGCACCACAAUUCCAUUGGGGUCCAACUUCCUACAAUCCUGGGUAGAUUUAGCUGCAAUGCCAAAACCCAAUGGAAUAUCUGACAUUGAAAACACAACCACCCCAUCACCAGGCACAAUAUUUUCUGUAAUUCUACCCAACCCACCUUUCAAAACAUGGUUUCCGUAUAAAUAUGACAUCUCAGAGGUAGGUUUGAGCCAGACCUUGUGUUUAGCAUUUGAGGCCAAGAAACUCAAACAUUGAACAGUUAGGUGGAAGCUGCCACCAUGAGUAAACUUACCAAUGCAAGUUCCAAGAGAGACUAAAUUGACCCGAGCUAUGUUUGUUGCACGCUUUACUAGUGAGUCACUGACAUAGUAGACCUUGUUCUUGUUGAGACGAAAGCAAUAGCGACCUGGAUUUGGGUCCGGACCUUCAUGAGAAGGGUUCUCCACAAUGUUUUUGAGGUUGUUUCCCGUGAACUUAAAGAGCUUUUCAAACACCGCAGUGGUUUCAGCUUCAUCCAAAGGCCUCAUCUUAGUCCUGGAGUUUAAGAGGGUUCGGGGACAGAGAUUGGUGAGCCUCUUGCUCUUGUACCGUUUUGGAAGCUGAUUUUACCUAAACAUAAAAUACCAUUUGUUAUACUUCACAAUAUGCAUAUAAAAACGGAAGAAGAAUCACAGUAACAUCCAUAGAUGCAUUCAUGUUUCACAGCUAUUGGAGGACACUUUGAAGUUCAAACACUGAUGAAUUGUAAGCAUUAGUGACACAAAGAAACAAAGAAGAUGAUUGCUACAGGAUGACUUCUCAAAUCUCAGCCAGUUGCAUUAUAGUCCUUAUUACACUGUCUGUGUAUUUCCAAAAAAUGUACAACACACACAAGACAAUUUUUGCAACUAGUUGAUCUUGUUAUUGCUAGAACUUCCAACAAAAGUACUCAGUAUAUUAGUGACCACAGCCGAAAAUGAAAGAUAUCAAAGCAAAGCCCAUAAGGAAGGAAACACAUGCAAACAAUAGAAAUUGUGGGAUAUACAAAGCUAAAGACUCAUGAAACUGUAUAGAUAAUGGAAGGGGCAGAAUCUGUUUUGGAGUUAGCUUGAACACAGUUAGAUUUGUGUACAAGCUCUUCAAUUCAUCUACACUUGAAGCAAAGAAUUUAAAAUAAAAAUUCCUCAACUCCACCUGACCACUACACAUGUAUGCAAGCAGUGCUGUAAAUCCAAAACAACCACCAAAGUUUGAGAUUCCAAAUUAUGAGACCGGCUAAUUACGAGAGAGUGUGUGUGUGUGAUUUAAUACAGAACCCAGAACAACAGAAACCAUCACAACUUACUCACCGAUAGAGAAAGGCCUGAAAUUAGGGUUUAGGGUUCAGUGGUGAAUGCGACGCCAAGGCGAGAUUCUGAGACAGAAAGAACGGCCAACAGAUGAUAUGGGGGUUUUGCACACUUUUAAACGGCCAAGUUUUUUGUUUUUUUGUUUUCUUUUUUCCUGUUUUUAACGGCGUUAAUUAUUCAAUUCUUCAAAACGUUACAAACCGGAGUCCUGCCCAGCGCCUAGACACAGUCAAAAUCACGGCGGUUUUGUUCAAAAAUCAUACAUCAAUCAAUCAAUGAUUCAUAACUUACGAGUCUAAUUUUUUUUGGUGAGGAAUGAAUAACUGUAAAAGCGAAAAACAUAUAUUCAACUCGUUCAAACUAGAUGGAGUGAGAAAAUACUGACAACUUGUUAAUCUUUAAACCGGAGGCCCUACAUCCAUAUACAAAAAUACAACAAUACUAACAACUCUUACCACACCACACACUCAUGCUCGCUAACUUAGUCGUCUUCAGCAACCACGAGGUAGUGAGUAGUCAGUAGUGUGAUACAUCGGAGUGUUGGUGGUCGAGCAACUAAUGCCAAUCUAAUCCUAGUGAACAAAUCAUAUGGAAACCCACAAUAUGGAUGAAGAGCUCACCCAAAACAACAUCAUACAAUCCAACAUCAGAAUCAAAGUUGGACACCCACCCUUACAGCGCCACAACUAUCACCAUCAGGGCGACAACCCUGGUGUUGCCGCGUUCGUCAACCAAGUGAAACUCGGGAUUACCCCCUCCCACCCCCAGCCUCUAUGCAUCAGACAUGCCCUCGAAAACAAUUUCUCGUCCGGCUGCACGCAACGAGCACUGGCAAGGCUAGAUGUCAAUGCCAUGGUCGUCGCGCAACGAGACAAGAAUGAGAAUGCACCCAAUAUGCGAAGGAAAAUCACUAAAAAUUUUACCCCAUUGAGCUACUAACUUUGAUGCCCUUAGUACGAAUCACUAGUUAGAACUAUAUUUUUUCCAUAGCACAUGUAACUCACAACAGAAUUAACUAGCUUGCAACUAGUGAACAAGGUACAAAAUCAAAAGGCAGUAGGGUUUUUAGUGUAAGUGUUUAGUGACACCCUACAAACCUGGCAUUACAUAGGUCGAGUAUUGGUUCUGUUUUUUCUUUGAAAUAAGUAGAGUGCUUGGUUUCUAUAGUUGCGCUUUUUGCAGCGAUCUGUAUGAUAUGUUGGAGACUUGCUGAGGACUGCAAUGUGAGGCUCACAUUGACAGACACUGCAGAAUGUUAUCAAGGAAAUCCAUGACAACUUGCAUGGGUGAGUGUACAUAACUCAACCAGAGCGAAUUAGUUGAUUUUUGAUCGUUCUUCAAUAGGGGACUUUUGCAUUAUACACUUAAAGAUGGGGAAAAGAAAAUAAGAUGUAUGUAUUUAUUCAGUAUAAUUAUUGUUUAAUCUUUUAGACACAUUGGAGGGGCAUUCGAGUCUGAGCUCACCUAAUUUUUGUUAAAAGUAAUGAACUGAUGACAUGGAGGAAUAUUUACGCUAUAAAAAGGACAGAUUGAUUGGUCUGGUUAUCCGGAAAGAAAAGAUUUCAAGAACCUCAUUUCUGCUUAAACUACUAUUAUGAAGAUAAGGGUCUCUAAAUACAACUCCCUUCACAACAAGAAGAAGAUGAAAUAAUACAACUCAAACUGCACACCAAGCAAUGACAGGCAACCGAAGGUGCAUUCUUUUAACACGAGGGAUGAAGCAUCCAGUGGAACUUUCUUGUCAAACUGAAGAAACAAGAUUUAAAGGGAAGAUGUAUACAGGAAGGAUGCUUCAGGCUCUUGAACCAAAGAAACAAGAUAUUUUCUGAAGUCAAACCAGCCAACAAAUUUCAAAAGGACCUGCUCCAUGCUCAGUGAACUUUUGACGCUCUAUCAGUCAUUGCAGCAAGUUCCCAAUCGAACUUGCAUAUUGGUGGAACUGCAUGCAUCAAUGUAACAUAGACAUACAUCAACCAUUAAAAAUUGUUCGAGGCUUGAAACAUCAUGAAAAUAAAAUGUACUUCCCCCAUAUAGAGAACCAACCAGUAUGGAUUUCAAUAUUAGUUUCAAUUAUAGCCUCAGUUAAAAAUCAGGGACUUAUUUUUGAUACUAUAUUUUAGGUGGACAAAGAACCGAGAAACAAAUAGGAGCAUCUCCCUGUACAUAAUGGCAAUACCCAGUCAAUGAUAUCUUGAUAUCAUAAAAAAUUGUACAGCAAAUUGAAGAAGAGAACACACUAGUUCUUAUUUGGGUAUGAUGAAUAAUACUGAUCGGUAGUCUAAAGCUAGUUUUGCAAGGAAAGGGGAAAACAUUGCAAUGGGUAAGUACCUCUUUAAUGAUCUCCUCACAUUUAAGAGCUAAUGCUUGCUGAUCAGCUGCUGCUGAUUUCUUUAAUGAGGCAAUACUUGCAGUAAUAGAAUCCACCUACCAAAUGCAGAGCUAAAAUUAAAUACUUGAACAAAAGAGUAUCAAUUACAUACUUUAGAUAAUAGACAAUCUAAAAAAUACAAAAAUGAUCCCCCAUCAUAAUCUACAUAUAAAAUACCUCUGCUACCGCAGCUUCAACAUCCUUUUGCCUUGCUUCGAGAAGACCUCUCCUUGAUUCCACCUCCAGCUUGACUGUAUUAACUUCCUUAGUAGCCUCCUCAAACUUUAGAUAUCUUUCCUUUUCUAGCUUCUUUUUCAAGUCAUUAAAAUCUUUCACUGAGAUAAGAGAAAAACAUCUCUAAACUCCAAAAGCAAAUCUAACCAUUUUAUGUCUCAUAUUAAGCUGUCAACUGUUCAGAAAAGAACGCAACAGAACACAAAUUGACUAAAAGAGACUACCUUUUGCCUGUCGUUUCACAACUUCGUUCUGAAGAGACUUAAUCAGAAUUUCAUCAUCACUUUUUUUCUGUUUUAAUGCUUUACAGUCUUUGCCAGCAAAUUUAGCCGAAUUCACCUAAUAACUCAAAAGCGGCCGUGUUAUGAAGUUGAUAUUUCAAGCAACGGACAGUUCAGUGCAUGAAUAUGAAAUGCGAACUGUAAAGUUUGUUUGGCAAGAAGAAGGGAAACAAUAUCUUAUGUUGUAAGAUAAAUCUGGAUGCUGCUAUAAGCAGACAUUUGAAAGCAAAUAGAUCUACCUGUUCUUGUAUAACCUGCAUCUGGGCCAAGUGCUUUGAUAGUUUCUUUAAAACCUGAGGAUACACAUGAAAAUUAUUGUUAAAUUUAGCAGUAGCCAACUAUAUUCUUUAAUAGACACAUGUGAUUAUCUAUUUAUAAUUUACAUAUGAAUUGGUGCAAGCAUAUCAAACACAAGAAUUUGUAUUUCAAUAAAUUAUUAAUAUAAUAUUAAUAUAACUAACAUAUCGUUUUAUUCACCAGUCAAUAUACUUAAAAUGUAUAUCACUACUUCUGUACCCAAUAGAAUUAUGUUUCCAGUAACAUUUGCAAGUGUUAGUAGUGUUUGGCAUUAUGAACAAAAUCCAGAAGAAAAAAAUGAGUGUAAGGAAACAAAUAAAAAUCCACAGUGGUACACACUGCUCAUGUCCCGACUGGACUGGACCUUUUAUAUCAAAAUUCCUUGAAUUUUUUUUUUAAAAGUUAAUAGUCAUUUUCAAACAAAAAUGUUCCAAAUACCAGCUUUCAGAAGUUAGACACUUCAACUACACAGGCCUACGCAGUCCUUUUUAAAAAACUGUCAACAUAUAAAAGACCAGCAUGCAUAGUGAUCACUUAAACAUGUAGUCUGAUAUCAUACUACCUUUGUAUAAACCUCCUCAACAGCAGUCUUCUCGUUAAAAGAUUGCAUGGCUGACAUUUCAUCAUUUUUUGCCUUCUCUCGAACUGAUUUCUUCUCUUCUACAGCCCUCUUUAAGCAAAAGUGUGGUUUAGUUAGCUUACCAAAAGGAGCACAAAUGAUGAAACUACAGAAACACUGACCCAGUCAACAUAACAAAAAUGAAGUAUGCAAUUGCAUAGUCAGAGGAAAGCUUGUUGUUUGAUGUACAGUUGAUAUUACAAAGGAAGCAUAGCUCUAGGGUUUUCAACUGGAUUUUUAUGCAGGCUUAACAAGAAAAUAAAUAACCAAGUAAGCUAUAUGCAAUCAUAACAGAACCAAUUAAUCCAUCUGUGUCUAGGAUUGUGCUUUGCUGUUGACUUUACAUGUCUAAAAUUUUUAGAUCAUGUAACUUAAAACCAACUGGCUAUGCAUGUGAGACCCAGUAUAAAUGGUAACACAAGGCUUCACAUUCCCGUUGUUGUAUAUAACUCUCAUCACGCAACCUCACAUCCGGCUUAACUUAAGCAAGAGACAUAGACAUCACAACACAUGUGGAAAUGGACCAAAUAGACAAAUAGCCUCCUCCAAAUACAGUAACUAGAGGAUCUGAUCCAAAACUAAUUGGCUAUGUGUGGAGAUGGAACUAGAAUUCGCACAAUAUCACGAAGUGGUCACCUUUGCUCAAUUUGGGGGAGGCCUAGGUUAUUAUAAAAGAUAGGGUAGGCUUCACGUUUGUGGUAUGGGAAAGACACUCAACAAUGCCAAACUCUUUAGUUUACUAGAUUUGAUUGGUUAUCACACCUCUUGCAAGAUACAUUGACUUUAUCUCUACAGGAAUUUUCUGUAGUAGCAGAAAAAGGUGCUAAUCAUUUGCUGGCGAAUUUGGGAGUAUCAAUAUGGCAUGAUGCUCAGUGCAAAAGAGCCAAACCCAAUUUCAGGUAUUACUCUGGCAACCAAAUUUAUUCACGAGUGAAAGAUCAUUCUGAGACCCGUUUAAAACUUCAGUUGAACCACGAGAAUUCAAACACCUAUGCAAGCAAGAACUGGAUUGGAAUUCAUGUAACAUUAACUGCGUUGAAGGUAAGUUAUAUGUAUAAAUUAGGACCGCACAUCAUCUUUUCAAAGGGCUUAAACCAUCUUCAUACAUGAGCUCAUCUCAACCAUUCUAAAGCCAUUAUUCCCAAUAUUUUGAAGACCAAAUUAAAUAGAUUCUGAAGUGCAAUUGUGCUUGAAAAUAAAAAUAAAAACAAUAAAUAAAUAAAACCCCUGCCAUGGUGGGGGUCAUUGCACUAUGACUAACAAUUUCAGAACCGGAACCUCAACAACUGUGCCUGUGUGUGGGGAGAGAAAGAGAGACAGAGAUCAAUUCCCUUUCUCUAUUUGUCCAUAUUAAGAAUGAUUUUCUAUUAGUUCAUCAGAGUUCAUCCAAAAAAUUUGAUUAUCUUGCAGAGAUAUGUCCAUUGUGUUGGACUGAUUUUAGUUUUACACCAAAGCAGUAAAGGCUAUGUUUAAAUUGGUUAAAAGCGCCUUAUUUAAAAAGUAUUCAGAGAAGGACCAAAUACUAAGUUAAUAUUAUAACUUAUUUUUUCUUCAAGUUCUUGCCUCUCCUACCACAGUCACUUCCAACAUAAAGUUAUUCCAUUCUCAAGAAAAGAAAAAAAAAUUAUUCGGUACGGGGUUUCAAAAGCCUGACGGCAUGAAAUAUACAAAUGGGUUAAAACACUUAAAACUAGAAAAUAAGUCAUGAGCCUUAAACACAUGUAAUGUUGGAUGCAAACGAACAGGAAUGUAGUAAUGUUGAUGAAUCAGAAUUACCAGAUAUAAAUACUAUGACCAACAUGAAGAAAAAAGAUAUUUGAUCAGGGAAAAAAAAAACACAUGAAGAAAUAAGGUACCUGCAGUUUAUCCGGUGACUGAACAAUUCUUGAGCGUAAUUCUUGUCUCUCAGAAUCACAUUUUAGCAGAUCAAAAUCAGCAUCAGAAAUCUGGAGAAACAGAAUAAGUCAAAAGGAAAAAGAAAGAAUAAGAAAAGCAUAUCCACAUUUGAAUACCAGUACCUUCUUAUAUCUAACAUACAUGGAACCAAAAAUAUAUUAAAAAAUUAUUUUAAAAAAGUCUCAAUUUGAGAUGAAAAGAAAAUGACCCGAGGAGUUCCUCGACUUCCAGAUUGUUAUGGUUUCUUCUAAACCCAAAAUCACAACACAGAGGAAGGACACAAGAGUUGACACUUUUUUUAGUGGGGAAUAAGGAGCCUAAAAGGCCAACAAGAGUUGACACCUUUUGGCAAUGGGAGAAAUCAUAAUUUUGAGAUAACAUAUAAAGGAGGAAGGAAAGAAAGAAUAGAUCUACCCAACCUAUCUGUCUAACUACAACCUAACCCUUUCCUCCUUCCCCACCAUAAAAUUGCAACAAGCAGUAACUGAAUAAGUGCUAUGUUCCAUCGCUUCCAUGGAUCCCGGAUUGAGCCUAGAACACAAAAUUGAAAUCCCAGCGAUUGUUUUUGCAGUCCAGUUUGCUUCUAAUGACUUCAUACCAUUUUGAGUUUAUUUCCUCCUUGAACCUCCAUAGUCAUUUCUCAAGUAGUCUCCGAUUCCCCAGACUGCCUCUUUCUCUAACAAGUCACCAACUCCCAAUUUGUUUCCUUUCUUCCACCCCAUCUCAUAAGAAGUAUUUCAUUCUCACUAUUUUCCAGCUCAGAAAACACACAAAAGAAGUCAACAGACCAAAAUAGAAUUGCCAAGUUCUGAUCUCUUGGAGAGUGAAAACAGUAUCAGUUUCGAUUAACAAAUCUGACCACAAUAUUCCUAGAACUGUUUAUGAUUUAUUUGUGUACUUCUAUUUUGUUUAGGUAAAGCUGAUAAAAUCAGUCAUAGCACUGAACAAUCUGACCUCUUUGUCCAUUUCUCCACUCUUCUCCUUCAACUUCUUAAGAGAAGUUCUGACUUUAACUUGUUCGUUGUUAAGGCCUUCAAUGGUUUGGCGCAAUUCUUUAACUUUAGCCUCUGCCUCUUGAAGAAGAGGCGAUUCCUUUUCUCUUGCGUCAUCGAAGUCCGCAAUCUCAACAUUCAACUACAAAACAAAGAAUUGGUAAAUUGAUGCACAAGCAGCACAAAUAAAUAAAGUUCCCUUUAGUUUAUUAUUAAAUACCCUUUCCUCUAUAUGAUAUACCUGGGAAACCCGGCCCUGCAACAACUGGUGCUGCUCCUCGAUAUCCGUUAAUGGAUUCAUAAGUUCGGUGAGUUGUUUCACUUUUGUCUCUCUGAUAACGAAAACAAAAGGUUAAACACAUAUAAGCAAAAGGUAUAAAUAAAAUAUUCAAACCAGAGCAUCAAGUUUCUCAUCUGUAAAACAUGUUCUCUUCCCCUUAAAACUCAAAAGAGGAGUUCCUUUACACUAGUUCCAAGUUUGCAUAUAAAUCCAACACUUACUCUCUUUCUUCCUUUCGUUUUUAAAUCCAGUAAGAGCAUAUGUUGACAACAAAAGUAUCUAAAAAUAAACGAAUAUGUAAUAAACAUCCAGUAACAACACAUUUGAAGAAAAGAUUGUAUCAGAAGCUUUAACAAGGUUGCUCGACCAGCCCAUUAGAUAAUUGAAGCAGAAACAGUUAUAGUUCACCUAAUAAGGUAUUCCCUAUAAACGGAAAAAAGAAAAAAUAAAUAAAUAAAUAAAUAAAUUCCAUAAGAUAUGCACCCACUCCUUUAAAUUUUUCAAACUCCUUAAUUAUGUUCAAAGUCCCAGUAUUAUCUAGCCUUUCAUUUCUUUCCAGAAUGUAAGCUGCUGGAAUUACCCAAUAAAGUUCAGGCCCUUAAGCACUGCACUGAGUGCAUCCUAAAACUGCAAGAUAACUUCCAUCAAAUUACUAGAGGAGAUUAUAAAAAUAAAAAAAUUAUCAUGUGGCAGAUGCUGAUCAGACAAAAUCCUGCCAUCAGUUCCUUCAUCAUAAAGCCAUCUAAUGAGAAACAAACUUUUUUCAUAUCAAAGAAAGACAAGACAGCGGAAAAUGUGUCCGCUAGACUAAAUAAACAAAAAGGAAGUACAAUACAUGAUCAACAAACUCUACGUCAUAACGGCAUUCAGAUUAUAAAAAUGGCCCAAAAAGAGUAAUAUAUAAACUCUUAAGAGACCAGUGCCAUAAUUAAACCAUCCCCACCCCUAGUUUGCUUUGAGUUCUUUAGUUCCUCACCAUCCAACCUACCAACAACACUGCCAAUAGAGCUCAAAGCCGAUUAAAAUUGGCAAAUCUCAAGUGACUCUAAUCUUGAACUAAUAAUAAAAUCAGGAAAAAAAAUAUUACCUAUAAAGAUGGUAAUUCAUAAUAGCACUGAGAAAAAACUCGGUGCGAUUGGGGUCCGGUCUUAUGAGAUCUUUGAGGGUAAAUCUGUGAGGACAAUCCACCAAGUCCAGGACCUGCCUGAUUCUGUUGCAGAGGUUGAUGAUAUGGAGGGAGCUGUCAUGAGAUUCGGGAUUCUCAAACUGCUCCAAGGCGUCGAAAUCAACUUGCCCAAUAUCCCUGCACCGGUUUCGAGUUAGAGUCUCAUAGAAAAUUAAGGGUAAGAGAAGAAACGGACUCACUCGUUGAAGAAGUCGAGAGCGAUGAGGACGCGGGUGAAGAGGUUGGUGACGAAGUCAGGGUUAGGGUUGAGAAGAUGGCGCUCCGAGAUGUCCAUGAUCUGAGCGUCGAUGAUGAUCGAGACUAUGUCGACGCGAGACAGCCGUGGGUAUAUGAACUUUGACAUCUCCAAUGCUCUCAGAUUCGCGCUCCUUCUCAGAUUGAAAACUUCACCUCUUUCUCAAGUACAAAACCAACUGGUUUGAAACAGGAAGGAAAGCAGGAGUCCCUUAAAAAAAAAGCAAAAAAAACAUAAAAACAUAAAAAAUUCACCCAACGAUCCUUAAAUUAUUAUGUCAAUGCCAAUUUGAUAUCCGAAUUUUUAAAACUAUCAAAGUGAUACGUCAUAUGAGAUUUUUUUUAAUUUUUAUUUAUUUUUAUCAAAAGGUGACGAAAAUUCAUAAAUUGAUUAAAUAUAUGAAUAUAACAUGAACACAAAACACAAUCUGUCAUCACGGAUAACGUAAAAAAUGAACCAUGUGAAACUACAUAAGCAACCUCUAUGCCUCAACCAUAACCUUGAAGCUGAAAGAGUAACCAUGUAACAAGGACAUAAUCUGGGACCAUCCUACCGAGGGAGAGAAUCCCGAGUUCAAGUAACAAUAAAUCUAUUAAAAGGAAGGCCAAGGCCUAAAAGUAACCCAAAAACUUAAAAGCUUUAACAAUUUCACUUCAAACCCAAGCCCACAAAUGGAAACCAUACCGUUGUUUGCUUCAUUUGCGCAACGUCGUUCAACCAUAACGGCCACCUACCACAGCACCCGACAAUCCAUCCCAACCACCAUAUCGGACUUCAAUCCACCACUUGGUAUCAAUGAACUAGUAGUAGCCACGCUUGUGUCACCGUCCACAAACCCCAAAGCACCUGAGCCGCUAGUAUUGACCACGGUACCACGACCACCGCCAACACAAUAGAUGAGGUUCGAAGCCUCCUAAGAGCAGCAUAUCACACCUAGAGCGCCGCCUACUCAAUCUCAUGCCGGUGGAAGCCCACCGACAGUCUUGAGGAAAGCAUCAAGGCUUCAAGGUGAAAGCUUAAAGCAUCACCUUGAAGACGAGAGAUGCAGAGGAGACCAAACAAGAAAAAGUUUAUCCAAUCCAUAUGAUACCAAAAAAAGCCACCACCACCCUUACGAAAAGUUGAGACAAGCCAAAGACCCAUCCAUAACCAUUGUGCAAAGACGCCGCCUAGAAAACCUAACAAAAGCUUGUUAAAGAGAAAAGGUGUAUAAAAUUAAUGGGUCUCAUUAAAUCGAUUGAACUACUAGGUGCACGAUGUGCUGUAAUUAAUCUUUCUUGGAUUGAUUGAAAUACUGAAUAGAGCAUGUGGUAAACAAUAAAUUUAUAGUUAAUGACUAAGAAUGAAAAUGCCAGAUUUAUUUAAGUCAAUCAUGAUCGAAUCUAUAUGUCAUUUGUUUUGUUUUGAUAUAUCAUUUCAUAUGUCUAUUUUAUAUAUGUUGUGUUUCCUCGAUUAUUACUAGAUUGAAAUCUUAAGAGCCAAGUCAAUAUUAUACUCGAGAUACAUCAACUAUGACGCACAAUAACCACGCGCGAGCGCAGCAUUUUCACAAAAGCACAUUUUUCUUUCAGUUUUUUUUUCUUGAUGUUUGUUUGUUUUGUUUUUUUUUGUGUUUUGUUUGUUUUUUUGUUUUUUUGUUUUUUGUGUUUUUUUUUUUGCAGAAAGAGAUUCUAAAAGAAUGGUUUUAAAUACACACCCCAAAUAACUUAAUACACAUCCCUAUUAUUUGAUAUUUCAAAUCACAUUUGAUUGGUAUGUUAAAUGACAAAUGUGUAAUACAAUUUAAAUAUACUUAUAUUUGGAAACUAAUAAUGUGAAAUAUAAACCAAAUUUAAAAAACAAAACUUAUUUUUGGAAACUUAUAAAGUGAAUUAGAACAAAUUAAAUUUUUAAGAUCGAGAACUUAUUUAGGGAAUCGAAACUAUUAAAGUAAACAAAAAAUUUGCAAGGAAAUUUGGAUAAUCAAUUGAUUUCUUUUUUGUCCUUAAAGAUUCAUAAUUUCAAAGUUUAGAGUGUCAAAGUGUCAAACGAUAUAAUUGUUAUGCAUAUGAACACUUAUUUCGUUAUAUUUCACAUAUUUUUCUUUUCUCCCAAACACACUAUUCAGAUAUGUAUUUUUCAUCUUAUUUAUCAUUUUGAUGUUUAAGAAUUUGAAAUGAACAAUGAUUCUGUAAGGAUUUCUCAAUAACUAACACAAAUAAUACAUAUGAACAUCUAUAAAAUGUUAAUUUAUAUAAAUAUAUACUAAUUAUACAAUAAUAAUAGUGUUAAUAUAGUCACAUUAUAUGAUAUUUCAUGGUUUUUUAGAUUAAGGGUAUUUUAGGUACUUUGGGUUGUGUAUUUAAUAAAAUAUCUGAAUGAGAAAUUAAAUAAAUGGUGUAUUGAGAAGGGGAUGUGUAUUAAGUUAUUUCGGGUGUGUAUAUAAAAUUUCUCUCAUGCUAAAAGUAGACGUGGAGAAAAAAAUUAUGUUUUUUUUUCUUUCUAAUAUCUUAUCGUAACGGUUGAGUAUGUUUUACAUAUGCAUAAACAAUAAAUAGACAUAUAGACACAGUGACACAUUCAACCAUUACUUACAAACUCUAAGACUUCAAUAUACUUUUUUUAAGAUACACUUGGAUUAGAAUUAUUGUUCAUAAAACUAAAUAUCCUUGAACUACCACGGGGACUUCUCUUUGGACAAAAAAAAAAGAGAGAUGGCUUAGGCUUAGGCUUUUAAAGAGGAUAUUUUUUAUCUAAAGUUCUAAACAAGUUGUGGCCGCUGCAUUUCAACCACAAAGGGUUUUGGUGUUUCAAAGUUAACCAUUUAUUUUUCUAAUGAAAACUUUCAUCACAACGAGAUCACUUAUAUUAGAGAUUAGCUCAAAAUUAUAAAAAUAUCCAAUUUUCCUUCAAAAAGCGAUGUCAACAUUUACUGAACCUACUAGACUUGUUGGGAGGAUGGAUCCAUUUCACAUUCUAAUCCAUGUUUCCAACUAGAAGUUUGAUAUUGGUUGGCUUGCACAUGUCCCUCGUGUAGCUACUUGAUACAAGUUGCAAAAUUUUGAUAAAAAAAAAUUAAUAUAAUCUUAUAACAAAAAUGGGACAACAAUCCAGCUCCUAGUAUGAAACAUUUUCAAUAUUUAUUAGGUUCAUGAUAUUUAUUGGGUUCAUGCUCCAUACCAUUGCAAAACGUAGAAAAGAUAAAAGGUGUUUACAAAAAUACGAGACUGUUUGUUAAGUGGUUUGCUUAUCUUCUUUUACUAAAGUCUCAUAGUGAUGUGUGAAGGAAGGAGGUUUGAGUUGAUUUUGGCUGCUGUAUUGUAUUAUAUUGGAUUGGUAAUCUCUGCACCAUGGAUUAUGGAGUCAUUGUUCCACUACUAAACAUGAUUGGUUAGCUAUUUCAACAAAAUUGGAAAGAGAAAAGAAGCACUUUUGAUAUAUAUAACUAAAUGAUAUCACGUUUGACUUAUCAUUGCCGUCUAAAAUGGAAGAAUGAGGAGAAUUAGAGGCUAAGAAAAUCGAUACAUGUAAGGGGCUCUAACCACAAACACACAGUUUUAAGCUUCGACCUCGGCCUUGCCGACUGGCUUUUCCGGAUGAUUGUCGAGCUCGGGUUGACGAAGCUGACGCCGUGCAGGAGACAGUGAAGCAAGGAGAGAGAGAGAGAGAGAGAGAGAGAGAGAGAGAGAGAGAGAGAGAGAGAGAGAGAGAGAGAGAGAGAGAGAGAGAGAGNNNNNNNNNNNNNNNNNNNNNNNNNNNNNNNNNNNNNNNNNNNNNNNNNNNNNNNNNNNNNNNNNNNNNNNNNNNNNNNNNNNNNNNNNNNNNNNNNNNNNNNNNNNNNNNNNNNNNNNNNNNNNNNNNNNNNNNNNNNNNNNNNNNNNNNNNNNNNNNNNNNNNNNNNNNNNNNNNNNNNNNNNNNNNNNNNNNNNNNNNNNNNNNNNNNNNNNNNNNNNNNNNNNNNNNNNNNNNNNNNNNNNNNNNNNNNNNNNNNNNNNNNNNNNNNNNNNNNNNNNNNNNNNNNNNNNNNNNNNNNNNNNNNNNNNNNNNNNNNNNNNNNNNNNNNNNNNNNNNNNNNNNNNNNNNNNNNNNNNNNNNNNNNNNNNNNNNNNNNNNNNNNNNNNNNNNNNNNNNNNNNNNNNNNNNNNNNNNNNNNNNNNNNNNNNNNNNNNNNNNNNNNNNNNNNNNNNNNNNNNNNNNNNNNNNNNNNNNNNNNNNNNNNNNNNNNNNNNNNNNNGAGAGAGAGAGAGAGUCUUAAAACUAUGAUAUAUAUUCUUUAUCAUUAGUGUUGAAAUCUUAAAAGCCAAGUCGAUAUUACUCGAGAUAUAUUAACCAUGACACACGAUGAACAACAACAAAACUAAACGCACACGCACACGCACAUUUCCUUUCAACUACUUUUUUUUUAAUUGUUUUUUAUGUUUGUUGUUUUUAGGUGUUGAAAGAGGCGCCAAAUAAGACAUGGAUAAAAAAAUUAAGGUUUUAUCUUUAAAAAAAAAAUUUCUCGUAAUGUUUGAGCAUGUUUUACAUGUGAGUAAACACGACUUAAAUAGACAUAUAGACACAGUGACGCGCUCAACCAUUACUUACAGACUUUAAGAUUUCAAUAUACUUGUAAAAGCAUUAAGAUUAAAAUUAUUUUUCAUAAAACUGAAUAUCCUUGAACUACUUUGGGGACUUUCAUUUUGACCAAAAAAAGGGUUGCGCUUCGGAUUAAGUUUAGGCUUUUAAAGAGGAUAUUUCUUUUCUAACCAAGUUGUGGUUGCUACAUUUCAACCAUAUCUAACCAUAUGCUAAAUAUUAACCAACUAAAAUGUUAAUAAUCAAUCCAAACACAUUAUCCAUAGAUGAGAAUAGCCUGUUAAGUUAUAGAAAUCCAUUAACUAAGUUCUCCUAGUUCUUUCCACAAAUAAAUGUUCUAAGUCACAUCCCAUGUUAAGGCGUUUUUCACCAAGACUUUCUUGUGUUGUCUGCAUCAUCAAGUUCAACUACUCAAUAUAUACUUGCAAAUAAAGAAGACUACAACAUUAGAAGCUGAUAGGGAUAAACGAGAAACAAGUCGGAGUUAGGAACAUAGAUCAGUUGACUUGAAGCAAAAGAAAAUAUUUUGACCGUUAGUUUUGUUAGGUGCUAACAUUAUAUUUGACAACAUAGAAAACAAGAUGAAUCAGAUGAUUGUUAAGUGAAUAAUAAGCCUUUGUCAAAAAAUAUAAUUGCAUAUAUCCCACUGAAACAAACCUUAAAUUUACCUUUGUUUUCAAAAAAAUUUAAAGAAAUUUGUAAAUUAUUCCUAACCACCUCACAAUAUGCCUUCCACAACCCAAGUAUAUUAAUUCUCCACUAAUUAUCUAAAAACCACGAUGUUCAGGAGUUAGAGCUCAUUAUAUAAGUGAAAGGAUGCUAAUUUCCGAUUUGUAAAACAACUAGUAGGGACACAAUCAGCAGGAGAAGGACACUAAAUGAAUUGAUCAGUAUAGGGUUGUAAUGGAAGAGGGACAACAAUAAUGUUAUGCACUAUCUAAGGGUAGAAAUUAAUUAAGAAGAGGUACAUUUCAAGAUUCAUUGUUAAUGAAGUGGCUAACCGUAACAUUUAUGUUUGUAUUUCUAAUAUGAGCAAGAAUAAUCAAAUGUUAAGAUAAAGACAGAAGCGAUAUAAAUUUCAAAACAAAACAGAAGAAUCAAGAAUCAUCUCCAAUUAUCCAUCACAUACCUUCAAUAAGGAUAUUCCUUGAGUCAAGGAUACCUUUUCACGCAUGAGAAUAAGAAGAUUUAUUCGGCAUAAUCAGGAAAUGAUGUCUUUUAAGAUACUUAUUAGUGACUAAUUGAACCCACCAAUUUGUAGACUGAGUUAGGAUUUUCCAAUCCAACUUAGCAGGACCAAAACCUUUAACGUGUUUGGAAGCUGCAGUUUUGAGACCAUAGACCGAAGAUUGAGAUUACCUCAGAAAAAAGAUUAUACUAUCUUUAUGUAUUAGAUUCGUAAAUUUUUUAGGACGUUUAAAACAAGAAGGAAAAUAUUUGCGUCCAAACUAAUAUGUACGUAUGCGUCUAGACUCACUCUUAUAUACAUACUUUAAUGUCAUCAUAAUCUUAACCGUUCAAAAGUUGAAUUAACCUAUAGAGAACACCUAUGCAAAAUUAGCCGAUUUCAUUAAACAAACUGUCAGUUCUGGUGAAAGUUAGCAAUCUCAUGAUCAGCCGUUCGUUUGUUUGAUACAUUCGGUAGAGAAAACAAUGUUUGUUUACAUUGAAAUUUUGCAGAGGUGAUCUCUAUAGGUUAAUUCAACUUUUGAAUGGUUAAGAUUAUGAUUUACAUUGACAAAAGUAUGUAAAUAAGAGAGAGUUCGGACGCCCACGUACAUACUAGUCCGGACACAAGUAUUUUCCGAAAUGGCUUUGUUUUACCCCAGCUGAAAACUAGUUUUAUUAUGGGUAAUGGACAAGGACACAGACACAGCGACAUGGCACGACGCGACACGGUAAAACUCAAAAACUGAGUUUCCGACACGGCUUGGACACGGCAAAUAGAAUAGUAUCAUUAUGUAUUUUUAAUACAUAAAAAUAUACUAAAAUAUGAAAUAACUUCAUUACAUCACCAAAAUUAUGUUCUAAUUAAAUUCAAUCUUUUUUCCUUUCUUUUUUUGUCUAAAUUCAGUUCAUUGCAUAAACAUAUUGAAAUAACAUUAAAGAGAAUCAUAUGCAAGUCAUUAAAGAGAAUCAUAUGCAAGUCAUUAAAGAGAAUCAAACGGGCAUAUAUAGAUUGUAUAAAAAACUAGACAUCAAUUUAGUAGCACAGCAGCUCUCUAACACCUAAUAGAAAAAAAAAUUUACAAUCAUUCCAUAUCCAAACAUUUUAAUCAUUCCAUAAUCCAUCUAAACCUCUCUUUUAUAUAUAUAUAUAUAUAUAAUUGAUGACGUUGCGUGCUAGAGACUAAGGUGGCGUGUCGGUCAACGUGUCAAAAAAAGUCAACAUUUUUCAGGUGUGUAAAUUUAGGGAGCAUGGAGGCUCCAAAAGUAUAAGGUUGGAGUUUGAUUUUAGAAGUGUGUGUAGAUGUUUUAGGAAAGGUUGUCAUUUUUUAAGGAAGGUUAUGUCGAAUUUUCGGUAUAAUUUCAUUUGCAGGUGGUCCCCGCAGGGUUUACUUCGAAUUUCAAGAUGAAUUCCGAGGUGGGUCUUGACACCAUAUGUCCAACCCGUAACAAGAUCAACAUGUAUAGCUCCAGCACUACAAUUCAUCCCCUCCCAAUUUGAAACUACCAAAAAUAAACAACUUGUUUUGUGAAGAUUUGGAAGAGAGAAAUCUUUGUGUGAGAGAGAUGAGAGACUAAAAAAGAAAAAAAAAGGGAAAGAAGAAAUGAAAAUAAAAAAUUGAUUUAAAUGAGGGUAUUUUAGUCAUUUAAACGUUUACUGUUUGCCACAUCAGCAAACUAACUGACCUAUUUAACGGAAUGGACAAAACUGUCCACAAAUGAGAGUAUAGGGAUAUGCCGAAUAAAUUUGAAAACUGUGGGACAAAAUUGUUUUUAUAGGUAAAGUAUGAGAUGUCACGAAAAUUCUGCUGUGCAUUAAUGCAUAGCAUCUAUGUUGCACGGACACGGACACGGAUACGGUGACACGAUACGUACAGACACAGCAACACGGCAAAACUCAAAAACUGCAUUUUCAACACGGCUUGGACACAACAAAUAUAAUUACUUAUUUAUAUAUUUCUAAUUAAUAAUAGAGGCCGCAUUUGAACUCAUCAUAAUCAUAAUAAUCCAGCAAAACAACAUAAGACAGUAGCAUAGACACACAACAACAUAAGAACAGCAGCAUAUCAUAACAUAUUAACAAUUAACAGAGCAAAGAUAAACAAAUAAGCAAUCCAGACACAACUCCUUUCGAUUAAAUCUUCCUUAAAAAUAUAGAUGAGCCGAUGUUUCUCACCAAGUAUAAAACCUGAUCUCCUACAAACUCUCAACUAAUUGAUGAUCUAAUACUAGCAGGUAUAAACUCAAUUUUGCAAAGUCUCAAAUGUCUAGCUCCAUCCAACCCUAUCAGCAAUUGAGUAAUAUCAUGAUACUUAACAUCACAGUGCAGAUGCUUCAAUAGCACAUUGCCUUACAAAUAUAUAAGUGGUAUCAGAAUGAUCAUAAAAUGAUUAAAAUCUUAUAUGUUUUUCUGUUACUGCAAAUGAGACUGCAAUCACCAAACACUUCAAAGCUAAGAUUAAGACUGACCUUACAACCAAAGAGAGAGUUUAGGCCGGCGACGGCUAUAGGCGGAGGAAGAGUCGCUGUGACAGAGAAAGGCGACGCCGUUCUCAUCGUUCUCGCAGAGCAGCGUCGGCGGAGGAACAAUCGCACUGACAGGGAAAAGCGACGUCGUUCUUGCAGCGACAGAGAACGGCGAUGUCGUUCCUCGGCUUCCUUUUUCGUCGUUCCUCUUCUAUGCGGCUUCGUUAAAGUGGGCUUCCUCUACGAUUAAGUUUUAGACUUUUAGUUAUGUUUUUAUUUUUUAUUUUUUUUAUUCAGUCAAUACACGCUGCUGUGGCGUGUCGGACGCUGACGUGGCGUGUCUCAAGCUAACGUGGCGUGUCGGUCAACGUGUCCAAAAAGUCAACUUUUUUUGACAUGCCACGUGGCGUAUCAGACACACAUUUUGGUGUAUCGUAUCGGUAUCGGUGUGUCGGGAGUGUCGGACACUCCGACACUCCAUAGGGGUGGAGUAUCGAUGUAACAUAGCAUAGCAUAGCAUACAUACCUGCAAAAACAUGCCAAAUUUUUCAAAACACGUCACCCUUGCUGCACGUGAUCUCCCCCAUGUAGUUGCUUUUAUUAGUUUUUGUAUGUUAUAGAUAGAGAACUGAAAUUUACACUUUUAAUUUUACAAUUCACACUCCCACUUUCUUCUUUUGGUAAUUUAAAUCUUGUUUUUAGUGACAUAUAUUUUGUCUUUUUGUGAAAACUUCUCAAAGAUGAAAAUGCGGAUCGUAAAAUAAGAAGUGUAAAUUUUACCUCCUUAUACAUGUAUACAUGUUAGUGUAGCAGACAAACCCGAGGUGUCACCGGUAUUUAACCGUUUUAUUUUUUUAAUCCUUAUUUUUAUUCCCAAAUUUCCCUCUCAGCUCGACGGCCGUUCGCUCAGAACUCUCUUCUUCUUCUUCUUCUUGUUACAGUUCUGAUCCGCUCUCAUUCACAUCCAAGUCACCACAGCCUCACUCUCCCUCCCUACAAAAUCAGAAUUAGGUCAGCAUCUCCAUUGCCGAUUCUAUUUGAUUUUUAUUCCAACUGCUUUUAAAUCUGUCAAUUUCCUGUUCAAGAUCAGUGAAAUGAGACCUGAACAAAAUCUUAUGAACUACAAUACCCUAGACUUCUGGUAUCUCCUUGUUCAUUCCGGGUAUCUAAUUUUGUUCCAUGUCUUGUACUUCAGCUUUUGUUUUUGUUUUUGAUGAGAUGUGUUGUACUUCAGUUGAAUAAGACCAGUUUUUGCUUUUGAUUAUAUUUAUAUUUUUAUACUGCUUUAUCUGCAGGCUGUGCUAAUUGGGAAUCCAGAUUACUGAAUGAAAAUUAUAUUUAGUAGUGAGGUUUAGCCCACCCCCAAAUACAGAAAAAUCCUGGCUUCAUCUUUGUUUGAUCAAUAUGUGUCUCUCAUAUCGAAAAGCAUCACUAAUAAGGACAUCAGGCUUGGCAGGGUUUUACACUCAACCUUCAUUAAAACAGCUCUCACCUUCGACACCUUCCUCAUCAACCGCCUCAUUGAUAUUUACUCCAAAUGCAAUGCCAUUCCAGAUGCCCAAAAGGCUUUUGACGACCUUCCAACUAAGAACACCCAUUCUUGGAAUACCAUGAUUUCCAUGUACUCGAGAAAUGGCAGUUUUGAUGAUGCACGCCAUUUGCUUGCUACAAUGACAGAGCCAAACCUUGUGAGUUAUAAUACGUUGAUUUCUGGUUUAGCACGUCAUGGGUAUCAUAAAGAAUCCAUAUAUCUCUUUCAAAGAAUGCAACAAGGUUGUGAAUGUUUGUUAUUAGACCAGUUCACGUUUGUAAGUGUAGUUGGAACUUGUGCUUCCCUAGGUGCAUUGGCAAUGUUGCGUCAAGUUCAUGGGGUGGCGAUUGCAAUUGGCUUGGAAAUGAAUAUCGUUGCUUGCAAUUCUUUGGUCAAUUCUUAUGGAAAAUGUGGUGAACCAGACACCUCAUAUUCUGUAUUCAGUCGGAUGCUAGAGAGGGACGUCGUGUCUUGGACCUCAAUGAUUGCUUCUUAUGCAAGUGCAUCAAGAAUGGAUGACGCUUGUUGGGUAUUUCAUGGUAUGCCUAUCAAGAACACAGUUUCUUGGACUGCUUUGAUAUCAGGUUUUGUACAAAGUGGGCGUGGUAAUGAUGCUUUGGAUCUUUUCCAGAAAAUGCUGGAAGAGAGGAUCCCGCCUAGCUCAGUUACAUAUGUUAGCAUUUUGAGUGCUUGUGCAGACCUAGCACUUAAUGAAAGAGGUAAGCAGAUUCAUGGGCAUAUCAUUAGAAGUUAUAAUGGAUGUUACUUGUCCAAUUUAAUUAUUUGUAAUGCUCUAGUUGACAUGUACAGCAAAUGCGGAGACAUGAGAUCGGGAAAAACAUUGUUUAAGAUGAUUUGUGAGAAGGAUGUAGUCUCUUGGAACUCUAUAAUUACUGGAUUUGCUCAGAAUGGGCUGGGGGAGGAGUCACUUCUUGUUUUUAAGAGGAUGGUAGAAUCAAAUAUGAAGCCUACUUAUGUGACUUUUCUUUUGGUGUUAUCUGCUUGUAGCCACACAGGAUUAGUUUCUGAAGGACUUCAAAUUCUGCACUUAAUGGAAAAGGGUUAUGGUAUUAAACCUAGGUCAAGUCACUAUGCAAUUGUGAUUGAUAUGCUUGGGAGGAAAAACAAACUGAAGGAAGCAAUGGAGUUGAUUGAGAGAGCUCCUAAUACAUCAGAUCAUAUUGCGAUGUGGGGUGCACUUUUGGCUGCUUGUCGAGUCCAUGGGAAUUUGGCCCUAGCUAGGAAGGCUGCAGAAGCUCUGUUUGAGUUGGAGCCCAACAAUGGUGCAAGAUAUGUUAUGUUAUCAAACAUUUAUGCUGCAGCUGGUAGAUGGGCUGAUGCCCAUAGGGUCAGAAGGCUCAUGGAAGACAGAGGUUUGACAAAAGAGUCAGCUUAUAGUUUGAUUGAGAUGAGAAAUGCAAGGCAUGAGUUUGUAGCGAAAGACAAGGUCCACUGUCAGACAGGAGAGAUGAAUGACAUGAUUGGUAAAUUAGCAGACCAUAUGAAGGAUGUAAGCAAUCUUCCUUACAUUUACAGCCUUUUGUCUGAGGAUAAUGGUCAUUCCUGAUGUAAUGAGCAUGAGCUUCAGUUUGACUGGUUAGUGUCUUUGUUUUAUUAUAUCUCUAAUAUAUAUCUUGACUAAUGUUACUAGUAGUUUAGCAUUCUUUGGUGCUCGAGUCCUCUAAAUGAGAGUCGAUGUAUUCAGCACUACUAAUUGAAUUAUUUGUUUUUUUUUUCCCUUGCUAUUUUGAAUACAAUAUGUGUCUUAGAAUGCCUUUAUGAUAAGUAAUGCAUUGGCAAAUAUCCGAUAGAUAGUAAUUUUGAUGUAUAAAGAUUUGAUGUUAUAAUCAACGAUGUAUUCAGCACUACUAAUUGAAUUAUUUGUUUUUUUUUUCCCUUGCUAUUUUGAAUACAAUAUGUGUCUUAGAAUGCCUUUAUGAUAAGUAAUGCAUUGGCAAAUAUCCGAUAGAUAGUAAUUUUGAUGUAUAAAGAUUUGAUGUUAUAAUCAAGAGCAUCUAAUAGGUGGUUUGAGUUUAGAAUGGUGUUGACUGUUGAGGCUGUAAACCACCCAAGUCUUGUGAAUAGUCCGACUAUUGUGUGUUUCAAGACUGGGCAUGACUCAUCAUGUUCUUUUGUUCCUUUUUUAUAUUUAAGCAAGAUAUGCCCAGAAAAAAACUACUUCUUCCAGUAGUGUUGGUUUCCCUUGAAUCCUUGAAUCCUUAAUGAUGUGGUGGCUAGUAUGUGCUCGGUAUGCGCCAGAAGUUAUCAUGGCUUUGACACGUUUGCAUUGGUACUUCCCUUUAAUUUCAAUGGCACUAUGUGUUGUAAUGCCUAAAUGUCGUUAUACGGUCAGCGGGGUCCUAGUCAUUCAUGGUUGAUGCUUCUUAGGUUCUUGUCUUACUCUCAAUAUUUCCUUCGUUUAUGGACACUUAUGAUAAUUGUCUACUGACCUUGUAUAUUUUCUCACAAUUUCACUGUAUUUUAACUAGAGGGAAAACUAAAAUCUCAACUUUCCCAAGGUUUCUAUUAUGCAAAUUUAGAACUCAUAAUGUGGUAUUGUAAAUUUUUCAUCGUAUUCAAUUCUUGACCAUGCAAGAAAAGUUGAUAAAGGAGAGGGGAAAGGACUUAUGAUCUUGUAGACAGAAACUUAAGGAAGUUUCAUUCUCAUUGGUUUUUUACAAUUCUUGUAGACACACUUCUGAAUUUGUUUAAUGAUGAAUCCGCAGUCAAUGAUUUGGGACUUCAGAAAUUUAUAUUAAAUUUCAGAAAGUAAAACUUUGUUUGUACCAUUCUUGUGCUGUUAUACAAUACUUAUUGUGUUGAAGUAGUACAUACCUUUCUUUUCUUUUCUUUUCUUUAUGGCUUUAUGCAUGAGAACAGUUUUCCAUUUCCCCGCAACUAUUGCUACAUUUGAUGCGUUGAUUAGAGUAACUUCUGUGAAGAGUCACAACAUAAUGUGAAUGAUGUAGUAUUAGUUUAAUCAAUCACCAUGUAAGGGUAGUUCAGAUAGUUCAGAUAAUAUGAGUGACUCAAACUCUAGAAUCAAGCUCUACCAGAAAAAUCAUUUGGUCACCUGAUCACUGUGUUACUGUAGUUACUUCUAUCGUAGGUCCUUGUUAGCUUACAUUAUUUUUUAUUUUGAUCUAAAAUGUAAUUUAGAUGGAACUUCAUUCAUUGACUGAUGGGGAUUUUUAACUCAAGCACAGACCGCAACUUUAAUCUAGACAAGCCUACAGAGUAGCUCAUCUUGGAUCUAUUGCAGAUUGACCUGGAUGUGGUAUAUAGGUCACUAAUGGGGAUAUAGUAUUAAGGAAGUGAUAGAGCUGCUUAGGUUCAUGUCAGAAGUUGGAACCAUGUACAUAAUUUCUUUUUAGAACAUUUGGUAUGCAGGCGAGUACAGGGUAUCUGUGGUGUCAGGAGGGAUGAAUUGAGGGUUGAACGUGGAUGUGGCAUCAAGAAAGUGAUAGAGCAGCUUACGGUCUUUCAUGCCUCCAGUUGCGAAGUAUAUUCUGCUGUUUCGGUACAAAGCUGUUUGUAAAAAAAAGAAAGUGGGGAGAAAUCCUUAUUGAUCCAUUGAUUGUCUUGAGACAUUUAGGGAGUGUAUGUCUUUAUUUUACUUUGUACUUAAUGAAUGAUGCGGUUUUUGGUAUUUUAGCUGAACAACUUAUUAGGCUUUGUGACUUUGUCUUCGGAGUUGUUGAAAUUGUGUCAAUCAUCAGAUUGGCAGUAGUCACAAAGUACUACCUAAAAGAAUAGGUAAGCUGUGUCAUGCUGCAGUCAGUAUUAUGUGUUUGGUUGAUAAGAAGGUCGCCACGUUGUUCCAAGCCAAGGUGACAAAAAGAAAAUUUAUUUUUAUUUUUUUGAAUUUCAUUUUAACAUAUGAAUGUUUAAUUUUUACAAUACUUGUAGACUUGUGGUGUUGCCCUAAAAGGUAGGGAGCCAAAGAGGACUUGACUGUUGAGAGAAGCAAGAAACGGAAGCAUAUAGUUCGUCUGGAAAUUGCUGAUUCAUUGUGUUUCAGGAAAGACAUGUGUUUUAUGUCUGCUUGAAGCUUCUAAUUUGAAUGGUGUUCUAUUCAUAUUAUUCCUAUAUACAGUUUGUGGCACAAUAUCACUUAUAGUUUCACUGAAGGGAAACGAUUUUAUCUAAUUUUUUAGGUUUCUCUCCUGAUUAUAGAGUUAUUAGUAUACAUAGGCAUCUGCUAGAUCACUUGGUUAUUCUCUUGUUGAUGAACACUCAGGUGUUUGUCCUGUACUUGAGUGCUCUUCCCAUAUAAGUGGUGUACAUGAGUCAUAUCUAUGGUUUGCCUUAGGUCUCCCACAAGUCAGGGCCGGCCUUGAUAUUAUCCCUGUAUAUAGUGCGACUGUUUAGUGAAAUCUGACAGGGUACCAUUAUCUCUAUUCGUUUAUGUUUUCCUCCAGAUUUUAGAAUCAGUGUACAGGGAUAUUCACUAGAUAACUUGGUUAUUCUCUUUGAUAUAAGACUCGGUGUUUAUCGUGUACGUAGUUAGGUACCUCUUUGAUAAACAUACAAUAUAUGAACUUAGAAGCUUGCUGGCUGAUUUCAGGCUUGGCCUUACUUUUUGGUUGUUCCCACAGUUGGUGGUAUCUUUGCUUUGGCUACUUGCAUUUCAUUGUCUGGAUGCCAUGUCUUAAAAGCCUCGAGUGUACGCCAACGACCAAUUUGUUGUGGGAUUUAAGGUCUUGUUGUUGUGGAGUUGCCCAAGCAAGUUCAAGUUCUUUGUGUGGGGAAAUAUGACUGUACUUGUAGUGCUAUGCCAAAGGCGAAAGUAUACGAUCUUAGAGCUCUUGAUCCUUGAAUGCAUGGAAGACCAGUAAAACCAAAGUAACAAAUAAUAUCUAUUCAUAAUAAGGAGGAAUUAUUCGUUGUACCCGGAACAUAUCUGAGGUGGUGUACCCAGCCAAUAAGCCUACGACAUGUGUUUUUUUAACACAUCAUUCACCUCAGUUAACGUUGGUGGAAACGGUGUUAUUGGUCUGCCGAGAUUCAUAUUAGAAUCUGGAAAAACGCAUUCGUCCAUUGAUAUUAUGAUUAAGAAACAACAAGAAUGAAGGCCAUUGUUUUUUGCGUUCAUCUUCAGCACCAUAUAUACAAGCAAGAUCAAUCAUUCCAUAGCCCCAAACUCUCAGAUCUUUCGAGGUCAAAAUAAUAUAACCAGAAUGUAGGAAGUUGUUCUUACUCAGUUUCAAUCAAGACCGGCUGUUGUUUUCUUCACCAUGAUAUACUCGAAAUCAGAUCAGUAUUUCAUUUGGUGAAACGAUUUCCAUCAACCAUCCUAUAUUCGUUCACUCUCACAGUCUCACAAUCAAACCAAUUCAAGCUUCUGUGUUUGGUUUACAGAUAUCUGAGAGGAGAGAGAAAGUAGAUCUGAGUUUCCCUCUCUCCUCCACCGUCAACUUCUGAGCACCACCGUGACCCACCUCCAACACUACUAGACUCAUCGACCUCCGACGAGUCUAUUCCUCCCUUCGUGGUCUUCUGACGAUAUCAAAAACCAACUCACGCGCCGCCGAUGUACAUGUACCCAGAAUUUUCUCUGGACACCCAAACCUUCUUCCCCGCAUAUGUGAAUUGGAAUAUAUGUAAUCAAAUCCAAAAAGGAGCUAAACAGAUCAACAAUCCACGUAACUAUUAUUUAAAAUGUUGUAAACGUGUCCUAAACUUAUUGGCUGGGUACACCAUCUCAGAUAUGUUCCGGGGUACAACUAAUAUUUCCUCCAUAAUAAGAGGUCAUUUGAGUUAGAGUUCCGUACACGUGUAUUCACACAUACAUACGUGAAUGAUUAAGAUUAAAUGACAUAAUAUAAAAAUAUGAGUGGUCAAACAGAUAACUUGUUAUAAACGGUCAAGGUUGUACCGUGUAUUUACACGUGUUGCAUACUAGAAUUUCCACAUUUGGAUAUCCAAUAAUUUUUUGAUCAAACCAACCAAUACUGUUUUAGGAAUCAAUUUGUUUUUUUAUUGAAUAUUAGGAUAAAAUGGAGACAUUGACGAUGGACCCCUUUGGUCACACCACAUUUCGAUUUUUGAAUAAAAGCGGCUCCGGCGGAGCCUAUAAAGAAUUGAGGGGAGGAGUGAUCUUGGAUGUCGUCGAUGGCGGGGCAAGUGAUUAAGCGUGCCAAAUACAAGACUUACAUGAGUUCCAUCAAAGACCCAGGAACUCCUGGUCUUCUAACCAUGGUAUCAUCUCUCUCUCUCUCUCUCUUUUGCUAUUCCUUUCAUGUUUGUUACAUCAGUAGUAGGUGAUUGCAGAUGAAGCAUAGCUUUGUGUUCAGGCCUAGUGAUCCCACCUCUCCCGCAAACCUUGAUGUCCCCUUCCAACUACUUAAAGGCAAUCUUUCUUGCUUCUCCCUAUAUUACGUGAGUUGCAUCCUUUGCUUUGUAAUUACUAAUGCCUUUUCUUGUUCUCACUGUAUACACUUUUCAGGUCAGAAGAACACUAAAGACGGAUCAAAUAAACCACCUUGGCUUAACAUCACCAAUACUAAGGUUUUCUCUCGUUUUCUUCUAGCCCUCCAACUACUGUUUCAGUGCUAGCUACUGUACUGCUGUUCCAUAUUGGUUCACUCAAUUUUGCAAAUUCGUCCUAUCAUGUUCCAGGAUGAGAAUUACAUUCUUGAGUUUGAGACUUAUCCUGAUCUUCAUGCUUGCCGACAAAUUAUCGGUAAAUCCCAUCCGUAUGUGUUGAUGAGCCUCUGUUUCACACUUGGUUUUACCUCUCUCUCUUUCUCUACCUUUGGGUAUUAGACUUCUCAUUGCUUUUUCCCUUUUGUUAAAGUUGCAACAUCUAACCCAAAACCAAACCAAUUUGCAAUAGGUUUAGGCUAUAUAUCAAAACGUAGAAUUGAUAUUUGUACUAGCUUUGUUGUUUUAUGGGUUAGUUGUUUACACUUUGUUUUCAUCCUGUUCAUUUGAACAGCCAAUGCCCUAGAGGCUGCAAAAGGUUCUUCUGCUACAACAAUCUUUUCUGCCUCCUCUUCUGCAUAUGAACAAUUUAGUACAGCAGAGUUAGAGCUCCGAAUCAAGCUUAUGCAAGAAGAUGGGUCAGUCUCCUACAUCCACAUAAUUAUCAUUAUUUCCCAUUUUGUUAGAACCACAGAUAAUUUUGUGAGCUAUUUUGUUUUCAUCCUUACUGUACAUUUAUUCUACAAGCUUUAUUUCCAUGUGUUAUUCUUUUUAUUUUGCCAUUUGGUUUAAUGAUCUUUAGUUUGGGUUUCACUUUUAUCUCAAUGCAAUAGAAUCACACACCUUAUCUACUAUGGGGUUACCACAGGCACUUGGCAGCUUUCUUAUCUUUCAGUAGUAAACUACUUCAUCGAAAUAACAUGGCCAAGAUAGAGGUGGUGUUUUGUAAACUCCAUUCUUGAAUACUAAGUAGGUUCUGAAACCAAAAUAGAAUAAUUGAGCCCCUCCAAGUACCAAGUUCCAUAUGAUAUAGAUUAUACAGUGUUUGUACAUUUUGAAAUGCAAUUUACACAUGUAAUUCAGAUUCAUUGUCUGUCUUUCCAUGCCCCAAGGUCAAUGUAUUACAGUAUUGUGACAUUGAUUUUAAAUUUUUCAAGGCACCCUUCAUUUUGACGGUGAAAUUCCUUUAAAAUUUCUCUAGUUAAGUAGUUUAAAUGCACAUUUGGUAUGAUGCCCACUGCCUGAGUGAGUCUGUAGAUCUAUUUGCUUCCUUUUUGUUUCCUUAUACUUGAUAUUUCCUCCAUGAGCUCUUGUGUAUGUUUCUUUUUCCAGAAACAAGAACACAUAAUAUGCGAUAGCUACAAGGAAUCUAUACGUCAUACCUUACAUUUUAACAACAUGAGAAAUUAGGCUGCAUGGAAUUUGAAAAAGGAAUAAAUAGCUUGUUUCAUUUUUUCUCUUCUUCCUCAUUUUUUUUCUUUUGGCAUUUGGUCUUUCUGAUGUUGAACAUAGCCUUUGUAACGGUAAAAUUGCCCUUUUUUUUUAUCCUUUUCCCUCUCUUGUCUAUUAACUUUUUCUUAAUUUUUUGUGUUAAAGUCAUUUUUGUUUGCCUUUGAUUUGUAAUGGAGAUUAAUGGUCAAUAUAAAAAUACUUUCAACUUGGAUCUUCAUGCUAAUUUAAUUAUUUGGUGUUGAAUGUGGCAUGUAAAAUUAGGAAAAGAAAAUUCUUUGUUUGAACUUCAUGUUUGUAUAUCACUAAAUUUUUCCCUUUGCAGCGAACUGCAGAAACUUCACAAGCAGUUUGUGGGCAGCGGCGUCUUGACAGAAUCUGAGUUCUGGGCAACUAGGAAGGUCAGUUAAGUAUGAUAAUUGAACAAUAUGGAGAAAUUCAAAUGAAAAUUGAAACAAUUUAUUAACAAAAGUGAAUAAAUCUCUGAGUAGUUACAUUUGAAAUGGAUAUAUAUAUAUAUAUAUAUUUCUUUUUUUCCGAAAACAAACUUGUUAAGUUACAUUUGUGUUCUUUAAAUCGAAUUUCAGAGGUUGCUUGAUGGAGAUAGCCGUAAGAAGUCAAAACAACGGGUUGGUUUUAAAAGUUCAAUGAUACUGGACAUCAAACCUGUGACUGAUGGUCGGGUAGAGCAUCUCUCUCUCUCUCUCUCUCUCUCUCUCACUUUGCAUUUGUUUAUGUGUGCAUUUACUUGCUUGCCGAAUAAGUAAUGAAUGGUGUGACAUUUCAACAGUCGAUGCCGGGUUGGCAUCUCCUUGGUGCCUAGGUUUUUACUUGAAAUCUCUUGUGAUAAAAUACAAUUCCUUUCCUAAUGGUGGACAACAUUCGCAUCACCCCUACACCCCCAACAAAAAAAAGAGUGCAACGUAUCCGCUUGUGGUUGGGAAACUGAAUUUUUUUUUUUUUUUUUCUGGGUAUUUGUCAGAUGAACAAGGUUACAUUCAAUUUGACUGAUGAGAUUAAAUAUCAGGUAUUAUUUUUAUCUUUGCACACUUACAGACAAGAUUUCAGUUUCAGCAAUUGUAAUAUCUCUGGAAAACUUCCAUUUGGUGCUUAUGUUAAAUUGUCACAUUGCUUGGUAGAUAUUCGCCCUGAAACCAGCUGUGCACCAGGCAUUUAUUAAUCUCGUUCCCAGUAAGGUAGUGAGGAUAUUGAAACAAGUCCUUACAUAAUCACAGAGUUUUCCAUGUUAGUCAUCACAUUUAUUUUUUUUUUGAGUGACGUCCUCCUUUUAUGAUAGUUUAAGAAUAAUCUGUUACUCGGUUAUUUGCAAGUACUCUGCUUGAAGCAUGCUUUUCUGGUCUUUGCUCUCCAUUUUACUGUAUACCAGAUGACAGAGAAAGACUUCUGGAACAAAUAUUUCCGAGCUGAAUACCUCCACAGUACAAAAAAUGUUGUAGCAGCUGCUGCAGAAGCUGCUGAGGAUGAGGAACUGGCCAUUUUUUUAAAGGAAGAUGAAAUAUUGGCAAAGGAAACUCGACAGAAGGUGCUCUUUGAAAGCAUUCAAUUUUUUGACUUUUCUAGUGUGCUCAUGCUGCAUUUAUCUAGUUUGAUUUCUAAAAUAUUCAUUUUUUUUUUCUGGGCAUGUUCUUUUUGCAGAUUCAGCAGGUUGAUCCAAUUUUGGAUAUGGAAGCUGAUCAAGGGGAUGACUAUACACAUAUUCCAGUAUGUUUGUCAACUUCUUUGAUGCAGUGCUGUACAGUUUCUAUAAUUUCAUUUACAUGUUUCUCUCAAAAUCUAAGGUGGUUUUCCAUUUGAAUAACUAUCUCAUAAAGGGCAGAUAUUAGAAAAAUUCCUCCAUUAAGUAAUUCACAUUCUGAUAUUCUGGAUAUCCAGUGAAUGCCACUAAUCAACAAUGAGUUCUUUAAAUGUUCAUAAUGUUAUGAGGUCUUUAAUGUACAUAUUUGUUAUUGUUUUGGUCAAAUUUUUACGUUUUCCUUGGUCGCUACAUGUUAUAUAGGAUCAUGGGAUAUUUCGUGAUGGCAACAAGGACAUAACUGAACAACAGAAUGAGCAAUACAGUAGGAGUCUAUCACAAGACCUCAAUAGACAAGGCACUGUUGUUCUUCAAGGAAGAAAUCUAGGUUAGAAUGAGCAAUACUUCUUUCGAUUAAAUAACAGGAUACUGAAAUUGGCUCUCCCAUUUUAAAUUUCAUUCGCCUUUCAAUUUUGUUAACUUUUAUAUACGUUAUCUUACAUGUAUUCCCCAGUAAUACCCUUCUCUCUCUCUCUCUCUCUCUAUACACACACACACACAUGCCUUUUCAGAUACAAACCUCCAUAUUUAUUCAAAAGGUAUGGAUUUCCUUAAUUGACCUACUUUUCGAUCAAAUUUUCUCAUCUCAACCGUUCAUCUUUUAGGUAUAUAUGAGUAGAUCAUCUCUAUUCAAAAUUUCAGCCCAAUAGAUAAUCAUUAAGGUAUUCAAAACUGUGAAUUACACGAACGGUUCAGGUUGAACAUAUUUGGUUCGCUCAUUGUAAUCAUAUAGUUUUGAUAUCUUAACAAUCACCAAUUUAGCCGAAAUUUUGCAGAGAUGAUCAUGUCAUGUAUAUCUAGAUACUAGUUGGCUAUGAUCGAAAAAUAUGACUGAAAGUGGUUCUAUUGGCAAAAUCCGUACCUUUUGAAUAAAUAAGGAUGUUUGGACCUCAUAAGGAUUGUAUACACACACACACACCCUCCGUUACAAAACUUCUUCCUUCCUAUUUCUUGUCAUUAUCUUCCCACUUCUCUGUCAUCUGCUCUCCUAUUUGGAAAAGGAUGAUAAUUAUCUUCUCAAAUCUCAGUCAGUUAAGCCAUAUAUGGACUCGUUUUUCUCAGUUUCAGUCGUCUCCAUCUGAAUAUUUGCCUCUACAUGAACUGAUUUUUUGGGUGGCUUGACAGAUUUCAACUGUAUGAUCAAAAUCCAUUAAACAUAACAAAAAAUCACAUAUUGAUGUGUCUAGGAAUUGGUUUGGGUAUUUCCAAAUCCUUUUUUCACUAUUUGUAUCCGGGAUGAAUCUUGGAAAUAUUUUUUAGUCAAGUAAUGUUGGUUUUGGAGAAUAGGUGAAGACAAUUCGAGUCUGAAUCUUAAUUGGUCAUGUGUUCAAUAUCUUUAGGUUCAGAUUUAUUGUUUUCCAUUAUUGCACAUUUCUUUGGUAAUUUUCCUUUCUCGGUUCUGCUUGUUACCUUAAGAAGUUCUAUCCAUUAGUGAUAUAGGAAGGGAACCUUCUUGUUAAGAGAGCUCAUUGAAGGUAGAUGAGAGAAAACUUAAAGAAUGAAAAACUAAAAGUACUGACAUGAUCUAAGCAAGAAAAAAGGGUUCCAAGUGAGUAAUCGAAAGGCAAGUUGGAAGUGUGUGUAAAAUGUGUUAUAAGUAGUAAGGGGAGUGAUUGCCAGUGUUACUCUCAGUCUCUCAUUGAUAAAUGUCAGAAGAUGCUUCCCAUUGAUGCGUGUUUUAAAGAUUAAUUUGGCUCCGCUAACAAAUUAUGUAAUUUUGUUUAAUCUUAUUACUUAUCUUUCUUUUACCAUUUUAGGUAGAUAACUUUGGUUUGUAAACUUGACUGCAGAUGUGGACCCAGAAGAUCCAAGAAGUAUAGCGGUGGUACUUAUGCGGUCAAGACAGGGUUAGUAUGGUCCUUUUUCCAUUUCCUUUGCUUUUACAUGGUAGAGCAGAACGACCGUGCUUAUGUUUUGCUGUUUAUUUGCAGAUCCUAGUGACAGUGCUGUACAUGAGAGACUUGAUAGGAUUACCUGGAUGACUGAGAUAGAUGAUCUUCAAGAAUCUCAUGAUCAUCCGGUUGCUCCUUUAUAUAUCAAGGUUAACAUAGUCUUCACCAUGUCCAGCCAACAAUUUUAUGUCAUAGCACUCAUCUUUUCUUCUGAUAGUGCAUAUAUUUUGUUGUAUUCAAAAACAGGAUCCUCGAGACUAACUUUGACACACAACAAGCUAAUGCUCUUAGAAUUUUGGAUGACUCGUGUGGGACUGAGCAAACAAAACGCAAGCUGACUACUGAGGAAGCAUAUGGCUCCUUAAAGGAGUCCAUAUCUAACAUUAAGAGCAUUGGAUUGAGCAAUUCCACAGUUAAACCAGAAAUCGCUCUUACGGUAAUACAACCUUUGUUCCACGUCUUCUGCAAUAUCACAUGUUCAACGCUCUCUCGCACACACAUAUUGUGUUGGUGUUGGUGUGCAAUAUCACAUGUUCAACGCACUCAUGUACAACCCUUUUCUUUUCUUUUUUUAAAAAGAAAAGUGAGGGGUGUUCCCUUACUCCUACAAUUCUGCCAUGCAUUUGUUUUAUUGGAAAUUUAUAUCUUUAGGUUCCUAUACAAGAAUUUUCCCUGGUAACACCUAUUUAGUUGGCGCUGCUGGGUCUUUAUAGAGGCAAUGGACAAAAACAGUCCAUUGGAUACAACUGAAAUGAGAAUUAUGCUGAUUAUAUGGCUCACAACUUCCGACUCUACUAACUUUUUGGAGGAGUGAUCCUUGAAGGAGGUUUUAAUAUAAGAGUAUGAAUAGCUCUGAUCAUUCGAUUGCGGGCCAGACUGAGGGGGUCCUCAUUUUCUUAAUAAGACGAUGCUCUGCUGAUGACCCGUCAAAUACAUAUAUUAUAUGUAUAAAAUUUUGUGUGUUGCAAAUUUUUCUAUUUAUAUAUUUAUGUAUCGAUUGUAAGAGAACUUUACUGUCAAUUUCUGUGCAUAUAAAGUAGUAUGGGUUCACAUCCAAAAUUAAUUAGCAAUGGAUGGAGUGACUCAAACGCUUAUAAACCCACAGGCAAGGUCUCAUAUUCCCGAUGUGGGAAUGAUAUCUCAACACGCCUCCGCACGUGUGGCGAAUUUUCAAGCCUAACACGUGGGCAACAUUUGGGGUGACGUGGAGUUCGUGUGGCGAUUGAGCUUCACACGUGGACAUGGGUAACCCGCUCUGAUACCAUGAUAAAGUAGUCUUGGGUUCACAUCCAAAACCAAUUAACAAUGAAUGGAGUGACUUAAACUUUUAUAAACCCACAGGCAAGGUCCCAUAUUUCUGAUGUGGGAAUGAUAUCUCAACAGGUUUUUAAUGGGCUCACCCAGAAUAUUUCAAGUACCAAAUAUCAACUUGGGAAGAAUCUUCGAGAGAGUAUUCUGGAUGGGUUGCCAAACAGAACCAAAGAGGAACUCUUACAUGUGAGUGAGUGGAUGUCAGCUUAUUUUAGCUUUUUUAUAAAUAGCAUGUUUGCAUGUGCUUUUUUUAUAUCCAAGUCAAUUAAUUAUGAGCUGGUGCAUUAGAUUUUUUUUCGUUUAUUUACUAUUGACAUCUCAUGAUUAAGAUAACAUUUUCUUAUUCCAGCGUUGGACGUCUAUUCAAGAACUACUGAGACAUUUUUGGUCUUCCUAUCCAAUUACAACUUCUUCUUUAUAUGUUAAGGUUAGUUUGUAUAAUGUGAAGUGAAAUGGUUGCUUGAUCUUCUCUACUCUGUAUUAAGAUUUUAUAAUGUUGGCCUUAUCUCUAAUGAGAAGGAUCUCUCUUAUAUAAUGUGAAAUGAAAGUAUUGUUUGAAGGGAUGACAUACCUUGAUUUAGUAUCAAUAUAGUAGUAAUACUACCAAUUUUUUGUGGUACCUAUUUUUUCAAUAGGCUGAGGUAGGUCAAACACAUUGUUGGUUUAAAACUUUAAAUGAUAAUAAGGAAAUCCCAAGACAUGAACAUUGUUACAUGCGUUAUUUCAACUUGAUUUUCCUUAUUGGUUUGUAUAUUUUUUGUUUUUUUUGUUUUUAGUCUUUUUGUGUGUGAUAAUAUUAAUAAGUUAUUCUUAUGCAGGUAGGCAGACUGAAGGAUGCCACGUCACAAAUUUACCGACAGCUAGAGGUAUCUUUUCUGCUGGAGCUCCCAGUUGUGUCAUUUAAAUAUCAACACAUCAAAGCAUCCCACACCAAGAGUGUAAUUUAGCAGUCGGAAUGCUGGUUUGUUUCAAUGUAUUAAUUCUCUAACUUUAGCCAGUAGGAGAAUGGUGGUUACAGCUCCACAUCUUCAUUGUAACAGCACAUUAACUAUCUUACAAGGAAAAGCUGGAUAUUGAAAAAACAUUAAUUGAUUUUUUUCGUCCAGAAAAGAAAAAAAAUAAAUUAAUACCAACUUAUUUUUCUUGCUUUUGACCUAGGGCAGAUGGAUUUCUUCAUGUUCUAAGUUCCCAUCUCUUUUUCUUGCUAUUUAGGUAGGCAGAUAGAUUUCGUCAUGUUCCAAAUUCCCCUUUGUACAAAUGAUUUUGGUCUUUUUGUUGAAAUGUAUUGGCUGAUUUUCUGCAGGAGAUUAAGGAAGCUGUGCAGUCAGACUUCAGGCACCGGGUCUCCCUCCUUGUUCGUCCGAUGCAUCUGGUCUAAUUUUCUCCAUUUUCUGUUUUGAUUGGAGAGUGAAUAUAAUUGUCCGAACUAUCUCAUGUUUAUCGUUUCAAUUUUAAGUUUGUUAUUUUGUAAUUAAGUUGCUGGUGACUAACUAAGUUUGAAACUUAAGAUGACUUAAAUACUGCUUGGUCUACUUAAAUUAUCUACUUAUAUCAGAUACUGUUUUGUUUGAAGUCCUUGUUUUGUUAUUGUGGUUGCUGAGAAAGCAGUUUUAGUUUUAUGUAACGUAUGUGUUAGUUAGAGGAAAAGAAAAUGAAAAAUCUUAAUGGUGAAGGGAACUCAUUGAAAGAUCACUUUUGUGCAGGCUAGGGCUGGGCACGGGACGGGACGGGCCGGGAUUUAGUGAAUCCCGUCCCGUCCCGAAAAUAAAAGAACGGGACGGGACAGGACGGGAAUGUGUUUUUAAAAAUCUGUCCCGUACGUCCCGAUCCCGACAAAAUAUUUUUUUUUUUUUUUUCUAAGAAACAAAUUAAUUGAUUAUCAACAACCACCACAGGUGGAAAACGGGUUGNGAAACUCCAGCAUUCAAAUAGCUCCACCAACCAAUUGAUCAGUGUAUGAAAUUUUCGACAUUUUUAUGUUGUUUGGAACAACAUUAAUGAAAUUAAAUGGAAAAAAAAAAUAAUCCAAAAACACAUAACAAAAAAAGAACAUUGAUGAAAUUAGAAGUACUAAAAUCAACAAGAACACAGGUGCAUAGGUGCUAAAUUACAUCCCACUUUAAAAGUACUAAACAUCCCACAUUAAAAAUUAACCCUCAAACAACAACUAAAAAUAUCCAAAAUCACACAAGCAAAAAAAAAGAAUAUGAAUGAAAUUAAAAGUAUUAUUUUAGACCAAAUUAAGUGUGGUUGAGUGCAUUGUAACACCAUGCAACCUAAAAAAUCAAGUAUAAAAUGAAUAAAAUCAAGUAUUCUAAUAUUACGGGACGGGACGAGAUUUUUCAGGAUAGUCCCGUCCCGUUAUGAUAAUGUUAAAACAGGACGGGACGGGACGGGACGAGAUUGCUAUUUUCAAAACCUAUCUCGUCCCGUCCCGCUAACUUUCGGGACGGGACCGGUACGGGAUCGGGAUUCCGGUACUAAGUGCCUAGCCCUAGUGCAAGCUCUAGAUGCUGCUUUUCAACAUUAUGAAACAGCCGGACCCUCCCGGAGUGUAGUUCUGCCCCUGCUGAAAUGUUUAAUACAUGGAGAGGAAGUAGGGAAGCUAAAUAGAUUGUUUUCCUUUAAUCUGAUGUUGUUCUUAAAAAAAUGACUUGUCAUUUCAGCUUGUAAUAAACCUAAGUGUGUACUUGUUAAUUUGUUCAAUGAUGUUCUUUAUUGAGUUCAUCUUCUGUUUUUUUUCUUUUUUUAGUUGUUUUGUUCAUUUCAGCUUACUUGUAAUGAACUUAAGUUAUGAACGUGUACUUGUUGAUUUGUGCAAUGGUUUCAUAUAUGUUCUGUACCUACUUCUUAAUCUGUUCUAUUGUUUUUUGCUUUGUGCUGAUUUUAUUGUCCUGUACAUAAUCAAAGUACAGUGUUAUAAUUCCUAGUCCUAGGCUUUGGUAAACACAUGAAUGAGAAUGAAUCAUACUUUUAUUUCUCAUUCUUGAUAACAAGUAAACAAAGGAAUAUGAGAAUAACUACUUUGCUCUCCCAUUCACCCUCAAACUCAUUCACCCUCAAUCUCAAUCUCAUUCAUGCUUAGUAUCCAGAUUCCCUUAGCUCUAGUUAUUGGUUUUUGUGUUGACAAUAUAAAACGGUACCCAACGUACUAUAGUCGAUAAAUUUGUUGUCAAAUUUUUGUUUAUGAAGGCAAAGGAUGUUUCAUUAAUCUCAAAACUGUAACUGCAAUUUUAAUGUCGGAUUGAGUUUGCAAUAAGCAGUCUAAUUAACUUGUUAAUGUUAAGUUAUGAAAAACCGUAGAAGAUAUUGAAGUCAAAAAUAAAACAGCUGCAGAUAUGUGACUUCUGGUGGGUUCUGUCAUGUAAGGAUCACUACUGUUACCAUUUAAGUUUGAAGAUCUGGACAAAUAUUUUCAUUUAUUGAAAUGGGAUUUAUAGUGGAAUAAAUAAAGUGCUGGGUCCUUCUGAGUUCUGACCCAGGACUUUGAAUCAGAUGUGUCACAAGCUAGAGGAAUAAAUAUAUAGUCAAGUCAUGAUGGCCAAGUCAAUCUCUCUGUUUGUGUUUUGUGUACAAGUCAAAGGUUACCGAUCUCCAACUCAUAUUCAAAGACGAGAAGCCACUUUAGACCUCAAGAUUUUCAUAUGAAGUUGGAAGCAAAAGGCCAACUGUUGUAGCCACACACAAAAAUCCCAGAACCCAAAACCCCCCAGCUUCCAAAACUCCUUAGAAUCCCAAACUAUGAGUUCCAUGGAGCUUGAAGCUAUGGAGGCAUGUGAUUCAGAUAAUACCCAAAUGUCGGAGCAGUCUUUGAUGACGAUUACUGAAUUAUAUGUUCUCCAAAACCAGAAUGGUAGAAGCAGAGGAGAACCGGAGCUGCAGAAAAAGGUGAACAAGCUGAGAUCAAUCAAGCUUGCAAAAUCGCCGUCAAGAAGAAGAUCCAAGUACAGAUCCAAUGAUGCAACUGCAGAUAUUCCACAGGCAAGUCUGUUAUUCAUUGUUCAAUCUGGGUUUGGUUUUAAUGCUCUGGUUAGAAUACACAGAUAUUGAGGAUCAAUAGCUGCUUUUGUUUUUGGGUGGUGGUUUUUCUGCAGAACUCAGGUAGAGUAUUGAUAAGGAGGUCUAGUUUUAAGCCUGUUAACAAUUUAACAAGAAUGUCGAGUGUGAAAUUCAAGAACUCUUUGGUGAGGAAAAGCUCUGGAGAAACCCAACUGAAUAAGCAUAGAUCAUCAUCAUCACCGAACUUUUUGAAGGAGACUUGCUGCUCUAGUGAGAAAAGGACCCAGAUUCAGUGUAGUCCCCGCUGCUCUUCGGAAUCGAGUUAUUGCAGCACUAGUAAUUCAACCCCCAACUCUGCUCACAAGUCAGCAAGACUGUCUAGAACAAAAUCCAAGGCUCGUGUGAUUCGGAAACAUUCUGAAAUCUCUGAAUUUCCAGAGUUGGGGGUGCAAAGAGCUACAUGCUCUUCAGCUCUCAAGCAUUCCAAGUCCCCUCCAGAGGCGAAGGAUGUUCAUGCAGAAGGAAGUGAAUCCGAAGGAACUUCAGCUACCAAGCCUUGUCCAUUCACUUAUUGUUCUCUUCAUGGCCAUCGCCACGCUAAUGUACCUCCACUCAAGAGCCUCAUUUCAAUAAGGAGGCGCUUAUUGAAGACUCAGAGGGGAACAAAACUGGCAACUCGAUCCACAGUUAAAGCAAAAAAGUCUGGCAAACUUAAGGAAGAUGGGAUGAAUAAAAUGGUCAGCAAUGGACAUGCUGAAGUUCAUGGAACAACCUCUCCUGUGGUAGAGAAAUUGGGCCCCGAAGAGACUUUACAAGUCCAUGAUGACACUUGCAGCAAAGAAGAUGAAGACAACUACGAUCUUUCCGAUGAUUCUGGGAAGCUGUUUCGUGAAACUUUGGAGGAGAGUCUGCAGGAAACAACUGAUUUUGCCACAGUAGAACACCAUGCUUUGGUGUCACCUACAUCACUUGGUGAUUUAUGUCUGGAAGGUUGCAUUGAACCAGUUUCUGAAGUCACCAACACAGACCUAAAAGAAGAGAAAUGUGCAGCAUCUUGUCACAAUGAAUGUAUUGAUUUCACUUGCACUGAUAAAUCGAACAGCAGCAGACCUAAAUCAAUUCCAGAAAAUGUUGAAUCUGAUGAUUGCACUAAUGAUCUUGUUGUGGAAUCAACAAGUGACAAUGAAAGCCAUGAAAAGAAUUGUGCUUUGGGUUGUGAGGCACCAGGGGAACAAACAAUAGCCAUUGAGCAAAACGAUGGUAGUUUGGUGACAGACAAAGUUGGUAGUCUGGAGUUGGACAAAAAUGAAAGUGUGGAGUGUAGUAUGCAGUCAAAAAAUCACAAGUAUAUCACUAUGUGGAAAUUAAUGUACAAACAUGCAGUAAAGGGUAACCCAGAAGCUGUUGAAAACCCUGUCCCUCUUCAUGGGGAAGACAAAGAAGAUCAAGUGGAAGGUACCACUGGCGUGCUUAUAACCAACAAUCCAUCUUUUCCUGAAACAGAUGAGCAUACAGUUCCGAAAAAUCACAGUGGAGGAGACCAAACACUUGAGCUCUGUCAGCAAAAUGCAAUUGAUCUAGUCCAGGAAGCAUUUGACAAAAUUCUUCUCCCAGAAGUUCAGGGCAGCUUAUAUGAUGAUCAAUCAGUUACUAGUGGCAUAAGCUCAGACCAAGAUGGAUUGCAGCGGAGGAUUGAUGAAGGAGAGGAGCAUAUAACCUUAACUUAUGGUGAUUCUUCAGAUGUCAGAAUCGUACAAAAUACAGAAGAAGCACAGUUAGAAGCUGAAAGGAGCAAUGCUACAAAAGAGAAAGCAGUGGAAGUAGUGGAAGACAAGUUUGAACAGAACACACGCAAGCGCUGGAGCAGUCUGAAAAAGUUCAUUCUUCUCAAGAGAUUUGUCAAGGCAAUUGAAAAGGUAAGGAACCUCAGUUACCAGAAACCAGAUUUCCUACCCGUAGAUCCUGACCCAGAGGCAGAAAAAAUUAAUCUAUGUCGGCUGGAAGUUAAACACAGUAAGAGUGCUGAUGAAUGGAUGCUUGAUUACGCACUUCAAAAGGUGAUAUCUAAGCUGUCUCCACCUCAACAAAGAAGAGUGGCAUUACUUGUAGAAGCUUUUGAAACUGUUCUCCCUUUCCCUGAUAUUAGAACUCACCCGAGGUCCAAAGCAAUAGGUUCGACUGAAGCAGAUCUUCAAGCCUGCAAUGGCUUGUCCAUUCAAAAUGCUGAUGAAACUGUUAAAGAGUGUGAUUCUGGGAAUUCUGCCAAAAUCUUGCUCGGCUGUAUGUCAUGUCCCGAAGAAUAUUCAAGUAAGUGUACAGAUAAGUUCAUUGAUGUUGAACUGGAUGAACAGCCAAGUCCAGUGAGAUCUUCUAUGCUCAAAGAAUCAAGUGCAGAAGACUGGUCCACUAAAACAGAAGUCGAUAUACCUGCUUCUGGAGCCACAGUUGACGACCAGCAAGAGACACAUUCCAUCAAGACUUGUAACGAGGAGGACACAGUCUUUACCAAUACCGAUGAUACAGAGUUUCCCAGUGUUUCCUUAUCAGAAAGUAAAGGUCCCCAAUUCUGUAUAGAAACCUGCUUGAAGCAAGAAGAAGAUGGUAGCACCGGUUAUGAAGUUCUCGAAAAUGAAACAGUUCAAGAGAUCCCCACAGAACAUAUUUCUGUCAGUAGUUUGGAUCGUGUAUAUAUGAAUCCUGAUGUGGAAAGCAGUAAUGGAGAGACAGGUAAACUAACCACCAACUGCAAUGGUGCAGAAUCAGAUUUGUCUGAGGACAUGGUGGUCUCUCUAGCCCGAAGAACUAAGACAGCAAGAGAAGGAUCAAAUGGAAAUUCUGGAUGCUUUCAAGGAUCGCCUCCACCUGAAGAAUCUCAUUCGGAAAGCAAUAUUGAUGCAACAUAUGUUACUCAGUUGGAAAAACAGAACUACACAAGGCUAUGGUACUUUGUGUAUAAGCACAUGGUAUCAAGCAUUGCUGAAAAAGAUGGAGAUGAACCACCUGAUGGAGCAGAUGAGGAACAAGGAAAUGAUAAAACGUUGCCCCAAGCAGAGAUGGAUCCAAAGCUGAGCGUGACGAAUCAGCAGGCAGUCAACAAAAAUAAUGAACUCCGCCAUAUUGAAACUAUCAAGCUGGUGGAGAAAGCGAUUGAUGAAAUCCUUCUUCCAGAAACCCAUGACGAAUCAGAAGACGAUUUAGCAAAAACUAGGGACUUAAUUCCAGACCAGGAACCACCAGAAAAUAAUAUUGGCAUAGAAAGAAAAUGUUUCACAACUUUUUCCAACUUCGCCAAAGAUAGCUUCAGAGAAUCAAAGAAGAAAGCAGGGGAAGAUCCAGAAGAAAUAUUGCUCACAUCUGAUAAUGCUGUCAUUAAGGAUGAAGAAAAGGAAGUGCUGAUGGUAGAAGAAAAACCUAAACAGAAGAUGUCAAAGAACUGGAGAAAUCUGAAGAAAAUGAUUAUGCUUAAUAGGUUUAUCAAGGCAUUGGAGAAAGGAAAGAAGUCCAACUCACGAGAGCCAAAAUAUCUGCUCUUGGAGCCUGACCCUGAAGCAGAAAAAGUUAAUUUAAAGCAUCAAAACAUGGACGAGAGGAAGAAUGCUGAGGAGUGGAUGCUUGAUUAUGCUCUUCAAAAGGCUGUUGCUAAGUUAACUCCUGCUCGGAGUAGAAAAGUAGCACUUCUUGUUGAGGCUUUUGAAACAGUUAUUCCAAAUAAGGGAAUUCCGAACCCAUUCAAGCCAGAAGUCAUUCGCUGAGGUAAUGAUCCUCCGUUUUUCUUUCUUUCAAAUUACAACACACAUAUAAUGAUCUGUGCAAAGUGGAGCUCAAAGUGCCCACAAAUGUGUGCAAGCUGACAAUGGACCACUACAGAUACUAAAUAUUUCAAUAUAAUAGUAGACAUUAUUGCAUCUAUGAGAAAGUAUUUCAAGUAUGAAAGCAUCUUGUGUACAAACCUCUCAUGUUCUAGACUUCUAGUCAUGUCAGCGACAUUGUGAGAGGGAGGUCGUACACAACAGAAUUUGUUUGUUAUGGUAUUUUGCCUAAUGCCUCUACUGUUAUUUACUUCGUUUUGUAUUUGCUUCUUUUGAGUUUUGACACAUGUGAGUUUGUAUAUGCUUCUUUUGAUACAUACUAGAAUGAUCGCAGAUGUGAUGUGAAUACAUGUGUUGGAAGAUACGAAUAGGAAAGACAUACCGAGAAGUGAGCAGAUGUUCUUCCAACUAUCAUCCAACAUGGGAAGAGUGUGUCCUAAUUUCUGGCUUUUAUCUGGAUACUCAGGGAUGGAUCCUUGCAAUAUGCCCACCUCAGUAUUCCACUGUCUAAUAGCUUCACCUCAAAAAACUGAAGCUAAAGUGAGCUCGCCAACUUCCAUCUUGAAACCAAGUUAUCCUUCGUCCUAAAAAAAAAAAAAACAUUUUGGUCUGAAUUACGUUCAUUCACUUUAUGCUUUACACAUUUAUUUGAUUGUUUAUGCUCCACGACUACCAUUUAUGUCAGUUUUUUGUUUUUGUUUUUUGGUUCUAUUUGAAGAUCUGUUUUUAUUUCUUUGUUUCAAUUUCAGAGGACAACUUUUUUUGGUCGAUAUUUCAGAGGGCAACUUACAAACCAAAAUUAUAAAUGACGUCCUACGUAUAACUUUUAGAGUACAACAGAAAGACAUUACCAAAGUAAUUCCAACUAGCAUUACCAAUUUCGCCCAAUCCAGUAAGCAUUAUAUAUAAGAGUGAAAAUGGCUCCACUACCAGGACAAGCACUUUUCGUCGGCCAUGAAAGAUCGUCGGUUAAGAUUUCGUCUGAAAAAGGUCGUCUGUGGUGACUUUAGCCGACGACACAUGUAGAAAAAAGUCGGCUAUAGUCCCAGAGUUUAGCCGACGAAAAACAUGUCGUCGGUUAUCUUCCCAGACUUUAGCCGACGAAACAUUUAAGAUAUUCGUCGGCUAUAGUCCUAGAGUUUAGCCGACGAAAAACAUGUCGUCGGUUUUUUCUCCGACUUUAGCCGACGAAACAUUUAAGAUAUUCGUCGGCUAAAGUUUGUAAUAAAAAAAUAAAAAAUAACUAAAGCCGACGAAAUAUAGUAUAUUUUGUCGGCUUAAUAGGGAUUUAGCCGACGAAAAUUAAAGCGUUAAUUUCGUCGGACUUAAAAACUUAUUUUAAAAAAAAAACAAAAAAAACUAAAGUACGAACGAAAUUAAGGCGUUUUUUACGUCGGCUAUAAGUCCAUUCCAGUAAAAAAAAAAAACCUCGAAAUUUCUAAAUUAUCAUUCCAAGCAAGCUGCAAAAUACACCAAAACAAUUCCAUAUAACCAACAACAAGCACAUAAAACUAUAUAAUUUAUCAACUACACAAAAUCUAAAUCGUCUAAAUUAAUAUCCGCUUCUGGGGGCUGCUGUGGAGGUUGCGACGGCUGGGGUAGCGGUAUAGCCGUAGGCAUGGGCGGAGCCGGAAGUCCCUGAAGCUGGGCAGCUGUAAAGUCCUGCAUGUACUGGAACAUCUGCUGCUGCUGGGCCUGCUGGAUGGCAUGUAUCUCGGCAACAUAGGCUGCCUGCGAGGCAUUAUAGGCAGCCUGAGCAGCUUGCUGUUCCCAUAGUCUCUGAACUUCUGACUCUAGCUGAGUCGUCCUGGUGGUCGUGGACGUGGUCUUGCUGCUGGUCGAGGCUGCAUUUCGUUGAAAUCUUGGAGUGGUCUUCAGGACCCCCUCGCUUUUCUUUCCUAGACCCCGGCAGUAGAAGUUGUUUGCUCUCGGUGGGAAGGCUGUGCCCAUGAUCCUCGCCUCAAUCGUUGGAUCCGAAGUGUCGAUCCGGGACAUGGCUUUGGACAUCUCUCCCUCUUGCGUGUCCGGCCAUGUCUCCCUCACUAUAGCACUCAUCACCUCGUCACUAGCCUCCCUCACCUUCGCCUAUAUGGAUAAGGAAAAAAUUAUUAAUUAACAUUUUGACAUAUAUAUAAGUAAAUUUAAAAAUUUAAAAACGUAAGAUGACUUACAAUAUCCUCCUGGGCGUCAGGAUAUGCCUUCUCAUACGUAUAGACGUACCGGUUGACUUCUGGAUGUUCCCUGGCCGCCUCGUCCAUGAAGACAGCGAAUGGUCUAGAACCGCCAUGAUGGUUCCUUGUGUUGCGUUGCCGGUUCUGAGCGUUCGUCCGGGCCUUCAAAGAAAAAAAUAAAUUAUUAGUAAAAUAUUUAAAAACGGACGUAUUUAAUGACAAAAUAACUAAUUAAUUUUUUAAAUACAUGUUUACGAGGGUUGUUGAAUUCUGAUGUCAAAAGCCAACGCCACUCGUACUCCCUGUACUGGAACUCAGCAGGGGUACCAGAACGUGCGUUCCCGUGCGUAGCCCAGUGAGUUCGCAACUCGUUCUUCCACUCCUUGUACCUACAGAUACAACAAAAAUAUUAGAAAUAUUAUUAAUAUCACAUACAAUUUUGUUUUUCAUUAACUUCCCAACGUACCUUCCCCCAUGCACAACGUCCGCCCAGCUGUCCUUCAGGUGCUCAGGGACCUUAAACCACACCUGCAUUUAACCGUUUAUUGAUUUAGUUUUUCGAGAAAUCAACAAUGUAAUACAUAAUAUUAUUUUGUAAACUCACCGACAUCGCGUUGUGGACCAUGUCCUUAAUCUCCUGCGGGACCUCGCCCCAGUCUGACCACAACAUAGGGACUGUGUCACAUCCCGACUCUUAUAUUUUUUACCUUAUUUAUUAGCUGGUUUAUAAUAAGAAUUUUACCGUCUCCGUCAUUGAGUUAAUAGUUUAAUUGCUCCCUAGAGGGGUUUCGGGGACGAUUAUGUGCGGAGGAUUAUUCAUAGGAGGAAAAUAUGACGACGGUAAAAAUGGUAAAUUUUAGCUAGUAAAAGGUAAUUUUUAUUCGGGUAUUAUUUUUCGGGGUGUUUUAUUUUUGAGUUGGGUUGAUAUAAGGUUGGACCGGUUGUGAGGCCCAACCCAUUUUCCUCCCUUUCUCUUCUUCUCUAUUUUCUCUUCCUUCUCCCUCCCGUGCUCUCUCUCCGCCGGAAGCUCCCAGCCACCAGCUGCCGCCGUCCGGCCAGCCAUCGGCCGCCGCUCCACCCCAGUUCGGACCCCCAUCUCCUCCUCUCCCUCCCCGGCCUAGCCCCCGAGCCUCUAACCCGCCGGAAGAGGAGAAAACCCGCCGGAAACGCCGGGAAGCUUUUCGCCGGAACUCCCUCCUCCGGCUACCAAUCCGGGCAAGCUUGGUACGGUUUUGUAGCCCUCCAACCCAGCAGCCUUGCCCUAAAAGGACUCUCCCUCUCUUGAGCUAGGUAAGGAGAAAUGUGGAGUUGAAAUUUAUAGGGCUUUUAGGUGUUUGUGUUCGAUUGCCCUAGUUAGGCUUGGAUUUUGGGUUUGUGCUGGUCAGGAAAGUUGUAGAGCAUGAUGAGGAGAUUAUUCUGUCAAAAUUUCAUAGGUUUUGGAGGUCGUCGGAAUUGGCCUCCGGCCGCCGCUGCCGGCGGAGCCGGCGCCGGUUGGGAGAUUUUUAUGUUUUUAAAUGUGAAAUAUUAAGGGGAGUUUAUUGAAGUGAGUUAUGGAAUUUUUGGAUGAGUUUUGGAUAGAUUUGUGAAUUUCCGAAGUUUGGUAUUUUGGCGGUUAAUUAAUGUAGAAUCCGGCCGUAGGAUUUAAGUCGUAUUCUAUGGGAAGUUGUUUUUACGGCUGCCGGUAUGUUCGGCGAAGUUUGAGCUGUAUUGAGUUAAGAAUGGCGAAUUUGGGCAACGAUGAGUGUGUGGGAGGCUCACGUUUAAUUUUGCCCAUUUUGUUUAAAUAUUGGUUUUUGGUGGGAAAUUAAUUAUAUAUUUGGAACAGGACGAGAGGAGGCCCGAGCAGAGGAAGCCUCGGAGCGUCAUCAGGCUUAGGCCUAAUUUGUGAGUGGACCUUAAUUUUAAUUGAAAAGCAUGCGAUGAAUUAUCUGUUGAUCAUUUAAUUCUUUUCCUGAGAUUUAUUUAUUUCUCGGAUAUUUGGCAAUUUUCCUCCUUUGGAGAGAUCCCGAAAAUGAGAUUUUCGGUGGAUAUGUUUAUUGGAUGUUUAUGAUGAUAGUAUGUAUAUGUAAAUGCUAGCUAGCCAUACGUGCUGAUCCGCCAUAAUGAGGUAAAAUACCAUUAUGGUGUGACAUGAGUGUUAGACACAAGCGUAGUAGCCCUAUAUGAAAACUAUUUUUUUUAUUUGGUUUAUUUAGGUUUUCAUAUAGGAGUCCACACGUAUAUACACUCGUGCUUUUUCCGCCAUACUGAGGUACAAUUCCAUUAUGGUGUGACGUGAGCAUUAGACGCAAGCGUAGUAGCCUUGUAUGAAUUUCUAUUUUUCUAAUUUGUUCUUAGAAUUCAUACAAGGAGUCUGACGAGUGUAAAUACAUACACUUAUAUAUGUUUAUAUAUAAUUUAGCCUGAGAGGCUGUAUUUUAUUAAGUUUUGGAGACUAGCCGGUGCUGGUCGUGAAGUUGCCAGUUUUUGAGUUGAGCGCUUUUGAGCGAUUGCAUGCAGUAUUAUUUUAUUUGGAAAUUAAAUUGGGGAAGCAUAAAGAAAUAUUUUUAUUUAAUUUAUUUUUGUCCACUCACUCCAACUGUUCCACAUGUUUUCCCCUGGGCCCUUUGUUUUAAAUUGCUCAGUCUGCAGAGUUCAGGUUGGACCUAGUAGGAGACGAGGCAUAGUUACCCGCUUUUCCGCCAGUUUUCAUCAGUAGGUUACCUGUUUAACCUACUAGUGUUUUCUUGCUUCCGCUAGUGUCUAGUAGCUCUGAAUACUUUGGGAUUAUUGUAUAUUAUUCCGGUGGUGUGCUCGGUCGGUUAACUUUAUGUUUAGAAUUGCUGAAGAAUAAUAUUUGCUUUUAUUUAGCUGGAUAAUUGUGUGAUAUUUUUGGAAGUGCUGUAGUAAGUGUGUGAAUUGGAGAUUUUUCGGGUUAGGGUUGUCCAUCUUCAAGGGAGGUUUUACCAAUCUUUUCGGUAAAUUUUCCUUGGAGGUGGUCCCCGCACGACUUACUCCGGGUUUCAGGGUGAAAUUCGGGGUGGGUUGUGUCAGACUCUAUCCCUAAUGAGCGCUCCCACGCGGCCGGAGUACGUCCUCGACUUCCCGCCCGAUACUAUGUGGCCAUUCCCGUCAGUAUUGAUGACGAUCCUCCCCAUGGUACUCUAUCCCUAAUCUUCAUUACGUCCAUCACACUUUCAAGAACGGUCUUCUGACAACCGAGGUACACAUGGGUCUGUUGGAAAGCAAGCAGUUUGUUGUACUUGUCAAUACCAGCAGUGUUGACAGCUCUAGGGAAGGGCUACACCGGGUCAGGCAUAUACUGUCCUUGAGCGCAUACACCGCUCUCAUAAGGAAACAUGUCGUUGAUGAAGACCGUUGUUGGAUCGUUGGAUGUACUGCCCGUCUCAGAAAAUUGGCCAUAAUCAUGCGGACCCCCAGAUGAUGUUUCACCGUGAUAUAACCAACAUGUGUACUUCUCCCAAAACCCGUUACUCUUCAGGUGCUGCCAUACUUUGUCAAUCGCAAAUCGAUGCAUAUCGUUGCGACACUGACAUUUCGUGCACGGGCAAUAGAAAAUUGUAUUCCCAUUAGCAUUAGCCAGCGCAUAUUCCAGAAAACUCAUAAUUCCUUUACCAUAUCUUUUGUCCCAUUUUGGAAGCGAAAUCCAACUCUUAUCCAUAUCCUGAAAAUAUAACAAAAUAUAUAUGUAUAACGCUAGCUAAUUAUUAAUUAAAUUAUAUGCCAUAUAUAAAAUUUCAAUUCGUUUAUAUAUAUUCUACGUACUACAACUAAUUGAUAACAAAUUAAUUAACAUAUAUAUAUAUAUAGAUAUACUUAAUUAAUAAUUACAUAACAAUAUUAUAUAUAUCAACAUCAUCACAAAAUCAUCAUCAACAACUUCAUACCAUCAACACAAUAUUAUAAAUUAAUUAACAUAUAUAUAUAUAUAUAUAUAUCUACUACUUAUUAACAACNNNNNNNNNNNNNNNNNNNNNNNNNNNNNNNNNNNNNNNNNNNNNNNNNNNNNNNNNNNNNNNNNNNNNNNNNNNNNNNNNNNNNNNNNNNNNNNNNNNNNNNNNNNNNNNNNNNNNNNNNNNNNNNNNNNNNNNNNNNNNNNNNNNNNNNNNNNNNNNNNNNNNNNNNNNNNNNNNNNNNNNNNNNNNNNNNNNNNNNNNNNNNNNNNNNNNNNNNNNNNNNNNNNNNNNNNNNNNNNNNNNNNNNNNNNNNNNNNNNNNNNNNNNNNNNNNNNNNNNNNNNNNNNNNNNNNNACUUUAGCCGACGAAGGAAAAUUUCGUCGGCCUGGUUUUUUUUGUUCGUCGGCUAAAGUCUUUCUUCUGGUAGUGCUCCUUCUGUUCUUCAUAAUAAAAUGUUCUUCAUCAAUACAUAUAUGUGCAUGCUGUUAAAUUAAAAAAUAGGGUGUCAAUUUCACUAUCCAAAAGUUAAUGACAAAAGAUCGAUCAAUAUUUUGAUAAUGUUUCUUGAUAUUAUUCAGAUGAAUUGCUUAAUUAUGAGAUUUUUCUUUUCUUUUCUUUUCUUUUGGGAAGACAAGGAUGUAGUUGUAAUUGAGCUUAAUUAAGAUAAUAAUUCGUUCAAGAUUAUCCCUAAUUUCAAUAAUAGUAUAGCUGAUGAGCUGGGAAAAUUUACACCAGACAAGAUGUGUGAUUGUUAUGCAACAUACCAAUGGUUUUGUGCAAGCAAAAAGUUUCAAUCUAGAAAAGGCAAACCCAUUAGCAACAUGGUUUCAUCAUCCACCAUCAUCGAUCAGGCUGCUUGUCCCAACGAAUGAGUUAGAAGGAAGAUUGAUCGAGGAUCCAUGCACGUGAUCCCAACCGGAAAGCAACUAGCCAGCCGGUGCGUUCAUCGAUCCUCGCUCUGCCGUGUUUCUAACGACGUCGUAUGCAAUCACCGUCAACAUCUCCCUCCCUGAAUUAACCAACACCUUAUUGACCUUGGCUUGACGGAUCAAACGUAUAACUGAAGUGCAUGCCUGCAUGCAUUAUGGCUUUCUCUUCACCAUCAUCAUCAUCAUCAUCAUCAAAGCAUGCAAUAGUUCCAUUGCUUCCCGUUUCUUACCAGCCCAAUUCCAUAAAAUCCCAGCUGAACAAUAGCACUACUACUUCUAGGUCACCAACAAACGGGUCAUGUUGGACACCAACUGUUGCCUCAUUCGUUCUUCUCGUUUCCCUGCCUCUUCUAUUCUUCGGCCUCAUUGUAGGUUAUCCAAGAAUACAUCAAGAGCUUUCUCUAGGCCCCCAAGCUCCCCACGUCCAGCUCACUGCCUUAUCCGUCCACAAGUUUAAUGUCUCUGAAACAAACCUGACAGCCGAAUGGGAUAUCAAGUUCAGAAUCCAGAACCCUAACCUCGUCUCGUACAUCUCUUUCGACCGGGUUGAGGGUUUCGUUCUGUCGGAGGACACGGUGCCGCUGGCCAUAAAGUCGGUGGAGUCGUUCUCGUUGCCCAUGAGGACAUCGAAAGAAGUGCAUAUGAGACUGGCGAUGAACCAGUGGGAUGGUGAUCAGCCGGCACUGAAACAAGGGGUGUUGGAGAAGAUGAAGAAGGAUAGAGAAAGUGGGGGAGUAAGGUUCGGCGUGCAGAUGGCGAUUUGGGCGACGUAUAGAAAUGGUUGGUUGUGGACGAAGCAGCAUAUGAUUAUGAAUCCUCAAUGUUUGGAUUUGCCGGUGGCGUUUGUGCCUGGCACCACGGCCAUAGGUUUUGGAAUUUUGAUGGGUGCUGUGCCUAAGACGUGUUACGUUCCCAUGCUAGCGGAAUAAUCUUUUUUUUUUUCAUUUUUUUUUUCAACAUUUUUCAGAUAGGUGAUUGCAUAUAUCUUUGGCGGAUAAUGUUUUGAACUUUUUUUGGUAAUAAUAUUUUGUAGAGAUUCAUUUUGCCUUUCAAGUAAUUUGCCUUUUCCAAUAUAUGUUGGAAAUACAUGUAUGUUUUGAAUACCAGAAAUAUCAUCGAGUGACUCGGCAAUGGAGAGCUACUAUCUAAAUAUGAUUACAUAGAUAGAAUAUAGAUAGUUUUGCUAUACAAGUCGGUAUAACAGAUCUCUACUACAUAAGAGUUUGUAAAGAUUUUAAUAUUAUUGUGAGAGUUUGUACAUGAGCAUGAGAAUAUGUUCACCAAGCAUGAGAGUUUACAUGAGGUUGCAUGCUGCAUCCAAGUAUAUGCAAGGGAAUUUGAAAACUCAGCUUCAUCUAGCAUAAGAAGCAAAGUGAAGAGAAGAGACAGUACGCUUAGAGAAGAAAAAAUCUCAAUACCUCUCUCUUAGCUUUUAAACUUCAUCUCUUAGUUUGUAGUCUCAGUUUGUAACAUUUCCAGUAUCAACAAAACUUUCUCAGUUCACAACAACUCUCUGUUGAGAUUUCCUUAACCAUAUGUUCAUAUCUCCUCUCAUAUCUCUUCAACCAUAAACAGAUUCUCUCAACUAUAUAUAUGCAUAUCUCCUCAACUAUAUACAUAUCUACUCAAGCAUAUGUUUAUGUAAUCUCUAUCCAUCUUUCUAUUUGAAUCUCCUUGAGCAAGAAGAUAGCAGUAGUUGUUCAAACCUUGUACGUGCAUGUCCCUUAAGCAAGAAGAGAAGCAGUAGAUAUGUUCAAGAAAUCUCCUCGAACAAGAAGAUAACAAUAGCUGUUCAUGUCUUGUGCAUGUUCAUAUUCUGGUGAAAGUAGCAGUUCGUGUUUGCAUGUUCUUGAUCUUUUGGAGACAUGUAUGUUUUGAAAACCAGAAAUACAUACACAUGUAUGUUUCCAUCAUCGAGUGACUCGGCAAUAGAGCUACUAUCUAAAUAUGAUUACAUAGAUAGAAUAUAUAUAUAUAUAUAUAUAUAUAUAUAUAUAUAUAUAUCAGUAGCUAGCUAGAUCGAUUUUCUUCUUGAUAAGUAGGGAAAAUCCGAAAAUGCAUACUAGCUAGAACCCCAUAAAAGUGAUAAAACUCGAAUAAAAUGAAGGUUGGGCAUUAAGACAUGCAUCGAUCCAUGCAUGCAUUUCUGGAAAAUUGGAAUGAAUGUAAUCAUAUAUUAUGAGAAGCGAUGAAAACAAAAGAGAGCAAAUUGGGUAUAGGAUACCUGCGAAGAAUAUGGCCAAGGUGAGGCUGAGGAGUACUCGGGUGUUCAUCUUCAUGAUAUUGAAAUGCUCUUGAUUGGUUUGCUGCCAAGUUAUAGCUUUUCAAUUUUGAUGAAGUUAAGCAGCAAGGAGGGGGUUUAUAUAGGCUUACAGGAGGCCUAACUUUUUGUUAUUUUCCAGAUGCAUAUACUUGCGGGUCCAAGUUGCAGAAGAAACGAUUGACAACUUCGUCUAUAUGUACAGAAUUGUCAAAUUCAUAUAUAGAUUUGGUCCCUUGACUGAUCAUGAGCUAACUUUUGAAUUAGGGUUAGCAACAUUUCCAUUGGCAAUUAAUGUAGAUUUAAUUUAAUUAGAAAAUUUGAGGCAACCAUAUACCUCUAAUUAAUUUGAGGCAACAAUAUUCCAAUUUGUAAUUAUACAGGUUGAUAUAUGUAGCAAGGCUAAAAGAUUAGAAUUAUAUCAACGAGACUAGCUUCCUCUUGCUCGUUUUAGGUUUAGAUGAUAAAAAGAAUCUUCGAUUCGUAGUUGAGUUCCUUAGGAGCUGGCAACGUACCGUACAUGGGUGGUGAAUGAUAUUCACCAUCUCGAUCAGUUCUUUCUUUGGAAUUAUCACUACAUAUUAGUUACUAACUAAAUAUCAAUUAACAAAAAGGUCAAUUAAGCAUAUUUGUAAACAAAUAAAGACAAACUUUUACAAAUAAGGACAAAUUGUUAUAUUGUUGUCAUGUGGCAAUGCGCAUUUACAAUUGUGCCCUUCAAACUAAAUGUGCUGCUACUGUCGGCAGUUUACAAACUUCUGCUACUGCGAACUGAAAAAGUUGCUACUGUCGACUGUUUACAAACGUUAUGCUACUGCCCCCUGUUUUUACUUUUCUGCUACUGCCCCCUGUACUGUAAGCAGUUUACAAACGUUCUGCUACUGCCUACCGAAUAAGCUGCUAUACUAUCGACUGUUUACAUACAUUAUGCUACNNNNNNNNNNNNNNNNNNNNAGAUAGAAUAUAUAUAUAUAUAUAUAUAUAUAUAUAUAUAUAUGUAUGUAUGUAAUGAAGAAAGUUUAUACUCAAUCUUCAACUGUCCCAUGCAGAAGAUUCUUCAAUAUUUAUCGGUGGCCGGUCUUGCAAAAUAUUAAGGAUGACAGACAAUUGUCUAAAAAGAUAAAAAGAUGCUCUAAAAAAAUGCAAUUUAAUUGGUUCAUCUUCGUGGUUUGUUCUAGGAAUUGAGAAUGGAUUAAUGUUAGCCAAAAAGUCAUCCUCAAGUAUAAGAGGUACAAGUAAUAGUAUAAGGAUAUUAAGAAAUAUUUUCGAACCCACGAGGAUUAGAUUCUUUUCACUAGCUACGGUGUUAACCUUAAGAGAGAUAUAACGUGCAAACGUACAAUCACAAACCAAAACACAAAGAAAUCUAGGCUCAUGGUGAGUAUGAAGUAGCGAUUUGAUUUUUGAGUUUUUGAAGUUGUGAACUAAAUUAAACUAAAUGCUCAAAUGGAACUAAAUUACUCUAAACUAAACGACUGGGAUAAUGGAUGAAUGAAGUUAGGAUUCGAAUUGUCUACCAUUAACCUCCCUUGCAAGUAUUGAUGCAAUUCAAUAUGAAAGAUGCUAAGCUAAUCAACCAAUUUCUCUUUUUGCAUCUCUCUCGGCUAUGACAAGAGACAUGCUCUUUUUGUUAUCAAACAACCCCUCUUGGGUGUAGUACUUAACUACUCAAGUCAUGCAUUUUAAUCCGGUUAGACAUCUAAUGCAUUACCUUAAGUGCAUAAAGUUUGGAGAUGAAUAAACUAUGCAAACCAACCAAGCUUAUCUCUAAGUGAUUGUAAUAUUCACAAACCCUUCAUGCACACCUAGUGUGUUUUCAUGCUUUAACAUUCAAAGGUUACCAAGCUCUAAACAUUAUAUCAUGACAUAGCAAACACACAUACUAAAAGUGGUAAAUUCCAAGCAUAUGCAUUCAACCAUAUGCAUUCAACUCUUGAACUAGCAUGUAUGAAUGUUAACUAAAAUUGCAUCAUAUCAUAUUAUAGCAUCAAUCCAUACAAGAUUGGUUAGGGCUUUCAACCUUAACCCCAACAAAGUACUACUCACUCAUAAUUACACGAACAAACUUCAUAAUCAAAUUAAGCACCAAAAUAGAUCUAGAGUUUUAAGGGAGAGAGUUGGCUUAGUGGUGUGUUGAUUAAUCCCCAAGCUCACGUCUUGGUGGUGGUGGUGAUGGUGGUGAUUCCCUCUCCUUUUUUCUCUUGAUGAUUUGAUGAUAAGAGAUAGUGAAUGUUGAUUUAUGCUUUGUGUGAAUAGGUGGAGUGGACGGAGAAAAUGGUAUAGAAAAGAGAGUGGAGAAAUGGUGUAGUAGUGGUGGUGUUAAUGGAGGUUUGGGAUUAGAGAUGGUGGUGGUGAUGGAGGAGAUGGAGUUUAGAAAUGGAAGAGGAAGAUGAUGGGUUUGAAUUUUUGGGAGAAGAAGAUGGAUGUGUGUGGUGGAGAUGGAGGAAAAGAGAGGAGAAAUUUUGAUAAAUAACCACUAUUGACUCGUAAAUUGAAUUUUAACCAUCAAUUUAGCAAUUAAUGAAAAAUAACCUUCUAUGCUAAGGAAAAGACACAGGUGCCCUUUACUAACCAGAUGCUCAUAUUUGUGAAAUCAUGUUGAGUGCUCUCGUUCAAUCAACUUCAACUCUCAAACACUUAAUCUACUGGCAAUCCCAUGACGACCUGCUUCAAUACAACUUUGCAAGUUCGCUAGACCAGACCUGCAAAAGCUGCAUGUGGGUGAAAUAAUUUUGAAGACAUUUCAUUAGCCUAAAGGAUAAUCCAACGCGACCUUCAAUAUUGCAUGCCUCUCUGCACUCCUUUAGAACAUGAGGAUUUCGUUAUCUACUUUGUUUAAUAAGCAAAAUACAAAGGGUUAUACUACAUCAUGGUCUGAAAGAAGUUUUCUGAUCAGUCUGGAUUUAAUUCAUGAUUGUUUAAUUUCUUGAUGAUAUAAUCGUUUACCCUCAUCGCUAAUUAAUUCUAGAUGUAACUAACCAUAGUCGAUUUCUUUUAGUAUUUGAUAGUCUGAUACUCUAGUUGUACUGGUGAUCCGAUCGGUAAAUUUUGAUGAACAACGCAUAGAUAGAUUGGAUCAUUGGAAUAAUGAGAAGGAAGAGAAUUUUGCAUAGUUUAUAUAAUAUUCAGGGUAAUUAAGUCUUUUGACACUUCAAAAUGGUUAGAAAUCAACUAAUUUUCAAAUGGAGGUAAAAAAUCAAUUUGGAUGCUGAAAAGUGGUCAUUUAUCUAAAUUUCUCAAAAGAGAGAGAGAGAAUGGGUGAAUGAUUAGUAACCUCAUUCUCAUUUGUUACUCUUGUAUUAUUGCACCUGUCAUUUCAUAGUGAUCGAGAUCAGUGGUUUGUGUGAUUCAAAGAAGGCUUAUUCAGAACCUUCAUAUCAAACUUAGUUCACAAAAAGUAGAAUAAGUUUUUCAGUUGUAAAGAUUAAGUUAGUUUGCAUACUACUGAAUGUGAUUGUGAUUGUGAUUGUGCUGAAUAUCACUGUUUUUGAUAAAGAUUGUAAUUCUAUUUGUUCUUACUGAAUUGAUUCAAGUGUGGACUACUAUAAAGUCUCGUAGUGAAGUUUCUUAGUGGAAGGUUUACACUAUAGUUAACAAAUCUAUUGUUCUUGCAAUUUAUAUUGUUCAGAAUUGGAAUUAAUAAGAAAAUAUGUCCUAAAUAUACUUUCAAAACUGCUUGGAGAUCGGAGUGACAAGUGGCCGAGUAGCUGGAGACCAGUGACAACUUUUUGUGAGGGUGCUCGAAUACUGUUGGGACUCCACUAAUUUUUGACCCAAUUAGGUGAUAACUGUACAAAUUGGAUCAACACAUGGGCUUGAUGCUCAAACUGGGCUAUUCUUUAGGGCAAAAAAAAAUUGACUAUAAUUAAUGAGGGUUUCGUAUAUGGGAUCUCGAUGGAUCGUUUAAUCUAAAACGAUAUAGGUUUUUAGGUUCUUAUUUACUAUGCCUUCAGACUAUGCAAUUGUUCGUAGUUAUAAGCAUACUUUCAAAUAGUGAGCUCUUCUUUCAGGAUACAGGUGAUUUAUCCUAUGUAUCACACUGUUAUUUUCCCCAAGAAGCGUUGUUAUGUCCAUUGCAAGGUUGCGGAUAGUAGAUAUAUAACUACCAUCUUAACAUACACAGUCAUUGAAUAAAAUAAAACAAUCAUUCAGAUCCAACCAAAAAAAGUGUGAUAAUUAUAUGCCAUGCAUAUAUAGACAUAAAUUAAGGCCAGGCCUGGACCUGAUAGGAGUCCGGAGAGCCUGUUGACUCAGGUCCCAGAAAAAAAAAUCACAGCUCUCUCCAUUAGUAAAUGCAGUUAAAUAAUGCAAGGAAUAAUUAUUAUGUCAGAGCUUCUCUUUUUUUACUGCAAUAAAAGAAACAUAAGGGUACUGACACAGUAGAGCCCAAACAAGUAUGUUAUAAUUAUAUAUACAUGUAUAGAGGUACAUAUAUAAUAUAACUAUUUUUGAGUCCAAGAAACAAGAAAAUAAUGUUAAAAGUCUAUACGAUUUAAGAUUUUGAAAGAGGAAAAACCUACUUGAUAAUUGUACCCAAUUCAAGUAAAUUUCAAAAAGAAAAAAGAAGAGGUAGGAGCUCAAAAUAGGUUUUAUAAUGUAAAUAAAAUUACUAANNNNNNNNNNNNNNNNNNNNCCUAUCCCCUGUGUGCCUUGGCCUAAUGCCAAUAUGAUAUGUAGUUAGACUAGAUCUAUGUAUUCAUAUCCUUACCAUAUUGGUAUUGUGUAAUUCUCUAUAUAAAGGGCUCCUAUCAAUGAAUAAGAUGAUGACUCUCUUGCUAUCUCUUUGUCUCUACACUUUAUCCUUUAUCACGUUAUCAUGCACUUUGUUCUAACCCUAGAGCCAAUAGCCCACCAUUUUUUUCUAAACCCUAAAAACCAAAACCCUAAAAUCGGGCAGCCUUGUUUUUCCCGAUUUCCGACCAAAAUUCCGACUGCCCUCCGCCGGAAUUUUAUAUCCCCAGAAAGCUCUCUCCGCCCCGGAUCCAACGCCGCCGGUCUCGGAACCGGCCGCCGGAAGAUUCCAGACCGCCGUCGCUACCGACCACCGGUUCACCACCUUCCCUUACUCCGAUCAACCUGAAAUUUUGACAGCAGCUUCCCCAUCCAGAGCUGAUCCUUCUAUCAAAUUUUCAGCCCCAAAUUCAAAGUAUAAGUAGGCGAAACGUUAUUUCUCCUCUCGGCAGCCUCUAGAAAGGUAUGUUUUUUGAAACCUUAAACUUUUCCAAGUUCAAUAACUUGGGGAGGAUAAAAUCCUUUCCUCCCUUCUUCAUCUCCGUUCUAUGCUUGGGAUUUUAUGCGUGCAGGUACCCAAAUCCCGGAAUUUUAUUCGCAGGUCAAGAGUGUAUUUGAUCACUCUUGUUUCUUUGUCCGGGUUGUGUUUGAUCAACCCCGACCUUUCACCGGAUUGUGUUUGAUCAAUCCGAGGCCCUUUUCCGAAUUGUGUUUGAUCAAUUCGCGGCUUUUCCGGAUCGUGUAUGAUCAAUCCGAAGGACAAACCAUUAAAAGCAUCGUUUGUGACCUCUAUCGAGUCUCAUAACAGCUUGGUUUUGUAUGCAAGAGCAAUGUAACGUUCUGCUCCUUUGAGUUUUGACGUACUAGAUGCCUAAGGCGNNNNNNNNNNNNNNNNNNNNNNNNNNNNNNNNNNNNNNNNNNNNNNNNNNNNNNNNNNNNNNNNNNNNNNNNNNNNNNNNNNNNNNNNNNNNNNNNNNNNNNNNNNNNNNNNNNNNNNNNNNNNNNNNNNNNNNNNNNNNNNNNNNNNNNNNNNNNNNNNNNNNNNNNNNNNNNNNNNNNNNNNNNNNNNNNNNNNNNNNNNNNNNNNNNNNNNNNNNNNNNNNNNNNNNNNNNNNNNNNNNNNNNNNNNNNNNNNNNNNNNNNNNNNNNNNNNNNNNNNNNNNNNNNNNNNNNNNNNNNNNNNNNNNNNNNNNNNNNNNNNNNNNNNNNNNNNNNNNNNNNNNNNNNNNNNNNNNNNNNNNNNNNNNNNNNNNNNNNNNNNNNNNNNNNNNNNNNNNNNNNNNNNNNNNNNNNNNNNNNNNNNNNNNNNNNNNNNNNNNNNNNNNNNNNNNNNNNNNNNNNNNNNNNNNNNNNNNNNNNNNNNNNNNNNNNNNNNNNNNNNNNNNNNNNNNNNNNNNNNNNNNNNNNNNNNNNNNNNNNNNNNNNNNNNNNNNNNNNNNNNNNNNNNNNNNNNNNNNNNNNNNNNNNNNNNNNNNNNNNNNNNNNNNNNNNNNNNNNNNNNNNNNNNNNNNNNNNNNNNNNNNNNNNNNNNNNNNNNNNNNNNNNNNNNNNNNNNNNNNNNNNNNNNNNNNNNNNNNNNNNNNNNNNNNNNNNNNNNNNNNNNNNNNNNNNNNNNNNNNNNNNNNNNNNNNNNNNNNNNNNNNNNNNNNNNNNNNNNNNNNNNNNNNNNNNNNNNNNNNNNNNNNNNNNNNNNNNNNNNNNNNNNNNNNNNNNNNNNNNNNNNNNNNNNNNNNNNNNNNNNNNNNNNNNNNNNNNNNNNNNNNNNNNNNNNNNNNNNNNNNNNNNNNNNNNNNNNNNNNNNNNNNNNNNNNNNNNNNNNNNNNNNNNNNNNNNNNNNNNNNNNNNNNNNNNNNNNNNNNNNNNNNNNNNCUAAGGCAAAGCCUACACACCACCUGCAAGCUUCACAGCUUCGCACAUGCCAAAUCUGCGAAAAACAGCAAUCUGUCCCUUCUGGACAGUCAACUUCGUUUGAGCUUUGUGAACAGCUCCGGACAAACCAGACAGUGAGCUUUAUAUCAUUGGAAAGCUCUAUAAGUCUAGUUUUCAGAACUUUUCACGGUUCGUCCAUAUCUAUUUUAACGAAGACGUUAUGGCUAUUUUAGUGCGCAAAGGUCAUUCUGCGCGGAAAUUUUAAUGCACUUUUGGGAUUGCAGCUUUUCGUAGCUUCUUUCAAUCCUUCUAAAUGGUUCAAGUAGAACUAUUUACACGCCUAUCUACUCCUUGUAGUUAUGUCUCAUAGAGACAUUGAGUGCUUCGCAGAUAGUGGAACUAUCCACAACAUUCUAAGGAACCAUGUUGAGCUUUAAAGACAUUCAUGCUAAUGGUUUUCAUUUGAAAACACAUUGUGAGACUGAACAAGAAUUCUUUUGUGUAUACCUCCUCAUGAAUGCGAACUGAAGCGCAUCUUGGAGAAAUUCAUGAGUCAAUCUAGUGGACUGUAUGUCACUAUGAUUCGAAUAUCGAAUCCCAUGUUGUCGCCAAACAUGAUAUUUGGGACACUGACUCAUAUAGGCUUUGGUUUGACUAAAAUGGUCAACCUAGAAGAGAUAUAAUGAUCCAAAUUUUGAGAAAUUCUCAUGGACAUCCAUUCUUCCGCUCAAAACGAAGACAUUCGAGACCUAGCAUCACCAAGAAGCAUGGUGGUGACCCGGAGGACAUUGACGUCACUCGAACACGACUCCAACUUCUUGGAGGUCGUCCGGUCAAUUCCUCAAGCAAUUGAGGUGCACCGGCCUUUCCUCGAUGUCGCAUUGGCCCCCUGCAAUGCUCAUUGCUCGUUUUGAAAGCCUAUUCUUUAGCUAAAUUAGGAGUGAGACCCUCCUAUGCUAAAUAACACAAAAGUGAACAUUCUAUUCUUACAUUAAAUUAUGUAGAUAGAUACAACCAACUUGCGGACACCUUUUAUGCUUUAUGGUGUUGGUUGAAGUGUUAGCACACUGGUCACGUGUUACACUAUUAUCUACUGCUUAUGCUGCUUAUACUUCUACGGGCUCACUACCCAUUCUUUAAAGAAGUUCAUCGGGAUGUAAGUUGAAGUGUCCUGUACCCCAUGUUCACACGCAAUACGGUCUCACCGAGGCUACGACCAAGCAACUUUAGCUUGUCACUCGAANNNNNNNNNNNNNNNNNNNNNNNNNNNNNNNNNNNNNNNNNNNNNNNNNNNNNNNNNNNNNNNNNNNNNNNNNNNNNNNNNNNNNNNNNNNNNNNNAGGUGCCAAAUCGCAUUGCCACUGCGUACAAUGAUGGGUCAUUUGAGAUGAAUAAGUUUAGGUUGGAUAUGAACCUCCACCUAUAAUCCGCAUAUGUAGGAACCUUGUCAGGCGAUCUCAUUCACCGCUAAAUUGCGGAUUGUCACUUUGAUGAGACAAUAUUCCCGCCGUUAGGGGGAGAUAAGAACACAAGUGUUCAAGUGGAACGACGUGAAUUGUCGUGGUUUGUCCCCACUAAGUCUCAUCUUGAUCCCAAAUGCUUAUAGUGUUAAAGUGACGAGAUCACAUGCUGCAAAUAUGUCUGCAAGGAUUGAUGUCCUACAAAAGGACAUGGCGCGACCAAAAAGUGUUGGUCUUGACGCCAUCACCAUGGAUGGUGAUAUGGUGACGCCAUAUAGUGGCAAAAUUGGUGUCACAAGGCCAUGUGGCUCCCUAAAAGGAGGGAGGCCCUUAUGUUCGAUAUUGUCUUGCACUAGAAAGAAAGCGAGCUUGGCACAACCUGAUCCAUUGAUCAGUGAUACUCAAAUCCGUCUCAUGAAGUCUGAAUUGUGAUUAUCAUUGGGGGACGCCUCAAUGUCAAAUCCAAUCCAUAUAGAGAUCUCUACAAGUAUUACACUAGUGUACAUGAGGACGUGAGAUAAUGAGUCUACUAUCGAACCACCCUUCGUUGAUGGAUAUCAACUUAGUUGAUUGGCCUAAUGGAAAGACACGAUCCAGCAUUAACAAAGAGAUAGGUCCUUGGGCAGGUGAUGCCGACACCGCAAGCUAAACCCUAUCAACUGUGCCUUUGUUAGAUAACGUAGUGAGAGUAAGAGCUUAGACUCACCUUAUGGCGCAAGGUCUUUCACUAACACGCACUGGGAUCAACUACGAUGAGAUAUGCUCUCGUAAUGGAUGUCAUUGAACUCCACUACUUUGUCAGUUUAGUAGUUUCCGAAUAACUGAACAUGCAGCCUAUGAAUGUGGUCAUAAUAACAUCUCUAUGGGAUCAGAGAUAUAUAUGAAGAUCUUAAACGGACUUCAUUCAUCCGAAUCAAGUGGUUCCAAACCACAGGAGCAUGCGUUUGCUAAAUGUAUUGAAACGCACAUGGACUCUGCUUGAUUUGGAAGGGAUAUGGUAAAUUAUGCCUUUGCGUGUUCAUUCCGGAUUUACAUGGACUCUUGAUGGAUCAAGAGAUGCCAAUAUGUAUCAACAUCCGAAGAAAAAGAUCUUGGGAAAACAUGGUCUCGAUAAGGCACUCGAUGACUGUAUUGAUGAUGAUUUUCCAUCAAUCGGCUUAGGCGCUCUAUAACUAGUGAGGCCUACAUAUACUUCCAUGAUUAGUCAUGGUCUUUGCUCUAAAGAGAGAUCCGUUGUUUUGUCUAAAGCAAGAUGACAAAUAUGUGUUAAGAGAUGGAGUUCCCAUCUAAGUACAAUAAGACGCAUCAAUGUACUCAACACAAUACGAAAGACUUGACAUCUCAUUCACUAUGAAAAGUUGUAAAGCUAAGUGUAGCUAUGCGCCCACGCAACGCCAAUGUAAUGGCNNNNNNNNNNNNNNNNNNNNNNNNNNNNNNNNNNNNNNNNNNNNNNNNNNNNNNNNNNNNNNNNNNNNNNNNNNNNNNNNNNNNNNNNNNNNNNNNNNNNNNNNNNNNNNNNNNNNNNNNNNNNNNNNNNNNNNNNNNNNNNNNNNNNNNNNNNNNNNNNNNNNNNNNNNNNNNNNNNNNNNNNNNNNNNNNNNNNNNNNNNNNNNNNNNNNNNNNNNNNNNNNNNNNNNNNNNNNNNNNNNNNNNNNNNNNNNNNNNNNNNNNNNNNNNNNNNNNNNNNNNNNNNNNNNNNNNNNNNNNNNNNNNNNNNNNNNNNNNNNNNNNNNNNNNNNNNNNNNNNNNNNNNNNNNNNNNNNNNNNNNNNNNNNNNNNNNNNNNNNNNNNNNNNNNNNNNNUUCCUAGAGGAAGUUACGACUGUUCUAGUAAUUGAAGGUCAUGCUGCGCGGAAAUCUGAUUUCCUGCACGAACUUAUGUUUUGAGUUCACAAGCGACCUUCUCCUCAAGAUCUAAGUGUAAAAGAUCAUUUGAGGACAAUACGGCAUGAUUUAGUUAAUCAUUGCCCAAUGCCACAUUUGAAGACAUGUUAAAAAGCAUUGACAUGCUAAGUUGUUGAAAUUUCCGUGAUUAGUAAGAAUCAGGAAGAGCCCUAUGAUUGAUGUAAAGAUCAGGGGGGGUGCGAACUUCAGGGGAAGUCUAGCACAUACAUACAUGUCACUAUCAAAUGUGAAAGGUGCGUUGUACUCUUUUUCUCCUACGAUUAAGGUUCAGUUUUUCUCCGACAGGGUUUUUGUGACUUGACGAGGUUUUUGACGAGGCAACAGAUCAGCACCAUCGGCAUAUCAGCACGCGGCACAAGGGGGAGUGUUCUAGGAUAUUCUCUAUGUGUGUCUUGGCCUUAUGCCAAUAGGAUAUGUAGUUAGACUAGAUCUAUGUAUUCAUAUCCUUACCAUAUUGGUAUUGUGUAAUUCUCUAUAUAAAGGGCUCCUAUCAAUGAAUAAGAUGAUGACUCUCUUGCUAUCUCUUUGUCUCUACACUUUAUCCUUUAUCAAUAUGUUGUUUUAUAGUAAAUUUUAAGUUUAUAGAUUUAGUUCUUGAAAAUAUUUAUUAAAAAUUACCUAGAUGAAAACUACGAUUCAAGGCCCCAACGUUAAGAGUUCGACUCAGGUCCAAAAAUCUUAGAUCCAGGCCUGUUUAAGGCUAUAGCCAUGAGAGAGUUAUACGAGAUUCUCAUUCAAAAUAAUAUCUAUCAUAGAAAUAAAGUGUAUGUACUUUGUAAGUUGAUACAGUCUUGUUUUAUAAUUCAAUGGGCUUAGCCGAAUUAAAAACCAUAGUUAUUGACAACAUAAAUGGAGACUCAUAACAAGUGAACCAUGCCCUCUUAGUUUAUCGUGUGCUUUCCUUUUCUUUCUCCUCAAAGACAAAUUCAACUCCUUGAAGCCACCCCCAACAUCUAUAUAACUUCUACUCUCUCAUCACAUUCACAUCAUUCAUUCUUCUUUCCCCACUUUUCACAACAUCUUCCAUGGCAGGCCUUCAGUACAACUUCUUCCCCACCGAUUUUUUUUACCCUCGUCAGCAGUUAGAUGCCACCAACAAAGCAGCAACAGCAGCAGCCACUGUAGCUCUUCCUUCUCUCCAAAACCCCAUUUGUUCCGUCGUUGAUCUCCAACAACUCAAAGCUCUCGUUAUUAAAAAUCAUGGUGCUCAAGUCGUAAUCAAAAACUCCACUAUUGCCAAUUCUCCUCCUCUUCCUACCAUGAAUGGCUAAUUAAUUAUGUAGCUGUUGUUCCAGAUCAUCUUAAUUAGAAGGGUUUUCUUAAUUUGUUUUCGUUUUAUAUAUCGUUGUUAUGUAUAUCACAUAUUCAAUCUCACCAUGCUUGUAACUAGAAGGUGGGUGUUGUAUCAAUCUAUAUAUAACAGUUUAGCAUUCUCCAAAGUCUUACAUUUUCGGUUCUUGAUUCUCUUCAGAUCUUUGUAAAUUGUAAUAAGAACCAGUACAAUAGAGCUUAUUUUAGUUAAUUUUUUGUAACUAAUCUCCAAAAAUAUUGUUUCAUUUAUGUGUUAAGGCCAUUGCAAUCCAUCAGUCUAAAUGACUACUUGCCUAAAAUAUCACAAUGAGUUUGUUUCCUGGCAUAGCAUUUGAAAUUACAUAGUAUCUGCCCACACAUCAAUAUGAAAGAACUAAAAGUUAUGUUUUUAUGAACAAUUCAGGUCAUUUACCCAAAAAAAAAAAAAAAUUAAGCUAGGUGCAUGUAUGCAUUGCAUGCACUGUGUUUAAUUAGCACAGUUUGCUAUUCCAAUGUAUUGUUCCACUCGUGUAUAUUUGUUUGUAUCCGUCAUUUCCACAAGUAUGAAUUUGUAACUGUAUAACAUCACAAGGAACUUGGAAUAUAAACUGCUACCCUUUAAUUAGAAAAUCAUUUGAUGCUUAUCGAAACAUUAAACAAAGAGGAAUAUUUUAAAUCAAAUGACACCCGCCUGAUGCAGGGACAUAAAAUGAUGACCAAAUUAGUGAUACAAAAAUUAGAGAAUAGCUACAAUUAUGGACGAUAUUUUUCAGAAAGAGAACAACAAACAUGUACAUUUCUUGGCCAAAUUUAUAAAUAAACUUAUGUGGACAUGAAUAAGCCGUCCAAAGACUAGAAAUUGUGUACUGAGGCAUCAUGAAAAUGAGGAUAUAAUUUAAAACAUGGUGAGCGAUAGAAUCUCAUAAACAAAACAUUGCAUGCUUCUCUAGUUUAUAUGUCAACAAGUUCAAUUUUUAAUAUUUUUGAUGAAUUGAAAAGAAUGGCAAGGGAGGAGGAUAUACCAAUACACAUGACUUGGCGUGCACAUCAUUCCUCUCUGGCUGCUUUGUAUUUUGUGCGAAUAUGCUAUUGACAUCCUUAGCUAGCUAGCUGACCAAGUCACAAGUCAUACAUAACUACUCGUGCUCAGGCAUGCCUUAUAUUAGAAGAGCCAAAAUAGAAUAUGUGCAUGUUUUAACCAUUAAAUAGGUGAAUCAUGGUUUAGAAAUCUAAUCAUACGUAUACACUUCAAUAUAUGUUUAUAAAAUUGAAAUUGAAAAACCUCUCUAUAUGAAAGAGGACCGUACGUAUCGUAAUCUUAAUAACUUAUGUUAGUUUCUUUUAUUGUGCUUUAAUUGAGUUGCAACAUUUAUUAUGUAUAUAUAUAUAUAUAUAUGGAUUUUCUUAGCUGCGGACGUCCGCAUCAAUUUUUUGGUGCGGAUUUUCAUUUUUGCACCAUUUUUCGAUCGAAUUUCCUCAUCUCCACCGUCUAGUAUCUAGAUAAUAUUGUGUAGAUCAUCUCUGCAAAAUUUCAGCCAAUUUGGUGAUCGUUAAAGCCCUCAAACUCGAAAAACAAAUGGACGGACUAAAUUAUGUCCGGUUGUGUUCAUAUCAGAAAAACUCGAGUUUGAGGGCCUUAACAAUCACCAAAUUGGCUGAAAUUUUACAGAGAUGAUCUACACAAUAUUAUCUAGAUACUAGACGGUGGAGAUGAGGAAAUUCAAUCGGAAAGUGGUGCAAAAAUGGAAAUCCGUACCAAAAUCGUUAGUGCGGAUGUCCGCAGCCGAGAAAGGCUGUAUAUAUAUAUAUAUAUAUAUAUAUAUAUUUCAACAUUACCUCACCGAACGUAGAUGUCAAGUUUAGCAAGAUGUUACAACAAGAACAACAAAACUGAAGCAAGUAAAAACUAUAGAAAAAGUUAAAUACAUACUAACAACUCUAAAGCAAACGUUAAAUCUAUAUUUUGAAGUAACAUGCCGUAACAAUACUCAUCAUGUCUAUCAAAAGAAGAUUAAUAAUUGUCGUUAUUAAUUGUUUAUGAUGAAAUUGAUAUAGAACUUAUACCUGAUCAUAUAUAUAUCUUCAACAAUUUGACAAAUUAACGAAUUGGCCUACAAGAAUAUUGUUUUUUUUUUUAAGAGCUGGCAUAGUCGAUUUUAAUUACCAAAGAAUCAAUAUAUUAAUUAAACAAAUUAAAAACACUUAAAGCAAUUGAAAUUUUUAUUUUGAUUAGGAGCGAGUACGUUAGCAACCCAAGUAGUCAGUUUAAACCAAUGUUCAUGACAAUAUCCUAACAAAUACAAACUAAUAACCAAAGACCCCUAAAAGAAAUCAUAUUUUUAAUCUUCUACCCACAAUGUGAUUAUAUCACCAUGGUAUGUGGUGUUUUUGAAGUUGAACUUACGACGCAAGAACACAUGACGUAUCCCUUGGUUCUUUGGUCUUUCAAAUUUGUGUCCUAAUCCAACAAAAAAUGGGUUUGCAUGACAAUAACAUUGUACAAAUCAUUAACAAAAAAAUGAUUUGUUAUCAUAAAUCUAUACAUGCACUUCAUAAAAAAUACGAAAAAAUAUAACUUUUCUUCACGAAAAAACAAGAAUUUAAUGAAAAACAUUAAAAUUAAUUGAACUUCAUACUCAGGGCUCCAAACAUUCCCUAAUGAUUUCGACAAACCACAGUUCAUAUGUGUUGACAAGUUGAUUAAUUGACAAAGAUGACCAAUUCAUUCAUGUAAAAACAAUGAGAAUUUUCAUGAUAAUUAUUUACUCAACAAUUUCUAAUGAGGAUUCACUUUUAUGAAUCCACGCAGAAGACUUAGAACAUUGUUUUGUUUCUGUUCAGAACUCUAAAAUUGGUUUGGGCAUGAAAUUCAGUUAUUCUUAUGUCUAUGUUUCUUUAUGAAAAACAAUAGUCAAAACAUAACAACAUAUACUAGAAUCUUCGAAGUUAUUUUACUGGUUAUACUGAUUGAUAAAAAGGCCGAUAUUCCAUUCAAGAGUAUGAACAAAGUACUACAUCACUUCUCUAUAAUAUAAGUUAUAUAUUUAUAAAGAAAACACAGUGUCAACCUUGACGUACUCGAUCAACAACUUCUUAAUUUGUGUGAAUAAAAAAUUAGAGUUUAGCUAAUCUAGAGGUCCCCUACUGUCUUAUAUUUGAUCUUUCUUUCACCUAAUCUAUAUUAAUAUAUAUGAAUACACUUUCCAGCGAAACUUCGUUUUCAAAUUAAAAUGUGAAUAUCCUUAUUUGGCUUAUUUUUCGAUCAUAGCCCAUCAGUAUCUAGAUAUAUAUGACAUGAUCAUCUCUCCAAAGUUUCAUCAAAUAUAAUGAUCGUAUGUGUAUGUGUGUGUAUAUAUUAGUAAUUGUCCUUUAUCUAUCAAGAUUCCAAAAUGCAACAUAUGCGAAUAUUCAGGCGUUUAACGGUGACAAUCGAAAGCCACUAAAUCACACAAUUCACAUUCUCCCCUUCCUAUUUAUAGAGGAUAGUCUUUAAGGCUUCAUAUAACCAAAAAACUUACUGCCACAAUAAGCACUCAUGGCUGGCCUUCAAUACAACUUCUUCCCUACCGAUUUAUUUUACCCUCGUACAAAGCCGAAGGUCUCGGAUAGCGCCCGUAAAGAACUAUCUUACCUCCCAAGUACUGCUAACAGAGAUGCAGUUAUCAAUCUUGAACAACCUACAAGCCUUGUUCUUAACAAUUUCAACGAAAACCAUGUGGUGAAAGAUAUCAUGUGUGUACGAAAAAACAGAGUACGUGCUGCAGUAGUUUUCAACAUACCAUUGCAAACAAAUGAAGAGGAUUCACAUAGUACUAAAAAGUGAUGAAAAAUUGCUCUAUGGUAGUUUAAUUUGGUAUUCGAAUAUCCACCAAUUAAAGGCCUUUUUAGUAGAGGCAUAUUGUAUCUUUUGUUCACUAUAUUUCAGAAAAAUGUGAUUCUUCCUUUUAACUCUUGAUAAGUUAUCAUGUUGUGUGUAUAUUUUUUAGUAACCAUGUCAAUAUACAUUUGUGUCUUUCACUCUUUCUUGUACAAGAGAAAGAACAAAAAAAAGAUUAUUCCCACCGAUUAUGAGUUAGUUUUUUUAAAAAGAACUUGAAAACCUUAUAAUUUUUUACAUUAGUGAAUCAGCUUUCAGAAAAUAGGGACAAAUAUAUAGUAUAUCCCUAAUCCAUGCAUAUGCAUCUUAUAUUUUGUACAAGUAACAUUACAUGAAUUUCUCCAAGAUAGUAUAACAAACCUAGUAAUCGAACACAAUCUAGAAUUCGAGCUUUGAGCAAAGGUGUUGGGAUUAAAGUGGAGCAAGGACCAAAAUUAAAUUUCGUUAUUAACGCCGCCAAGUGCCUCAUAUUAGUACGUGAAAACAAGUGAAAUGUCAUACUUGUUGUUGAAAUCUUAUGAGGUCUCGAGAAAACUUACCAAGCUUACGUGAAGUUAUAGAAGAAAAGUAACCACGCGCGCAUUCGAGAAUUUUGAAUGGAAAUGCUCGGGAUUAUUUUUGAAAUUUUUGCCGAAUGGAUGACUUCUCGAUCGACGUAGGGCUUCAAUGUUAAAGUAUGCGUCGAUAGGAGUUUGAGGAUAUCUUCGGAUUAUUUUUUAGAGCAUCAAACUAUAUUUUGAAAGAUUCGAGAAAAAUGAAAAUGUUUCUAGAAGUUAGAAAAUCGCUGGAUUAAUUUGAUUUCUUGUUGCACUGAACUACAGCCGUCUAUUCAAGUAUAAAGGGAACGCUCGGUCUGACCGACUCCCCAAGUGUGAGACUAGGCCCAGCUGCCUACCACCUUCCUUCCGCCAUUUCUCUGUCGUCUUGCCACGUUUGACCGACGGAUCGGUCUCUUUAGAUUUGCUCGUUGGCUACUCGCCGAUGUCCAUGGAUCAAACAUGAAACCGAAGAGGGAAGAGGUCUAUCGAGAGAGAGCUCCUGGAAUUCUGGCAUCGAUUCUCCAGUUUCCCAGUUUCUGGCUUCCUUUUCUUCUACAUGAGGUAGGGAAACUACUCCACUCAUUGUGCUCUACGUUUAUGUGCAUUGAGGCUGGACAUGUGUGAUUUCAGAGAUUAAUAUAAUAAUUCAGCGACUAGAGAGUGAUAGGACGUUGUCCCUACGAUGUCAAAACCUUGAACCUCUAGAGGGGCGUUAUACCCAUAUGUAUAUGUUGGGUCCAACCCGUGUUACCUUAGUUUGUAUACAUAGGUUAUUGACAUUGGCAUCAUAUAGCAUCGUGCCAACCCAUGAUAAUAAGAAAAGAAAAAGGAGAAUCAUUAUUAUUAUUGGAUUCGGUCAUAAACGUCAGUUGACCCAGUUUGUGGGGUAAUUAACAUGGGUAUUGGUCAUGAAAACAUGGAAAUUCCUGCAAGUAUGUAUGUCUAAGUACUCAGACCUUGAAUGAGCAUAUAUACUGAAAAUCUUAAAUAAUGACUUUGUUUGCCAUACUUAACCAUGGAGAGUUGGAGACCUAGCCGAUAGAAUCAAAGAAGUUUACUAAUAUCGGCAGCAAUGUCGGUCCUGAGAUUACAGUGGCUUGCGACAAACAGUUAAUAUGUGGCCUCACAUGAAGUUUAAGUAUAUAUAUAUAUUUUUGUUGAAUUUAAUAAUUACAAAAAUAACAACAGGAAAAAAAAAAUUAUAUAAAAAACUUUAAUUUAUAUUUUAGUUGUAAUUAAAUCCAUGCCACAUGUCAAAAUUUAAUUUGUAAAAAAAGACCGUGUCAGACUGCCACGUGGUCUUUUAAAAACAUUUAAAAAUUUCUUGUCCUUUACCAUUUGCUCUCUGACGCUCUAAAGGAUGUGUUUAGCAAGGGAUGGGUGUGAUAUGGUUGGUGGUGAAAUGUCGAGGGACACGUGUGACAUAUCUAAGCCUCCUUGUUUUUUCCUUAAAUCACUCUUAAUCCAUGUCUAAGGAUCAUGUUUUGUGUCAGAUCUUGACACGUGGAAUGAUUGGUGAGAGGUUCUCCUUGAUGUCAGCUAACAUGUCUAAGAGUGAGCAUGAGGGUCGGCGUCCUAGUCUUGGAGAUUGCAGUUAUGCCACUUGAGGGCUGAGGCUUCUAGUAUUUGGAUUAGGGCUGGCAUUUUGUCCCGAUCCAACUGUACCAACUGAAAAACCAACCGAACCAUCGAAAUCGGUUACCGUCGGAAUCGGUUACCGACUUGUCGGUACGGUUGUACCGUACCGUACCGUACGUAGUACGUGGUACGGUAACGGUAUGUAAUAUUAUACAAAUACGGUAUACCGUACCGUACCGACUUUUUUAUAAUUUUAAAAAUCAUCUAAUCUUAGCCGUUGGUUUCAAGAAGAAUGGAUCCUAACCGUUGAAACCUAACCUAACACUCAGUCAGUCAGUCACUCUCUCCUCUCUGUCACUCGCUCGGGGGCUCAGGGCUCGGACGCUCGCACUCUCCUUUCGCUCUCAAACAGUCAAACUCUCAUCUCUCAAUCUCCUAAAUCGAUUUCCAAUUCCCAAAUCGAUUCCCACUCCUCACUCACUCACUCAGUCCGNNNNNNNNNNNNNNNNNNNNNNNNNNNNNNNNNNNNNNNNNNNNNNNNNNNNNNNNNNNNNNNNNNNNNNNNNNNNNNNNNNNNNNNNNNNNNNNNNNNNNNNNNNNNNNNNNNNNNNNNNNNNNNNNNNNNNNNNNNNNNNNNNNNNNNNNNNNNNNNNNNNNNNNNNNNNNNNNNNNNNNNNNNNNNNNNNNNNNNNNNNNNNNNNNNNNNNNNNNNNNNNNNNNNNNNNNNNNNNNNNNNNNNNNNNNNNNNNNNNNNNNNNNNNNNNNNNNNNNNNNNNNNNNNNNNNNNNNNNNNNNNNNNNNNNNNNNNNNNNNNNNNNNAAUACUUAUCCGAUAGAUAUGUCAACAUCUUCUCCAAGAGUUUUGAAAUUGUAAAGUGGUGGAAAGGCAAUGAGGCAACCUAUCCAGUGCUAUCAAAGCUAGCCAAGGAUAUAUUUGCUAUUCCUUGCUCAACAGUGGCCUCUGAAAAUGCAUUUAGUUUAGGAUCAAGAGUGGUUGAUCCUUUUAGAGCAUCAUUGACACCAAAAAUGGUAGAGGCCCUGGUGUGCACAAGCGACUGGUUAAAAUGUGAUCAACCUAACCUAUACAAGGAUCCCAGUGAAGAUGAGCUCGCCAUUUACGCUGAGUUGGAGGAGAUUGAGAGAGGUAAUUAUUAGAAAACAAUGUGAAUUUGCUAUUUUGUCACAUACCUUAUUUUUUUAACCAUGUGAAUUUUAUUUAUUUUGCAGAAAACGGUUUCAAUCAAGGACAGGAGGCAGCAGCAACCCCAAUUGAGCUUACUGGAAGCUCUGGGCAAACCAAUGUGUAGCAGCAGGCUAGCAGUGUGUUUGAAAUGGAUGGUUUCUGAAUUUGUUGUGAUGUUUUAGUUAUUUUUUGUUAAGACUUUAAAGUUUAAACUCUUUUAGUCUUUACUAUUUGUCUAUUUCAGUUGAAACUUUAAACUAAUGCUUAUGCCUUGUGAGUUGUGAGUUGUGACAUGUGACUUUUGUUUUGAGUAAAAUCAUUAAAUUGUGACUUGAAGAUUCACUAUUUUAGGGUGUUGUGCAUUUGUUUCAGGGUUUGGUGUUGUCAGUUGUCAACAGUGUGCAUUUUAAUAAUUUUAGAGUUUUGACUUGUGAGUUGUGCUUGUGCAGUUGUGCAUUUGUAAUUUGUUUCAGGUUUUUUGGUCUUUGCCUCUUUGGUGCAUUGCUAUUAGGCUUUUAUUUCUUUAGUGUUAUUGUGAUACUGUCAAUAGUUAAUACUGUGUUAGUAAAUUAGUAUUGGAAUGUGCAGUUCAGUAGUUGCAGACAGGUGAGACAGCAGCCUUACAGUUAGUCACUUAGGCAGUUAGGCUGAUAGGGUGCCUUUGUAACUUUAUCAGUUUGUUGCUUGUGAGAGACACUGAGAGUUUGAGACUGUCAAAUUGAGUUUGUGACUUUGUGGAUUUGUAAUUUUGUUAUUUGGGUUGGAAUUUAACAUGUGAAACACAAGAAAAUAUUUGGUUUCUACAGUGUUUAAAACUUUGAAUCACUAGUUUGCUGUUGUUGCUCUUUUUUUUUAGUCUAGGCCUUUUUUUUCAUUUAAAAUAGUGACAGAUUAAGAGGCUCAAUAAAGUUCGGUUCUAGGCCCAACCGUACCGAUACCAACCGAAAGUUCGGUUACCGAAGGUUCGGGAUACCGACUUUUUCUGUCGGUAUUGGUAUCAAGUUUUUCCUACCGACAUAAGUCGGGACGGUUUACGGUUUGGGACAAAAAAAUCGGUUAGCGUACCGGUUCCAUCCCUAAUUUAGAUGUUGAACUCUUGGUCUUGGAGAUCGAAGUAUCUUGGAGGUUGAGGCUUUAGACUCCAUUAAACUAUGUUUCUCUAAUAGUAGGUCACAAUUAAUAUAUAUGUUCUAGUCUUGUCAUGUCAGAAAGUCACAAUUAGGGAUGGAACCGGUACUUCGAUCUAAUGGAGGUUAAGCUAGUCACUAUUAUUGUAAUCACUAUUUGGUGAAAUUGGAGGUUAAGCUAGUCACAAUUAUUUAUGUAUCUUGGAUAAGACAAAUCUUUCGUCAAACUAAUCGGCUGCUCUUGCAGCACAUGAGAAGGAUCGGCAAUAUACUUGCGGAGCAUGGAUACAUGAAACACAUUAUGUAUCUUGGAUAACUCUAGAGGCAAGGCUAAUCGAUAAGCAAGUGAGCCAACUCGCUCUAUUAUCUCAUAAGGGCCAAUAUACCUCGGACUAAGCUUCCCACGCUUACCGAAACGUACUACCCCUUUCCAAGGAGAUAGUUUCAAGAACACCCAAUCACCCACUUGAAACUCAAGGUCUCUCCUACGGACAUCUGCAUAACUCUUUUGCCUACUUUGAGCAGCCUUGAGUCUAUCUCUAACCACUUUAAUCUUCUCAUUCGUAACAUGGAUUAACUCUGGGCCACAAAACGCUUUUUCCCCCACUUCAUUCCAACACAAAGGCGUGCGACACUGCCUCCCAUAAAGAGCCACAAAGGGAGCCAUACCAAUGCUAGAAUGAUAGCUAUUAUUAUAGGCAAAUUCCAUCAAAUAUAGGUUUUUAUCCCGACUCCAAAUAAUUGUAAUCACUAUUUGGUGAAAUUCCAAGAAACCUGGUUAUAGUCUAAAGUUGACGACUUGAAAUGCUAAGUUAAGCUAGUCACAAUUAUUUAUGUGUAUGAAUUCUCUUUAAUUUUUGAAUAAAAAUUUAAGUGUGUUGAAAUAUCAAAAUUUUACUUAGAUAUUUUGAUUGUGAAGUUAAGCUAGUCACAAUUAUUUAUGUGUAUGAAAUAGAAUGGGUUCAAAAGUAUAGUUUAUUUCUCGAACCAAAUUAUAACAUCAACCUACAUAUCAUUUAUUCCACUACACAGUUCACCCUACCACUGCCCAUCAUACAAUCAAAUAUAUAUGCAGCACCAGCCAAAAAGCAUCAUAUACACAGCACUGACAGCAGGUUGCAAGGAGGGGUGUUAUAUAAUUGAUAUUAUGCAGUCAUAGGAGAGAUUACACACAUUCACAAAGCAAGUGAAUCAAGGGCAUUUGGGAUCCCCUCUCUUUGUCUUCCAGUUGUUAUAGCAAGGGCAGACUUGCUUGUUGCCGUAGGUGCCUGGAGGAACGCACAAGCACUUUGCGCAACACUUUUGGCAGAAGAACAAACACGGCUUCUUAUAUUGUGUCUUUGAGCAUCUCGUGCUGCAACGAGGACCACACUCUACGCACAAUAUAUAACCGACCCAUUAAUACUAAUUAGUAGAUUAGUACGUUGCUAAUUUUCAUAUAAUUACAUAUGCAAUUAACUAAUUGGUGAGGCAUACAUACCAUGAGGUUCAAGGCUGCCUUCAGUAGCUCCAUGCUGCAUUCCAUGCCAAAUGACAAAGAGCAAACAAGAUCGAGGUUAGUUAUGUUUGAAGAGAAUGUUCUGUGGUUAGUUUAAAUAUGAGGGCCGGUGUCAUGCACCCACCAUGGUUUGGUUGUUGCUCCGCAUCUGAGGCUGUGGUGAUGGAGCCUCAAUGCUGCUGCUAAUAGCCGCCUGCCACAAUAAUUUUUUGGAAAGUUAUUUUAAUACCCAAAUGCUUAAAUAAAAACUUACGAGUGCUAAGAUUUUAACCAGCCACCUUCAGGAUUGUAAUUUUCUAUCUAGACAUAAGCAUGAGCAACAUGGGUUUAUGUUUUAUAUGAUUUCGGUUUGCUUUCUUUUCUAUCCUACAGAAUAGUGCAGGUUCAACGUUUAAUGUACAGCUUGAAACUUUGAAUGUACAGUUAUCGUAAAGUCGCCAUGCAAAUCAAUAGCACUCAUGAUAUUCAGUUGUGACUUCGGCUAUCAUAGUGCCCUGAUCCAUUCAGCUUGUAAAUGAGAGUGUGAGAGGUGCAGUGAUGCAUGUACUAGCUGGGAUUCGAUCAAUAUAUAUGGAAAUUAAUCAAAUCGAUCAGCAUUUAGAAGCGGAUCUAAUUAAUUAACAUGGAAAUAUAUUAAAUUUUGAUGAGAGAGAGAGAGAGAGAAAGAGAGAGAGAGAGAGUGUGCAUGUUGUUUGCUUACACGGUUUUCUCCUAUUAAAACGAGAAGCAUAGCAAGAGCUAGCAUCACAAGACUUGGCGUCCUUCCCAUUGCUAUCUAGCUAAGCUGCUAUCUACUGUAAUUGUUAGCUAGGGAGAGUAGUGAGUGAGAGUGUUUGUGUGCUCGUUUGAUAUGGAAGCUUUAUAUAUCUAUAUAGGUGAUGAUCGAAGUCUCUGACUGCCUCUCAUAUAAUUCUAUCGACGUCGUUUCUGUAAGUACGUUCUAGACAAACAUGUGAAGAUCGAUUGGUAUUAUUAUGUGAAAGUGACUGAAUGGCAUUUACAAGUUUACAUGCAUGUUCUUUCACAUGUCUCUGUUGCCUAGCAUAACUAAAACUACUAGAACUAGUUAUAUUGGUUUGGUUUUUAUUAAUGCCCCAACGUACUCGUAACCAAAUCUACCAUCAAUCUCUCCAACUUGUACCUUCUUCUGUCUCCAACUCCUACUCGUCGAUUUCCACGGGGAAUCUAUAAGAGCCCUUUUGUUUUGUUCAGUAAUUAGUCUACUAGCUAUAUGCAUGCAUGCGCAACAACACCCGUGAACUAUUUUGUGUGCUCUUAUUGCAGCUUACCGUCUUUAGUCUUAAUAUAUAUAUAUAUAUAUAGGCCGGAUGUAGAGCAGACGUCCGCACCGAAGAAGGGAAUAUGAUCGAUGUGCUUGUGGAAUUGUGGUUUAAUUGCAAGGCAUAAAGUGGCACACUAGCUAGAUCGAGUUGCAUGGUUAAUAAUUUCUAUAAAGUAUAAGUGGUUUGUGACUCCGAACUUUUUUACAUAUGUAACUUCGGAGACAUUUGUUUCACACAUAUAUGGAAGAGGGACACAAACUUCCCUGAAAGCUGACCAAGCUAUGCAGUACAUAUAUAUGAAGGAGAUGAGCUUUAUUGGUUAAUUAAAUUUUUAAAUGGUUGAUAAAAAUAUGUAAAUAAGAGAAAAUUCGGACGCACAUGUACAUGUACAUAGUACAUACAAGUCCAGACACGAGUUUUUUUCCCAAAUAACAAGAGACCAACUAGUCUACUACGUACUCUCUAUCGCGCGCUAGUGUUGAAUAGUCGACAGCCACAACUAGCCUAGUUUCACUCUUAACUAUCUUCUCCUACCAUUUUAUCCAAAGUUAAGCCAAAUGCUAACUUUGGUGAGAGUUUACCAAUGUAGAGAAAGCCCAGAAGAACAAAGAGAACGGAGAGGAAGAGAAAAUGGAAAGAGAUGACUGAAGGGGUAAAGGAUUGGGUGGAUCCAAGAAAAGUGUGUGGAGUUUAUUUCAUCCAUCAAAUUUGUCUCAUUUAGAUCUAACGGCUAUAAAUGAAAUGUCUCUUUCUGUCCCGCAAACUCAGUCUCGUAGGUGAGCGACCUGUAACUUAAUUUUACCCACUUCAUGUAAUUAUGAAAACUUUGCAACCAAGAAGGCAAUUGUAAUUACGAAAAAAAAAAAAAAUAACCAACUCUAGUAUGACAUUUUCUUUUUCCGAUGGAGAACAAAAAUACAAGGUUACAAAAGAGCGCACUUCUGUAAAGGUUGCUGCAGACUCAUGCUUCUGUAAAGGUUAAACAUAUUAGACGCAGUGCUAACAAUGUGGCACAUAUCAUGGCAGCAAACUCCAAAGGCCUUGCGUCUCCUGUUUUUUAUUCUUCAAUACCUUCUUUCCUUCAGUCUGCGCUUGCAGCUGAAAUAGUCCAACUGUAGUCACUUCCGGUAUUCAAUAAAGUCUGACCUUUGAUCAAAAAAAAAGAAAAAAGAGCGCACUUCUAAUAAACCUAAACCAGAAAGAUUUAAGGAAAAAACUUGUGUCUGGACUGGUAUGUACGUGUGCGCUGGACUGUCUCUUGUUUACAUACUUUUUUCAAUGUGAAUUAUAAUUUUAACCGUUCAAAAGUUGAAUUAAACAAAAAAAAAUACACCUCUGACAAAAAAAAAAAAAAUCAAUGUAAACAAAAUUUGUUUGGUCAAUCGAAUGUAUCAAACAAAUAGACAAUUGAUCAUGAGACUGUUACAUUUCACCAGAAUUGUCAAUUUGUUUAAUGCAAUCGGCUGAGUAAACGAAUUUUGUUUAUAUUGAUUUUUUGCAUAGGUGAUCUUUAUUGGUUAAUUCAACUUUUAAACGGUUAAGACUAUAAUUCACAUUGAAAAAAGUAUGUAAACAAGAGAGAGUCCGGAUGCAGACGUAUAUAGUAGUCUGGACGCAAAUUGUUUCCUGCAAUUUGUAUGCGAGUUUUACUCGAGUACGUCUUCAGCAAAAGAAAGAGAGAAAACUAUACAGAAAAUACUACAAGAGAGGAAGAAGGAUUAUGAGGCGUGAAGCGUGAUUGACGAAAGUGGAUUGUGGAUUGAAGAACACAAGUAAAAGGAAGAUAGAGCAGAAAGGAAAAGAAAAGAAAAAUGGUAACUGAUGGGGAACAAGGCAAUUGAAAGAAGAUUCAAAUUCAAACUAGGAGUCGAAGGUGAUUUGAGCCUAUAGUCAUGCGUUUACGUAAUCUAAUAUAUUAGGUGUCAUUGACAAUCAUAUCUUACCUGAUCAUGUUGGAUAAUACGAAAUAAUAUGAUUUAAUUUGUAACUUUUAGACUAUAGGUAGUAGAAGAAUGGUAUCGAAUGCUCCCUACCGCCGCCAAAUAGUGAUUGAUGGCAACGUAAUAACUCAUUUUGAAAAUGUGGGCAAGAUGAGAUAUAUAAAAUUUAUUUGGAAAAAUUUUAAAGAAAUAUUUCAUUAAAAUAGAAAAGUACAAUGUAAAAUACAAUGUUAAAAAGAAUGGCUGGAUUGUUGCUCAGCUUCAUUGGCAUUCCUUGGUUAAAAAGAAUAUCAAAUGGUGCAACUUAUUCAUCUUUGUUUGGUGGUUCAUUUGGAAAUGGAGAAAUAAGGUUGUUUUUUAUUCCAACUUCAUCAUGCCUACUUGUCCUGACAAAAUAAUGUGGAGUUAUAUUGAUGAGUGGACUCCUACGAAUAGCAAUUGUAAUUCUGAUAAUCUUUUCAGCUACUCUCUUUAUUCUUGGACUAAACCUCAUGCUAGUGUUUUUAAAUUGAACCAUGGCACCAGAAUUUCUAACUCUUGAAGAAUUGGUGCUGGUGGAACUAUAAGAGAUCACAAUGGUGCUUGAAUUUCUGGAUUUCAAGUUAAUCUUGGUUUUGGUGAGAUUUUAGAUGCUGAAGCUUGGGGCUUAUUUUUCGGUCUACAACUUGCUGUAAAUCUUAAUGUUCAAAAACUUGAAGUUGAGUCAGACUCUCCCAUCCUUGUUCAGCUUGUGCAAAUGAAUGAUUGUGGUCUUCAUCCUCUUGGUUCUCUGAUUUCUGGAUGUAUAAACUUCAUGGCCAGUUUCAACUCCACUAAGAUCAGUCAUAUUUUCAGAGAGGGAUACAUGACUGCUGAUGUUUUAGCCAAAGACAACAUUAAUCAUGAUCUGGGUUUACUCAUGCUCGACGAUCCUCUUAUCCAUGCUGCUCAAAUGUUUCUUGAUGAUAUUUCUGCUGUUUUCUAGAGCUAGAUGCUCUACGACUAGUGCUUAAUUUUUAUUUUAUUUAUUUAUUUAUUUUUCUUUUCUGUUCGAGUCUUUUAGACCCCUUAUGUAACCACACACACACACAAAAUACAAUGUUAAAUAAGUUAUUUCAUUAUGGUACAUGUUCGAUGACCUUUCCUCUGUAGUCCGGAAAAGCUCUGAGCUUCGGUUUUCUUGUAAAAUUCUGAUUUUUCUGUAUCAUUCUCAAAAUUUUAUCCCAUUCAAAUGUCUUGCACCAUUUCCAUAUCUCCUCUCUCUCGUCAACGAUUCCUCUUUUACUUCAAACCCAUCACCUGACAUCCCCUUAUUCAAUCCUCGCACCCUCUUUUUCUUCUUCUUCUUUAAGUCAUCUGCUGCUGCAUUCAUGCCAGGACCUUCACACCCUGAAACAAGUCCACGCUCGUAUUCUAGUCUCAUCUGGGUUCAGACCCACUAAUCUCUUUUCGAAGCUACUAACAUUGUAUGCUGGGUUCAAUGACCUUGGCAGCGCAGCUUCGGUUUUCAGUUCCAUACAAGACCCAAGCACCAUGCAGUGGAAUCUACUCAUAAAGACCCACAUUGAAUGGGGUCGUCUCGAUUCGGCUUUGUUGCUGUACAGAAAGAUGCGCGAGCUGGGUGUUCCACAUGAUGGUUUUACAUUUCCAAUUGUAAACAAGGCGGUCUUGAUGAUUGGUGAUGGUGUUAGAUAUGCAGGGGUGCUUCAUUCUUUGGCAAUUCAAAUGGGUUUUGGAUUGGAUUUGUAUUUUGGCAAUACCAUGAUUGAGUUGUAUGUGAAAUGCGGCUGUUUCAGUUAUGCCCGGAAGCUGUUUGAUGAAAUGUGUGACAGAGAUUUAAUCACUUGGACUUCGAUGAUUUCCGGGUAUGUUUCUCAAGGAAAUGUUACUUCUGGGUUUAGUUUGUUUAACGAAAUGAGGAUGGAAUUGGAACCGAAUUCAGUGACAAUGUUGGCCAUGUUGCAAGGUGGUUGUUGUUUCGAAACUUCAAUAUACGGGAGGCAACUUCAUGCAUAUGUGAUUAAGAAUGGUUUACUGAGUCAUGGAGCUGUUGAGAACUCAAUCUUGAGAAUGUACGCUAAACUAGGUACCGGUGAAGAAGUGGAAGACUUUUUCAGGGAACUUGAUAGAAGGGAUGUUGUUACCUGGAAUAUUUGUAUUUCCUAUUAUACUUCGAGAGGGGAUGUUGUAAAAGUAAGAGAUUUGUUCAAGGAGAUGCAAGGUGAAGUAGCACCAAGCAUUGAGACGUUAACUAUAGUUAUAUCAGCAUUGGCCAUACAUGGGAUUCUAUCCCAAGGUGAAAGCCUCCACGGUUUAGCAAUAAAAAGUGGUCUUCGUGAUGAUGUUUUACAGACUUCUUUGUUGGACUUUUAUGCCAAAUGUGCAAAAUUGGAAAGUGCGGAUAAAUUGUUUAGAGAAAUCCGUGAUAGAAAUUGCAUUACUUGCGGUGCAAUGAUGUUUGGACUCAUUCAAAAUGGGUAUAUUUAUGAAGCAGUUGGAGUGUUUAGACAAAUACAAGCUGCAGGUCUUGAUCCAGGGGCAGAGAUACUAAGAAACCUCAUUGAUGCAUUUGCAAAUUUAGGUGCUCUGAAGUUAGGACAAGCAGUUCAUGGCUGCAUAAUAAGGAAAUCAUUUUACGGAACUGAGGAGUGCCAUACUCAUCUUGAAACCUCCGUAAUCAACAUGUACAUAAGAUGUGGCAGCAUAUCUACAGCUAGAGUGUGUUUUAAUGGAAUGGUUCUCAAAGAUGUGGUGGCAUGGACAUCAAUGAUUGAGGGUUAUGGGAGCCAUGGACUUGGUUUUGAAGCCUUGAAACUCUUUGAUCUAAUGACAAGACAAGGAAUAAAGCCAAAUAGUGUCACCUUCUUAAGUUUGUUAUCUGCUUGUAGCCACUCUGGUCUUGUGACUGAAGGUUGUUCAGCUUUUUAUUCCAUGAAAUGGAGGUAUGGAAUCGAACCCGAUUUAGAUCAUUAUACUUGUCUUGUUGAUCUCUUGGCCAGAUGUGGAAAGCUCAAAGAGGCCUUGGCUGUCAUUUUGAAAAUGUUGGCUUUUCCAGAUAGUAGGAUUUUCGGGGCUCUUCUUUCAGGAUCUAGAAUUUACGGCAACAUAGAGCUUGGGCAAUAUGCAGCCCAGAGGCUCUUGGAAUUAGAACCUGAUAAUGUUGGAUAUUUUACUCUGUUGAGUAAUACACAAGCCAGUGUCAGACAGUGGGAUGAAGUAGAAGAGAUAAGGAGAACUAUGAAGGAAAAUGACCUAAAGAAGAAGCCAGGGUGGAGCUGCAUUGAGGCUAAAGGUUUGAUUCAUGGGUUUGUUUCUGGAGAUAAUUCGCACCAUCACAUUGAGGAGAUUUAUGAAGUAUUGGGGUGCUUAAGUAGGUUAAUAUGAACUGCGAUCAACUGAUAUGUUAUGUCAUCGGAGGUGUCAGACUGUCAGCGACUUGCUGGAAUAGUUACUCUUGUUUGUUUGCUUCAGUUGGCUGAAUUUUGCUACAUGUUGCACAGGAAUGGUCAAUAGUGAUUAUAGUGCUACCAAGAGACUGAAUAGUUUUUAAAAUAUUACCAGAAAAAUUUGGAGAUCUAAGUAGGAGUCUAUCAAGUAUAAGGUCUCUAUGAAUAUAUGAUAUUUGUUUUAAAAAAAAAAAAAAAAAGAAAAAAAAAGAAUAUAUGAUAUGUAAGGUAUAUCAUUGCUUUUGAUAAUACAAGGACUUCAAGCAAUAGCAAGUGAGUUAAAAUUUUCCACUGGUUUGUGAUACUAUAAUUGAAACUUUAUAUUGUUAAAUCUUAGUAGUCUACUUUUAUGUCUUUACAGUUUUUUCUAUUGCAUGUUCUGUUUUUAAGUGCAGAUGCUAGCUUGCAUAUAUGACAUUAUGAUUAUAGCCUUCUUUAUUGAGCGAAAGGUAUGACUUAAAUCAGAUUAAUUUUUUAAAUCAGAAGUAUCAAGUUGAAUCUUUCUUUUUCAUCUCUUUUCUGUGCCUAUCCCUUUGGUUCCAGUUUCAAUCACUAGAGUAGAUACUAAAACUUAUUCAGUCUUAUUGGUUAUGGUAAUUUGUCUAUUUUGCUCCGGCCUGGUUAUAGAAAUGAUAAAGUUUACCCAAAGUGUAGGAGGAUAUGCCUUCGCAAGAUCUUUCAUGCCUCUAGUGCAAAUAUGAACCGUAGCUUAUAACUAUAUCUGAUUUGGAGAUGACUCUGAAGUAAUACAAUUUGUAGAAUAUUUGGCGGAAGAGUGGUGCACAAACUGAUUCUCCAAAACUCUCUAGUACACCUGAGAACCCUUUAUUCAGAUUCUUAGCAGAAUAGGGCUUGUCCAUCUCUCUUUCAUCUGAUAAGCUUUGCCAUUUCCGUUCUCUCGACUUCUUUUUAAACUCCCUACUUCCUGGAAUUUGUUUUUUCCUUCUCUAAAUAAGGCUAUAAUUGAUGCACACAGCAGUAGUUGAUCUGGGGAAUAAGGGUUAAUGGCAUUUACAAUAAAAUCAGCCGUAGGUAAGACAUAAUCCUUGGUUAAGUCUUUUAGUCCAGCACUGUCCAUGUAGGGGAUCUGGAAUGAAUAUGCUACAUUUUGCUUAACUAAAUUAUCUGUAGAGAAGUUUCAGUUCCUUUCCAUUUUAGUCUGUUUUGCUUCUGGUAAAGUCAUAAGUGGUGAGGAUUAUGAAGGUUCAAAAUGAUUAAAAGAAGAAGAAAAAAAAUGACGUACUGUUAGAAUGUGGAUUAAGCUAGAAGGUGAAUUCUGUAGUUUGCAGAUUUUCAUUUUCUUAGUCUGAGGUCCUGAAAAACAGAAAAACCGUAUAUGAGCUUACUGAAGAGUGGUUCCAUUUUAGCAUAAAAAUAAAAUAAGGCCAGGAGCUAGAGAUUCUUGAGACAUGAGAUGGACUGCCAGUGUUUUAAUGUGUGUUCUUUGUGAUAAUGGAAACCCAUAUACAGCAUAUCUGAUAUAAAUCCUUCAAAAUUAUAGAUAUUACUUGGCUGAAAUUUAUCUCAAGUGACGGUCUACUAGCAAGAUCAUUUCCACCGUUACUAGAGAUAUUAGUAAAUUUUAUCGAGAUCUAUGCUCAGUAUGCUGUUUCUAAUGGAUUGUUGUGACCUUGAAUGGUUCAUCUUCAUGGCGAUGAAUACUUAGCUCAGAUAUUAUCAAUCAUGGUUUGAUCUGUGCUUUUAGUGAUUGGUUUAGUCUUCAUAAUACUAGCGUGAAGUUCUGUUAGCUGCCAAGAACUGAAUUGUACAAUUUUUCAGGCGAUUAUCAUCGCAAUGAAUGGGGCUCCGUAUUCUCUGUUUUGCUCCGAUGAAAAGAUUUGCAAUCCUUGUUCACUUCGAUAUUUCAUCCCAUAAGUCUCUCUUGUUCCAAGUCAUUGUACUAUUGCUAUGCAGACAUUGCUUUGUAACUUGUAAGGCUACAAGAACUCGCGACAGGGUUAAUACCAUUGGUUACAAAAACCCUACAAAAACAACAAAGGGUGAAGACCACAAGAUGCCUACGUAUCUGCCAGUAAACUAGACAGUGAAUCACAAAAUGGAAUUCACUCAAGACAUACAAAUGGAGACAAGACCAUAAAAGUAAAGGGAAACAUUGGAGAUUACUACAAUGCUAAUACCAUUGGUUUCUCCAUUCUACUUGUCUUAGAUAUGUAGUGAUUUUGUAUAAAUUAACCCCUCAAGCCCGAAGUACUUACAGUCCAACUUCACUUCUUUCCUACCAACUUUAAGGAAAAUAAAGUUAUCAGACAUGGCAGAGAAGGAAGGAGGCAUCAUCAAGAAGGGACACGAAGAGGGACUGGCAUUGGCAACUGCACUUCUCCAAGAGUUUGAGCUUCCACUCGGACUUUUGCCCCUUGCUGAUGUGAUUGAAGUUGGUUUCGUGAGGAGUACUGGCUACAUGUGGAUCGUCCAGAAGAAGAAGGUUGAGCACAGUUUCAAGAUCAUCGGUAAGCUUGUGAGUUAUGACACAGAGAUCAAAGGAUAUGUUGAGAAGCAGAGGAUCAAGAAGCUGAAGGGAGUGAAGGCCAAAGAGCUCAUGUUGUGGCCUCCAGUGAGUGAAAUCAUUGCUGAUGCGCAACCAACCGGAAAGAUUCACUUCAAGAGCCUUGCUGGCAUCACCAAAACUUUUCCAGUUGAGGCGUUCGCUGCUGGUCAGUAAUGUCUGUUUGUCGCCAAAGCAAGCCAAGGUUUCAUCAGUUUGAUAUUUCAGUAUCCCUUCUCUAUCUAGGGAAGCCUAUUUUGUCUUUUCUUUUUCCCUUCUUCCUCGUAUGGCUUUGUCAUGGUAAGCUUUCUGAUUGUGGUAUCCUUCUACAAAAACAGAAACGUAUGCACUACAUGAUAUAUAUACCAAUGAAGUGGAUUUGACGCAAAAAUGUGAUUGUAGCAUGAUAAACUUCCUAACCUUCCUAGUAACGAAGUUUUACUAGAAAUUGGAUAGUCUUAUAUCAUAAUCAUAAUAAAUUAUCACAAAUCUUAAUUGACAAAGCAUCAGAGAUCUACAUAUUCCUCAUAAUUCACAAGCAUGGAUCAGUGUCUAUAGUUGGCACAUAGAGAAAGCUACAAUACAUUAUUUCCUUUAGUGGCUCCUAACAAGAACUAAUAUCCUCAUAAAUUUGCUGCUAUAGGCCACUUGUGUGGAGGUAACUUGAGAGGAACUAGCACAAGACAGAAACAGAUACACACCUUGCCCUUCCAAUUUCUGACUCCAUAGAGUUUUUUCUUUCUGAAACACAAUUAAGACAACUCCAUUAGUGCUUCAAAGAUUAGCGUAAUUAUGACUUGGCAUAGCAAUUCAUCAGUUAUUCAUACUAUUAGAAAGAAUAAGCUUUCACAAUCACUACUGGAAACUAAAGUGAGCUACACCCAAGAUGAUCUCAAUAUUGAAAGCUUUAAGCUUAUACAAAUCAUCCUAAUAACAAUUCAUUUUGCAAGGAGGAAGUACCAGAGCUUAUACCUAAUAAUAAUUCAUCUUGCAAGGAGGAAGUACCGGGGAUUACAUACUGGGAAUGCAAGUGAUCCUCCUAUUUUAAGAUAAUUAAUAUAGAUGGAGAGCAUGAAGGUCUUAGUCUGUAGUAAAAAAGAACAAACAAGCACAGAAGUAGAAAAGUCAUAACAGAAUUCUGUUAUCUAGUCAAGAAUAGUCAUAACAGAAUCUGUGUAGAUCAGAUGUGUCCUAAUGUUUUUCUAGAUUAAAGUCCAAUUUCACCAUUUUAUUUUUGGCGAAGGGAAUACAUUGAACCAGCAAACAAGAAACAACAGAAAGAAACAGAACACAGCAGGAACAAAAAAUCUAAAACAAAAGUGAUUUCAAUUCCCAUAACUAGACCUUCAAUUUCAAUACCAGAUCAUAUCCCAGAGCAGUUGAACCCAAAUAUUCAUCGAAUUGAAAACAGUAUAUAUUGAAACUGAAAUUUGAAACUGAUAGUUAAUAACCCUGAAUCAAAUUGCCAGAGCCUUUGCUUGAUUGCGGCGGCUUCAAUUUCAAAACUAGAAUCAUAAACCAGCGAGGCAGAAACAAUUGAAGAGAAGGGAUUCAUGGCAUCUACGUAAUUGCUUCAACGAAGGUAACGGCUGGUAUCAAAGAAUCUUCAUUAAUCUACAGUGUAAGGCACCACAGUGCUCAUGCUGGCUUCUGCUUCUAAAUGGAGGGGUGAGGUGGCUUCGGUUUUUUGACGGAAGCAGUGGCUUCUGGAAGCGAGGGGAGCUAAAGCCGGGUUACCAAACAAGACGUGUUUGUGCUUAUAAGCAGGGGAGCUAAAAAGUACCCCCUCCUCUCAACCCCCCACCCCCCCCCCCCAAAACCACAGCCAUUAUUUUCAACCUUACCACUCCCUCACCUGAUUUUAUUGGGGUCUCUCAAUUAAAUUAGAUCCUUUUGAUACAUACAUUUUUCAGUGAUCUGCCUGUGAGUUAUAGAAUGGCUACAACAAUCUUAUUUGAUAAGUCUAGGUCAUGAGAUAGUGAGAUGCUACAAACACACAUCCAUGCCUUGUGGUGGAACACGAUUAAAAAUGCUUGAGCCCUAACCCUGACUAACACCAAUGAUCAAAAGGCAAAAACACUUCCUACCAUGUUGAUAACAUUGAAGUACUGAACAAUCACUAUAUGUUGACUUGAGAAAGGAAAAAGAUUCAACCUCAAGAGCAAUUGUGUGAUCAGAAACAUCACCCACUUUAGCACAGAAAAUGCCAGCAAUAUGAAGAACAUCCCUACUAGCACUAGCAUUUACAGCAAUCUUUAUUAACAUCAACUCUCGCUCAGCAAAUGGCAAGUGUGUAAUAUUCUGAACCUGGAUAGACAACCAGCAUUUUCUAUCAUCCAAUAAAGGCCUAUUGAUUUCCUUUCACAACCAAAAAAAAAAAAAAGGUCCUAUUUCAGAAGCCUAGACAUACAACUUCCGCUCAAAAUUGAAUUCAAUAGCCAAUCAAUAUUGAGCUGAGAAAGGAUGGUGAUGGUGACAAAGAAUAUAAGAGCAGGUUGCAAUUCUUUAAGAUAAGGAGAGUAGAAUAAGAUCCGGGGCCGCAUUAUUAAUACAAAAUUCGACUUUCUUAAAAGUAAUUUAUCCUUCAACUUACUUGCUUUUAUUGUACCCUCUAAACAAGUUGCAUAUUUGAAAAUAGUUGGUUCAUAACUACAAAGAAAGCAUGCAAAGUUUUCCAGUAGCCACUAUGUAUCAAUAUUGUUCUUCUGUUCUGGAUAUUAACAAGUGUUCCCCAAAAAAGAACUGUUGUAAAUCCACAAUGAGCUAGUAAACAUGUAAGUUCAGAACCAUUACCUCAUGAAUAUCUGUUAACUUGAGAAGUUGCUGGACCAAUCUCGGUAAUUGAGUCAUCAGUACCAGGAAUAACAGUUGUAAUGCGAGAAAGCCCUUCCUUCUCAGAAGGCCCCACAGCUAGACUAUGAGGAAAGGCCAAAGGAAAGCAAAUAUAGAAAGACGAGCUCAGCUGAAUCAACUAACCUGAAUGUUAUAACCUCUACGAGAUAUGACUCCUGUUACUAUGUUCAGGACUCCAGGUACGUCAUUCACCAGCAUACACAAAGUGUGUGAUUGAACACCACUUAGCUGUAUUUAAUACACAAAAAGAAACUGAAUAAUAUAAAUGUGUAGGUUAUAAUGCACUGAUUUGUAGUUUACAAAUUAAUCAAAUAUUUUAGCAACUACAAUCUAUGUAAAGAAAUAUAAUUUUGAACCUUGCACACUUCUUAAACUAAGAUUUUCAAUCUUAAGAAUGAAACAAAUAGCCGUCCGUUUAGGAAAAAAUAUAAGAUGAAUUGCCACUUCAAGGACUUAAGGUUGUAUGUCACCGUUCAAUAACGAAAUGAGAUUCACUUAUGUUCAACCCAAAAUUCAACAUAUCAAGCUCAAUCACCUAUUUAAUACCCUAACAUCUAGAGUAUUACAUUAUUUGAAAACAGAACUCUACAAAACAGAAGAGCUAUGUUUUAUUGUGCAUCAAUGUCAUCUUGAAUUAUAUGCUAAGUCAUUCAAUUCAAUUGCAUGUGUUGAGGCACUCACUAUAUGAUGGGAGAAUCCCUUUCACUCCUAUUAUAUGGUUUCAUAACACACAUGAAUAAUGAAUAUGCAAGCAUGGGAAAAACGUAAUAGAAUAAAAAUCUCCCCAAUAAGACAUAUAGGUCUCCUUUCAGAGAUACGUUAUACACAAAUAUGUACCUAUGAGGCGAAACCACUAGAACCAUUGGCUGAAUGAUUUGCUUUCACCGCAACUUCAUCAUCAGACAUUGUUCUUUCAAGAUCAGGAUAAGAAGCUGCAGAAAGCCUCCAAAAAGGAGUUGUCUGACACAUUUUCUCAUUUCAAAACAAUCUGUCAGUACAGUCAAACUGAAACCUCAAUACAAAGAGUUUACAUAAUCUUUUAACAAAUUUGAGACAAACAAUAUAGUUAUUCAAUUCAGCUACUGAACUGUAGCACACCACCAUAAAAUAUUACACAUUGUCUUGAGGGUUAAAUACAUCAGCAGAGACGCGCACGAGCACACACACAUGUGUAGUGAUAAGCAUGACAAUGAAAAUAUAUUAACUUGCCUUUCCGGUUCAUUCCAAAUUUGCUCAAGUUUCUUUGAACAGCAACCAUUUUCCCAGGGUGUCCUGAGACAUCCAAAGAGCUGUCAGGACCUGCAUGUCUAAAUCAAUACACAUUCGAGUUUAUUGUCAUUUACCACAAGAAGUGGAAGUGCAAUAUACAACUGGAACAUGAACAAAGGAUCUGACAACGUUUACGUCAAUUGUCAGUGAGUGUGUUAAGAGAUGUCCAAUUUUUGCUCUGAUGAUGUCAACUAACCACAUGAUUUAAAAAAAUUUAGAACACAAACAAGAUGAGGGGCAAGGAUUUCGUAAGAAGAUAAACAAGUGUCUAAGAAUAUUGGGUGCGAGAAUGACAAUGAACAGCCAAUUUUGUUUCAUUGUGGAUGAAGAGAAAAUUGAUCCAAAGCACGAUGUGUACAAAAACAAUUACUGCCAACUAGUAGCCAUGAUUGUUCAAAUCACUUGAAAACAUCAGCAAGAUUUCUGUAUCGCAUCACUGUACAAAGCCUCUCCUUGAAAAAAAAAAAUUAAAAAGUGUACAUACACAAAAGUCAUGAACUGCAUCCCUCAUCAUUUGAAUUACUCUAGUAACAAAAACGGCCGUGGAUUGCUCAAGAAAUAUUAAACAGUGCAGAAAUAACUCUUGUACAUCAGAAAAGGAGCUUGUUCCAGCGAAAAGCUGCACAGGGAACUAUUACAUUUUCCUAAAGCAUAGACAAAGGAGGACUGAAGGGUUGGCUGAUGUAAUUUCCAAAUCUAGUGAUAAUAAAGAAACUUUAAGCAUAAGGUGAUAAAACAUUCAGCACAGCAUGGAGGGAAAGCAAGACUGAAUUUUUUUAUUCUUUUAAAGAUUAAUUCUUUUGAUUCAGGAUAUAACAAGGUCUAAUACCUCAUUUUCCUUGUGUGGGUCCUAUCUCAAUGGAAACUUGAUUAAUAAUAAUAACUUGAUGAAUACCUCAUUUUCUGUCCCUGCCCCUAAAAAGUCUCCAUACAAUUCCUAAGAACCCAUCCCAUGACUGUCAGGUUUACCAACCGAGAUAACAAUUACAAAAAAAAAAAAAAAUACACUGCUCAGAGAAAAAAACUAAGAGUUUCUUCCAUGUUCUUAGUCGCUAGGUUCAAGUUCUCUCUUGCCGUUUAUCCACCACUGCCUCUACUCAAAAUUUUUUCAUAUACUGCAUAGUUACUCCCCCUAACUCUCACUCUUCCGACCUGCAAACCCCAAAUCUAAAUCUACAUGCUAAGUAAACUUCAAAUUAUAUAUAAAAAAUUGCCAAUUUGUAAGCUUAGAGUUGACACUAUAUUUUCCACUAAGCAGUAAUUUACUUGUACAAAGUGAAUAUGAUCCAAUCGGACAUCAGUAUCUGCACACUCACAAAAAGCUGCAUAACUACAUAGCAGCAUAAUACCAUUCCCAUCACUCAUUUUCGCAUUAGAAAUCACAAGUCCCAAGUUCAAAACACAGAACACAAUUAACAAUGCAACAGACACCAUCAAUUUUUCAUAGCCAUUAAGGAAAUGCAGUAGAACUAUCAGGAUCAAUCUAUUCAGUAUUUUUAAUUUCCACCAUUUGGGAGCCACUAAAUUGAGCUUUAUGAACCUCCGGAGGUUGGUUUUCCACUAUCCCAAAAACAAACAGCAAUAGACCACAGCCAUUAAAAGAAUAUGCUUAACUGCAGAGUGGCAGCCUAGAGUCAAGACCAAUAAAAGAAAUCCAAGGUCAUAUCUCAUAACUGUAGUUGCAAUACCAAAACCAAGACCAAUAAUAAACUAAGCAAGUUGAGGGAGUAAAUUCACAUAGACUGAAUUCAAAUUUUUAAUCUAGUUAAGUGAAAUAAAAACAGCAAUUGAAAUUAAAAGAACUUUGGAGACAUAUCUGAGCUUGAUAUUCUUCAAAUCAACUUAAGUGGAAUUUUUUGAGAGCUGCAACAAAGCCGGAUCCACUAAAUCCUUAGACAAUGAACCAACUAUCAUUCUGUAGUUGAUGCAUCAGAAAAGAAACCACUCCCUCAUUUCUUCAAAAAAAUUCUUAGCCCAUGAUGUCUAAUUGUUUUUCAGCGACCCUUGAAUAAUGGUGUUAUAGAUACAGCCAUAUGGAGAACAGUCUUUCCCUCCCAUUUCUCUCAGCAACUUUUCUGCUUCAAUCAAUAAGCCAUGAAGACAAAAUCCAUGUAUCAUUAUAUUGUAUGUUCUGACAUUUGGAAGCUGGCCACAAGCUUGCAUUUCAGAGAACAACUUUACGGCUUCUAGAAUUCUCCCUGCUUUGCAAAAGUCAUCAACUAGAGAGUUAUAAGUAAUUGUAUUAGGAACAAGUUCCAUACGACACAUUUCCCUGAAAAUAUUUGUAGCCCGAUUGAUCAAUUUAAGCUUGCAAUAUAGGUGAAUCCAAAUGUACAACUCCAAACAUUAACCACUGAGCCCUUGCUAAUCAUACGAUCAAAAACUUGUACUGCCUCGCACAUUUCACCUCGCAUACAGUAACCGUGCAUAAGGGAAUUGUUUGUAAUCGUAUCAGGCUCAAUACCUCUCUGAAUCAUCAUAUCAAUCACUCUUUUGGUUUCCGCGACCAUCCCCUCCUUACAAAGUAUAUCGACCAAGACAUUGAAGGUGACAACAUUUGGAAACACGCCUUGACUCGAUAUUUCAUUGAAUGGUGCCUCAUUACAAGGCCAAGUAUGUGUUACACUGCAAAUCUCAAGUUUCUGUUUAAAGACAUAUAAGAACAGUGAUGCGUGACAAAUUUCAACAUCAUCAGACAAAAAUACUCUUGGAUCAUGCAGUUGCCAAGGCAUGGACGCAUAUUACACCAUUUUCAGUUUGACCAUACCAGAACCCUUACACCGCUCCAGAGUUAAAUACAUGUAAAUCCAGUAAGCUAUUAUACCAUCCCUUCUCAAUCUCCUCUUCUUUUACCUGAUGAAGGAGGAGGGUUUCAAUAAUUAAAUCUUCCCAAUCAAGAGUAUGCCUUCUCUUUCUUUUUCUUCCAUUCUUUACAUCUUCAGAAAUGCAAACAUCUGAACGAGCAUUUGAUGGAUGCAUAAUCUUAUGAAUUCGCUGUUUGGCAGCAUUUAUUCUUUCUCUCCUCCUCUUACAGGCCUUGAGACCCUUAAGAUAAGAUGGCGGCAUAUGAUCCAAGCCUACGUCUUUCUCCAAUAUAUUCUUAAGCAUAAGCUUCUUACUUAAUUCUGACUUCCCAUUCCACCACUCCGUGCAAUCAUGAGGAUCAAAAUACUGCCUCUCUUCCCUUUCAUGAACAACUCCAAACCCGCCAGAGGACUUAAAAUUCUCCAUCUCAUCUAAAGACUUUGAGUAAACCAUGGCCAAGCAUUCAUGUGAAAGCUUCAUCCUAUCCAUCCCCUGACAAUCAUCUGAGAGCUUCUUGAACUUUUCUACUUCUGUCGCAGACUUAUCUGCAUCGCCAUUUCUACCCAAGCACUCAUUGAUCACAUCUCUCAAAUCAAUCCCAACACCACCCUCCGAAUCCCUCUUCCCUAUAGGCUCCGACAUUGACUUCUUCUCCAUAUACUGAAUCACAGUGGGCGCGUGCCUGAGCACAUUUUUAACAUUAACAUCCUUCCCCCAAGGCAACACCUGCGCAGCCUUCACAAGAGCCUCUAAAAGCUCCCUAUACCUCAACCUACAAGUAUGAACAACCGCAUUGAACUCCUUAGCACACUCCUGAAUACUAACACCGCCAACUCCAUUCAACUCCGCCACCAGAACCAAAAUGGCCACCACCAUCGGCAGGGGCCGGCGGCCAGUGGUCAAGAACCACUUAAUAGCACAUUGUAUCAAAAAAAUCCCCUGCUUCCUCAUCCUCUCCCUCACACUCCCUCCUAAACUCCCUAACACUCUCGAAUUGCGCAACGUCCUCUCGUACAACCUCACAAUAUCAAACUCCGGGAAGUCCGGUUUCUUCAGCUCUAGAAAAUCAACAACACGCAUGAUCAUCCUACCGAGCUCGUAAUCGUCGCAUCCGAUAGCCGCCCCGACCUCGGAGAUCGGCAUGGACUUGCUAUCCCUCCUCAUAACCACAUAAGCACAGGCACCAAUCAAAACAUUGAACCAGUUACCUUGGCCGAACUCACCUUCCGUGAUCUUACCGAUCAUGGCCUUGAUCUCGUCGGCGCGGGAGGGCGAGAGGUUGAGACGGAGAGUGACGUCAUCGAUGAGUUUGUUGGCCUCGUAGAUCUUGGUGUCGCGGUAGUGGUAGUUGGUGCCCUGGCCGGAGGUGCCGAGGCGGAUGAAGGUGCCGGUGGUGCCGGAGACGCCGCCGUAGACGUUGACGUAGUUGUCGUAGUCUUGGAUGUGGCCGCAGGAGGAGCAGUAGAGGCGGCCGGAGACGUCGUCGGGGGUGAAGGAGGUGGAAUUGCAGGAGACGCAGGUGGGCAUGGUUGGGAGUUUGAUUUUUGGGAUUUUUGGGGGGUUUGUGGCGGUGGUGGUGCUAUGGGUAUUUAAAGCUAUUUGGGUUUUUUUUUUUUUUCGAUAUUUAUACCCCUUCCGUAACCUAAUUCCAACAGGAAAAGGAAAAAGGCCUCCGUAGAACCUUUUUUUAAGAAAUAAGGAAAAAAAAUCAUCUAAAUGAUAUACAAAUUUUUACUCCUUAUAAAUUUUGUUAUAUCAAGUUUUAAAAAUAUAACAAAACUAAUCCACACACUGUCACAAUGUGUGGAUUCAGAUCUAAAGCAAUGGCACAAGUGAAUAUGUACAAGUAGUCCAAAUCUAAAGCAAUGGAGAAGCAUUGAUAAUAGAACUCGUGGAGUUAUGUAAACAUGUCUAUGCGUGUAUGGCAUAUACAGGUGCUAUAUAAUAUAUAUGCAUGUAUCAUUAAAGGUACAAACUAUAUAUAAAGCCUCUGUCACAAAAAAUAAAAAAAUAAAAAACCUACAAAACCUUUUAAAUUAACACAUCAAAUACUCAAGGUACCCCACAUUUAGAACAUAAGAACUAAAACUAGUAAUAACGUAAAUAAAUGCAAUAACAAUUACAUAAAAUAGUAAUGUAUUUUCAUUUACUAAGAAAAUAUAAAAUCCCUACUCCAUUAAACCAUGUAUCACAAAACUCUCGAAUAAGUUCUACAUUCAAGGGACUUCUAUAAUUCUAUGCAUUAGACGCAUCCUACAUUCCUUCAAAAUUGGAUCAGGUGUAUAACCUGAUAGGUCUUAAGCAUAGCCAAUGGGCAAAGAAUAGUAGAAGAAUUGCAAGUUAGGUUAAGGAACUUGAAAAAGUCAUUAGUCAUGAUCUGUAGCAUUUGAGAAUCGACUCGUAGCAGAGGCGCCAAAACUGUUUGCACGGAAUUAUCAUCCAUGGAAAUGUUGGGAGAUCAGUUCCAAUUGUAGAUGGAAUUCUGAAAACAUACAUGCACUUUAAGAAUUAAAUAACCCUGAAAAAACUGAGGAAUGUAACAGAUUAAACAAACAAUCACAGCUCACCUUCUGCCAGUGAGAACUCCAUAUGCUGCAGAAGCAAGCACGGUUCGGGGUUUCCCAGAAAGAACCUUAGUGUAGUGAGGCAAAAUUAUUUGUCCUGAAAUACAUCCCAACAAUACAGUUUCGACAAAAAAAUACCACAUAUUAUCAGUUUCUGUUCACACAAUUCAACAAUGGGAAUACAUGUAUAUGAAUACGCAGAUGUUUAGAAACAUACAUAUAAUGCAUUUUAGAGUGGUUAACAGAGAAUUAGCAUUUAUUCAAAAAGAAAAAAUUAAAGCUUGUGCUAGGAGUUAGAUGGAAUUUAACCAUUCAAUCAGACAUCCAUACAACAAGGUAAGAAGAGGCUUCGAACUCUACACUAAAACUUAUUCAAGUAUCACACAAUCAAGUUUAUAAUAACUUUACAAAGUCAUGACUCCUAAUAAAACUAAUUCAAUAUAGAAUUAAAUUCAGUUUACCCCACUGUGGUUUAGAGGUGAAUUCAUGUUAGUCCCUAAACUUUCAAUUUCAUCAGAUUACCCCUCAAGCUCUCGUUUUUCUGUUUGUCAUCUCCUAUCACUCAUGCUCCGUCCAAUUGAGACAUUGAAAUUUGAUGACGUGUGAUGACGUUUGGGGGGUUGAGAAGCUAAAUUACCAGAAAAACAAGAGCUCAGGGGGUAAUAUGAUGAAAUUGAAAGUUUAGGGACUAACAUGAAUUCACCUCAAAACCACAAUGGGGUAAACUAAAUUUAAUUCUUAAAUAUAUCAAAUGAUUUUUCAUCGUUAUCCUUUUUCUACUAUUGUUCAGUUUCCUGUAAAGCAAAGUACCUAAUCUGUAGAGUAUUAACAAGGACCUAGUAGUUGACAUGUGAAGUUUUUACUGUAUGCAGACACCAAUCUGUUCAUUAAAAGAAUAAAACUCACCUACAGUCAAGAAGUUGCUAUGAAGAACUGAAACCACAACAGAAGGUUUAACUUCAGUUAUGUCUUUAUUUCUCAGCAUAUUUGCUGCCGGUGAAUCCAUAUCCUCACAAGAAUCAAGGCUCUGACUCCAAACAGAAUUGAUUUCAAACCAUAUCCCAGAAGGGAAUCUUCUUGGUCUGACCAACCACAGAAAAACUUUGAUAUAUGGAGUAGCAUGAAUAACGGAUAUAGUGACUUCAAUCAGUAUACAGAUUAAGCUGAUGGUUGUGUUCACAAUGGUAAAGAAGAUAUAGAAAACAGAAGUUGUGGGCAAUAGAAGCAACAGCGGUGUGAACAGAAGAGAUCCAACGAUGUGCUGCUUGACCGUGUAGUCAUAACUAUCUAAUCUCUGACGAAGUGGAUUCCACUUUCGACCCCUGGAAAAUUCAACUACUUCAUGAGAAACUAGAUUACGAAACAAUCAAACCAAUUACUUUUAAAGAACGUAAGAUUGGUCACUUCCUCAACUAUAUAUAAUCCGAAUUUUGAAAUUACCAUUUAGGUUAACGGUAGCUAGGAUUAAUUAGAAAAGGAGCUGACUUACGAUAUUAUUAAUUUACAUCAAAUCAAAUCUUAAAAAGUUUUUAAUAACAUUAAAGAAAGCAUGGUUUCCACAAGAGUACAUAUACAUAUACAAACAUUCAUAACACAUAUAUAUAAAGACACAUAUACACUAGAUAUAAAAAAUACAACUAUCCUGUCUGACACGAAGUCACACCCACAAAUCCUACUUACAUUGUAAUGCAAUAGGAAAAAGUAAUGCGAGAAAUAAUAUCCACAAAUUAUACAUCACUCUUACAAGGAGAUCAUGUUGCACUAGAAAUCAAGAAAUGAUCUUAAUAAAUCGACUGCAUUUUUUUUUCUUUCCGUACAAAACAAACUUCCACAAAAACAAGUAUAAAAAGUACUAAACAAGGAAAAAGAAGUCCUCUGUAGAAAAAAGGAUACCGAUGCUCAAAGAGAGGCCUAACACAUUAAAUUCGAAAAAAGGAUCCACCACUUCAUCCUUUUCUCCCUCACCCAGCUAUUACUUACUCUCCAUACUCCUCCCCCCCCCCCCCNNNNNNNNNNNNNNNNNNNNACCCCCCCCACCCCACACACACACACACACACACACACACAAACCUACUGCCAACACAGCAUGUUUCUCUCCCUCUAAAAAUGCAGCUAACUCUCCAUCCACACCAACCUAAAGAUUGUAAACACAGCAUGUUUCCCGAGCACCAGACCCCUAUUUCAUCCACCAAAGAACUUAAACCUUCUCCUCUCACUUUGGUCCCUAAACAACAUUCAAGGAUGCAGCCAACAGAUAUGGAGCAGCAGGUGAUCUGAAAUUUUCAGCAUCUCAUUAACACAUCCGAGAGACACACCAAGAUGGGUCGCCUCUGAAACCAUGUCACAAUUCACAAGAUUUAUCCUUCCAUGAGCAUACACCCAUACCUUGGAAGAUACUGCCUUCCAAAUUGAACAAGAGGUGCAAGACAGAAAGAGUUUGUUUUUUUUUUUUUUUCUUUGUUUUUUUCUUUCAUCUUUUUCUAAGAAAGCUGAAGUUCCAAAUUGAAUGAGAAGAAGAAUCUGCAUGGGUGAUCGCAAUAAGAAUAUCAUGAAUACAAGGUACUCUGCAUGGGUGCUUCCCUCCUACAGACAGACCUUCACUAAUUUUGCAUUCAUUUGCCCUCACCCUCUAGUACUCUACUAGUCUUGUAAGACAAAAAAAUCCCCUCUAGCUAAUUUCCCUAAAAUGGACAACGGCAUUUCGUUUUAACUGUUGAGUUCCCGCUAAGCUGCUAUUGGUUAUAGGGACAUGAAAUUAUGGACAGCUAAAAGGUCUAUUGGGUAGUGAACAGUCAAAAUAAUAAAAAUAACAUAGUCGAGAGGACUGAAUAAAACUGCACUAUGAUCUCAAAUACUAGACAAGUACAUUACUCAAAUGGCUAAAUAUCUCACAAUUAGAAGGGACAUUGUAUUUAGUUUCCAUUACCUAAGACUUUAUUCCCCCCUUUUGUUGUGUGCCUUCUUAUUCAGAUGACCAGAUAUAUAGGCUGCCUCUGGCAAGUGCCCCAAAACUAGACAAUUAUAGAAUUUAACAAAACAAAAAGUCCCAAGGACUAGCUAGAGAAAGAAAAAGUUACAGUCAGAUCCACAAGGAAGGCUCCGCUUAACAGCAAUCAAGGACAACCAGAUACUGGCAAAACUAUGAAAUACCUCAAAGUCCAACCAACAAGAAGAUGUUGUAAAGGAUGUCAUAGUUCUGUAUUUAAGGAAAUUAAAGUAUCACAUCUAUAAAAGUAUGAGACUGUAUUUGUGAGGAACAAAUUAUGGUUUACUGAACUUUGAGUUGCACUGAAGUUUUUUUUUAUUAAAAAAAAUAAGGAAAAUAAAUAAAGCUGAAAGUAUUACCUGAAAAGGCGCCACAAAGCUGCUAAUGCCUGUAUCUGAGUUGAAUACAGAAGAGAUAUCAACCAAUGGAGAGUAGACACAUGUAAUGUUACUAGUGCAAUCAAGUCUAUGAUCAAAGCAGCAGGUAUAGUCAACCCAAAAAUGAUCCCAGAAAUGGCAAGUCCUCUAAUGACAUAAAGAAAGUGAAAGCCCAAAAAGAUCCAAAUGGUAGACCAAAUCUGGAUAGCAGUUAGAGAAAUCAUCCCAAGAACUCCUGCUAAUUCCGUGUUUAACUUAAAACCUGCAGGGACUCCCAUCAACCACACACAACCAGAGCGCAACAAUUCAUUGGUAACGUCACUGGCAAAUUUGAGAACCAACAUGCAAACAGAUUCUGCAUGAUACAACAGUGCCAAACCAAUCAAGUUCCCCAGAAGUACAUCAACAGCUAAACUUGACCACAUGGAAUGCUUAAACAAUGCGGCUUUCUCUGCAUAUUCUACACUUGAUUGAGACCUGGGAAAUUUAGAAAUUCAGUUUAUUUAGGAAAAUUAUUUGGAACCAAGUCCAAAAAUAAAGAUAGAGAAAAGACAUAAAAGGAGCCUAGUCUGAAAGUACAGCUCAAGAAACAAGGAUAAAAUAAGCCAGACUUGAGAACACUCAAGAUGAGGUAGAUGCAUCAAUUUGAUGUAAAAGCUAAAUUUAAGGUAAGAAAAUGAAGGGGGUGAGGUGAAUGACCAUCAUGAUAAACAAGUAAACCAAAAUUUAAGCCUGCGACAACAUGCAUCAAAAGACCUUCACACUACUGAAAUGUAGAAAUUUAUAUGGGAAAUUUUAUGAUAAAAACAUGCUCGGAUCCUAAAUUUUAUGUUUAAAAACAAAAUAAAAAUAGCAUUCUAAAUGAUACACAACUUGGUAAUGAUAAGUAAUCUUUAUUCAGCAUACAUUUCCUUAUGAGCUACUAUAUUUAAUCAAACAUUUGAAUGCAGCAUGGAAUUUAUCAAGAGGAAUGCAAUUUGUAAAGGCAUAUAAAAUAAUAGUCAAAAAUUUUCCAGUAUUCAAAAUUAAUCUUCAUAUUACCUCAUGCCAUUAUCUUGAAGAAAAAUUGGCCAGUACAAGAUCUGAGAAAAACGGAUCCUCAUAUUUAUCCUUGCACUGCUGAAUACCUUUACUAAUAUAAUGUAUGUCCAAGAGUCUGAUGCAUAAUUCAGAAGCUUAUACAGAAACUGAAGAAUGACGUAGAAUAAUGUGGAUAACGAAGCUACAAGAACAGAUAAUAGUUUCCAUAUGAAGCCAAGGAACCUGAAAACACACAGAAAAUGAGCCACUUAAAUACUACAUAGCAGAACAGGACAUAAAACGCAAAGAAUGUGGGAAGUGUGUCAAAUGAAUACAUGUAAAUAAUGUUAAAGCGAACAAAAGAUUUCUUGGCACCCAAGCAUCUUUCGAAAGUUUUGUCAGCGGCAGAGGCGCUAUUAAUUGCCAGAAUGACUGUAUCCUGAAAUUAAAGAAAGUAAAAAAAACGUUAGUGCUGUUACAAUAUAGUUAGGCCCGAAUCACAACAGAUGCCUGACAAACUCAAUUACCAAAUCAAGAAGUGGCUGCUUUUGGUUUAGUUCAUGAACCCACUUGGGUUUUCUCAACAGAGCGUUUGCUUGGUCCAAAGAAUUCCAAAGACGUAAUGAGAAAUGGUGUGCUCCAUAGGUGGGAGUCUCAUAGACUAUCAGCUAAAUUUGAUCACACAAAAUACACCACAUUAUUCACCAACAAAAGUCCUCUAAUUCACAUACCAGACAAAAUAAAACAGAUUAAGGCAAACACAAGUCCCCCGAAACAUUCAUGACUUACAUACGUGGACAUCACAUCGAGACACUAUCUCCCCAUUCCAAUGAAUAUGCUGCAUUCUAGGAAUCCAACUAAUGUCUUUCCCAAACUGUUGUUCAUCCUCACGUAACAUGUUGAUCCAGUAACUGUUUCCCACAAAAGAUUGCCUACAUUGUUCUAAUGACCCACCGAGCUUGUUACAUCCACAAGAAGAUGACUGAAAUUCAGUCCCAACCUCGGAAGCACGACCAUUUGUAGUACCAACAACUGAACCAAACUGACCCACAACACACAACUUUGACCUAUCCUGAAGCAAUACAGGCAUCUUUCCAUUUGUGUCAUGAAGAACUCCCUGAAAACAGUGUUUAACUUUACUAUCAACGAUGCCCCAAUCCUAUAAAAUGAAAUGAAGGCAAACAAAAACCCACUGGAAGCAGAGUGAAGGCGGAUCAUGAAUGGUUACCUGGAGGCUUUUCUGGGGAUCGGAGAACGCGAGCUGGGUGCAGGCGAAAGCUAUGACGACGUCAAGAGAGGAAGAAGAAGAAGAAGAAGAGGAAACGAACCAGCCAAGCAAGAAAUUGGAGUCUGAUUUUGUGAAGGAGAGGUGCUUCGGCCACCAAAUCCUACAUCUCCUUCCCAUUUUGUAUGAGAAAUGAUUGCCAGUUUCUUAGACAAUCCUGGCCUAGAUGUCUAUUCUCUGCGAUUCCCCUUUUUCUUCCGAAUUUUCUUUUUCUUUCUUCCUUUUUUUUUUCUUUUAUUCAUUUUUUUUCUAUAAUUUCUUUUCUUUAAUUCGUUCGAAUGGUAUACAAAUUUUGAAAAUAUGAUAAACUUUGUUAUAUCAAGUUUUGAAAAUAUCAUAAUGGUAUCUCAUGUUUCCAUCCCAACCUAAGAUUGAUAUACAUAGUCAUUAAGAUAACCAAUUUACCCGUAAGUUCUAUUUUUUUCUUAGUUUUUUUUAUUUGUUUUUAUAUUCCACAAAUAUUAAAAGAGGUUUUGGAAUUUGGUGAUUUAGGUUGGCCUUUAUAAACUUGAAGAAAAGAAACAUACAAAAAUUCAAUCCUUGUUGUUUCCGCUGACACUCAAAGAUCUUAUUGUUGUUGUUGACAUUCAAGGAUGAUUGAGAUGAAGGCGAUGAAUUUUUUCUCUACGUUCCUAAAUUAUAAAAAGCCAAAAAAAGACAAUUGGAAUAUGAAAACAAAGAAAAAAAGAGAUUUAAGGGUAAAUUGGUCAUCGUUUUUUGGGUUUAAGGGUAAAUUAGUCAUCUUAAUGGUUAUAUAUAUCAAUUUUAGGUCGGGAUGAAAACAUGAGAUAUCAAUCUGAUAUUUUUAAAACUUGAUAUACCAAAGUUUAUAAGAAACAAAAAUUCGUAUAUCAUUCAGAGGUUCUUACCCCCCACCUUGUGAGGGAUCACCUAUUUUCUGUUUACGGCGUGUAGACCUAUAAACGGACUGGAUCUUGAUCAGUUAAUCAAAAUUUUGAUCAGAAUUUUGACAUGUUGAUCCGUUAAUAAUCCGGACUCGUUAACCCCAACGAAUCGAAUACGAAUCUUGGUUGAUCUGACCAAUUAAAGACCCGGUCCAAUUUAAAAUAAUUAAAUAUUAUUUUUAUAAUACUACUUAUAAAAUAAUAAAUAUGAUAUACAUAAUAAUUCUCUUUUCUUUUGAGAACUUAAAUCUAAAAUAAUUGGAGGUUUAAUAUUUUGGUUAUGAGUGCGGCUAUUGGGACCUUCAAAUUUGCUCACUAGACCUCACUCUAUUGUGAAUUAUUAAAUGACAUAUACAUCAUCAUACAUAAUGACUAUUAAGGACAAUAAUUAUACAAAAUGAAAUAUUAUAUUUAUUCUCUUUGGACUUUCCAAUUCAAUAAUAAUUGAUUCAAUUCUUUAUUAUUUUCCUUAUAUAUUUUUGUUUUCCAAUUUCUUUUUAUUAAAGCAUACAUAUAGUUUAUAAUCAAUAUCGAUAAUGUGACAUAAAACUUUGUAUUAUCAUACAUGUUGAACGCAUAUACUUGCAAAUGGCAUAAAUUUUAUAUAAAAAUAAUAAUAAUAUAUAUCUAUUAUAGAAAAUAUAUAUUUAUUGAAAUAAUUUAUUAUGUGGUACAAAAUAGAGAUCAAAUUAUUCAAAAGAAAAAAAAUAGAGAAAAAAUAACAUGUACAAAAGAGAAAAGCAAUUAAAAAGAUACAUAGAAUAGUUCAUGAUAAAACAUUUUCUUGCAUGAAAAAAAAAAUGAAGGUAGGGAUGAUGGAUGUUGAAAAACAAAAAGGAAAAAAAACAAAGAAUGAGAGGUCUAUUGAGUGAAUAAGAGGUAAUUAAUUGAUUGAAAUAUAUGUCAAUAAAUAACUAAGGUUAUUUUAGGAAUUUGAAAUGAGGUCUAGUGAGCAAAUGCUUAUAUUGAAAAGUAAAAAGGAGGUGUAGAGAGAAUGAGAGGUAUAUUGAGCAAAUUUGGAGGUCCCAAUAGCCACACUCUUUGGUUAUAGGGAGUCCUUUUAAUGAGGAUUUUUAUAAUGAGGACUAGUUGAAGACUUUUUGGAUUCACUCAUUUUUCGAUCUUAUAGUAUAUCAUUUUUGCAAAUUUUCAGCCAUAUUAAAAAUCGUUAAGGCAUUUAUAAGUGUAAUUUAUCAAUUAUGAACUUGAACGGUUCAUGUUUGAUAGAUUUGGUUCGUGCACUAAUUUGAUCUGGUUCGAAACUUAACAAUCAUGAAUUUUGUUGAAAAUUUGUAAGAGAGAUCUGCUCAUAUAAACCUAAAAACCAUAUGAAUGAUAUGUUAAAAUGUGAUCAAAAAAUUGGUCUUUUAAACCGUAAACCAAAAAGUCAUCAACUAGUCCUCAUUAUAGAGGUCCUCGUUAGAAUGGCUUAUUAGUUUAUCGCUUAAGGAUAUUUUUUCAUGUAAUUUAAUUUUUGUCAUGUAAUUUAACUUUUGAUGGAAAUCUUAAUUUUGUUAUAAUAUUUCAUUAGUGUUUUAUGAGGUAUUACGAUAAUGUUAUAAUAGGAUCGGACUAACGGGCCGAGUAUCCAUUACCCCGUCGAGUGCGGAUUUGAAUCGAGUUAUUAAUGAUUCGGCGGGUCACGUACAAGUCGGGUCUGGAUCUAAAAUUUUCUAUUACUAAACGGAUCUGGAUUUAUAUCAAUCCGCUUAAGAUUCGGUCCAUUUACAGGUCUAGCGGCAUGUGUGCUAAUAGAACAUCUGGGAAGAAGAAAAACAAGAGCUCCAGCCUACAGUAACAAAUGGUUUUACCACCACAUACAUGAGAUGUUCAUCGUUUAUAUGUCAGGAAGCAAACACAACUCUCUUUUUCACCAUUGAACCAUCCAAGCAGAGCAGAGGAACCUUCAGAGCAAGAUAUUGGAUCUGGAGGUGGGUUGAUCUUUAGAGGUAAUUUUGAAAAUGUUUAGAUCUUGGGUGUCAAUUAUAUUGUUUCAGAAAUUAGGUGAAUUAUACCCAGAGUUGUAAUUUGAUAAUGAAAAUCAAAUGGAUAAGUUGGAUUUGUGUUGAUAUUGAUGGCUUGAGUUUAACUGAGAUAUGAUGAAUGUGUUAUUGGCUUGUUCAAGAAACACCGAGGCAUGUUCAUGGUGAAACCAAUCAAGGACGGCUGGGCGUCGUUUGAUCCAGUUUAUUAGAGCGUCUUCGUCCUAGGACAGAUUUCAGAGUAAAUUGUUGGAAUGUACAACUGCUUUCAGCGUAAAUUGUUGGAAUGUACAACUGCUUUGUUAUAUAAGAAUUGUGCAUGAUCGCCAAAAAAAAGUUGUGCACCGCUUUUACCUCUUCUACCUUUUAAACUUUUUUUUUUCUCACACAAUCUAAUAGCUUAUGAACGAAACCUGACUGGUGCAUCCUUUCCCUCAACCCAAUCUGGGUCCGCCAACAUCCACCAUCGCACCAACCAGUCGACACCCCAAACCACAACCAAACCAAAUCCACCCCCAUCCAACUUCAUUGACGUCCGACUUGAACUCGGACCGGGAUCCCAAAUGUGGAUUGAAGCCCUCCGCAUCCCACCACCUAGAGCCACUACACAGUCUAGAUUGACUCUUCUCUGUUCCGCCACCUAGCUUGAUUCGGCCUUGCGAUCACGACGGGGAUGACCGAACCCACCGCAACCAUAUGCAAAAAAGAUAAGCCGACCUACAACCCAUUUCAAGUAGAGAGAGCACGUGUGGUGGCGCAGAGAGGAAGCAAAGGAGCCAUAAGAUUGAAAGUUAAAAUUGUCGGACCAGGAGACCGGUCUCUACCCAAACAUCAAUGUUGGGUCAAAAGAGGAGAGGAAGAGAGGAGAGAAACAAGGGGGUUUCAGAUCGAACGGUGUUGAUCCCGAAUCCCUAGUGGCGCCGCACUAGACGGCAGCGUGCGAGGGAGAGAAAAAAGGGAGACUUGAGAAAUGCUUUUCUUUGUUUGCUUUACAAAACUUUAUUGAAAAAGAAUGUCAUGUAAACCAACACAGUGAAUAUUUGUAAAAGAAAAGAUGAAUAGUAAAGCUGCAUGCAAAUAUUACAUAGCCCCAAGACGCAAUAGAAAGAGUGGUGCGCAUCAAUAAUGUUCGAGCGACAAGCUAAAGUUGCUUGGUCGUAGCCUCGGUGAGACCGUAUUGCGUGUGAACAUGGGGUACAGGACACUUCAACUGACAUCCCGAUGAACUUCUUUAAAGAAUGGGUAGUGAGCCCGUAGAAGUAUAAGCAGCAUAAGCAGUAGAUAAUAGUGUAACACGUGACUAGUGUGUUAACACGUCAACCAACACCAUAAAGCAUAAAACGGUGUCCGCAAGUUGGUUGUAUCUAUCUACAUAGUUUGAUGUAAGAAUAGAAUGUUCACUUUGUAUUAUUUAGCGUAGGAGGGUCUCACUCCUUAUUUAGCUAAAGAAUAGGCUUUCAAAACGAGCAAUGAGCAUUGCAGAGGGCCAAUGAGACAUCGAGGAAAGGCCGGUGCACCUCAAUUGCUUGAGGAAUUGACCGGACGACCUCCAGGAAGUUGGAGUCGUGUUCGGGUGACGUCAAUGUCCCCCGGGUCACCACCAUGCUUCAUGGUGAUGCUAAAUCUCAAAUGUCUUCGUUUUGAGCGGAAGAAUAGGUGUCCAUGAGAAUUUCUCAAAAUUUGGACCAUUAUAUCUCUUCCAGGUUGACCAAUUUGGUCAAACCAAAGCCUAUAUGAGUCGGUGUCCCAAAUAUCAUGUUUGGCGACAACAUGGGAUUCGAUAUUCGAAUCGUAGUGACAUACAGUUCACUAGAUUGACUCAUGAAUUUCUCCAAGAUGCGCUUCAGUUUGCAUUCAUGAGGAGGUAUACACAAAAGAAUUCUUGUUCAUUCUCACAAUGUGUUUUCAAAUGAAAACCAUUAGCAUGAAUGUCUUUAAAACUCAACAUGGUUCCUUAGAAUGUUGUGGAUAGUUCCACUAUCUGCGAAGCACUCAAUGUCUCUAUGAGACAUAACUACAAGGAGUAGAUAGGCGAGUAAAUAGUUCUACUUGAACCAUUUAGAAGGAUUGAAAGAGGCUACGAAAAGCUGCAAUCCUGAGAGUGCAUAAAAAUUUCCGCGUAGAAUGACCUUUGUGCACUAAAACAGCCAUAACUUCUUCGUUAAAAUAGAUAUGGACAAACCGUGAAAAGUUCUGAAAACUAGACUCAUAGAGCUUUCCAAUGAUAUAAAGCUCACUGUCUGGUUCGUCCGGAGCUGUUCACAAAGCUCAAACGAAGUUGACUGUCUAGAAGGGACAGAGUGCUGUUUUUCGCAAAUUUGGCAUGUGCGAAGCUGUGAAGCUUGCAGGUGGCGUGUAGGCUUUUGCCUUAGCCAAAAGUGACGUGUGUAUGAUCAAAACCAAGUCCUUUCGAUCGUUCUAAGGUCGUAAACUCCAUGACUAGUUAGCAAAAGCUCCCUGACAUGAACAUAAACUAACUCAGAGGACCUAGAGGAUCCGAUUAUGAUGAUAAUUUUCCAGCUUUGAUAAGUCUUCAACGUCUUUUGCAAGACGCAAUUGGUUUAAUAGCGUAGGGGAUCCAAAAUCAAAAGCUUCGGUAACUCCAAGUCAGUAUGACCAGGCAUGUCCGUGGAGGGUCGGUAGUGCGAGGCACACUUAAAACCACUAUCUCCUUAAUUUCGGACAAUUCUAAGACAUCACACUGAACUUGGAUAAGCCUAGUUGAACAAUUGAUGAUGAAAAAUCCGCUAUAGGGUAGAAGACUUAACCGGAAACACGUGGGCGAUCCUCCUUGAGGAUAUAGUGCCAUGAGUCACCUUCAAAGGAAUGGACCAAAAUCGGCACAAUAUGUCAUGUUUCUAAGGACGAUGUAAGUGUACAUCUUGAUUGUAAAUCAAUAUGAACCAUAAGAGGAGAAUAGUUUCACUUUGAAAAAUUCUCAAGGCAUUCAUUAUUGCUAAUGUGAGUACAUCGAGGUCUCAAAUAGACAAAGGACGUCGAUACAACGCCUUAGUACAUAUAACUUGGAACGAAAAUCAAUGUCUAGCCGAUGACAUCAAAGUCAUGGGUAGCUAGAGCAGGAUCCGAAUCUUUAAAAUUCGCGAUCAUGAGGAUGACGUUCUUGUCCUCAUAUUGAUUUUCCAUACCUUUUUGUAUGCAUUCACAAUUUAAAGGAGCUUGACAAUCUUGAACCAGUGAUCCGAAGAACCACAACGGUUGCAUUAAUGUCAUGAGCUGACGUGAGUAGUUUUGAUAAAAUGGUGUCUAGACCGGGAGUGUCGCUGUUAGAGCCGGCAACACCUCCCCCUCUUUUCUAGACAUCGGCACGACGUUUUCUGCUGUUGCCAUGACCCAUAUUGUUGUCCCCACAUUAGAGGAUAAUCCCAAAUAAGUUUAUCACAUUAGCGUAUAUACAAUUCCUGUUUGUAUGAUCAAAAUCAAGUCUCGUUGGUAAUUCCACACCAACUUGGAGGACCUAGAGAACUUGAUGAUGAUCGAAUCCGCUAAAGAUUAUGGAUCAUGAUGCCACAAAAGAUCAUCGACANNNNNNNNNNNNNNNNNNNNNNNNNNNNNNNNNNNNNNNNNNNNNNNNNNNNNNNNNNNNNNNNNNNNNNNNNNNNNNNNNNNNNNNNNNNNNNNNNNNNNNNNNNNNNNNNNNNNNNNNNNNNNNNNNNNNNNNNNNNNNNNNNNNNNNNNNNNNNNNNNNNNNNNNNNNNNNNNNNNNNNNNNNNNNNNNNNNNNNNNNNNNNNNNNNNNNNNNNNNNNNNNNNNNNNNNNNNNNNNNNNNNNNNNNNNNNNNNNNNNNNNNNNNNNNNNNNNNNNNNNNNNNNNNNNNNNNNNNNNNNNNNNNNNNNNNNNNNNNNNNNNNNNNNNNNNNNNNNNNNNNNNNNNNNNNNNNNNNNNNNNNNNNNNNNNNNNNNNNNNNNNNNNNNNNNNNNNNNNNNNNNNNNNNNNNNNNNNNNNNNNNNNNNNNNNNNNNNNNNNNNNNNNNNNNNNNNNNNNNNNNNNNNNNNNNNNNNNNNNNNNNNNNNNNNNNNNNNNNNNNNNNNNNNNNNNNNNNNNNNNNNNNNNNNNNNNNNNNNNNNNNNNNNNNNNNNNNNNNNNNNNNNNNNNNNNNNNNNNNNNNNNNNNNNNNNNNNNNNNNNNNNNNNNNNNNNNNNNNNNNNNNNNNNNNNNNNNNNNNNNNNNNNNNNNNNNNNNNNNNGAUUUUAUCCUCCCCGAGUUAUUGAACUUGGAAAAGUUUAAGGUUUCAAAAAACAUACCUUUCUAGAGGCUGUCGAGAGGAGAAAUAACGUUUCGCCUACUUGUACUUCGAAUUUGGGGCUGAAAAUUUGAUAGAAGGAGCAGCACUGGAUGGGGAAGUUGCUGUCAAAAUUUCAGGUUGAUCGGAGUAAGGGAAGGUGGUGAACCGGUGGUCGGUAGCGGCGGCGGUCUGGAAUCUUCCGGCGGCCGGUUCGGAGACUUUCCGGCCGGUUCUGAGGGUGAGACCGGCGGCGUUGGAUCCGGGGCGGAGAGAGCUUUCUGGGGAUAUAAAAUUCCGACGGAGGGCAGUCGGAAUUUUGGUCGGAAAUCGGGAAAAACAAGGCUGCCCGAUUUUAGGGUUUGAAAAACAAAUGGUGGGCUAUUGACUCUAGGGUUAGAACAAAGUGCAUGAUAACGUGAUGAAGAAUAAAGUGUAGAGACAAAGAGAUAGCAAGAGAAUCAUCAUCUUAUUCAUUGAUAGGAGCCCUUUAUAUAGGGAAUUACACAAUACCAAUAUGGUAAGGAUAUAAAUACAUAGAUCUAGUCUAACUACAUAUCCUAUUGGCAUAAGGCCAAGACACACAUAGAGAAUAUCCUAGAACACAAAGCAAGAUAUACACUAUUAAUUGAGGAAUUGGUGGAUCAGAGGUGUAAGUCACCAUGAAGAUUAAGGAGGAGGGAAUCCGAACCGCAAAGCUCCCCACUGGCAAAACUCAACAAAAAAUAGCAGAUGGAAGGAAAAAAGUGGAAGAGAAAAAUGAUGAUCAAUAUGAUAUGAGAGCUGCUGAUUAAUUGAUGGCCUUUUGUUCGAGCAUAAACUGUUGCUUAAAGCAAUGAACCAAAACAGUGCUGUUGUUCAAUUUUGAUUCAUCAAUCAUCAAGGUGGAUCGGUGGAGCACGUAAUAUUGCAUGAAAAAUAAUAAUAAUAGGCUGUUGAUCGUAGUUAAUUUCUUGUUUAUAAAUAAGAUAAGGAGAGAUAUGACUUUUCAAAAUAUGAUCAAAAUCAUUCCAGUGCCUAAAAGUGGUCAUUGUUCGAAAUUCUGGUGUGUUUUGCCAUAAAUACUAUCUUUUUUUGCUUUCUUGAAACUAUGAUCUAUGGUGGUGAAUUUCAAUUGACGUAGACAUAAUUUAUCAGAAUGCUAUAACAAACCCUCACAUUGUAUGAUUCGAACCUGUUUUCUGCAUCUUUCCCCUUUAUAGAUAUAACAAAUGGACCAUGUUUUCAAAUGUCUCCUUUACACACCACCCGCAAAAAUAUAUAAUGAUGGAUUCGAUUGAUUUUUUAAGAGCAUAGAAUGAAAGACAAUGGCAAUCAUAACAUACACUAAAAGUAAUACAUAAUUGACUAUGUUAGCCAUAAGUACAGGUGAAGGAUAUACAAAAUUUCACCUCUAACCUUGGGAGUUUUACUUGAAGCCAUUUGUGAUGCCCACCUACAGCUUAAUUACAAGGCCUAUAGGACAAUGAUCGCUACCAAUAAUAUCAGGCAGAAUAUACGAGUCAUGAACCUUGCCAGCUACAGAUUCUGAGACUAGGAAGUAGUCGAGCCGCCACCCUAAUUCAAGAUCACAAUGACCACAUAUAAAAAAUAUAAAAAAAGGUUAGAAUCUAACAAUGGUAACAAAUACGAUACACCAGUUGAUAUAUUUACUGUGACUUGACAAAGUUGUCAAUUAAGUGCAUUUUGUUUUAUAACUAUUGCAAGGAACAUUACCUGCAAAUGCAUUUAUACGCACGCAUAUACAAGAGCAAAGAAUAAAUAUUAAUCACACAUCCUCAUAUUUUGUGGUCAAGACUGGAAAAUAAUAUUGGUUUAUUGAGAACUAAUUAGCUAGUAUUAAUUAAAACAUCAAAUCUAACUGGAAGAAUCAAAGCUAAGAAUAUAGACGUAACACUACCUCGGUUAAAUUUGCGUCCACCAUGUCGAUAGCCCCAGUAUGUGUAGCCAACAACACCAGGGUGUUGCCUUCUAAAAGUAUCCACAUAUCCCCUGGAUAAAAAGUUUGUCCUGAAGGAUUGCCUUUCUUCAUCUGUAAACCCAGCACUUCUUAUAUUUCCCUAUAGAUUGAUAAAGUCAAAGGAACACCAUAAAUCAAACUAUAUGCAAAACCAUUGUAGAGGCAUAUACUGCAAUAUACUAAUUUUACUGCCCUCAUUUUUUUCUUUAAAAAAGGAUAAAGACAAUGUAGGAUAAAAAGCCAUAACGAUAUGGAUCAUAUGAAACCAGUCUACAACUUCCUAUCAUUACGCUUAUAAAAAACACUUGGCAUUCUAAAUUGGCCAAGUUCAAUAUUACAGUUGCCCUCUGAAAUUUAUAAGCCAGAAUUUUGGCCGAGCUCAACGUAUUUGACCAGGGUAUAAAUGAUAAGGGUGAUUUCUACAUGCAAUUGUUGGUUGAUAAUUGUCAUGGUUUUGCUGUGAUGGAGUGAUGGUCGUAAUAACCAAUCACUCAAAUUUAAAAAGAAGUAAAGUUUGGAAACAUCGAAAAACUUUGACCCAGGAAAGGUAGUUACAAGAUUACAUUGACCCCAAACACAUUUUUCUAGCAAAUAUAAGUGACACGUUGGGACAUCAAUAUUCUUGAUGUCUUGAGGUGACACCCUAUGAGUACAACAGGGACACUCUUCCUAUGGUUAAGUGACCAACCAAGAAGUCGAAAAAAGUUUGUUCACAACAAAAUCUGGAUAACUUACAGCUGGGUUAUAAAUGUCUAUCUCUUGAUGCGCACAGUUCAGAUCACCAGUUAAAAUGACAGGCUUCGACUUUUCCAGCUCCUGGAUAUAAAAUGAAAGAACAAUAAGCACCAUGUAAUUACCAGCACAUCAAAACCAUAAUAUUCAACGAAAGAGAACCUUUUCUCCCAUAAAUAGUAAAACACUUAAACGACUAUAGCAUCAAUAUGGUGGUUGUGCUAUUCAAGGUUACAAGGACUCAGUAUACAUAUUGUAAUUGUUACAACUUAGAAGAGAUUCGACCAAUACUGACCAAAAGAGAAAGAAAAUUUCUAAGUUUGAGAUCAAUUAUUAAGGUUGAAUUUUGUAAUAAGAUAUACAAUAUAAAACACAAGAAUACUGGUUGUAUUUAAAAGCUUUGAGAGAAAAGAAUUAAGUCCAUCUUGUGGACAUACUUUGAGAAGUCAAUUAAAACAUACUUACUUUCAUGUAAUUACUGAGAGAUGGAUCCCAUUCUGUAAUCCUGUAUGUCUGGAAACGAACAAAAAAAAACAUGUUAGCCGAGAAGGCGUCACCCUAAUAUUAUUGCCUGGAAUCAGGCUGCAGUAUGCAUGACGAAACUUACCAGUCUCCUCAAACCAUCUCCAGAAUUAGGAACAUAUCCACUUAUCAGGUAAAAUGAAUCAAACUCUACUGUUACGAUUCGGCCCUCACUAUCAUGAUCGGAUAUGCCAAGUCCAUAGCUAACUGAAAGUGGCUUUACCUGCAGUCAAAGGCCAAUAGUGAUGUGUACAUUUCAUGUAAUGAUGUGUAGAUAAUGAACAGGAACAUUUCAUUCAUAACUCCCUAUGAGCUAAUCUUGCUGAUCAACUUUGUUUAUGAACAAGAUUUCAUUUCUGGCCUAAUAUUUAAUUUCCAUUUUUUUAAUGAGCAUCCAUAUAUUUGUAAACAAAUUCAUGGAAAUAAAUAGGUGACCAGGGUAUAAGUUUACACUAAACAGCCACAACACUCUGAAACACAGGCAUAAAUGUAGACAUUAAUAGUAACUAAAUGCUAGAUGUUCCCGAGAUAUCAAAUUUAACUCAUAAAUAAGGAAUACAAUACAUACCCGGGAAAUAAUCGCAGUUCCUGAGUAACCGAGCUUGGAAACACUACAUGUCCAGAAGCUAUUCUCAUAGCCAUCUAUGAGAGACCUCUUCACAUCUUCGACAUCCUUCUCCUGUACCCAAAUUCAAUUAAAAUGAGAAUGCAAGAAACAAAAACUGCUACAGAAAAGAUGGAAAAAAAAAAAAGGACAGAGGUCAUGGAUGGUAAACAAUAGCAAAUUUUUUUGGCCAAUAAACAAUAGUAGAUUUAGUUUCAUACUAGCAGUUACAUAUUUAAGACCACUAAUGGCAUACAAAUUGUGCAUAUAGAGGUAAUUUCAGAAGUUAAUUUCAGAAGGCAAGCUCAUAACUCAUACAAUUUAGCUUGGUAAUCUCGAUAAGAAUGAAACAUUCUGAGUUAUUAAGGAUGCUGCAAAUUCAGAUAAUCCAUUAUUUUAGACGGACAAAAACUUGAAAUAAAAAAUGGAGCAAAGACUACUUACCAGCCACAAACAUGCAAACUAUGCUCCAAAUUUACAAACAAUUUAGAUAGGCUUGCUAGUUCUAAGCAUGCAUCGAUAUUUAAGUUUGUAUGAGUCCAGUACAUGCCACUAAUACUUUCUAAUUUUUGAAAAAAUCCAAGUACCUAUGAAUGCCAGCCAGUACAGAAGAAACCUCCAUUCAUGUGAUGUACAGAAAAGAAACCAGGGAAAAUUAUACACCUUCAUUUCCUCACAAGUACCCAAUUCUACUACUACACAAAGCUUCUUGAAAACGAAUUUCAGGCCUUGCAUAGGCCCAUAAUGUUUAGCAGAAAUAUAUCAUACAUAUACAUACACAUAUAAGUAUAAACACACUCACACACAUAUUAGACAACUAAAAUUCCAUCAUCAACAGUACUGUCACUCAACACUCGUCAGAGGGCAUUAAAUUUCACAAGUCAAAUCACAGAGCAGUACCCCGACAGAAUCUAAAAUGUAAUUACACAACAACCAUUUGCCUACAACGAACAAUGAUUUAACCUUUAAGAUACAAAUAAAACACUAACAAAUAAAUAUAAAUAAAGAAAUGCAUGCCUGCAAUUUGGUCUCCUGCAGACAUAAUACAUCAAAAUCUUCUCUUUUGGCAAGUUGCAAAGCAGAGAAUCCCUCUAACUUUAAUAAUGCCCUUAAACCAUUGACGUUCCACGACAUAAGCUUCAUAAAUUUAGUCUCCCUAGUGAGCUCUGGGGGCCUCAUGGUUUUAGGAUUAUAAGGAAUCCAAUCUUUCUGAGGUUUCUUGUGCGCCAAAACUGUCCAUGGUUCAGCUACCUUAUCAUCGGUUAUGACAGCAAUACUUGCAGCUUUUGAAGAUACUUUCCUCCUUGUCCUUGAUAGGUUCUCAACUAGAUAGACAACAGUACAAGUAAAUACAAUCUAGCUGGAUAAGCAUAUGAAAAUACACUCAAUCAAGAGAAACCAGUUACGGUACCUGAAACUUCAUCUGAUUCAUUCGAUAGCUUCUCUUUCUUUACAACCUUAGUAUCACCCUCAACAGUUUUACUCUUAAAUGAUGACCUCCGCUUAUUCCCUUGGCGUAUCUGAACAUCCGAAACAGUGUUGACAUUCUGAACUUGGUCUCCAUUGGAUAAAGUUUCAGUCUCGGUGUUGGCUGAUACAGUUUCAACACAAAUGGUGGAGGAUACAUGCUCUUCUAUUACCUGAGAACUUUCACCUGGAAAUUCAGAGGAAAUCUAAACAUUCAAACUGGAGAAUAAGGAAAAAGUUCAGAGCAGUACAUGACAUAAAUACAUACCAUCUAUCUUAUUUUCCAGAAAGCACUUCAAGGAAGACACAAGUUCGCAUUUUCGACCUUUGGCAGAGGCCCCUAUCUUCCUGACAGGCGAGUCGAGUUUCAAAUCAUUAUAAAUAAUAAUAAUAAUAAUAAUAAAAACUAAUACCAUUACAAAUUAAUCAACACCAGAAGUUGCGUGUAACUAUAAAUGAAACAUUCGAAUAACAACCAAGUCUUAAAGAGUUGAAUGUUACCUCAGUGUUGUCCUGAGUUGUUCAACUGUCAUUGCCUCAAUCUUAGAGAGAUCAUCUCUCAAACUCUCAAUCUCCUAUAAACAUUAACCAAUCAAUAAACAAUCCAAAACGACAAAAGCAUAGAGAGGGAGAUAGUUAAGUAUAACCUUUAUAACAGGUUUCUGAUGAAUUGGGUUUGAACCCAUUGCUCCUUUGAGCACGGGCUUCUUUGUGGAACUGGAAACGGGUCGUUGAGGCAACCUAGCUAUUGUCGCUUUAACUCGAAGAUUCCUGGGAGCAACUGUAAGGCUAUGAAUGUCGGUAAGUCAUUUCAACUGUAACUGAAAAUUACGAUGAAACAGAAGCGACUGAGAAGAGGAAGGGUAGUUGUAUUAAACCUAGUGAGAUUGAGAAUAAACUCUUCAACCCUAAUUGCAGUGAUUGGAUUUGGUUCAUUGCCUAAUUGGAGAAGCGGCAAACAAGACCCUGUUUGCUCACUGAAACAAAUAUCAUGUUGGGGAAAUUAAAGUGAAACCCAAUUUUUUUUUUUAUAGUGGCUUUUGAGAAAAAUCCAUACAUAUAGUAAAACCUUAAUAAAUAAAUGUUUGAUAAAUUAGUAAUUUUGAUUAAAUAAUAAUUUUUUUCGGUCCCGACUCAAAAUCAGUAUAUGUUACUAUAAACGUUGCUAAAUGCAUAAGGUAUGAGGUUAAAAGUGCAAAGGCGCAUCGAAGGUGGAGACUCUCUGCUAUGAAAAGAUGGCUCUCUUCCUUGCUUCCCCUCUAUCAAACCCUAGCCGUCAUACCUUGAGUCUCUAUUAAUGGUGUCAAUCACCAUCACCAUGCAAUAAAUAAUGUUAAUAAAUUUUUUCGGGACAGGUAUAUUACUAUGAACCUUUCUAAAUGCAGAAGGUGUGAGGUUAGACGUGCAAAGGCGCAUCGAAGGUGGAGACUCUCUGCUACGAAAAGAUGGCUCUCUUCCUCACUUCCCCUCUAUCAAACCCUAGCCGUCAUAACUUGGGUCUCUAUCAAUGGUGUCAAUCACCAUCACCAUGCACAUCAUCACCCUCUGCCUUUUGUUGUCCCCAUGCAACAAUCUAUCCAUGACCAGCACCAAGCAGAUCAAUCUCUGGUGUCUCUCAUCUCUUCACAGCAGGUAUACCUUCGGUAAAGAUCCAACGGAAGGAUCCCCCUUUCUCUAAUGGAGGUAUCUAUGGGAUUUUCUUUUCCAGAUUCUCUCAUAGAUCUGAAACCAAUACAACAUCAGGUUGGAGUGGUAUUGUUAGUAUGAAGCCAUGGCGUGUGAAAGCAACGUAUGAAACUUUGGAUGGUAGCAGUGAUGCUCGGGUCAACGGCUACAACGACAAAGCUUGUGGAGGCGCCGAAGGAGGAUGCGACGUCGGCGUUGAUGGUUUUGUUGCUGCAGUCUGCGAUGACGGCGACGGCUACGCUACUGUCAUCAAUUCUGCUAGAGUUUUUCCUGGGCCUUAGCAGAUUGGGUUCGACCAUACUGAGCUUUUUUUAAGUUUUGUUAUUUUAAAGCAUUGGCCUAUUUUUUUAUGUAUCAAGUAAUAAUAGGCUUACAGAAUAAGUGAAUACGAUUAUUAAAGAGUAAUCUAUCUUAAAAAGAGUAGGCUUACAAAAUAAGUGAGUAAUAAGCUAUCAUAUGUACUACAUGAGGAAUGCAUCACAACUACUUGUCUAUUUAUAAAUGAUAACGAUAGAGUAUGUAAUAGCUACAUCCGGUCUUUGCUUGACCCAAAUAUAUGAAAAUCAUAAUUGACUAUUUCAAAAAAAAAAUGCAUAAGAUAAUAAAUUUUUUACUCCCUUUAGGUCCCAACAAUAUAUAAAGUAAUAAUUUUUUUUUGAUCAGAUAAAUUACAACUGCGUGAGUCGAACUCAUAAUCUCUCACUUACUAAAGGGGAAGACUAUGUCAUUAGACCGAAUGAUAUUAGGCUAUAAAGUAAUAAUUGAUUAAAUAUAUCUUUAAAAAAAAUCACACAAAAUGAAUAAUAAUUGAUAACAUUCAUAAAAGAGAGAGUAAUUCAUGUUCAUAAUACAAAUUAAGGAAACUUUUAACAAUUUUCCUCAAAUCGACAUAUGCGAAGAUCGAAUUAAGACUAGAGAUCUUAAAUUCAUUCUUUUUAUUUUUAUUUUCAUUUUUGAUCCGAUCAAAUUAAACGCCCAAAAUAAAAGUACCUUUUAUUUGACCUCAGGUCCUCACCUUCUGUGUUCAAAACACUUAGGACUAUUUUUUUUGUUUCAAUUUUGUUAACGGUAUUAGAAUACCUCAAAUCGUCAUAUGCGAAGAUCGAAUGAAGAUCUAGAGACCUUAAAUUCUUUCUUUUCAUUUUCAUUUUUUCACUAUUAAUGUGCAAGUCCUCAAAUCGUCAUAUGCGAAGAUCGAAUGAAGACUAGAGACCCUAAAUUCUUUUUUUUCAUUUUCAUUUUUGAUCCGAUCAAAUUAAACACCCAAAAUAAAAGUACCUCUUAUUCGACCUCAAGUCCUCAUCUUUUAUGUUGGAAACACUUAGAACUAUUUUUUUGGGUUUUAAUUUUGUUAACGGUAUUAGAAUACAUGCAUGAUAAUGCGACGUGAAUGACCAAAUCAAAAUAUUGCAUAUUAGUUGCUCGGUUCACUUGCACCCAGCGUAGAAGAAUUUUCGACUUUUUAGUACCAAAAUCUCUCUUUUGUCUACCCCUAUCCCGAUGAGCCGAAACCAAAGCCUCUUGGAUCCAUACUCUAAUGGAUUAUUGAUGUGGAAGCAAAAGACAUCUAAUAUCAUUAGAAUGGUGCUCAUGAUUGAAAUGGAAACUGAGAUUUUUAAUGUUGAAACAGGUCUAGAAUUUGCUUCAAAAAGGCCCACACUUUCCUCGGAUCAUUAGACUGCUGUAUAAAAACGAUAUCUAUACUAAAAUAAAAGUGACUUAUUACUAGUGAAGGACUUGUUAUCUUUGAAGUCAGAAGUCUUCUUAAACCUUGUUUCACUCACAAUCAACAGAGAACUUCAGAAUCAGUCAGCCUUGUUUCUAAAGUUCUAUCUCCAUUACAUGAGCUCAGCAAGGUGAGCUAUAAAGGGCUGUCUAUUGUACUGACAAAGAUCUAUCUGUCAUCUCUAACUCGCAGGGUUUAAGCAUUACGUUCUCCCAGUGUAAUCCUCUUACCUAAUGAUAUUGGCGAGGCCGCGAGGGGCAUAUCUUCCCAGCUUGACUGGGUUCCAAAUCCCAUUCCAAAAGAAAAGAAAAAAAGACAUAAUUAAUUCCAAAUGUGACGCCUACUUGCAGAAAAGUAAUGACCAAGGCAUUUUCAUUUAUGUGUCAACGAUUUCUCUGUAUAGGAACUAACACUGUAGUUUUAAUCCCAUCUAAUGUGUAUAAACAAACAAGUAUGAUGGGCGAAAAAUUGGGCAAUAAGUAUAGCCUACCAAGUUGAAAGAAUUAAGAACCUGCAAUCGAACUCCACCUCUAACUUCUAACUUAGCAAAAUCUCUAAACUAGAUCGUAAUGUACAUCAGCGCUUGGGUAAUGAUCGGGAAGACUACCACGAAAUGAAAAGCCGAAAGACACAUCUCAACAGCCACUCCUGCUUCUUUCAGUCCCUCAACUUUCUCUUCAACAAAAUUUCAUUUCUCGCAGUGCUUGAUCACACAGGAAGAUGGACUUUUAAAGAGGCUACAUCAUUGUGGUUCAGAAAACAUUUCUGUUUCAAAUGAAAAAUCAUCCAAGCCAGGCGGAGAUAAUGGUGCAACUGCUAAAGUGUGAGAAGUGUUGCCUGUGAAUUCCAAGACCUUUCUAGCAGUUGCUUGAGAAUCAUAUAAUUUACCAAUCUUCCUCGAAGUGAUUGUGCCAGAUGUGGUUUCCCUAGAGGAGUUGCUACUCUCAACAGACAACAAGAACUGAUCUUUAGAGAGAGUUGCUUGUUCAGCUGAUGCAAUUAGGGAGCUGAAAACGCCAGAUUCCCUCAAACCUUGUAUGAUGACCUGUGGCAGAGAAAUGAAUAUAUAUCAGGACUCUGAGGCUGAGCAUUAUACAGACCAACAUAUCAAUUAAAGCAAUAAAGAAAGAAGAAAGCACAGUUGUACAAAACUACCAUCGGUGCAUAAAUCCGAGUCAAGAUGCCCUUUCUCAAUAAUUUUAAGUUCAGAGCUUUGUCAGUCCACACAAUGCGUUCCCGGUACCUAAACCAACAAAACAAGAGUUUUUGAGGAAGCUUAUAAAGUAAGGAUUACUUGCAACUUUUUGUUUAGAGAAAUACUAUUUGAUGAGUGGAAUGACAAUUAAUGGUAAUCAAAAGCUAGAAAAUGGAUGAUGAUUUGUUCUAGUCAUGUAAUGCCUACGGUUCCAGUACAGUCACUGAAAACCUGAUAUCAACGAAUCUUCUGAAAAUCAUCGAAGAAACUAUUACCAGCUAAGCAUUUCGUUCUGUGUUGCAGUUGAAGCAAUUAUGAAUGCCUGUAGCAGAAAAAGGAAGAGAGACGAGUAGUAUAAAUAAAGCUAAUCAGCUCAAAGACUUGCUGUCAUUGCAUGAACACCAUUUAUUUAAUAAAGCUAAUCAGCUCAAAGACUUGCUGUCAUUGUUGCACGUGUAGAGUAGUGAAAUGCUUGAAAGUACUAUAAUCUCGGCACCAACAGAUCUUCAAAACACCACACUACAAUGGCCGCAAAAGAUUGACAAACAUGACAAACAUAUAUGAAGAGUAAAUAGCUAGUCUCUUGUCAAGUUGACAUGAUACAUAACUAGAGCAUAACAUAUGAGACCACAUAAAAGAAAUCAGUAUAUCAGCUGAACUGGUGUACCAUCAUAACAAAGAACAGUGCAGAAAUAAGAACUCACAGCUCUGUCAAAUUCCAACAUAAAGCAUCUUUUAACAUCCUCCUUCGUCGGUUUGCAACCACACCGAUCACGUCUAGAGGUCAAAUCUGAAAAUUUGGGAUAUGUAUAAUGCAGAAUAGCAGCCUCCUCCAAUUUGACCUCGCUGGACAAUAUUAAAAGGAUGGCAAUAAGCUUUUACGUAUAUAAAACUUUAAACAUAAAUCAAUACCUUUAGAAAUUCUGCUAAUAAAAAGAACAUACAAGUGAUGAAGUUCAUGCGAAGUGAUCUAAAACAAAAAUGAUGAACUCUGUCCUCUAAUGAGAAGGAACAACUGAUCAGACUAUAAAAAGUUAAUAGAAAUUUUAUAUAGAUAAAUAUGUAAAAGUUGAUUGAUGUUACAGAAUGAUCAUACUUUGGUGUCUUCAUAUAAUUGUGCCAUCUGUGUGCACCAUUAGGGCGGAGGUGAUCUUGAAUUCGAGCAGCUGAUUUUCCAUUUCCGUAGGUUAGAAAAUAGUUUGGAUUACCCCGGGUUGCGUCUCUGUAAUUGCCAAAAUACACUUCUUUUGGAAGAUGGUCAUAGUUCUUCUUGAACAUUGAAACCUGAAACAAGAUGAAAUGAAAAUGAUACUGGUGGUUAUAAUAGCAAAUGAUGAUAUCUUGCGUUGUUCAUACAAGCAAACAAUCUCCAGGUUAUAAUAGCAAACAAGAUUAGCAAUGUCGCCAGGUUCUGGUUUUUGCCUCAACUAGUAAGAGAAGUACCAGGCAGUUAUUUUUACAAAUCAUGCUUUUGCACUUACCAAAAACACAAGCACCGAACAUAGAUCAAAUUUUUCUUUAGAAGGAAACUGCACAAUACUUGAAGAAAGAAAACAGAAAAAACUUGGGAAAAUAAAGAAUGAAAUUAUACCUCACUGAAAGGUUCCUUGACAUCGUCUCGCUCAACACUACUUUCCUACAAAGAAAAGGAGCACCCGUCAACUCAUUGUCACAUUACCAUCAGUAGAAAUUUGAAAUGCAAUGAGAACAGAAACACUCAUCAACUAUGAUUUCUUAACAUCAAACAAAUGCACCAGAUGAACACCACUAAAUACAUAUAAAAGGAUGCACAGCUAAUAUCAAAUCUUGUCUCUCCCAUAAGGUUGGGGUUCCAACAAUCGAAUACAGCUACUCUUUACUAUAAAUAUUAUAGAGGGCAGAUCCGCGUGAAUGGAAUAUAUAUACAUGUAUACACAUAAAUUUGACUCACAUAAUUAGGAAAGACAACCAUAUCAGCAUCUCCAGGCACUUCGGACAACAAAUGUCUCAAAGAGUACUCUCGAGUGCCAGCUGGAUAAAUUAGCUCAUCAGUGUCAAGAUGGAUAAUCCAAUCCAUUCCAGCUUCCUAAAAUAGUAGAAAGAAGACAUUAGAUACUAUAUCAAUAUGGAGAAGGAGUAAACUUGUGCCAAGUAAGGCAAGACAAAUUCAUACCCUUGCCAUGAUAAUAGCCAUCUCCAUGUUAAGGGAUUGCUUCACAAACAACUCAUAAUUACAUGGUUUAUAGAAGAAGCUUGACAGCCAAGUCUCAUUCCAAAUCCGGCUACACACAUAUACAAAUUCAGAUAGAAAAUUAAGUUGUGAAGAUACUAGUAGCACAUAGUAGUAAGCAACAUGGAAGGACAAUAGGGCUGUCUCUACCAUCUACAAAUGUUCUAUACCUGGCACUGAGAAGACAUUUAAAAAGGGAAGAAGUGAAUAUUGAUUCAUCUAUUUCUCCAUCACCUAGCAGCAAUUUAUAGUGAGUUCUUUGUUUUAACAAUGUUGAAUUGAGUAAUUUCAGUUCCUUGUGUUUCACUGACUUUUAAUAUAGCAAUUUUGGUAGAGUAUAAAACAGCAAACCCACUGUGGCCUUGGUUAGCCAGAAAUGAUGCUAUAUUUAAGGGAUAAUUGGAAAACAGAUGGCUUGUGAGAAAAGUACGUCAGUACUUCCUUGGGGGCUUUGCCUCUACUGAUUUUAGAUCAAUUUCACUUCCCAAUUAUGCCAGUUUCUUCAAAAUUUUGUUGAGAAAUUGAGUUUAUCCAAAAAUAUGACAGUGCUUUCCUUUUCUUUUGUCUUGGUUGACAGGUGAACAUAAUAUCCACAGUGCAGGACAAUACUAUCGUAUGCUCGAUUUUAUUAAGAAAGGCUUGAUAUUUCUUUCUAAAUAGUUUAAAGCACAUCUACCUCAUGGGUAGCAUUUCACUUGACAGCCAAAUACAUUUGUUUUCCUAAUCCUAAAAAUAUUCAACAUGAGAGGUGCUCCAAAUAAGUUUCCUUUGUCAAGCCCUUACAAAUUUCAAGAUUGAUAGGUUCUUUAAUAUUUGUUAUUCUUAUCCUUUGUCACAAAAAUUAGGAACGCGAGUCUACCCCAAAUGUUGGCAUUCAACAUUGAAAGUGGAGUUCUAUAAAAUUAGGAACUUACCCAUCCAUGAUGAGAAGUGGCACAAAUAAAAUAAUGCAUUAAAACACAAUGGGUACCAACCUUUUAGCUUGCUGCUCCUCUAAUUCCCUUGUCCUGUGUAUAACCUUCACUCCCUGUGAACAUGUCUAGUAUCUCAUGAGAAUGAUUACUUAGAUAACAAGAAGUAAAAGGAAAUUAACUUGAUAGGUAUCAACUGAGAUUGCUAAGUUUUUCACCAGUAAUACUAAAAAAGGUGAAGCAUCUGAAUGAGACUUACCGGAAUGGUUUCUAAGACUUUAUAUACAUUUGGAAAUGCAGCCUUCCCUUCCACAAAAAGGAGAAAGUUUGAAACUCCAAUAACCUUAUGAUAGAAGAUCCAUGGCAAAGUUUGCUCUAAUCCAGCAGAAGUGCUUGUUUGAAUACAUAUCUGGCAAGUAAAAGAUUAUUCAUGGAUCAUAAAAUGCUUCUGAAAACUUGGUUGUAUAGAUAAGCACAACUAAUUCAUGAAAAUCACUGAACAAUGUUUUACACAAAAAGUAAACCAGCAAGUAUGACAUACAUAGGAAACAAAAGAUAUGGCCAUAAACUGGACAGGAAAAAAAAAAAAACCCUUUGCAUGUCUCUAAGAAAUGUCUAUAAUAUUAUAUACUGGUUGUAUAAUAUAUAAAUUCGUUUCACCAACAAAAACUAACUCGAUCAACUAUUUGAAUUUAGCACCAUUCAGAGGAAAGUUGCCAUAUCGAGGAAAAAAAACAUAUAUCACAUAGAAAACCUUCAAUGUUGUCAAUAAAAGAACAUAUCAUAGAAACAGUAAGGCUAAACGGCUAAACAUAUCCAUAGGAAGAGCAAAGAUCGUUCUAAAAUGAGUCAAAGCCAAACAACAAGGUCAAAUAAGUUCAACAAGAGAAGGGCUUUAGGUUCUUAGGAUAGUGAUCUGAAAAGAAGUUGUGGCAGAAUUUCAUUUCCAACUGUUUUCAACAUUUGAGAAAAUGUUGGUAUGAAAUAUAAAGUCUUUGAAUAAGUUCAUAAAAAAUUUGCAAAAACCUAUUCGAGAUUAACAGUGAGAAAAAAGGUUAUGGAACUGCUUUUAGAUACUAUAGGUUCAUAGAUUAAAACGUAUGUGAAAGUCACUAUACGUUCUACAUCCUUUGUAUUGGCUGAAGGGAAGCCCAAACCCAGGGUGAAGAAAGGAGCACAAUUUAAAAUAAAAGAACCGAUAAUUGAUUAUAAUAAAGAAAAGGGCAAACGUAUCACAAACUAGUGUGGUUUUAAAAUGAAUAAACCAUGUGAUUUAUCCAGUCUUGGUAUAAAGAAAAGAAAAGAAAAAACAGUUAACUGCAGACAUCUGAACCAAUGUAGAAAGUAGUGUCAGCCCAGGAAUUGCAUAUCCGUUCAAUACUUACUAACACUUGAGAAACUCCUAUGGGUAAACAUUGAUGUUCCGGUACAGUUCAAACCCUGGUAUAGCAAUUGCCUCAUGACAUUGCCUAUUCCAAGCAAUUUACAACAUGAACACUGAACAUAUCUUCGAAAAUGACCAGGCUUGAUAUUGUAGAAAUUAUUAAUCAGAAAGGAUUGUAGAAAUCAGGGCAGGCAGUUGAUAAAUCAACAGAAUUGCAUGGAAAACAAACCUUGGGAGUGAGAUCGGAAGGCGAGAAAUCAAACUUCCAGUCGCGGAAGUAAGGGAAGGACGGGGAGUGGCUGCGGCCGAGAGGAUCGGCGCAGUCGGAGGAGGCGUGGAGGACGGGGCCGGGGAGGCUGGCCAUGCCGGGGAACUCAGGUGACCAGCGGGUGACGGGAUCGUUGAGACCGCCGCGCCAUUGGAGGACGAAGGCGAAGACGGCCAGAGUCAGCGGCAGGACGGUCAGGAGGAGGAGGAGGCGGGAACCGAAGCUCUGAACGGAUGAAGCCAUGUUGCCGGAGGGACUUUACCGAAGCUCUAAUGAAAAUGUAAACAGCCCCCAAAGUUUAUAAACAAAACAAGAGUUGGACUUGGCAAACUGCUCCGUAGGCCAUGUGCUAGCUCGGUAUUUCUGUUCAUUUCAGAGCCUUCCAAACCCAACAUUUGGGUUUUUCAAUUUCUGUACAUUCCUACAAUUUUAUUCUACAACUCUAAAAUACUAUUGAUUCACUCGUAUAAGAAUUGUUGCAUCCUACAAAUUGUGAUUAAGCAGUGAAAAAUUGAUGUUCAUGAAACUCAGAAUUCAGGCUCAACAUGAGGCAUGAACCACAAAAAAGAACCAACGCUGCAGAUCAUGGGCACUGUUAGGUAGCAACCUAACAUAGCAAGUUCAUGACAAUUAGUUGAGUGGAUUGUAUCACCAUAAAUCAGAUGAAUGUAAGUAGUAAAUUAAAGAACCAGAAAGAAUGAUUACAAUCCAAAGUCUAGAAGAUGGUACCAUUAAAAAACUUCUGAACUACACUCAAUCACUUAGAAAGCAGGGAACACCUCAAAUAGAAAUUCUCUACAUGGAUUUCAAAAGCACAAUCAAGUCAACUAAGGGCAGGCCUGUGCCGUGGCAUAAGGUUCAAACUUGAGGCUUUGUCUCAUCUUCAUCCUCUUCUAUCUUCGGAGCCAAGUAGAACCUUAUGUACCCCAUCUCAGCAAUCUUGUACUCAACCACAACUGGCAGUUCAGAAGAGAGGCUGAUAGUAACUGUGUUUGACAAGGGGGAUGCUUUUGUGAAGGAGUUCAUGUACCUCAGAGCAAAUGUCAAUGAUACUGGCUCAUUCAUCUCUAUGAUUGUUGCUUCUUCAGGCUGCAAUUCACAAAAUCACAAAAACCAAAGUUAGUCACAGCAUCCUACCAAAGUUAGUCACAGCAUCCUACCAAAAACAUAAGCUUCUUAAAGGAGAUGUUCAUGAUUACAAGCAUUCAAUAGCAAUACCUUGUCAACAGUAGUGUUCUGCCUACAGACGAUAUUAGCAACACCGAUAUCACCUCUUGUAGAGAACUUCACACCUUCCUUUGUCACAGAUAUCACAACUGCAAGCACAUCAACUCACAACUCAGAAACCCAUACUACAAACACUCCAAAUUUAGAAACAUUUCUAAGGGGAUAAGAACAAUACCAGUAUCACCGAUGCCGCUGAGGUCUUUGCAAAUCCUGGCAAAUUCAGCAGAAGGCAUCCUAACAAUAGCAUGGUAUUCUGCCUCUGGAAUACCAAGGUGCUCACUGUCAAUGUCCAUCAGCUUCAUCUCAAAAUCAGAAAUUUUAUCUUGUGCUGCAAUCCAUAACCGAAAAGAAAACAUCCAAAAUCAGGACAAGAAACAAAAACACCAAUCAAGAAACACCAACUAAAAGGUACAGCAACAUUUUCUCGUAAACAGUAAUUAAAUUGCACACAAAAUUUUCCAAAAGUUUAUUCCAUUUCCCCCAAUAUCAUCAUUUCGCAAUGUCCAGACCCUCCACAUAUUUUUCAUCAUUUCCCGAUACGGUAAAGGUCCCAAGCCAUGGGUGGGCAACUCUGCAUCGAUUUAUUCACCAAUCUUAAAUAAUUGGGUCAAACUGCGUAGUGUUACCACCCCAAAUAGCUACACUAGUUCUGUCAAAUUCAAUUUUAAAAACCCACAAGCUUCUCUCCAAUCUUGCCACACAAACUAUUUAAAACCAAUUAACUACUCAAUUUCAAGAUUGACAAGCCAAUUUCAUUCAAUUCAACAAAACAAAAAUGUCAAGAAACCGUAAAGAACGUACUGGGGCUCUCAAACAUGAAGGUGACAGUAUCGCUGCCGUCGUCAGCCUUGAGGGUGAUGAUGUCAUCGUUGCCGGCGCACUUGAGCAUCUUGGACAUGUUGCCGAGGUUCAUCCCCAUGGAGAUGCUCCGAUCGCAGCGGUAGUGCUCGAAGCCUUCAGAUCUGAGAAGCAAAGCGACGAGGGCGACGUGGCUGGAGUCCAUGGCCUGGAGGGAGAACCCGGUGGCGGAGCAGUCGAAGUUGGCGUCGGUGACGAGGUCCUUGAUGGACUCCAGAACCUUCUUCAGGAGCGAGCCCUGGACCAAUCGGAGCUCCAACAUCGUUUCCGGCGACCACGACGAGGGUUAGGUUUUUUCUUUCUUUGGGGGGAAAUGAGGGGUUAGGGUUUAUAUAGUAGGCGCGGAUUUGGGAAUGUUUGGCGGGAUUUCGUAUACAUGUGUUCCCGCUCGCCCCACAUUUAAUCAUAUAUUAGCUACUAUAAUUUUUUCUUUUUUUUUUGGGUCGAUGAUGAAUUGUUUGCAUUUGGUAUUCAAUUUUUGGAGAAGUAUCAAGUUUAAAAUAGCCUUUAAAAAUUAAAAUAGUCACGUAUCCAUAUUUAACGAAAAGUUGACCGAAGUACCAUAUGGGAAAAUGAAGUAGUAUUUGAGGAACCAAACUGUCAUCUUUCAUACGUGAGAUAUCAAAUUUUCCAGAAACAUGAUUUAGUAGAUAGUGCAUAUGGUAGCGACCAAACUAUACUUGGAUAGCACAUCUGCAACCAUGUUAAGUUGUAUACUUCUCGAUACACAUGAGCUACAAUACAUUCUUCAAACCCUUCUUUCAACUAACCACUCUUCAAAGGAUGAAAGCUAUCCACGCCCUUGUUGAGGUGUUGAACAAGUAAUUCGGAGUCGCAUUCCCCUAUAAUUUUAGGAUUAUUAAAUUGAUAACCCAUCUGUAAACCAAAGAGCAUCCCCCAAGCCUCAGCCUCAAUAACUGCCACAACCCAUGUAUGAAGAAAGACCUUUUAUCCAGGUUCCAUUGUGAUCUCUAACCACACCCCCAGCACCAAUGUUACCACUACGGGAUUUAUCUCCAUCAACAUUAUGUUUUGCCCAUCCUACAUCAGGUUUUGACCCUUCAUCUGAAUUAGACUGAGAGUUCUCCUCAAAAUCCCCUUAUUCAUCCACUUCCAGAUGUACCUGACAUGUAUGUAAUACACCAUUGAUUACCACCAUAGCAUUUUUUGGAGCGAUGGACAUUAGCAGCAAGCCGAGCAUGAAGCAUCCCAAUCCAGCGCCAUGGCCCCUUGCACUCAAACUUAUCUUUGUUAUCAAUACAUAAUAACUUCUGGAAAAAGAAAAAAAGAAAAAAAAAAAAAAAAAAAAAAAAAAAAAAAAAAAAACAAGAGAACAAAAAUGGAGGCAUCUGGUAAAUAAUAUCGAUGUAAUAGCUAGUUGGCCAUGGGAUACACUUCAUCACUAUCUAACAGGAGAAUUAAGUUUUUUGUUUUCCUUUGAGUCUGACAUUGCAAAGAAUUAGGUUAAAACUAGGAUGUAAACGGUAAAAGGUUUGAACCCCUUCAUCCAGAAAAAAUGAAACAUUAAAUGUUUGUCCAUUUCACAAGAUUAUAGGCUGUUUCCAAGGUUCCACAUCUUCAUUGUUCUUUCUUUUGAAAACCAAAUACAUGAUUGCCAAUACUGGAAACACAGGACAAUUACCUUAUUACUCAACGAAGAUAUAAGGGUUGGAAACAGGCAACAAUGAACAACUAUACUACAACAAAAGAAAUAUGAUAACAGUGUGAGUAACCUGAUAGAACUAGUUACCCAGGGUUUGAGUGAAUGAUGAGCCUUUCAACAACCGGGUAUACCCGUAAGAGAAGCAAGUCAAACGAGUUCAAGAAUGUUUUGGAUAAUAUAUAUUGACAGUAUAGUUGUAUGUACGUAUCACUCCCUCAACAGCUUCAGUACAUCCCCGACCAAAUGCAGUGACCCAGUUACAAGAACCUGUAGAUACAUCCACAGUAAGUAUUUAGAUGGUAGUGUUAUUAUGAAUGUAUGCAAAGGAUAAAGACCACUCUGAAUAAACAUAGUUUUAAGGGGAAAAUGUGAAAUCAGAAAAUAUUCGAGCAGAUUUAAUUACAGGAUAUUGUGAUGUAAAUAAGAAAAGUUGUACAAAGCAUGAUAUCACAUCCAGAAAACAUGUUUAAGUAGCUAUGAAUGCUUGUCUUUGGUCAUAUAUACUAUUUUUCAUAUACCAGUUAAUAUAGUGUAAAGGAAUAUAGGUUGAAAACAUGCAGACAUUCAAUUUUUGGCAAUUUAUAUCAGGAAACGAGUGGGAAGACUAAAUAACGGUGAAGGAAGAAACUAACGCACUUAGAUUAUGCAUCAUUCAAUGUACAUAUCCUUAUAAAACCAAUGCAUUAUAUGCUGAUAUAUCUCAUGUAAGCUAGUAGAGCUUGAGUAACUUACUGAAAGAAACAAAUUCACCUAAGUUUACCUGGAUUCUAACAGAAGGGUUUGCUUUCACACAAUCUCUGAGCCAAUUUAUUGCUAAAGGCAGCGAAGGGAUUACUGCACUGCAAGCAAAAUGAUUCCCUACUGGACUGCAAUUAGAAGCAUCCUCAUAGAGGAACUCAUGAGGUAGAAUUGUUGCAGCAUCCAUCUUUGAUUCCUUGUCAAUAACAUUAUCUACUUCUGCAUGUUAACAAGAAUCACUGCAUUACAUAGAUUGGUAAUCAAGAGAAGACCCAAGUAGUAUUCUCAAAUGCAUGCAUAACUUGAACCCAUAUAUGCAAAAUACAGAAAAAAGAAAACUUUGACAGGACUCAGGAUGAUUUAGUGACCUGAACCCAUAUAUUCAAAAUACAGCAAUAGAAAACUUGGUCAGGACUCAGGACGAUACAGUAACCUCUCAUUUAGAAACAAAAAAACCACACAAGACACUUUUUAUGACAAUUAUUUCACCAAAUCAUAAGACCAGAGAGAAACAACUAAUGAUAAACCUCUUUCUUUCUUUUUUAGGUCCGAAACUACAUGUUAACCUCAAGUUUUGAGUUAUGCAGCAACAUAUACUAAACUUUUUUUUCCCACAGGCAGCUGUUUGUUUUAGAUUCAUUGAUAUGGCUUUAAUAUUCUUAAAUUAAGUGAUUCAAAAACUUAUUGCACUUCACAAAGUAACCAAGGAGAAACAGCCAUCCUUAACGGUCAUGACUCAAGAAUGUGUAUCUGCAAGUGUGUAUAUUGAAAUUCUUUGUUAAUCAAUUCCUGGCGUCUUAAUAACAAACAACAAGGUAAACAACCAAUUAACACAAAAUUCGAGUUUUCAAGGAAAUAUAUGUAUAUACCCUUCCCAUGGAUCAACUUCUCCCAAAGUCUCUGGAGUUCAAAUUGCCAUGUGAGGUCCCUGUUAAAGGAAUUUGCAAGAAUGGCUGAGGCAGCAGAAGUAACUCUGUUAUAAGUUGACAUACUUGGAACAAAAAGGGCCUUCGAGAAAUGAGUACCUGAGAAAGAUCCCUGCAAGCAUCAGUUUCUAAGUCUCAAAAUCAUAUAUACAUAUGAACUCGCAAACUCUAAAACACCAGACACCAGGGACUCCCUUCAACCUGGGCUCCGAACCCAUACAUCUGGACCCUGGACCUGGGACCCUGGACACAUAAUCCCAUAACCCCAUAAAUCUCAUUACAUUUCAUUGAUACGACCCAAAGUUAGCAAUAAUAAGAAGAGGAAUCUGACUAUCUGUGGUCUGCUAGACAGAUAGAGACGGUUCUGAUUAAAAACAGUUGCAUAUGUGCAUGAAAGCGGAAAAUGAAGUAUAAGUAAAGAUAUGAAAAUACAAAAAUAAAAACCAUAAAAGAUAUAGUAGAAGUUAAAAUAAAACCUAAGUAGCCAAUCCCCAAUGGCAUCAAGUCUUUGUUGUAUUUUGUUGUUAUAGUUUAAUAGAGUUUAGAAUAAAGGUAUCAUAUGCAAUGACUGAGUAGACUGGCAAAUGCAUCUUUUUUGACAGAUAACCAAUUGCCGAUUACCACUGUACUAUCCCAAAACCCCAUCAAUGUUCACUAGUUGGCACAAUAAUAGAAAGACUCGCAGUUCAACACCAAUGUAUCAGAACUUCUUGAUAAACGUUGUGUGAGGAAUCAUAAGAGGAAGGGGGAUUGAUUAAUUGAUUGCAUUUAAAUCAGCAGUACCUGAAGAAGCACAUGUACUUACAAGCCGCGGAAGCAAUACUUGAGGGUCUCUAACCUCCAUGCAAUUGAAUAAAAGAAUCUACAAGGUAUAAACAGUAUAAAGGGAAUAAGGAACCAAUAAUCCAACUGUAAAUGAGAAUUAGUAACUGGAUUAUUAAUUGAUAUAGCUAUCAAUAAAGCUGUCCAUGUUGUCAACAUCCAGGCAUUUACUUCUAGAAGUAUAAAAUCUGUUUGUAUUGCUGUUACCUGCUUUGAUAUUGUUGUAGACUCUACCUCCUCUGUUCUAUGUUGGAGGUGACCAUUACUCCACCUAUCUUCAGCUCUAGAACAAGAAGAUCUUUUCUGGUUUGCCUUGAUGGCACCAGAAAACCAUUUACCACAGACCUCCAUGCUCUCAGGACUAUGAGCUCCAUCUAAAUAGAAAAUCAGAUCUCCACUAGAACAUUCAGACACUUUUGAUGAACUGAAAGACUUCGAGGAAGUAUCGUAUACAAUUUCAGCUCUCCCAGAAAGAUGCGCUGUCGAAAGACCUCUAUAAAAUGACUCUGGUAACUUAUCUUCCAAUAGAUCUUGUCUUCCAAAUAGUUUUUCCCAAUUUCCUGUUCUUUGGAGCCAGCAUUUAGAAAGGGAAACAGCAAGACCAGCAUUAAUGAACUGGUGGUCACCAGACAAGCUAAGUUUCCCAUCCAUUUUUGUACUGUCAAGUGGUGCCACAACCUCCAGAGGAACCUAUAAUCAGUGAAGACAGAACAAAUCAUGAUGCAGCUAAAAAAUGACUAGUUCUUCUCUGUGGGAGCAUAUGUAUGUUUUAGACAAUAAUUAAUAAUUGUGUAAAUGAUCUAGUAGAGUUAUGCAUUAUGACCUUUUGACCACGCUUAUUAGAACUCUCAGAGACAACAAGCACCUUCUGGUCAUUAUCUUAAAAUUUUAUGAUAAGCACAGUUCUAUCCCCUAAGAUUUUUGCUGUAUGAAUUAUUGAUUUCCAUGUUGAAACACUCUUAUUUUGUUCAUGUGAUCACAUGGAAGCUAUCCCAUUAGUUAAAUCAAUUUUGAUUCACAUGAGAACUGCAGUGAGAAAACAUGAUGCUAGAUUUUUGCUGAAUUUAUCCAAUUGAAGUAUAAAAUAAAUAAAAUAACCAGCAGAAAAAAUCAUAAACUUGGAUCCUUGUCCAUAAGAACUGACCACCAGAAAGGCUUUUAUAUAAUCUAUGAGCAGAAGAACAUGGUGGAUUAAGCCUUAAUGAUAAAAUGGUCAUUUGUUUUCUUUGCCGAUGGAAAAGGUAAGUACAGCAAAAUGACCUCUGCAAAUGGAAAUGUGAAAGAUUGUUUACCAUAAAUCCACAAGCCACCUCCUGAAUAACAUCCAUUGCUUCAGAAAGUUGGGGUGCCACGAAUGCAGGAACAUGAGGCUUCAAGAGCAGACAUCAACCCAAUUCAUAAAACAUCAAAACUGCCGGUUUGAAUAUUCAAAAAGAAGUGUUGCAAUAAAUAACUAAAGUAAAUCAUAUCCAUUUACUUCGGGCUGCUUAUUUACACCUUCAAUAUCCCAGCUUUGUGGGAAGCUAUCUGCCCAAGAGUAUUUCCUGCAUUAAUCACAGCACUAGAAUUUAGCAUCCAUAUAUCUGAUGACACCAUUUUACUGCUAAAAUAGAGGGACAACAAGAAAAGUUACACCUGAAACUGAUAACAACAUGGGAAAUGGAUAACAACAAUUUAACUUGCAAAUCCUUCAGUAUAAAAUUACAAACAUGUAUCUACAGAAACGAAGCUGGAAAAAACUAGUUAAUGAGUCAAAUGGACGCACCCAAUGCCUCCACGUGGUCCAUUCCCAAAGAAGUAAUGCCACAAACAAUAGGGUCUUUGAUCUGCAUGAUUUACCAGUAACUUUCAUAACUAGUACAAUCCUUCCUCUUAAUUUACAUCCCCUUCAGUGAAAAUUAAGAGAGCGAUAAAGUUCUACUCUUUGUUAAUAUGAUAUGGGUUUCUAAAGAGGCAUAAAGCAGUUUUGAAAUUUGAAUUCACUAAAAUUAACAUAUAUAUUUUUAUUUUUAUUUUAGGAACAUAUAUAAUUUCUUCAAGCAUACCACAUUUGUCGAAUCCCUUUUUCCCCCAAGACCAACUUCAACAAUCGCUACGUCAACCUAUAGAAAGAGACUGAUAUUAGUCUUAAUAUAUGAAUAGAUCAGUGAUUGAAUGAAAAAAUAAAAAUACAUACUGAAGAUCAAGGAACACCAAGUACAACUUGCAAUAGAUUUAAAGUUACAACUAAUUCCAUAAGCUAAGCAGUUAAAAAAUUGAUCCAAAAAGUUACGUCAAGCACUUGACCAGACGAAAAAACAAUUUAUAUAAAGUUGACGACAACACGUACACUUCUUGUCGUUUAUGGAAGCCAAGUAAUUAGGAAUAAGAUGGGAAUCACAUAAGCAUGAGUACAGAAAUUAGUUGAUUACCAGAUGUAGUGUUACUGUGUGUUAAAAACAGACCCUUAGGAAAGGAAAAAAUAAAAGGACAUUUGGGAGAUUAGGAAAACUAGCUGAUAAUUACUGUUCUCCUGAUCAAGUACUGACCAAAGAUACCUCGGUCAAUAUUGUGAACAAAUCCAUUUAGAGUACUUCCAGGAGUGGAAAGAAAUAUGUUUUAAUUUGAGUUAAUUUCCCUUCCACCCUUGGAUCUAGAUCCUAGAAUAAUUAUAGUACCACUGACUGUUCUGACAGAAUAUCUAGGACAGUAAUACAAUGACAGUAAAACAGAAAAUUCUAGGAAGAGCUGAUGCCGAAAGGAAAUUUAAAUUGUAAUAAAAAUAACAGUCCAAAUACCAAGCACUAUAUACUUAACAGAGUUCUACUUAUUUAUGUUUUCAUAGUGAUUUUGAACAUGUAUUUCAGGUUCCUUUGUUUCUCAUAUAGUCAACAUAUAAGGUGUCACAAGUAGUGCAUUAUAAAAAGCUUCUAGUGUAUUAUUUUGGUCAUCUGAAAAGAACUCAGGUAUUGAUAACCCUAUAAAGGCGGCUAACAGUUCAGUUGGAGUGAUUCCCAGACCCCUUUGGUGUGAUGCCAUGACGCUUUGGUUAUGAAUGUUGCCGGGGUCUAGGUUUAUGUCAAAGGCCAAAGUGAUUUUAUUACUUCUUUUUUUUUAUGUCAAAGGCCAAAGUGAUUCUAAGUUCACUAUUCUCUUUCUGUUGUCCUACAUCAAAAGCAAAGCACCAUCUAGCAGGUACAUAAGACCUGAUUAUCAGACUCUAGAGGAACUGUAUUCUUUUCUCAGGAAAUAAAAAGGAAAACAAUCCAAGAGAAAUAUUCUUUGUGCAGCCUAUGGAAAUGUGAACAAUUUGUUAGGAAAGAAAACAGAUAAGUAACCAAUCAGAACGAGGAUAAAUAACCCUUGCAGCAUAACUUACAUGUUCACAAAUAAAAACUUUGAAAGCCAACAAAAUGAGGAACUGAAAAAAUGGAGGCAUUGGCAAGUCUUCCGUAAUCUUCUCCUGCAAAUUCAACUUCAAAAUCACAAUUGGACAUCUACAAGUAGAUAAAAAAGUUUCUAUGCUGUGAAGUGGUAAAAAAAAAAAAGUCAUCUGAAAGUUGUAUAAAUUAUAGACUUUUAUUUAUACUAAUGCUGCAAUUGAAACAAAUGCACACCAAAACACUCAGUCUAGUAUGUAUAUAGAGGUCCCAUACAAUGCUAAAUUCCCCGUAAGGAACCAGAAGUAUCCAAUUACUGGCCAUAUUUUCUUACUGAGAUGAAGGAAGCUACUGCAAAAAAAAAAUGUCACCACAGAUUCACAACCUUAGAUUCAAUGAUAUGACCAGUUCUACCCAAAGCGAUGCCUAUAUGACGGCUACUAAGUUUUUCAUUUUUUCAAGUGGUAGUAAUAAAACUGAUUCCACCAACACAAAAAAUUCUGAUGAACCUCAGUAUUACACUCGAAUAGAAACUCAUUUACAGUAUGGAACAGUAAUUAUUACAAUAAGCUACAUGAAAUAUGGAACAACCAUAUCCAACACUAAUGAAGGUACUGAGGAACAAUGCUGGGGUAGAGCCUUGAAUAAGAAGUUAAGAACGUCUUUACAACUUCGAACUAUGUCUUAAAGAUAAAUUCAUAAUAAUAUUUGUUUUACUUGUCCGAUACUUUCCAAAUGAAUACAUAAAGAAGCAAAGAGAUACCUCUAGUUGAUACCAACAAUUCCAAAAGUACUGUAGAAAUUUUUCUUCGCUUAUAUCCAACCUACACAUGCAGUAUAAAGUGAGACUAAGACCUGAAAAUUAGAGAUUGACAUCUUAUUAGCUCAAAGCAUAACUGCACAGAAUUAUGAUGAAUAUCCAGUUAGUUUUGGUUCACAACAUUAUAUUUGUACCUUCCAAAAUUCCAACAGUUGCCCCUAACUCGAACUCAAGAAGAGAAUGCCUUCCAGUAUAUAAAUAUAUUAGAAUCUUUUUAUCAAGUUUAUGCUUAAAAAAGAAAAUAGAAAUAGAUUAUCUACUGAAUGUUUGGGACACUCUAGGGACUAGAGGCUUGCUACCGCCAAUUAGUUAACUACACUAAUAGUUAAUGUGUGCCUGUAUGUGUGUGUGUGUGUGUGUGUGUGUGUGUGUGGAGAGAGAGAGAUGUGUGUGUGUGUGGAGAGAGAGAGAGAUGUGUGUGUGUGUGUCCAAUUACAAGCAGAAGAUAAUCCAUAUAUUUGAGUUGUGUUUUAAAAUACUAACCCAUUAAUACGAAUUCUUUCUCUAACAUCAAUCAGGUGAGGAGAAGUGAACAAUCCUGUCCGAAAACCACACUCUCGUAAAAUAGCUUCACAGAAUGCGCACGUUGAACCCUUAAUUGCAAAUAAAAAAAUAACAGGAUGAGAGAGAGAGAGAGAGAGGCAGGUGCUACACUACAAAAGUAUUUUCCAUUCUAAUCAUGUCAGAUGCCUUGAACCCCUUUAAAUCAACUAUAGAUGUACAUAAUUGCAUAAUUCUAUUGCAUGACAAAACAAACAUAUAUGCACACAUUCUAUUAAGGACGCAGUGUGUCUCUCUUGGGCAUAUAUAUCUAUAUAUAUAUAUAUAUGAUCUUAACAUGUACAAAACAUGUCCUUAUUUGAGGAACUUAUUAGUAAUUGGCAUUAUGAAGGUUUGAUACCAUAAUAUAUUUCAAACGAUAGUGACAAGUGUCCGAAACUCCAAGUCUGAUUUAUCAAGCAUAUAUGUAGUUUAUGGUAAGAAGAAUCACCUUUCCCUUGGUUCCAGCUACAUGAAUAACUUUGAGUCCUCCUAUGUCUUUAUCCAAGCCUAGUAUCUGUAAGAACAAUCAUCCACACAUUUCAACCUCAGUACAGUAAAUCAAAUUGUCAUGUGUCCACUAACUACUCAGAGCAUGCUGCACUAAUCAUAUUGUCAGCAUCAUACCUUGAGAUACAUCGUCAUCCUUUCCAAUUUAUCAUAUUUACCACCAACAGUUGAUCCGUCUCCUCGUUUUUUACCUAUAAUGAGAGAGGAAAGUGCUUCCAUGGCUGAUUCAUAUGAGGAUGUAAGAGGUAGGUCCUCUUUGACAGCCACAUUGCUUUGCAUUUGUUCUAUAACUUGAGAUGACAUCGCUCUGAUAUAACCUAAACAAUAAGCCAGUCGAGAAGUUAAAAAAAAAAUUCAGAUAAGACAUAAUACUUUUAUGUAAAGAAUUAAGCCAAGUAUAACACAGGGGACAAGAUUUUUAAGGAAUUUGCUAGCGGACAGGAAAGAUGUUCAGAAACUCAAGGUUGGCAAUUUUUGAGAGAAGGAAAACAAUGGGGUCUUCAACCUCCAGGAUUUAACCCAUAGUUCGGCACAACUCGCAUGAUAUCAGAACUUAUUGAGAUGCCUCCAAAUCAAAGUCUUUGACUAAGUUCUCAAAAAGCAUCAAUAAGAGAAUACAUAAAAGAUGAGAAACUUGGAAACCUCCAGUUGACUUACUCGGUCUGUUAAGAUUACUCGUGCUGAUAAAAGCUUGCACACGACUUGAGCUCAAUGUCCUACUAACAAACAACUGAGCACUUGGGCCAUGGAAGUGUGAAACUCUAAGUAUCUCACACUUGAGGGGAGUGGUUGCAUGAGCAAGCAUCAGGGAUGAUCAACCCUACAAAAAAGAAUGAGAAAAAGACAUGGUAUCAGUUUGGGUUUCGAGUUAAUAACAAAGAGAAACAGAAUAGUGGGUGAUGACCCAUAUGCAUAUAUUGAUUACAACAGAGCCCAACUGGUUGAGCUCAAAGCAAGAACCAAUGAAGCAAUUAUUUCAGUUUCAGUUCAUCUGGCUAGGACCCAUUGGCCUUAAUUUGCAAUACAAGUAGAAAUUCAACAAAGCAUCAAGUGAACUAGAGAACACAGUAGAAGCAAAGAAAACAUCCGCAACCUCGUUAGAAAUGUCCAUAGUUUGUUCCACAGAGCAUACAAUACAUGCUUAUGAGAGAUUGAGAGACUUACAGAGAGAGGGCGCGGAGGCAUGUUGUGUUGUUGUAUAGGGGAGAUUGGGUGUGCCCACAAUUGAUGGAGUGCUUGGUGGCCAACCGCUUCCGACUUUCCUUUUAAAAACCCCUUAAUUCCCCAAAAUCCUAGCCUCACACUCACACCUCUAUCCCGCCUCUUUUUUCUUUUUCUUUUUCUUUUUCUUUUUCUUUUUUAUUUUUAUUAAAUCUACCCAAAAAAAUGUAAAAAAUUGAUGGCCACGUUUACAUAUUUAGAUUGAAAUUGAUCAUAAAUAAAAAACAGAAGAAUGGGAAUCGGAUGGAAGAAUAUUUAUUUCUAUUUAGCUGUCUAUUUAUCAUGUGAAAUCAGAAUACAAAUGACUUAAUAACGAUUAAUGUUACUUUAGGUUUUAAAAAAAUUAUUCCAGACACUUUGAUUUCAUCUCACUAGUCGGGUCUUGAUAGUAGGGUUGAUAAGGAAUCAAUUCAUGAUUAGAAUGUGAGAUCCACGCUCAUGUUGAUUCCAUCGUAUGUUAGUAAACACAUGAAUUUUUUUAUCCUCAAAUCAUGUCCUCAUUUCGCAAUUCCAUUCCUUGUAAAUAACCGUGCCAUCAAUGAGACUCUUGUUGGGUUUUGUAGAACUUGUGCAUUCUUCAAACAUCCCGACGACAUAUGGGUCCUCCUCCGGAGGUGGAGCCUCAAGCUACCAACCCUAAUCAUAGGGUGUACUGAUUCCCCAAUUUCAAGGUAAUUCUAAAGAAUCGUGUUCUGUGUCGACCUCAUUUGCCACAAAGAAGGGAAUGUUGACAACAGUCUUUACCAUUUAAAUGCCGGUGAACCUCAGCCUUGUUAUGCUACCCACUAUGCAAAAGCAGGUUGCAGUUCCUACUACCAGUGUCAAGCAUUAGAUGCCUUUGAUUGUGAAUGGUAAGAAGAUCAAGAUGUCGAAUCAUUUAGAGGCUAUUCCUGUAAAGUUUCAUCUAAUUUGGAGGUCAUUUGAGGUUCUGUAAUCGCGAUUUACACGAACGGUUCCGUUUGGACAAAUUUUGUUCAGUUGAUUCAUUUAAUCUAAUUUGGUACCAAAUGAUAUCCAAAUUGGAUGAAACUUUGCAAGAAUGAUCUACACAGUAUGUUCUAGACAUUGAACGGUGGAGAUGUGAAAAUGUGACCUAAAAGUGAGCCAAAUAAGGAGUCUCACAUUUUACUUUCAAAGCGGUGUCCCGCUCUACAUAGGAAAUAUAUAUGCAUAGAAAUUCAUUCUGAGAUCACUGAGUUUUUGUGCUAAAAUCCAUUGUUAAGUUUUGUUGCAUAGUCUGUAAAAAGUCUUUGAAAACUCAUUGUCAUAUCAAUGUUUUAUUUAUUGAAUCAUUCAUAUCAUGUUGUGAUUGAGGUCAGUGACAAGUGAAGCAACGAAGGCGUGUUCAGUUCCUUUAAUUCAGAUUCAGUAAGUUAGUUUAGUAUACUAGUGAAUGUGAUUGUGCUAGCUUGUACCUUACUAUUUGACAAAGCUGUAACUUUAUUCUUAUUUAGUGGAUUAAUUUAAGUGUGGACUACUAUCAAAUCUCGCAGGGAAGUUUCCUAGAGAAAGUUCACACUGUAGUCAACAAAUCUAGUGUUCUUGUGUUAUUACGAUUUCUAUUACUGUGUAUAUUAGUUAAUUUAAUACUUUCAUUACUCUUUUCAAUGUGUGUAUGGUGCUCCAAAUUAAUCCUGGACAAGCUGCAGCUACGGCAACACUAGUUGAUGUGCUUGUGGGUGUAACUGCAAUUUCAUUUGCAACGCUUUCCCCCUUGGAUCAAGCUUGCCUUUGGCAUUGGCAAAGGCUCUAGGCGCUGUGGAGCUGCCGGUGCUCUACAUGUGUCAAGAAUUAUUCAAGGGCAGCUCGGUGAUCUCCUUCUCAUGUCGAAAUCCUCAUUGCAGACAGAACGUACCAACAGAUGUUUAUAAAAAGAUCGGGUUUCUCUCUGAUAUUGCAGGUCCAACUGGUACUUAACUAAGAAUAGUAUACGGGGUGUUUGGAUACAUGCAGAUACUCUCACCCUGCUUCAUGCCAUUGGCUCAUGUAUGUCAUUUAUCAAAAAACAUACAAUCCACUUUUUUUUAAAUUGAUCUGUAGAACCAAUGAUCCUUCUUCUAUCAAAGCGUUGAUCCAUUUUUGAUCAAGUAUCUGUACUAUAUAUGGUGUUUCUAAUUUAUCAUUUAAACUAUGAAUCAGGGAUGACAUGAAUCUGUUGACAAACCAAUGCAGCUCAAGUACAUAUAUAAAAUGCAAACACCAUAUGCAGUAUUCCAGUAAUAAUAAGUCAUCUAGCUAGCCAUGACAAGAAUUUGUUUCAAUUUCACAUUAGGUGUCUGGGGGAGAAAAGUUCUUCAGAAGCUACUGUAUAUAAUUAUUUUACACGAGUAAUUAAUUAAUAUAGCAAACAACAUCUAAUAUGACGUGUAAAGCUGGAAAUGGUAUACUUAUUAUUAUGUAUAAAAGUUUCGGUACAUUUCUCAGACUUUUCAUAUGAUCGAUAUAGCAAUUGAAUCACGUACCAGAAUGUAUCUAAGCCAAAUUUAUAGCAUACAGAAAGUCAUGGAGAGACUUCUUGUACAGACGUGAGACUAGGCUCCCAUCCAAAUCCUUUACCACCUGAUCUGGCUUUUGGGAGGGGAGGUACAAACGGCUUCUUUCCUCUAAUUCCCCUCCUGCGUGAAGAUUUUGACCUCUUUUCUUUGGAGACAAAGUCACUAGCGGAGCAAACAGAAUCAUCAGUUUCUUCCCCUUCUGAAUCCGCAGUGAUCUUUCCACCCAGAAUCAUCUCUUCAUCUUCAGCAGGUUCUUUGGGCUUCACCUUAUUCUGUUGUUUACGCUUAAGUUUCUGCGCUGUUGUACAUGGUAUUAUAUAAUACUUCUGUCCAGGCAAUAGGCUCUCCUCUGGCCUUAAAAAGGACUCCUGAGGCUUUUUGAAAACAUCUGGGCGGGCAACACAUUUCCCAGGAUACUUGUCCAUCAACAAAGACGCAGGAACUGCAUCCGGAAACAGCUCCUCUUGUCCACCUGCAUGAACUAUCCUCACAAGAAAACUUUUGGACUGUGUACUCACUGUACUGUAGUCCAACGAUAAGGAAGCAGGAGCUAGUUUGGCAUCUCCUCCGAGCAGCCUGUUUCUCUUAGAUUCACUUUCAGAAUGCCGAACUAUCCCUAGCAACUGCAUGCACAUCUUUAGCAUAGCCACAAUUCUCAAAUGCUUCUACAUAGUCCACUGUAAUGGAUUGAUGAGCAUCUACUAGAUGCUUUGAUAUAAUUACGCAUUGACCAUUGUGGCCGGCUGUCCUAAUUUAAUACUGUCAUGCAUUCACAAGAGGCUUGAUGAAAUCAAGGCUGUCUUUGUUUGAUGUGUUAACCAAUGUGAAACUCUAAUGAAUAUAAUAAAGCACCAACUAGGUCUCAGAAUGUAGUUACCAAUUCAUAGUUGUGCCUGAUACAUUCUUGUGCUAGUAUCAAAGUCCCAUAGGCCAGACAACACUUGCCUUUCUAGCUUCUUCAGCUUCCCACUGAUCUAACUGUUAUGGAGAACCAAACAUCCCUGUUUCACACAGGCUGAUCUCAAUUUUUUUUUUUUCCUGCCAUAAGCUUAUAUAUGCCCCGUUUGGGAAGAAGAUGAAAUAUACGCUAAUUUUGAUAGAAAGGGUAUGGAUGCCCUCGGUACUUUUACCUAAACCUUAAAAUUUGCUCGUGGCCCAAUCGACAGCUACCCUAUUCGGGAAGUAAAUCACAUGUUCCCGAAUUUCCAGUGCCAACCAUGUGCCUUCAAUUAUAUUUCGCCACGUGUUUUGCAAACUUAACCCUUCUGACUCUGUUAACACUCUAUUUCCCCAUUAGAAAAAAACAAAUCUCAGUUAAACAAAAAUGAGCAUUUCUCAUAAGAUCCUCUCGAUCGGUUUCAAUUCCUCAUAAAAAUUCUCUCUGGUUCAAUAGAAACGGAUCAAAUCUCAGACAAACAUAAAUGUAGCUCUGGAACACAAAGGGAGAUCACAUUAUAUGAGAACAAGAAGAGUUGAGAGUCUUUCCCUUUGAUAACAAACCGCAAGUAAUUCAUACCAUGAUUGUACAAGGAGACAAAGAAUUCAUGAAACUCGCUAGCUCAUUUUAGAUCUGCAAAUCUACAGCGCUCAACCCAUCUGAUCGACUUGCUCCUUAAUUGAUUAUAAGAGAAACCAAAUCAACCAAAUACAUAUGACGUUUCAUUCAUCUGGAAAAAUAGGGAAAUGAAAAGUCAAAAACAAAUCAUCAUUCUCUUCCCAAAAUCUACCACACCCAUCAUCCAAAAAAUACGAAUUGUAUUCUAAUUGAACCAGAAAACCCUUAUAUAAUGGAAAAUGUAACUCUGAACAGAAGAUAUGGAUUCUAAAGGAGAUGAACCCAGAAAGAGAGGAAGAUAAAAGUUCAGUUUUUUUUCAGGAGAAUGAUACAUUUAACGGUGUUAGUUUGCUGUAAAGUAAUUGCCAGAUGUCAAAAUAUAAUUGAAGACACAAGGUUGGCACUGGGAAUUCGGGAACAUGUGAUUUACUUCCCCCUAUUCGUUCAUGGCCCUCUUUAACCGCUAAACCCCCGAAACCCUAAAUUUGAAAACUACCCAAUUUGCUCGCGGCACAACUAAUUUGAUUCAUCUUGUCUUUAUAACCCAACUCUAGCGUAUGUAAAUCUUGUUUAGUGCGCUUUAUGAUGCGUUUGUCGUAAGUUCUGUGUGAGUGGAAUCAUAACAUUACGCUAUAGACAUCAUGUGUUAAUGCGUCCAGAUACUCUUGGUUGUGGUUUGGAAAACAAGUCGGAUUCGCCUCUAUAAGCCACAGCUAGCUAGGGUUGCAAAAAUAAGAGCUUAAAUAUGGCUUUUAAAUAAUCUAAGAAACAUGACAAGCAUAGGAACUACUAAAGGUACAAAAGAAAUAAGAACAACAACCACUAAUUUAUCAGCCAAAAUAUUUCUGAAAGUUGAAAACUAAGCUAUAAAGGGUUUGUGAAUCCUCUAAAAUGGUAAUAGGUAAAAGGAUUGGGGUUGGUUGAAUAUACCGAAAUAACUCAACCUCUUUUUUGCAAGACACGCAUAAAGUACGUUACUGAUGUUAGUAAUGAUAAAGCAACAGUUGUAUUUAUAUCAUUUAUGGGUGCGGCUAAAUCCACGUGAGGUAAAUGGAUAAGUUUUCAGGGUCAAAUACCCUGGCCAAUUUGAAACAAAAAUAAACAUAAACAUAGUUCCAAUAAAGGGAACCCAUGGACCAUUUUCUUCUCCAAAUCUUGUUUAACCUCUUCUGUCUUAGCUUGACCACAACGUAAUUCGACGACAAACCGAAUUCACAUGUAGCCCAAUUCGACCGCUACCCAAUUUGCUCGUAGCCCAAUUUGUUAGCUACCUAAUUUGCUCGUGGACCAACUUGAUCGCUACCAUAUUCGUUCAUGGCCCAUUUUGACCUCCACACGAUUCAUCCAUUUCCCAGUUCAUAUGUGAUCAGUUUUCGCCUAAGACUACAUUUCGACCACGACAAGGAUUCACCGCGAGGCAAUUACACUUUUAAUAUAACUAAUUUCACAUGAAGAAAUAUUCACUUGCGCCUAAAAAACCUAUGUCGAAAAUUUUGCACCACAAUGCCCUCUCUUUUCUUUCUUCAUGAGUUUUGAAUGAAAAAAGAAAAAAUAACUCUAUCGGUCUCAUAUCGACAUUGUGGGUUACUUUUCGUAUGAGACUGAGAGAUCGAGUUUUCUUUCUCCAUUCGAAACUCAUGAAGAAACAAAAAAGGCGGCGUUGUGGGUGCAAAUAUUUUCGACACAAGUUUUUAGGUGUAAGUGAAUAUUUCUUCAUGGAGAACUAAUUAGAAGUAGUUAUAUUGAACGUUUAAUUGCCUCGCAAUGAAUCUUGCUGGGGUCGAAAUGUAGUCCUAGUUGAAAUCUAAUCACAUAUGAACUGGGUAUGGAUCAAUCGUGUAGCUGUUAAAGUGGGUCAUGUAACGAAUAGGGUAACGGUCAAGUUGUGUCGUGAGCAAUUAGCUAUCAAAUUGGGCCACGAGCAAAUUAGAUAGCGGUCGAAUUGAGUCACAGGUGAAUUGAGUUAUGGUUUUUUUACGUUGUGGUCAAACUAAGACAGAAGAGGUAAUAGGGCCACUAGGGCCUAUUACAGCAAGUUCACCCGUUGGGUUAAAUUAAACACAGUGACCUGAGUCAUUUAAUUGACCUGGGUCAUUGUGACUGGGUAUUAGUUUCCACCCGUCAGAAAUGUGAGAUUGCUGCCACGUGACAAUGAUUGUUUAUUGAAUUUUUAAAAUAAUUUUAAGUGCGAAUAAUGGUUUUUAGUUGUGAAUAAAUAGUAAUUAAAUAAUCAAUAUGACUUAUAGAAGAAAAAUACAAUUUUUUUUCUUAGAAAAAAAUACAAUAUGAACACCAUGAUAAUUGAAACAAAAGAUGAAAGAGAAAUUUUAUUAAUACAUUCCAAAAUAAUAGAUACGCAUCUCAUACUUAAUACACCUCUUAUUAAUUUUAUGAAGAAAUUUUUCAAAUGGUGCCCCAAGUUAAGCUUAUUCAUCAUUUUUAUAUCUCAAUUUUGAAAACUAUGAUAAUGAUACCUCAACACUUAAACCCAAUCUAACAUUAGUUCAUUCCGUGAUUGACACCGUUAAGUUGAACUUUAUCCAUGGGUAAAAAUUGUCUUUUUGUGUUUUCCCUUCCCAAUUUUUUUCCCUCCACAAACGUUUUCCUCCAAAAUAAUGUCUCUUUUCCCAUCGGUAUCAGAAUUUGUGAUGAGCCAUGUGUUGGCUGCAUUCAAAAAUUAGAGACAUCUAUAAAUUAUAAUACACCAUUGGCCAUUAAUAUCCAUAAUUAAAAGUAGCUUUUGCAACCCACCGAUGAGAGAAAGAAUUAACAUUUAUUAAAAUGCAUUUUGUAUCAAGUACAGAAGUUCAUGAAACAUAUAUACUUAAUAGAACAAUCAAAGAUAACUAGGUAAUAAGACUCACAUUCCACUAUGUCAAUAACAUCAUCAGACGACACAAGAGACACGACAUAUAAAACUGCAUUUUUAAAUAGUGUCGUCUGAUGGUUUUUGUGAUUUUUUAGACGACAUAUAAAAUAUAAAAGUCGUCUGAAUGACAUGCUACUUCAAUACUUUUCGAUGCUUCUUCAUUUUUUCUAGGUUUGGAAAAAUCAUACGACAUAUAGAUGUGGUGUCAACAAACCCAGAAAUUCUCACUUUCAGCUGAAAAUUGAGACCUCAUAUAUAUGUUGUGUGAGGAAUGCUGUCUAAAUCGGGUUUUCAGCUCUUUUAAUAUACUUUUGGAGACGACAUAUAUGAAAGAAACUGAAAUUUUCAAUUCAAACUUCCAUGUGCGAGUUUGAAUGUGCUUAUCUUUCAGACGACAUAAAUAUGUCGUCCAACAAAAACCUUACAAAAUUUUCAAUUGGCACACGAAAGUUUUUGAACCAUCCUUACCGAAAUUUUCCCGCUCUUUAUGAAAUAGGCCGCCACUUCUUUAUGUGACUCAGAUGACUUAAAUAUGUGGUUGUAAGAGGUCUGAAAUUGGUCAACAAACGAUAUGCCUAUUUCCACUUCUUUAAUGUACUUCUAGAGACGACAAAUAUAUGUCGUUUGAAAGAAACUGAAAUUUUCAAUUCAAACGUCCCUGUGCGAGUUUUAAUGUGCUUAUUUUUCAGACGAAAUAUGUCAUCCAACAAAAACCUUAUGAAAUUUUCAAUUGGCACACGAAAGUUUUCGAACCACCCUUAGCGAAAUUUUCCCGCUCUUUACGAAAUAGGGCGCCACUUCUUCAUGUGACUCAGACGACAUAAAUAUGUGGUUGUAAGAGGUCUGAAAUUGGUCAACAAACGAUAUACCUAUUAUCUAUACGAAAACGCUCUUAUCUCCUCCGGUCGAACUUAUUAUUUUGAUUCAUGAAUGUUGUAGCUUUCAUUGAGUACUCGCGAAACUAAUCCAUGAGAAAAUUUAGACACGUUUAUAAACCGAUUAUAUAGCUCCCCAUAGAGAAGUUUAAACGUAAAUAAAGUUGACUCAUAUGAUUGAGACCCAAACGUUAUCGAAAAUUGGUAAGUUUUCUACCGUAUCCAUAUUUAACUACUGUGAUCACAUCCUACAGUCAAAUUUUGCAAAUUAUAUUUCAUCCAUACAGUUGGCUUAUAAAGAUAUAUGUUUAGGUAUAAUCUAGUAAACGUCUUAUAGCAUAUUAGUAGGUUGUUAUGAUUGAGAUGACUAAAAUUUAAAAAAUUAAAGUUUGAGUAUUGGAUAUUAUCAUGAUAGCAAAACAUAGCCAUGAUACAAAAUUCAAACAGUUUCGAUAAUGUUCGGGUCUCGGUCGAUGCAGUCAACGUCAGAUCGAUCAUUCUUCAAUAAACUCAGACUACAUAUACAUGUCUGAUUAAUACUUGAAAAAGUCAACACAAUUAUCAAAAUGGAAACACUCUUUUCUAAUCCGCCCAAAACUUAUAUAUUCGAUUCAUCAAAACUUAAAUUCUCAUUUGGUAUUGGCGAAACUAAUCCAUGUGAAAAUUCGGACACUUUUACAAAUCGAUAGUGUAGUUUCCAUAGAGAAUCAUAAGGAAAUAUAACGUAAAUAAAGUUGACCCAUGCGAUCAAGACCCAAACAUUAUCGAAAAUGGGUAAACUUUCUGUAGUAUCUAUAUUUAACUACUUUGAUCACAUCGUACGGUCGAAUUUUGCAAAUUAGAUUUCGUUCAUACAUUUGGCUUAUAAAGAUACACAUUUAGGUAUAAUCUAGUAAACGUCUUAUAUUACAUUAGUAGACUUGUUAUGAUUGAGAUGACUAAAACUUAAAAAAUUGAAGUUUGACUAUUAGAUAUUAUCAUGAUAACGAAACAUAGCCAUGGUACAAAUUUCAAACAUUUUCAAUAAUGUUCGGGUCUCGGUCAAUGCAGUCAAUGUUAGAUUGAUCAUUUUUCAAUAAACUCAGACUACAUAUAUAUGUUGUCUAAUGAACGUUAAUGUCAAAACUAUUUCUUAUAAAUUAAUAGAGAACUAUAAUAGAAAAACUGAAUUUAGGGGUUAGGGGUUAAAGGAUAAAUGUUGGUAAUUAGGGCAAAAUUGACAUUCUACCGGCAAAAAUAUAAAUAGAAUGGUAGGAAACCCUAGCACCCAAAAUGCGCGCCUCCUUUCCCACUCAACCGCUCUCACUCACUCUCUCUCCCGACCUCUUUCUUUCGUCUCUCCCUCUCUUUCGUCUCUCCCACCUCAUCUUCUCCUUAGACAGUGACAUUUUCGGCACAAUAUUAGCCGUCGCCGCCUCGGAGGUCUCUACCGCAUCCUUUUAAGCGAUCCAGGAGGGAAGAUGGAGGCUACGAUAGCCGGAGAGGGGAGUCCUAGAGGCGGCUUUGGACCUGGAGAUGAUAAGAGGUCAGUAUCACUUUAGUGUUUCCUUUUAACAUUAAUCAAUGUUAGAAGAGGAAGAGAGCUUGCAGUGUAAUAUCUCGGUAUUUCUUAAAGGUAAAUAAAUUGUAACUACAUUUAUACGUGCCUAUAUAUACAAUUAGUAUUGAGAUGUGAGGUGAAACCAAAAUUUCCCGGUAAUAUUGAUUAGAUUACAGGAAAUAUAUAUUGAAAUGCAAAUGAAAAAAAAAAAAGAAAGAAGAAGAAGAAGAAGAAGAUAUUUUUUUUAGGGGAAGAAAGGUCUAGAAGGAGGGGGAAGGUUUCGGGAGAAAGAGAGAAAGAAAAGGGGGAGGACUUCUCUGGAUAACUCCUUGACCUUCUCUUGUUUUAUUUCGGGACUCGAUCUUCUCGACCCUGGGGAGAUUUCUCUCUCUCGACUAGGUCUCGAGGGCUGGAGGGGUGAAUAUUGUUUUCCCUCUUGCUCUCCCUUUCAACCAGUACUUUCCAUGCUUGACGAGUCAGCUUUCGAAGUUGACCGGAAUUUUGUUUUGGUUCCAAAACGAAUCGAGGCCGGACAAUUGUACAGUUCUUCCUCCUGACGACUCCGGCUAAUGCCACAGUUGGUAUACUAUGAGAAGAGUCGCUAGAGAGACAGAGCACUCCAGGUCCAGCUCUGGACUCACCGACAGGACGAGAGAGGACUGAAGAAAAGUUUCAGUGGCUGUACGUGUUCAUGGUUAGAGAGCGAAUUAACAGGUGAGUUUGUUAGACUAUGUCUAUGGGUUCUGGAAGUGCGUAUGUAGCUAGUCUUUGAUUGUUAGAUGCUACUUGCUGGAUAUUGUGUGGACGAGUUUGCAGCUAGAUGUGAUUGAACUGGAAAGUUGAUACUAAGUUGUCUGGUUAUGGUGGAAUGAAGUGAAUAAUGGUUAGUUAAAGUGGUAUCUGGUCAAAGUUUAUGAGUUUCUUAUUCCCUAUGGAACGGUAAAUUGGUUUUAUUACAAGCUGGAGUGAAACUUGAUUACGCAUGUGGCAAGGUUGAAUGUAUUGAUUUAAUUUGAUUGUGAAUGGAAUGAGCAUUUUAAAGUUGGGUUGUUACAAAAGGAACUCAUGGUAUAUGAGUACUGUUGGGGUAAUGCUAGAACUGUGUUUGAUGUUGUUUGAAUAGCUGAUUUUGAGGAUUAUUGGGUUUAUUCCCUCAUUUAAAUUCAAGGACCAAAUCGGGUUUUAUUGUUUUUGAUCAAAUGAACUAUUUAGAGCUAGACUUGAGCUUAGUGUUGUUCAUGAAAGUUGUUCGAAAUGUUGAGAGAAAGGUUCUGUCAAAUUUUGGUGACUAUUGGAGGUGGCCGGAAUUUGGCCGCCGGUCGGCUGCCGCUGCCACUUUUUGGGCAGUUUUUCAUGCUUAUUAGAUUGCUAAAAUGAGAGAAACCCAUUGGUGGAAAGUUAGCAAUUUUUAGAGUAAUGUUGGUUAGGUUUCAGAUUUUCCGAUAUUAAAGGUUAAAAUUUAUGACCGGGUAUAGGAAUAUUACUGUUAGACAGUUGUUGGAUUGUGCUUAUGCAUUGAAGUGGAUAUUGGAGUGUUAUGUAUGGAUUUGGGAUUGGUUUUAGUCGAAAUGGGUGUCCAUAGUAUAUCUAAUGGGUGUCCAUAGUAAAUCUAAGUUAGAAUGCUUAGUAAAUUUGGGUUCAAAGUGAAAGAAUGCAUGUUUGAUGAUUUGCAUAAGUUGAGUUUUAUUAUUCUAACGAAAUUUUGACUGGGUAUAUAUAAUAUAUAUACACGCAGGUGUGCAUACAUAUACACACUCUUUGACACUUGAGUAGGUUGUUUUGCGAGUUAAGUAUGGUUUUGAUUUUGGACUUAUUAUGGUAAACGAGAUGUUGUUAGUGAAGAUAGAGAAGUAGAUUAAAAUGUUGAACUACUAGUGGCUUGAUCCCUUUAAAAAGGUACGUAGGCAGCCCGAUCAAGUUUUGGGUGCAGCCGCAAAUUAAUAAAAUAAAAUUUAGGUUCCAAACGUGACAAAAAUGUUGUUGUUUUGUUGAUUUUGAGAUCCUAUCUCAUUUUCGAUUUAGGAUUUCCUUAUUUAAUUUAUUCGUUUAUUCUUCUAACACCUGGGUCAAGGUGUUACAUGCAGAUAUCGUGUUUUUUGUUGUUCAUAUUGCUCAAUCCAUAAACUUUGUUAAUGCCUCAUUCAAAUCCGGGGAUCCCAGUAACUAUAUCAACUAUGAAUACACUGGAAGGCCAACUUGUCUCUUCUAUGCAAAGGAAACUAUAUAUGAGCUUACCUCAAGGUACACUUCAAAUGCAUUCACGUUUUUGCCUUUUAGUGUAUUAAUUAAGACUGUCGAUAAUAAACAAUAUCCUGGUGAUACCUUGCCAAUCUUGAUCUAUAUUACCUUUUAGCUGUAGUGACAGUAAGAUAUCUCGAUCAAAUAUAGUUUUUGCCUUUUAGUGUAUUAAUUAGUAGUUGAUCUUUAACAUUGAAUUUAAUCCUGUGCAAGAAGAUUUGGCACCCCCCACCGAUUAUGGAUCAACCAUUUUCGUUGUUCAUUUAAUUGUUUAGUUUCUUGGAUUCAUCUCUGUAUUAGCAUCGUUAUUGCUGAUUAUUGUAUAACGCUGUGAUAGAUAGACAUGGCUUAGUUAAACUUUGUUAAUAGUUCCGUCUUUUCUGUUAUGUUUACUAAUGAGUAAUGAUUGAUAUAUAGGUCCAUGUCAUGAGCAAUGCAUUUUUGUUAGAAUGCAAUGCUAUCUUCUACAGUAUACAUGAAGCAAAACUCAAAACCUAUGUUGUAAUACUGAGAAGUUUGUGUUCAGAGAUAUUGAUAUGAAUCAUUUAUUGUGUAUACAGAGAAUGCAUUGAGUAUAAAGAAAUGUCCCUUUUUAUAUUACCAUGGUUCUCCUUACAAUAACCAUAUUUAUGUUCAUGUAGAUAGUUGUGUACUAUCAUUGAUUGCCUUAUUUCUCUUAACUAAACCAAUUGUUCAUGUUUUGUAACUUUGCUGAACAGGACACCAAUCUAAUAUUUUUUUUUAUAAGAACUAUAGUUUCUCUUUGAAUUGAUAGCUUUUUGUACACAGGUGCUUCAAAGCAUCAUUUCAAGCUUGGUGAGUAGCUUGAUGAGCAGCUUGUGUUUCUUAGACAAUUGAAUGGUAAGCAUUUGUUCAUACAAUUACAAUUAUUGGAUGAUACUCUAGCAUUUGGCUGUGAUCCUCAGUUUAGAUCGUAACCUUUAAUGAGCAUUUGGCUGUGAUCCUAGUGAGACUUGGACUUAAUGAUCUUAUAACUCUUUGUUAUUGCCCGCAUAUAUGCACUGUUGAUAUGUUAUUAUUUCAUGAACUUGGUCUCAUUCAUUCAUUUUUUUUUUUGGCUCUUCAGGAUUACUCAAAGCACCCCUAGUGUAGGAAGUAAUUGCAAAAGAUCUUCAUGAUAAUGAAUGGAAAUGCCGACAUAUUUUCAGGUAAGUAUAGACAGACAUCUGUUUUUGAUCUCAUGUUUCCACUUCUACUGUUUUUCUUUCUAAUUUAGUUUGGGGGUUCAAAUCAGCUACUCUAGCUUUAAUGUUUAAGUAAGACCAGCUAAUGAACUACUCACGCUUGCUGACACAAAAUGUCAAAAGGUAUGUGAAAUUGUAUUUACUGUUAUGAACUAUAUCUGUGUCAUAAACUCACAUGCCUCUAAUUACUACCCAGUCUACUAUGAUAUGUCAAAGAAUAAAGUACUCCCUAUCGAAUUUGAGAAACUCGAAGAAUAAAGUACUCCACAUAUGUAUUUGCCAAGUUGAUACCAUCUGAUAUUGGCUGUUUUGCUUCUAUGUGUUUCUAGUUGAUUUCUAAAUGUAGUUUGAGCCUCUGACAUUGUAUCACUUAUAUAAGUUUCUGUUUAUUGGCUUGUUUGCUUAGGUUCUCGUUUUGACAAUGACAAAUCAAUGGAGUUCUUGCAGCUUGGUACAUGAUCAAGGUUUAUAGAGCACAACAAAUGAGAAAAUUAGUAUAGUUAGUAGUUACAGUGUUGUUUUUUUAUUUCCUUUUUUAUAGUUGAUUCCCCUCAGUUCGGAUCUUAAUAUGCAUACAUUAUUGCAGCUGCCUACCCAAGUACUCAAGGAAAUCCUGGGGAGGCUGACCCAAAUAACACAACAGUAAGUAAUUUUUGUGAGCAUUGUCGGUGAUGAAUGGCGAGCGGUGGGAUCAUGAGUGUAGUUAUAUGUACAUUAGAAUCAAAAUGUAUUGUUAUUGUACAUAUGUAUUUUUACACUUCAAAUAAUUUUGUAAUUGAAGUGGAUUCUUAACAUUAAAUAAAGUGGUACUUUGUUCAUUGUAUUCUUAUUUUUGUUACAUAUGAAGUUCAAUUCACAAUCACACAACAUAAGCAACAAGAAUAGAAACAAAAAUAUGAAGUCUAAUAAACAGUCAAACGACAUAAGUUAUCAUACCCUACAACUAUCAGAAGACAUAAGUGUUUCAUCAGAUGAAAUAAGUGCUUUAUCAGACGACAUAUAUAUGUUGUUGGUUUUCUAUUGAGACGACAUAUAGCCUAAUAAUUUUCUAAAUUUGGCAACAUGAGACGACAUUAAAUUGUCAUUACAAACCUCAAGUAACCACAUCAUGUGAAUGCAUUUGUCGUUGUAGGUUAUAUAUGUCGACGAUUAUAUGCAGUGUAAGGUUGUAUCACACUACAUCAAUUUCGACAAAUCCUUCAUUUUUUCUUCUUUCACUCCACAUUUAAACGUUGUUGGUCUUUCAUCCAAACGACAUAAAGUUCGAAAACCUUCCAGACUUGUCAAAUUUCAGACUACAUAUUAUAUGUCGUCUGACUUGCACUCACACGGCAGUGGAGAACUGUCGUCCACUCGUCUGAUAGCCUAUCAGACGGCAAGGCCUCAGACGACAUAUGUUUUUUCGUCAGACGACAGUGCUCAAUUGUCGUCUGAUGCUGUUUUUGGCAGUGUUUAUAGUUGAUAUCUUCAGGUCGAGAAACUCUAAUUCAACUGAUAAGGGUUUGUGGAGGGAAAACAUGAAGAGACAAUUUUGCCCAUGGAUAAAGUCCAACUGAACGGUGUCAAUUACGAAGGGAACUAAUGUUGGGUUGGGUUUAAGUGUUGAGGUAUCAUUAUCAUAGUUUUCAAGAUUGAGAUUUCAAAAUGAUGAAUGGAUUUAACUUGGGGCACCAUUUGAAAUUUUUUUUCAAAUUUUAUUGUUUUAACAUUUUACUAGAUACACAUAUCCAAACUUCUUAAAAUAUCCUUAUUAAAAAUACACAACAUAUUCAUGCUAAAUACACAUACUUUUUUAAUUUGCUACUCAAUUUAUUCAAAAAAGAAACCACUGCUACUUAAUUAAAACAGUCCUAGAUUAGUGAGAUUUUUCUCAAAAGGUUUUAUCUUUCCUCGAACAGUGUUUCACCUCAUUAAUCUUCUUCGAAGGUUUUUAUUUUUCCAGAAAGGGUUUUACCUUGUUAAGAUCUUCCCGAAAGGUUCCAUUUGUUAACAUUUUCCUUGUCUAGAUCUUAUCUCAUAGGGUUUCCUCGACAAAACUUAUUCUCAAAGAGCCUUUUAUUCUGAUUUCAACAAUUUUAGCUUACCAAAUCAAAAAAAUACAAAACAAUACAUUACCAAAAUCAUGACUUGAACUUUUAGCAUUAUAAUGCUCAUUCAUGUGUAACACUAAAUUAAUCAAUUCUUGAGAAUUGCAUUAUAUAAUUAUAUGGUGUCAAAAACUAAUAUGAAUGUCUUAACUAGAUUUCUUUAGUUUUGAUAAGAGUGUCUAUUUUAGUAAUUUUACGUACCCACAAAAUCUUACAUAAUUUAUAUUAAAAAGAAGAUGGGUAUCUAGCGUUUACAGAUGUGUUAAUAAAAUUUCUCAAGAUGAAAUCUACGAAAUUAUGAAAUUAGAAAAUACAAUCUUUUCAAAUCUUUUUCUUACCAUUAGAUUUUUUUUCUUCUAAAAUAAAAGGCCAAUUAUUACUUAAAAAAAAUUAAACCCGAAGGCUAUCUAAUAAUAGCCGCCGUCAGAUUGCACAAUUGAAUGGUCAGCAAUGGCUCAGAUUAGCAAACCGUUGCAUUCAAAACGGAGGCAAAGAGUGUCAAGACGUGAUGCGUGUUGGUGGUGUCGGCAGCACCAGCAUGUCGCGACAAAAUGUCGCUAAUCACACGCAAGGAUUUGGCGCCUAUUCAUCCGUGGGAGAAACGCUCCUUGCAGGCGCGUCAAAGAGGGGGUCGCAUGUCACUGACGUCGCCCACAUGUGUGGGCUCGGGCUAAGGUGGAAGAAAGUCGCCUGGGUUGAAUUGGGGAGAGGAAGGUGGGUUUUUUUGCUUGGGUUGGAUUGUCUAGGUGGCAAGUAACCCAGGUUAAUUUUUUUUAAAAGGCUGGACUUGCUCUUCCCUUAUAGCAAAUUAUUCACGUUUAGAUGGAUAUGAUUGUUUUCUUUUUUAUUUUAUUUACUUCUAUAUAAUUUUCUGCUUCACCCAUGGUUUCUUGAAUCCUCAACUUUGAAACGUUUAAGCAAUCUAGGGUAAUAUGGAUAGUUCAAAAAUUUGUUUCUCAGAAAAGUAACUGUAGUACCGUUUCCCAGCGAGCAUCGACUCACUUCCCUCCUCUUCCUCUCGAGUAAGUGCCAUUUUGAUCACUGUGGCUAUGAAACGAGGCAACUCAGAAUCGUCCUCAACCUCUCUUGGGCCUCCUCAAUCGAAGUUCAAAGCCAACCCAGAAGGUAAUACUUACCUACCCUUUUGCUUCUUGGUUGGGAUUCAUGAGUUUCCUGUGGUAAAGUUUUGAUCUUUGUUGUUACUUUGAGGGGUUUUGCAUCUGGGUCUUGUAACUUUUGUAGUCUGCUCUGUAUUGGGUUGCUGGGAAAGUUAUUGAAACGGAUAAAGAUGAAGGCUUUCAAGUACUUUUCUUUUCAUGUUUUCGAUUAGUAGUUUAUAACUGUUGCAUUAUUAUGUGAUAACUUCGAGCAGGAUUCUUUGUUUCCCCACCUGGCCACCUUGCAUUGUUGAUACUCUUUAUUGCUUCCCCUUUGCUGAAUCAACUUGCACUUUCUUAUAACUAAAACAAGAGGAAAAGAAAGUAUGUUAAUGGACAAAUGAUGAAAGAAUCUGACUUUGAAAGCUUUUAUUUGUAUUUCCUACUACGUAUGCGAUAUGGUGAGUGCAAGCAUUUUGUAAGGGUUUUGUAUUGAUCACAGUGUGAGACAUUGUACUCUCAGAGGAUUCAAAUUUCUUGGAGGAUGAGACCACAAAGAUUUUUGCACGAAAAGUGGCUGAUCAUUAUAGUGCAAGGAAAAUUGCAAGGAAAAUCAAUCUCUGGAAGAACGAGAAGCUAGUCCCAUCAUCCAUUUAAAAAAGCUUAACAAUUGGGUUGGUCUUUUAAUCCUCUAUGUACUUGAAUGGUAUGAUUGCACUCUAUACUUUUGUUGUUGAUUUGGUUCCUUCUCUUAUCGAGCAGAUUAAGAGUGUCUUAAUUCAGCUUUAUGCUCGCUGAGGAGAUGCUGUUCUUGAUCUUGCAUGCGGCAAGGUACUGGUAGUCCAUUUAUCUCCCCCUUCCCUUUUGUUUCACUAUAUAAAUUUUUAAUAUCUUAUUUUGUUAGGGAGGUGAUCUAAUCAAAUGGGACAAGGCUAAUAUUGGGUACUAUGUUGUCAUUGAUAUUGCGGAAGGCUCUGUAAGUACUGAAAUCUUAAUGUAAUUAACUCAUUGGUAGACAUUCUUUUUAUGGACAAUGUUUACAGUCACAGAAUUAUCUUUCAAUGCCCAUCUGUGCUCUUCAUCAUAGUUUGUCUUUUUUCUUGGAGUCAAGAAUGUGAUUGGAGAAAUUGUUUUCACCACGGCAUUGCUGACCUUUGUCUCAGAAGAUAUUUGUAAUACUACUUGUAGAUUUCUAGUUGUCAUAAGUAAUAUCUAUUAUGAAGUGUCAUGUAUUCAGUUCGCUAGUUUGUGUCCUUGGUCACUUUUGUACGGUGCUUAUUAGUUUCUGCUUUGGUGUGCUUUAAAAGUCUUUUUAUGAAAUUAGGAAUGGGGUUGGGAGAACUACAACUUGCGGAAGAUUCUGAUCAUUAGGAUGAUAUUCAAAUGAUUCCUGGAGUCCUGAGUUAAGAAGUUCAUAGAGGUGUUAACAAAUCUUUAUUGUUUAAUACCGUCCCCCACAGAGGGUACUAUUUUCUGAACUUUGCUAAUUUUGUUUGCUUGUUUGUUAGUCACUUGUUUUUCAUUUUUGUUUUUUGUUUUUGGGAAAGAAAAAAAAAAAAAACUCCUGGACAACCUCAUAUUGUGCUGAUGUACCACAGACCUCUAUGUACCAUUAAAUUGUUUUAAUUCUUCUAAGUACCUCCCUUUGCAGUUUCUUGUUUCCAACAAACCAACUAAGUUAUGACACCUCGGCAUUCAACUCCUCAUCAAGACAUGCUUAGCUUUUGUCUUUUUAAUGUGUGUCAUUAACGAUCUUAUUAUCAUCUCGUAAACUCUUUACAGAUAGAAGAUUGUCGUACCCAUUACAAUGGUGAUGCCGAUCAUCAUCAACGCCGUAAACAGUUUACAUUUCCUGCACGCCUUAUCUGUGGAGACUGCUAUGAGGUAAUGGCUACUUGCUAAACCAAUAUUUUUUCACUAAUGAGGUUGCCUAUGCUUCACUCAGUCAACCAUUAUCUAUUAAGCAGCGUGUGAGGACAUGAAUUCUUAGAGUAGUUCUUUGCCCUAUAAAUAUUAAUGAUCAUGUUAAUGUUUUCAGGUUCGACUGGAUAAAGCCCUGGCGGAUGAUGCACCCUUUGAUAUUUGCAGUUGCCAGGUAUUCCUUCAUGCAACAAUAGAACUAUGUUUAUCUUGCAACUAAUUAAAAUAGGAAGUGAGCAUAGCCUUUGAAACUGAAGCAUCAUAAGCCAAAUCUUUUAAUCUUGCAGUUUGCCUUGCAUUAUUCCUGGUCCACUGAAGCACGAGCACGGAGAGCCUUGGCUAAUGUUUCAGCCUUACUUCGCCCAGGUGGAACUUUCAUUGGAACAAUGCCAGACGCUAAUGUGAUCAUCAAAAACCUGAGAGAAGGUUAUUUUACACUUUAGAGCUUUUUUUUUAGAGUGAUGCUAAAGAAAUAAAUGUUGAACCCAUAGAAAAAGAAACCAUGCUCUUUUUCGUGUAAGUCCUCACAUAAGCUGAUAAGUAGUCUGAUUGUUUUUGGCUUCAGUGGAAAGAGUAGUUCAUUAGGAUACAGGUCAAAGGAUCCUUUAAUGGGAGUUCUGCAAUGUGGGAUCUUUGUUGUGGGAUGAUAAUCCGCUUUUGGAAGAUGUUAUAGUACUUGUGAAUGAAACCAGUGGAGUUAUACUCAACUUCCCUGAUUCUCUCUAGAAAGUAUCAAGGCCGUAGUCAACCUUACCAAUCUAUUCUGUCAGUGUUUUGCUCCAUUAAAUGGUACCAGUCAGUGAGGAUCCUCCUUGUUGAGAACUUAAUUGUAUGCCAACCACGUGAUGGAAGGGUUCCCAGUUUCUAGCAUGGGUCUGUCAAGCGGUUUUAGGAGGUUUCUAAAAAUGAAAUGAAUAAAUAAUUAGCAUCGCUUUAGACCACUUCGCAAUGAGUAAUGUUCUCUGCUUAUUCUUACUGUACGGUUCUUUAGAGACAAAUGCAUGUGAGUUCUGGAUUUAGAAAUGAAAAACUUUUGAAGUUGAACUCUAGAUUGUCAUGGAAAGGCCAAAUCAGAAGGCAGGAGGGAUAUGGAAAGAUCUGGUGGUCACUGGAUGAUUGUUCUAACAAAUAAGAUAUUUUACCCGACUAUCUCCUUUUCCUGUUAUGUUCUGUACACUUCUGUCUUACUUGCAAAAUAGUGUGUAUGAUCACCUUAUGAUGGUAAUGGGAGCAUUUCCUCCUGUAUUUGUGCAUAACAUUUUUGAGUAUCAUACUAUCAUGCAAUAUAAUUUGUUCAAUUUCCCCUUUUGGUCAUUAUUGAUUGGUGAUACUAUUUUGUCUUUGAUUAUUCAGCUGAAGGCUUAUUCUUUGGAAAUAGUGUCUACUGGAUACGAUUUGAUGAGGAAUUUUCAGAAAAGGUAUCUGAACAAAAGUUGCAAUCAUACUCUCUUUGAUUAUUUAGUUCUUGUCAAGCUGAGACAUCUUAUUAGAAAAAAAAAAAAAAUCCUUCUAACUUGACGAAAUUAUAAUGUGUGGCUCAGAAAUUUACGUCUUCAAGCCCCUUUGGUAUCAAGUACAAGUUUCAUCUGGAGGUAUCUAACUCGUUUCUUUUUUUUAUCUCUUUUUCUAAUAUUGGUUGUUUCGAAAAUGUAUUCUAGAUCAUUAAGUUUGAAUUCUUCACUUUGCAGGAUGCUGUUGAUUGCCCUGAAUGGAUCGUCCCCUUUCAUUUAUUCAAAUCAUUGGUAGAAGAGGUAUAACUUCUUUUGAAAUGGGUUUGAUGUUUCUCUUAAAAAAAAUGACCAUUAUGCUGCUCAGCACAUAAAUGAAGAUGUGCAUUCAGCUAUUGAGAUGCUUUUUUAACUUUUAAGUCAGUUAUAGUUCAAAUUUGAUGUUGUUGAUACUUUAGGGCCUCGUUUGGUCCACGGAAAGGAAAGUUCUUGGGUAGUUUCAUUUGCUUUCUCUUUCUCUUCCCAUGGACAAAGGAAUUACUUUCCUUUCCGCGAACAAACGAGGCCUAGGUGUUUUUCCUUAUCUUGUAAUAUGCACACAACUUAUAAAUAUAUUGACCACUUGCAGUAUGAUAUGGAGUUAAUUUUUGUGAAGAACUCUCAUGAAUUUGUGCACGAGUAUAUGAAAGGACCAGAGUAUGUAGAUUUAAUGCGGAGGAUUGGUGCAUUAGGUGACGGUAACCAAGAUCAGAGUAUGUUCUUUACUUGUACUUGUUUGGCCUUUAACAGCUAUUCACCAUCAUGAUGUCUGAGAUCAGUUUUGGUAUUGAUACAUUUUUUGUUCUUGCUUUGUGAUAUCCAGGUACACUAUCACAAGAUGAAUGGGAAGUGGCCUAUUUGUACUUGUCAUUUGUCUUGAGGAAGGUUAGUGCAUAUUGGUGCAAAAAUAACCAAUAUAGUUCUAAUUUUUGUUGCUGUAACCAUUCUUAUAUGUAUGUAACAAUGUAUCUGUGCUAUUUUCAGCGUGGCCAACCUGAUCGGACUCAACCAAAUGGUAGAAGAGAUGAAGGGAACAUGCGUAUAUCAAAAGAGGACAUAUUGAACAUUGAACAUUAGUUUAUUGUACAUCAAACAUGUUUCAAAGUUCCAUUUUCAUAGCAAAAAGAAAUCGUGCUUGGCCAAAUGAGAGAGGGAGGAGCUAACUGCUAGGCUGUUCUAUUACUGUACUCGUUCCAAGAAAUUUUGUAGAUAUGCUCGAGUGCUCCAAUCCAAGAUAUGUAUUUGUCUAUUCGACUACACAGCUUAUGUUUAGUGGUUGCUCUCCAGUAUUGGAUGGGGCAGUGUCCAUCUCCAAAGAUCAAAGGAAAAGAGAUUUGUAAUUACUUGCUACUUAAUCCUGUCCAGGAAGUUACAGUUAUUGGUAGCUUGGAUGAUACCAGCCUGGUUGUUGUUGAAUGAUUGAUUCAACAAUGAACAAAACACAGUUCCGGGUUGUAGGGUGUUUGAACACUCGCGUGCUUAAUAGAAACUAAGAAAGUGUAUGACAUAUCAACAGAUAACUUGAGAAGCAAGGAUUAGAGGAUCAAUAUCUAUUAAAAUCUCAGAUAUUGUAUUUUCAUUGUUGAGCCAAGGGAAUUCGUACCCAUUUUACUCGUAUCACCAAUGCAGCAUCAUAAACUGAUAUUGUAUUUUCAGUGACGCAUGGUACAUCUGAAGGAGUGGAUGAAGUGAUUUGAAAGGAGAUUGAUAUUCAGACCUCUCAUCUUGAUUUUUCAAAUCCAAGAUGUGGGCGGGGCGGGAAAGAAAAAGCGGGAAAUGAAGGGUUUCCGCUUAAAUAACAAGUGCUUCCGAAAGCCCCUUAGUUUGAUGGAUAUGACAUCCUCUCCCAUCCGAAUCGGUAAUAUUUCUUCACACACCCACUGACCCAACCCAGCUUUGAAUCCUAAUCUCGUUUUGUAAUUCACAGGCAAUUGCGAGGCGACAAUCCAAGCCCCCAACUUCUCCAAGGUCACCAUCUCAUGUAGAAAACAAGCGGAAGGUAGAUGUGAAUUACAUUACCAUGUUUUGCAUAUCCAACAUUUGUCGCUCAAAACUUACUUUGAUAUAUGUUUAGGAGGUGAUUUUUCUUUCGUGCUUGUUAAUCCUAAAGAUGCCCACAGCUCUACCAAAUCCUAUCUCCAGGUAAAUCUCCCCCGUCUCCUUUCAAGUGAAUUUGACCCGACAGUUUUUUCAUUUCUUCUGAGGAUGAUUUUAUGUGUAGGAAGUACUAAACAUGUACAUUAGGGAACUUCCUACAAUGAAUUUCGCUGCAAAUACUGGAAAACAUUCAAUGUUCCUUGAAAGAUGCGUUACAAAUGGGUACGAAUGAUUGUUUCUCUUGUAGCGUUUCAUCAUUACCUGUUAGUGUGACUUUUAUUGUUUUCAUGUCUCAUCUCAUCUCCACAUCCCGAGACAUAAACUGCAAUGAUGCUUUGUAUACUUGUAGUGAUCCAGUUUGCUUUUCAUUGUUUGCAGGAAAUAUUGCACUUUGCUUUUGCAAUCUCGUUCUGUGUCUCAUUCCAAAGAGGUAUGAUUUCUGUGAUCUUUUACUUUUCCUGUUAUUUAAUUUAUAUCCCCACACAGCCACGGCCACACAGUAGUGUGACAUUCAACUUAGCUUAAAUAUAUGGCUUUAAUACAAAUAUACAACUAAUGUAUGGUGAGUAUUUUUUUUCUUUUCCAGGUUAUAGCUGCUAUCACCUAUCAAAUAGUUCCUGCUGAUACACAGUAUGCUGAGAUACCUAUUGCUGCUGUCAGUUCAAUGUACCAACACAAGGUCUUUCCUCUAUGCUUUUGUCAGCUCUUGUUUGGUUGCUCGUGAUUAUAGGUUUGCUUCAUGUAGGGCUGUGGUAUAUCUGACAAAUGUGCUUGCAAAUGUAAAUAUGACAGCACAGUUACACCCAAAUACCACUUCUAGCUUUCUAUACAACCACUUGAUGAAAAUUCUCCUUGACAGUUCAUGCAAAUUGAGAUGAGACUGAACUUCAAAAUGAGCAAAAAAAAAUCCCUUCUCCAUUGUAAUUGCUAUGGUUAACUGUUUGAGUUCGGUGUUAUAAGUUUUGCAUAUUUGUGUUGAUGUUACCUUUAUUCCCUUUGUUCUCCCCAGGCCCCUAUUGUUUUAAUUACUCUUUCUUGGAAUACUAUGAAUUCUUAUUUAUAGAUCUCCUUAGGUUUCAUUUACUGGUUAACUCAUGUACAACAGUAAUUUCAGGGAUUUGGCAGCUCCUUGUUCCUGGAAUUGAAAAAGAGACUUCAAAGUGUUGGUAUACGCACUAUAUUCUGUUGGGGAGACAAGGAGUCUGAAGCGUUUUGGCUCAAACAGGUAAUUCAUGUUGUUUCUCAGGAUCAGAGUCUGAUAUUGUGAUUGUAUCCUCUUGUUGAUUUUGUUGAGCGUUAUUUGGUAUAUAUGCUCUCCAACGGUUUAGACAUUGACUUCACUUUUUGUUCUUUUAGAUGAUGCAAAGUAACUGUUUCUAUCCCACACAGGCAAACACACUCACACAAGACACAUAAGUGCAAAAAAUUUAGAUUAAAGGAAACUUUCUAACCUGAAACAUCUGCCAGUUGGAGGGUUCAUAUAUUUUCAGGCAAUUUAGUACCCUAUUGUUGUUCUGUUUCUGUUUCAUCUUGCGUAAUCUUUAAAAAGUCAUGUUCACAUUGUGGAAAUUUCAAAUGCAGGGUUUUGUAUCAAUAGCAGAGGUAGAUACUAAGGGUAGACGCUGCAGGCCACCUAUUAAAGCUGAUAUUCGUAGAGUAUUAUGCUUUCCAGGUGGUUCAACUCUCAUGAUUUUACAUCUUAAGCAGCAGGCUUCAGCAAUUACUGUAGACUCUUUGGAGUUGGGCACUUUUUUGAAGCCUCAAGGGAAGUCCUCAUCAUCUGGUGCUCUCACCAGAGAGGACUCCAACAAGUUGGUCUGUGGUGCAAAGUUAUCAAUUAUUGAAGAUGAUGGUGAUAUAAACAACUGUUCUUCCGAACAAGGUAAAGUUGCAAAGAGAAAGGUCUGGAAAUCUUCUAUAUCAUCACUGAAGUCAAAAAAAGUAAAAGGACGUCAUCAUCAGUCUGAGUCUAACUCCAUUGAUGGAAGUGAGUUUUGUUUACAAGGAUGCUCCUUUGUCUCUUCCAAAGAUAAAUCUUUACUGGCAGAUCCUCCUAGAGAUUGGGAUAGUAGUUGCAAGGAAAAGAUCGCUGAAGAAUGUGGAGCAGUUACUAUGACUCUAGAAACUUCAGUCCAGAAGGAGUUUCAGUCACAGAGAGAAUCCUUCAAAAUCAUGUUGAUGAAUAUUGCAGAUGACGCUAAGAAAGCAAAUCUUAAAAAGGUAUGUAAUAUUUUAUUAACUGUAUUUCUCAGAGAUCAUAGUUUGAUAUCAAUUAUCAUUCUUCUUUAGUUUAGCAGUUUCCAGUGCUGGAUAAAGAUCCCACUUCUAAGAUAUUCUGCUGUUUUGUUCCACCAUAACUUUAUACUUAUCAUAAUAAUGUGUCUGUUUGUGUCUGUUCAUUCAUACUUCUCUCUUUGAACACACAACCUACAGUAUGGUUUGUAUGUGUAAUCUGACUAUCUGAGGCUUCUGAAUGGAGCUGUCAGAUGAUUGCUUUAUUUUAGCAUUGGGGCUUUUAAUAGUUGAUGGAGUACUGUUGUCCUUCCUUAGUCCAAGGGUUUCUAUUGAAAUUAGAAAAGAACUGGACCCCAAUUGUAUGACAUUACAAAUGAAGAGGAGUGCAUUGCUGCUGAUUAAAAUACUCAUACAUAUGAAUUUUUUGGUAUUAUAUUCUAGAAAACAGCUUCAAAUCAUGCCAACAGACAAACCUUAAGCCAACAAAAUUAGCGUUGAAUUGUGCAUGACCUGAUCCAUGGGCUGAGCUUCAACUUAUGUUACAAUGAAGUAAAACCCAACAAAAGCCUGUCGAAAAAUGAACAAGCUCAAAUCCUGGAAGAUGCGCUAGUUAGCAUGACUUCUUGGAGUUCUUUUUACUAGUGCAAUUAAGUAGUUAAUUUGGAGUUACAAAGUUGCAAAAACAAAAUUGUGUGUUGUGCAUGCUUGUACAUGUGUCUGUUUGUGUGCCUUCACGACUCAUCUGCUAAUGUAUGUUUCUUUCAAAAAUGAAAUGUAGUGUUUUGCUUGUUUCUCAUGUUAAUAUUCAUGGGUCAGAUGAAGAACCAGUGCAUGAUAGUUUUUUUCUAUAAUGCUGUAUCAAACUAUCAGUAACCUUUACAUACAGCGCUCAUUUACUAUGAUCCCAAUAACUUGAAUUCAUCUUGCUCAGAUUCUUCACUGAUACAGAUGGCUUGAAUUGAAUGUAGUUCAGUUCCAUAUUCUUUUAGCCUCCUAUUAUCCUAACUAAUACCACGAAGUAUAGUUAGGGACUUCAUGGGUUCAGCCUUCAAUAGCUAAACUGUUUAUAUAUAUAUAUAUAGCUCUGUGUGUGUGUAUAUAUAUAUAUACACAAUGCUGAUCAGGUGCGGACGUCCGCACCUAAGUUUUGGUGCGGAUUUCAUUUUUGUACCACUUCCUGAUCGAAUUUCCUCAAACUUCCUUCUAGACAUAUCUAGAUCAUCUUGUGUAGAUCAUCUCUGCAAAAUUUCAGCCAAUUUGGUGAUCGUUAAGGCCCUCAAANNNNNNNNNNNNNNNNNNNNUUUGAGGGCCUUAACGAUCACCAAAUUGGCUGAAAUUUUGCAGAGAUGAUCUACACAAGAUGAUCUAGAUAUGUCUAGAAUGAAGUUUGAGGAAAUUUGAUCGGGAAGUGGUGCAAAAAUGGAAAUCCCCACCAAAACUUUGGUGCGGACGUCCGCACCUGAUCAGACACACACAGAGGAUGUAGAGCUUAAAGUGCGGACGUUCGUCCGUUAUAUAUAUAUAUAUAGAGGAUGUGAAGCGGAUGUCCGCACUUGGCUUAAAGUGCGGACGUCCGUCCGUUCUCCACCGCCGGUGACGGCGCGCCUCCAUCCCAGAAGACUCUAGCAGCGUCCCUGACCACUUUCUCUCCCCCGCGAGUCCUUUUUUUCCAGUUUUCCGGCGAGAUCACCUAAAACUUCAAACAAAGUCGAUCGCCGGAAAACUGGAAAAGAAUGGACUCGCCGGAGAGGGAAAGUGGUCGGGGACGUUGCUGGAGUCUUCUGGGGCGCUUCACAUAUAUAUAUAUAUAUAUAUGAGUUUGCUUAUAUUUAAAUUUGGUGAAUGUGUAGGUAAUUGAGGACCUUGGUGGUGCUGUUACUUGUAAUGGGAGUACUAGUACACAUGUUGUCACUGGGAAAGUGAGAACAACUCUGAAUUUCUGCACAGCUCUUUGUUCAGGGUCAGUACUCAAACUCAGUUGAGCUAUUUAAAUUUGUCAUCUUUUGUCCUGUCAUUGCUAGCUAGUGUAACAAGGAAGAUAUGAUGGUCAGUUUAUUUUCUAUUUAAAUAUGAUUUCUUAUAUUUGCUGUGCAGAGCUUGGAUAGUUUCUCCCAGUUGGUUAAAAGAAAGCUUUCGACAAGGAAGAUAUGCCGGUGAGUCUAACAUAAUUACAAUGUGUUGCACUUUCAGUUUUUCAUAGGUAUCUUGGAUUCAGUUUUUUAUAGGUAUCUGAAAUUUAUUAAAAAGGAAUAAAUUUCAGUUUACCCCUCUGAACUUUAGGUCUAAAAUCAGUUCGAUACCUCAUCUUUUUUUUAAUCAGUUUCAUCUCUAAACUUUCAAAAUGACAUCAAUCUCGACCAAAAUGACUAAAAUAGCCCUUGUUAAUUUUUUACCCCCUCUCUCUCUUGGUAAUGGGGGCUAUUUUGGUUAUUUUGGUCGAGAUUGAUGUCAUUUUGAAAGUUUAGAGAUGAAACUGAUUUAAAAAAAGAUGAAGUAUCGAACUGAUUUUAGACCUAAAAGUUGAGGGGGUAAACUGAAAUUUAUGAAAAAGGAACGAAGAGCAGCAGUGGACAAGACAUCCACUGAGAAAUAAAAUACACCUAAAAAAAAGCUGACAAACCAACAUAACACUGAUAACAGUAACCCAAUGAAACUGAACUGCAGCUUAAAUUCUGAAAUAACUGAAGCUCACUAUCAGAACCUAUCCAUCCAAGAAGUCCAGCUUCUCCCCUCUCCUUCAAACUUCGUUUGUUCCACACCAUCCAAAUGACCCAGAAGGAGAGAGGAGUCACUGCCCAAGUUAGACUCCCUAUACAACCUUUUUUUUAUAAAGAUAUAAAGCAACCGGGCAAAGUCUUUGGAAGAGAAAAUUUCACACCCUCAGCUUCAAGUUUGCACAUUGGACACCGUUGACCAGGAGAGUGAAGAGGACUAUAAUUUUCCUCCUCGGAACCAUAAUACAGGUAUUAACCUUGUUUAUGUUAAGGCCUUUCAUAGUACAGAAAAGGGAGCGAUGUUAGAAAGAGUUUCAGUUAUCCAUCAACAGCCUUGAACAAGAUUUCGAAGAAAAUUCCGUAUCCACAUUUCAUGUCUGUUCUAGAUAAGACAAGCACAAGCUCUAACUGAGACUGGGGCAUAAAAUUUCCAUCUUCCACAUCUUAGAUUUGCCCUAUAUCUGAAAUAUAUACUCAUUACAUAUCCAUCCUAGCAGUGAAGAAGUUUCAUAUUGUAAUAAUCUAUGUAAAUACCUGUUUCCCCAACACAUCACCUCUCUUUCCAAUAACUCGCGCUUUGUCAUUUCCCACCAGAAGUUGGCAGUAAACAGAACAAAAUGAUGCCUUUUAAUUCUCUUUCCAUGGACUUCAGCUUCAACCGUGAUUCAAUGAAUUAAAGUAUGGGAAUCCAAGUCUGUCUUUACUUCUAUUGAUGGCAUACCAAGAAAUGUCCAUGCAUAGAUCUUUAUACAAUGUUCUCAUUUGCAGAUGAAUUACCUUACAUAUUACAUGAUGAAGAAUAUGUUGUUAGAUAUGGAGCUGAGCUGAGCAGUGCAGUUCUCAGAGCAAGAGGAAGUCCUCAAGGCUUGCUUAAAGGCUAUAAUGUAUACAUAGCAGCUCAUGUUCAACCCCCCGCAAAGAUGUUAUCUACCAUUGUCAAGUUUUCUGGUGGAAAUGUAAGUUCUUUGCUGAAUAAAGAUUCUACUUUUCAGAUUAUUAUUUCUUCGGUGUGUCCAGACGCUUGGUCAAGCUUGAAUGUAGGUUAAGUGUGCCUUUGGUUCCAGUACUGUGUAGUCUUGUACUUGUAUGUUGUCCCUUUAAAAUGAUUUUUUCAGAAAAUGAAAUCUACUCAAACGAAAAUUAAAAAGAAAAGAUAAAAAAAGAAAUCUACCAGAUUGAAGGUACCUGUUUUUCUACUUUACUAAAGUUCAAUCAUAAAAUGAUAAGUUGACUCUUUUGCUUACUACUUGCUGUCUUGUGCUUCAAUAAUGCUCUCUACCUUGUUAAAUGUCCAGAAAUUGUAAGCAACAAAAUUACAAAAAUCCAAGUUAUGCAAAAUGUCAAAAUGCUAAAAUGCAAUGAACUCUCCCAAGUGCAUAUGUGAAUGCACAACUUGACCAUGAUGUAAUUCUGCGGGUUGCUUCCUUUUCCAUCUAAGUUGGAACUUUCUAUGGUCACUGUAUCUGAACCUUACUGAUUUACUGGUUAUCAAGUACAUGGUUGUGAAUAUAAGAGAGUAUAACUUUCGAAAUUGAUCGUUUUCCUUUCUCUUUUUAUCUAUAAUGACAUAGAGAUCGGAAAUAGGGGGGAGUCGAUAUCUGAAUGUCUCUCUGCCAUUUUGGGAGAAACAAAUUGUUACUACAUAAUUCAUUUGGCAUGUCAUGGUUCUCCCAUGUAUCAGGAUUUAUUUUCCGCUGGAUGAAAUGGGACCUUAAUGGUAAUGGUUUUUUUUUUUUUUUAGUCAGAAAUGGUAAUGGUUUUGACAGGAGUAGUUUGUUAAUCUCAAACUUCCUUAACUAUUCUGUGGAAUGUGUUGCCUUUGGGAUGUUACUGCCUGUUUAUGUGUUGUCUCUCUCAAUUGUUAUGAAGCACUUUGUGGUUUUUAUAGCCGUUUCUUGCAUAAUUCCAUUCUUGGGUGCUGCUGUGUGAAUGUCUUAUUUCUUUGGUGUCCUUAUUUUUUUAUUUGUUACAAAGCUUCAUUGAAUCCAUUGCAGAUAAUUGAUGGACUGGAGAAAGUAAAUGAAGCUUCAAAAACAAUCUUUGUGGCAUGCGACGAAGACAUGGAAGAUGUAGUGUUGGCUGUAAAGAAGGGGAAAUGCACUUUCAGCAGUGAUUGGCUUAUGCACUGUGUCAUGAGACAAAAGCUAGACCUAGAGGCCCCCCAGUUUGUAGAGUCCCUUUGAAGUUUGAACGAUUAUCAACUAGGAAGAUAAAAGAAUCUGUGAACCCAAUUUGGAGUUUUCUGUUGCUUUACUUCUUGUAUAGUUUUGUUUUUUCUUAAUUAUUCUUGCAGAAGCAAGCGCGCGCGUAGAAAUUGGAUAUCAUUCAAUUUGAACUCAUGUAAUUUCAUAAAGAAAAAAGCUGUAUGAUUAAAUAGAUGGCUACAAUUUGCAUCACCUUCUAUUCUCCAUGCAUGUAAACCUAUGAUCACACACCCUUCAUCGUUCUCAGUUACAAUGUUAUGAGUUAUGGCUUCAGAAACCCCAAAUUUAUUUCCUCCCCGGAUCAAACUGAUGCGCUUUGAGGAAGCUUUCACAAUCCUCCACCGCAUCGUCCUCACAUUUAAGCCACACGAAAGCUGCAGCGAAAAUUAAGCAAAAUCAAAUGUCCAAAUUUUUGUUUUGAUAAAAUCGUAACCUAAUGGUUUGUGGUGUUAGCAGGUUGAGGCUGUGUUCCCUUUUGAAAGAAAUGACAGAACCCCGGUGCAAAGUCAGGCAGACCAAACCUUUCUGCUAUUGUUCACCGCCGCUCGGAGCAGCAGCCAACUCUCGGUCAUGAGGUGGAGCUUAUCUCAAAAAAGUUGAUGUAUGGUAGAUCCUACGUUUGCAACUUUCUUUUUCUUCAUUCUCAUGUUAGUGGAUUUUCACUACAAUACUAUUUUUUCAUCAUUGAUUUUCCAUCAUCAGAAACAACGGUUUUUCCAUCUCACCCGUUCCAUGAUUUGUACAUACAUGGGAUUUGAGCAUGAUAUAUAGUCCGAACAUACAACCUUCAAAUAAUUAAAUAAACAAAAUUCGACAUGCAGUAGCUCGGCAAUGUUUUGCGUUAAUCGAUCAUAGAACACCAACAUAUUAAAUUUCUACAAGUUGAAAAAAGUGGCAAAUACAUAGUGCUGCAUAUAUACAUGAUGUUGUAUAAACUAAACCCUAUGAACAUGCAUCCGAGACAUCACUACCUGUUUUGCUCCUCAAUAAUAAAGGAAGUGCUGCAAGUAUCUUAGACCAUCAUCUACACCGACAUACCUCAACUUUGUUGUACUCAACAUCCCCACGCUCACUUUGUUAAUCCGCCCAACAUGAUCAACAUUGUUUUGACCCCUUUUGGAAUCAUCAGUAAACUCCAACCUCAAAUCCGCCACGACACCACUAUCGACGAGGCUGGCGCAACAGCCAGGCAAAGGCAGCUCCUCCCAGAACCACCAGUCGACCCCUUUCUUCCCUUGGCAUUCCAACAUAUUAAAAACCCCUCUCCACCCUUUCAACACCACAUUCCACGUAACUCUCACCGACUCCAGCACCACACCUUCAUACUCGUAGUUAUCGACAUCAAUAUCGAACUUGAAAACACCGUUGUCAUCCACGACUAGCUCGUCCCCGGGUUUUUCAAGACUUACGAUCAGAACGUUGUUGUGGUUGAAGACGUUGACUGCGAAGAUGAGGUUGUGGAGGGCAAGGGAGGGUUUGGAUGGGGACUGGAAGCGGCGCUUGGCAGCCGCGGAGGCCAUGGCGUAGAGGCGGUAAUAGGAAAGGGCGGCGUUUGUGAGCUUUAGGUUAGAGAGAGAAGGGAAAUGGGUGGUGCAAAUGGGGUGCCAAACGUGGUCGGAGGAGAAGCAAGCGAACCAUGACUUGCAGACGCAAGAGGCAACGGCCAGGGUUUUGGGGUCAAGAUGGUGAGAAACAAGGUCAAAGACUUGCCAUGGAAGCAUGAUGGAGUUGCAGAUCGAGAGCGUAGGUCGUUAUGGAAACGGUGGUGGAUAUUUGAAGAGGACCUGGGCGGUGGUUAUUAUUAUGGGGAGGGGUGGAGGACACGCGGAGGGAAGUGUUGCAAUGCAUGGUUGUGAGUCGCCACGUAAGAUGCAUGUGUCUGGUCGACGACUCUGACCGGAAUACACGUGCCGGUGGUGAUUUUACAUGCAUGCGCUGUUUUCUUUUUGGCCGACCACGAAAACUCUCCUCCAGCUAGCUACAACUCCUACAGGGGCACAAGGCAUAGAACAACGUAGAAAGCUAGCUAUGUAUUCCAGAAAAAGAAAUGCAUGGUAAAAACACCAAUAAUGUACUCACCAAAAACAUCAUGGAAGCUAAGAAACGGUUUAUUGGGGGCAAUAAUUGUUGAGAAAUUUUUCACUGUCUCUAAUAAAAUUAUUAACCCUAUGUAUUGUAUGUUAAACUGAAACUAGAACUAAACUAAAUGAAAAUCUAAAUUUAAAAGCAACUUCGUCUUACUGAUACAUUUUGCUUAAAGCUCUAAAACUCUCCACCCUUGACCAAAAUAUGAGUAUGAUGCAUCAACGUAUACAGCAUCCGCUCAAACGAAGACCUAUCACUAGGAAGGAUAUCACUAUGUGCAUCGUUUGUUGAAAGAUCGAAGACCCCCAAAGCUUUCGAGAGUUGCACCGAAUGUAUCCAAAUAUGUUUUCAAAGUUGUGUGCGAUUAUUAGAGAAAGUACGCUUUUAAAAGAUACAUGGUAUAUAUGUGUUGAAGAGAUGGUAGCAACGUUCUUAACCAUUGUGGACCACAAUGAUCGGUAUGGUAAUGUUCGGGAAAGGUUUGGUUGCUCACAUUUGGCUACUAGUCAAAAUUUCAACAAAACUUUGAAGGCCUUGAACACUAUAGCCCCUAUCAUGAUGGUUAAACCCGGAUCAGCUGUGCCUUCAAACAUAAGGUGGAACACAAAGUUUUACCCAUUCUUUAAGGUACUUUUUGUCGUUCAAAGUUAUUGAAAGACAAAAAAGUUAUUUAUAGUGCUGGGCAUGCUCAUAUAAAUUGUUAGUUUUUUUUUUUGUUUAAAUUUUUUAUUUGUAUCUCCUAUAAAAGAUGUGCUAAGCUCCUUGUUAUUGAUUUCUUUUUUUUUUCUAAGGAUUGUAUCGGUGCUCAUCUUCGCAAUGAAUCAAAUUUAGCCAAUGUAUAAAUUUUUUCUUUUUCCCAUUAAUGCAUAAGACAUGAUCACGGUGGAUUCCACCCCUUUUUGAUUGGGUCAAAAUAAACUUAAUUUGAUGGUUUUGUUUAAAGUGAUUCUCUAGGUAGAGGUUUUAUAAUUCGAACCCUUAUGGCAAACCUCUAGUGGCAACUGCUUUGAACUCUGGUUCUUUAACCGGUCCAGUUGUUGAAGUGCUUGCUCUUCGGAACAACCUUAUUUGUGCAAGCGAGAGAGGCUUAACCAAGAUUUAAGUAGAAGGAGACUCCAAAUUUGUUAUCGACAGAAGUAAUGGAGUGUCUGCACCACCAUAGAGGUAUAGUGAUUGCUCAAAAUCAUCUAAAAUCAUAACAACCUCAUUUGUGCAAGGGAGAGAGGCUUAACUAAGAUUGAAGUAAAAAGAGAUACCAAACUUGUUUUCGACACAAGAUAUUAGAUUGUCUGUACCACCAUAGAGGCAUAAAGAUUGCUCAAAAUCAUCCAAAAUCAUCCAGUUGUUGAAGUGCUUGCUCUUCGGAAUAACCUCAUUUGUGUAAGGGAGAGAGGCUUAACCAAGAUUGAAGUAGAAGGAGACUCCAAACUUGUUAUCAACAUAAUUAAUGGAGUGUCUGCACCACCAUAGAGGCAUAGAGAUUGCUCAAAAUCAUCCAAGAUACUAGAGCGUUAAUCUAAGCCUGUUUAUUUAUUUUUUAUUCUUUUUGUCAGAAUUCUAAUCUAAAUUGGUUAGCUUCGGUUCAAACAUGUUUUAGGGAAGAAAAUCUAGGUCAUAGGUUGAGUAGUCUUGCUUUUGGGGUGAUUGUGUUCAACCUGAAGCUUCUCAUGUUCUAAUCUUUAGUGUUAUAAACCAUUGUGUGCCUUCCUGUCACUUCCAUGAUUUCUAUAUAAUUGUUUUAGUUUCUUAUCAAAAUAAAAAGAGUAUUAUUGAAUUAAGAUAAAAAAAGGUUAUCUUUUUGAAAAAAAAUUUAUUUAAUUAAGAUAAAAAAGGUUAUCGUUUCCAAUUAUUUUUGAAUCCGUUAAUUAUUUUUAAAAGAAGAAAGGAAAAAGAAAAACGAAAAUAAGAGACACAAGUAGAGGCACUGAAAACGAAUACAAAGAGACAAAUUGAAAUCUCUAUCUCAGUUAAGAAGGAAAGAGAUUCAGCUGUGCAAAAAGAUACACAUACACGCGAGAAUGACAUGGUAAUCCAUCAUUCCUCAGAACCCCAGUAAGAGACGUGACAAUCAUCAAAGAGGUAUUCAAAUUCUUCCAACUACCAUUAUUAUUCCAAUCUGCAACUAUCAAUUUGCAAUCAAGUUGAACAACAAUGUUUUUCAGAUUGAGUCGCAUUUGUUUCCGCUUCUACAAUGACAACCUUGUUAUCUACUUCAACUCUCUCUUCCACUACAAAGCUGAGCCUCAAGCUUCUCAACGACUCCACUGGUAAACCCUCUUCCCUCUUCCUCUUUUCUAGCUUCAACUGAAACCCACUUGUUAUAUAACACAAGUAUUUUUUUUGGGUUCUAGGCUUUAGUUUAGACAGAAACAAACACACCCACAAGGUUUCAUUUACAAGUUUUGCUGUAAAGAAACAACAAGGCAUUGAAACAAUCCAGAAAGUUCAUGGGAAGAUUAGUAGGAGGAGAACCCCAGUUUUGAGUGAUGGAAGAGAUGAGGAUGAAAGCUAUGGCCCAGUUUGCCCUGGCUGUGGAAUUUAUAUGCAAGAUACCAACCCAGACCUUCCUGGGUAUUAUAAGCAAAGGAAGUUGACUGUAUCAGAAUUGUCAGAUGUUGAAGAGUUUGUUGAUGAGGUAGAGGAAGAGGAGGAGGAGUUUGUUGAUGAAAUUGAGGGUAGCUAUGAGGAAAGUGAUUUGGAAAUGGGGGGUGAUGAGUUUGACUGGGAUUCAGAUGACUUGGAAGCUAAGUUGUUGGGGGGAGAAGAAGAGAAUGAUUUGGAUUUGGAUGGUUUUGCUCCUCCUGGAGUUGGGUAUGGUAACAUCAAAGAGGAGACUAUAGAGAAAAUGAAGAGGAAGAAGAUUCCAAAAGCCGAAAAGAAGAGAAUGGCUAGAGAGGCUCAGAAAGAGAGAGAUGAGGUUACUGUGUGCGCAAGAUGCCAUUCUUUGAGAAAUUAUGGGCAGGUGAAGAACCAGGCAGCCGAAAACUUGAUGCCUGAUUUUGAUUUCGAUAGGUUGAUUGCGACCCGGUUGAUUAAACCAGCUACAAAUGCCAAUCCUGUUGUGGUUAUGGUUGUUGAUUGUGUUGAUUUUGAUGGCUCGUUCCCUAAACGGGCAGCAAAGUCAUUGUUUCAAGCGUUGAGAGGAACCGAGAAUGAUCCCAAGUUUAGAAAAAAGCUGCCAAAGCUUGUUCUUGUGGCCACAAAGGUUGAUCUCCUACCAUCACAAGUUUCACCUUCUAGAUUAGAUAGAUGGGUACGCCAUCGUGCUAAGGCUGGAGGGGGACCUAAACUAAGUGGAGUGUAUUUGGUUAGUGCUCAUAAGGAUAUGGGUGUCAGGAAUUUGUUGUCCUUUCUUAAAGAAUUGGCAGGUCCUCGAGGGAAUGUGUGGGUUGUUGGAGCUCAAAAUGCAGGCAAGUCUACUCUAAUAAAUGCGCUGGCAAAGAAAGAAGGGGCAAAGGUUACAAAGUUAACUGAAGCUCCAGUUCCUGGCACAACAUUAGGGAUACUGAGAGUUGGAGGGAUUUUGUCGGCCAAGGCAAAAUUAUUUGACACUCCAGGACUUUUACAUCCGUAUUUGGUCUCCAUGAGAUUGAAUAGGGAUGAACAGAAAAUGGUUGAAAUACGGAAGGAGCUUCGCCCUCGGACUUAUAGGAUAAAGGCAAGUAAUGUUGUGUCAUUUAAUUGUAAUUCUUGACCAAUUUUACUGUAAAAGGUACAUAUCUUGUGUUUUUUGUGUUAUACAUAUCUCUUGACUAAAGCUAGUAUAGGACUAACUGUUGAGACUAUAACUCUUAGCAAUGAAUUCCCACAUAUUGUUGAAAAAAGCGUAAUCAUCGUUAGCAUAUGAAUGUUAUACAACCUAUUCAAUACUGGUCACCACUUUCCUGCAAUAUGUGAAGAGGUUGAACUCUUGUAAGCAUCCAUCUCCUGGUUUUUGUAUUCUACGUUAUGGGUUAGGAAUGACUUGUUGGUAUUUUUAAAUUUAGUAUUUGUUUGUUUGUGUGUGCAUGUGUUUUAUUUUGUUAAUUUUAAUUCAGGAUAAGCCGGUUUCUGAUGUUUGCUUUUGCCAAGUAUUCCACCUUCUGAUUUUAGGUGAUGUGGGAAGAACACAGUGUUAAAUAAUAGAUGAUUUGUUUCUUGAAGUUAUCUGUGCAGCAAUCUUUCAGUUUCUGGUUUUAAUCAGUUGGAAAAAAAAAACAAAUCCCAAUAAUCUUUUCAUGCAUAAGCAAUUUGUUGAUGCAAGAGCAUUGACUUUUGAAUUCUGUGGUGAAGGUCUGAUUAAAACUAACUUCUGUUGGAUCUAAAAUUUUAUGUGUGAUAUCUGUAGGCAGGGCAGGCCAUACAUAUUGGUGGGUUAGUGAGAGUAGACCUUAUUCAAGCUUCUGUUGAAACAAUUUACUUCACGAUUUGGGCAUCACCAAAUAUUUCUUUACAUAUGGGGAAGAUAGAAAAUGCUGAAGAGACUUGGAGGAAACACAUUGGCGUUAGGUUGCAGGUAUUUCUCUGUCCAGUUUGAAUGUAUCUUUACUAAUCUUAGUCAUUUUCUAGCACACAUAUUCAGUGCGAUUAACUUUGGAUUUAAACCGAUAAAAAUAUCCUUUGACAACAGCAGGUAAUAUUAAAUGACGUCCAUGUGAAAUUCUGUCUAGGAAAAUUGCUAAGAUUGCGUAUUUUAUGUUUGAGUGUGACCAAAAUUGAGUGGAUGCAUUGAGAAAACUGGCUAUGCAGUGGUUCAAAAGUAAUUUUUACUGCAAAGAAGGCCCUACAAAGGAUUGAAUGGGAUACUUUGGAUAUAAAAAUUUGCAGCACUAAUUAUGUAGCCCUCUUAUGCCGUAUUAGAAAUAGGGUAUAGAAUUAUCAAGGACAUUCCCUCUUUUAAUUCCUAGUAUGUAUUGGUGAAUAGUAAUCUGGUUCUUUUAGAAUUUUUCUUUGCAAUUUAAGAAGAAGCUGUCUCCUCAAACAUGCUGAGAUUAACAACAAAGAGAAUUCAAUAGGUGUGAUAGAGAAAAGGAAGAAUAUAUGAAGAAAUGAAUGGAAAUGGAAAUUAGACUCUACAGCCUAACUGAAUCAUCAUGCAGUUACCUAUCUAUAGAAGCCACAGGAAUCAGUAGCUGGGGAAUGCAAACAAGAAUCAAUUAUUAUUGUAAUGAAAUGUAAAAAUAAACAGUAGCAGAAAAGACGUCAAAGUGUCAAGUGAUGAUAAUCAGUAGGUAACAUGAACCUGAAAAUGGAUGAGUUUUCUUCUUCGCAUAUAUUAUUGUUCUGCAAAAGAAAAGAAAAAGAACAUUUCUUUGAUUGAUCUUAGGAGUUUAUACCUGAAUUCUUUCACGAGAAAAUGGUAAAGUGAACCAAGAUUAGGUUGCUUGGUGGUUGUGUUGAGCCAAACUGAGCUAAGUGCAAAUUAUGUGUUCCCUCUUUAUGAACUGUACAGUUGUAGAGGAGUGCCAUCUUAUCUGUUGAAAUCAUUCGACCAUGGGAGUAUGUGACAUUGUUUUCUAGCCUUGCCAACUAAUUAGGCUGUAUCUAUGGUUCUUAUAUUAAUGCUUUCUUGUCUCAUGAAGUAAGAAGUCAGAUGAACGGAAGAAAAGAAGACAUUUUUACAAGGAGGAUUUGAAAGUAUAAACUUCUUUUUUAAUAAGAAAACGACAUUCUUUAUUAAUCAGAAAGAAUAAAACUGUUACGAACAGUGGCCAAGAAGGUCCUACACUCAGUAGGAAUCACCCCACCCAAGAAAAAUUAAACCCAGCUCGAAGAGCUAGCUUUGCGAUCUUGUCUGCAACCUGGUUAGCCUCCCUGUAAAGAUGGGAGAAGGAAGAACCAGGCAGCAGCUCUAACUAUGCUACAAUAUCAUCUUCAUCUGAGUUAAUAAAUGAAUAUGGCUCUUUUAUUUCUGUUUUUUGGUAUCAAUAUUUUCGGAAGUAUGUUAAGGUUGGUAGUUCCAUUGAUUUUGUUUUCUGGGGAUUUUGAAAUAUUUUCCUCAUAAUUCACCUAGGUUGAAAAGUUUAUAUGUCGCUUUUAGGUUGUUUUUUGUCAUUCAUAUGCAUGAACUCAAUAUUUAUGUAUGCCAAAGAAAGAAAUGUCUGCCUUUCAAAAAAAAAAAGAAAAAGAAAAAAAGAAAUGUCUGUUGGUCAGUUGCAUUUGUUUUUGUUUUUGAGGUGAUAAUUUAGGUAGUACGGCACUGGAUUCUCACCAAUGUUUGUGUUACUCAGCUUUCAUUGUUAGCCCAUCUCUUUAGCCAAUUUAGCUCUUAACUCGGGAUCCUUCACGUAAGGUCUUCUUGCCCAAUCAGAAUGUAAUCCCCACCCUCUAGAACAACAAUACUUUCUCAUAAUAGUCCACUGUAACAUUGUUGUUUACUUUUUAUUUUUUCAUAAAAUCCAGUCCAAUUGUCUAAAAAUCAUUUUUCUUAGACUUUUAAAAGGUAAAAUGUGACCAAAAACAAGAGAAUAAUCGCUCUCCCACUCUUUAAAUGCAUUUUGAUAAUUUCAACAACAUUAUAUGAGAAACAGAUUGACGUGUCUCCCAAAUACCAAGUUCAUUGCCGUGCGCACUGUGUCCAAUACCAAGUAUUGCUUAAUGAUUGAACAAUACAGGAAGAAUGGUUUGAGUUGUCAGUCUGACUAUUUUAGAUUACCAUUAACACAGCAUAAUAUGGAAGGCAAAACGUAUGACGCCUCUUUGCGGUUUGUUGUUAUUGUCUAUUGUUAUUAGAAUGGAUUUUCUUAGAUAAUAUUUAUAUGAUCUACCAUGGCAAAUGGAUCUUCAUAGGUUAUGUGAGUACACCUGUUUGCAGACUUGCUUUCGUUGCACUCAAAUAUGCUUUGGUAAUAUUUGAUUAGCUUUAUAAGAUUUUUGCCUUUCAAAGAAAAUUUUCGGUCAUCUAGAUGGAAACGUCGAGUGUGUGUGUGUGAGGGGGGGAGGGGUGGUACUGAGGUAGCAUUUUUGGAACCCCAAUCCAUCAACAUAUAAUUAUUAACUGAAGUACAGUUUUACUACUGCUUAUUCACUCCAUAUGCACAAUAUUAGUAUCUUUUUUACCUUGGAAUGAUUUAAGGACUAGAAUAAUAUCCUCGGUUUUCAUUUACAAACUUUAAGUGCUUGUGCCUUUUUUCAGCCUCCUAUUGGCAUUGAUCGCGCUGCUGACAUAGGCAAAUGGGAAGAGAGGGAAGUCAUAGUGUCUGGAGCAAGUUGGGAUGUAAAUAGCAUCGACAUUGCUGUAGCUGGUUUAGGCUGGUUUUCCUUGGGUCUCAAAGGGGAAGCAACUUUGGCAUUAUGGACAUAUGAUGGUAUCGAAAUUACAAUGAGAGAACCAUUGGUUCUUGAUCGGGCACCAUCACUUGAGAGACCUGGGUUUUGGCUUCCAAAAGCAAUAUCUGAGGCCCUUGGUGCUCAGAGUAAACUUGAAGCUCAAAGGAAAAAGCUAGAAAUGGAAAAUGCAGAUUCCCUUUCAGAGGCUGUUAAUUGAAAUGAAGAUGAGCAUGAUUGAUUUGCUUCUUUAUAACUGCACGAGAUCGAUCCUGUAGUUCUGAGAAGCCAGCUUGGGUGUUACAAAAGGAUAAGAUGUGACUUCUCUGUUAGAAAUUAAGAAGGUGAAAGUUGCAAGAAAAAAAAGAUGGCCUAAAUUGGUUUGCUACUGUGAACCAACAAAUAUGAGAUAAAAGAUACGAAUUUUUUUGUUGGGAGGCAAGAAAUUAACUUCAUUGAACAGACUAUUGCAAAGUACAGGUCUGUAGGAAGUAGGAAACUAGGAAUCAGUAAUGUGUUGUUUAUUCAAAAUAUGUAACCACUAGACCGUGGCAGGUCAGGGACUUUUUCUUUCAUAUCCAUGUCUACGUAAAUAUGUGCUAUGAAUCAGAAAGGCAACCAAACGCAGAUUCAUAUAACCAAUACCUAUAAAACACCAAAUUAGUAUUCAAGAAUCAACUUUAUAUUUCAUCAGACACAAGUUACAUAAGAUGAACAAAAUUUGAAGAACAUGUACAAAUAUGUUGAUUGUUCUUUCUUUUCUCUUGAAAUUGAUCAACAACAAAGGUUUAUCAUUAGAAUUUCUUACAAGCUAAGUGAGAAGAUUGAAGCCAUCACCAAGAUUGAUCAAUUCUUAAAAACUUCAUGGCUUGAAGAGUCGUUUUUGGCUUUUUUAUUAGAUCAAAACACUUGGCAACAAAAUCCUGAUUCAUUCCCUAAACUUUCAUAUCCAAAAAAAAACAAAAAAAACAAAGGAAACACUCGGCAACAAAUUUAAGAUACUCUUUCUUCUCUUUGUUCAUCAGCUUGCUCCGUUGAAGCGAAUUCUUUUAUUGCUUGACGGAUAAGUAGGAGGAACCUUGUCCNNNNNNNNNNNNNNNNNNNNNNNNNNNNNNNNNNNNNNNNNNNNNNNNNNNNNNNNNNNNNNNNNNNNNNNNNNNNNNNNNNNNNNNNNNNNNNNNNNNNNNNNNNNNNNNNNNNNNNNNNNNNNNNNNNNNNNNNNNNNNNNNNNNNNNNNNNNNNNNNNNNNNNNNNNNNNNNNNNNNNNNNNNNNNNNNNNNNNNNNNNNNNNNNNNNNNNNNNNNNNNNNNNNNNNNNNNNNNNNNNNNNNNNNNNNNNNNNNNNNNNNNNNNNNNNNNNNNNNNNNNNNNNNNNNNNNNNNNNNNNNNNNNNNNNNNNNNNNNNNNNNNNNNNNNNNNNNNNNNNNNNNNNNNNNNNNNNNNNNNNNNNNNNNNNNNNNNNNNNNNNNNNNNNNNNNNNNNNNNNNNNNNNGAAUGUCAUAACAAAGACUAUUUUUUUUUUACUUUAAUUCCUACAUAUAAUCUAACAACUAUUUGAUGAGGAUUUUCCUCCAAUAGGCUGUAGGUAAAAUAUUUUUUGUUCCAUCUGAAAUAACAAAGCAUCCCCUCUCUUUGCUUUUGCUAUUUGUUCUUGGCUCUCUGAACAACGAUUAAAAUGAAACUUGUUCCGACUUGAAAAUGGAUUCCUAUUAAUACAAGGGGUUGCUUACUUGCUUGUAAAUGCAGUCGACUAUUCGCUAACAGUUGAUGAUCAACUUGGCUAAAGGGUUGAAGUUCGUCGGAGCUACAAAGUGCAAAUACAAGUCGAUCUUUCUUGAGUUCUCUUUGCGUCAUCAUCGAUCCCAUCUUCAUGACCAUGCAUUAUAUUUCGACAGAAAAACAUCCAGUUCAAGAAUGCAAGCUCUAUCUACUUGACCUUGAUUAUAUCUUAGAUAUAGAAUUUGCAGUAGUACUGGACUGUGUCUGUGAGACACAAUUAAUUGACUGGUAGCACAUCGAAAAUAAAAUAAAAAAUUGACUGGUACUGAAACAUAUCGCUAUUCUUGAGCGAAAAAUGUCUUCUAAUAUCAACUGCAUGCGCACCUUCUCACAGCCUGCAAAAGUAACAAAUCAUCAAAAUUCUACUUCUCAGGAUUAGUACUGAAACAUCAUCUCCUUCAAUCUCCCGAGCUAUAUGCAUCAAUACUGAAAGGUGAUAGAUCCUCCUCAGGUGCAUUCAGUUUGUAAACAUCUUACAUAUUUUGAGCAUUAGUUAACCUUAUAUCAUCUCAAGAUGACUUGUUUGGAGUCCACAGAUGCAUUGAGUUAUCCUACCGGUGGUACCUGAAUUCCAUAUUUUAAGCAGUGAAUCCAGUUGCAGCAAUCCCCUUGGUACUUUAUCACUUGAAAGAAAAAAGAAGUUUCUGUAAAGUACGAUGACUAGGAUCCUCUGAAGUUGUGCGUUCCCUUUUGUUGUCAAAUACAAACGUUAAGGAAGUCUCUACAUUGACAUUAAGAACUUUGUAAUUUGCAUAUCAAACAUCUCCUGUGACAUUUUUGGCAACAAACAGUUAAUAGAUCAUACGCACCUGAUGAACUAGAAACAUUUUCAUUUUCUCUUCCGUUAAAAUUUUACAACUUUUUUUUUUUUGUUUACAAGUUUCUUACUCGAAGGGUAUUUUUAGUUAACUGAACAGGAUAAGCGCGGAAUGAACAAGGGUGGAAGCAAAGAGUUUCAACCUUGCUCUAGACAGGAAUUACAGGGAGUGAAAGAAACUAUUGCCGCUGGCUAAACUAAACAGGAGUAAGCUAAUUCAACGAGGCUGUUGGAUGAAGCGGGGACUGCAUUUUGGACUCACAAACUUGGCUGGCUUCUCUGCAUACUUCCUUGGCUCCACCAGCAGCUUGGGACGUCUUCCUUCUGAUGCUUUCAAAUUCUUCAGAACCGUGGCACUUGUAUCUAACCCUGCUGUUCAAUACAAACUGUAUGAGUCCACCAAUCUAAAAUAGUUUAUUUGAAUAAGAAAUAUCAACACAAUGUUCAACGAGCUACAAUGAUUUGGGGGUAUUCAUUCACAUACCAUUUUUAUUUUCAGUUUGAGUCGACUGGAGGAACUCUUCAAACUGAGCAGCUUCAAAAUUAGAGAAGUCCUCCCCAGCAUCGAGAUCAAAGGUCUCAGGCAGUAAAUCAGCCACAUUGUCAUAGUUAUCAUGAGCAUUAUCAUAGAAGCCAUCCUCAUCCUGGUUCUGACUAAGCCAAUAGUCAUGGUACCAUGUGGAGGUGGUGACCAGUUGCCACCAUUCAGGGGAGAAAUCCUCCACUUGGCGGAGAGCAGCGGGGAUAAAGAGAGGAGCAUUUGGAUUCAAAGUUGAUCUUCCAGAAACCAGGGCCAUCUUUGGCAACGACACAAGUCAACUGCAAUGGAAAAACACAGCAAAUGAGAUCCAAGUCUUCUCUACGUUUUUUUCAUUUCCAGUUAAAGUCAACUGAUGAAACAAUAAGUCAGCACAAUCAAGUUCUAAGUCAAUAAUGAUUUCAAAGGCAAAAUUUGGGCAACUCUUAAUCGCAUUCCCCAACAUUCGUUCUUAAACAAAUGGAUCAUGCACCUCAAGCAUCAACAAUCAUAGACUACGGUUUCCAAAGGCCCAGAAAAUCAAACAUCCUCAUGAUACAAUGAGCUUUUAACAUUAUAUUACCAAAACUCAAACUGCGAAAAGCAAAGUCUAGUUCAAUUAAAAUAGAUCGUAAAUCAUUACACAAAAAUUUGAUAUCAGUAGAACAGAAACACAUCAUCAUGAGGUCAAAAGAUAAGAUCAUACAGAACCCCGACUCCAAAAAUUAUCAUUUUCAUUUCGAAACAGAACCAGAUCUAGAGUGGGAUCAAAUCCUUCUAGAUCUAGAAAGUAAGGCUUAUCGUCAUCAAUUUCGAUUAAUAAUUGAAAACUCAUAUCUAUAGUUGAAGAUUUCUCAGCAGACAAAUUGAAGAGUCAAAGCAAUUUCGCAAUCUUCCUGGAUCCGUCAAUUACAAAGAUCUUAAAAGAAAAUGAAAUACGGAUCACAGAAAUAUGAAUCAAAAUCAAAAGAAAUGGGAAUACCUUGAAAAUAUGUGACAGAAGGAUGUGAUUUUGACCAGAGAGCGAGGAAUACGUGUGAGAGAGAGGGAGGGAGGGGGUUUAUAUAGGAAUAUAAAAUGGGAGGCUCGGUUGGUGAGGAGUUAGGUUCGUGGAAACCGAUCCAGCUCAAACCCACAGUACGGAUGCAGCUCCUCAUUUUCUGUCACGCGGUAAUACCUAUGAAGCUGCUGUUUAUUGACUUUGACGACUCAAACCCUCUCUAUUUCGUUGGAUCGGUUAAUUUUUUUGGGUUUAAAAUAUAAAAUUACAAGAUAUACAAUACAACCACCGUAUGUGGUCCAGUUGGUAAGAGUCUUGGUCUCGUUUAGUUUGAUGGACAAGAAAUUGAUUCCUUGGUCUUUCCUAUGUACAUGGGAAAGUAAAUUUCUCACUAGUUUCCCUACAAGGUGUUUAGGAACGUCGGGAAAAUAAUUAGGAAAACAAGUAACAUUAAGUUACCAAUUAUAUCUUUUGUAUUAAAAUAUAAAAUAUUUAAGAUUCAAAAGUUUUGUGGAUAAUUUGAUAAUAACAUUUAUUAAAAUAAUAUUUAAAAGAUGCAAUUACUGUUGGGAAAAUAUGAAAAAAAUUGAAUCUCAUGGUAAGGAGGAUCCAAUUUCCCCAUCCGUUUGGUUAGCAGAAAUGUUAAGAUAGGAAAAUGAUUUAUUUUCCUUUAUGUACCAAUAUGGAAUGGAAAAUGUUUUGGUAUUUCUAUGUAGAUAUUUGGCUGAUAUUGUAAUUAAAUUAGUAAUUAAUUUUCCUAUUUCACAAUAUUUAAUAAGUCAUAAUAAUAAAAUUGAAAGCUUUAAUUUCCAAUAACACCCUUUUAUUAAUUGCAUAUGUGAUCUAUUUAACGGAAUAUAAACUUUUUAGAUGGCUAAUUUUUGUAAUUUACCUUUGACAGUGGGAAUAUAAAUAAAAUAUCACCUCUCACUAGGUAAUUCAAUUCAGGCUUUAUGAGGGAGUCAAUUUUCAGUCAUAUCUUUUUUUUUCCUUUCCAAUCUUUAUUUACAACCAAGCAACACAUUAGAAUGAAAAAUGAAACUAAUUACAUUUUUAUACCAUGAUUUCCUACCAUACAAACGGGGUCUUGCUGUAAAGUUUUUCAUUUCUUUAGGUGUGUCAAACAAAGGAAAAGAACCACUUUUCCUUCGCAACCGUUUCAAUCCGUGAACCAAACGAGGUCUUGGUGUACCCUCCUAUCAUUAUCCCAUUACCCAUUUUUUAUGAUUAAUGUCAAGAUAAUUACUCACUAGCCUCCAGCACAUGUUAAUAUGCCUUUAUGAAAAUACAAAUAGGUAUGUAGUGGGGCAAAUCUACAAAUAGAUAUUUAGCGAGGUAAAAAUAGUUAAAAUACACAACAUAAAAUUAUAAAUAGAUAAACGUGUUCUAGGAUAUUCUCUAUGUGUGCCUUGGUCUUAUGCCAAUAGGAUAUGUAGUUAGACUAGAUCUAUGUAUUUAUAUCCUUACCAUAUUGGUAUUGUGUAAUUCCCUAUAUAAAGGGCUCCUAUCAAUGAAUAAGAUGAUGAUUCUCUUGCUAUCUCUUUGUCUCUACACUUUAUCCUUUAUCACGUUAUUAUGCACUUUGUUCAUGUCAGGGAGCUUUUGCUAACUAGUCAUGGAGUUUACGACCUUAGAACGAUCGAAAGGACUUGGUUUUGAUCAUACACACGUCACUUUUGGCUAAGGCAAAAGCCUACACGCCACCUGCAAGCUUCACAGCUUCACACAUGCCAAAUCUGCGAAAAACAGCAAUCUGUCUCUUCUGGACAGUCAACUUCGUUUGAGCUUUGUGAACAGCUCCGGACGAACCAAACAGUGAGCUUUAUAUCAUUGGAAAGCUCUAUGAGUCUAGUUUUCAGAACUUUUCACGGUUCGUCUAUAUCUAUUUUAACGAAGAAGUUAUGGCUGUUUUAGUGCGCAAAGGUCAUUCUGCGCGGAAAUUUUUAUGCACUCUCGGGAUUGCAGCUUUUCGUAGCUUCUUUCAAUCCUUCUAAAUGGUUCAAGUAGAACUAUUUACUCGCCUAUCUACUCCUUGUAGUUAUGUCUCAUAGAGACAUUGAGUGCUUCGCAGAUAGUGGAACUAUCCACAACAUUCUAAGGAACCAUGUUGAGCUUUAAAGACAUUCAUGCUAAUGGUUUUCAUUUGAAAACACAUUGUGAGAAUGAACAAUAAUUCUUUUGUGUAUACCUCCUGAUAAAUGCGAACUGAAGCGCAUCUUGGAGAAAUUCAUGAGUCAAUCUAGUGAACUGUAUGUCAUUACGAUUCGAAUAUCGAAUCUCAUGUUGUCGCCAAACAUGAUAUUUGGGACACCGACUCAUAUAGACUUUGGUUUGACCAAAUUGGUCAACCUGAAAGAGAUAUAAUGGUCCAAAUUUUGAGAAAUUCUCAUGGACAUCCAUUCUUCCGCUCAAAACGAAGACAUUCGAGAUCUAGCAUCACCAUGAAGCAUGGUGGUGACCCGGGGGACAUUGACGUCACCCGAACACGACUCCAACUUCCUGGAGGUCGUCCGGUCAAUUCCUCAAGCAAUUAAGGUGCACCGGCCUUUCCUCGAUGUCGCAUUGGCCCCCUGCAAUGCUCAUUGCUCUUUUUGAAAACCUAUUCUUUAGCUAAAUAAGGAGUGAGACCCUCCUACGCUAAAUAACACAAAAGUGAACAUUCUAUUCUUACAUCAAACUAUGUAGAUAGAUACAACCAACUUACAGACACCUUUUUAUGCUUUAUGGUGUUGGUUGACGUGUUAACACACUGGUCACGUUUACACUAUUAUCUACUGCUUAUACUGCUUAUACUUCUACGGGCUCACUACCCAUUCUUUAAAGAAGUUCAUCAGGAUGUAAGUUGAAGUGUCCUGUACCCCAUGNNNNNNNNNNNNNNNNNNNNNNNNNNNNNNNNNNNNNNNNNNNNNNNNNNNNNNNNNNNNNNNNNNNNNNNNNNNNNNNNNNNNNNNNNNNNNNNNNNNNNNNNNNNNNNNNNNNNNNNNNNNNNNNNNNNNNNNNNNNNNNNNNNNNNNNNNNNNNNNNNNNNNNNNNNNNNNNNNNNNNNNNNNNNNNNNNNNNNNNNNNNNNNNNNNNNNNNNNNNNNNNNNNNNNNNNNNNNNNNNNNNNNNNNNNNNNNNNNNNNNNNNNNNNNNNNNNNNNNNNNNNNNNNNNNNNNNNNNNNNNNNNNNNNNNNNNNNNNNNNNNNNNNNNNNNNNNNNNNNNNNNNNNNNNNNNNNNNNNNNNNNNNNNNNNNNNNNNNNNNNNNNNNNNNNNNNNNNNNNNNNNNNNNNNNNNNNNNNNNNNNNNNNNNNNNNNNNNNNNNNNNNNNNNNNNNNNNNNNNNNNNNNNNNNNNNNNNNNNNNNNNNNNNNNNNNNNNNNNNNNNNNNNNNNNNNNNNNNNNNNNNNNNNNNNNNNNNNNNNNNNNNNNNNNNNNNNNNNNNNNNNNNNNNNNNNNNNNNNNNNNNNNNNNNNNNNNNNNNNNNNNNNNNNNNNNNNNNNNNNNNNNNNNNNNNNNNNNNNNNNNNNNNNNNNNNNNNNNNNNNNNNNNNNNNNNNNNNNNNNNNNNNNNNNNNNNNNNNNNNNNNNNNNNNNNNNNNNNNNNNNNNNNNNNNNNNNNNNNNNNNNNNNNNNNNNNNNNNNNNNNNNNNNNNNNNNNNNNNNNNNNNNNNNNNNNNNNNNNNNNNNNNNNNNNNNNNNNNNNNNNNNNNNNNNNNNNNNNNNNNNNNNNNNNNNNNNNNNNNNNNNNNNNNNNNNNNNNNNNNNNNNNNNNNNNNNNNNNNNNNNNNNNNNNNNNNNNNNNNNNNNNNNNNNNNNNNNNNNNNNNNNNNNNNNNNNNNNNNNNNNNNNNNNNNNNNNNNNNNNNNNNNNNNNNNNNNNNNNNNNNNNNNNNNNNNNNNNNNNNNNNNNNNNNNNNNNNNNNNNNNNNNNNNNNNNNNNNNNNNNNNNNNNNNNNNNNNNNNNNNNNNNNNNNNNNNNNNNNNNNNNNNNNNNNNNNNNNNNNNNNNNNNNNNNNNNNNNNNNNNNNNNNNNNNNNNNNNNNNNNNNNNNNNNNNNNNNNNNNNNNNNNNNNNNNNNNNNNNNNNNNNNNNNNNNNNNNNNNNNNNNNNNNNNNNNNNNNNNNNNNNNNNNNNNNNNNNNNNNNNNNNNNNNNNNNNNNNNNNNNNNNNNNNNNNNNNNNNNNNNNNNNNNNNNNNNNNNNNNNNNNNNNNNNNNNNNNNNNNNNNNNNNNNNNNNNNNNNNNNNNNNNNNNNNNNNNNNNNNNNNNNNNNNNNNNNNNNNNNNNNNNNNNNNNNNNNNNNNNNNNNNNNNNNNNNNNNNNNNNNNNNNNNNNNNNNNNNNNNNNNNNNNNNNNNNNNNNNNNNNNNNNNNNNNNNNNNNNNNNNNNNNNNNNNNNNNNNNNNNNNNNNNNNNNNNNNNNNNNNNNNNNNNNNNNNNNUAAGCAAGAUGACAAAUAUGUGUUAAGAGAUGGAGUUCCCAUCUAAGUACAAUUAGACGCAUCAAUGUACUCAACACAAUACGAAAGACUUGACAUCUCAUUCGCUAUGAAAAGUUGUAAAGCUAAGUGUAGCUAUGCGCCCACGCAACGCCAAUGUAAUGGCAGUAACUCCUUUUUCAAUACUUAAUGGUAUGAAAGGUUGAGGCUUAUUCUAUCCCUACAUAAGAAAGACACAUCAAAAGCGAAAUCAGAAUCUGCCAAGUUUUGUAGGUCAACUUCCACAGGACCUAUAGGAAAUCUCACUCACUGGAAAAUGGUGAAAUUGGUACCAUUGGAAAGGUCUAUGUGUCUACUUUCCAGAGACACCAACCAUUUGAUCAUACCUAUCAUAUUGAGUGAGUUAUGGCCGUUUUCGUAAAGUAGGACGAAUCUGUCCGAGAAUCUGAUUUUGGCAAAACAGUCAAUUUCGACGGGAUUUUGUGAACAGCUCGUGAUGAACCAGAAUGUGUGUAAUAUACGGUUGGAAAGCUAAAUGAGUCUAGUUUCCAAAACCGUUUACGGUUCAUUCAUAUGUAUUUCCUAGAGGAAGUUACGACUGUUCUAGUAAUUGAAGGUCAUGCUGCGUGGAAACCUGAUUUCCUGCACGAACUUAUGUUUUGAGUUCACAAGCGAACUUCUCCUCAAGAUCUAAGUGUAAAAGAUCAUUUGAGGACAAUACGGCAUGAUUUAGUUAAUCAUUGCCCAAUGCCACAUUUGAAGACAUGUUAAAAAGCAUUGACAUGCUAAGUUGUUGAAACUUCUGUGAUUAGUAAGAAUCAGGAAGAGCCCUAUGAUUGAUGUAAAGAUCAGGGGGGGUGCGAACUUCAGGGGGAGUCUAGCACAUACAUACAUGUCACUAUCAAAUGUGAAGGGUGCGUUGUACUCUUUUUCUCCUACGAUCAAGGUUCAGUUUUUCUCCCACAGGGUUUUUGUGACUUGACGAGGUUUUUGACGAGGCAACAGAUCAACACCAUCGGCAUAUCAGCGCGCGGCAUAAGGGGGAGUGUUCUAGGAUAUUCUCUAUGUGUGCCUUGGCCUUAUGCCAAUAGGAUAUGUAGUUAGACUAGAUCUAUGUAUUCAUAUCCUUACCAUAUUGGUAUUGUGUAAUUCCCUAUAUAAAGGGCUCCUAUCAAUAAAUAAGAUAAUGAUUCUCUUGCUAUCUCUUUGUCUCUACACUUUAUUCUUCAUCACUUUGAUCAUAUUCUAACAUCUUGUCCAUUCUCUGGUAGCAAAGAAUAAUCUAAUAUGGUUUGUAAUGCUUCGAAUAUAUAUAUAUAUAUAUAUAUAUAUAUAUAUAUAUAUUCUUUUUUAAAUAGAAGGUUUAUUUGGAGAUACGUUAAUAUGAAAACAUAUGUGCUCGUCCGGCUGCGCCGCGGCGGCGGUGAUGCAAGCCUUUGGCGUCGCCUACAUUUGUCGUGUGUGGCCGGACGGGUUUCCAUAAUUGGAACACGCUCCGACAAGGGAUUGGGGAUGAGAGGGUUUUAUCCUUGGUUUCUAUCUAUGGUGGCGGCGGCGCAAACAGAGAUUUUGUAGGGGGUGAUGGUGGCGGAGUCGAUCCAACCGGAUCUGGAUACAGGUACCGCUGCAGAUUUUGCUGCAAACUCAUUUGUAAUUGGUUGGAGUAGGUGGGCUUGCAUGGUUGGGGGUUGCGAUGGUGGAGAUGUUGCGAAGGGGUUCAGUCAGGGACGGUGUGUCAACGGUGGUCGGGAUCCGUAUGCAGCGGUGUCGGCGCGACAUGGGUGCAGAUUUGAUGAUGGAGAUUAGGCUGUCUGGGCUGCUGUUGUCUUGGGCCGAGAUUCAUGGCUAGACCCAUUUGGUUUAAGCCCAGGUGUGGGCUUGUUCUAGUUCCUUAGUGUGUUGAGCCUGGGGUCCAAUUCACUUUAUUAAUAUGCAAUUUUAAUUUGCUUUAUUUAUGCUUUAUAGCAUUUUAUUUCUUGUACUAAGUGGUUUUUGUCCGCCAUUAAUACCCUAUCAUAUAUAUAUGAUAGGGCAAAAAGGGCUUCGUGUUGGUAUAUGCACCUUGUGUGCCAUGUUUGCUCUACGUAGGCGAUGCCUCUUUUGUCUCGUCAAAUGGUCGCAACCUCCUAAUGGCAGAAUGAAACUAUGUGCCGUCAGAUUUCUCCGGCGGCAACAUAGUAUGAAAAUUGUUUUAUGGAUAUUAAGAUAUGUGAGCGUGUUACAUGUCAAUUAUUCUUUUCAUUAUGUCACCGUUAUCUCAAAGUAAAUAGAGUCGUCAUAGAGUAGUACUUUUUGCUAGUAGGUGCUUAUUUGAGUAGUGCUCUUUGCUAGUAGGUGCUUGUUUUUAUUUGAGUACAUGUACUUUGUAGACAUUCUCGAUAUUAUUUUGAGACUUCACUGUAAUCAGGGGUUUAGGCUUCAUGUACCCCUUUGUAUUCCACAAUUUCAUUAAUGAAGGCUUAAGGGCAGCCGCACUAGUCUUUUAUUCAAAAUAACAUAAUAUUUAACCUACACAUAUAAAGAAAGUAAAUAUAUACGAAUAUUCAACACUACCCUUGAAGUUGGUGCAUAGAUAUCAAUCAUCCCCAACUUGCCAACCGAGUUGUCAAACACUUUCCUUGACACUCAUUUCGUAAGAACAUCUGCCAAUUGGUCUUCCGUAUACACGAGAAGGAAACAUAUGGUUUUCUUGUCCAAGUUUUAUUUAAUGAAAUGCCGAUCAUAUAUCUACAGCCUUUUUGGAAAUCGGCAUAGCCAACAAAGAUACACCAUUCUGCAGAAGGAUCAAGUUUGCUCCGUAUAGGCUUGGGAAUAUGAACAUACACGAUGCAUCCAAAUACACAAGGUUCUAAGUUAGGUAAUGACAUAACUAAAAGAAGUUCAUGAAGCUACUGCUGAGGGUUUUGAAAUUCAAUUACGCAUGAAAGAGUACGAUUUAUGAGGUAGGCAACAAACUUCACAACUUCUCUUUAAUAUUCACGAGGUACAUUCAUGCCAAAUUAAGAGGCACGAACAACUUCAAGCAAUUGCCGAUUUUUCCGUUCUGCCAAUCCAUUCUGCUGAGGUGUAUAUAAAUUUGUAGUCUGAUGUUGAAUUCCAUGAGAUUGCAUAAAUUCUAUCAUAGGACCAUCAAUGUACUCUCCAUUAUUAUCAGAUUGGAAAACUUGAAUAGCCUACUAAUACUGUAUAGACACCAUCUUGUGAAAUUCUUUGAACCUAGAACAAACAUCGCUCUUAUUCUUCAAUAGAAACACCCAAGUCAUACGAGUACAAUCAUUAAUAAACGUUACCAAAUACCGGCCUAGGAGCCCAGGAGCCAGAGAGUAGGAAUUUUUGCAGGAUCCCAAAUAUAAUAGUGAAUCUUCAUAAAAGGGAUAAAGGCUUGGUGAAAAUGAAACACGGUGGCUUUAGCCAAUUCGCAAAUUUCACAAUGGAAAUCUGAAUAUGUGAUACCCGAAAACAAUUGUGGUUGCAGCUUUUUAACGUAACCGAAGUUUAGAUGACCUAAACGACGGUGACAAAGCCAUACGUCAUUCUUAGCAUUCUCGCCUUCAUUAACCUGAUUAGCUCGAUCAAAAAAAUCAAUAUGUUUUGCUCUAGUCUUUGUCAGAUCCAGUUAGUAUAAUGUCUCCCUUCUUACACCAUAACCCAGAAUCUACCGAGUCAGAAUGUCUUGAAACACACAUAUUGGUAGUCCCAGCCUGUUUCAAACUACACAUGCUAAAUUUAUACACAUACUACUAGGUUUAAUCAAUUAGAAAGUUGUUUUUUUUUUUUUUUUUUUUUUUGGUCAAAAGUCAGAAAGUGGUCGUCGUAGGGGUUUAUAUGGAGAGUAAAGUAAAUGUAGUGUUAUUAACACGCUCUUUUUUGUUAUUAACACACCCUAUCUAUGAUGAGAGUCAAUCAUGUAAAAAAUUUAAGUAGUAAGUUUGUAAAUAAAAUUGAAAUGUGUGGAUAGGUAAAUAGAUGAGAUGUGUUAAUAACAAAAAAUUGUGUGUUAAUAACACUUACCUACAGUAAAAAAUAAGAAUAUAACGGUGAUCAGGAAAAUAGGUAUCAAGUCAAGCUCUUCUUACAAAGUUACCCAAUUUCAAAAGCUCGAAAAAAUUAGUUGGCAUUAGGAAACUAACAAAAUGGCUUUCAAGUAACAUGAUUUCAUAUAUGGAAUUAUGGUUACAUUUUGCCUCCUAGUCCUACAAAAAGGUAUUGACCAUGACCUUGGAACCCUUUUGCUUGAAGACUAGAAGAACUCGAAGAGAAACAAGUAAAAAAAAUGAGAACCUAAACCAAAAAGUUGUUGGAUUCUCUGUGCUCCUCUUCUUGAUCAAUUUGCUAGUCUCCAUCUCAUUGGCUCCUCUCUUAACAAAAACUGGAAAAACUAAUUAAUACAACAGAAGGAAACUGGCAGAUAGUGUAAGUGUUUAUGGCCUCAAUCCUAAAAAUGACCAUUCAUAUUUCCUUUUGUCUUUGGCCAUUUGUGCUAGAGUUUGGCCUUCUCACAAAUCUACCCUGCGACAAAACAAGGAACACCCAUAUGAGUGAGACUCAAACCGUAGAAGUACUUAUAGCAGAGCUACAGACUAAGGAGUAAGCCUACAACUCGUUUUUUAAGCAAUGAAAGCCGACUAUUAUGUACAACACUAAAGAACAGCAAUCUGUUACUUGUCCACUUCGACGCUAAGAGCAUUUAUGCAUGUUAUUUUUCUUGCCGAUAGUUUUAACCUGAAAAUGACACUCUAAACUCUAAUGACUUUCCACAGGUUUAAUCUAUGUACUUAUCUUCUGAAGAAGUUUGGUCGACUUUCAAUUUUGAACUUUUUUCUUUCUCAUAGUGAGCAGAAACAAAAAUGGGGGAAAAAACAUAUAUAUCAUGCGACUUGUGUUGUAAAUCAUCACAUCUAUCCUGCCAUUGGUCACUUAAUUUUAUCAUGUAUUUUUGGACUUUCCAAUAAUAAUUUUAAGCUUGUCAUAGCAUCUCGCAUCAAUCAAUUCUUAAGAUUCCAUACGAAAUGGAAUUGGCCGGCUAUGUUCAACUCAUUUUCUGAUCAAAUGCAAACUGAAAAAUAAUAAUUUACAAGAGAAGUACCUUCAUUCUUGGCCGUCGAUCAACGUUAACUUUACGAACUUGGUACAUGAUCUUUUUCGAGAAGAAGCGUGUACGCCGCUUCUCCUUGUAACGGAGGACGCUAGCCUCUCUCAACCCACUGGUGUCCGUGAAUAAAUCAAUCUGCGCCAGCCUGGUCUGCCCCAAUUACACACCGUUUUAGACUUAAUAACUUCAUAAUCCUUAAAUAAAUAAUCUAAACAAGGGCAAUUAGCUCAAUUCUGCAAAAUGCUGGUCAGAUUAAGCAAAAGUUGCACUGACCCAGAAAAGAACCAUUGCUGCCACAAAUUAUUAAAGAAACUUAUUCAUAGAGUAAAUACUUCGACAUCAAGGCAAUAGCAAUGGAAUUGACAUAAAAUUCACUUAAAACCUUAAAACUAUUAUGACUCAUGGUUGGUGACGAAUAAUUUUUUAUUUUUUUUCCUUUAGUUUGGUUUGGAAUGUUUAUAAUGUGACACAUACACCACUGUCGCACCCAUUUAAAAAUCACAAAUAUAUGCUUACCCGAAAAAGACAAUUACUUUAGUUUUCUAUUCAUCAUUAAUUACUAAACAAAAAGGAUCUAAUAAUAAAAAUAAAAAGUCCAAAAUUUUUUUUGCGUAACUUCUCCCCAUACGGAUAGUUUGAAUUUAAAGAGACAUGUGUCACCAAUUUAAAUAGUGGUCAUUAAGAUGGUCAAGUAACUUAAUUAAUUAAUGAUGCAUUAAGUGAACCUUUAAAAUAAAAUGAUGCAUUAAGUGCUAAACCAAACCAACUUUAUGGGAAUUCUGACAAAAAAAUAAAUAAAAAAAAAAAAAAAAAAACAACGAACUGAGUUGCAAGGCUUGGACUUUGAACUAACAACUGUUUAAGGUUUGCUGACGAGAGAUGAGAAACAUACAGAGACAUCGUUUCCAACAGCGCCGUCCUGAAGCUCCUCCGGGAACGGAGACGCUUUGUCUGACCAAGCACUCAAAACGUCGUCAUAGUUUAGCUUCAGCAUCAACUGCCCACACUCUGCUUCCGGCUCCUCCUCCUCCUCCUCCUCCUUCAUACUCGGACUCAUCUUCAGACUACCACUCUUCUCCACCAGCUUCGACUCCACCACCGCCAGCUUCUCCAUCUUUUUCUUCUUCUUCUUCUUCUUCCCCGCGGAAGGUGGCGACGGCCGAGAUUUGUUGAAUCUGGGCGAGAUUUCAAGAACAUCGACGGUGGGGAAACUCCACCGGUUCACCCUGUCGUCGACUUGCCUCAACGGCCUCACUCCUUCUCGUCUGAAUCCGAACCCGAAUUGCAAGUUUCCGCCAAAUCCUAACCCCAUUGGGUAGCCAUAGCAUGAACUCAUCAUCAUUUGGUCACUGCUAGUGGACGACUCGUCGACUGAGUCUAUGUUCAUGCUGGUUGUACUACUCCCCAUGAUGGUAUCAAUACCCUCAUCAAUCUCCUCAUCCAGCAUCGAUUCCGCGUCGAAGUCGUCACAUAUCUCCAUGGAGGAGCUGGAGUUGGAGUCGAAGUUCACCGGGGAGUUGAAUUCCCCAGGAGAAUUGCACGACUUUUCGAAUGGAUUGAUGGCUUUCGGCUCGAAUCGGGAGUUGGGUUUCUGGCUAAUUGGGUUGUGGAGGAAGAAAGUAGCGGAAUUGUCGAUGAGUCGGAGAGGGAGGAGCAAUUGGGAGGAUGAGGGGUCGAGGAAAAAGUCGUGGGGUUUGGUGGAUUUGCGAGGAUUUGUGAGAGUAUUGGUGGAGAAGAUGUUGGGGUAAGGAGUGGAGAGUAAUGCAGCGGCUUCAUUGUAAGUCUGGUUGGGACGUUUCCGAGGAGUUCGGGGUUUUCGGGUUGAGAUUGCGAGGGCGGAAUUGCUUGAUUCUGAGAGGGUGGAGGAGGAGGUGGAAGGGGAGGAUGUUUGGGAUGUCCGAGUUGAAGUGGAAGGGGAUUUGACUAUGUCCAACUCAAAUGCAUAGGUUCUUCCGCCACCUUUAAAACACGAAGACAUUUGGGGAUGAUUUACUAACGGAAAGAUGACCGGAAUAAAAAUAAAAAGGACCAACUAAGAUAACAAAGAAACAAAGCGGAGCAAAGCUUACAGAGGUGUGGAUAAGAUUUGCGAAGAUAAGGGGUAGAGAGACGCUUGUUGGGAUACUGCAGGUCUGAGAUUGAGAGACUGAGAGAGAGCUUUGUUUUCUUUUAAUAAUUUGUUUCUCUGUAUGGCCAGUAGCCACCAGAUGAAAUGGAACCGAGUUGAGGAGGAGGGUUAGCCACCGCGCAUGGUGAUCGAUUCGAUUGUCAGCCAAUUCUUGACUGUGAGUUAUAAUUUACUUGUAGUGAUUAUGAGGACAGUAUUUUAUCGUGGUUGCCAUUUUUUGUUAUUUGUUUUUUGUUUUGUUUUGAAUGGUCGGUUUCAUUGUAUCACGAUAAUUGGAAUUGGAUUCAAUCAUGAUUGGUGAUCUUGUUUCCUUCCUCAAGUUUUCAUGAGAGGUUGUUUUCGUCUGCUUUACACCAACGGACGUCAAGCCGAGUAUAAACUGGAUCGUCUCCUCGUAAACUUCUCCUAAUAUUUCUUAAUAAGUGGAUCAUGGCCGUCCGUUCUUAUUCAACAGCUCAGAUCUCUUAAACAAUAUUUACUUAUUUUCUCAUCUCUUCCAUCUCAUUAUCUCUCGAUAUAAUUUCUCUCUCGAAUCCAGAAACGUCGAAACAGUGCGGCGUCUCUGACGUCCUUGCACAUCCGAGUUUCGGCUUCGUAUCUCUUCUCUUUCACCCUCCUAUAGGUCAAAUCCCCAAAUUUAAUUCAAAGAAAUUCGUAACAACACAAGGACGAGCAACCAAACAAACCAACCAAAUUUGUAAGUGUAGAGUCUAAUCGAUCAAAUCGAAUAAUGGGUCUUUGGUUUUGAUAUGGGAAAAGCUCUGUGUUUUUGGGCUCACAUAGAUACUAGCUAUGAAAGACGUCCACUUCCAGUCCGAGGUUCCUCUUCACAAGAUCCUACUGUGUUCUACUUGUCGAUCACCCUUUUCAUUUUUCUCCACAUAUUUAUGUAAAGGUGGAGUCUUUAACUUUAUUUUCAUAUUUAGUUUUGGAAGGUAUUGUGUUAGUCUCACUUUCUGCUAUCAAGUUUAUGUUUUUCUUGAAAUUGUCAGGGUUUGCGUAAGGUUCAUGAUUUUUGAAGAGAAUGGUUUUUUUUUUGGAUUCAAUAAGUGAAAGGCUUUUAAUUCUGACUAAUAGUGGGUUUUCAAGUGGAAAGAUUUUCUAACGAACACUAGACUGAGGAGUGGAGGACGCUGGAGACCUGCCAGACUGUUUUGAUGUUUCUGGGUUUGAGAGCGAACAAAGGGACACGAGAAAUUAUCGAGAGAGAGAGAGAGAGAGAGUGAUUAAGAUGGAAUAGAUGAGAAGAUAAGUUUUAAAUUUUGUUGAAGAGAUCUGAGCUGUUGAAUAAGAACGGACGGCCAAGAUCCACUUAUUAGGAAAUAUUAAGAGAAGUUUAUGAGGAGAGGAUCCGGAUUCUAAAAAAUGGAAGGUUGACUGAGUUUAACGGUAAGGGCAGAGUAGUAAAUUCUGUUGUCUUUUGCAACCUAGAUCACUGACUGGUUGAAGGCCGUUGUUUGAGUCUGAACUUUGAAAGUAGAUAGCCUCGAAAGAAUGAAUGCGACUCACCAUCUUCUACUGAAUUGAAUUCAAGUUUCUGAUCCGAUUUCAGGUUUUGAUAUACGAAGAGUUCUGGAAUGUACAAUUUCUUCAUGUACUCCGUAGGUCGGGGUACACGUGUCAAGCCGUCACAGGCUAGUUUUAUAUUUCUCCAUUAGGGCCCAUGAGCAGCCAUUAGUGUCACACCCCAAUUUUCGAACCCAAUUUUCAAAGGAUAAAUUUUCAAAAACUUGGACAUGAUAUAACUUAAAAUCUUAAUAUCUCAAAACCUGCUCAACAACUAACAAACUAAAAACAAAUACUGGAAAUGUAAAUGUCAACAAACUCAACAACUGAGUUAAACAUUAUAUCUCUUUAAUUACAUCAACUUCAAAAGUCUAGUAAUAAUAACGUUGCUCACAUGAGCUUAUAGACAAAUUAACAAAAUAUACAAAAAUUGCACAUUGUCUAAAACCCAGCUCCUAAGCCACCGCCUCAACCCUGCUAAUUAUCACAUGCAGGUCUAACCCCUACACCAAAAAUAGAUACACCGGGUUGUAAACAACAAACCCGGUAAGCUAAAAAGCCCGUAUGAGUAACUCUCAAAAUAUAUCUCAACCCAACAUACACAAAAAUAAAACCGGAAAUUCCUUCUUAAAACUUAGUUCAGGAAUUUCCUCAACAAUAAAAAUUCAAAGAAAGUAAUUAAGAAAACAUAACAAUUCACAAAACAAUCAAUCAUAAGAGAAUCCUGCAAAUAAAGAUAGUUCAGGAAAUUCCACUCAAAAUUCACACAAUAAGAAUGGAAGAAUCUCCUGCAUUAAACAUAGUUCAGGAGAUACUCAAAACAAGUUAAAUGACAACAAUUAAGAACAAAGUUAAAACCACAUUUUCAACACUUUCACAAAUAACAUGUACCCAUAAGUCCCAGAUAUAAAAAAAAUACCUCUCAUGACCUGCAAUAACAAUUUGUGCAUCCAUGGGUCCCAGAUACCAUAAGGUAUCUCCCAUGACCUACACCGACAGACGAACUAGAGCUCUAUUCUUAACCGUAACCAAUCACCCGGCCAAAGGCUUGGAACCCAGUUUGACUAUCCAAUAUCACAUCACAAAAUAAUAAUAAUAAUAAUAGCGUCAUAACCGUAACCAAUCACCCGACUAAAGGCUUGGAACCCAGUUUGACUAUCUACACCACAAUUCUCAAAAAGAGUAGAAUUAUCAUAACCGCAACAAUCACUCGAUUAAGGGCUUGGAACCCAGUUUGACAAUCUACUUGUUUUAUCUCACCUAUGAGCCGUUAGCGAUCAAGGUUAUUUAUUUUUAAAAACAAACAAUAACAUAUUCUUUAAUUCAACAUCAUCAACAACACAAAAAGCACAUCAUAAAAAUUAUAUCAUUCCACAUAGAUAUAUUUAUAUGCACAAGACAUGGUUAUUCCCACAAGAAUAACUUAUCAACAACCAAAAAUACUAUAAUCUUAUGAAUCUUAAAAAUAAUCAUAUACUUGGAAAACUUGUUUUAUCUUACCUAUGAGCCGUUGGCGAUCAAGCUCAUUUAUUUUAAAACAAAAGAAAUGAAAUAUUUUAAAUUAAAAUCAUCAUAAUCAUCAUACAAAAUCAUUAUACAAAAAUCAAUAAUCAUAAUAAUUAUCAUCAUCAUAAUCAUUAUCAUCAUCAUCAUCCUCCUCAUUAAAUUCAUUAUCAAAAAUCAAUCAUCAAUAAUAAUUAUCAUCAUCAUCAACACAAUAAUUAUCAUAUCAUCAACAAUAAUCAUCCUCAUCAUCAUCAACAUUUUCACCAAUCAUAAUCAUUAUUAUCAACACAACAACCAUAAAUAAAUAGGUCACAAAGUGAACCUUAGUGAGAUGUUACUCACCUAAAAAUCCCGCUGCGUCUUCAUAAAAGAACUCAAGAACCAAGCUCAAAAACAACUCCACAACCUACCUAAACAACACAAAUACUAACCUUAGUGACCAAACAAUUAAAGAGAAUAUUGCACCCUUAACAAACCUUAACCCACGAGAGGACAACUUUCUAAGGUCGUCAUAAUUAACGACUCAAUACAGCUGCCUCUAAUUCUCAAAACUUAAACUCAAACCUCACACAAGCCUAAAAUUAAACUUAAUGUCCUAACAUGCAAACCUUACACCAAACCUAGAAUUUCCACAUCUCAACAAGCUCACAAUAGCAAGAGCUAGCUAACCACCGAAACCUAGAGCUAGGAACCCUGCCGGACACGCUGCCACGCGCCACCACAGGCGGCGGCGAGUGGGCCCCACGCGCCACCCCAUCAACUUCAAAAUCUAAGCAAGCUCCCAACAGCAAACUUAUAGGUUACAUCAAAAGGAACACUUUUCAUACAUGUGGCCAAAGCCAAUUCGGUCGGAAAGAGGCCUGAAACGUAACUGGAAAGAAACAAGGAGCAUUUUGAACUCCAAAGCUCCACGCUUCGAAUUAGGCUUCAAGGCUGGUACUUAGAAGGACAAGAACUUCCAGAAAUGGGUAGCCUCAAACCUCAAUGUCGCUGGAAUCGGUCGGAGCUUCACCGCCGGUGGCAGCAGCAACUUACGGGCCUUGCUGCGCCGUGCACAGUGCUCCAUAAGGUGUGAGGCUGGUAUGAAUAGAGAGAGGGGAGUGAGAGCUUUCCAACGAUACCAAGCACGCCCAAAUCCGUCGCCGGAUGGCCGAGUUAUGGCCGGAAGAAGUUUGAGGUGAAAAUGGAGACGGGAGAGAGAGAGAGAGAGAGAGAGAGAGAGAGUAGNNNNNNNNNNNNNNNNNNNNNNNNNNNNNNNNNNNNNNNNNNNNNNNNNNNNNNGGGGGGGGGGGGGUUUAUUAGGGUUCCAAAAAAUAAAUCCCAACUUUUCCUAUUAUACUAAUAAUCCCGAAAACCACAAAACUUCCGCUGACCAAAACUUCUUCUUACGAAGUCCGUUUUACGCGUGCCGCAUGUCUACGAACUUGUAUCGCCAAGCUCUACAACUUUCGUGAAGGAAGUUUCUCGAGAAACCCAACGAAUAAAAAGUCAACUCUAUGACCCUUAAAGAAACAAAAAGAACCAUUUCAGGAAAUUUACGCGUCCGAACACUUCCGCUCUUUCUUCGAACCUCAAAAACACACUUACUUCUAACUCGAAAACUCCCAAAUAAUAUUAGAAACUAAUAUCAAAUUUCUGGGGUAUUACAAUUAGCGCGUGAUCAACAAAUCAUCGGUUAAAUUUUUGUAGGCAAAGGCAAAUGAAUUUGGUGUGUAAGUCGACUAACUCGACUUAUGAAUUGUUUAUCUUGAGAUUGGAGAGCAUCUUAUGUGGACGCGAUACGAUGGAGAUGGAGAUUCAGUUCUGGGUUCGAUCUGUCUCCCUUCCCCGCGGCCAUGCCUGAAGAAACCGAUACCACAGAUCCACAGUUUGUCAGUUUCACAUUGGAAAACACCUCGAGUUUUCCGGAACGAAAAAAAAACCCGCCGACGAUUAUGGCGGAGAUGGUGAACUGGUGAUGGUCUAAUUUCUUGGCUGCUUCUUCGGCGAAGUUGUUGGGUCAUUUCCACAAAUCUUAUCUCUUCAAAUUCAGAACUGUUGCGGAUCAAAACGAUCGGAGGAUGUAACAAAACGAUCGGAGCGGAGGAAUUAGGGUUUGGAGAAGAAGAAGAGAGUAGAGGAGACUUACAGUUGUGGAUCGAGAAGAGGACAAAUCUGUGAGAGGAUGAGAUUGUGCUUGAGGGAGAAGAGAGAGAGGGGGAUAAUUUUUAAGAGAGGAUAAAAUGUAAAAAAAACCCACGCUCGACGCUUUCACCAAGCGCGUGCUUCUAACCCAGAGUAAAUGACCGAGUUACUUCCGUCCAUCAGACCAACGGAGUACAUGCAGAGCUUGUACAUUCCAGACGUCUCCUUGAUAUAUAAUGGGUUUCUAGUAUCUGAUUUGAUAUAUAGUUAAGAAUCGUGUCUGAUUUGAUAUACAGUUAAGGGGUCCUAAAUGUUUAAACCGAGAUGAGAUUACGCUCCUACAAUUGGUCCGAAUAGGUUAAAUUUAACACUUUCUGACUAUUAUUAGGUAAAACAAGAUAAUAGCGUCAACCUCUUAGCUUUGUUGUCCAUCUCUUUCUCUUAUGUUAAUAUUUGAUGAAUUUGCUCAUGUGUGAAACUCUUAACAUGCUUGAAAUGGAUUCUAUCACUAUAUCCUAAAUCAUUUUGUUAGGGGAAUUUUGUUUCAAUGCUUAUCCGUUUACUUUUAAAAAUGUUCUCAAGACAUAAAAUAUUAUUAUUUUUCUAUAUUUUUAAUGACAACAGUUUCUAAAAGAUUGCUUCUAAAAUAUGCGGCCACUGACUUGUAAUUAAAAAAACAGUUUUUCUUUAAUUUACUAAACAUUACAAAAUAUAAAAGUUCAGAUAGAAGCUGAUUUUUUUAAGAAGUAGAGCUAUACCAAAUUGAGCCUUAGAGAAGUUGUUGGAGGUGCUAUAAAACCGUAGGCAUGAAUAAGCUACAUUAUAUGGCACUAGAAAGCAACAAAAGAUCGUUUUCUUACCUAUAUAAUUUUAAUUUCGACAUUUUAACGGUUGUCAUUACCAAUGUUGUUGGCUUGUUUAUGGUUUCUUUUUUCUUUUCUUUUUUUGAGAUUGAUUGCCAAUGUUAUGAACUUAUGACUUUUUAAGGUAAUUUUUUUAUAAUAUAUAAUCUAACGUUACAACCAGUGAUUACAAUGGACAAGAACCGAAACCGUAACCUAACCUAAACCAGAAGCCUCGAUACAUCCUCACCGUCAACCUCAAGAAGAAACAACUCUUUCAAACACUAUAGGCCAAAAUUACCAGCAUAUAUGCAUAUGUAACCUCUCCAUUACAUUGACAACAAGAACUAAUCGACGUUAAAAUAAUCCAUGGACACGACACCAUAACUAUCACACACUCAACGUCACGACACCACCUUACCAAAACCCUAAACCCUCGCUUAAAAAGGAGGGACGACCCCAACACCACUCUACCAAUAUCAUAAACCCUCACUCAAAUAAGAGGGACAAGUGACGACCAACAGCAAAACCGAACUAAAAAACCAAAAAAGAAAAAUUAAAAAAUUAGCCCAGACCUAGACCUAAAAAGAGCCCAUGACACAAACCCAAAGUCUGGAUCAGAAGAGACCUCAAACCAACUUCUACCAAUCAAGGUCGUCGCUGCAACACCGUACUUUCUCCAUGGCCACCGCUGCAAUCACCGGCGUCGACCCUAGCCAGGCUGAUUUUGCCGUACACAGAAGAGCCGCCCACCAUCACGAUCUCGUAAGACAGUGUCGAGCCCGGAAAACAACCCUAUCGACCCCAACCUCUUUCCUGACUUUUGUUCCGAUCCAAACCCUUCAUGUAUGGCCACCCGUCGACCGCCUGAAUCUGCCAAAAAAACCCGGCAAAGAACUAGCCUGAAUCACCACUCUAUGGCCGCCGCCUGAAACCAGAUGCAAGCGACGCCUACAUUGACAGAGGUAGAGAGAAACCUCCCCUUUCCCAUCCUCCGAGCCAGGACCGCAACCAACAAACAACAAGUCCCGUUCGACCACAAUCGGCAGGCGUCAGCAUGGCCGGAGGCCAGCACCAACAUCGCGGUGCAGUCGGACGAGGGAGGGAUAUCCAUUUUUUGGCAAAACCCUAACUGUUUUUAGAGAGAGAGGGUUUGGGUUUUUUUUGUUGGUUCGUAACAUGGUUGUGUUAUUAUGAUUUUUUUAAUUUGAGAAGUGAAAUUUAUGUUCUUUAAAUUGUAAUUCAUAUUUUUAUUUUCUAUUUUUAGUGAUCAUUUUCAUAAGAAGAUAAAAAUUAAGUCAUUAAAAACAAAAUUUAGUUACCACAAAUAAAAAUACGAGCGUAAAUUACGUGGAUUUCAUUUAAUUUACUUAUUUUAUCUAAAAUAUUAUUUUCAUUACACAUAUCCUCAUAAUCUCAUAUCCAAAGAUACUGCCACGAGUCCAACCCGGAAACUCUCACCACGGUAGAAAUAUCUCGAUUGCUUACUUUUACUGUCGCCACCAAAAGUAAAAAAACUGUCCUUUUACAGUGAUGAGUUGGCGAAAGGGGAUUGGUUAUCAUGACGAGAACAAACGUAAAGCAAAGGGGUCAAAACGCAAGUUUGAAGCUAGAGACUUCACUCAGAUCAGACUUCAGAGAGAAAGGCAGCCAUGGCAGCUCGAAAGCGAGCUUCAACAAACUCGUCCUCGUCGACUCAAACCACCAAACCACCCAAAACCCAAGAAGCAGAGGCCCCAAUUUCAGCACCCAAGUCAGGUCUAAUCCUCAAGCUCGCCCUUUUCUUCUCAGUCCCAUACUUUUACCUGGUGUUGUCCCAUUACAAGAUCGAGCCAGAGCUCCGCAACUCGAUUCUGAUCAAUGCCGGCCUCAGCCUGGCGGCGUUCUUCGUCACCGUUAAAAUGAUCCCGGUGGCUUCCAGAUACGUUCUCAGGCGCAAUCUGUUUGGCUACGAUAUUAACAAAAAGGGCACUCCUCAGGGUACUCUCAAAGUGUGAGUCUUUCUUCAACUUAAUUGCCUUACUUGAAUUGGGUAUGUUGUAUAAUUGUUUUUCAUGUCCUUGGUUUAGUGUUUGAUGAUGGAUAUGGAUUAUAAAAACCUCAAGGGACUUAGUCUUUCAUUAUAGAGUUGUUGUUUUUAAUCAAAUUCAUGAACUUUUUAGUGUCCAUUGCAAUGCAGAAUCUUUUCUCAAUGUUUAAGAGCCGAAUGGUACAUUUUUGAUAUGGAAUUUAACAAGCCACAAUUAUUGAUAUUGUACUAACAAGUAUUGAUUUAUAUUGCUGUUAGUUGCAAUGUAGACAGAUUUGCAAUAUGAAGUUACCGUGAGUUUGUAUUCGUACUAUUUUUCGUACUUGCAACCUAAUUUUAGCACUUUGGUUUUGCAGGCCAGAGUCAUUGGGCAUUGUUGUUGGCGUUGUCUUCUUGGUCUUUUCAAUAUUAUUUCAGUAUUUCAACUUCACUGCAGAUUCAAAUGUAAGUAUGUUCUUUUAUUUAAUACUGAUUACAGGAAUAUACAUUAUACCUUGAUAUUUGGAACUUCUGUAAUAGAGAUUUUUCUUAUGAGAUGAAACAUGUAGCUUUUGGUGAUGCCCGUGUGCUUUCUCCAAGGAGAAAAUUCUGAUAGAAAAAUAUUGUGAUAAUGUAGGAGAUAAAAGCAUAUGAAACAGCUCAAAAUUUUGUAUACAGGAAGUAUUCAAGGAGACUUUUUAGGAUGUAAAAGAUAAAAGGAGAGAAAUUGGAAAGGUAUCCUCUAUUGAUAUUAAAUAGAUAGGAGUUUCACAUUUCUGAAGUCGUAGGUCAUUUAGGCAAUAUUCUAGGGAAGAGCUGGCCGAGUCUGAUGAUGAUGUGGUCUGUGUGAGUUAAUGGAUUGAAUUAGAGUUGUGCAGAACUGGUGUUUCUAAGGUAAUGUUUCAUUGGCAUUAAAUGCUUGAAUUUUUUUAGGGUUAAAUACUGUAUAAUCCCAGUAGUUUGAAGUUGAUAUCUAUUCAGUCCUUCUGGAUUGAAUAGUCCUUAAACUCACGGUUUUUCUUCCAAAUAGUCAUUCAGUCAAUUUUCUCCGUUAGAAUAAUGACGUGGCCGUUAAAGACAUAGCAUUUUUUUAACGGUCACGUCAGCAGUCUAACGGAGAAAAUUGACGGAAUGACCAUUUGGAAGAAAAAUCCUGAGUUUAAGGACCAUUUAGUUUAAAAUGAAACCACAAGGACUGAACAUAUGCCGACUUCAAACUACAGGGACUAAACAAAUUUCAAAAUUUUUAAUUUAGAAUUUUGUAGGAUAGCCACAUGAACCUUGCUUUGCAUCACACUAUCAAAUGGUCAAGAUGAUGCCCAUGUGAUGAGGAUUACUGGAAUGAGAAUGCUGAGAUGGAGGAGUUUAAAAUGAAUAAAGGAUAGACUCCGAGUACACAUAUUGUUGAAUUUAGAGUUAAAACUUAGAAUAAGUCGAGAACUGUAAUGAGAGAUCUGAGGUGGUAACCAACUUUUGACCUUUAUGGUUUUUCAUGGCUUCUUGUUUCUACUUUGCUGUCUGUAAGUUGUGAAUAUUUGUCUUAAUCAUUGGAAGACCUCUCUGUCAUAUAUUUCAAUCAUGCAGUGGCUUGUUGAGUACAAUGCAGCAUUAGCCUCCAUAUGCUUUAUGGUAUUGCUGGGAUUUGUAGAUGAUGUCCUUGAUGUACCUUGGAGAGUGUGAGUAUCUGGUCAUCAUCUAGAUUAUAAAUACAAUUUGGGUUGGCUUUAUGCUUUACAUUUUGUGUAAUCGCAAAUGGCUAUCCAAACUAAUGUUGAUUCCUGUAUGCUUUCUUGUAUUUGUGAGGAGCAGGAAAUUAAUACUGCCAUCAAUUGCAGCUUUACCUCUGCUAAUGGCUUAUGCUGGACAUACAACUAUUAUCAUACCGAAGCCUCUUGUUCCAUAUGUUGGCCUAGAGGUCUGGGAUCUAGGUAUGCUCAUCCUAACAACUUGGUAUAAUUUUUUAGUAAAUAAUAAGCUCAUUUAAUGUAAUAAGGUACCCUCUCUCCCCUCCCCCUAUCUCUGAGUAAAGUUAAAUGAUAAAAGACUUUUAGUUCUGUUCAUUGAAAUUCUUAAUUUAAUUUGUUUUGCAUGUAAUGAUGUAAUGAAGUAUCAUAAACAAAAGUUGUCUGACAGAUAUUUGUGUACCUGAAGGUAACCAUGUAUGGGGUGGACAUGUUACAUUUCCUGUAGUGAAGUCCAAGGAAUCAGAUAACUCGUAGUCACAUCUAUAGUUACAAUGACACCGUUAACUAGGAUUAUUUAAGCUUAAUUACAAGGUUGGCAUCAACUGGAUUUCUUGCUGCAUGUCCAUCUGAUUUUUCAUAUCAAACUGACUAUCCAGUAAACAUGAGAUUGUAUGGCAAGUUGGCAACCAAAGAAUUUAACAGGUUCAAGGUCUUAAACAUUGAUACUCAAUCUGAGCAGCUGUACUUUAUUUGUUUUGCCUUUUCAAAGGAUGUGCGUGGUUGUCAAAGGAUGUGCAUGGUCUCCUAGUUUUUUCCUUGACACUUGACACACAGUAGCACUUUCACUGAGAUGGAUAUUUUAGUCACUAGAACGAAACCACAAGCAAGGCAUUGGGAAAUAUGCAACUUCUGCAUCUAUGUGUUAUAAAUUAAAAUAGUAGUAAUAAAUUGAAGAUGUCGAUAGAUAACUAGGUUAUAUGCAAUAACAUUGUUAAUAUUUAGUUGAUGCACUUAGACUUGAAUGAAUGUAUACCAAAUAGUUGAAAUAAUUGGUCUCUUUUUGUUUUUUGUUUUGGAUGUGAAGGAUGGAUGUAUAAACUAUACAUGGGACUUUUGGCGGUUUUCUGUACGAACUCAAUUAAUAUUCAUGCUGGAUUGAAUGGUCUUGAAGUUGGGCAGACAGUUGUAAUUUCAUAUGCUGUAAGUAUAAGGAUUCAUGAUACAGUUGCAAUUUUUUUUUGGGAUAAGAAAGGACCUUUAUUAAAAGGCACAAGAAACAUAACAUACCUCAACAUUACUCUCUUACUGAUCUGCAGAUUUUAAUACACAAUAUCAUGCAAAUUGGAGCAUCUGCAGAUUCUGAGUACAAGAAGGCACAUGCAUUCUCUAUUUAUCUUGCCCAACCCUUACUGGCGACCUCCUUGGCAUUGUUCUCUUAUAACUGGUGAUGCUUCAUCCUGUAUUAGUUACCAAGUUUCUUAUGCUCAUAGCUUGGUCUUUUGAAAGUAUUCAACCUUAAUAUUUUCCUUUCUGCCUUAAUUUAGGUAUCCAUCUUCAGCUUUUGUUGGAGAUACUUACACAUACUUUGCUGGGAUGACUAUGGCUGUGGUCGGGAUUCUUGGCCAUUUUAGGUGCAUUCCCCUCUUAUCUCUCACUACCACUAUAAUAUGGAUAACACAUGUGAGACCACAAUUUGGCGUCUUUAGUUAUGGACUAUGGCUUCCUCCAUAGACAAUUCGUAUACUUGGAGAAUUAUAUGUAAACGUGGAACUUACAUUCUUGCAUAGGAAGAAGAAUCUAUUGGAACCAUUCUGUUUGAAUUGAUUCNNNNNNNNNNNNNNNNNNNNNNNNNNNNNNNNNNNUUUUUUAUAUCAUCUAUUAUUCACUUAAAAGGUGGUUGUUUCCAGUAGCCAUAAAAUAUAAUUGGUCCCUCAAGCACCCUUAGAAUCUGACAUUAAAGAGCCUAUAUAGUUUGAACCUUAGGCUGUAAACUGAGCUGCAACUAGUGUGAAAAAUGUGGAUCUGGUUGUGGAUCAUGAUUUCUAAUUAAACAUAAGAAAUGUAAGAGUGUAGAAGUGAAUUCUUUCGAAUAGAGCAAUAACAUUAAUACCUAUGUAGAAUCAGGUUGUUCCUUUACUAAUAUAUUUAUUUUCUAUUAUUACUGCCUGAUUAUUGACCUUAGUUUCUUCUCCUUCUGAAUUUGUUUUUCAGUGAAACACUCCUGAUUUUCUUUAUCCCUCAAGUCUUGAACUUUCUCUUGUCACUACCCCAGGUUUGAUCUAGUUCUCUCUACUCUCUCUCCCCUCUCUCCCCUCUCUAUGCAUAUAACGGUUACGGACGGGUAGGAUUAAUCACAGUUCAUGACAUGUAAAGCAUCUUAUCUGCUGUUAUCUUUUUCAGCUUGCUGGGAUCAUUCCAUGUCCACGGCAUCGUCUCCCAAGGUAGCUAAUUGUAACUGUUGGGACUAUGGAAGCCAUCUUCUGUUAACAAUCUUUAUAAAUAUUUAUUUAUUUAUUUUUCAGGUUUGAUCCCGACACUGGACUGCUGACUGGGACAAAUGAUGGGACGCUUGUAAACUUGUUCCUAAGACAAUUUGGCAGGAUGACAGAGAAGAGACUUUGUGUUUAUCUUCUCGUUUUCCAGGUGAAUUAUUUUAGUUGUGCGUAUAACCUGCAAAUUCCAAGGCAUGUCAUCUUGAGUCUGAAUAGGCAGAUGUCAAUAAUUUGAAUAUGUAUGUACCUGUAGAGCCUUAAAAGUUAAAACCAGCAUUUUUGGUUGAUCUCUCCGUAUUUUUCCUAAGAAUGCUUGUUAUGCUCUUGGUCCUUUUUAAAUGUCAUGAGAUCUUUUUAAAUGUCAUGAGAAGUCAUGUGAGAGUUUUAAUAUUUUUGGAGGGCUAUGCAUGAUUUAGUAUGUGUUGAAGGAUUCUAGGGCUUGGAUUUUAGGUUGUUGUAAUUCUUAUUAAAAAUAGUUGGUGAAGAGUCUUGAUAUGUUACCUUUUAAUCUUUUAUCCUUUAUAUUCAGAAAAUCAGUUUAUUGUGUUUCUUUCCUAGAACUCAAUCCAAUAUGUUGUCCUUUUAUCUCUUUCUUGGUUUUGCACAGUAGCCUAAGCAACCUGUCCUGCAUAAAAUAGGCGGCAUGUUUUGUCUGUUAAUUGUGUAACUGUCUCAUUUGGUGAAUGCUUAUCUACGUGCAACAGGCCCUAGCAUGCGGCUUCUGUUUCCUGUUGAGAUACUUUCUUGCUGGUUGGUAUAAAUGAGGCAAAAAGGAAAACUUCUACAAGUAAGCGUCCAAAAACAUUUUUUUUUUCUGCAAGCAAGUGAAUACCAGCGGCAACUCAUAGGUUAGAUAAUCGCUUUGAAGUUUUGAUAUUCUUGAGACGGUUACAACAUGUAUCUGUAUGAAUUAAUUUAACAAAAAGGGAACAUUCAUAGUAGCUGAAAUUAGAGUCACAAUUUGUAUUUUAGCUGUUGAUGGAAUUAUGUCGGUCAUGUUAUAUCAUACAGUCCAUAUAAUACUACCAGGAAAUAGUGAUUUGUUUCCAUGGUAUUGGCAACACAAAUUAAUACAAUUUUGAUUUUAUAGCAUUAUCCAUAUUGAGCUUAUAGAGGUUCACAGGACCGGUCUGACCAUGUUGUCAGCGUUCCACUCUCCUUAGCAUCAUCAAUUGUAAUCCUGCUUAUCUUAGAAGGGAAAAUGAAUCGUCUUUCUCCACUUCGUAUGAACCAUAUGUUGAAGACAACCAUAAGGUCCAUAACAAGCUUUCCUGCAGUGUGCAUUAGCAGAAAGCCAAACAUCCCACUCCAGAUGCAUAGUUUUUUUUUUUUGUCAGAGGAUGCAGAUGCAUAGUUCUAGCUGACAGAGUCCAGAGAAAUAUACCACUCCAAAACCCCUUGUGCCACUAUACAGUGUCGUAGCAAAUUAAGCAAGGUUUCAGCCUCAUGAUGGUAUGAAGUAUGAACCAUGAAGGACAUAAGGAAUCAGCAGUCAGUCUCCUUUUGACCCUUUCAAGUUUCAACAUAAGAAACCAAGCACCUGGCCAGGCCAAAAGAAGUCUUUUAAUUUAGGAGAAACAGGCAACUUCCAUAACAAGGACCAAGGAAAAUCCAGCCAAAUUGUCCUCUUGAAAGGUAGGCUGAUUUCACAGUAAAAUGGUCAUAGUUCCACUCAUAUCAGGACGCUCAUCAUAGCCAUUUGGAAUUUCGAUUAUUGAGCUUACAACUGCAUUUUGUUUCUUCGAGGUAACAAUUUCAAAAUUUAGAUUGGAUAUGACAAAAUCUAAAUUUAGUUUCACACUUCCAACAAUCGUUAACGUUUACUCGUUUAGACUGCACUCAACAUCAGAGAUUCAGAGAAAUAAUUCUUUUGCAUCGUUUUUCCAGGCUUUUUCUUUUUAAUACUAGAUUUCACUAUGUACCAUCCUUGAAUCAGAUCACUUGUAAUUCUGAUUCCUUCUGUAUAUAUACUGUCCAUUACGAUGAACAGAACUCGAAUGCUCUUGAAUGCUUGCAUUGCAACAUGGACUGGAUCUAGUGUGCAGUAUCAAGCACGAAAUCGUAUGUCACCAAGUUGUCUGAUAAGUUGUGCAAAAGAUAAAAUGGUUGAGAGUUUUCUAGGCUCUUGCACAGUGGCACACUCGCACCAGUACGAACAUGUUGCAAGACAAGACACAGUCUCUGUCACAGAGAAUGGAGUCGGAUACUUGCACAUUCUACUUUGGGAUCGGAUGGCUAUGCUUGCAGUUGGGACUUGUGCCGUUUAUUUCUCCCCCCUCUCGACUUUCCAUUUCACCGUUGUGAAUGAUAAGUAGAAGUGUAGAACCUUACGUUGUGGCUUGCUACAAACACACUUGUGCCACAAUCUUGCACAAGGAUUGACUAGAAUUUAACAUCAUAUGCCACAACAAUCUCAACUGCUGUUCUUAUGAAGUUAUUCCUGAAACAAUUAACAAGAUGAAAGAGAAUAUAAACAAGCGAAAUAAGCAGCUGAACUUGCCAAAUCUUUCCAGUGAUAUGAUCCUUUUGGGUUUUCCCUUUAUGAAAAUGAGAAGCCAACAUAUCAUUCAGCUCUCAAUCCUUUUGGGUUUUAAAUCUCAUCAUAAGCUUGCUUAUGACCCAGUUUCUCUCAUCUAAACUCAACAACACAUGAUGUUUAAAAACUGAGACACAAGGAUAUAAUCACGACGCCAAGCCAGAAUCAGAUACGUACUAGGCUACUAGCUAACUAUUCAGAAACAAUGUAAGAUGAGACAAAUUCAAAACCUUUUGCAUUACAUACCACAGGUAGUAAACAGCUGGUUGCUUCCACAACUGAAAAUAUAUUCGAACUACACAAAUUCAUCAGUUAGUGAGGAUUCCCUCUGAAUACAGCCAUCAUCUAAUUGUAAGUUUCCAGCACUCAUGUCUUGAAUUUUUUUUUAUUUUUAUAAUCCACUUGUCACCAAAACAAAAUCAGCCAAGACAUGAUCCUCAUUUCUAAAUUCAGCUUGUCUUAAUCAACAUCCAUUUCCUGGUCCUUCUCAGUGGUACCACUUGACCAUAGUUUGAUGGUUCGGUCAUGUGAUACAGUAGCAAUGUGAUGUCCAUCUGCCAUCAACAACAAUACAUUGGAUGUUAACCACAUAAACUGGCUUUCAAACAAAGAAACAAAAUGAAAUUGAAGAGAGGACAAUUUGAUUAUGAAGUUCCACCACAUGCCAACAAUUAUUUUUCUAACAGUGUUUGGUAAUGCUUACACGAAGGUUAUACAAGUUGAUGACACAACAGAGACAAUAAAAUUGACAACAAAAUGUUUUUUUUUUAAAGUAUGCAGGUAAUAUAUGAUGCUUGUGCAUAGUUCACACAGUAGAAUUAAGGAUGCAGGUAAUAUAGGAUGCUGACAAUCAGUUAUUUAGCGAGGCCAUUAUGUCCUCAUACAGAAGUGGUGAAAGUGGAACAGGCACCAGCAACAUAUUCCAUGAAAUAUGAGGCCAAACUUCUGCGUGAUAUUCCAACGUUAUGUCAUUAAGAAAGAUAUUCUAGGAGUAAAUGUCAGUCAGAUAGUACAAAAUCAUUACAGACGAUCUGAUUUGCCUUGACAGAUAAGAUUGUACCAUACUUGAAGAAACAACCUUUUAUCUCAAUGGUCUAGUCUUUAUCAUCCUUCAUGAUAGAUGACUAACUAAAGGAGAGCUAUGGAGUGAACACAGGUUGUGAAACUGGGUAUGGACAAUUAAAGCUGGGUUGUCUACUAUUGACAAGAUCUAUUGGAAGAUGUUUAUUCUAAUGUACACAAAUUAUCCGAUGUUAGUGGAGUUUCUGUCAUGGUUUAUGCCACAGCCCAGAGGUAAGUCAUCACUCAUCGACACUGUUCAUUAAACAUCAGUCCAAGUUAUGACUUCAUAUCUCAUUGUAAAGUCAAUGAUUGUCACGAUUUAAAAACUUGUCUCCGUUGGAUAAAUGGUGCUGGGGUAAUAAUGAAGUGGCUGCAUCAUAUCCUCUGGGACUUUUCUUCCUAAGUAAUGCAGAGACAGCUGUAUAUAUCUCUAGUUUCACACUACUGAGGCAGAUCUUCUGAUUGGCAGAAUAGUACUGGUUGGGAUAACGAUCAAGAAUAACAAAAAUGAACACGCCUCAAAGAAACAAUAAAAAAUUACCUAAGGGUUCCCACUUAGAGCAGAUAGUCAAAGUUGCACCAAGAAAAACGAGGACUAACUUGGUGAGGACAAGCACAUCACAAUGCAAACAGUAGAAAGUUACAAUGAAUAUCUCUACAUAUGCGAGAAAUUUGGACCGCUAAAAUGUAGUGCUACUAAAGCACUGUAUAUUUCAACGGUCAUCUCAAUUUCUUAUUAUGCUUCAUAUGCCAUUUGUUAGUCAUAUACGAAAAGUCAUGCAUAGGUAAACGGUCAAAGCAAGAAAAGAAAAAGCAAAAUCAAAACAAUAUGUAAUUUACCUCCUGAAACAUCCAAAGAAGUAACUUUUGCUUCAUGUCCAGAGAGCGUCCUGACAGGCUUAAAAUCUCGGGAUGACCAUAUCUAGUAAAGGCACACAUGAUAAAAUAUAUUAUUCAGUAGAUAUACCAACCAAUAAGAUGGCAACAACAAUUGUAACAACUUCAAUUCAGUUACUAAAGAAACAAUGGUGCUCAGAAGUUGUUCAUACCUUUGCUGUCAUAUCAUAUGAGCCAGUUACCAAGAAAUAUCCCUCCUGAGGUUCAAAUUUGACCUGUGAUAUGAGAUUGGAGUGCGCAGGGAUAAUGUAUAUGGAUUUCUUCUUCCUUAAAUCCCAUAUCCUACAAGUGUUGUCUUCACCCCCAGUGGCUAGAUGAUAGCCAUUUGGUGAAAAACUGAGCGCAAGAACCUGAAAAGUAGAAUUAAAAAAAGUUAAAGGAAUCAUGGGAAAGUAAGCAUAACCAUAAUUUCCCAUCUUCUCAGAUCAUCAAAAAUAUUAAUAUAAUAUGAAGAUACAGACUUACUUUUUUGACAUGGCCUUCCAAGGUAAGUAUACUUCUACCACUACGGAGGUCCCAAACACGAGUAAGCGCAUCCAAUCCAGCAGUUGCAACCAAUGAGCCAUCUGGGUGAAAGUCUAUGGCAUAUACACUCCUACUGUGACCUUCUUGAAGAAGCAACUCUUCACCGGUCUCAACAUCCCAAAGUCUCCAAGUCUUGUCAAAGCUAGUUGUUCCCAAGUACUUUCCUGAGGGAUGGAAGGCAAUACAGGCAAGACGGUCCAAAUGUCCCCCGAAUGUCAACAGGUGUCCUCCUUCGCUGUUCCACAACCUCGCAGUCCUAUCAGCAGAGGCAGUAGCCAAGAGGUGGUUUUGCACAGGAGAAAAUGCGACAUCGGUUAAGCGCUCUGUGUGUCCCUUCAAGGUGGCAACCUUAGUUACAUGAGGCAUGUUCCACAACUUGGCAACCGGACUUAAAGCGCUGCCAAAACCAAAACAACACAAGAUUUCAAUCCACCACUUCCGCAAUGGUACACAAACACAUAUAACAACAAUAGCAAAGCACCGAAAAGCUACACAGACCUAGUUAGCAUUCUGUCUACGAAAGAGCCCUUUUCACCUCCUAGUCACACAGACCCGUCAACAUCACAUUGUAAAACAAAUCAUCAAAAACCAAAUAGCAGUAAGUAAGAGCAAGCAAUUCAAAACACCCUAGAAUAAAAUAAAUUCGCAAUAGAGGAUAUCGAAAACACACCAGGUGGCAAGCAAUGUCCCAUCUGGCGAGAAGGAGCAACCCGAAAGAGGCCUGUCAUCCCCAAUCUCACUGCAAUCGAGCUUCAAAUUCGAGGCCUGCCCUAACGCCCAGUUAAUCUCAGCAUCCAUAUCCUCAUCGGGAUCCUCCUCCCUCCUCCUGGCACGCUGAAGCCGCAAGGCGGCGAGUGGCAUGGAGUAGUGCGCAAUAUGAACCCUAGCCUCACGCAAAGCCUUAGGCCUGGUCGCUUCGGUGAAGAAGGGAUACUCAAUUUCUUGCUCGAAGUCAGAAUCGUCGGCAUUAGCAGCCUCGUCGUCCUCAUGAGACUUGACCAGCGACUCCUGCUGCGCCGGAUCGAGGUUGGCCAGAAUCAUCCUCAGGCGGUCGCGCCUCUCCAUCUCGCGCUCACCGAACAGCGUCAUCGGCUCGCCUAGGCGCCGGAGACGAGCCCUGACGGCAUUGUCGUUGGUGGGGACGGCAAGAGCAGAAGCGCGGCGCUUCCUCAGGAGCUCCUGCUUUGCUCUCUCAUGCCGCUCCUGCAACUGCUUCUGCUCCUCGGAUAUCUGGUACUCGACUCCGGCCGAGGCGACGGCUCCCUGAUCGGCGGAGUCGGAGUCGGAGUCGGUGGUCAUCGGUGCCGCGUCGCCGUUUGGCUCGGAAGCGGCGAUGGUGGAGAGAAGCUUCUCCUCCUCCUCCUCCAUGGUCAUCUUGUUUGGUUUUGGUUUUGGGGAAGAACUCGAGAGUAGUAGAGCGGUGCUUUAUAUAUCAUCAAAACGACGCUGCUCCCUCUAUUACUUUUUUUUUUAUUUCUUCUUUAUUUUUUAUUUUGUUAUAAUUAAACAUCCAUUCGCUUCAAGUAUGUUUGAAACGAAUGAGUUUAUUCUUGAGUAAAGAUGAACGAUCUCAUCAAAUCCACAAUAUGUAUAUGGUUAUAUAUAUGGCUUCAACACAAAUUUUAUUUACUUGUAAUCAAGUUUACUUGAUUUUUUAAUAAAUACCGUAAAAUUGUUCCAACAAAAACGUUAAAUUAAAACAUAAGUGAAUGAGUAUAAGGUCAAAUGAAUCUAAGGAACGUUAUAAUUUAUAUGGUUCGUAGACACAAACACAUGAGCCUAAGGUCAGUAAGGAUCACACUUUUCUGAUUACAUCUCAAUAAAUGGCCAAUUUAGUUUCUAAAUUUAUCUGAGUAAGAUCAAUUUUGAAAUUUUUAAGGUUACUAAGCUAAAGGGAAAAGCACCAUACAAACAAAGCCUCGUCAAUCACAUGAGUUCUCAGGUCUGUUUUGAUCCCCAAGACUACUGCUCUAUCCUCUCAUGUUGGCUUCAUAUCAGUGAAGAAAAGGAACACUAUUAUUCUUGAAUUGGAUUGAUUGGAAAUGAGAAGGUAAGAAACUAAGAAUCAAAGGGUUUAAUCACGCAUGAAGGAUUUCCAAUUUCAUAAAGGAUUUCCAAUUUCAUCCGUUCACCAAGCUCCUCCUCCUCCUAGUAGCUCAACUUUGAUGGUACAUUUGAUAAAGACAUACUCCAUCAGGUUUGGUGGAAUUAUUGCCUUUGUUGGCGAUCUUUUCAACCUGUGCCGAAUAUGGCAAACUAGGAAUGUGUUGAGGCUUUAGCAAAGAAAGGAGGACCUUGUUACUCUUGACACAGAUUACAGAUUACGCUUCAUAACAUCAGAGAACAUACAGUAUGACUGAUUCCUCCAGAUUUUGUUUCUACUCUAGUUGUCCAUGAAUGUACUAGUUCUUAGUAAACAGUGAUAACUGUGUUAUGUUUCUACACUACCACAAUUAGAGAGGCCUCAGGCGACUCUUGCUUAACAUUUAUAUACUAUAUAUAGAUUAUCAAAACAUUGCUACACAUACAAACUGAACCAAUUCCAAUUGAAUUGGUUCGACUUUACCAAGGCCAUAGAACCUUGUUAUUUACUUUCUGUCCUCUGGAGGACAGCAAAACGAAUACAGAAAACACUAGCAUACAUGCCCUCAAAACUUGGACAACCAACACUCUUAGAUACGGUUCCUCCCAACUCCAUGAACUUUUACACUUGCUGACAAUUAUUCCAAGUUCCACUGCUUUGAUAACCAGCAUUGACCCUAUUUCUUCUUCCUCCGUUCCUCCACCCUCGAUCGUUCUGACGAUAAUCACCCUGAAAUCUGGAGGUCCUAUAUCUUGAGUUGUACCAACUUGCACCACUAUUAUCCGCUCCGUUCCUUGCAUCAUUGUUUCCCCAACAUACACGAUCAGCCCUUUUCCACUCCAUAUUCUUAUGAGAAUGAUCAACAUUGGUAUUCCAUUCACUUAAGUUAUUGUUGUUCUCCCACUUGCUGCCCCAUCCUCCUAUCGCUUCUUUAUUCUGAUCAGAGACACGCUCAUCCCAACUAUUGCCCCAUCCUGCUAUCGCUUCUUUAUUCUGAUCAGAGACGGGCACAUUCCAACUACUGCCCCAUCCUCCAAUCGCUUCUUUAUUCUGAUCAGAUACAGGCUCAUUCCAACUACUGCCCCAUCCUCCUAUCGCUUCUUUAUUCUGAUCAGAGACAAGUCCCCAAGGGUUCUCUUUAUCAUCUGCCUUCCCUCCAGGACCCCAGUGUUCCGCAUCUCCACUGGCAUCUUUUUUGAAGUCCUCCUCAGCAUCCCCCCAUCCGGUGCAUGCAAUAGGCUGAUUCAGAAGGAAUGGAUCACCAACAAGAACACCCUCUCCUUUGGUUUCGUCGGAGGGUUUGGGUUCCCUUUCCAAGUCCAAAAUCAGUUCAGGAUCAAUGCUGGAGUUCCAGUCUAUUUCAUCAAUAUAGAUAUCAGGAUCAGGCAAUGAUAUAUCACAAGGAAUAUCGUUAAUCUUUGCCCAAAAACGGUUUUUUGCAUUUUGGAAUGCCUCUUCACCUGCAGAAUCAUUCCAUUGAACAAUAUUUUCAUACAGAUACAUACACCUCUUUGUAUCUAAGAGCUUUUUCCAUGGAACUGAGCCCACUGACGAACAAAAUUUCUUUUCCCAGGCAGGCACACCGAACUGCCAACUAUCUGGAAAAGAAAAACAAACAAAUUGUUAGUUCAGCCAUCAUGUACCAUGAGAAUAUCUAAAUGGUCAACAGCUCAACAGAUAUCUAGAAAGAUAUAAGUUCCACAGAGAAUAAACAACCACAAAGAAGGAAAUAUUGAUACGACCAAGAGAAAGAGAUACAACAAUGAUCGCAGACAUUCAAAUACGAAAAAACCUUGCAACAUAACGCUAUGAAUUUACGUAGAGGAAAAUCCAACAGAAUCGUAGAAAACAACAACACAAAUCUAACCGCUAAAGAAAAAUUUUGGCGGAUCUGGAUGCUUCUCUUUUUUUCUUUUCUAGACACUUGCACACAUAUCCCAAAUUUGCAUCCACACGGUUCCAUAUUAAACAUUUGACAAUACUUGAUAGUCAAAUAAGCAAGAAGAAUAUUGAAAAAGCAAUCAUCCAAUAAUUGGCAGAACAUUUAAAAUUAGACAGUUUAGGCAGAAUUGUAGAAAAGAUGAGGGCAACUCAAAACUCGUACAAAAUAAUACAUUUAUGGCUCAACAGAUUCAUCAAGAACCUUUUCUGAAAUCUAAAAUGCUAUUACGUACUAACAAAAGAUAUAAAUUAUCCAAAAUUGAAACUCUCACAACAAUAUAUAUAACCUCUUUAUGAGAACAAGUAUCGGAAUAUGAACCUAUUACAAAAAGAGUGACGACAAACUACGCUUCCAGCCACACAUGCUUACUAACUGCAGCAAAAAAAGUGUACCAGACCCGACAAACAAUAUCUUUUGCAAUUAAAUCUAUGAUCCUCAACUAUAAAGUAUCAGGCUAUUUCUCAAAGCAAAGAACACCAUAAAUGCCUUGCAUGCUUGCAAAUACAUGUUUUAUAAUAGCUUCUAUAUCAAACACCAAUAGUCCAAUACAGUCACCUUCCAUAAACAGAGAAUACACGUAUACCCUGAGCAGGAGCAGGAAUGCUGCUGAACUCUAAAACCUAGAGUUACGUAGAUAAUUAUGCCUAUAUGAUCUAACUCUAAGGGCCUAACAGUCGGGAGAACAAAAACACAAUUGCUCCUCUUGUUAGAUAAGCAAAAGCAUAGUUUAACACUUCCAGCAAUCCAGCAUAUAUACCUUCUUGCUUUUACAGAAUUCAGAGAAAGCACAAAAGGCCAUUGGUAUGUGUUGAUUCAGACUCACCAGUGGAACACAAAGAAACUCAAGACUUCAAAAGCACAGAGAAUAACAGAGAUUUCUCGAAAUAUUUUCCUCUACUCAGAUAGUGAGGUUUCUCCUCUACCCAUGAACCCAUAUCUAAGACAUUCUCCGGGAAAGCCAUUCACAAAUACAAAACUUUUACAAUGAAACAAUUUUCUGUAGAAACAAUCGAAGCCCAUAAAUAUGCAAACCUAAAAUAGAAAACCCGGUUGCAUGCAAUUCCAGAAUUCCCAAAACAAGACUAAAAACCUAACUAGCCGCUGAACAAAAUGCAAACACAAAAAAAUUCUAAACAAAAUUAGAGGCGGCAGCCAUGCAUAUGAGAAUCAAAGAAGAACCCUUAUUCCUGCACCAAAAACCCUCUCAAGAGAGAAGCAUUGAUCUUCACAGUUCACAAAGGAUCACAAACUAGUGCUCCUGCAGCAACUUAAAUAUAAGAAAUAGAUGAAAGAAGAAAAAAAAUGUACCAUGUUGAUGAUGCGGAGGCUUUCUGUUAUGAAAUUUAGUCCCGGAACCUCGUCGAUAAUAAGUAUCACCUUGCUGCAGCUGUGGCUGUCUUCCCCAACUGCCCAUAGUGAAAACCAAAGGGAGCCCAAAACACCCAAGAUUGCUUUCUGAGUUCUAACCUUAAGAAGAAGCAAAGACCAAAAAGGGUUAUGAGUUUUGAGCAGAAGGGCGUCUAAAUUUGUAGAGGCAGAUCAGAUAGAAAGUGAAAGAGAGACUUGUUGGGAAUAUAUAAAUGUCUUCUAUCUCUCAAAGAAGGAAAACUCCGAGGUUUUAGAACUGUCGUCGUUCUGAUCUUUGCUUCUUAAAAAGGCACAACCUGGUAUUGGUUUUGGUUUUGGUAACGUAACUGAAAGCCCCCGGGUUUCAGAUUUAAUUACUAAAAUAGUUUCCCACUUCCCAUUUUUGAUGACCAAAGCAGUUGGCAGCUCACGAGCCAAGUACAGUUUCGGGUUCGAACCAUACGUGACACUGAGUAACGCAUCCAUGUAUAUCAUGCGGGUUUUGAUAUUUACUUCGGUUAUGUGAUGUCACACUACUGAAUUUCAAUAUGAUAUUAAUCCACUUCCAAAAUUUGGAUUUGAUUUGAAUUUUGAGAUUAUGAUUUUUUAACUAUUUGAGCAAAUAUAGUGUUUUUAAGUCUUGGAAAGUUUAUUAAAAGAUUGAGUGAAAUAAUAAAAGAUAUGUAAUUGAGACAUACAUAAAAUAUUUGAAGUAGGAUAAUUCAUAAUGUCAACAAGAUAUGAUUGAGCCAACAAAAAAAAUAUAGUUUUUUGUGUUGCAAGUGUUCGUAGGUGACUUUUAAAGUCAGCUAUCAAAUCGUAAGGUUUAGACCUAGACAGACGGUCGAAAACUACCAAUUUGGAGUACAGUAGGUGCAAAGAAAAUUUCCAAUGGAGCAGUGAAAUAUGUAGAUAUCGGAAAGAACAUCGAACAACGAAAAUAUUUUCAGAGCCGACAUUGAUAGUAACUUAAGAGAAUAGAAAAAUGAGCGUAUACUUCUUUUACUCAUAAUAUAUUAUCACGACAGAGAGAGAUCUUCCUUAUAGCCUAUCUAGGCCGUAGCCCAGAGAACAAUUUUCACUCAAUCAACCUUUUACAUGUGUAAACCAUAGUUUAUAAUAAUUUUCAGUAACUAGCCCAACCAAAAUCUCUCUCUCUCUCUCUCUCUCAUGUUUUGUCUUUUUUUUUUUUAAUUAAACUUGGUAAUAACCCACAUUGUCCUUUAUUUUGACGUUUUAUUUUAUAAUUUUUACUAUCCAGUAAUAGACUUGAAUAAAACAGAUGACAAAGUUUUUCUUUUUUAAUUGAAAAGUCAUGACAAACUUUUUCAAUCAGAUACUAAAUUAUUUAUAUUUAUCCACCAACCGAUAAGAGAUUAUGGUAAAAAAAUAAAAAUAAUAAUAAUAAUUGAUUGGUAUAUAUUUUUAUAAAAAAAACAUUAUAUGGUAAACUUAGCCCAGAGUAUUUUGAAUUCCUGGCUCCGUCCUUGUAUCACGAGGUCAAUAAAUAUAUUGUUAAAGAAAUGCUAUCAUUAUUUUAUUUUUUUUGGAUUAAAUGCUAUCAUUAGUUGUUGUACUUAUUAAUGAGAAUCUAAACACGAAACUUUAGGCUUUAGGUUAAGAGUAACUUUAACAAUGCUAACUAUUUAUUUUAACCAAAAUAGCUAAACAUUAUUUUGGCUCGCUACACUUUAGAGUUACGUAUCUACAUCCGUUCUCUCAACUUUAGUCAGAUUUGAAUUUAUGUUGGUUAUUGAAUGAAUACAAAGUAGUCUAGAUAUAUCUAAUUAUUUAUCAAUUACAUAUAAUUAUUUAAAUUUAAAUGAAAUUUUUUAAAUUAUAGAGAGCGAUAUAUAAGAGUGAGAUAGCUAAAAGUUAAAAUAGAGAGCCACUUAGAGCAUCUUUAGCAAUGCUAGCCAUUUUUUACUAAAAUUUUAGUCAAAUUAGAUAAAAUGUCAAAAUGUCAUUUUGGCUAAGCCACUUUAGAAAUAUGUUUGCAUCAAUGCUCUUUAUUUUAGCUAGUAUUAAUUUAAUAUUAUCUUCAAAUGAAGAUUAAAUAGUUUAAAUAUAUUUUAAAAGAAAUGUAUUAAAUUAUAAAAAGUCUCAUCUGAGUCAUCUCGCUCUCCAUAUUUAGAGAGCAAAUAACUAAAAGUUAUAAUAGCUACACUUUGGCUAGUCUGCUGGAGCUCCUAAAAUAUUUGGAAAAAAAACUAAACACAUUCUCUAAAAUAACUAAAAUAUUUAGAGUUCGGUGCAUCUGUUAAAAUAUAUAAGAAGCAAAACAAACGCCCAAAAGUUCAAAGUAGCUAAAGUGCUAAGAGCAUCUUCAGCAUACUCUCUAUCUUGACUCUCUAGCUAUUUUGGAUAGCAUGUUUAGUUAAAUCAGAAAAAGAAAAUUGAUACUAAUUAAUCUCCAUGAUAUAUGCUAGACUGAAUUCAAUGGCAUUGAUAAAAAAAAGGUAAGAAAUGAAAUAGGAAAAGCAAUUUAAGAUUGGCGCCAGCUAUACUUAUACAUAUCAAGUAAUAUUUCAAAGCAUUAAAUACAGUAAUUGCUAGUUAACAAAUAGUUCAGUGAAUUAAGGAGCAAUGACGAGAAAUUUUUCUGUCCACGGGAGGACCAUGUCAUUAUGCCAUUUGGUUCUUCUUACCAAUGAUAUUUCGACACAUAAGCUUCGAUUUAGUUUAAUUAACAUUAGACUGUUUAAUUAUAUUAUCAAAAGACCUUUUUGGGUCUCUUAAAUUUGCAGCAAUCUUCCUUGUCCUCGAUAAUGCCCAGUAUCUCAUCUCCUUCUGCAACUUUAUUUCAAGCAAGCAUUCCCAAAUCAAAAUUAUUGAUACUUCUAAUUGUUCUUUAAUUUGAUUGGGUCGUUUCAUUAGUAACUGGGCAAUUCAUAAAGGUUCCUAAACGUAGUUUGAGGUUUUGAGUUUUAAAAAUUGUUCAUAAAUUCAUAGAGAUUGUUUACUGAGAUUUCUGGGUUGAGAGGAAGAGAAAAGAGAAAAAUCUAUGAAAUUCGAAUCUCAUAGAAUUUAAGGUACUAGAGAGCUAUUCAUUGCAAUUCAUCAAUAAAAUUUUGACUGGAUCUAUACGUGUUUGUCGAACCUUUAAAAUAAGAAUCUUUAUACCAACAAAAUCUCUGCAGUUGAUAUGUUUUUCAUUCUCCGAUCCCAUCCCCAUCACUCCCACCCAAACCUACGGACAUCGAGGUUCUUCUUCAUAAAGAGGUCUUUAUAUAUACUCUAGUCCUCCAAUGAAAUUGAACUUCACAUCAAUCUGGUAAGGGUUUAUGAAAGAUAGAAAAAGAAGAACAGAGAUGAGGAGAUUUUUGACGUUAUGGAGAUUAAGAAGAUGGAGGACCAGUAAGGUCUUUUGAUAACAUAAUUAAACAAUUUAAUUUUAAUUAAACUAAAUAAAAGCUUAUGUGUCAAAUUACCAUUGGUAAGGAGGACCAAAUUGGCAUGGUGACAUGGUCCUCAAGGUGGACAGAAAAAUUUCUCAGCAAUGACGCACAAGUAGUAAUGGUCGUCUAUCUAAAUUGUAUGGAUCUACAUGACAUUUGAAACUCGAUGACGUGUUAACCAAAUUAGACUCCAUGCCACUUCACUAGCUAGUCUGUUGUAACUCGUAAGCAUUCUCUUACUUUUAGAGCGUUCAAUUUGUAAAGCAAGUAACUACUAGCUAGAUUAAUAUUAGGGGCUGAAAUUUACACAUUUCUUUUUAAAAUCUACACACUCCUACCCCACUUAAAUGUCUAAAAUAUCUAAAAUCCUAAACAACUUGAAGAGAUUAAAACAUGGAUAAUUUAGACAUUUCCUUAUAAAAAGUGGGGCAGAUGUGUGUGGAUUGUAAAAAAGAGUAUGUAAAUUUCACUCCCCUUAAUAUUUUGGUAAUUUUUCCUUGUUUUGGGAAUAACUCACACAUAUAGAAAUAAAAUUGUUCUAUAUUUAUUUUUUAACUAUUAGAGCUACAAGAAGAAUAAUCUUGAAUUAGAGAGCGUUGCUAGGGUUUCUGAUAUGAAUGUGGCUUCUCUACUUAGAUUUAUGUUGCUUGAAUUUGCUUGGAUGACUUUUAACCAUUAGAUUGAGUACAAUCUAAGACCACCAUGUCAUCCUUACUCCAUAUAAUGGUUAUAAGACAUCCAAACAAAUCUAAACAACUUAAAUCCAAGCAGAGAAUCCAGAUCCUUCUGAUAUCCUUAGAGAUUUCUCCUUCUCUCGCCGCUCAACACCCAAUCCUCGGCUUUCAACAUGUCUGACGAGGUUUCCAAACAGUUUGCCGCUACCCUUGCUAUUCGUGAGGACAGUCCAACCCUUUCCGACGUGUCUCGACGUCCCUCCGCCGUCUUGGCUCCCUCCUUCGCCAUCGGACGACUUCUUUCUUUGAAGAAGCGCAUCCCAGAUCCAAAGGCGAUGAUCGGAACCCUGACUUCAGUUUGUGAGCUCCAUAAUUGCCUCCAAGUCAAUCGGUGGGGGAUCAUUUUUUGCUCAAGUUUUCUCGGUCUGAAGAAUGUUGCCAUUUGAUCCAAGGAGAGCCUUAGUUCUUUGGACGGUCAAACUUUCUUCUCUCGGAGUAUGAUGGCCUCUCUGAUAUCGCAUCUGUCUUGAUCUCAUCUAUACCAGUGUGGGUCUUUGGUCUCCCACCAAGAUUGUUCAUCGAUGAAGCAGCAUAGAAGGUCGGGGCUCUACUAGGGCAUGUUCUAUUCUCGGACAAUGUAGGGCUAAGGCGUGGAACUUGAGCUAAGGUUCGGAUCAUCCAUGACCUCUCGGAUCUGGUGAGAGAGGCUUUCCCCCCGAUACCAUUUGAGUUUGAUCUGGGUACCCAAAAGGCGGUGGUGACCUUCAAGUAUGAGAGGGUGGUAGGGUUUUAUAGAGUCUGUGGUCUGUUGGAGCAUAAGGGUCAAGGCUGCAGUGGUCUGUCGAAUGACACUAGGGUUCAAAAGAUCAGUAUAGUGUCGGCUGCAGUGGUUGAGAUGGAGUUGCUACUCUUGCUAGGGUUUGGGAGGUCACCAAAAAUUACGAGCCCUAACCCCAACCCUAGCUUUCGAUAGGGUUUAGGGUUGGAUGUUUCAUGCUCUCGGCCUAGUUUGAUCCCUGCUCUGGCGAACCCAUUCCAAAAUGUGGCUAUUUCAAUCUCCAGUCCUUCUUCAACAUAAUCGGGGAAUGUGUUUUCUAUCCCUGGUGUUUAUGCUUCAGAGUUGGCGAAGCAAUUAGAGAUGUUCAAGUCCUCAAUCUUGCCCAAAGGACCGAAGGUUCCACCAGUGAUCGAGAUUCCAGCUGCAGUUCUUGAUCCGAUCAUAAGAGUGAAGAGAGAUGCAGACUUGUCCUUUGUUCUGAUGGGUAAGAGGGUACACAAUGACGGUCUUUUGACUUCGUUUGGGAAUGCUGAUCAGAAGGAGCAUUCCCAAUUGUGCAAUUAUAGACGGAUAUUACAGACGGUUGUUUGAUGUUACGGCAAUUGAUGCGAUGCAUCAGUCGUUGUAAGAGAAAAGGAUUUUUUCUUUUCUCUUGCAUUAACAUUGGAUAUUACAGACAUCAGUCGCCGUAUAUUACAGACGGGUUUUUGCUUCAUUCGAUUCCAAUUUUCAGUUGUUGUUCUAAUAUUUUGAAAACUUCCUCCAGGUGCAAUAAAUGUGAGGCCAAGUCUAGACUGUAAAUCAGAAUAUCAUAAAAAAAUACGAGAACAGACUUGCGAAGAAUAGCCUUGAAGAUGUGAUUCAUAAGAGCUUGGAAAGUUGAAGGUGCAUUAGAGAGACCGAAUGGCAUAACCACAAAUUCAUAAUGACCCUCAUGUGUGCGAAAGGCUGUCUUGUGAACAUCUUCUUCAGACAUCCGUAUCUGAUGAUAGCCGGCUCGUAAAUCCAGCUUUGGAAAAUACUUAGCACCAUGAAGUUCAUCCACCACCGGAAUCAGAAAUUUAUCUUUUAGGCUACGGUAAUCAGCACAGAACCACCAUGAGCUUUCUUUCUUUCUAACUAACAAAACCGGUGAAGAAAAUGGACUCCUACUUAGACGAAUUAGACCGAUAGAGAGCAUCUCAUCUACUUGGGACUCCAAUUCUGAUUUUUGUGAAUGUGGAUAUCGAUAAGGUCGCACAUUUAUCGGACCUGCAUUCGGCUUCAGAGGAAUUCGGUGAUCAAUUGGUCGAACUGGAGGUAAUCUUGUCAGAGCAGCAAACAACGUUUGAAAUUUAUUCAACAGACGUUUCACAUUCUUGUCUUGAACAGUACUACUUGCGUCAGUUGGGCCUUGAGAAACAGAAGCCUGGUCCAAUUGUGCAAAAGACAUCAGAGUCAUCAGGGAAUGCUGAUCAGAAGGAGCAUGACGACUUUUCAAUCCCUUCAAAACAUGACAUCGUCCUCCUUGUUGAAAAAUCAUCAUCUUCUCCAAAAAAUGCCAUCCCAUCAUUCCCAGCGAUUCAAUCCAAGGAGCACCCAAGAGAAUGUCACAAUUGGGAACAACAAGCAAACAGAACGAGCUCUUGAAUUCGUAACCUUGAAUUUCAACUGGUACGUUUACUGCCUGAUUAGCUAUUGAAAUUGGAUGCCAUGAUACUGAUGUGAAUCACCAAGGUUCUGCAGGAACAAUGCGCAAUCCCAACCUUGCUGCUACCUUUGGACAUAUAAGGUUUGAAGUAGAACCACAGUCGACAAAGACGUCGACUAUUUCUGCUUUAAUUGUCCCUUUAAAUUGCAUCAGCUCACCUACAGUUGAAUCAGUAAAUGAUUGUAAGGGCAAAUUCUGAUUGUCUUCUUCGGGUGAGUUUUGAUCUUGUGCAUUCUCGGAUUCUUCUUCCUCUAUUUUAUCAAAUGACUCCAAUAUAGAAAUCAUGGGUCUCUUGCAGGUGUGAUUCCUCGACCAUUUUUCAUCUAAUGGAAGCAAAGACCUUGGGCUCUUCGUUCUCGUUGAUCUCGAGCAGCCUAUUGUCGAACUGAAUUAUCAUGAAUAGUUCGGUUGACUGAAACAGGUUGGGAACUUACGGUAUUCUGUUUAGAGGAAGGAAACCAAGUUCCUGAUGGUCGAGAAAGUCUAUGGAGUUGAGAAUCAUUCAACUUUGCUUCAAAUCGUCAUGCCAUUCUUUGUGCUUCGGAUAGAGUUCUUGGCUCCAUUACUUGGACAUCAUGUCAAAUCUCUGGUUUGAGUCCUCCCAGAAAAUUUGGUAAGAGUUGUGCUUCAGACCAUCCGUAAGCUCUGCUUGAAAGUUUUGUAAAUGCAACAAUAAAAGCAUCUACAGUUGUAGUCUGCUCUAAACAUGCCAAUGCAGUUUGAAUGUCUGUGACGCUGCCUGCGCCAUAGUGCUCCAGAAAAGCUGAAGAGAAUUGUUCCUAAGUUGCCCAAGGAUUUCUUUCUUCAAAAGAAUUCAUCCACAUACAAGCAUCUGGGCCGAAAUGAGAGGCUACCGUGGGUAUAUACUCCAAGGGAGGAACGCGUUGAGAACGCAAGUACCUCUCUGCCAUUGUUAGCCAUCCUAAUGCAUCUUCACCAUUGAACCGUGGCAAAUCCACCUUUGGGGGACGAAACACAGGUAUGUCUUAUUGCCAAAAGUUUGGGUUUGGAUUAAUAUAUGCAUUUGUGUUUGGUCGUGGCAGUGGUUGGAAAUUGGUACUUGUGUUUGGUGGUGGCAGUGGUUGGUGAUUUGUAUUGGUUGAUGAAGUAUUACAUGAAUUACCUAUGGACAUGGUACGAAUGGGAGGGUUUGAAGGAAUGGAAGUAAUGAUGGAUUAUUGUGGUGAUGAUGUAAAGAAAUUGGAAUUGGCAUGUUGGCACCGGUGGUUAUAAACGGUUUCUGGUUGAGUAACUGUAUGAUGGGUGCUAUGAGAAAUUGGACGCAACGUUAAAGCUUGCAUCUGGAAUGCUGCAAUCUGUAAUGCAAUCUCACUUUGGAAGGAUGCCUGGUUAUGACAGAUAGCCUCAAUUGAAUGAUGCAAAGAAUGACGAAUCUCCUCUGCUUGUAAUCUAUUCAUCUUGUUAGUAUGAGAAGAUGUUGGUGAAAGUGGUGGAAAGUGUUGAUGAGAUGUAAUGUUUGCAAGGUUCUUGCCGGAGCCAUUUUUGGCUCUGAUACCAGAUAAUAGGAUCAAAAUCUAACUACAAAGGAAAAUGUAAGAUAAACUAAGAUUGUUCUUUAUUCAUAUCCUACAAAAUACAGUUUACAGAAAUAUAUAAAGAAGGAUAACUGCCUUCCAUAAAUGCUGCUACUUAAGGGCCAUAUGGACUUACAUUCACACUACUACAUAGUGGGCCUAAUAAGAAAUAACUAUUACAGAUAAGUCCUAUUACAAAGGAGUCCUAUACUGAGAGAGAAGAGCAACAACAACAUAUAUGCAGAUGGAAUGCAUCGCAACAUAUAUGCAGAUGGAAUGCAUCGCAUCAAUUGCCGCCUCCUUGAGAGGCAUGUCGUCCACGGUUGUCGAACUAAGGAAAACAGCUCACUAUCGCCGAUGCCGAUUCCCAAGUUGCAUCGUCCUCCGGCAUCCCCUUCCAUUUAAUUAACCAGUAAGACACUGAUUUCUUUUGCUCUUUUCGCGUUGCCAAAUCUAACACCUUGGCAAGAAUCCAACUGAAAGAACCAUUGUCAUAGACAAGAGGUAAUAUUUGGGAAGUUGGAAGAGAAGCACCUAUCCUCAAUUUCAGAAGGGAAACAUGGAACACCGGAUCAAAUUUCGAUGAAGAUGGCAAAUCCAAUCGUUAGGCGACCGUACCAAUGCGCUCCAAAACCAAGAAUGGGCUGAAAUACUUCAGUGAGAGUUUAUGGGAAUGGUGCUUUGCCAAUGAGCUUUGCCGGUAAGGGUGCAAACGAGGGUAAACCCAGUCACCAACUGAAAAUUCCCUAUGGAGGCAACCCCUUAUGAUCCUUCUUUUGUUCCUAAAAUGUACUUGGCUUUCAAAGAUGGUGGAAUCAAAAUCUUGCCGAUGAAAAAAAUAAAAAAUGUUUGACGACCUCUGGGGUCUAAGAACAAGAAGAGGGUGGUGGAGGUGCACCCAUGGAAAUUAGGUGUCAAAUAUAAGGGUCCCAACAAGAAAACAUAGUUUUGGGGCCCACCGCGCUCUAGAGAUGGGAAAAAGCUCUAGUGGCUCUUUUGAGGUGGCAGAUCAGUCUGUUGUGGUCACAGAAGCUGAAGUGGAUGCUGAUGUGUCAGCUGGUAUGUCACACCCUGACCCGGAAAUUUUAAAAAAAAUAUGUUUAUUCCCAGGUAAGGACGUGAAUAGCCUCGACUUGUCAAAGAUAAGAGAACCCUUGACAAAUAGAAGCUAUGUGGAAAAGUUUGAAUCAGAGUGCCUUGGUGAAAGAGAACUUUAUUUCAUAAGUCUUGUUCUUACGACAAACAAGAAAGUAAGCUUAUUAAAUAAGCCUUAUUACAUAGUCAUGAAUCAAAACAGUAAGCUAAUUGUUGACUCCUCCUCUUACACUUCAGAUUCCUUUUUGACAUUAAGUUAUAUCCCUCAAGUGUAACAUAUGCACAAAUUCAUAAAGGGGUGAGCCAAAAGCUUAGUAGAGCAAAUCUCAUGCACAUAAUUUCAAUAUAAGUGUAUACACAUAAUUUUAGGUUUCAAUUGCUGAUACUCAUGUACUAUACUUAGUCACCAAUGUCUUCUUGCCAUAAAAUCGUUUUAUCAAUAUAACAUUGAAAGGGUUUCUCUCUCUCUACAUCUAUACAAGGGCAGACAUUGCUGGUCUCUUUCCAGUAAUAGCCUCAACCCCAUAACUUCAUUCAUUUCUUAUUUAACAUAUGAUCAGAUAAUAACUUGAUGAAAAACAAAACAUAAUAACCACCUUCAGCAGCAAUAUAAACAACUCAAAGCAAGAUAACAAGUUUAUAAAACAAAACUUGAGAUUCCUCAUAACUUCCCUUAGCUCAAACAUGUUUUACCAAGGCUGAAACUUCACUACCAAAUUCUAGCACUUGCUUCAGACCUCUACCCUUGUGUUUGGAUGAAGUUAUAUCAAAUUCCAUAGAAAUUCAUAAAUCAUGAGAAUUAGGGAUUUAUGAAUUUGAAUUCUGUGAACUGAUAUUUCCAUUGUUUGGAUUCUACAACCGAGAAUUUAAAAAAAUGACAAAAAUUGAAAAUUAUAUUAUUUUGCACUCUAUUUUUUUUUGUUUUUUAUCUUUCUUCUCCCAAGACAAAACCCACCUAGUCACGAAGUGAUCACCUCCCCCAUCUCACUUCUCCGACUAAAAUUUCUGGUUUCAAUAAUUAGAGUCUGGGUAAUUAUUAGAAUGUCAAUGGGUCUAAUAUAAGUUAAGGAGAGAGAGAUAGAGAAAUAGUUCAAAUCCCGGAGCAGAUUUCUUUCUCUACAAAUUGAUCAAACGAAAAGGGUCAAGGAAUUAGGCUGUGGUUUGAAUCUCAUCUCCACCGACCAUCGCAAAGCUAUAAUUGGCUCAUCUGUCAUUCCAGCCUCACAAAGGCUAACUAGCAACUCGUUUGAAGUUCCAUACUAUGGUGCAAAACCUUUGCCCGUCAUCAAUCUCAACAACUCUUUAUCUUUGUUCAAUUCACCUCUCUGACACAAGGAUUUCAAUAGAGUCCUGUAGCUUCCCUUAUCCGAUUCAAGGUCAAUCCGCGACCAAAUUACCGUCUUUGAAAUCCGAAUUCUGCUCGCGAUUAACCUCUGCCAGAGCUUCAACUCAUUCAUCGGACUACCGGCGGCAAUGACAAAAACCUCAGCUCUCAAACAAAUAUGAACUGACUUAUCCAUAUGUAGACCUCCCGUAGCCCCGCUUUGGCGCAAUGGAAACAAAGAUCUUUUGCUUGGAUGGAAUUUGAGAAAAACGCCUACUUUUGAAGGAAUUGAAGUGAGGAAUCUCAGUCUCCAAUUCCUCCGAUUUUUGUGGCGUAGGAAUUACAAAUUUCAGGAAAUGUUUAUCCAAACGGAGGACUUUGGCAUGUGGAAUCAUGAAAUACUGAUUUUUUUUUUAAAUUCCACCGUUUUCUUCCGCAUCCAAACACACCAUACUAGUCUUUUUCUACUCUAAAUUUUCUCUCCUAACUUUCUUUCUAACUUCUGAACUUCUUUACUUGUUACUACCUCAUGUGAAGACCUCUAUUUAUACAAAUGAAUGUGAUUGUUAGAUAUGUCUAUAAAAAUCAGUUUGAGAUUCAUCAACUUUUUACUUGGAGACCAAGUUUUAAGCUGCUCAUUCAACAACUAUAUGCAAAACACAAGCAAAAAUGUGGCUGCACACUUUGGUAUAGGGUAACUAUAUGCAAAACACAAGCAAAAGUGUGGCUGCACACUUUGGUAUAGGGUAAGAAGUGUAAAACAUGUGUAACCUUGUGUCAAACACACAAGCUUUCUAUUAGGUGAAUCAACAAGUAGAACAAAAUAAUAUCAUAUGUGUAAUUAUCUUUUUUCUGAUUGGUGUGUUUGCAGGUUUAAUCCAAUGGCUUUAGCCAAAAGCAAUACAUGAAAGGAAACAAAACUUGCUAGAAACUUUUGUAAGAUGUGAGGCAGCAAUACUCAAGGAUACCAUGAAACACAAGUUUGAAAAUAAGAAAAAUGAUCUAAUAUAGCUUGAGAAAGCAUGUACUAAUUAAAGUGUACAAUACUUUGUAGCCAUAUAUAUAUAUAUUUAUCUUUCUUUGAGACUACGCAUAGUUUGUAUUUUGAACAAAGACUGUAUGUUUCUAUAUAGCUUCUUUGUAAGGAAAUAAGAACAAUACUAUACUCAAUUUGUUUUUAAGUUCUAUUAACUUGUAGCUAAUUCUCAUUUAGUUGAAAAGAUUUCUUUUAUUUAGCUCUAAGAAAACCUCUCUUUCGUUACAAAAACACAAGGAUUCACAUAUACAUAUAUAUAUAUAUAUAUAUAUAUAUAUAUAUUNNNNNNNNNNNNNNNNNNNNNNNNNNNNNNNNNNNNNNNNNNNNNNNNNNNNNNNNNNNNNNNNNNNNNNNNNNNNNNNNNNNNNNNNNNNNNNNNNNNNNNNNNNNNNNNNNNNNNNNNNNNNNNNNNNNNNNNNNNNNNNNNNNNNNNNNNNNNNNNNNNNNNNNNNNNNNNNNNNNNNNNNNNNNNNNNNNNNNNNNNNNNNNNNNNNNNNNNNNNNNNNNNNNNNNNNNNNNNNNNNNNNNNNNNNNNNNNNNNNNNNNNNNNNNNNNNNNNNNNNNNNNNNNNNNNNNNNNNNNNNNNNNNNNNNNNNNNNNNNNNNNNNNNNNNNNNNNNNNNNNNNNNNNNNNNNNNNNNNNNNNNNNNNNNNNNNNNNNNNNNNNNNNNNNNNNNNNNNNNNNNNNNNNNNNNNNNNNNNNNNNNNNNNNNNNNNNNNNNNNNNNNNNNNNNNNNNNNNNNNNNNNNNNNNNNNNNNNNNNNNNNNNNNNNNNNNNNNNNNNNNNNNNNNNNNNNNNNNNNNNNNNNNNNNNNNNNNNNNNNNNNNNNNNNNNNNNNNNNNNNNNNNNNNNNNNNNNNNNNNNNNNNNNNNNNNNNNNNNNNNNNNNNNNNNNNNNNNNNNNNNNNNNNNNNNNNNNNNNNNNNNNNNNNNNNNNNNNNNNNNNNNNNNNNNNNNNNNNNNNNNNNNNNNNNNNNNNNNNNNNNNNNNNNNNNNNNNNNNNNNNNNNNNNNNNNNNNNNNNNNNNNNNNNNNNNNNNNNNNNNNNNNNNNNNNNNNNNNNNNNNNNNNNNNNNNNNNNNNNNNNNNNNNNNNNNNNNNNNNNNNNNNNNNNNNNNNNNNNNNNNNNNNNNNNNNNNNNNNNNNNNNNNNNNNNNNNNNNNNNNNNNNNNNNNNNNNNNNNNNNNNNNNNNNNNNNNNNNNNNNNNNNNNNNNNNNNNNNNNNNNNNNNNNNNNNNNNNNNNNNNNNNNNNNNNNNNNNNNNNNNNNNNNNNNNNNNNNNNNNNNNNNNNNNNNNNNNNNNNNNNNNNNNNNNNNNNNNNNNNNNNNNNNNNNNNNNNNNNNNNNNNNNNNNNNNNNNNNNNNNNNNNNNNNNNNNNNNNNNNNNNNNNNNNNNNNNNNNNNNNNNNNNNNNNNNNNNNNNNNNNNNNNNNNNNNNNNNNNNNNNNNNNNNNNNNNNNNNNNNNNNNNNNNNNNNNNNNNNNNNNNNNNNNNNNNNNNNNNNNNNNNNNNNNNNNNNNNNNNNNNNNNNNNNNNNNNNNNNNNNNNNNNNNNNNNNNNNNNNNNNNNNNNNNNNNNNNNNNNNNNNNNNNNNNNNNNNNNNNNNNNNNNNNNNNNNNNNNNNNNNNNNNNNNNNNNNNNNNNNNNNNNNNNNNNNNNNNNNNNNNNNNNNNNNNNNNNNNNNNNNNNNNNNNNNNNNNNNNNNNNNNNNNNNNNNNNNNNNNNNNNNNNNNNNNNNNNNNNNNNNNNNNNNNNNNNNNCGGGGAGAUCCCUUCUGCAUAAGGUGAUUCCGGGUUUCGCUUAACUAGUUUCAACCCAAAGGAGCCCUCUUGGCUAGACGGCAUCAUUUUGAGAUGACUAAAAACCUCAUGAGCAACCAUGAUGUUAUCCUGGAUCAGUCGAUCAUUUACAAAAGAUGACUGAUUAGUGCUGAUUAGAGACUGCAUCAUCGGAAGGAGACGGUUAGCAAUAAUCUUGGCUAAGAUUUUGUAAGAGAAGUUGCAAAGAGCUAUGGGUCUGAAAUGACUAGCUGAAGUUGGGUUCAUAAUCUUGGGCACAAGUGCAAUAUGGGUCUGGUUGAGUCUGAAACAUAUGCUUUGAGGAUUGGUGUUGUUCAACUGAAGCAUCGAUGACUAAUUGCACAGUGUUCCAAUGAUGUUGAUAGAAGGUACCAGAGAAACCAUCUGGGCCUGGAGCUUUCAGAGCACCAAGAUUAAAUGUAGCAGCUUGAACUUCCUCCAUGGUGAUAGGGACAUUGAGAGUCUCAUUCAUCUCCUUAGUAACUAGGGGAUCAAUGAAGUCGAGCACCUUUUCCCACUGUUGUGGACCUGUGGUUGUGUAUAGCUGUUGAAAAUGGGUUAUGAGGUGAUCGGCAAUUUCAAAUUCCUUCCGAAUCCAGGUUCAUUCUUCGUCUUGGAGGCAGUAAAUCUUUUUGAAUUGAUGACGUUGAAGGGUGCUCUGGUAAAAAAAAAAAGUUCGAGUUUCGGUCCCCAAGUUUAAGCCACUGGAUUCUGGAACGUUAUUGCUAGUACAUUUCAUCUUGUUUCCAUAAGUUGGAAAUGUCUUCUGUUACAUUUUGGAUCUGAGGGGUGAUGUCUUGGUCUUUUGUAUUGUAUAGGGCUUCCAAGUCUUGAAUUAAAGAAUAGACCUGAGCAUUAGUGUUUGGAAAUUUCGUUUUACUCCAAGAUUGGAGAGCUUCUUGGACAUUCAAUAGGUUGGUAUGCCAAGUCUGCAUAGGGGAAGGACCUGCAACAUGUUUCCUGGCAUUGUAUAUUACACUUACAAUCAGCAUGAGAGUUCCAAUACUGUUCAAAACGAAAGAUAUAUAGGUCGGCCUCUUUUCUCACUUGGAUGGGUAUCCAACAUGAUGGGGUGAUGAUCAGAGCCAACAUUUGGGAGGUGAAACACCUGAGAUCGACUUUGAGUGGUGCUUGUAAAAUCUAGAUAGAACCUUAUUUCAUUGAUCUUGUGCAUCAAGUUUUAGCUUCAGAUAGCAGGGUGGAGUUUGAGGUGUUUUGUUAUGUGGUAGGUUAGCUUUGGAGAAACUGAAACCUACACAUAUGGAGAAAAGGUUUUGAACUCGGAUGAGAUUGUCAAUAUUAUUAGUGAAUGAUAGGGUCAUGUUAUAAGUACUGAAAUCUCUAAUAAAGGUGGGUGAGUGACAAAAAUUUAUGAACAAAUGCAAUGGACUGCUCCAAAUCCAGGUAAUUAAGAUGAAGAUGAACUUCGAAGGUGCUUGUGAUGUAAUAAACAAUGUGUGUACUAAGGGUAUUCAGAUUUCACAAUGGGAUGUUAAAAGAUGUCAUUGCAGUCCACAAAUGGGCAAUCUUCCUCCGAGGUCAGCUAAGGCUUUAACAAUUUUACGUGGUCACCGGUUCACUGCUGAUGUUCGGCUUCUCCAAUCUUGAAGUUGAAAGGGACUCUCUUCCAGUUAUUUAUACUUGACGUGAUAGUUCUUUGAGUUUCAGACGUUAUAUUUUUGACGAAGUUAAGUCUUUAGUUAAGCCAAUUUUUUUCAUGUACGUAGUUGUCAUUUUGAAUGACGGGAAAACAACAAAGUUAUUUAUUGUUUGUCAAAAGAGGUGUUAAAAUAAGUCAACCUUUACUUUGUUUAGAGCUAAGGCAGAGCAUCUCCAGCAGUAUUGCUAAAACAAAUUUUUUUUGAAAUUUAUCAACUUUUCGGAUGAAUAGGAGCUCUAACAGUAUACCUAAAUGGUUGCUAAAUUUAAGGAUUGCUAAACGAAAUUGAUAAAUUUGUCAAUUGAGCCAUGAAUUGCUAAAGGAAUACAUAUAUUUUCCCUCUUUUUUUUCUCCACGUGUCAGUUUAUAAUUCGUUAAAAAUAUUAUUUAACUUAGAUAUAGCAAUAACUGCUGGAACCAAAUUCUUAUAUCAAUAGCUAAAUCUCAUAAUUAUUUCUAAAUUUAACUAUUAUUUUAGUUACACUGCUGGAGAUGCUCCUCCAUGAGUCUGUUAGUAUGGAUUUCAGUCGUGAAGUCCAGUUAAGUUAAUAAUUGGGUAAUAGUUACUAUGUUGGUCAAGUAUUACCGAUAUUGAUCCAAAAGGACCAAAACUCAUUGUAAUUCAUACGUGCUUAAUGAACUUCUUUAUCAAGUGUUAUCAAUAUUGAUCCAAAACUCAUUUUAAGACAUCAUAGAUAUUGCAUGAUCCUUCUUUUCCUUUUGCUCUAUGCACGUAAUACAAGAGCUAAUUUCGUGGUGGAUGCCGGUGCCCCAUGAAGGGUACCACUAGUCCAGUAACUUUCAGAUGGUCACAUUUGGAGCGAUAUAUUUCUAAGCUUGGUCAUUAAUGUCUUAUUUUUUGAUAGUGUAAACUCAGGUUGUUAUAUAGAUUUCACCAUGUAAUUUUGCUUUUUGUAUAAAAAAAAAAAGAACUUGAACUCCUUAUUCCUUGUCCACAUCUAUAGUUCGAAAACUGUUAUUACAAAUCCGAGGGAUAAUGCGGCCAUAUCCGCAUCUUUCCCACCAAAAGGCUUCUGUCUUAUUCGUUAACCCCAACGCCCCUCUCUCCAUCAUCAUCGUCUUCGACUCUUCGUCAUCUCCUUCUUCUUCUGAUGAUGAUGAUGAUGGGAAGAAGGCAGAGACUGUUGUGCUGCUUCACCAUCUUUACAUGUGUGUAUCUCUACACCCUUGUCCUCGCUCUGCCAACCAAACCGGACGGCGAUCACCGUCUGCUACGCCCCGGUGGCGAGCCUUUCAAGAUCGCUCUCUUUGCCGACCUGCAUUUCGGAGAGGCCGCCUGGACCGACUGGGGUCCACUCCAAGAUGUUAACUCCGUCAGAGUCAUGUCCACUGUGCUUGAUCAUGAAUCCCCAGGUAGUAGGUGUCUCUUGUUAUCAAUUUUCAUGUCUCAAAUAUGUCAUCCUCUUUUAUCAUCGUACCAUAUCUUUGUUUGUGUUCUAUGUUUUGCUUAGUUAGCACCACGACUCAGAAAGAACCUAUUGAACCUAUUCAAGCUACGGAUUUAGAUAAUUUGUAAUAUUAAACUGAUUAUGACCUAUUCAAUACUUAAAUAUUGGGUUUGAAAAGGAGUUCUAAGUUUUCUAGCUCAGGGAUUUAAACCAUCACUAUGGUCAUGUAGGUUGCGGUUGUUCUGAGCGAUGGAUCACCUAGGACAGACGAUUACUUCCAUAUCAAUUUCAGCCAUAGCAUGUUGACGUAACAAUGCUUGAUUUGCAACCCAAAACACUGAAAGAAGCACUCUUUAAUUACAGAAUAUAGUAGAAUGCAUAAUUGUGCAUUGAUGACAAUUUUGAGGGGUUCCUACGGUGUGACAUGAAUUGGUAUUUUCAUAUUGAAAUGAGUACUUAUCACAAAGUCACAUUCUAUUUUGUCUAUAAUUGUUCAUAUCUUACCCCUGUGGUUCUGUUGCACUAAGUACAAUGUUGGUACCUCUGAAUAGUCCAUAGAUAUAUAUAGAUGCAAGUAUGUGACCGGUUACUUACGUGAAUCAAAUUCGUUUAAUCUCAGUGGUGUUAAUCUCAGUGCAUGUAAUCCAACCGUUCAUUUGAAAGUCCUCACUUAGUCCUCGUUAUAAGGUCCUCAAUGGAACCUCUCCCUUGCUGACAGUAUAAAAUUAUAAAUAUAUAGGUCUCACAUAUAGAAUUCAUUGAACCAAUCGGUAUACUAUCACUGGCGGAUCCAGGACUUUUGUUCUUACUGGAAGAACAAGCCUGCUUCUAGGCACUUUAGGGAGGUAACACAAACUUGAGUUGGGGAUGGAUGGCUUCACCAGCAUCCCCGGAUUUGCUAUGAAUCUUGUGAGUGUCUCAUCUGUAUAUUUUAUUUGCAUUUUGAUCCUUUAAGAGUGUGCCUGCUAUAUAUGAACGAAAGAAGAAUUGCAAAUAAUUGCAAAUACAAUUUAUGAACUACGUAAGACUAGUAUGAGCAUCCACUAGUCCAAGUAUGUACUGGCUGUAUCGCUAUCGAUUCUAACCAAUGACAUGGCAGAUUUUGUUAUCUAUCUUGGAGAUGUUGUCACGGCCAACAAUAUAGCAAUAAAAAAUGCAAGCUUGUAUUGGGAUCAGGCAAUUUCUCCAACAAGAGCCAGAGGAAUACCUUGGGCCAGUGUUUUUGGAAACCAUGAUGAUGCAGCAUUUGAGUGGCCAAUGGAGUGGUUUUCAGGUCCUGGAAUUCCUGAACUUCGUUGCUCUGUUGCCAAUUCCUCUUGCUCAGGUGAAUAAGAAGUUUAACAUGUUCGUUGUGUUCUUUUUUUCUUUUUUUUUUGGUCCGGACAUGUUAGUUUGUUAGUUUUCUAUAAGUUGAAUUAAUUUUUGCUGAGUAUUAUGACCAAUGACAGAUUGCUCUACUUUUAGCAUUGCUGAUGGAUAAAUUCUAACUUAACUGCAGAAGGAAACAUAAUAUUAAUUUUGUUCUCUAUUACAUAAGUACUGUUUUCACGAUAUUGUCAGCUCUCUUCCUGCUGAUUUUAGUGCACAAGAUAAAAAGAAAAUAUUCAAAUGAAUCUUAAGUUCUUGACCAUAAACAUUCGUAUAUGAAAUUUUAGCUCCAACUUCAUAUUUUCAGAAGUUUUUCACUAUUAUCUUCUAAAGCAAUGUUAUUCAAAAAUUGAUUGUGACAUUCAAAUCUGUUUGAAGAAUUUAAGCAGGACACCCUCACUGUAUGUAAUGAACUUGUACUUAGAGAUGGACGACUCUAAUCAAUUGAUUCAAUCAUUUUCAAUUCUAUUUCCUUAGAUUAUGAUUAAAUUUUUAUUGUUGCAUAAAUAAUAUUAAUUGGUUCUGCUAUAAGAUAUCAAUCAUAUCAUUAUACUAUAUCAUGAUAAUAACCCUUAAGUUUAUAGGAGAAUAAUCAGUACGCUGUAUGCAUUCUGAUACUAGUAGCCCUCUGACCAUUCCAUCUGUUCAGUAGGAGAAGAAGAGUGUAGCUUCAGAGGCACACAACGUCUGGAGUUAAUGAAAAAUGAGAUUGUACUUAGCUCUCUUUCAUACUCUCAAUACGGUCCUAAAGAACUUUGGCCUAGUGUUUCCAACUAUGUCCUCCAAGUUUCUUCAUCAAACAAUCCAGGGUCACCUGUGGCAGUUUUAUAUUUCCUAGAUUCUGGUGGUGGUUCCUACCCAGAAGUUUUAUCAAGUGCCCAAGCAGAAUGGUUCCAGCAGAAAGCUUUAGAGAUUAACCCUGAUACAAGGUGGGAAAUUAUGCAAGCAGAACCUUGUUAUUAUAUUUAAACCACCUAAUUGACAAGUGGAAUCUGUCAUCUUAUUUACUUGAUAUUAUAUGACAUAAGGAAAUGAAUUCUAAAGCUUUGCACAUAUUGUCUGCUUCGAGCUCAAGACAUGCAAACAUUCACUUCUAGUGAAGGGAAAAGCUUUACAUGACUUGAUGAGUUUUUCUUUUAUUUUAUUUAUUUUUUCUUAAAAGAAGUCUACUCAUUCAAAUUACUAUAUCUGUGUAUCUUAUUUUCUUAUAACCAUGUUUGACAGGGUGCCUGAGCUUAUCUUUUGGCAUAUUCCAAGUCGUGCUUACAAGAAAGUGGCUCCAAGAUUUGGUAUACACAAGCCUUGUGUUGGUUCAAUUAACAAGGAGAGAGUAGCAACUCAAGAUGCUGAAACUGGUAUCAUGAAACUUCUGGCUGAAAGAGUUUCUGUCAAGGUGAGUUCAAACCUGUUCUUUUGGUAUAUGGCAUAAGUAUGGAUGUAUGGUUAAUGAUAAACAUGUGGAAGUGGUACAAACUGUUGAAGCUCAGAUAUAGAAAAUGAUAUACCAGCAUUUAUAAAUUACAAAGAAUUUGAUGCUACAAAUGAGUGAACAGUAGUGUUCACAUGGUCAUCUACUGACCAAGAAAAUCAUGGUCAAUCACCGUUGGAUGUAAAUUUGAAAAGCAUUGGCUAGCGCUACUCUUCCUGAGGCUGUCAGAAUAAGUUUGGUUUUCCUUUCUACAGCCUGGUGGUUUAUUGGUGUUCAUGGUAAUUCUAUAUAACAAAAAGGAAAAUGAAUCAAGGUUUGAGAUUUGAUUCCCUCCUAGAUUUAGUGUGAACGAAAAAUUAAACUUAGUACAAGGCUAAAGCUCUAUGGGUAAGCUUGCCAAAACAUAUAUUUGGUGGUACAUGUACCUCCUUUGUAAGAGUUAAGGUAACUUAAGGUAAGAGUUAUCCACUGGUAACUUAUGUUGGUUGCACUUUUGCAAAUUAUUGAACUGUACGAUGAUCAAUUGACUAUAAACUGAUUAAUACUGUUGACAUUACAAGUGAUAAGCUGGAAUGAAUUGGGUUUUCUUGGGAAGUAAUUUUCAUACAAAGCUAUGGUACUAGCUCACGGUUCUUUGUUUCCAUGGGCCUUGUGGCAGGCAAUAUUUGUAGGACACAACCAUGGAUUGGACUGGUGCUGCCCUUAUGAGAAACUGUGGCUAUGCUUUGCUAGGCAUACUGGUUAUGGUGGCUAUGGAAACUGGACUAGAGGAGCUAGAAUUGUAGAAAUCACCCAGAAGCCUUUCUCUAUUAAAUCUUGGAUAAGAAUGGAGGAUGGUAGUGUUCGUAGUGAACUUGUCUUGAGUCCUUAGGAAACUGUUUCCUUCUGAUUUUCUGUGCUACCGGCAGAAAGCGACGUAUUUGAAGCUAAAACAAAAUUAUAGAAAAAAUAAAUGUAUACACACACGGAAACUACAACACUAAUCUCUCUGUUCAGUAUUUCAAUAUUAUUGCAAUGUAUUCUUCUUUUUGUGCUUCAAUGUAUCAAUGCUCAAUGCUGUUGAUCUGAAUUAUGAACAGUAUAAUGAUGUUAGUGUGCUUUGGUUAUCUGUUUCCAGUCUUUAGUCAAACCAAGCUGCAUUAUACUAAAGCAAGAAUGAUAGAACCUUCAAAAAAUUGAAUGUACAUAGUUCUCAAAGUGACCCAAUAAAAAUUAAAAAGCAAAUAAUAAUUAUAUUUAACAAUUAUAAUAAUAAUUAUUAUUAUUUUUCUGUUUUUUUUUUUUGCUUGUUGAUAGACCUUAAAACUGAAAGUACUGCUCAACUAAAAGCAAAGCAAACCUAAUUUUAAUGCAUCUUAAAAUUAUUUUAAUUAUAUUAUUCACAUAAACAUUUAGGAGUGAAGUGUUUGCAUCAAGUGAUGAGAUUGUAUUUAGUCAUGACAGUGAUAGUAUGCUUUCCAUUUCAGUAUUGUCAUGCUGACUUGGUGAACUCUUUUUUCCAUCAAGCUGAUGAUUAGUUGACCCCUGUUUUCAAGUAAUCUAAUUAAAAGCUGGUUUCUUAGCAGAAGAAUCAAUUACUUUCUUUAAACUAAAGGAAGUAGUCUUUUUUAGAAAUGCAUGUAGUCUCUUCAAUAAAGAUUUGUGAAAUGAAACAGUUAUAAUGGGUGCUUUGAUGGGGAUUUAGAGAUAGGAUCAUUUGCUGUGUAAAGGAAGACCCUUUGAAACGGCUCUUCUGAAUCAAGGUAGGUCCUUCGAGAAAAGGUUCAUUUUAUAUUCUAAUUUGGACAACUCAUUCAGCCCAAAAUCUAAGUUAAGCAGAAGUUCAAUAAUUUGGUCCAAAAAAAGGGAAGAAAAGCAAAAGUUGAACAGCUCAAAAGACAGUUUGGUCUCAUUUUACUGGGUCACACUUGGGAGGCGAAAGUUCAUUUUUGACAAGUCAAAACAUGGUCACAUAGUCACAUCAAGUAGUGCAGCACAGAAAUAAAGAGAGGAGGGGCCAUUCAUUUUAGUUAUACAUCUUAAAGUUGCAGUUUAGUUAUCUAACAAAAAAGUGUUAGCGAGAUGGUUCUUAAUGGACCAAAGUCAUCAUGAUAUACCAUACAAUGUAGACAGUGCAAUCAUUCAUUUAUCAGUUAAUCUCUAUGUUAGACUACCAUUGACACUUGAAUCAUCAAGGGUGCUUGUGGAAUUGAUUAUAUAAGUAGACUUGCUCUUCAGCAAUCCUAUCAGAAUGAAUAGACUUUUUCUUUACUGAUAUUGCUUUAAGUCUCCCUGUCUCUCUGCAAACAAGAACCAUUGAGAACCUACUGAUGUAUCAAAACGAAGAGAAGUCCACUUGGAGAAUCAUGAAGUUGAUGAUGGCUUUCAUAGGUUUAUAGUGUUUUUAGCUGAGAGAUCUGAAGAGCUAAUGAGUCUAGCUAAAACAUCUCUAGUUUCACAAGGUUGCUCAUUAACUUUUUACUUUUCUCGAACUGGUGUAUCUUUGUAGAUUGUAUUUUAUGUUUAACAUAAUAAGUUAACAAGGACAUAAUGGCAAGAACAAAGGGCUGGUUUGGCUGGGUGAAGAGGCUCUUUACUCCUGAAUCAAAGACAAACACAAAAAAGGUUGCUCACUCUCCUCCCUUAAUUGUUUUGACUGUUUAUUAGCUAGUGUCCUUGUUUAGGUAAUAUAUCUGUUACUUUCUGUACUUUUGCAGAUAUCAAACAAGUGCAGAUGGAUUUUUGGAAGGCUUGAAUGUCAGCACUACCCUUCUCUGCCUGUGCUCACAGCAUCAGAAAGAGCAUUUAGUGAAGCUACAGAAGAGCAGAGAAAACAUGCAUUGAUUGUUGCAAGAGCAACAGCGGUUGCAGCCAAGGCAGCUGUAGCUGCUGCCCAAGCUGCGGCUGAGGUUGUGCGCCUAGCGGGAUCUUCUCAAUCUUUCCACCAUUUCACAAUGAUGGACAGGAACUUUGCUGCCACUAAAAUUCAAAGUGCUUAUCGCGCGCAUCUUGUGAGCUUCCUAAAAACUAAUGCUAUUAUAUCCAUGCUAGUCAAGCAACUCGUUAUAUAUAUAUAUAUAGCCCUUCUUGGCUGCGGACGUCCGCACCAAAGUUUUUGGUGCGGAUUUCCAUUUUUGCACCACUUCCCGAUGGAAUUUCCUCAAACUUUCUUCUAGACAUAUCUAGAUCAUCUUGUGUAGAUCAUCUCUGCAAAAUUUCAGCCAAUUUGGUGAUCGUUAAGGCCCUCAAACUUACGUUUUUCUGUUAUAUACCUGAACCGGACAGAAUUCAGUCCGUCAGAUUUGUUUNNNNNNNNNNNNNNNNNNNNUAUAUAUAUAUAUAUAUAUAUAAAUAGACUAAUAAUACUUGUUUCUCCAAAACUAGCUAUGUAACUACUAGUAUGAUUUAGGAUUUAUGUGCAUAAGGAAGAUAUUGUUAUGUAAUUUGUUUAGAGCUUCUUGUUACAGUUAUGAAAAGUUGACAAACAUGUGAGAAAAUUAUGUCGUGUAUAUGUGUGUGUGUGUGUUCCUGGCAGUCUUCAAUUUGUUUUUGCAUUAGAUUGGAGUUAGACUUACAUUGGAGUUAGACUUACAGAUGGAAUUCCUGUUGACAUGAAGUGUUUUGAUACAUAACCUUUGAGAGAAAUGGUUUUUAAAAAGGUUUUGGAACAACCGCUGUUCUAUUGUAUAGUAAUCCUAGUAUAUGUAUAUAUAUAUAUAUAUAUAUAUAUAUAUAUAUAUAUAUAUAUAUAUAUAUAUAGUUUAACUGAAAUAUGAAUUUACAACGUAAUCGAAUUGAUAUCAUGCAACGACACCAAUGAGGAUACAAUCAUGUCAUGUCUCUAGCUAUGAUCUAACUUUCAAGUGAAACAGGCCAGGAAAGCAUUGCGAGCCUUGCGAGGACUGGUCAGGCUUCAAGCCAUAGUUCGUGGCCGAGCUGUGAGGCGUCAACUUAUCUCUUUGAAGCGGUUGCCAUCUAACAGAAAAGGGCAGACAGAGGUUAUGAAAAGGAGCAUCUCUACCACAGAUGUCAGAUGCAAUGGUAGCGAAAAGAAGCAUCUCAGCAUGUCAAAAGGGGUGUUGGAUGAGAAAGAAAUAACAGUAAGUGAUGCAACAUAUCUUAUUUACAAUAAAUUUAUAUUCGUGGUGUGUGCGUAUGUGCAUGAGGAAGAAAAGUUUACUAAGAAUGAGAAGAAUCUGUAGUAGUAGCCAGCAUAUAAAUCUGUUCAUGUGCAGUUCUACAUGUAUGCUGAAUUGCUGAUGAUCUCCAAGCUAUAAAUUCUCGAACUUUGUUUGACUUUUCAUAUGUUUUAUAUCAAAUACAAUGGAAGUAUAUAUAUAUAAAUAUAUAUAUAUAUUUAUAUUAUUUUAGGCCCUCAGAAAGGUAUUGCAUGUUGAGUUUCUUGUUGAAGUAGCUAGAACUAUCUGUGAGAAAAAAGAGCAUGCAGCUCAAUUUUUGAAGUCCUUCAUUCUUAAAUGUACCUAUGAUUGGAUUCUGUACUCCUAGCUUAAUGAGGCAUAAUCUUCUAUGAUGCCACAUACAAGUUUACUAAAGAUUUAUGUUUAUAUGGAUUGGUGGACAGAUUUUAUGCAGCAGCAAUCAGAUAAGGUGGGAUGACAGUCUAAUUUCAAAAGAGGACAUUGAUGCAAUAUGGCUAAGAAAGCAAGAGGCCAGAAUCAAAAGAGAGCGGAUGAAGAAAUACUCGUUCUCUGUCCGGGUACUCUAUUCUGGAAUCAUAUGAACUCUUCAUAAUCUCCGUUGGAUAUAAAUAAAACAAAAAGAGUAAUUUAUAUAAAUCCAGAAUAAUUAGGCUUUGAUGUUUUGUUGGCCAAAACAUAACUAAUUAACUAUAGCUGUAUUUUAGUUUCCUACUGUAACUCUGUGCGAACAUAAUGUUUUCAGGAAAGCAGGAAUGAGAAAAUGUUAGAAGAGUCAAAUGGUAGUACUGGUGGAAUGUUUGGAACUUCACAAGUUAAACUGAGACAUUUGAGAAAUGAAUAUUCAGUGGAAGGUCGAUGAGUGUAUGCUUUUCAUUUCCAAGACGAUCGAUCUUUCAAUCUUUAUGUCAAGCAGAACAUGCAGGAGUUGAUCUGCUCAAGAUUAAGACCUUGCUUGAAGGUAACUUCUUCGGCCAGUGCAUGCAGCUGUUUCCAGCUGCAAUGCCAGCCAUGUUAGGAUCUGCCAAGGAGAGACAAGGCCUCUUAUAAGCAUGUCAGAACGAGUAGGAUCACGGAUAGACAGUACAAUCACAGCUUACCUUUAUAAUGAAAUUGGUAAUUGUACAUACUUACAAUGCAUAAUAAGAUGGCCAUACAUGAUACAUGUAUUGAGAUUUGAGAAUGUAAAAUUUUUGUGUGAUUCGAAUAUCGGAUCUACAUUGAUCUAUCUAUUUUAUAUAUGAAGUUAGAUCCUAUUGUCACUUCUAAUUGAUUAUCAAGUUGCACUAGAUUUGAUCAAAAUGUUUUUUCAACACUAUGAGUGGCCAAGGCAUUGCUCUUUUUUCUUUUUUCUGCUAAGAAUCAACAACUUUAUUAAAUAAAAGAGAGUACAUAAGCGGAGACAUGAAGACAAAACCCCUUAAAUAGAAACAACAAGGAUCAAAAGGUAAGAGAAGCAAGCCGACGAGCUCGCCGAGUCUCUCAACGACCUCUUCUCCAGCGUCUCCACCAUGAUCAAAUCCGAGCUCCAGGGAACAACCAACCACAUGGAGCUGUUGGAGAAGAUGAAUCUGAGAGUCGCCGAGGAAUACAAAGGCUUCGGCGACGUGGCCUCCGGGCUCAGCGUCUUCGUGGAGCAGCUCAAGUCCAAAAGCGGCGGCUUCGACGAGUAUGUCAAGCAGAUUGAUGCCAUAGAUCAGCAAGUCACCGAGUUCGAAGCUGUGGUUUCUGUGCUUGAUAAACAUGUGACCAUGUUGGAGUCCAAAUUAAGUACAGUCUGUGUAUCACAAUCCGUGGUCUUCCUAGUUUCAGUUGUUCGUGCUUGUUUCGUGUCUAUAAAAUUUGUGUUCUGUUUCUCUAAGUACUAAGUUCAACUUCAAUCAAAUGUAGUGUUUUAUGAUCAAACUUGAACAAUGCUCGAGAUUUUCAAGCUGUAUCAAAAAAAAAAAAAAGGAUCAAAAGGUAACGAAAACAUGAGCAAUAUAUAAUAGUCAUAGCCUCUAGCUGAUUGCAUCAAAGAUCCAAAAGCGCGCACAGUAUGAGUUCGAUUGCGGGCAACACUGGACACGAAAAUCUUUACACAACACACACACACACUUGAGAAGAGGUAGCAGCUAGGGUUGCGUGGAAACAUUGUUAAUUGUAGGCUUAUUCAUGAAGGUGGCCUUUAACCGGGCUCGGCUUUGUUGCAUGCUAAAGAGAUGUUGGUGUAUUGUUCAGACUUCUUCUCCAUCUGCUCAGUUCAUACAGAAAUUUUGUCACUGCUUACAACCUCUGUUUUUCGACACGCAUGACUCAAUUGUGUGCAAUCUAACUUUUAAGUCAUACAGGCAAUCAAUUCUCAUGUCAACCAGUUAUCUCGAAUGAAUCACCCCAUUUUGUUAAUUCUUGGCCAACAUGCACCUGAGUAACCAAUAAGCAUUUUUGGAGCUCAAGACGUGAUUUGUACAGUAGAUAGUCUGCGACUGCUGGCUCUUAUACCCACAACAGUUUAGCAUAAUCAACUACGUACAUAUUGGUUUUGCAGACUACAAUCUCUUCAACCUAGCUAGCCUAUCACCCUUUUUACACGGUUUUUACUCCUAAAGUACCUACCGUUCUAUAUGUUUGUCAAGGACGACCAAAUUCAAAUUCUUUCUUAAGUACUUCUCUAAUUUGUGUUCUCCAUAUGUUUCAAAGAGCAACAUUUUCUAAGGGAUCUAGCUAAACGUACGUUGGACCAGAUAAUAGUAGUCACCCUAUGAUCGCGAAGAAUGCUAGCUACUAGCGAAGUAAAUCGAUGUUUGCUCAAAAAUCCUCUCGGCCGAGAUUAGGGCUGAGGGCUUGAGAGCAAUCGUCCUUCAAAAUUUGCGCGGGCUUGCCAACUCGCGGCCUGUUGGCUAAGCGAGGUUUUUGAUAAAUAUUUUGCGCUUGAUCUAACUUCUCCCAAGUGAUUGUAGGCCGAGGAAGGAACCGUCUCGGCCGUUGGGUUCUCUUGCCUUUGUUGCAAGGACUUUCGGCAUUUUCGCCGAUGUUGCUCCUCUUUUUUUUGUGAUUUUUGUAUAAGUUUGCGAGAAUUAAAGUGCGAAAAGUAAAAGAACAAGAAUUUAAAAGCGAAAAUUUAAAUUGCAUGAAACAUAAAUUGCAUUAAGUAAUUGCGAUAAAUUAAAGUGCAUGAAUUUAAAGACGCGGAAGAGAAAUUGCAUGAAAGUAAAGUGCGGAAUGUAAAGAAAGCGAUAAAGUGUAGAAGGUAAAGAAAGCGAUGAAAAGAAGAAGAAAACUAUGCUAAAACAUGGAUAAAAAAGAUUGAUAUUGUAGAGAAUUUGAUAGAGUUUGUAUUGAAGUGUUGUUUGUGUUGGUCGGGGACCUUUUACAAUGAGGCUGAGGGUCGAAUAUAUACAAGUAUAAACACAAAAAUUAAGGAAGGAGAAAACAAUUAAAUAAAAUAAAUAUUUCGGUCUUAAUGACCGAAUCAAAGAUAUGCUCCGUAUUGCUUUCUCCUUAAUCACACGUUUAUUUCUUUCUUCUUGCGGCUUCGUUGGAAUUGAUUUGCUAAAAGGGGUGUAUUGUAUCUAGAUUUAUAUGGAUUUUUAAAAAGUCCACAGACUCUUUAAAUAGUCCACAGACUGUUUGAAUAGUCCACAGACUCUUUAAAUAGUCCACAUACUUCUGUUGAUUUCUUAAAAUCAUCGUCUUUUAACAUAGACUUUCUACAGAUUUAUGAAAAUCCACAGACUUUAUAUAAACGACUUCUACAGAUUUCUCAAUAUUACAAGAUAAAAAAAAAACUGGUAAAUAAUGUUAAAACAAAAGAAGAACGUCCAAAUAUAAUUAACAGAAGUGAAAGAUACAUGUGUCAAAAAUUAGAAAAAGAAAAAAAACAUUAAUUAGCAUCUUUAACAUGAAAAGCAGACGUCCUAAAAUAAUGAUAUGAUCAUUCUUCUCCUUCAUGAUCACUUUCUUCAUUGUCAUUGUUUACAUUGUUGGCAUUUGCUUGAGCUUCUGCCCACAUUUGAUUAGCAAUACUCAUUCUCCAUUGAUUAGCAUUAUCUCUUUGCUGCUCUUGGGUUUGAAAAUCAUCCCAUUCAAAAUUAUCUUCUUCAUUCUCUACCGGAUCAUCUUCUGGUUCAGGAGGAAAUUCAUCUGAACGGCAUUCUUGUCGAAGAAAAUUAUGCAAUCCUGCACAUGCCAAAACAAGCUCUGCUUGUGUCUUGUAAGGAAAUGGUGGUGCUGAUUUGAAAAUUGUGAACCGUGACUUAAAUAUUCCAAAUAUUCUCUCAAUUACGUUUCUCAAGGAAGCAUGACGAAGAUUAAAUAACGCAACUGCGUUGACAGGAUGGUUUCCUUCACCACCACAAAAAUCUUUGAGAUGAUAUCGAGUACCUCGAAAUGGAGCUAAAAAUCGACGACGGUUUGGAAAUCCGCAAUCCCCUAGGUAAUAUUUACCUGAUCAUAAAAAACAUAUGUAUUAGUAUGUUAUAUAGUAUAUGAUAUAAAAUUUAAUAAGCUUGCUGCGUUUUUUCAUGCACGCAAAACUAUACCUGCUGGUACUUUGAGUCCAUUUCUUCUAGAAAUAGCAUCAUUUAACACUUUUGAAUAAUGAGCAGAACCCUCCCAUCCACUAAGCACAUAUAUGAAUUGUAAAUCAAAGUUGCAAGCUGCUAACACAUUUUGUGAUAUCCUCCCAUGGCGAUUUCUGUAUCUGCUUACCUCACGUCCAACAACCGUUGCAGGAAUAUGUGUGCCAUCAAUAGCUCCAAUGCAAUCCUGAGACAAUGGAAAAAUAUUUACAUCAGAUGUAAAGAAGAAAUGAAACAAUAUUUCAAUAGUGUACAAUGAUGUAAAUAUUUGCCAAUAAAACUUGCAUUGCGUACCUUAAAGAAAGGAUAAAACCUUGUACUUUCUCUUAUGUUUGGUGGUGUGGUAUCAGGUGGCGGUGGUUUAGCCAUAAACUCUGGAGCUAUCGUAUUUAAGGCCUUCAAGAUUUUGUUGAAACUUCUGCUAACAGUGAAAUGGGAUCGCUCGAAUAUCAUUCGAGGUUCACUAUAUCGAUUGUUUUGACCGACAACUAGUAAAAAGGUUGCAAGCAUUUCUUCAACACAAAUGUGUCUUGUAUUCCGUAAAGGUGUUUUCUCUUUUAUGAUGACACACAAUUUCCGAAACACGUCAGGAUACAUUCUGUAAACCUCUUGAAAGAUAUAAGGGUCUCCGUCCAGUAUCUUAUUCAUGUAUAUGUACCCAUUUGAUGUCACUGGUCUCCGAGUCAAUGGACGACUAAUACUUUCAUCUGGUAUGCUGAGCACAAGAUCAUAUAACACAUAAAUCACUGCUUGUAUUGCCAUUAAUAAAAUUCUAAUGGCCUCGUAAAACUCUUCUUCCUCUUCAUCAACUCCAUACAUAUCAAUUUCAGACAUUGCUAAUAGAGAAAACACCUAAACAUAUUAAAAGAACAAGGUUACUAUAUAUUCAUAUUCAUAAUAUUAUACAUUCAAAAGCAAACCAGAACUCAUAAUUAUUCAAAGAAACCAUCAAGCUGCAAUAAAUUCAAUGAAACCAUAAUUAUUCAAAGAAACAAUCAAGCUGUUCUAAUCCAUAAAAAACAAGUUUAAAUUCAAUCAAACCAAGAUGCAAUGCAAAACAAAACAGUACUAUCAAUCCAUGACUUAAAUAUAAUAGGACAUAGCAUAUUGGAGGCAAUAUCAUAUUGCUUAUUAGCCUGAUGCAUUAAAUUCGUGCCCAAGUGAUCCAAUUACGUCGUUGGUCCAGACUCAUCUUCAAGAAGAUGUCUUGCUUUGCCUUGGUGUUAAGAAAACUAAGCGCAAAAAAGCUAGCCUCAUCAGUUAAUCCUGGGGUCUCCUGAAUAGCAAUCCAACAUUCAGUGUCUCUUGAUUCUCUCUUCUCCAUUAUGCCACAAAUUGUAUCAAAAGUGGUGACAAUUUUACCAAAGCCAGUUGAUAAGUUUUCCAGAACUUCAGCUUGAGUAGCUACCCCUUUUGAGUUGCUACUUUGUUCAUAAUCAGCUCUACUUCUUUUGCCUUGAGCCCUGCUAUGUGGUGCAGCAUUUGCAUUGUUACCUGGGGUGCGUUGUCGGGAAAGAGAUGGCAAGUUUUCUUGGUACGAUGACUCAUUUUCAUUUUGCACAAAGGUGUGAUUAUCUUGAUCAAAGACCAAGUCAUCUAUGCCACCCAUUUCCCAAGAUCCAUUUUCUCCUACUUCAUAUGUUGUGGCAUCUGUAUCAUCACCUAAACCUAUUGACCCCAUCCCAGUUGCAGUUCCAUUACCAACUGCAAUUUUCAAAUCCUCAUAGUCUCGAAAAGUUUCUGUCCGAAAAUGCGCAUGCGUUGGAUGUGACUGAAAAAUAACAAUAAACAAAAAUGUCAAUAUGGUGAAGAUUCAAAAUAAUUAACAAUCUAAAAUAGAAAGGCAUUAACGUACUCACCUUUAAAUAGUCUGCCCAUACUUCAUCAGGUGCAGUGAAUCUCUUUGUGAUCGGGUCCCACCCAAAUCCAGAAUUGUGACGCAUAAGCUGAGAGUAAUUGGUAUAUUGUUUCUUAAACUAUUUCACUCGGCUUUGAUAAUGGCUGAAAGUUAUCUCCUUACCGAGUUUUUCUUUAAGUUUAGGAAGUAGCUUUGCCUCUACUGUUGUUUUGCUUAUUACACCAUUAAUAUCACGGAACCCAAGCUUAGCGCCUUCAACCAUGAGCUGGAGCAAAACAUUGCUCUCUUCCGCGGUCCAAGUUUUAUAAUCCUUUCGUUUACCAUUUCCUUGUGAAUCUCCCAUCUAUAUAAUUGUUAAACUAUAACUAAUCAUACAUUCAACCUUGAAGGUAGUGAAAAAACAUGCUAUAUGUGUUUCAACCUUGAAGGUAAUAAAAAAACAUGCUAUAUGUACACACACUUAAGGGUGGUCUCCAUACAGAUAAGAAGACACCGGCAAAAAAUAGUUUCAAGAGAAGAUUGAUAAUUGAUAAUAUGAAUGAUAACUUCUACUACUCAGUACAUAAAUGAUAACAUGUACUAAGAAAAUUGAAUAAAUUAAAGAGAUAGUAUCAGUUUCAAGGGUUGUUCUUUUGUGAAUAGAAAUAAUCAAUACCGUAGAAAUAAAUUUUGGCCUGCUUUAAUAAGUGCCACUAGAAACCCUAGAAGUUUUUGGAUCCUCAUUCAAAUUGAGUACGUUAUACACGACCUUAUGAACUAUUUGUUAGCUUUUAAUCACUUGAGAUUAUAAUCAAAGUUUGUAGCUAAUCUAUAGAGGUGGUUUUGUACGCAUCACUAACAGAACAAUGCCAUCAAAAUUUUACAAACUAUUCUAUAUCAAAAGGUGUGUUCAACGACAAUAUAAUCAAUUUUGACUAUGGUGAUUAGGGUUGGGAGUAGCAGACACACAGUAUUUGGGUUUCUAGGGUUUCAUAGAUCAACUGAACGCCAAAAAAAAAAAAAAAACAACGAUGCAACUAUGAACAUGUUGGGUAUCAGAAAAUUAUGAUAACACAAAAGAUUAGGCAAAGGCAAAAAAAGAAUCAAGAAAGCAAGAUGAUGGGAACCAACCUCUUCGCAGCAGGCAGAGGGAUGAACGUUGAUAGACUUUUCCCACGCUCAAAAUCUUUGCUCUGGUGGCUGGCAAACUAUUGGACUUUGGUAUUUAUACUUAACACUACAAAGUCCACAAUUUUCCAUGAUUUUCUAAUUCCAUAUAAAUGAAUGAUAUUUUGAAUACCUUAAAACUUCUAUUCAUUUUUAAAAGUCCUAAUUGAAUACCCCUAGACUUUGGUGGAUUCUAUAAUGACUUUUUAAAAUCCUAAUUGAAUACACCUAAACUUUUAUGGAUUAUUAUAAGUCUAUAUUGAAUACACCCGGACUUUCAGAUUCUAUGGACUUCUUUAAAAUUGCCACUAAUUCCAGAUACAAUACACCCCUCUAAUUAUCUUGAAAUUUCGGUCUUCAAUUCUUCCAAUUAGCCAUAAUGUUACUUUGUUGCCAUAUAUCGUCGUUGCUUCAAUAUUUGGGUUUAGGGUUUAGGGUUUAGGGUUUUAAUACCAAAUAAUGAAUCUCGGCAAAUCUUAAUAAUGGUGAUGAUAAUUAUACGAAAUAAUCGUAAUAAUUAUCAUUAAAUGUUAUAAUCUCCCUCGCAACCAACGGCUCGGCAUAGUAGGCCGACGUGCAAAAACAAGUACAAACAAUCGACCAGAAACUAAAUAUAUAUAUAUAUAUAUAUAUAUGGCCCUUUCAAUGAGGGAUUCCUUUUUUUUGUUUCUAUUUCUAAGGAUAGAUCAUUUGACGAACUUUUCGAUCACACAAUCAAAUCUCCACCGUUCAGUUCUUUGGGCUUCAUGAGUAGAUUAUUUCUACAAAUUUUCAGAAAAUUUGGUGAUCGUUAAGUCAUCCAAAUGAGAGAUUUAUUUUUAAUAAUCUUGAACGGUGUAGGUUUGACAUAAGUGUUAAGUUUUUUGUUUUAAUCUCAACCAUUCAAGUCCAUUAAAAAACAGAUCUAAUGGUGUGGACCUAUCCCUAUAAAUGAAACAAAAAUAGGGAUCCUUCAUUAGAAGGGCCCUGAUAUAUAUANNNNNNNNNNNNNNNNNNNNUUAAUGGCAUGGGAUUUGUUGAAUAAUUUAAAUCUUCUUUUAAUCUGAUCGAUAAUAAACAUGAUCAUACAUAUGAUAUACAAUCUAACAACUAAGCUAGGGAUUCAAUGAACAAGGGAUGACUGUUAAUAACAGUACUGCUGGAUUCCAAAUUCAAUUCUUUCUAUCGAGUUUCGACAGCCAUGAAAAUUGAAUAUUGCUCCAUCAUCAACACUGCCAUGAUCUUCAUGGUACUGUAGUUGCAACUGGUAAUUAUCAGCAGUGUUCUCAUUCUUGGGGAUCUUGAGAGCAUUAAUCUUGGCUGCAAUAUCGGGCAACUUAGGGCUCACAUAUUUAGGCUUCUUGAGAGCACUGAACUGGGUAUAUAUAUCAUCCCAAUCAGGCAAUUUGGGGUGGACAUGUUUAGGGCAUUGGACCUCAUCAUCCUUUUUCUGUUCUGAUGAUCUCGCUGGUGCCUGAUCAGGAGAAGAACUAGUAAAAGAGGGUUCGACUGGUUUAUGUUUUACUAUGACGUCAGUAGGCACCGCUGAGUCUGGCGGGGAGAGAGCGAUGAUAUUCUUUUUGAAGAUAGGGUUUACAAGAUUCCCAGGCAACAGUUUAACAGCAGUGUCGACAAAACUCUCCCCGUAACGCUCGCCGAACAAGUCCCUGAUCUCCCCAAGCUCAGGAAUCACCCCGCAUGUUAAUCUUGAAGAAGCAAAGACAAGACAUGAAACUGCUUCAGCUAGGUUUCUUUGACAACACUGCUUGUGUGUUCGUAUAUAAAACAAGUGUUUGAGGAUGAGCUUGCAGAAAUAGUCGAGCAAAUCGUACGCCGAUGAUUCGUCUCUGAUGUGUUGUUCUUGUUCGAUCCUGAUGUUGAGAGCCUCGUAGUCUGUCUUCUGAUCAAGAUCUUGCCGUAACUGCAUAGAAGUAGCAAACCUCUCUUGUUCCAAGCACUCGAGCCGAGACCGUACUUGUUUGAGUAGUUUCUUGCACUUUGAAGCCUUCGCCCAACCCAACAUCAACAUGUCUUGGUUCUGGAAGGAUGACAGAGCACAAGAAAGAAAUUAGGAAACUUGGUUUUUCUUCUUUCUUAUAAACAACGAGUAGGGUGCUUUAUAUACUGGGUAUGUGACAGUGGUGUAACUACGUACAAGAGUUGGAAUUCAUAACAAUCUGGGCCGGGUUGGGAUUGGAAAAUGGAAAUUGCAUGCUCUCCCCUUCCAGGUUGAUGUUGGAUUAGGGUUUAGGAUUGCAAAAUGGUAUUUUUCAUCCACUUAUGCGCGCAACAAGAAAUCAAAUGAAAAACCACUCGCUUAUGUGCUUGUCUCUCACGUUAUUAUAGGGCAUUCUAGCGGUGAUAAGCAGUGUAAACUUUUUCCUUUUUUUAUUUUUUUGAAUAAAACAGAGUACCUAGCUAGAUUAUGCGCCUCGCAUAUUAUUAUUGCAAUAAAGAACAUCAAUAUUUUACAUCGGAGGGGACAUGUAUGUAACCUCUAACCUGAACUCCGAGCUACAUUAGCACGUACCAUGACACAUAGUUUUUCUUUUUAUAUAUACACGAAGGUGUCAAUCAACUUNNNNNNNNNNNNNNNNNNNNUAAAAAUGACAAGUUAAAUGAGUAAAAUUUACAAUAUUAACAACAAAAUUACUACAAUUGUUUUACACAUUUACAUAUAAUUUAACCAAGUUACUACAACGACAACAAAUUGUUCGUAAACUUGUAAAUCGUCUUAAGUUGAGUAAUUACCUCUAAUAGAACAAAAAUUAUCCAAGUAAUGACUAAGUUUACCAAAACGACAACAAAUUUGUUGUUAUAUCGGUAAAUGUAGGUAUCACAAACACGUAGGUGCUUAGAAAAUUUCUAAAGUCAUAACAGCACGCAUCCAGGUAGAGAGGGAAAAGCAUAGAUUUAUAGUAAAGGUGGCAAACGGGCUGCUAAGCACGAGCACGACACAUUUAAAAGCGGCCAGGCACGGCCCAAGCCCAUUAAUGGCCCAGCCCGGCCCAAGCACGUUAUUCUAAUGGGUCUGGCUGGGUCUAGAAAAAUGAGCCCAUGGGCCCAGCCUGGCCCAAGCCCGUUAUAAGCUCGGCCCUGCCCGAGCACGAUAAUUUGAGGCCCACGGCCCGGUCCACUAUAAAAUAUAAUUUUUUUCCAUUUUUAAUAUGAAGAUAACAUAUUUUUAAAUAAUAAACUUAGUUUUGAGUAUAAACAAUAUACUUAUAUACUAAUAAUUAUUUAUUUGAGUAUGAAUUUGGAUUCCCCUAGACUCAUAAGAAGUUUUUGCCUAAAAAUUUAUUAAUUGUGAAUAAUAAGCAUUUAUCACUUAUUUCUUUAGUUUGUUGAAAACAAAAAAUGAUCGAUAGAUUGUGUGAAUUAAUUUUGGUUUGUAAUCGUAUCAUGUAUAAUUAAAAGUUAAGAUUAUGAGAGUAGAAGCGGUGGUAUAGGACAUUCACCUCGACCAUUUUCAAUUUUCGGCACGAAACGGGCCCGACACGACCCUUUCAUGGGCCUGGGCCGGCCCGGCCCGAGCACGGCCCACCACGUUAUGGCUUGGGCUGUGGGUCGGACUGGGCCUUACAUUUGAGUAAAUGGGCCGGCCUAAGCCCGAGCCCGUUAAAAAGUGGCCCGUCGUGGGCCGACCCAAGCACGCCCGAAACCCGAUUAGGUGGGCCGGCCCGUUUGCCACCUCUAAAUUUUAUAGGAAGCAUCAAACAUUACAAAGGCUAGGGUUCAUAGCCAAACAAAGAAAACAUUACAAAGGGUUAAUUUAUAUAAGUGCUUAAAGCUAAAACACGUCAUCCACAGUUCCCAUUAAGAUUGUCUUUUAUCAUUGCUCUAGCUAGGUGAUCUUUUAUUAUAGUUAUUGAAUUACCUAGGAAAAGUGCCCAUGAAUGGCCAUGAUUCCAGAUAUCGAACACUAGCUAGAGUUUCCGCUCAGUUGAAAUCAAUGGGAUAUUUAGGCUGUUUGGUUGGGUAGAAGAGCCCCCAGUGUCUCUCAGUCUCUGGCCCUGGCUUUUGAUUUUCAUUAAACAUGGCAAAUAUAUAAGCCUCUAUAGGGCUUCCAGGUUUCUUCGGAGUACCAUUACUCUUGACAUGAUUGAUCAAAUUGGAGUUGUAAAUCCUUGCAUUCGCCAUUGUAGUCACCUCUCCAUCCCCACCAGCGGAGGGCCAACCGGACUCCGAUACAAGGAUACUCACGGAACCGCUUCCGGCUCUCUCGAGUGCUGAGUAAACUGUAUCGAGAAUGGCAUCAAACAGGUUUUGAUACCCGAGCUGGCCAUCAUGCACCACAGGUGAUGGAGAUGUAAAAAGAGCAUACUCGAUAUUAAUCUGACGGUUUUGAUUGUAAGUAAAAUAAGGGUAAACAUGAACGAGCAAGGGAGAUUGAUUGCGUGCUAAGAAGGCCAAGAUGGGAUUAAGAAAUGGUAAAUGGUCAAUACGGAAUGAUCCUUUUGAUGGAGGGUAAGAGGGUUCUUCAAGGACAGCGGUGGAAAUGGCAGUGGAGACUUUGAUCUUUCCGGCAAGAUUCUCAGCAGUAAUUGCUUUUUGUAAUGUUUUCCAUUUGCAGGGGCAACAAACGAUGCUUGUGGACCUGUGGGAUCUAUUUCGUUUCCCACAACAAUGUAUUUGAAAUUUACAUUGCCAUAGCUUACGACAUUACUUUGGACCCAGGAAUUAGCCUCGUCUUGGCUUGAAGAAAUGUAUUGGAGGCGGUCGUUCUCAACACCAAGCAUGACCUCGAUGUUGGAGCCUCUAAGGGCUUGGAGAGCACCUUGGUAAGGAUCAUAGAGACGAAUUUUUUGAAUACCAUACUGGUCGAACAUAGAUAUUACUUCUUGUGCUGGCGGUAAGUUGUCUCCUUUGGUUCCAUAACACACUCCAAUCUUAGAACCUGCAUCAGACUCAAUAUGAGAUAUACUUUUAACUAGUGAUUAUGAAUUCUGUAUAUAACACUUUACUUCAAGUACAUAAUAUAGGGUAGAGGAAGAGACUAUACCUGCAGUUGUUGCUAUGGAAGCCAUUACUAGCGUACCAAAAAGUAGCAUUUUCGGGAUCAUGGAAGGGCUUUCGGCAAGUCUAUUGGACUUUGCCAUUGUAGAGUGAAGUAGAAAAGCUAAGAAAAGAAGCAUGCAGUACGUGAAGCGUAUGCUUCCCCAGAUUGUGAAUUACAUAGCUAGCUUGCUAGCUGUCUUUAUAGUUCGAGUGAUGGACUAAUUCCCAGAGGAAUGCUGACUAGACAAGCUAGCUAAUUCCACAAAAGAAAACAAGCAUACUACUAGCUAGCUAGCUAAUUCCACAAAAGAAAACAAACUAGCUAGCAAGCGCGCAUAUACAUCACUCAGUGACACUAGUACGUAUAGUGCUACUGGACUUUUCGGGCCCAAAGACAAAUGGUACGUACAGUCAGUCAUUAUUAGUGGUGGUCUUGUCUUGAAAAAGGCAAGCUGUAUAUGCAGACUAAUGUCUGUCAAUAAUUUUUGUGGCGGCCAGGAAUGGUAGUCGUCUUGUAAGUCUUCGAUAAGUAGGCUCCAUCCAAUGGGAAUACUGCCGUAGCUUCGUGCCGGGGAGAGUCGAUCUGCAAUGGGAUUCUGAAGUUAACCUCUCUACUGAUUAAGGAUCCUGAUCGUAUCGUACUAAGUUAUCUUUUAAAAAUUUAAUAAACAUGGAUAUAUAUAGCGAUGAAUAAAUUAAUUUACCAUACUUAAACUAAAGCAGAUAAAAUGACAUGUGGUUAAAUUAUUAUAUAUACAAGGAUGCACAUUUGUUCAAUUAUUAUUAUAAAUAUUGAUCUCUGGAAGAAAAAUAAUAAUUUGAAAAGCCAACGCUUCAAGAGGCUUAUUUUGUCAGCUUCUUUCAAUGUAUAUACAGUAUGUGUUAACUCUUCGGUGCUCUAAAGUUUCCAAAGGUUUUUUAGACCACUGUAAGCUUCUCUAGAACUGGAAGUGAUCGAAUAGGCAGUUUGUUUAGGUUAUUAUCUUUCAGCUUCGAUUCUUAAGGUUGUAGCAGUAAUCGUUAUUGUCACCAGAUCGAACUGUACGUGCACUAAUUGAUCAUAAAAACGUCGUCUUAAUAUCUUUAAUUAGUUGAGAAUUUAGAUCGAUCGAGUGAAGACUAGUUCAUGACUUUACCUGUUCCUUUGUGUUCUCGCGCGGUAUAUAUAUUCCAAGUCUUCCUUGGUAGCCUCGCUCGAAGCAAUAUAUGUGAGACUUGCAACAUGAGAAUUCAAUUGCCUGGGCCUGUUGAGAGUUAGGGGGAAGAUAUAUAGUAGGCAGUAUGUGUUACAUCGACGUUCGUACGCAUAAUAAUAUCAUCCAUAUGAUCAAUGUCUUACUGGCGAUCGUUUUCGAUUCAUAAGACAGAUCGAGGCUAGGUGCAUGUCAUACAAUAAUAUCUGCAUAUAUAUGUACGUGUGUCCUUAAGAUGAAUUUCCAUGAAGGAAUCAAUUCGAUCCAGCAAUGUUAAUUUGAAAGGUCACACACGUACGUACGAUCGAUAUUAUUUUUGUGAUGGAUGAAGCGUGAAUCAUGAAUUAUUGAUCCAUGUUUGUCCUUCUCCUAAUUAAGCUCCCUCUAAUGUGCGUAUAAUGGUGUACGUGGUAAGUCUCCUCUAUGUAGCUGGCAUGGUGCGAAGACCCAGUUCAAUUUGCAAGUCUUCCUUUCCUUCUCGAUCGAGCGUUGUUGUCGGUCUUCCUUGGCAGCCUCGAAGCGAUGUGAGGCCUAGAACAUGAGAGUUCGUCAAUUGCGCGCCUCUCAAGUUAGCUAGCUAGGCAGGAGAUAGAGAGAUCGAUAGGAGCCAGUACGUACGUGGUGCUCGAUCAUUCCGGUACGUACGUAUGCAUAUACUAAUAUCAUUCAUAGUCCUACGUACUGGCUAACAGGAAACAGUCCUCGAUCAUCAGCUAGAAGACAAUGAUAUAUAUAUAUAUAUAUAUAUAUGUCUGUACAAUAAUAUCUCAGUAACUCGAUCUCGACUUACACAUGCAUGGACUACUCAUGAACAUUCAAAGUUCCACAGCUAGCUGGGAGUACGUACGUUGUAACAGAUUUCAUUAAUGUCCAAUGCAUAUUAUUACUAAUCAACAUCGAUCAUCCAGCUACUUUGUAGCUUGCUGGAGCAGUGCGAAGGAGACAUGCCGGUUUGUCUUGAUAUUGGAACAAGUACUCUUCUCCGAUCAACUUGUCCGAAAUAAUUCAUGUAUAUAUGUCAAUCAUAUCAUUUCUAAGGAGAAAUUAUGAUCGAAUAGUAGUCUUCUCUCAAGUCUCCUCUAUCUCUGCAUGUAGACUCCUCCAUUCCAGCCCGCCAUGCAUUCUAUUUCUACUCGAUCUAGUACGUAAAAUUUGAAUAUAUAUAUAUAUAUAUAUAUAUAUAUAUAUAUUAUAUAUAUUUGUUGACCAAAUUAAAAGAGAAGAACAGUCUAUAAAUUUACCCUAUAUAUAUAACUACACCACAACCUCGAUUGAUAUCAUCACAUAAUUCGAACAACAUUUAAUUAAAUAGGCCAACUGAUCUACGUAUUCAAUCAUGAUGAAAAUCCAAGUACAACUCCUCUACCUUACCUUCGCCUGCUUCCUUUUCUUUCCAGGUGAACACACAAUUCUUAUUUCCUUCUUGUUUCAUGCAUGCUAGUCGACUGACAGUACUACUGAUCGAAUUUAGCGUGGUGAUAUAUGUUAAUUAUUAUUACCUUUUCUUUUCUUUGGGAAUUCAUGCAGGCGCACUUCCGGCCACAAUUUCCAUCACAAACAAGUGCCCCUUCACGGUCUGGCCAGCAACCCAAACUUCUGAUCUCAAACCUCCCUUAGCAUUGCCGAGUAACGUGUUGGCACCCCAAGCUAGCACCACUGUGGUCACUCCGGUUCCAUGGAAUGGCCGCUUCUGGGGCCGUACCAACUGCUUCACGGACAAUUCCGGAAAAUUCACUUGUGAAAAAUCAGGGGAUUGCGCAUCCGGUCAGGAAUCAUGCAACGGAAAUGGAGGAGUUCCUCCAGCCACGUUGGUGGAAUUUUUUAUCGCAGCAGGCGGGGGUCAAGAUUACUACGAUGUUAGUCUUGUUGAUGGCUUCAACUUGCCCAUGUCCGUGGCCGCUCAAGGCGGUCAUGAGCCCGGGACUUGUCGGACCUCUACCUGCAGAGCCAACGUAAACGCUAAUUGUCCGAGAGAGCUACAAGUAACGGGGGCCGGCGGGAGCGUGGUCGGCUGCAUGAGCGCGUGCACCAAGUUCGGUGAGCCCAGGUAUUGCUGCACUGGACCUAAUAAUAAGCCAGAGACAUGUCCUCCUACUGACUACUCUAGGAAGUUUAGUGAACAAUGCCCUGAGGCUUACAGCUACGCUUAUGAUGACAAGAAAGGCACAUUCACUUGCUCCGGGGGACCUAACUACGCUAUUACUUUCUGUCCAUAGAGACAAAUACCGCAAAUCCAAUAUGUAUUAAUAAGUUAGAAAGGAAAUAUCACACGACGUAUAUAUCCUUUCUUAUAUGUUAAAAUAAAGAAGUUUUUGAUGAUCAUCUGGAAUAUGACACCGAUCGAGCUAUUGUGAAAUGAUGUAUGAACUAUAUAUCUUAUAUGAAAUGACGAAUUAAAUAUGUCAGUUUUAGUUUAUGGAGUUCAUAUAUGGUUGCAUGCAUACAAUAUUUACAAUAGUAAGGAAGUUACUAUUUAUAAUUUGGAGCUUCCGGUGGAGACAAUAAGUUAAUUUGAAGCAAGUCUUGUUCAACAUGCAUGCAUGUUCAAGGACAAUUCUGUUGUGUAUUGAUGUGUGUAUCAUACAAACCCUAUUUGUAUGCACAUGUUCUUCUUAUUUUAGUUGUAUGUAUGGAAUGGGAUACACACCAUUACAGCAGACAAAUCCUAUGUUCAAAGGGCAAAAAAGUUGGCUUAAUUGUUCAGCUGAUUAUAUCUCUGGUAAAUUACGCUAGCUUCCUUUCCAGCUUGUGAAAUUCGUACUUACGGUUUGUAUUUAUUUGUGGAAAUCUAAGGCAAGAUGACGCUGGCUAUUGACUAAUUGUGGAAAAAUUCGUUCAAAAGUGUCUAUGUGCGUAUGUUCUCCACCUAUUAUAAAUGGCACCUCAUAUAUUGUUGAACAUGAAAUUAAUUUCCUAAUAAACGAGACAUAUGCGUCUGACAUGACAUUUCAUUUUUGGUCGGAAUAGUCAUGACUGUAUAUAUGUUAAGAAAAACAAAAGGUGCAUUCUUUGUUCAAUUAAUAGAAAUAAUGAUCUCUUGAAAAAAAAAAAAAAAUUAGACCUGAAAGUUAAAAAAAAAAUAAUGAUCUCUUUUUCUUUUUGGAAAUGAUAGAAAAAAUGGUGUUAAUAAUGUGCAUAGUGCAUAACUCUAGCUAUAUGUGGAGUAAUAUAUAGAACAGGUUGUGGUCUGUUGUCAUCAAAUUACAACUGCAUUUGCUGACUUUGCUCUAGAUAUUCAAGAUAUUCAAUCAUGCUGAUAAUCCGAGUGUUCCUCUACCUGAUCACCUUCGUUCCAGGUGAACACACAAUUCUCAUCUAGUCAUCUUCUUUGUUUGUGUGCUGGUACCAGAUUUGGGGUAAUUAUGGUUUUGUACUGAUUUCUUUUUUCCUGAACUACUCGUAUAUAUAUGCAGCUGCACAUCCGGCUACAGUAUAUUUCACAAACAAGUGCCGCUACAUGGUCUGGCCAGCAACCCUAACUAAUUCUGCUAACAAAUCUCAGUUAGCGUUUACGGGGUUCGAGUUAGCCUCCUAAGCUAGCAACAUCAUAGAUACUCCGGUUCCAUGGAAUGGCAGCUUCUGGGGCCGUACAAACUGCUUCACGGACAACUCCGGAAAGUUCACGUGCGACAACCCCGGGGAUUGCGCCUCCGGUCAGGUCUCAUGCAACGGAAAUGGAGGAGCUCCGCCAGCCACGUUGGUGGAAAUGAAUAUCGCAGGAGGCGGGGGUCAAGAUCUCUACGGUGUUAGUCUUGUUGACGGCUUCAACUUGCCAAUCUCAGUGACUCCACUAGGUGGUCAGGCUCCCGGAGAAUGUUGGAGCUCUAGUUGCAGAGCUAACGUGAAUGCUAUGUGUCCGAGUGAGCUACAAGUAACUGGCCGCCCUGGGGGGAGCGUGAUUGGUUGCAUGAGCGCGUGCACCAAGUUCAAUCAGUCCAGGUACUACUGCACACCACCUAAUGAUAAGAUAGAGACUUGUCCUCCUACAGAUUACUCUAUCAAGUUCAGCGAACAAUGCCCUCAGGCUUACAGCUACGCCUAUGAUGACAAGAAAGGCACAUUCUUGCUCCGGCGGACCUGACUACGCCAUUACUUUUUGCGCAUAAUAUCAUGCCAGAAAAGAAAUAAUAUUACGACAGAUCGAUAUCCUUUUCCAUAUGCUAAAAUAAAAGAACAAUGAUUAUCUGGAAUUUGGCACCGAUCUAUCAUCAAAUAGUGUAUGAACUAUCAAUUAUAUGAUGUGUUGGACCAACGCCUUUUGAUUACUAGAAAUCAAAUUCCUGAGGAAGUGAUCUUUUGCAGCUUAGUUGCAUAUAUGCUUGAUCGAGUGACUUAAUUUACAGUCUGGACCAGCCGUUUAUGAAAUUUUCUAGCUAGCAGUUGUAAAUUAAAGACAAGUUUGGUCUGUCAAUGUUAGAUAUAGAAAUCUGUGUUAGAUUGUUCGAAAUGUAAAUUAAUAGGAUACAAGUUAAUAUGUAUGUGUUAAGUCCUCGCUACUGUAAAUUUUUUGUACGUGGACUAAAUAAAAUCAUCAUUUGCAGAUAAUUAAUAUUAAUUUCUAGCCCUUGUAUUAAAAAAAAAAGAAUUAUUAGGCAGAAGAUAUAGCAUUACGUAGCCAGAGUCUGUGGUGGUCAUCCAUAGUGAUCUUAUCAGUGCAUGGCUAACAGGUUAAGACCGAUCGUUUUCAUACGACAGACUGAAACUUGUACAGAACUUUGUAAUAUGAAGGUUGCAUCGAAUUUUCUGGUAUGAACAUCUGAAAGAAAUCUGAGAUAUUUUUAGAGUUAGUUGAUCGACAACGCAUCUAUGGUACCCACAAAUGCUUAGCACUUUGUCUUCUUAAUAUCAUACUUUAGUUAUGUCUUGUACUUGCAAUGUGAAUUCUGAUAUCUUGUGUUAUGCGAUACAUAUAUCACUUCCCUACAAUCGAUCAUGGUUAUAUUUUUCACUCUUCUGAAUAUUUUGUUUUAAAACAAAUAAGGAAUUAUUAAUCUACAUGCAUUACUGUUCUUGAUUUGGUUUAUAUCUACUUGCGUAGACACCUGCAUAGUUAACUUUGUGUCAUCAUCAAUAUGGUAAUGUAUCAUUGAGGUUACAAUUGAUGAGAGAAUAGAAUACCUUGAGUACUUUGUAUGAAUGGGUGAGUUGAUCCCGUAGUGUGCAAGGAGGAAACAAGAUGGGUGAGUUGAUCCCAUUGUGAGCAAGCAAGGAAGAAGAGUCCUUAGGGUGAAAAGCCUUAAAAUAGUUAGUGCACUAAUUUGUCGUUGACCAUUCACGGUGUGUAUGAUCCGUGUUUGUGUAUAGCCCUGCUUGGUGAGUUGCAUGUAGGUGUUAUAGGUGAGAAGUAUAUAUUAUCAAUGGUGUAUGUUAUUUACAACAUGAGUUAUUUCCUUGAGUUAGUAUAAAAAAUAAGAGGAAGGGAUAUGUUAUGUCUAUAUAUUGGUUCGUAUGUGUCCUUCAAUAAGUUAUAGCUGCUGAAUUAGUUUGUGAUGUUAAUUGAUGUGUUUCAUGUUAUUUUCUCAUUUGAAAUAUUCUUUUGUUAUACAUCAAGAAUUAUAUUUGUGUGUAACAUAGUCUCCUGUGUAGUUUUUACUCAUACAAGCUUCAUAAGCUUACCGGGUUUUCUUUUCUUUUGUGAAACCGGUACACCAUUUUAUGGUGUAGGGAGUGACUUUGCAGGGAGUUAGUCUUGAAAGUUAACAAGAGGCAUUCAGGUGUAGUAAUUGACGCCUACCACUUGCCUGGAAAGUGAGUGACAUGAUUGUUAUGUAAAUUCCUAGAUUUACAUUUGCACUUUCGCUCUAUGGUUAGAGUUUGAUAUCACACCUUCAAUAUGGAUGUUAGGUUUAUGAUUUUAAUUUUUACUUUUUAGCAUUCGUGAAUAAUUAAUUAUUCCUCUGCAUUGGAUACUUUUCCGAUUCACAUUCAAAUUUAUUGCUUUUGGAAAUAUGUUACAAAGCGUAAAAUUUAGGAUGUGACCUUCUCUCAUUCAUGGAAGUAGCUACUCAGACAUUUACUUUGUUUGAUUGUACAUUUUGUUUUGAUAUGCACUUGUACAUGUUAUGUUAGAUUGUAGAACUCUUAUGGGAUUGGCUGUUUAGACUAUAGGAAGGAAUUUUGAGACUUGCAAUUUGUUCCAGUUGCUUUUGGUUUUGGUGUUUGGACUAUGCUUGUAUUAUGUAAGAUUUCUUCCUAUAUAUAUAUAUCUGUGUGUGUGUGUAUGUUUGUGCGUUUUCUGAUAUUCUGGUUACCAUAGUUUCUACUGCCAUCCCUGGACUUGUGUUACUAGUACUGAUUUCGGAUUAUGCAUAUAGGUCAUGUUCUUGUGGUCGUCUUUUUGGGGGUUCUGAUUGGACCAGGGAGUUUGAAGUUCAGUUCAUCAGUGAGAAGGUACUACUAGCAUCUGUGAUUCUAGUUUUACUUAUAAAGACUAUUGCAGUUGUUUGUCUGGUUACUAUGGAUCUAUUGUAUAUAGCUCUAGUUUUUUCAAUCUCGGUUCUUGUAAACUUGAUGAACAUUAGUAUUUCUCUGUUAGACCGUGAGCUAAAAGUUUUUAGUGGUUCAACUUUAUUCUGAUAAUACUUUCCUUUCAGUGACAGGAUUCAUGGUGAAACAACUCUUAGAAACAUAAUUCUUUUUGGUGGACUCACCAAAGGCAUGACAGGAAACUUAGGAACUUAUGUUAUUCAAGCUCUUGAAGGUGUAGAGGGAAAACACACCUUAUUCAAAGGAACAAAGUAAGUUUGGUUUUCAAUUUAGUCUUCUUAAUAUUGAAGUUUGUUUUUAUUUAUCUACAUAAGCAUUAAACUAUACUUUGAUGUUCAUUUAGAGGUCAUUUUUUGUUUGUUUUAGAAGCAUACUCUUUUGAUUUCCUUAUAAGCUUAAGCUUACACAAUCUUCUGGAUAUGUUUGUCGGUUGCUACAUUUUUCAGUCAUGUUAUGGUGUAACUACAUGUUAUUUUAUAUAUGAGCUUAAGCUUACACGAUCUUCUAGAUAUGUGCAGUCGGUUUAACUUAUGGUGUAACUACAUUCUUGGCUUCAGUUUUACCAGCUAGAAUCAUUUAUAUUAAGAAGACAUAACAGAAAAAUUCAAAAUUCAAACAGGUUAAGUACCAAGUGUACACUCAGGAAAUAUUUAUUUUUAAUUUUUUCUAGAGGUAUAUAAAAUUUGAUUCUGAUAAUGUACGGGUGAUGUUUACAGGCAUAUAAUAGGUGAAGCUGCUAGCGCUUUGAACGUCAAGGAACUGAAGAACCUAGAAUGAAUAUUGGAGAAAAGAAUCAGCAGAAUAAGAUCCAAAAAGGUACUGAGUGAACAUUCAUUUUUUAUUUGGGACAUAUUUAUAUUUAAGUAUUUCCUCAUUGAUAUGUACUCAUAAUUUCAAUCCACAUUUUCCAAUAUAUAUGCCACCAAAAUGAAAUGUUGUUUGCUGAAAUGUUGUUUUUCAGAAUAUAUUUUGGCAAGAGCCAUUGGAGGAGUUUGUUAUAGUGUUGACGAAAUGUUCAUUGUCCAGGGAAAAGAUUAUGUAGAUUUUCAUUUGAGUAUAGGUAUUGAGAAGUAUUGUAUUUUCAUUUGGUAGCUUGUACUUAACAUUUUUGCCGUGGUACAAUAUAGAACAAAAACUGGGUCCCUAUUAGUAAAAACCAAAACCAAGGUAAAUAUUUCAAAACCCAAUUGGUGUUUUAUUGAAAUUUCCAAUUAUUUUUUUUUUUGUUAAAUUUGCUCAAAUUGGGCACGGAUGAAUAUACGGUGUAUCAAGUUUCAUCGCUCAAAACUAUACGGAUAAAUAACAACAGAUCAGAUUAUUAUAUUAUAUAAAAAACAUGGAGCACUGUUACUGUCAGAAAGGGAAAAAGAGUGUGUGAGUUAUGGUGCUCAGGGUGGGACGGACAGGGAUAUCCGUCCCCUAAUGGUAAAAAACCAAUUUUGAGAUGGUACAGGGGGAUACAUAUAGAAAAUUCGUCCCCAUCAGUCAAUAGACAUAUAUUCUGUGCCCAAUGACCCUUAAUAGGGACAGAAAACGCCUGUGCCUAUUGAUCGAUUUCCUAGUAAUGCGGGUACAUUUCAUAACUCUUCCGCAUCUUAUACUAUCUAGCUAGAUCCAAAAUAUAAUGUCGGCCACAGCAGCCUCCCACUUAAAUCAUUUUUUUCAGAUGAAUCAGAUCAUGCGGAGUAAAGACUAGCUCGUUCAAGUUCAAUUUGUCUGUUCUUUUCUUCUCGUUUUAUUUGCAGUCUCCGAUCAAUGCCAUGAGCCUUCAAGCAAUUUGACGCUUAUGACAUGCAAAUUCAAUUCGCUCGUAAGUUAGGCGCGUAGGAGGUCGUAGAUAGCUAGCAAGUUGUGCUUAUAUAUCAUCCUUAAAAACUCUUACCAGCUACCUAACAACGGAUUCCUUUCGGAAGACAAUAAUUGCUAUUUGUCCUCGAUCGAGUUCACGUAUAAACAAUAAUAUCUAUUUCGUUGCCCAUAUUUAAUUAGUAGCAUAUAUUACAUAAUAAUAUGUCUAUAUUGUUAAGCUGAUAGAACUCAGUGAACUUGAUGAAUAUGGUAAUGAAGGCAUAAAUCAACAAGAAGGUGUAGCCUCGGAGAGUAUUGAAGUUAGACCAAAGUCAACAGUUUGACCCUGGUCAACCAGCGCGUGGCUCACAGAUGAACAGAUGAUCUUGAGCAUUUCUGAGUCUGCAGACAUUCUUUAUCCCCAAAUCACCUCACAACAGAUAUACAACGGUCCUUAUUCGUGACCAAGAAGAAAGGAUCACGUGCCUCUCCAUAGCUGGCAAAGAGGAUAUUUUCUAUAGUGCUUAUCCAAUUGUUCUUGUCCUUUAUAUAUAAGGAUUGUAUUGCACUGUUGUCUGCAUCAAUCAUCAUCUUGUAAAAUUACGUACCUUCAAUACAAUACAAGCUGCUUUCUCUUCUUUUCAAUUUUCUUUGCUUCUUUGUUGUAUACUCUUUUCUGUGUGCUCAUUUUCAUAUUCAGUAAACAAUUUUGUUUAAGUUCUUCACUUGCUAUUACAACGUUUCAUAAGUGUUUGAAUUUCAGCAUGGUAUCAAAGCCUAUAGCCUGACCAUUGCCUUAUCACACUGUCUUCCGAUGUCUUGUCACUAUCAACACAAAAAAAACUCAUUUCUUCACCUACUGAGGCUAUAAACUUCAUUUAUUCACCUACUCAUUUCUCAUUAGUCAGAUCUAGUAUAAAUUCUAUUAGAUCUAGUCUUUUCUUCUUUUUAGUUUGAUAAAUCUCUCUUUCCUCACAGUGUUGGUUCAAUGGCACGCUCGAAUAACAACUGCAAUGUAUUUCGGUGCUCCUUGAGGAGAACAACUAUCCUACGUGGCUCUAUCAGAUGCACUAUCAUCUAAAGAGUUAUGGCUUGCUGAAAAUUGUUGAUGGAACCCUUCCUUGUCCACCACCUUGCUCUAUCAACCCUGAUGGGACUGAGGUGGACAACACAGCUGCGUUUGAAAAAUGGGAAGAGCAAGACAGGGUUCUCAUUGGCACCCUUUCCAACUCUCUCUCUCUCNNNNNNNNNNNNNNNNNNNNCUCUCUCUCUCUCUCUCUCUCUCUCUCUCUCUCUCUCUCUCUCUCUCAUCUGAGCCUCUUGCACUAAUUGUAGGAUGCACCUCUUCUAGGGAGGUAUGGUACAGGCUCAAGCAAAGGUAUGCUUCUGUCUCUGAGGCACAUGUCAUGCAGCUUAAGACUGAGUUACAAGCUAUUCAAAAAGGAGGUGACUCUAUUGAAAGAUAUCUGUUAAAAUUCAAAAGUGUUAGAGAUAAAUUAGCAAUGCUUGGAGUUAUGAUGUCUGAUCAGGAUGUUAAAGUUUUAAUCCUUACUGGUUUACCUAUUGAGUAUGGUCAUACUAGACAGAUUAUUAGGGGAAAGCCUAAUAUUGAUCUUGGUGAGGUCAGAUCAUUAUUGUUGUCUGUAGAAAGUGAGAUUGAACUUGAACAAAAGGUUUUACCUUUGUCACAAUUUUCUGCUAUGGUUGCACAAAAUCAAAAUGCCUAAAUGCCUAGUGUUCCAAGUUUUGGUAACACCAUCUUCAACACUUCUAUUCCAUGGGCUGCAAACUGUGCAGCACCCUCAAACUUUAAUGCCUCAAAUGCUGCAUCUCCUUGGCCUGAUAAUUGUGUUGCAUCAUCUAAUUAUUGCACUCCUAAUAGCUAUGCUAAUGUUACUCCUGGAAUUGUUAAUGGAUACAAUAAUGUUGGUGCUCCAAAUUCUACUAUGACUUUUGUGGGGUAUGAACCUCAGUAUGGCUCUCAUAGUUGUUCCAAUCCUGCUAUUAGUACUUCAUCAGUGAAUCACAUGAACUAUGGACCUAUACAUGCUUCUACAGGUUUUAUUAACCCAUUAGUCAGUACUCAGCAGGUCCCUACCAUGCCUCACAUGUAUGCAUCCAGUCCUAAUGCUAUGACUACCUCCACUGCUCCAAGCAACAUGAUCAUGCCUUUCUCACAAGUCAGUGCCUCUCCUUAUAUUAUGAAUAGCUCACAAUCUUCUGUGGGAUUUUGCUCACCUCCUAAUCAGCAUGUAGUUCAGCAAAUCCCAGCUAUGAAUCAUGGUUUUUCUCAAAACCAACUCACACCUUAUUCUCAGCAGGCCUCAGUUGGAAAUCAAGGAUUCUCUGAAAAUCAGCAGUUCUCACCUUACUCUCAGAAUACAGCCUUUAUUGGACACUUUAGCCCUCAAGAUGGUGAAUCAUUUCCACAGUUUCCUUCGUCUGGUGGUAGAAGUAACAAUAACCACAACAAUGGAAACAACUCCAAGGGCAACAAUAAUUAUUAUAAGAAUGUUGUUUGUCAAAUUUGUGACAAACAUGGUCAUACAACCUACAAGUGCGGUCAGAAGAACUCUCACCAGUCUGGGGAAGCUACUAGCUCAUCAGUAGAAUGUCAAAUCUGCAAAUAGCCUGGUCAGAUUGCCAAAACAUGCAGAUGGAGGAAUGCUAAUCUCAAUCAACAGCAAUCUGGGAACUCAGCUAUGCUUGCCUGUGACCUUAAUUCUAGUGAGGGAGUAUGGCUAAUGGACUAUGGAGCCACCAACCAUAUGACAUCUGACAUCAAUCAUUUGCAGAACAUCACCACCUACAAUACCACAGACUCGAUGCAAAUUGGUAAUAGUGACAGCCUUCCUAUUACAAAAAAGGGUUUAAAUACUCUCAGUUGGAAAAACCAAUCUCUCUUUGAAAAAUAUAUUACUUGUUCCUGAUUUGGCUGCUAAUUUGUUAUCUGUUUACAACAUCUGUAAAGAUAACUGUGUGAGACUGAUCUUUGAUGCAUUUGAAUUUCUUAUACAGGACAAGGAAACAGGCAAAGUCUUAUAUGAUGGUGUGUGUGUGAAAGGGGGCUCUAUCCUGUUCCAGUCAAAGUUGCACAUCAGUUCCUUCCUACAGUAGUCAGUAAAAACUCAGCUUUUCUUGGAAAUAAAGUGUCUCACUCACUGUGGCACAAGAGGCUAGGUCAUCCGUCCAAUACAAUAGUGUCUAGCAUUUUGUCUAAGUCCAACAUUGUUCCUUCUUCUUAUCAAUGUCAGUCUCUUUGUGAGUCAUGUUUAGCUAGAAAAUCUUCAAGGUUGCCCUUCCUUGUGUCUAGUACUAAGUCAACUAAGCCUUUUGAGGUUGUUCACUCAGAUCUUUGGGGUCCUUCCCCCACUGUAUCAAUUGAGGGUUACAAAUAUUAUUUCACUAUCAUUGAUGAAUAUAUUAGAUACACAUGGAUUUUUCCAUUGAGAAAUAAAAAGGAGGUUUUACCUUUGUUUUAGACAUUCUGUGCUUUUAUUUUGAAUCAAUAUUUAGCUUCUGUUAAAAUUUUUCAAUCAGAUGGGGGUGGGGAGUUCACAAGUAAUUUAUUUAAAGCUUUUUUGAAUAAAAAUGGUAUUGCUCAUCAGCUUUCAUGUCCCUAUACUCCACAACAGAAUGGGCUAGCUGAAAGAAAAAAUAGGCAUAUUGUUGAAACUGUUGUUACUUUAUUGCACUGUGCCCAUCUUCGUGUAAUUUUUUGGUACCAUGCCUGUGCUGCUGCUGUUUAUCUGAUUAAUAGGAUGCCUAGCUCAAAUUUGUCCAUGAAAUCACCUUUUGAGGCUCUUUUCCAAAAAAUUCUUGCCAUUGAUCAUAUUAGAGUUUUUGGUGCUACUUGCUACCCACUGCUGAAACCAUAUAACUCAAAUAAGCUGCAACCCAAAACUGCUCCUUGUGUGUUUCUUGGCUAUGCCCUAGGUUACAAAGGGUUUAUUUGCUAUAAUCCUGAGUCUAAGAAAACUAUUAUUUCCAGGAAUGUCAUUUUUGAUGAGAAUAAUUUUUACUAUCAGAAAAAUCUGUUUCUUCUUCUAAUAAUGUUGAACAGGUGACUCAGUUCUUUUCAGCCGCUUGCUCUCUUCCAUCUACAGUGCAACAUGAAUCACACACACCUUCAUCAAUGCCUCUCCUUGUCCAAGAUCAGACCUCACCUUCUCCUAUCACUUUUCAACAACCUGUGUUUCCAGAAGAUCACCAAUCUGACCAUGAACAGUCUGGUUCCUCUCCUAUUUCAGAUAAUUGUGUAAUCUCAGACGAGUUGCUAAAUACUGCUGGUCUUGGAGAUCCAUUGAUUAUUGAUCAUAUUGAUACAUAUCCCUCUCAGUCUGAUUCCAUCAGAGGUGCUGAAAAUCCUGUCUCCUACACAGACAAGCCUUAUAUUCCAAUUUCAGACAUCCAUAUGGACAUUCAACCACCAUCAUCAACAUCUUUUGAGAGAAUUUCCUCAUUCAUUCCUUUGUCUAAUUUGAAUGCCAAUGAUCAUCCAAUGAUAACCAAAAGCAAACAUUGGAUUUUAAGAAGAAGGUGUUCCAUGCUAUCAAUACUGCUAUCAAAGUCUCACCAAUAGAGAACCACACACAUUCAAGCAGGCUCUACAGGUACCUGAGUGGAAACAAGCAAUGCAGGAUGAAUUUGAUGCUCUCACUCAUCAAGGAACAUGGUUUCUUGUUCCACCUCAGCAAAAUAAAACUUAGUGAGUUGUAAAUGGAUUUUUAAGUUGAAGAAAAAUGUUGAUGGUUCUUAUAGCAAGGCAUAAAGCUAGAUUGGUUGCAAGAGGAUUUAGCCAAGAAGAAGGUGUUGAUUAUGAUGAAACCUUUAGUCCAGUUGUUAGACACACCACAGUUAGACUGUUCCUUGCUCUUGCAACACAAUUUAACUGGAACUUCAUCAUAUGGAUGUAAAAAAUGCCUUCCUACAUGGAGUGUUAAAGGAAGAAGUUUACAUGUCUCAACCACAAGGUUUUGAGGACCCUCAUCAUCCUCACUAUGUUUGCAAACUGGUAAAAUCUCUUUAUGGAUUAAAACAAGCUCCUAGAGCUUGGAAUGAAAGGUUCUCCUCCUUCCUUCCAUCCUUGGGUUUCAGAUGUUCACAUUCUGACCCUUCACUUUUUGUUAAAGCAUCUGCAUCCACCAUGGUUUACCUACUGUUAUAUGUUGAUGAUAUCAUAUUAACUGGGAAUGAUGAGACUGAAAUUGGUGUUAUAAAGCUUGCACUGCAAUUGGAAUUUGAAAUGAAGGAUUUGGGCUUGCUACACUAUUUUUUGGGAUUGCAGAUUGAAUACUUACCAUCAGGAGGCAUUUUCAUUUCUCAAUCCAAAUAUGCCUCUGAGGUGCUUAUUAAAGCAGGUAUGACUGGAAAGAAGAGUUGCAGCACUCCAUGCCUUCCUUAUGCCAAGUUACUUAGAGAUGAUGGACCUCUGUUUAAAGAUGUUACUCAUUACAGGAGUAUUGUGGGAUGUCUGCAAUACCUGACUUUUUCAAGACCUGACAUUGCUUACAGUGUUAACACUGUGUGUCAGUUUAUGCAAAUACCUACUGAAUCACACUAUGCAGCAGUUAAGAGAAUACUCAGAUACUUGAUUGGCACUGUGAAUUUUGGCCUGACAUAUAAACCAGCUCCCAAUCCAAUAGAGCUAAAAGCCUUUUCUGAUGCUGACUGGGCCGGUGACCCCAAUGAUAGAAGGUCAACAACUGGGUUUGUAAUCUAUUUUGGAAACUGUCCCAUUUCUUGGUGCUCUAAGAAACAACACUCAGUCUCACGCUCAUCUACAGAGGCUGAAUAUAGGGCCAUGGCAGACACAGCAAGUGAAAUCUUUUGGUUAAGACAUCUGCUAUCAGACAUCUAUAUGAGUUUACCAUUUCCUCCUCUCUUCCACUGUGACAAUGCUUCUGCUCUUUCUCUUGCUUCUAAUCCUAUUCAUAAAUCCAAGUGUAAGCAUGUGGAGGUUGACAUACACUUUACAAGAGAAAAAGUUGUUAGGGGAGAGCUUAAUCUGCAAUUUGUUCCCUCUCUAGAACAGUUUGCUGAUAUUUUUACUAAGGGCCUAAGCACUACACAUUUUCAAUAUUUAUGUUGCAAUCUAGUGCUUGGUAACCCUAGCUCUAGCUUGAGGGGGGCUGUUAAGCUGAUAGAACUCAGUGAACUUGAUGAAUAUGGUAAUGAAGGCAUAAAUCAACAAGAAAGUGUAGCCUCGGAGAGUAUUGAAGCUAGACCAAAGUCAACAGUUUGACCCUGGUCAACCAGCGCGUGGCUCACAGAUGAACAGAUGAUCUUGAGCAUUUCUAAGUCUGCAGACAUUCUUUAUCCCCCAAUCACCUCACAGCAGAUAUACAACGGUCCUUAUUCGUGACCAAGAAGAAAGGAUCACGUGCCUCUCCAUAGCUGGCAAAGAGGAUAUUUUCUAUAGUGCUUAUCCAAUUGUUCUUGUCCUUUAUAUAUAAGGAUUGUAUUGCACUGUUGUCUGCAUCAAUCAUCAUCUUGUAAAAUUACCUUCAAUACAAUACAAGUUGUUUUCUCUUCUUUUCAAUUUUUUUUGCUUCUUUGCUGUAUACGUUUUUCUGUGUGCUCAUUUUCAUAUUCAGUAAACAAUUUUGUUUAAAUUCUUCACUUGCUAUUACAACGUUUCAUAAGUGUUUGAAGCAUAUAUGUUGUAGCUGGAGCUUUUAUUUAUUUAUUUUUAAACUUUUUUAUUAAAUAACUCACGCACUCUACAUAUGUCAAUGAGAUUUGAACUCGUGACCUCAAAAUCAUUAGUUAACACCUUAACCAACCAGGCCACGACUCAUCGGCAUGUUGUAGCUGGAGCUUCCAAUGGAGACAAGUUAAUUAGGAGCAAGUCUUCUUCAACUUGUCCAAUGGGGAAGAAAGUUCAAGAAACAUGCUAAGACUCGUUCAACUGAAGAUUAUAUAUUUGGUAAGUUAGGCUGGCUUGCUAUGCAACUUGUGAACUAAAUACUUGCAUACAGUACUUUGUAUUCAUUUGCGGAAGUCAGGGUCAAUUAAUUAAUACUAGUUCUUGAAUCAAUCAUCCUAUAAAAAUGGCACCGCAAAUGUUGUUGAAACAUAAAAUUUGCUCACUUGAUCCCUUUGCAUACACAUGAUGGCAAAGUCCCAUGUAUCUUCCCAAGUCCCUUCCACAGUUUACAAGUUGUUGCUACUCUUUGGAAUCGUAAUGGCUACCUUUACCACAACAGGUCUCGAUCUCAUUCUUCACUUGGUUAAACCUAGCUUAUUGUUUGCUCAGUUCUCCAUUAAUUUAGUAAAAUCUUAUUGUUUGGUUAGCUAGCUUCUUUUCCACAACUAACGUACAUAUCAUGCAUAUAUAUAUAUAUGCAGGUGCCCAAAUUGGUGUUUGUUAUGGGACUGUUGCGAACAACUUGCCACCCCCACAAGAAGUUAUAUCACUUUACAACCAACAUAACAUCAAAAGGAUGCGGCUAUAUGGUCCUAACCGUGAUGCUCUCGAAGCUCUUAGAGGCUCCAACAUCGAGCUCAUGCUUGGCGUCGAACACGAAAGCCUUCAGGAUAUUUCUUCUAACCAGGCCAGUGCUGAUGACUGGGUCCAGAACAAUGUGGUAAAUUAUGGAGAUGUCAAUUUCAAAUACAUUGCUGUAGGAAAUGAAAUAGAAUCAGGUUCAUUAGCACCAUUUGUUGGCCCUGCCAUGGAAAAAAUUCAAAAUGCAAUUUCCCAGGCUGGUCUUGCAAACAAAAUUAAAGUCUCCACUGCUGUUCAUCCUAUAAUCCUUCAAGACUCCUUCCCUCCAUCAAAAGGAUCGUUCAAGCAAGAGUAUCGAGACUUUCUUGAUCCCAUCAUUGGUUUUCUUGUGGGAAAUCAAUCUCCCUUGCUUGUUAAUAUGUACUCGUACUUUAGUUACAUUGACGACCGGGGUAUCAACAUUCAGUAUGCUCUUUUCACCUAUCCAUCAGUUCUGGUUUCAGAUGGACAACUUGGGUACCAAAACCUGUUUGAUGCACUUCUCGACGCACAUUACUCGGCUUUAGAGAAGGCCGGAGGUAGCUCGUUGAAAAUUGUUGUAUCAGAGACUGGUUGGCCCUCCGCUGGUGGUGAUGACCAAGUUACAACAAUAGAGAAUGCGAGAAUCUACCACUCAAAUCUGAUCAAACAUGUCAAGAGUGGUACUCCGAAGAAACCUGAAGGUCCGACAGAAACUUACAUAUUCGCCAUGUUCAAUGAGAAUGAGAAAAGUGGAGUAGAGACUGAGAAGAAUUUCGGACUCUUUUUACCAACCAAAGAUCCUGUUUAUCCUAUUGAUUUCAACUAAACUCUUUCAAGGAUUAUAGUUGCAGUAUAUUUUCCUUAUGCAUGAACGCAUAAGAGUAAAUAAAACUUGGCUAGGUUGUAACCCUAAACCUGGCAAGACCCAAAUUUGUAUACGAAUUAAUAAUGCCAAUACGCAAAUACUACAGUCAUAAUUGUCUAUUAUUCAGUUGGAACAUUCCAUAAUGAUGCUAUCUCGAUCAUCAUACGAAUUAUUAACUUAAUUGUUUAACUUUGUUAUGUAAAUUGAAAUGAAUUAGAUGCAAAUCGAGAGUGUUGAUAUUCAUGUCAUCAGAACGUCAGGGUGAGAAAAUUCACUUAUGAAGGCGUGUUUUACUUCAGGUGGAGGACUCGAUGAGAGACGCUUUUGAAUAUAUUACUGAAUUUUCAGUCAAGAAUUAGGAUUAUCUUGGCCUAGAUUUCCAGUUUUUUACGUAGCAAAACCAAGUGUGAGACGUUGGUCGCAAGUUGAAUAGCUACCGGCCUACUUAACUUUGUGGAAAAGGCAAGUGCGCGGUUAGUUUAAGAAGACUAGCUUCUAAUUCACUUUAAGUGUAUACGACGACACUUUAGGCAUCACUCUCUGUCUGAUCAGUCUAUUUUUAGUCCAAGAUAUGCUGAUAUUCCCAACGUAUUUCUGACGACGUACAAAGAAAGAAGAAGAGACCAGAUCGAGCAUUCCUACCAAGUCUCUACAUUUUUGUUGAAUUAAUCUUCUGCUUACCUAGCUACGUUCUGUUCUGUUCUAUUCUUGUCCUUUCUUUGGGUCCGAAGAAUUAUUCACUUUAUGAAAGAUUUCAAGUUAUUUCAAUCGUAGUGAAUAUUCAGUUACAAGACCAUUGAAUUCUCAUGUUAUAAGCCUCACAUCUGCGGUUGCUUAAAAAGCUUGGCACAUCUUCAAAGACAACGUACGUUAUCCGGCACAUAUUUAGAAAAGAAUCUUCGAGGCAAAGUUUUAUACAUAUGAUUUACAAGGUAAAUUGUGUAGUGGUUUAGUUUCCAGAUAAACCAAGGAGCUCAAAUGUCCUUACAGAGAGCUGAUAUAUAAUGUAGAGAACUUCAUAUCAGAAUGCCUUGGAUCCCAUGUAACCUACAAUCUUUUAGAGGAAAACCUACCACCUCAAGAGCAAGACUUCUCAUAGCGGUUAGCAAGUUAGCAAAUGUCAUCACUGAGAUCUUUCAGGCUGAGAUACAAUUUCAGUAAUGCUGAUUCAGUCCCGGUCUAACUAACUGUGCAGAUCUUCUUCGAAUAUAUUAUGCCUCAAGAUCCUAACCAUCUUACUCAAAAUCACAUCAUUUUUAGCCAGAUACUGUUCCGCUGAAUGUUCAUUACUAAAAACAUGUCUUCCUAUGUGGUAGUUGUUUCCUUCUUUUGCAAUGAUCCCAUGUUCACAAGCCAAUUGCAAAACCUCAGAUUCACAGCAUAACCCUCUACCAAAUUGUAUCCCCAGAUCAGCUUUCUUCAUUGCAGGUGCCAAUUUAUUUUUCACCACUUGCACAGAAAUCCCAAGACCUGUGAUCUAAUGAAAUAAACACAAACAGAAACUUACACUUUAGUUAGGGAAAGUAUUAAAAUCCUCGGGAAAAAAAAAAAACAAUAAGAUGCCUAGUGUAAGAGAAAAGAAAAGAAAAGAAAAAAUUAUCUUGGCCAAUAUAGAGGCAAUGUGAAUGCCUCAACAUAUACAAUGCUUUGAGGAAUUUUCCAACAUAUUCUAAAGUAGCUGAACCCAAUGCCCACACUAAGCAGUUAGUUUUUCUGUUUCUUUUAUUUUUUUUUAAAUCUUAUAAUUGUCCAGGCUAAAAGGUGUAGGUCGUAGCCUGCUAAAGCAAUUUACCAAGCAUUUUUAUGGUCCUGGCUUACAGGUUUCACUGUUUCAGGCUCUACAAGAGAUAGCAGCCAGUAUAGCUCAUGAACAAUAGUAUGCUUCACUUACAAAAUCAUCGAUUUGCUUUUCUUUGCAACUUCCUUUAUUCCUUUCUAUUUAUCGGUAGGUCAUUGGUUCAUAGGGUUUCCCCUGUCAGUUUCUCAUUCUUCAGUGAUAUAUUCUUUAAUAGUACCCAUUGCUAUGAAAAACUGAUUUUUGACAGAGAAACUAGGUUUACUCUGAGCAGCAUAGGCCAAGAGACCAAAAUUCUGGCCUACCAAAACAAGGAACUUCUCCAAAACAGUUUCAUGAUUGAAUUACAGUAACCAUCAUCACAAAGAAAUAACAAAAAAAGAACCUGAGAUCAUUUCUCAUUAGUAAACUAAUAAAGAAUUACCUUAUCCUCAGUCUUAAGCAACUGGGUUCUUUUUAUUCUUAAUCGAACUGCUGCAUAGAAUCGCAAGGCAUUUCCACCACAGGUGACCUCAUCCACGGGUCCAAAACCCUGCCCUGAGUUUGGACUGGAUCUAACCUGGAUAUAAACUAAUUGUCAGAUAGUAUGCGCCAUUUCUCCACAAUGGAGAUCAAACAGAUGGACUAAAAUGUCAAGUACAGUGGUUAUAACCUGAUUUAUAAAAACAACAAGUGCUUGAGAAUGGCUUAAUGAGGAAUGAAUUUUCCUAAGUGCUUGGGUCAUUAUUCUUGACUGAGUGUUUGGGUAUGCACUACCAAUUGCAACAUCAAGCUCACACUGGGGGACCAGAGCAGCUACCUGAAAAUCCAAGCAUACAUUGUAAUACAGUUAAGUUAUUUAUCAUCAAACUUAAAUUGAAGGUGAGUGUCUACAUCCAGAAAGCUCAGCAGAACAGGUAUAUAAACUAAAGUAGACGGCAAGUCCAAUUACAACCUCUCUAAGCUUAAUUAGUUGCUCUAUUUCAACUCUAAACUCAGUCAUCUUUCUACAUUUCAUUUUUUAUUACCUAUUUGGCACAGCAGACUUUAGUUUCUAUUAUUAUCAAACACUACAUUCAUCGGUUGGAAUGAACAGUACAACACAAUGAAUCUUUACCAAUGUCACAGUAUUCACAAGUAAAGGUACCCUCAAAUAUGUAUGUAGAUCUUUGACAUUUAGUUUUAUUUUUGGCUGUGAAUGCAUGUAGACAUUUAGAGUGCUUACACUAUCCACAACAAUUACAUCCAAGGAACCGCUUUUAGCCAAAGUGUCGACCACAUUCAGCACAUUUUCAGCAGAAUUGGGAUAAGAAAUAAGAAGGUUUUCUGUGUUUACACCCAUUGAUUGUGCAAGUGCAGGGUCCACUGCAUUCUCUACAUCCAGAUAUGCGCAAUACCCUGCCAAAAGAACAGUGAUGACAGUCUAGUGAAUUAAUCAAAAUGGAAAACUAGUAUAAACUGCAAUAACUCUACUGGAAUUAAGCAAACGUCCAGUAGGAAUACUAGAUAUCAGCACCACAAGGCACAAGCCUAUCUUCAGAAGAAACAGAGUUUAUUAAGAAAGGAAACACAAACUGGGGACUAUAAGUCCACAGCAACAAAGACUAAAGAAGAAAGCCGCCAGGCUGAAGGCACCUCUGCCUGAGCAUCAUAGGUAGUUGCCAGUAGGUUAACCAAAAAAAGAAACAAAGAAAAACAUUAUAAAAAGCCAAGACCAAUUACUAUAACCAUCGAUUCAUUCCAAUCUAAAACGAUAGAAUGAAACAAAAGACCAUGAAAGCUCCAAGAGCAGACUGACAGAGAAUUCUCCUCCAGUGAUCCUUGAUUCCUAUAUUUUCAUCUUCUUUAAGAGCAUUCUGUUUGCACCCACCAAACUAUCCAAGACACAGCUGCAACAGUAACAACCAACAAGAACAAAGACUAACAAACAAGAAGCUAUGACUAAGACUAGAUAACCACUGCAGUCCAACUAUAAAGAACUACAAAAAUGGAACUCUUCUUGAACUUCUGAAGGUAUGAACCCAUAAAGAAGCCCAAGACCAGAUCUUCUCCUAAAUCAUCUCCAAUAUUCUCGUGUUCCUUUCAUCCUCUCAAUUUCAUAUUCUUUGAACACUCUUUCCAACAACUCCAUUUUCUGAAUACUGAUGGGCUGCAAUUAAGACCGUUCACUCAACACCUUACUGCCCAAUUUUUUGGAAUAAAACUUCUUCAAUAAUUUUUGCUCUUUGAUGAUUGUUUGGGUUUUCAUAAUCGUUAUUUACACAAACAGUUCUGAAUAGACAGAUUUAUGGUCCGUUCGUCAAUUUAAUCUAAUUCGGUACCUUAACGAUCACCAAAUUCAAUGAAACUUGACAUGAGUGAUCUAUGCAUUAGGUUCUACAAACUGAACGGUGGAGAUGUGUAAAUAUGACCGAAAAGUGAGUCAAAUAGGGAACUUCACACUUUAAUUUCAAAGUGAAGCUUCGCUCUGCAUAAGAACUGUUUAUAUAUAUAUAUAUAUAUAUAUAUAUAUAUAUAUAUAUUUGCUGCGACCACUUGCCAUUCAAAAUAUCAUAAGAAUCUCAUAAAUUCAAAUGAAUGAGAAGUAGCUUGAUUUCCUAAAUAAAUCAUCCUAAUAAUUAUUCUCAUAUCAGAUUCUAUUUUUAAUUUCUAAAACAAUAAAUACUAAGAUCUCAAGUGUUCUUAAAAUGCUUGUACUUGGCCAUACAAAGAGAACUAAAACUAAUGUUUUGUGUAUCAUUCAUAUGAGAUUAAUCUCAAUGGCUAUGGGAACGAGAAUAAUGGCAGCAAAGCAACCAUAUAUGAAUAUUCAGGUAGCAUUUGGUGAUAUACAAAGACAAUCAAAUACAGAAGAAUCAAAUCUAAUUCCUGGAGUAGACGUACCAAACGGAGAAGAAACAUGGGAUAACAGAAAUGGGAAUCUUUCAGUAAGUUCCCAAAGAGGCUAGCUAAGCAACCUAUCAGCGAUCAUUGGUUCACAGGCUUGAAUCUCUUAAAAUCUAUAGAGCUCGAACUUGACCUGGCUUGUCUGUUUACAAGCCAAGCUAAAGAACCAAACAAUGAGCUGAACUCGACAUGAACUCAGGCUGUGUCAAGCCAGAUUACAGCUAUAUAUUAGAGAGCUAGGGUAAAAGGAUUUUCAUGGCUAUUGAUAUUUCAUGACACGUCUUUGUUACGCUACCUCAAGGAUGGUCUUGACAGUCAGUAACCUUGGAAUAAUCAAUUGUAUCUCUAUUUGCAAGGCUAUCAGCCUUCACUCAUCCUAUAACCUGGCGAGCCUUGGAGAGAAGUGGUGGGGAAACUAAUUACGAUCAUGAGGAUUCAGUCUAGAACUUACGAUUUAAUCGCCGUUCUACCUGUGUAUCCCGAUUUCCUAUUAGUACUACUCACUAGCCUCUUUAUGUAAUGGCAUAGAUUCCUUUUUGUUCUACAGAAUUUUAAGUUAAUAACUAGGUACUUUUGGCAACUAUAAAUAUUAAUUACUUGAAUACUGAGAUUAGAACAAAAAACACUGAAAUAUUCUAGUCUAUGUUUAGUUGCUUAUCAGAAAAUCAGUACUUUCCUUAACAAACUAAGCUAGUGCAUUAAGGGACUGAAUAAUGACACGAAAGAUUAAUACACACACCUCCAAGCUUCUGAGCUUCCUUGACAAUGUGGAGUGCGAGCGUAGUCUUGCCAGAUGCUUCCUGCCCAUAAAUUUCAACAAUUCUUCCCUGCAGAGAGCAAUGUACAACAUUCAAUAGAAUCUCGAAGCGAAUUCAAUGCGUCAAUAUUCGAAGUUAGUUGCUAGUUCCUGGUGCAAAAUGUCUGAAUGGCCAACUAGUUACCUUGGGCAACCCUCCGGUCCCGAGGGCCAGAUCAAGCUUCAAGGAACCAGUGGAGAUAACAGGAGCACGCCUGGGGCGAAAAAACCGCGGCAAUGAUAACAUGGAUUCGUGCCCGAAAUCGCCCGAAAGGCGUGAGAGAGCCGAAUGCAGGGCAGCAUCUUUCUCUCUUGCUUUAGCAUCUUCCUCAUUAUCGCCAUUAUAAUCCAGCGCACCACAUUCAGCUGUAAAUUGCUGCAACAUCAUAAUUUGUAUGCAAUAUAGCCUACCGAAAAGAAAGUGAAAAACCCAAAUUACCAGGACAAGUCGUCGUUGUGUGUCUUCUUCUUCCUCCUCUCUGUGAGAGAGAGACAUGGUGGAAGGAGGAGAGUAAAGAAGAGAGGCGAGGUUGGUUGAGCGCCGCCAGACCAAAACGGUGUGGAAGUAACCCCAUUUUUCUGUAAUGGGCUCUCGUCAAUAAAUGUGUUUUGCAGAAGCUAGGUGUUGUCGGAUUUUAAGGGUUUUGAGGGUUUAAGCUUGAGCUCUGCAAAUUCCAAGUUGAGAGAGUGUAGUUUCCCACACUCGGCAAAAAGUUUAUUUGCGCUUCAGUCCUCAGCUCUUCGUGUAUCCAUCGAAAAAAAAAUUAGAAAUUCGUCUGGUAUACGAAUUUUUGCUCAUUAUAAAUUUUGGUAUAUUAAGUUUUAAAAAUAUCAAAAUGGUAUCUCAUGUUGAGAAAUUCAUCCGAAUGGUAUACGAACUUUUGCUCCUUAUAAACUUUAGUAUGUCAAGUUUUGAAAAUAUCAGAACGGUAUCUCAUGUUUCCAUCCCGACCUAAGAUUGGUAUAUAUAGUCAUUAAUAUGACCAAAUUACUCUUAAGUUCUUUUUUUUUCUUAGUUUUUUUUAUUUGUUUUCAUAUUGCAUAAAUAUUAGAAGAGGUUUUGGAAUUUCAUGAUUUGGGUUGACCUUUAUAAACUUAAAGAAGAUUGAAGAGGGGAAACAUACAGAAGUUCAAUCCUUGUUGUUUCCGCCGACACUCAAGGAUUUUAUUGUUACCGUUGACAUUCAAUUGUUGUUACCGUUGACAUUCAAGGAUGAUUGAGAUGAAGAACUGAUUAUUAGCAAGGAGAAAAUGACAAUGAAUUUUUUCUCUACGUUCCUAAAAAUAUAAAAAGCCAAAAAAAGAAAACUGGAAUAUGAAAACAAAGAAGAAAAACUAAGAAAAAAAAAAGAAUUUAAAUGUAAAUUGGUCAUCUUUUUUCUUGGUCUGAAGGUAAAUUAGUCAUUUUAAUGGCUAUAUAUAUCAAUCUUAGGUCGGAAUGGAAGCAUGAGAUACCAAUCUAAUAUUUUUAAAAUUUGAUAUACCAAAGUUUAUAAGGAGCAAAAGUUCGUAAACUAUUCAGAUGAAUUUCUCUUUGGAUUAUAGUAUAUAAAGAGUUACCUUUUCUAUAAAAAAAGAAGGAAAAAUAAUCCAAAUAGUGUCUCACAUUUUAUCAAAAUUAAUUUUUAGUAUCUCAACUUUGAAAAACUUUAAAAUCAUAUCUCAUGUUCUUACCGCGACUAAACAUUAGUAUCUGACACCGUUAGCUCUGUUAAAAUAACUAACGGCAUACACAUUUUCCUCUUAAAAUGACCAAUUUACCCUAUGUUUUUUUUGUUACUCUUUAAGUCGACACCCACACCGACGAUUUGAGCAGCGGUGGAGCUUGAAUCGCUCCUCUGUUGUCCGAUCGCUUCUCGACGUAGCACCUUUGGCCAUAACAUCGUCUCAUCGUCCCCGACAUUGCUGUGGUAUUGGUUUUGCAUGGGAAGCUGUGGAGAGAGAGAAAAUGAGGAGAGAAGGUGACUGGGUUCCCGAUUGGGUUCCGAUUCCGGCCACGGCAGCAAGCAAGACCGGUUUUGUUAGCUUCGUCUUGUGGUGUUUGUUUACCCAUUUGAGAAACCAAGAGUGAGAAUCAAUUAAGUGAACUCAUUGAAUUUUCCGGCAACGUUCUGUGUUUCCCAGCAACUUUUGGGAUUCAGUCUAGGUAUCAAAAUUGGUCCAUUUAUCGAGUUUUACCUGUACUUAUAGUCGAAUUCGUGAUUGGGUGAAGUUUGAAGAAAUUGACGUUUUGAGUUUUUGGGGGUAGUAGAAGAUAAUUCUUGGUUGGUUGUUUCUGAAUGGGAACACGAGAGAGAGAGAGAGUAGAAAAAGAAAAAAAAAGGCUGAGGUAAAAGACAAAAAUAUCCUUCAGCUGUUAGUUUAUUUAACGAAGUUCAAUACCUUUCUUCAGACGGUCUAAAAGUGAGAUAUAGUUUUGAAGCUUUUCAAAGUUGGAUACAAAAAGUUAGAUUCUCUAAAAUUUGAGACAUUGUUUGGACCAUUUUUCCUAAAAAAGAGAGUAAGAUUCAAUGCAAAUCUAUGAUACAGAGUGAUUGCAGUGAUGUAGUGGGUGAGAAGAUCGAGAAAGUGAGUGACGGAAAAGGGAGAGAAAGUACAGAAUUGUAGAAUGAGAGAGAGAGAGAGAGAGGUGGAAGGAUAAUUGAAGAAGAUAAAUUGUACGUAAACCUUUAGAUUUGAAAUAGCCACGUGUCGUCAUCUCAUAAAAAACUUAUGAAGCUUAGGCAAUUACAUUUCUCAGGUGAGAAUCCGAAUCUGAUUGCCUUUAGAUUUGAAAUAGCCACGUGUCGUCAUCUCGUAAAAAACUUAUGAAGCUUAGGCAAUUACAUUGCUCAGGUGAGAAUCCGAAUCCGAUUGAGAGAGCCUAUUCAAUUUCUCAAAGUAGGGAGAACAAUACUUGGGUGCACCACUUCCUUAUAAUUUUUCUAUUAUAGGGAAAUAAUAGUUAGAACUUUGAGCAAUUUUUCUUCUCCAACUCCAACAAAUUUCCCUAUUUUAGAGAUUUCAUAACUAUUCCCCAAAUCCUUCUCUAAAAUUUUAGAGUUUGUUGCAAAUAUGAGGAAUUUUGUUUUCUCUCUCAUCAAAUUCCCCAUUUUGAAGAAAGUUUUAGAGAAUCUGUUGGAGCAAAACAACCAAAAUUUUUCCCAAAAUUGUGAAAACCAAGAAUAUGAGGAAAUUGUUGUUGAUCUAAUUUACAUCUCUCUCAUGUGAGUACUGAUGCAUCUUACAGGUGUGCAAACCUUUUUGUUCUUAAAGGUGAUUGAGAAUACAACUUCCGCUCAGUUACAGAACAGAUGAACAUCGUUGUUAAUGCAUUUAAGUGUCAAGUCCUUUAAAUAAAAUAUGAUGGUAAACUUACAAAGACAUGGUGAAUUUGUAAUGUAGUCGGCGACAUUUUUUAAGUUUGUUGCCGACUUGUAGCCUAAACUUGAGUAGUGCACGGCCAAAGUCGCCUCUGCCACGUUACAGUGAGCCUGGAAUCCUCCCCUGUCAAACAGGUGGAAACUGAACUUGUGAGAAGGAAUGAAGUUUGUGGGUUAAGGGUGGUUUGAAGGGAAGAUUAUCAGGGAGGUUAUAGAUCUUCCUCAAGUUGGGAAUCUCUCACUAUGAUUUAUCUAGAGGUUAUAGAUGUUCUUGCGCUUCUACAAGAACUUAGUUUUUGUAUUCCAUGUUAGCUUCGAGAACUUGAAAAUUGAAGGUGAGGACUUAACCGUUACAAUAGAGCAACACAUCGUUUAGCAAAAUUGUAAAUCAUGGGAUCAGUCUUUUCUUGGUUCAGAUUAAUAGCCAUCUCCGUCAGUCUGUCGGUAUGAAUUUUGAGUUUGCCGGCAAUGUUUUCUGUGUCUCUCUCGUCUGUGUUGGAAGUUUGAUUGUAAGACUUUUCACUACAUAUCUCAUUACAAAAUAUCAUUCAUUAUUAAUGAAGUAAUAAGAAAAAGAAAAAGAAAAUCCUGCUUGUCCUUUUUCUAGAGCAUGUAGUCAAACUUGUUGCAGUAAUAUUGCAUAAUUGAGGAACCAACAACAUAUAUCCCUUGUUUGUUUGCCAUACCCGCACGCGCAAUGCCAAGCUAGAGAGGAACCAAGAACCAAUAUUAUCCCUGAACAAAUUGAUAAUGAGCAUGAAAAUUGUUUCGCAUACAGUAUAUAUAUAGCUCUUUCUCCUCGUCGCUAUAUAUCUUGUUCCACAAAUGGACAUAUGGCACUAGCUUUCUAGCUAGCCAAGAAGCAGUGAGGGAUGAAGAAUCAUUAUAGGGAUGUCAUGGUGCUGGGAUCAAUGACACCAACACCAAUCUGAGUGUUGCCUAGUUAAUCAUACCCACCUUUCUGAGUGUUGCCUCCAUAUUCAAACCGUCACACUCGACCAUCAACUAUCUCCACUUUCCAAGAGUCCCAUCACUACUUGCUGCUGCUAUACACAUGCACGAAAAAGAGGCCAAUACAAACCCCCAGCCCCCCAGGCCCCUACUUCCCCAUCAAAAUCAAUACUCGAAUACUUCCACGACCAACUUAACUGCUUUCUUCGGACAAUGACAUUAGAGAGAUGGAAAUGGAAGAGUCGAGACAGCACAAACGGCCCCCAUCCGCAACAAUGUUUAAGUUCACAAAACCAAUCACCCUAGCAAUAUUCUCGCUUAUUGGCUGCAUGGUACACACAUAUAUGUCAAAAGGCCUCGAGAGACUGAGAGACCUCGUGAAAUUCACAUGGAACAGGACCUACAUGACUCCACAGUCAUUGAUUUUGAAGCAUUCAUAUUUAGAUUUUGACCCACUACGGCUAGAGCAAGCAAUUAAGCUUGAAGAUUUUGUCAUGCACAACCACUGGUCCAUAUCCUUAAGCAAUUAAGCAAUUAAGCUAUUACAAUUUUCUUUUCCUUGAAACAAAAAACUAUCAUAACACAACACUCGCUUUCGUCAAGAUGGACAUAUUAAGAAAAAAAAAUCCAAAGCCAUAAUAUAUAGACACAGCAAUAUAUGUGAAGAAAAAAAAGCUGCAGCUAGCUAGCUUGCAGGAGUAGGACCCCAAUACCAUCUGAAUCCCCAAACGCUAAACUCAAACACAAUACCACCCAGCUUGGGGGGGGACGCCCCGCGGAUCCCUCUCCGUCCAUCUCUAACACUACUUCAUUGCUGUGGGCUGUGGCUCACGUCAUCUGUGUUUACAUAUAUAUAUCUGACGUUUUACACAGCAUUCAUUUACACUGAAAUGAUAUCAAUCCCUGGCUGGCUAGUACAUAGGUAAAAGGGUCUGAUAAUAGAGAGUUAAAACCUGUUCCUCUAAGUUCAAAUGAAAAUCUACCAGGUUUGGGAAAGUACGUAUGUUCAUGAAGAUACAUGUAAACUUCCUUCUGAGCAUUCGUAGAAUCAGAAAAUACAAAAGAAGAACAUUAUAGAUUUUGUAUACAAAGCAAUACAAAUGUUAGAAACCAAGUCAGUAUUAAUAUUAUGCUGGAUUAAUUACAAAACACUACAUGAACUAUAAUGUUAUUUUCAUUUUCAUACCUAACUAUCAAAAAUUUGUAUUUUCAUACCCCAAGUUUCAUUCCGUUAAUAUUUUGAUACCUUAACCACUAACAUUGUUAAAUUUUGAGGGUCUUUUCGUCAUUUCAAUAAAUGUAUCAUUUUUUACAUUUACUUUAACAAAAUAAUUUAUUUUUUGAGGUUAUCAAAGACAAUAAGUAGAACAAUUUAAUUUAGCAAAAAUAUUCAACAAAAAAACUCCAAAAUUAAAUAUUUGUUUUUGCAACAAUAGUGAUAAAAGUUAGUAGAACUCUUGUUUGUAUAUAUAUUUCUCAGAGUUACAUGUUAAGCAAAAAAAAUAAAAAAUUAUAUCUAGAAAAUAUCGAAUAUCGAUGAAAAUUUUAUUAAAUUUUAUAUAAAAAUGGUAUAUUUAACCAAAAAUAUAUUAAAUAUAAAAUAUUAGAAAUAUAUGAAAAUUAAUAUGCAUGGAUGCUUGUAAAAAACAGAAAGUUCGAGGAAAUAUCGAGGAUAUCGUGGAUAUUUUAGUCCGUGAUCACAAUAACUCAUUGAUUUGGGUAAAGAAAUUGUGUUCUCGAGUUUGAACAAUAGCAAUGAAAAAUAUUUAAUUUUAAUAACAAUUUCAAUGUAUAAUUUUUAAUUUUAAUUACAAAGAUAUCAUGAAUUGACAUAAAUACCCUUGAAUAUUAUCAAAAUUUAACGGUGUUAGUGGUCAGGGUAUCAAAAUGCUAACGGAAUAAAAAUAAUUAGGUAUGAAAAUAAAAAUAACAUCAUAAUUCGGGUGAUGUUUUGUAAUUAAUCCUAUUAUGUUUUGACUAUACCGCCUAAAUGUUCCCCUUUAAAUUCUGAUCCCUUCCUCUCAUUUCCACACACAACCUCUCACCUUUCCGGCCUUUUCCUCCAUCUGUUCAUAACAUAGCCUCAUAACGCUAAUGGAGUCACCUCCACGCAGCUUCCACAAACAGAACAACAUUGUCUGCCUCAAACUCUGCUUGCUUUUAUUCAUGGGCUGUGUACCAGAUACAACCAACCUUAGUUACAGCCAAUUUCUGGACACCCCGGCCAUUAUUCCAUACAACUCCUCUGAUAUGGCAUCACCUUUUCAAACACUAAGCCUUGAUGGUUACUUGAGUUUUGACAACAACCAUCAUACAGCAAAGGACUUUGGCAACGUAUACCAUCACCUACCAUCAGCAGUACUAUAUCCAAAAUCUGUUUCCGAUAUCUCCUCCACAAUAAAGCUCAUAUUUGAAAUGGGUUCUGGUUCUGAGCUUACAGUUGCUGCUAGAGGACAUGGUCACUCCUUUCAUGGUCAAGCUCAAGCUCAUCGAGGCGUAGUCAUCAAUAUGGAAUCACUUAAGGGAUCUCCAGAGAUGCAGGUUCAUCUUGGACAGCAACCUUAUGUGGAUGUAUCGGGUGGCGAGUUAUGGAUAAAUAUUUUGCAUGAGACACUCAAACAUGGGUUGGCACCAAAAUCUUGGACAGAUUAUCUUCACCUUACCGUUGGCGGGACUUUGUCAAAUGCCGGAAUAAGUGGUCAGGCGUUCCGGCAUGGACCCCAGAUCAACAAUGUCUAUCAGCUGGAGGUUGUCACAGGUACAUAUUCAACAAAAUGAGGAUGUCCUGACAGUAGUAUGUUGCAUCACAAUAAAAAUGCAUAGCAGUCAUCAUUUGAGAGAGAGAGAGAGAGAGAAAAGGGCAAGGGGUGUUUUGGUGAUAUAACCAAUUGAAGAACUUACUCUCCUUUAUACAUCAUAACAUGUUUCGAUUUUGACCACAACCUUUGUUCAUGUAAGGAACAUAUGUAAUACACUAUGGAGCUCUAAUUGCAGGAAAAGGAGACAUAAUUACCUGUUCAGGGAAGCAAGAUCCAGAACUUUUCUAUGCUGUUCUGGGAGGGCUAGGACAGUUUGGCAUCAUUACAAAGGCUAGAAUUUCUCUUCAACCGGCACAAAAAAUGGUAUAAAGCACUUCCCACUUCAAAAUAAGGUGCAUAACUGUCUUAAGAAUGUACCUUAUUGUACUGUAUUUUCCCAGGUUAAGUGGAUCAGAGUGCUGUACUCAGACUUCUCAUUGUUUUCAAAGGACCAAGAGCUUCUCAUAUCAGCUGAAAAUUCAUUUGACUACAUCGAAGGAUUUGUUAUAAUUAACAGAACAGGUCUUCUCAAUAACUGGAGGUCUUCCUUCAAUCCUAAAGAUCCAAUUCAAGCAAGCCAAUUUAACUCGGAUGGAAAAACACUCUACUGCCUAGAAAUGGCCAAAUAUUUUAACCCAGAAGAAACUGAUGUCAUGGAUCAGGUGAGACACUCCAAGUGAAACAAAAAGAAAAUAUACAUGCCCGUUCUGGUGCGGACGUCCGCACUCAGCUUAAAGUGCGGACGUCCCUCCGUUCUCCUCCGUCCGGCGCCGACGACUGCGCGCCUCCACCCCAGCGUCCCCGAUCACUUUCCUCCCCGGCAAGUCCACCGAAUUCCAGUUCUCCGACGAGAUCACCCAAAACUUCAAACAAUAUCGAUCUCGCCGGAAAACUGGAAUUCGGUGGACUCGCCGGGGAGGGAAAGUGGUCGAGGACGCUGCUGGAGUCCGCUGGGGUGGAGGCAGGCCGUCGUCGGCGCCGGACGGUGGCGAACGGAAGGACAUCCGCACUUUAGGCCGAGUGUGGACGUCCGCUUUAGAAUGUUUCUAUAUGUGUAUAUAUAUAUUUAUUUAUUUAUUUAUUUAUUUAUAUACUAAGGAUGUCCUUAUUUAUUCUUACGGUACGGAUUUCCACUUUAUACUCACUUUUUAAUGAAAUUUUCACAUCUUCACCGUCUAGUCUUUAGAUAUUAAUAUAUAGAUCAUCUCUGCAAAAUUUCAGCCAAUUUAGUUAUCAUUAAGGCACUCAAAACUGCGUUUUUCUGUUAUAAACAUGAACGGUUUAAGUUCGACACAAUUAUGUUCGUCCAUUGGUUUAAUCGAAUUUGAGUGCCUUAAUGAUAACCAAAUUGGCUGAAAUUUUACAUAGAUGAUCUAUAUAUUAGUAUCUAAAGACUAGACGGUGGAGAUGUGAUUGAAAAGUGAGUCUAAAGUGGAAAUUCACAUCGUAAGAAUAAAUAAAGGCCUCCUUAGCCAAGAAAGCCUGUCUAUAUAUAUAUAUACACACACUAUAUUGUAUUAUCCCUCUCGCAUGAGACAAGAAUAUAUCAAUUACUGAAGUACUUGUACAAACCUAUAUAUGUUUAUAUGCAGAUAAUUAAGAUUUUACUGUCAAAAUUGCAAUACAUCCCAUCCACCCUCUUCACCUCGGAAGUUUCCUUUGUAAACUUCCUUGAGAGAGUGCAUUUGUCUGAGAUAAAACUACGAGAAAAAGGAUUAUGGGAGGUUCCCCACCCCUGGAUAAACCUUCUCAUUCCUAAAAGCAAGAUACAUGAAUUUGCUGAAGAGGUCUUCGGCAACAUUCUCACAGACAAUAUCAACGGUCCUAUCCUCAUGUACCCAGUCAACAAAACCAUGUACCUCUUCUACAGUUUUAUGAUUUCUAGUUUAAGUUCAGAUUUUUCAUAAUGUCACACCUGACUUUUCUUAUUGUAUUACAGGUGGAACAACAAAACAUCUUUGGUAACCCCCGAUGAAGAUGUUUUCUACCUAGUUGCAUUCUUAUCAUCUGUGGUGCCAUCUUCCACAGGAACUGAUGGCUUUGAUAAAAUUUUAACUCUAAACAGAAGAAUCUUACAGUACUCUGCUACAGCUAACCUGGGUAUCAGGCAAUAUCUGCCCCAUUAUAGAACCCAAGAAGAGUGGCGAGCUCAUUUUGGCUCUCAAUGGAAAGUUUUCAUACAGAGGAAGUCUUCUUAUGACCCUUUGGCAAUCCUUGCUCCUGGACAGAGGAUCUUUAAAAAGGCGGUUCCCAUCAUAUGAGACUGAAAAUUUAUAUGAGCCACAAAGAGUGCCUCACAUACAGAACUCAUAAUGGCGAAACCGUGAACCCAUGACGGUUAAAUCAGAAUGCUCUUGAAUUUCCAGAUUUGUAGUAUGCAACAUAAGGACAAAGGGUUGCUGAGAAAUUUUGAUGAAACUACAUAAGGAGAAAUUAUAGAAUCAGUGCACAUUGUUAAUAUAACUAAUGACAUUGAUUCUGUAAGGUGUGUUCCUAUCAUAUUAUGCAAAAGAUGCAUGCGUUUACUUUCCCUGUUGGUUCCACGCACAGAGUACCAUUGGAUAUUAUCCAAUGAAAUAUCAUACAAUCAACUUAUCAAAGGAUUAAAGUACGUCUACGAUCAAAAUACGUCCAACUUUUAUGAUAGCAUAUCCUGAGCAUUCCAUAAAACUUGAAGAACAAAAAAGUAGUAACAUAUAAUGUACAACAAAACUUACAUGUAUGAUAGGCUGGUAGCAACCAGCAACAACAUGAUUAUCUUGUUCAUCUAGCUUUUUGUCCAGCCUAGACCUGGUCUACAGAUAUCUCCCUGUGGUUCUUCAUAGUCUCGAGCAUCACGUAUCGUAGCUUCAAAAUCAGUAGAAUCACUUGCGACAGGAAGAAAACUACUUAUAUCAUCUCUAGCACCAAAGCCUCCAGCCCGUAUAACAUCAUCAGAUGUUAUUGAUGCCUCCAUGUUUACUUCACCAGACGCAUCUAUAUCGUCAGAAGGUACAAUAUCUUUUCCACCUCCCCAAUCAACUGUAUUAGCUUGCACUUUAGGAUCUGGAGAACUUGAGAACGGGUUCAAAUCAGGAAUUUGAUGUGUUACACCUUCUUCAUUCAUUUUCUGGUUUUCAUCCAUAUCUGGAAUGAUCAAACAAACAUGAAUCAAUUCAUUCAUUUUAGUUACAUGGCAGACAUGGAAGAGCAUCAAAUUAUAUAUAUAUAUAUAUAUAUAUAUAUAUAUAUAUAUAUAUAUAUAUCUAUUAAUUUGUUUUUUUGGCCAACAUUGGAGAUGAAAUAUUGUUUAUGAACACAUGUAAGGGAAACCUAUGGCUCGGAGAAACACAUUAAAAUUAAAUAAUUUGGUCAUAAAAAACAUAAACAGAAAUAUUAAGUCCAAAACUGCAAAUUGAAUGAAGAAAAAAAAAUAAAAACAAUAAUUUAAUAACUUCUAGAGUAAAGCAGCAUCAAAACAAAUCAUUUUCAGUUGGGAAUUUGAGAUGGCAGAACAGAGGAAAAAUAGAUCACACUGUAACAAGUAGAAUUUGACCUGUAUGGAAAAAUGGGAACAAGUUGGCCGUAUUCUAUGUCAAUACAAGAAGCUUUGAAAGUUCUACAACUAUUAUUUGGGUAUUAUUAUUCUUAUGGAGCAGAAUAUUAAAUUAAAGAAACAAACAAAUUCAUUCAAUGAGACUGCAAUAGUAACAAAAGAGUGAAUAGAAAGAUAAAUGAAAACAUGUUUAAAUCUAUCUAUUAGAAUAAAAAGUAGUAAUGAUGAGUAAUAACAGAAGGCACUGCCAUAAUGAACUUAAUACAGAGUAGUAAACACACCUAUGACCAAAGCAAGAGAUGGAUGUAAAAGAAAUGAUAAAAGAGUCCAACCUAGACUAAUAUGAACCGAGUAAUACAAAAGGCUUUAAACACAAUGAUAAUACACGACUUCAAUGUUGGCAACUCGACUGAUAAUCUAGGAACAAUGUAAGGAUAUGGCGAUGAUAAGGAUGAAAUUUGAUGUACUGUUUAAACUUCAGCAUUAGGUUAAACUACAAACGAAUUACAUUACUAUACUUGUGGUACAAUAGUAAAGGAGAAAUAAAAACCUUAUAUAAUGCUAACUGAGGCCAAAAUCUUCUCCUAGCUCCUCCUACCGUUACUCUAGAUUAUGUUGGCAAUUCAUGAAUUUCAAAUAUGCAGUUAAUAUUUUAUUGUUUUAUAUACAACAGCAGUGCAUAUUAAGCAUUUGAAAUGAACACGAAAAUUUAAUUUUAAUGGCAUAUGGUAUGUCUCUCUUGAUGACAUUGACCCUUUAAAAAGUUACCAAACUUUUUCGGUGACAAUCGUAUUGUGUUUGCCGAAUAUUUAAUCAUAUAGGAGGUGCCAAAGUGCCAACUCCAAUAGAGAAAACAUGCCUUUAAAGAACUUCUCCCGUGAAAACUUGAGCAAUACAUGCAUUAAAGACAAUGUAGGGAUUUAAAGGGACCAUCUAAAAGGUAAACACUACUGAUCUAUAUUACGAAAUUCAUCUUCCUUGUAACAUCUAAACUACUCCUACACGAAAAGAAAACUUACCGAUGUCCUCCCUUAAAACGUGUGCAUGCAAUUGUACACGAAGUGAAUUCAUCAGAUACACUCUAAUAUGAACAAAGUACCUACCAAAAAUUCCAUGCCUGAAAAAAAAAUAGCACAGGAAAUACUUGAAUGAUCUAUGAAUAACAAGUACCAUGCAGAACUUUAUCUUGCUUGCACUCCAUGUUGGAUCAAAUUGAAGUUCUGUGUUGCAGCUCUCUUCACUAUAAGAGCCUUCAAAGUUUUUUCCGAACAAACCUAAUACAACCACGGUAACUGGAAAGAUUAUAUCACCAUAUACACUAUCCAAUAACACUAAUAUCCGGUAAAGUGAGUAGAAGCGCUUGAUAUGGAGCAGAAAUAUAAAUAAACAAAAGGACCCUAAACAUAAACAGUGAUACAUUGCGACCUUCUCAUAGUAAAAUACAAUAGUUACUUUCAGAAGAAGACAUCGCCACACACCAGCUAUAAGCACAUACAAACUUACAGUGUGAACCUGUUCAAAUAAUUGCAUGUAAAAUAAAACAAUUACAAAUGGCUCCAAAACUUAACUGGACACUGAAUCUGGCAAAAUUAUGUCAAUAAAAAAAUAAAAAAAAAUCCAUGAAGCUAGUGCAAGAGAAAUAUGAUCGAUAAUUGGUUCGUAGGAAACCAACCAGAUGCUUCAUGCCUCAGUUAAAGCAAAAUAGAAAAGACAUAGAACAGGGUAGCUAGGGACUUUAAACACAGAAGAAACAAAUCACAUAUAAUACAGAACUCCUACAGAUCCCAGAAGUUUAGAAAAACAUGGCCGCAAGUACGUAGGCAAGAAACUGAAUUAUGUCAAAAAUGAAAUUCAUUAAUUUCUCUUAGCAGCCAUGAAUCUUGGACUUUAAGCAGUUCAUGUCUUGGAAUUGGACUCGACUUUGCACCUUAAGUUUUCUCCUCUUUCUUCUUAUUUUUCCUAUACCCUCAUGUGCGCCCUAGACUAGUUGUGAAGCUUCGAGUAUAAUCCCAAAAGACUCUAAACUCACAACUCAUGUCUAAUAUAAACACUUUAAACAGUAGAAAGCAGCAGUAGGAUAUAUACAUGGUAACGAUGCGUACCUGGGAGCAGGAGCGGAAGUGAGACUGAGGCUCUGCUCUGAUUUGCAAUUGAAGACUGGGUGUGUUGAUGGAUGGAUUGGAUAUUUUUGCAAUUGGAAAUAGGGUCGGCGGCAGAGUGAAGAGUUCAACGUGUCCUCUUUCUUCUAGGACACGUUUAGUGAGGCUUUCUGGUUGCGCUGCCGGGUAUGGCUCCGACCCGAACCAACAAUGCUUUUAACUUUUUAAGUAGAGAGAAAUUGUUUUUAUUUUUUAUUUUUUAUUUUUUAACCAAACAACAAAAUAGAGAAACACUUUGAUUUCGUUAAUUAAAUUUUGAUGGCUCAUUCGUUAACAACACUCAAGCAUCUCCAGGGUUUGUCAUUAGAAUUGCCAGGGACUGAUUAUUGCUUCUACAAAACAUCUUGGACACUUUAAUGUUCUGAUUACUUGAAGAUUUUAAUUGACUGCAUCAACAAGAAAAUUGCAACCUCGUGAAGAAUCACAACUUUAGUCCAUGAUGCUAGGAUGUUGACCGCCAAGUUCCAGUAUAUUGAGUUCACUCAUAUUUGAAGGGAAGUUAAAUUUGUGGCAUAUAUUUUAACAUCUUUUGGUCAUUCUAUGUUAUUUUGACUUUCUUAGUUUAAACUAUGUUAAAAGAUUUUCUUCGCAUUUUUCUUUUCUUACAUAGAAACAAAAUAGAGAACAAAAAAUAGAGAAACACGUCACUAAAUUUAAAUUGCCUUGUACCACAUUGGUCUCAAGUAUGUAGUGCACGACUGAAAACGGAAAGCCGCCCCGCUCUCUUUCUCUCUCUCUCUCUGCAGCUUCGAGACCCAAUAAAACCCCUAAACGGAACUCUUUUUUCUCAUUUUAUUCAAUUUCGUAUUCCAUCCCAACGCGAUUCCGAAACCCUAAUAUUCCAUCUUAAACUGCGCCGGAAAUGUCGCCGGCGGCGGCGGACUUCCGGUCCCCGAUUACCUCCCCACUAUCCAAACCCUCCGCCCAUCCUCAAAACCCCUCGGACGAGACGCCUUCCUCUAACCCCUUCAAUUUCAAUGCUCUCGGCUCCGACGGUCCAAAUGUGCCGUCACGAUCAGCUCGGUCGCGGCCGAGGCUGGUGAAGCAUAGGAAGCAGCACGCGAGGUCGAGAACUUGGCUGGCCGAGCCGGGCCCGGAGCUCAACCCGUUUCGCUCGGUAAGUGCUGCUGAUACUAGUGCUUCUAAUCAGUUCACUUUUUCGAGUGUUGGUGAGGGCUUUGUGUUUGGCGCUAAAUUGAGCGGUAUUGGUGAGAAGGCUGGGGAUGGUGGAGAUUUCAAUGAACUUGAGAGUGUCGCUAAUCAGGAUGAUUUGGGACCGAGUUCUAGGGAGAGUGGAGCAGCUAAGACUGAUGCAAAUUUGAGUAGCGAAAAUGGAGAAUCUGCUGGAUAUGUUGAGAAUCUUGGUGACUCAGGGUGUAGUUCAAAUGUAGGGGAACGUGAAUAUUGUGAAAAUGAGGGGACUGAGAGUCAGGGAACUGGUAAUGAAGCUGAGGGAAGGAGCUAUAGUGGUGUUGGUUUUGUGUUUGGUUCCAGUUGGGGAGGUUCAAGUUCAUGUUUUCAUUCGCUAAAGAACGACUCUAGUGGAAAUGUGGAAAAUUUGGUCGAUGAAGUUGGCAGCAAGAUGAAAGCUGAUUCUUUCAAAUUUAAUAAUGGGGAGCGCUCGUGCUCAAACAAGGUUCAUGAGGAGGGAAGUUUUGCAUUUGGAAGUGGGGGCUUGACGGAUUCCAAGCUACCUAAUUGUCAAGGUGAGGUGAAACCAAGUGAUGAAGAUUUAGGAGAUUGCAAGUCCAAGUCAAACAGUCUGAAUGAUAAACUGAGUUCUGAUUUCAGUGGCAAGUGUAAGCUUGUAUUUGAAAGUUGUGAGGUAACUGAUGCAUCUAGUCAUAAAAGUACUAACCAUGUUGUUUUUGGAAGCGAGAAUAACACGGCUGGUACCACUGGAGCGACUUCUAGUUCUGCUCAGUUUACAUUUCAGACGGGUCUUGGCGUCCAAACAAAUGGUUGUGCUUCGAAAGCAUCAUCUGCGGGUGGAGUGAAAGGUAAAGAUGGAAGUAUCUUUACUAGCUCUCUAGACGGAUUUGGUGUGUGCUUUGAGGACUUCAACACUCCAUUGCGGUUUUCUUCUUGUCUCAAAGAAACUCUAAUUCCUGAAAUAAAUAAAGCGAACAUCAAUGUGAAGGGUAGAUCAGUUAGGGACAAAAGAUCAAGGAAGACAAGGGCAAAGUUGAAGAAACCUUCUCUGAGUAAGCAACGGCCAGCUCAGGAUAAUGUUCCCAAGGAAAGUAGUUGCCAAGGAACCCCAGACUCUCCUGGUUGUUGCUCCCCCAUGGAUUUCUCUCCUUAUGGAGAAACUAUAGUUGUUGAUCCACAUUUAAGGGAAUCCUCUGCAACGUCUAAUGAUUCCAUCCACCUAGGCAGUGAUACUGCACCUUCUGUCUCCGAUGCAACAGUUACUAUUGGACCUAAUGGUGAUGAGGGAGAAUUGGCUGCUAAAGGUGAUCACAUAUAUGGAAAGGCCGUUGACGAGAAUUCUGGUCAUUAUGGUGAAAGAAUAUUUGUUAACCAUUGUUCCACUAAAGGGUCUGGUUCUGGAGCUGAAACUCCCUGCUUUAGCUCCAAAAAUGAGCAUGUCAACGGUAUCAGUCGUGCUGGUAAGGAUUCACAAGACGUUAGAGCUGAUUUUGGUCUGAAUGUAGAGAAUCAAGAACAGGAUUGUGGAACACCGUGUUUUGCUUCUGGUUUUGAAAAUAUGGAGAAGAAACCAUUCACCUUUGUUGCGUCAUCUUCUGCAGAACGAAGUCCAAUAGUGGCAAGGCGUCUACUUCGCAGAGUGAAAAAUAAGAAGAAAGUCGGUUGUAAUACAUUUGUUAUAACUCCAAGUACAAAUGUUGAGUUUGGAGCUGACAAAUCUGCACCCCACUCUAGCACAUCAUUGUCUUCUGAUGUGGUAGAAAAACCUGAGCCGCAUGAACAAGUUACGAAAGUGCAUAUCCCUUCUACUGAUGCAACUCAUGAGACUUGUGAGAAGUGGCGAAUCAGGUGAUUAUAUUUAAUGACUGGUGUUAAUUUCCUAAAAGAACUAUCUCUUUGAAAUAGUUUCUUGGACCAUUGGCUGUUUGGAUAUGAUUUUUAAUUGUCAUAUUUAUAUUGCAGAUUUUUUUUUUUUUUUGUCUCAAUUGGAGAUUGUUUUCAUGUUCUCUCACAUACGUAACAAUUUGAUUUCUUGCAGGGGCAACAAAGCUUAUAGGAACAAAGACUUUUCGAAAGCUGAAGAAUUUUACACACAGGGAAUAGUUUCUGUUCCUUCAAGUGAAAGGUCGGGAAGCUGCCUUAAGCCCCUUUUACUAUGCUAUAGCAAUCGAGCGGCAACACGGAUGUAUAUGGGCAAGAUAAGGGAAGCUUUAGGGGACUGUAUGAUGGCUACUGCGCUAGACCCCAACUUUCUCAAAGUUCAAAUGAGAGCUGCAAAGUAAGUCUUGGUUCCCUUCUUAAAAACAUUGACCCUAGUUAUAGCUAACAAAGGUUCUUGAAAUUUUCUCAUUUUCUGAUUAUUAUAUUGUAAUUUUUUUUUUUUUUUUUUUUUUAUGAAUUUUAAGCUUUGAAGCAUACAUUGAGUUUCAAAUUGCUAAACUCCUCAUAAACUCCAUUUGAGGGUUGUAACUGUCAUUUUGUUUGUGGAGUAUAUGGUCUAUUCAUAUCAAGCUAGAUAUCAUCUGGUAUUUUGCUGCAUCGUUGCUCUCCUGAUUGAUGCAAUAUUAAAUAUGUUUAUCUUCACAUGAUUCGUUUUUUGGCUCUCAGUUUUCAUCUUCUUCUGGGUGAAGUUGAAAAUGCACAACGGUACUUCAAUAAUUGCUUGGAAUUCGGAACUGGUGUGUGUUUGGAUCGAAGAAUUGUAAUAGAUUCUGCUGAUGGCAUACAGAAGGCUCAGGUACUGCAUCUUUUCCUGUCAUACUUUUGGGAUGGAGGAUGUAAGAACUUCAUUAAUCCUGUCUAUCAAUUUGUUAUUAUAGCUCGAGUGUGGUGAGUGUUAUUUCAAGCCGAGGAAAAACAGAGAAGAGUGACGGAGAAAUAUUUAUUUUUCUGAAAAUGUUUGAUAUUGAGUAUCAUGCAGUAUGAGCUUGUAGGUUUAUAGGUCUGGGUGUAAAUUAUGAGAGCUGUGGUUGGAUAAGUUAAUUGAGAUCAUUUUAGGGAUGCAGUGUCUGCCACCCACCCCCCCCCCCCCCAAAAAAACUAUAUAUAUAUCUUUUGUUACUGUUCUUUUUCACAUCCACCUAACUUAGUUAUUGUCCUCCAACUUAAUGGCCAAACACACGUGGGUGGGGAGAAACAUAAUUUUGAGACGUGGUGGGGGUGGGGAUGAAUUUGACAUCUUGUGGGAUAGAAUCCGCUUCUUGCAUCUUUUAUUGGCUUCAGUUUCUUGGGUAUUAAGAAGAGCUCCAUUUUGGCAAUUCAUUGGAUGAACGCAGCAUCUUUUCAAUUCUUUGAUUGGUAUUUGUGCUGUUGUUUCUAGGAGUUCACUUAUUGUGCCUGGGCCACUUAUUGUGAGAUUUCUUUUUGAAUCAAUAAUUCUGUUGUUACCAAAAAGACAAAAGAAAAAUGGAACUUCAAAAUGCAACUUAUCUGCACUCAUGUUCAACAAGAGCAAGUAUAAGACAAUUUAGCAAACUAUUCCCGGUAGCAUUCUCAUUGUGGAUUUUCAAAUGAAAGCCAAAGCAUCUACCUGUUACUCUAGCUUCUCUGUUGUCUUUUGACAUGAUGUAUGUGGUCUUCAGUUCAUAUAUACUUAGUCUUCAUAUGCUUGGGGAAUCUAAUGAAAAUGAUCUAUGUAAUCUCUUAUUUGCAGAAAGUGACUGAGUAUAUGAAUCGCUCUGCCAAGCUUCUUGAACAGAAAACUACAGAUGCGGCUCUUAGUGCCUUGGAAAUAGUUUCUGAGGCCUUGUGUAUUAGUGACUACUCAGAAAAGUUACUUGAAAUGAAGGCAGAGGCUCUGUGUAUGGUAUGUCUCUGUGAACAUAUUAGUCUUUACUUGUUUAUUUAGUUUAUUUUAUUAAAUCAAUUCGUCUUUUGGUGGUUGGUUACUCUUGUAGAAGUAACUGAUUGGUGGUCUAAGUAGUUUCUGUUUUUUUAUUGGUCACUUACAGUUGAGGAGAUAUGAAGAGGCAAUUCAACUGUGUGAACAUAGUAUGUGUUUUGCUGAGAAGAACUUUUCUUCGCUGAACAGUGUAGUAAAUAUGGAUGGUGCCGGAUGUGAAGAUCAUCCAUAUGCUAGGUUGUGGAGGUGGUUCUUCAUAUCCAAGUCUUACUUCCAUUUGGGAAGGUUUGAGGCAGCUCUUAAUUUACUUGAGAAGCUAGAGCAAGUGGGAUCUAUCAAAGACAGGUAAUACACUGUAGUCUGGACUAUUUAUGGACAAUCUAUCUCUUGAACAAUUCUUUUUGAUUAGAAUGGUGGUCCUCUAUUAUGAAAGUGCUACUCGCUCUUGGGAGUGUGAUAGUCUCCAUUUCAUAACCCUAGUAGUCUCUUUUCAUCAAGACUGGUUGAUGAGGUCUUCACAACCACUAUAGUUGGUAUCUUUUCAUUCCUAUAAUGGGUGGUUUUAAAAUUGAAAGAAAGUGGGUAAUAGAAAAUUUCUUUGAUGCAUAACCAAUUCUAUAGUUUCAAGUCCAAUCUGGACUUUCGUUUUAUUAAUGUUAUGGCUAGAAUAUACUGAGUCAAAAUUUAACUACAGGUAUGAGAGUAAGAACUUGGAAUCAUCAAUUUCAUUAGCUGCCACCAUACGUGAACUGUUAAGCCACAAGGUAAGCUCUCUUUUGCUUCAAUGUAUUAUCUCAGUUGAAUGGAGGAUCAGUAGGCAACCAUAUGAAUACGGUCACCUAGUUCUCAUGCUUAAUAUGUGAUGUACGUGUUACUUCAAUUAUGAAGCAUCUAAUUGUAAGUUGUAACAUAUGCUGAGUGACUUUCGUAAGUACAAAAGAGAAGUUUAAUUGCAGUAUUCCUGCUGACUUCCAUGUCUAACCUUCUUUAAGAUAAAUGCUGGUCAUUCUAAUGUACUGUAACAUUUAAUGUACACGGGUAUAUAUAUUGAUGAAGAUUGACUUGAACAAGGUUCAGCUAUCAGUGUACUGAAUUGUUUCUGCUUGUCAUAUAGAACAUUUGCAGUCAUCUUUAAAGUUCACUGAGUGACUUCCAUGUCUCAUCCCUAAGAGAAAUGCCGGUCAUUCUAAUUUACCGUAACAGUUAAUGUACACAUGUAUAUGUAAUGGUAAAAUAAUGAUUUGAAUAAGGUUCAGCUCACUUCAGCUAAUUGUUUCUGCGCAUCGUUUAGAGCAUUUUCAUUUAUUUUUGUAGUUCAAACUGGAAGUAUGAAUUAAUCAUAUACUAUCUUUCAAAACACAGGACGCAGGGAAUGACGCAUUUAGAUCCGGAAAACAUACAGAAGCAGUGGAACAUUAUACUGUUGCUUUGUCUCGCAAUAUUGGAUCUCGGCCAUUUUCUGCAAUCUGUUUGUGCAACCGUGCUGCAGCACAUCAAGCUUUGGGACAAAUUACUGAUGCCAUUGCUGACUGCAGUCUUGCAAUAGCUCUUGAUGGAAAUUACGCUAAGGUAUACCUUAUAGUCAUAUGCUGUUUUACUUUUAGUAAUUGUUGAUUGAUAGCUGAUGGACCUUAGGCUGAUAUCUGAUAUACCAGUCGGGACAAAUGCGUGUAACUGAUUGAGUUCAUUAUUGGGGCUCUUAUGUUUGAGCUGCAAUGCUAUUACUUUGAUCUAUAUACCUGUAGUGGAACAAGUUUUGUAAUUGUUUUUCCUAAUUUUUCCAAAAGAAGAAAAAAAAGGUGAAAGCAAGUUAAUACAAUUGAUUUUACUGUUUCCUUGUACAUGGUCACCCUUGCCUACCUUAACUAUGAUUUGUAGGACAGGCAGUGUGCGGUAAAGUGAACAGUUGUGAUUUUAUAAAAUGAACUGAUCAUCACUAGCACAGAAUUGCUCUAAACGUGAACAGUUAUGUGAUUUUAUCGACUUGUCAUCCGGCUCUUAACAGGCAGUUUCUAGAAGAGCUACCUUACAUGAGAUGAUACGAGACUAUGGACAGGCUGCUAGUGAUCUCCAAAGACUUAUAUUUGUACUGGAAAACCAAUCUGGUGACAAGGCCAAAGAACCUAACUCACAAGGUAGCUCCACAGGUCGCACACAAGAAUUAAGGAAUGCUUAUCGACAUAUGCCUUUAAUGGAAGAAGAAGCUAAGAAAGGAAUCCCCUUCAAUUUUUACAUCAUUCUGUAAGUUCUUAAACCAUUAAUGUUUUUAUGAUUCGGCAAUCAAAAUGCCUUGUUCAUAUUUGAUGUCAAACAACCUAGUUGUUUUUAUUCAAUCUGUAUCGUUAGAGGUUCAAGAAUUAUUCAUAGAAAAAUGAACUAAAUAAAAAGUUUUUAUGUUCUAAUUUCUGACUAAUAGAUAGAAAUUUCUGGAAUGGGUAUCAAAAACUUACUUUGUUCAAAAACAUACUUUUGAAAACUGAAGCUAAAAGGCUUCAAAACGUUAAACUUUAAUGACACAAGAGCGGUUAGGUUUAUUCCUUCGAAGAAAUCAAAGGUCCAAAAGUAUAAAUGGAGAACUCUAUGCUCCGGUUGUGGGCAGUUAUGUCAUUGUUAAAGCUAACUAAGAGUUUUCUUACUACUUUAAAACGGUAAAUUUUAGAUAUAAAUUCGAAAUAAUUGUUGCACUUUUACAAGCAGAUUGUUAUUGUUGACUAGUUGAGUUCGAUGUGCAAUCUUAUUUUUUGGAGCCUUAUGUAAAUCUCUGCUAACUUUAAUCUCAAUUCACAGGGGAAUUAAACCAUCUGACUCAAGUGCUGACAUUAAGAAGGCUUAUCGUAAGGCUGCUCUGAAGCAUCAUCCUGACAAGGUUUCAAACUUCUAUAUAAUCUUCCUUGAUAAAGUCGUGCUUGAUGAUGUUAUUGACGAUACUUUUUCUUAUCUUUCUCCUUUUGCUGUCUUUAUUGAUGUAGGCUGGUCAGUUCUUGGCAAGAAGUGAGAGUGGAGAUGAAGGGCGACUCUGGAAAGAAAUCUCUCUUGAGGUUCACAAGGAUGCUGACAGACUCUUUAAAAUGAUUGGAGAGGCAUAUGCAGUACUUUCAGAUCCCAACAAGGUGUUUCUUCCCUUGAUAAUCUUACUUGAGAGUUAUUUAUUGAAAAUAAAUGAAUAAUUGACCAGCACCAGGGAACCAUUUUUUUGCUUCUUUGCAUACUAUAGAUCAUAUAUCUUAUAACCUACCGAAUAUAUCAAUUUCGCCAGGUCCUAGCAAGUAUACAUUUGUUAUCUCUUUAAGACUCCAAAUGUUCUCUUUUUCAUGCCAUUUUCACAAAUUCAGUUUUAAAAUUGUCCAGCAACUGUUUUUUUUUUUUUUUUACCUUUACAGUAAGCUUUUCCAUUUUACAUCCUUUUUGUUUUAUCCUUAUAACCAUGUGUAGAGUUAGAUGUUACUUCAUUAUUCUAAGUGUUAUACCUGUCACAUAAGUCAGCAAUGAUUAUAGUUUGAUGUUUAGAAUAGAUGACAAUAAUAGCAUAUCCUGUUUGAGUCCCGUAAGUUUGUUAGAAGUGCAGAUACUUCAAUGAAGACGUAGCCCUAACCAAAAUCUUAUUUUUCUACUAACAGCGCUCAGAAUAUGAUUUUGACGAAGACAUAAGAAAAUCAGCAAAGGAAAGCAAGGAUCACGGCAUCUACAGAAAACCUUCAGAUGUUCAGAGUCCUAGACGCAGCAGUAAUAGAAAACCAGAUUUCUAUAGCUCUCCAUUUGAGAGAAGCUCUUAUUGUCGGAACAGUAGGGAGAGUUGGAGGACAUAUGGAGAUUCAUUUUCACGUUGGUAAAAGGAACUUGAGAAUUGAGUUCUUCUGUACAAGUUUUUUGCUGGUUUUGAAGUGGCCCUAGGAUCCAUAGCCAGUUAAUUGGGAAUUUGGUUCUGGCCUGGUGAUCAGCCGAUCAAGAAUUACUUCCAUAUGUAUGAAUGCAUCCAUUCAAAAGCACCGGCCUUCUAUGGAUAUGGAUAUCUUGAGUUUGGUAUCCAUAUAAUCUACAGAAAUACAGAUGAGGUAAAUCAGCUUAUCUCAAUUCCACAGUAAUGUUUGGAUAUAUAACUUGCUACUGUCAGCAGAUGACUUGUGCCCGCACCUCUGAUCUUCUGCAAGAGCUAGCCGGGAUAGAAGAGAUUUCUGAGUUUGCUGGGAGAAAAAUAGGACAAGUUGUAAGGUCCAUUUGUGUCUAUAUAUAAACGAUUUUCUUUUCAUUGGUAAUUUGUUUGUACUACCAAUGUUAUAAUUAUAAUUGCACUGCAUAAUGGAAAAGUUGUUCCUUGCUAGUGGUAGACUAGUCAUUUGCUUCUCAUCUCCAAUGUAUUUGGUUCUUCACGUUACAGAUAAUGGGUGAUUGAAAAAGAAAAAAGAAAAAGAAAGAAUUAACCCAAUGAACAAACAAGGGAAGAACCAGUGGAACAAACCAACCAAGAGACACAAUUAAGAAACAUAAGCUUUCAAAUGCCAUAGAGCCCUCAAUGCUAGUGAGGUAUCAAUAUUCAAAGAUGAAGGAUAACACCUCAAAAAGUAGGCUUUAGCACCCCGUUUUUACUUGUGUUUCAAAUUACCUAUCUAGGUUUUUUAUUUUGUGUGAUUCAAAUCACCUAGCUAGGUUGGUAUUAGCAGUAUCACUGUAUCACAAGCUUUUUGUUUCAUAUCAACUACCUAUAUAUUUGAGUAGGUAGUGUGCUCUGUUGUGAUGCUUUGAUCAUUGAUCACAACAUUUGGUUUCCCUGUGCUUCUGAUCAUAGCCACUAUGACACUAUAUAUACUUGCACCAUUCUACCUUGGUUCCUCCACCUGCAAGCAAUUUAGCUCGAUCGUUUAGUUGAAAAUGGCAUUGGCUGCAGCAAUCUUUCUGUUUUCUCUUUUCUAUUCCCAUGUUCUCAAUGCUGAUGAGCCUUACUACCAAUAUUUGCAACUAUCUUUCCUAAACCCUCGGUCCGCAAAAAAAACAGGUAACUCAAGAUCAUUUUUCCUUACAUGGCCUUUGGCCUACAAACUUAGUCUUUCUCCUGAGCCUAUCAGACAUGCUUAAUUGUUGGCCACCUCUUCCUCCGGUGGCCUCUACAUUUGAUUCAUCUACCGCGGUGGGUUCUUUUUUUACUCCUAACUAAUUUGCUUAUUUUAAUCAUAUAUUUCUAACUAGUGUCCCUCUUCUUCCCUAAUCGCUUGAAAUCAGACUUAGCACUUGAUGGUCCAACAUUGUUGACCCGGCGGCGCCGCCAAACCUACCCGUCUCACUAAUAACCAGUUUUGGGAUCAAGAAUAUACCAAGCAUGGUAGAUGCACUAGAUUAGAUUUUAGUCCAAAGAACUCUUUUUAACUUGGCGGAUACUUGGUUUAACCAUAUUGGCUUAGACAAUGAUCAUGGAUUGACAAAGAUGGCAAGGAGUCGUUCUGGGUUGGACUCAACCACUUGGCUGACUUGACAGAUGAGGAGCUCAGCGAUCUGUUCUGUUGAGCAGUGGUGCAAUCUGUUGAAGUAAAAUUCCCAGAACCCUCACAAUAUGUAUGUCUGGGAUAUAUUAAGUUAAUCAAAAGAUAUGGAAACUUCAAUUUUAUUACGAGUAUAGUUUUAAACUUUUAAUGCAAUUGAGCUUACUUGAUGGGUGAGGUUUCCAUGCAACCACUACAACGAAGCAUGUAGUUCUUAACAGAACUGCACAAGACCUUUAGCAAGCAAAAUGUCUUAUGUUACAUUGUUACUUAUUCUGAGUAACAUGACUUCCUCCGGUACAUGUUCAGAUGUUCUGAUGUGGGAUCAGAACACCAUAUCCUUUUCUAUGGCCAUCUCUCUUAACAAGACAAAUGCAGCAAGAACAGCUAGCUUGGAAAAGAGUUGGCAUGGAGAAGGAAAUUGAAAAUUAAGAGAGGAAAAACUUGAGAAAUAGAAAAAGACUACAGAGAUCAAGUUCUUUUCAGCUAAAAGUCGGGAACAUAUAACUUUGUUUAUAUAUCUCAUGAACGAUUCCCACAAAAUAUAUAACAGAUUUGAACAUGCGGCUGAAAUUCCACUUCUGUAUUGCCGUAUUGGUAAGAUGAAAAUUAAUCAAGUCAUUUCCCUUGCGUUUAUAUAUAGAGACCUAACCAGAACCUCCAUUCUCCCCAGGAGUGUAUAACAACACUGGUCUCCCAUUGAAUUGCUGAGUUGGCCUUGCAUUUGCCUCGUAUCCCUGAAACAAUGAAACACAAAAGAAAGCAAGAUUGAAUAUACACAGGGCUCUUAAACAAGGAAAUGUAAGGACAACUAUUGUUUCAAUUCUUAAUGCUUUAACAUGCUUUUAACUUUUCUUCAAUCCUACUGAACCCUAGCCAAUCAUCAUAUAAGAGUACAAGAAUAAGAGAGGAAAUAGUGGUUAGUCAUUCUCUUAAACCUCAGAACUAUUAUGUGUUACAAAAUGUGACUGAUGUAUUCCAUCAUAAAAUAUACGACGUUAUUUGAAGUCGACAGUUAACUUCGCUAGAACACCAAUUUCAAACAAGCUCCACCAAAUAAGUGAUCGUUCUUCCAUUUCAGAAUCUCUGAGGCUUCGUUUAAAAAAAAAAAAAAUGCCUCGAGAUGAUAAUGAUUAAAGCUGAGAUAAGGCUAUCAUGCAAGUUGAGGCUAGGCCACAUUGACUUAUAAGUGUGGUAUCCACGCCAAUGAACAUACUCUAAAGUUUAAAACAAGAGGAGAUUUGUUCCACAGUCAAUUCAGCAAAUACUUACAUCAUGAACAGUCUCUCUUAUUGCUCGCACUUGUUCCAUUGAAACUGUCCUCACCUGUAAAACAAAAGUAAUAUAUAUGUUGGUAAGUGCAUCUUCGGAAUAAGAAAAUUUCAGAAAGAGAACCAAUAGAUUGAAUACUGGAGAGAUGAUCUCUUUGAUUGGUGAAAGACGACCUUUUUUACUAUCGUCCAAAUUACACCCUCAGUGCAGGGAGGAACUGUGAGAGAACCGAUAUAUCUGUAAUACUUUCUGCUUCCAAACUUAAUGUCUCCUGGAUUAAUAACCCCAAUAUCAACCUCUUCUUUCCCAACUGAAUUUAUGUGGUGGAACAGCUGCCAGAAUUAUAAGUUAAGAAGAAGAAAAUUAAAGUGAGUAACAAAGGAAACUGUCUAGAACAUAGGAGUAUAUAUGAUAUUAACAGAAAAUCUAAAUCACAGUGAUUCACCAUGCUUAGAUGUCUAAAGUAUAUCUCUCCUCUUUGAAAUUCAUUUCCAACCUUGAAGUAGAUAGAGAUGAGCUGAGAUUGCAUAAUCGUUUUGAACCAAAUUGUACAAAGUGGGGGAAGCUAUGUAAGGCAGACUACUCUUUCUAUGUAUUAUUUCAUUGUAUUCAGAAUUGGUACCUUUGAAAGGAAGGGAUCAGGUCGGCCAUAUUUGUAUACAAUUCCAAUAACAGCAAUCUUUCCGAUAGAGCUUGUAUGAAUAAUGUGAAGCUCCAAAGCAUACCUGAAAAGAAGAUUUGAGGCAAACGGAGAUCAACAGUGAUCAGAAUAUGUUUAAUGAACUAAUUAUGACACGAGUUAUAAUCUCAACUGUUAAUGCAGUCCAUGCAGCAUUACACUUCUACGCUGAUUUUCGUGAAAAAAAAUAUAUCAGGAAAAUAAUGAGAACCUUGAUCCAUUGAAUGUGUGUUCAGCAGGUGAAUGCCAAUGACAUUGUACCAAGUUAUAAUCUGUACUAUUGAUGUUGAUUUUCCCCGCAUCUUUUUUCCACCUCACCUAAAAAAAUUUGUAUGGCAAAAAACAGAAACAGUCAAUUUUUAGUUCAACAAACUGGAAUUUCGUUCUGGUUACUCGAUGAAUUUUGAUUAGAAUAAUAAGCAUAGUAAUUGUAGAUGUUUAGGCAUAGCUCACUGUAAUGUCAUGCCCUCUGUUCCUGACAGUAGCAGGGGAUGGUUUGUAGUCCCUUUUCAAUUUCCCCAAGUUGGGAAAAACCUGCACCCUACUGUCAAGAAGAUCAAUAGGAGAUUGCAUUUUUCCAUUAUCACAAGCUUUCCAAUGCGGGUCAAUAUCACCCCAUUUCUUUGGUCCUUUACCAGUUCCUUCAACAUAAGCAAAUGGAAGUUCAUCACCUGUGCAUACAAUAGUUGUUUGAGUCAUAUCAGAGUCUAUGCUUAUGCUCAAGGAAAUUAUGUCUUUCAAUUUUAGAUCAUUGUCCUACUUUUGUAGAACGCACUAAACCUUCCAUUCACAUUUGCUAAUGUUGAAAGACAGAAUCUUUUCUUUUUUCAGACACGAAGAAAAGUGGUGAUUCUUCAAAGCAAGAAACAAAAAAAGGUGAUGUAGAGAAGCAAUACUUCCUUUGGGGCCAAGCAUGCAUAAAAAAAGACCUCUGAUAUGGUAGUGACAGGGAAUAUGUCGAAUGUGUGUUCAAUCAUGUGACAAUAAUGUUACCCAGAUUUGAAAUAAUUCAGGUCCACAUAUGAGCAGUUCACAUAUGACCAGAUUUGAAUGACCUAGCUACAUCUGCCCCAGAUGCACAAUUUUAGUGUUAGAGACCAUCAAAGAGGCAUUAUUGACUUGAUUAGCAAACAAGGUCUUAUUAAAAAAAAUUAAAACAUGUGAAGACACCUAACACAUGUAAUAGGGGUCCGUUAACACUUUAAUUAUGAAGCACCAUCGUCAUGGUCAAUAGACAACUGAAAUAGACUUGAAUAUCAGUACUAGACGUAACCUUUUUCUGAUCAUAACUCUACCCUUUAAUGGAAAUUGAUUAUCAGUACCCAUCCAUCGAUCUGGGGUGUUUCUAUGUUGUUUGUUUGAUGUUACAUCUGUAUCACUGUAUGUAUGCACUCACUAUGUUUGUAUCUAUACGCAGGUGUAUAUGUAGUUUUGAAAAAUUCAAUCUCAGAUUCCCGAGCUUUGAUGGAAAAUAAAAAUUGAAAAAGAAUACGAACGAAAAACCCAAUACAUGGGGAAAAUGAAAAAUGCCUGAAGGAUGAGGAAUGCUAGUGCUACAGAGACAUUGAAGAACAGUAUGAAGCAAAGAGGAAGCAUAAUAUCCUGAUAUCAUGAUAAUGGGAACGAAAGAAAAGCAAAUGAAUUGAAGAGAUGAAUUCGAAAAAUUUACCAACUUCGCCAGAGUCAUCAAGUGCAGCUCUGCAAAUGAUGAAAAAGGAAGGAUGGGAAGAUAAGAUGAGGGCACCCAAAAUGAGAAGGAAGAAGAAGGAAGAGUUGGGUUUGGGGUUGAAGAACCACAUUAUGCUUCUCUGCUUCAGAAUGGGAAAUGGAAUUGCCGGACAAUGACUUGGACUCUCAGAGUCUGUGCAUUUAUAAUGCUCUGCUCUGCUCUGCUCAAGAGUAAGGUGAAACCGCAGCUCUCCUCAUCUCACGCUCUGCUGUCGCGCUCGUGAUACACGACUCCUUUAACUUUUUCCUUUUUUUCCUUUUUUUUUUUGUCUAUUUCAGAUGAAAAAUUAAGAUAAUUUUUUUUAUCGGAUAAAUAACUCAAAUGCUACAACUAAUAUUUUGUCCUAUUUUCUAAGAGAAUAAUAUACCAUUAAACCAAAUGGUAGUAGGAAUAAAUUAAGACACUUUUGGUCCUAAAAUAUUAUUAAGUUUUUACAAGAAACAAUCAUAGUGUGAAAAUCAACAAUUACCGACAUAACAUCAUAAAUUUUAGCACUCAAUGUUAAUUCAGUAUUUUGUCUAUGUAUUACAAAAUUGUUAAGGAAAAAUUCACGAUUCAAUAUAGCCAAAUAGCAUUACUGACAACUAUAACCACAACAUAGGAUUCUUGUGGAUUGCAACCCCACUACAAUGUCAUACAUGCGUGCACGAUUGGUACUCAGCACUAUAUUAAAGCAUCUCCAACAGUUUUUCCAAAAUUUCUCUAAAAUGGGGAAGCAAAAACUAAAAUCUCCAAAAAAAUUAUGGUCAAAAUCCAGCAGCUUCUCCAUUUUGGAGAUUGCAGCAUUUAAUAUAACAAUAAAAUAUAAUAUAUCAUCAUUAAUUAUAACAAAAAAAUAUUAAAUAUUUCAUUGUAACAAUAAACUACCCAAUAAAAUAUUUUAUUGUUGUCUUAAAUUCGUUGGAGCACGUGAAGAAUUUAAUUUUGGGAAAGGAAGACUUUGCUGCAAAUUUAGGGAAUGAAGGCUUCUUUUUCUUCUUCAUCCCCAUUUUGGGGAAUAUGAUGGGGAAACUGUUGGACCUAAAAAUAGCUCUAUAUUCCCCAAAAUGGAGAAUUUCAAGAAAAUGGGGAAGCUGCUGGAGAUGCUCUUACACCUUCUUAUUUGCUUAGACUGUCCUGAACUCAUGUAUACUGCUUAAGUUUUACUAAUAUUAACCUAUGUUUGGUGUUGCACUGGAUUAGAGAGAAGUUUGCUUGGUUUAUGGUUUAGAAGGAUGGUGUUAUCUAAUGACAACCAAUCUAAGUACGCAUCAGAACACCAUUUAAGGAGACCAGUAUGAAAACAAGGUGUUACGCAUGCCCGAACUUGAGAUUUUCGAACCUGAGUCGAACUCCUAAGAUUGGGCCCUCGUGUAGCGUUCAUUUAGCUUUUUUAAUAAUUUUAGUUUUAAUAUAUAUUUAGUAUUCAUAUUUUCAAUAUCUUUAGUAAGUAAUCCAUAUUUACGAAAUCUUUUGUAUACGACAGAUCUGUUACUUUCUUAUAAUUUUAAUGGGUUAGAAUUUUAUAUUCAUUUUUUUUUGUUACAUAUAUAAGUCUGUCAUUCUGUCAAUUAUGGUUGGGCCCAUAUCUUAUGUGUCAAUGCCCUUUUAUGGACGGGUACAUGACAUACUUGUCUAUAUUUGCUGCUGUUAAUUUUUUUUAAUUGCUUUUCAACUAUCUAGGAAACACCGUUCACACAAUAAAAAAAACAAAAAACAUCAUUAUCAACUCUUCGAGGUCUUGUAAGUUAGUUUAUGUUCAUGUCAGAGAGCUUUUGCUAACUAGUCAUGGAGUUUACUUCUUUGUCAACCGAUUUCUCUUUUACCGCUAUAUUUGCGGAUUGUCACUUUAAUGAGACAAUAUUCUUGUCGUUAGGGGGAGAUAAAAACACAAGUGUUCAAGUGGAACGACAUGAAUUGUCGUGGUUUGUCCCUAUUAAAUCUCAUCUUGAUCCCAAAAUCUCGCGCAAAGUAAAAGUGUAGAUACUUAAAGUGAUGAGAUCACAUGCUGCAAAUAUGUCUGCAAGGAUUAAUGUCCUAUCAAGAAGACAUGACACGACCUAAAAGUGUAGGUCCUAGCGCCAUCACCAUGAAGGGUAAUAUGGUGACGCUAUAAUGUGACAACAUGGUAUCAGAGGCCGUGUGACUCCCUAAAGGAAAGGGAGGCCCGUAGGUUCGAUAUUUACUUGCUCAAGGAAGAAAGCGAGCUUGACACAACCUGAUCCAUUGAUCAGUGAUACUCAAAUCCGUCUCGAGAAUAUAUAGAUCUCUACAAAUCUUAUUACACUAGUGUACAUAAGGACGUAGAAUAAUCAGUCUAUCGAACAACACUUCAUUGAUAAAUCGACGUAGUAGAUUGGCCUAAUGGAAAGAUGCGAUCCAGCUUAACAAAGAGAUAGGUCUUUAGGCAGGAGAUGCCGACACCGCAAGCUAAACCCUAUCCAAUAUGGCUUUUUAGAUAGCAUAAUGAGAACAAGAGCUUAGACUCACCUUAUAGCGUAAGGUCUCUCACUAACACGCACCGGGAUUGACUACGAUGAGAUAUGCUCUCGUAAUGGAUGUCAUUGUACUCCACUACUUUGUCAGUUUGGUAGUUUUCAAAUAACACUGAACAUGCAGCCUAUAAAUAUGGUCAUAAUAACAUCUCUAUGGGAUCAAAGAUAUACAUGAAGGUUUUGAAUGGACUUCAAUCGCUCAAAUCAAGUGGCUCUAGACCACAGGAGCACGCGUUUGCGAAAGAUGUUGGAACGCCUAUUAAGUAACUACUUGAUUUGAAAGGAUAUGGUGAAUUACGCCCUUGCAUGUUCAUUCCGAAUUUACAUGGACUCUUGAUGAACCAAGAGAUGCCGAUAUGUAUCAAACAUCCAAAGUUAGAUGAAAAAGAUCUUGGGAAAGACACGGUCUCGUAAUGGAACUCGAUGAUUGUGUUGAUGGUGAUUUUGCAUGUUCACUAGUGAGGCCUACUUAUACUCCCAUGAUUAAUUAGUUAAAGCUUUUACUCUAAAAAAGAGUGAUCCGUUUAUGUCUAAAGGAGGAUGAUAAAAUAUGUAUUAAGAGAUGGAAUUCUCAUCUAAGUGCAAUAAGACGCAUUAAUGUAUUUGACAUGAUACGAAAGACUUGACCUCUCAUUCGCUAUGAAAAGUUAUAAAGCUAAGUGUAGCUCUGCGCCUAUGCAACGCCAUUGGAAUUGCAUCAGGACAUCCUUUCAAUACUUGUGUAUGAAGGAUUUGGGCUUAUUCUAUCCCUACAAAAGAAAGACACAUCAAAGGCGAAAUCAGAAUCCGUCCAGCUUCGUAGGUCAACUUUGAAGGGACCUAUAAGAAGGCCUACUCACUAGAAGAUGGUGAAAAUAGUACCAUUGGAAAGGUCUAUGUGUCUACUUUUCAGGGACACCAACAAUUUGAUCACACCUAUCAUACUGAGUGAGUUAUGGUUAUAUUCAUAAAGUAGGACGGAUUUGUCCGAGAAUCUGCUUUUGCAAAACAGCCAACUCAACAGAUCUCUUUGAAUAGCUCAGAAUGAACAAGAAUGUGUGUAAUAUACGGUUGGAAAGCUACAUGAGUCUUGUUUCCAAAAACAUUUACGGUUUGUUCAUAUGUAUUUCCCAGAUAAAGUUACAGAUGUUUUAGUACUCAAAGGUCAUGCUGCGCGAGAAUCUAAUUUUUUGCGUGAACUUAUAUUUUGAGUUCUCAAACAAUUUUCUCCUCAAGAUCUAGAGUAAAAGAUCAUGUUUAAGGACAAUAUGGCAUGAUUUAGUUAAUCAUUACCCAAUAUCACAUUUGCAGACAUGUUAAAGAGCAUUGAUAUACUAAAGUUAUCGAAACUUCCGUAAUUAGCAAAAAUCAGGAAGAGCCCAAUGAUUAAUGUAAAGAUCACAGGGAGGUGCAGACUUCAAGAGCAUAUACACACUAUCAAAUGUGAAGGGUGUGUUAUACUCUUUUUCUCUUUCGAAAAAGGUUUAGUUUCUCCCACAAGGUUUUUGUUACUUGACGAGGUUUUUAACGAGGCAACACAUUGAGCACCAUCGGCAUGACGGCACGCGGCACAAGGGGGAGUGUUCUAGAAUAUUCUGUAAUAUGUGUCUUGGCCUUAUGCUACUAGGAUAUAGAAUUCUCAUUCUAUAUAGUAAUAGGUUUACAUGUUAGAAUAGGACUAGUCUUUCCUUCUCUAUACCAGGGAAGUACUCUGUAAUUCUCUAUAUAAAAGACACCUAUCAAUAAAUAAGAUGAUGAUUCUCUGUUCUCUUUUCUAUCUCUCAUCUCUCAAUAAUUCACCCUUAAACAAGUUUAGAAUUUUAUAUUUAGUUUUUUCUUUUGCAUAUAUAAGUCUGUCAUUAUGUCUAUUAUGGUUAGGCACAUCUCUCACGUGUCAGUGCCCUUUUACGGAAGAGUACAUGACAUACCUGUCUAUGAGAUAGAUACCUUUGUCAUUGAAUGUGAACAUAGAAUAGUCCACGCUUGAUUCCUUGAAACCAAUUUCUUUUAAGUAAUCAGAAAGUGAUUGGAACCAUGCUCGAGAGGCAUGUUUCAAAUCGUAUGAGUGAUUGAUGCAAACAUACUUCGGGAAUUUGGGACCAACAAAACGAAUAGGUUGCUUCAUAUAGACUGAGAUAGCCAUGGAGAAACGUGUCACACCCCAAACCCGGUAUCGGUAGUUUCCAAGCACCUGACGCCAAACCCGAGGCGUGAACGGGAAAAAUAAAAAAAAAAGAAUAAUUUCAAAUACUUUUCUCGAAAUAAAAGAAAAUAAAAUGUUUACAAUAACAAAAACAAUUACAAAGACAAAACAAGGCUUGCGGAUCUAUCUCAGUACUUCCACUUCUUGACUCUUGUACACGUAAGCUAACGUCACAGUUAAUCUUCUAGAAACACGUAUCGUAUCUCGUACAUACCUGAACAAGAAAUCUAUAGGGGUGAGCUUACGCUCAGUAGGGUCAAACCUCUUAGGUUAUACUUAACUAUGUUACACAAAUCAAGUUAUCAAACAUCAAACAACACUUUAUAUAAAUAACAACACAAUUCGAUGCAUAUAUGCAAAUGGACUUCCUUCACUCGAUUACUGGCUUAUUAGUCCAUACAUUAAAGACAAGUGAGCCUACACGUCCCAUACCGUGUAGAUGUCUCCAAUAUACGACCUAACAAAUCAGUAAUAUCUAAACUCUAAUACCUCUUUUGUUAGUCAUCUUGUUAUAUUCAUGGCCUUCCAAACCUGAAACUCAAUUAGAUCAUUUUAUCGACGUCCACCGUCGAUGGGGCCUGCAUUCUCCUCAUUUGUGCACGUGUGGGCUAAUCAUAGAUCUUGGAUGCCCCAUGAGGAAACUCAACUACACAAAAUGUAUCUAUUCUCUAAAUCUCAUUCUCAUCUCUCCAUAAUCACCAAUCUCACUAUCCUCACAAUUCCUCACAAUGCAUUAUGAAUGCAACAAAUAUCAAUACUCAUAAUAUAUCAUCCAAUACAUGCUUUUAUGGAAAAAACGAUAACAUUAAUUAUAUAAAUCACCGAUUACACAUGCUUUAUCGAAAACGAUAACAAUCAACAAUUAACCAAUCAAUGCCACACAAAACACCCAUUUCAAUUAUAAUCUAAUUAUCAAUUUAAAGAAAGGUUCCCCAAGAGACCCUACCUGGAAUCCAACGCUACUUGCAUUCGAUCCUCGUACGGAAUCCUAAUUCCAAGAUCGUCGACAAACACUUAACUUGAUAUGAUCAUGGCCUCGGAUUUGCUAAGGACACCCCAAAGCUUUAAUCCACAAUUCCUGUCACCUUUUGCGACAAUCCCCAAAUCCAACAUCACAAUUACUCAUUUCAUAUUAUCCCCACCUUUAAUCUACAUUUGCAUUCAACUCUGUUGUCGUAUCUCAACUAUGCUCCAAGCACCGAUCUAAACUCUCCAGAAUUACUCUGGACACUCCAAGUUCUCAAGCUUUCCAAAAUACUUUCAAUUAAACAACUCCUUGAUCAAUAGUAAGUAAUAACACCUAAUUCAACCACCCAUUCUUAAUUACCAACUUAAAUCAACUGCUCUAUCUUCUUUCUUAAUUAAACCACAUCUUCUUCAUAAUUACAAGUAGAUUUGUCAACAACAAAUCUACUUGCUAAUCACGUAACCCAUCUUCAUGUGACCUAGAUUCUCAUCUUCCUACCAAUAAAACAUGAUCAACUUAAACCAUGCUCCAAUAUUUGAAACUCAUUCUUCUAACUAUCAUCUAAUCCAUCAUCCCAAUUAAACAGUUCCUAUUCUCUGCUCAAAUUUCCAAUCUUCUGAAUUAUCAUUUCCUCUACCAUUUCACUUCCACAUUUCUAUCAAACAUCAAACCAAAUAAUAGGCAUGAACAAUUAAACAUUGAACACAACAGCAACAUCCACUGUUCUAAACCCUCGAACCCCAAUUCAGCCUUCCAAUCCUCCAACUCUUCCAUCUCUGCAAUUCAAGCAUCUGCACUCAUAUCAAUUCAAUAUACUAGCUAAAGCCAGAAAACAACCACAAUAACCAUCACUGCUGCUGCAACACCAAACACAGUACCUUCAAGACUCCAAAAUUCCAAACCUUCGAUCCUUAAUCAAAAUUGAAUAUCAAGUACACAGAGGACUCAUUAAUUCAAACAGAAUAAUAAAUACGCAACCAGAAAGUAAUCCAACACCUUCACCGCCGCCGCACACAGUGGCACGCACAGCGGUCCUCCACUGCCUAAAAUCCAAUUUCUCCCAAACACUACCAAACUCAAUUUCAAGCACAUAAACAGGUAGAGCUCGAAGAAUAGACCAACUUUGAUACCUGAGUCGAUCUCGGAGGUCGCCGGAAAACACCAACACGGCCAAAACCCUAGAAACUCCUCCUCUUCGAUUCUCCCUCACCUGACCUCGUCUCGACAAGCUGAUGACACAGGGACGUCGAGGAUGAGGACACGAAGCUAUCCACACCGGUGAGAGACCACGACUUGGCCGGAAUCGGAAACUCGACCGGAACCCAGCCUCUCCUUCCACUUCGAAUCUCUCACUCCAGACUUCUUAUCUGAAAAUCAAGGACAUGGACAUGACCACGAGGACGAGAGGAAGCUGCCGCUACCAUUCUUUCUCCUCGCCGUCGCCAUAAACUUUCUCCUCGCCGUCGAACCCAGAAAUCCUUCUCUCCUUCUUUUCUCUCUUGCCGGAGCUCCUCUUCGAAAACGAAGACAUAGUGAGGUCGGGGACGACGAGAUGAAGCCGUGGACACCAGCCUUGCGCCGGGAGGCGGCCGGACGACGGACGGAGCGAUCGAGCUCCACCACUGCUCGAGACGAGGUGGUCGGUCUGGGUCUGAGACUGAUCUGGUCCAACUUCUAUAUAUCUCAAAUCCAACGGCCCAGAUUUUACCGACUCUAAUUUUCUAUUUUAAAAUAAUUUUUGGAUAAUACCAAACUUCCAAAAAUUAUUAAAAAUAGGUCUGAUGUCCAAACGAUGCUCCGAAUAAUGUUACAAACUCGUAACGAUGUCUAGUUUAAUCCUAUGGGCUCGGAAGACAAAAUUUGACAAACUAAAAAAUUUGAAUAAUUUUCGAAAACCACAAAGAAUUUAAAGAAUAACAUAAAUUCAAAUUUAAAUAGCUCGAAAAUAAUUUUCUUUUCAAAAAUAGAAAACCAAAUUUCUGAGAUGUUACAAAACGUUACAAAAUGUAACCUGAACAUAUAAGAUGAACUCCAACAACUUCUCUAAAAUUUCUGCAUAUUAUGGAAGCAAAAAGUUUGUUCUAAUCCUCAUGCUUAAACUCCAAGAGAUUCUAUAUUUCUUCACAAUAUUAUAGAGAUUGCUGUAAAUUUAGGGAAUCUCAAUUUCUCUUUCCUCACAUUCUCUAUUUAAGGGAUAGUUGUAGGGAACUUGUUGAGCAAAAUAGACAUAUUUUUCCUUAAAAUAGAGAAAACUCAAAUAUGGGGAAGCUUAACUAUCUAAUGUUCAUCGAUGACUUACUGCAAUAGCAAGAAACAGACGAAUUGUGCAGUGCUUAACUAUUGGGCAAAAUGUUUUUGUAUAGUCAAGGCCUUCUUGUUGAUGAAAAUCAUUGGCAACAGGCCCUGUCUUAUAUCACUCAAUACUACCAUUAGAGCGUUACUUGAUUCAGAAAACUCAUUUAUUAGCAAGUAUAUUCAUUGAUGAAGAUAGAGGAACUAAGGACCAAAUACAUGCCUGUUGUAAUGCAUCAAACCCACUACGUACCCAUGGCUUCACACCAUUCUUGAUAUUUCGCAGCUUGUGAAUAACUCGUUGGCUCAAAAGAAAGAGCAAGGACAAAAGAGUGUGUAACAUAUACUGGAUUACGCAUGCUAAUUUUGUGUUUGUUGCGAGUUACGACGCCGCCAUGAUCAUUUACAUGUGACACCAGAGGAUGAUAAUAAUGGUGGGUUAAGAUUGUCAAUAGGGGCCAGAUUGGGGUUAGGGUGAGAAGAGGGUGGAUUUGUGCGUUGGGUAGAUGCAUUCGGGUUUGGUAUAGAAGAGGAUUCAAUGAUUGCAAAUUUAGCGAAUCACCCAAAUUCAAAACUUGACGUUGAGGAUUGCGAGUAUAAACUCCUAAAGGUGUCGGUGGUGGUUAAUGUUUGUGGGUUGAAGGAGGGCUAGUAAUAUUGACUGCUGAAGGAGACAAAAUGGGAAGGAGAUAGACUUCAAGAGGGAGAUGGAUUUAAACGAGAAGGUUGACUAGAGGAAACUGGACAUAAAAUAAUUUAGGCUGAUCUAUGAAUUAAUAAGAAGAUGGGCUUGAUGUGAGAGCAAAAUCUGUAAAAGAAAAUCUAGAUUCAUCAAAUAGCACAUGACGAGAUAAAAAGACACAACAUGAAGAUGGAUCAACAAAAACCACAUAUACUCCUAUUGUUUCUUCCUUCUCCUUCUCCUCCACCUCAUACGACAUAAUUGUUUCCUCCUCCUCCUCCUCCUCCUCUACCUCUUGCACUAGUGUUGUCUCAUUCCUCUUGUGUAAUUUUCCAUCAUAUGGGGCAUCAAACAUAUCAUGAAAAUAAUGUCUCAUAUAUCCUGUUUAUGUAAAAAGCAAACAAACAACAAGAGUAUUGAAGGAAAAACCCUAGCCUCAUAAACCCCAAAACCCUAACGAUGUUGCAAUAGCCACCAAACUCUAAACCUUUUCUUCUCCAAUCAAUCAAGUGAUGGCGUCCUCCUCGUUCUCAAAGAAGACCAACGUAUCCUCCUUCAAGGCGUCGUCCUCCAUUGACGAUGUCGCUACGCAACCUCUCACGCUUUUGCGAGUUCGAAGGUUGUGAACAUCUCUACUAGGACCUCGUAUGCGCAACACAUGAAGAAGCUUUGCAAUAGAAUUUGGGUGCCCGAAAUUCAAAUCCAAGAAUUGCCGAAGCAGAAGCUGAACAAGGAAGAGCAGAAGCCUAGUUUUGUUAACCUGAACUUGAAAAUCCUGAUGACAUAUUACCAUUUGAAUGUAAUUGUAACGCCCUAAUUUGCAUCUCAUUAAAUCGAGCACAUUACAGUGCCGCAUACCCUUAGAACCUAAGCUAGGGCCCAUCAAUUAAACUAACCAAAGCUUUUAUAAAUUGAAAAUCAAAGUUAAAGUCGGAAGCGUUAAAUAAAUUGAGGUGUAAAAUCCAAUAAGAAGUCAAUUUAACUAUCUGUGAAAUCAAGUUAUAGAGCACAAGCAUUACUAAUACGAAAUAACAACUUCAAUAAGACAUCUCUAAGGUUAACAAAAACAUAGUUCCUUGGUAGUACUGUAGACCUGUAAAUGGACCGGAUCCGUAAUAGAAAUUUUGGAUCCGGAUCUGACCUGUUACUCGUCGGAUCUUUGAUAGCUAGAUCCAAAUCCGGAUCCAGCGGGUUGACGGAUACCCAACCCGUUAAUCCAAUCCGUUUAUAAUAAUAAAUAUUUUCAAAUUUUAAAUAAUAAUUUUUUUAUUUUAUCAUAAAUUUUCAUAAAACACUAAUGAAAUAUUAUAACAAAAUAAAGGUUUACAUUAAAAAUUGAAUUACAUGGUCAAAAUACUUCUUAACAAUAAACUAAUAUAUUCAAAAUACUAGACCUCCAAUGUAUUUAUUAGCAAAGAGCAUAAACGCAUAAGUAAUCUUCAACUUUAUCAAAUGAUCAUACUUUAGAUGCAAUUUAGACGUUUAGGUUAUCUAAAUAAUUAUUAUAUUAUUGAAUAUCAUCAAUAAUAUUAUAUUUAUAAAAAUAUUAUUUAAUUAUUUUAAAACGGAUCCGGGUCCUUAACCGAUCGGAUCAACCUCGAUCGAUAUCCGAUCCGUUUAAUAAAUGGGUUAACGGAUCCGGGUCCUUAAUGGAUCAACGGGUCUAAUUUUUGAUCCAAACCCGUUUAAAAACCACGGAUCCGGAGAGGGUCCGGAUCAAGAUCCAGUCCAUUUAUAGGUCUAAGUACUGAUAACAAUGACAGGAAAAUAAAAUAAAGUAGCUGACAGACUAACAACUUCAAACAAGGUUUCCAAAUAAAACACAAGGAAAUGUAUCAAGUAAUCAGGAUACACAAUGGAAACCUUACGUAUGAUAACAAAUUCGAAAAGACAUUUAACUUUAACCAAAUAUGCACACCCAGCUUAAUCCAGCUCAAUCCCAUCUUAUGCACAGUACAUGCAUCCAAAAGCUGUUGUAGGGGUGAGCUUUCAUCCUCGCUGCUCAAUAAGACUCAACCCAACUAGGUUUGAAAACUAUAUAAUUUACUGGCCAAUAUGUGAAAACAAAAAAUAAAUAUAAAUAAUGAGCAAAUCAUAAAGUAUAAGUCUCAAUAAGUUUCAAUAAGUUUCAUUUCGAAAAACAUUUACGGGCCCAUAAUACACAAACCUGAUGACCAGUCACUAUGCCAACUACACCCUUACCAAAACUGAUGUCAUAACCAGCAAGAGAGAGUGUCCAUUUACGCCAUACCGCCUAGGAGCGACGUCAUACCUCAAAGGAUGUCAGACGUCCUCCAGUCCGUACGGCCCCUCCGGAGGUUUAGGGGAUCGAAACCCAAGGAAGUCGCUAUGCUCCGCUCACUCUCAGGUCAUCACAUAAUAUCGAAAACAUUGAAAACAAGCAUGGCAAUAGAAAUAUCAAAUUUUCAUAAUAAACCAAUCACAUGCAUGCGAUCAUUUCUCAUAUAUAAUAUACGAAAAAUCACUAGCCAAGAAGAGUCUAGAAUCCCACACCUUGUAUUCCUAGAGUUCGAACCUUUCUGUUUCAAUAAACCAAAAUCACUACUCAAGCCACUAUCAUAAUCUUCUAUACAAAUCCAAUUUAGUGAGUCUGAUAGAACCUUACCCUUGAUUUUUAGUUCCCUCACUUCUUUCUUACCUCAGUUAGUUUACAUCAUCUUCCAUUCUUCUUUCCUUGGAGCCCAAACUCGUCUCAAAAUGACAAGAGAAGAAGAAAAACGUUCAUGCUUGUCGGAUUCUACAACUCAAACAUAUGCACAUGAUACAUAGCCAAACGAUCAAAACUCCAUAUCCAUCGUAGCCUUGAGCUAAUGAUUAACGUCAACCCCGAACUAUUUAGUAGCCUUGUCUUCUUGAUGAUGAACACGGGGGCGCAGCCAUUAGAGAGACAAAAAGGUGACGAGAGAAAACAAAAGAAAACUUCAGAAGGAAGAGAGUAACACGAGAAGCUUCUAGUUUAGCUUCCAGAUCAAACUCUCCUUAAUUAUCUUCUCGCUUGUGAAAUUACAUUCUUGCCCUUAAGUUUACACUGACCCAUAAUGAAUUGGGCUGUUCCAGACCCUAUUUCAUAGGCUUAAUUCGAAAAUAAUAACUUUCGAGACCAACAAAAUCGAACAACGCUUGCACACGCACAAUAAGAAUCGUUUAUUAAAAUCUCGACACUUAACAAGAUUAAAAUUCAAAUAUCAAACUAUUCAACUUUAGCUCCUUAAAAUUUCUAGCUGGGUCUCACAGUAAUCCUCUAUGAUUGGAAACCUUGCUGCAAGAGGCAAAUGAGGUACGACCUCGACUACCGAGCAAUUGACAUGAAGAGCAUGAAGUCCGUCAUUAGCAGUAGGAAGAGUAUACUCAGAUACUCCACGCUCCGCAAUGAGAAGAAGAGCUUCAUACGAGAUUGGAGAAUCACGUGCUUGGGAUGAAGUGAUGGUGGUUUCAUGCAGAGGACCAAAGUUUCUCAUCAUGAUGUUGAACCCUCAUGAUUAGAAACCCGACAAGUGCUAAAUUUGCUGCAAUUGAAUUGAGUUUGUCCAAAUAGUCAAAAUUAGACAUGGUACAUUUGGUGGUGCGAAGGAGACCGUAUCAUGGUUGAAGGACACGAUCUGCGAUCAAAGUAGUCCAUAGAGCAUGAAAAGUGGUGGAGCGUGCUACAAUUGAGAGGACUUUGGGAGUUAAGGAACCAUGGAUCCAACUCAAAACUAUCUGAUCUUGCAAGAGCCAAGGCUCGAAAUUCAGAUUGAUUUGAUCUGUUAGUUUUCUAUACUUGUCUUUGACAAAGCAAGGAGGACAUUUAUUUGCUCCAUCAACAUAGCCCAAAGUUUUGUACUUUUCAGAAUGGGGUGAUUUUAGCCAUUGUCAAUAGUUGGUGCGAUCUAGUUUGAUGGUGAGGAAAUUUUUGAUAGAGAGAGUUUUAUGUGGAGGAUGAGAAAGCCAUAAGAGAUGCUUGGAAGUAAGAGAGGAGGAAAAAAAGUUGGAUACUAGGCUCGUGAUACCAUAAAGAACAGAAGAGUAGAAUUCAUUCAUUUACAGCACAAUGUUCUAUGUAAGGUAAAGAUCUUUACAAAUUGACAUCAUAUCCAAGAGAUUUCUAGUGAUCAGAAAAACCAUUCUUUGAUUUAGCAUCAAUGCAUGAUUGAUUUGCAGAGUAAUUGAUGACUGUGAUCAAUCGGAUGAACUUGUAGUCUUUCUUGCUUAUCACCAUCUUUACGAGUUUCUUCCCAUAACGACCAUUUGAUUCCAUCACCAUCCAUGAAAAGUUAUGUUUUACAUAUAUUUAUCGAUUUUUAUUUCAAGAAUAGAUAAUUACAUUCUUCCAUGGGAGGUUUGUUUAUGUGGGUCUUUGUCCUUAUACGUUUUAAAAGUUUUCUAUUUGGCUAGGAUUGAGGAAUAUUUAGAGGUAGAAUUUCAUCUAAGCUUUCAAUGGGUCAUAUGGGCAAGUAUAUUCAAUUAUGGUAGGACAACUGGAUGAGAGAGAAUUUGGGUGAAGUUUUAAUCUGAAAUUUCAAGACUUGGCUUUCUUAGGGCAUCUCCAACAAUACCCUUUAAACAUAUACCCAUAGUAAAAACCCAAAGAAUUUGAUCUCCAACCGCCCAAACUUAUACCCAAAUAUGGGUUCCUACUAACUCAUCGAUCCAAAAUGGGUCGAUUACGAAGUAGGAAACCCAUUUUCUUUAGGGCAGGACCCAAACGAAGGGGGAAACACGUGAAGGUGCUAGCUAGCUGAGACGAACACGCCUAAUCCCUGGAGUUGUGAAGAACGCGCGCUAGAAGACGAAAUAAUUGCAAGAAAAAGUCAAACCCGCUUUGCAUGCGUUGCUGACAUCUUGGGUUCUUCCAUGUGAGGUAGCCUUCGUGGGAUUCCAACGGAUGACUGAGAUUUUUUUCAUUUAAAAUGGAAGGUUCAUAUCAAUCACUCCCAAAAAGAAAAAUUCAUAUAUAAUUAAUGAAUUUCUAAUCCUACGGCCCUAAACAUUUGAUGAAUUAAUUUUAACGGUUCAUAAUAAAUGAUCAUAUUUUCAAAAAGAAAAAACUUGAAAAUAAGAAAAAAAAACCAAGAAAAAUAGUAGAAUUAUUAUGAAAAAAUAUUAUAUAAAAUUACUAUGUAUGAUUUAUAUAAUUCAUUUAUUGUUAAAUAAUUAUUAAAAAUGAUUAAAAUUUAGGUAUGAGUAUGAGUUUUGACAUAAUGGUUGGAGAUGUAAUAUGAGUUUGAAUAGUAAUGAGUUUGGGUGAGUCAAAAAUGAGUUUGGGUAUGGAUUUUAGGUAGGGUUGUUGGAGAUGCCUUUAGAUAACAAAUUUGUGAGUUUAUUGUCCAUGUGAAAUGCUAGUUGACAUAAUUUUAUUCAAGUUCUCAUUGGAGUAGCUAAGUCUCUUACUUCUCAUACCUUUCUGAUAGAGCCUAGAUAACAUCGAGCAAAUGGUGUGAAUUGAUUUUGUUGAUCAAAAGUUGUCUAAAUCUCUCUACUUCAUCCCUCCUUUGUUGGAAUGGGGAACCAUGAUCUAGCAUCUUGCAAUUCUACUGGUACCCCACAAGAUUAUAUGUACCUAGAAGACAUUGCUUAGAGACAGAUGAGUUGCUUCAAAUGCGUGAUCUUUUUUCUCUAGAUGUCAUUUAUGUGGUGGUGCUUAUGAGUCUUGGAGCCAUUUUCUCUGGGAGUGCGUGGUUUCCUCUGAUGUAUGGAAAUGGUGCUUUAAUUUAUUCAAAACUUUGUCAUCUCCGCAAUUUACGUUUCUAAAUGUUGUUCUAAAAUUUUUUAGAGGGAACUUGACACUUCUACUAGAAUUCUUUGGCAUAUUACAGUUUUCAAUUUAGUUUGGUGGUUAUAAAUGGAUAGAAAAAAUUUGAUGCAUGAUGGGGGGUGUUUUCAAUCAAGUUCUUGCAUUUCCUCGUUUAUAGCCUCCAAGAGUUGGCUAAUCUUGUAUUUUGGCCCACUACAUACACUUCUUCUCUGCCCAUGUUCAAGUAUUGACCCCCUACACCCACCUCAGUUCUUAGGUUAAAAAUUAAUACUUAUGGGUCUUAUAGGGAUCCUGAUGUUAUGGAUUUUUAGGGUAUAGCCUGACAUCAUAAUGAAAGCUUUAUAUGUGUUUUUACGUUAAGAGUAACGAUGACAUACGUGCUUUUGAUGUUGAAAUCUUUGCUUCUUCUUCUUAUUUUUAAUAUUUUUUUCUCGUUAACUAAUUAUUUUUUUUUAUAAAAAAAACAUGUAUCGAUUCGAUUAUAUAAUAACUCAUCGAAAGUAAUAAUUUUUUAUUGUUUUCAACAUUAUUCAUAUAAUGUGAUACGAGGACAUUCACCAAAAUUAAAAGGUAGAAAGAUGACAACGGACAAAAAUAAAAAAAUAAAAAGAAAAUAGAGUAGAGUAAAAGGGCUGAGCGUAAUCCGAAACCUAGAAGAAGAGUGAAAGAGUUUGUAUAAAAACCCUUCCCCUCUCUGGGUGCCGCAAAAUCGAGAGAGAGAGAGAGAUGGCAGAGCACGACCUAACCCCGCGCAUCGCGCCGAACCUGGACCGGCACCUUGUGUUCCCUCUUAUGGAGUUUCUGCAGGAGAGGCAGCUCUACCCCGACGAGCUGAUCCUCAAGUGCAAGAUCGACCUCCUCAACCGGACCAACAUGGUCGACUACGCCAUGGACAUCCACAAGUCCCUCUAUCACACCGAUGACGUCCCUCAGGGUAUGAUUGUUGAUUCAUUAUGAUAUGUAUUUGUGUUGUUUGGAUUAAUCUAUACGGCUGUUGAUUGAUUCAUUCACAUUCACAUGUGUGUAUGUAUUUUUGGAUUAGAAAUGGUGGAGAUGCGAGCUGAGGUGGUGGCCCGCCUCAAGGCUCUCGAGGAGUCGGCGGCGCCUCUCGUCAACUUCUUGCAGAACGCCUCUGCCGUUCAGGAGCUCCGGGCUGACAAACAGUACAAUCUCCAGAUGCUCAAUGACCGUUACCAGGUCUGUUUUUUUAUUCUCUUUCAAACCCUAAUUUUGAAACAAGUCGCAGAUAAUUUUGUAUUGACAACUCUAUUGUUUUAUUAUCAGAUUGGUCCGGACCAAAUAGAGGCAUUGUAUCAGUAUGCCAAAUUUCAGUUUGAGUGUGGCAACUACUCUGGCGCUGCUGAUUAUCUGUAUCAGUACAGGGCUUUAUGCACCAACAGCGAGAGGAGUCUCAGUGCUUUGUGGGGAAAGCUGGCAGCUGAGAUACUGAUGCAAAACUGGGAUAUUGCUCUUGAGGAGCUUAACCGCCUCAAGGAAAUUAUUGAUUCCAAGGUUUGUCUUCAUAUUUCACAAAUGCAAGGAGAUAUGUUGUUUAUUAAAAUGGGCACCUUUACUUUUUUUUUUUUUUUUUUUUUUUGCAGAAUUUCAGUUCGCCCAUGAAUCAGGUGCAAAGCAGAAUAUGGUUGAUGCAUUGGAGUCUCUUCAUAUUUUUUAACAAUGACAAUGGAAGAACUCAAAUCAUUGACCUAUUUAAUCAGGACAAGUACGUCAUCUGCUUUCAUCUAUUUUUCCUUUUGGCUCUUACUGGAAUCACUUUGUGCUUGAACUACACUGCUAAAAGUUUAAGAUUCUCGUAUCAAUACUAUUAUAAUGAGAAUGGGAAUGGAAAAUCAACUUGGUUCUUAACUAUAUUAUUUGUCAUCUUUAUUCUCGAUUAUUUGUUGCUGCUACUUCUGUUGUUGUAUUAUGGUUUUAAUGUUUAUUAGGCAAAUGCGAUAACUUUUGCUUAUGCUCUUGUCAAUGAACAGUAGCUUUGAUAGUUCUCAUAACUAGUGUCUUCAUGUUUUUCUGAACUAAUCUUGGUUUGGUGCGUGCUCAUAUCUCAUGUAUAAAAUGUGCUGUCUCUUCUCCCCCUUCCUCCCCCCCUUUCUUUUUUUUUUUUUUGAAAAUUCUAGUUGCUUGAUUUUUAUUAUAUCUCCUUGUUGAAAUGUUUUUACUUGCAGGUAUCUAAAUGCCAUCCAAACCAAUGCUCCCCAUCUCAUUCGUUACUUGGCCACCGCAUUCAUUGUCAAUAAGAGAAGGAGACCUCAAUUCAAGGAUUUUAUAAAGGUCAUUCAGCAGGAGCAGCAUUCUUACAAAGAUCCUAUCACUGAGUUUUUGACAUGUGUUUAUGUUAAUUAUGACUUUGAUGGAGCACAAAAGAAGAUGUGGGAGUGUCAGGAAGUAAGUAGAUUGCCAUGCUUGCUCAAAAUCUGUGAUAAUGUUCCAGUUGAUAAUCAAGUGAUAAUGUGGUUGGUAUGGCAAUGCAGGUGAUUUUGAAUGAUCCCUUCCUUGGAAAGCGAGUUGAAGAAGGCAAUUUCACUACUGUACCAUUGAGGGAUGAAUUCCUUGAAAAUGCUCGUCUAUUUAUCUUUGAGACUUACUGCCGCAUACAUCAGCGCAUUGACAUGGGGUUAGUAAUUUUUCUUUGAUGAAGUAGUAUUCUAAUCAUUACACUAUGAUAUGUUAUGAGAAGUGAUGUGUGAUGACUAAGUUAUGAAUCAAAGUUCAUAAUAUUCUUUUUUCUAUUAUGUUCCUUAUGCUUUUCAUUGUGUUUUAGCCCCCCUCCCCCAGACUUUGUUCAUGGCAUUUUUCUUGUUUGUAUGUUCUUGGUCUGGAACUUGGGCAACAGAGGGUUAAUGUGGGAUUGUAAUUUAAAGUAUGGUCAAAAGCAAUUUCUUAGCUCUGGUUUGUGGCUUCUUACCAUAGUAAGAAGUUCUCUUUACACAAAUGAUUUCCUACCAUCCUUACUGUUUUCUGUUUUCUUUCUUAUCAUUUUCAGUAGAAAAUAAUCUUUCUUCAUUUCUCUAAUUGAGUUUUUGUUUGGCAGAGUGCUUGCUGAAAAAUUGAAUUUGAAUUAUGAGGAGGCUGAGAGAUGGAUUGUGAAUCUUAUUCGGAGCUCAAAGCUUGAUGCAAAAAUUGACUCGCAGUCGGGAACUGUUAUCAUGGAACCUAACCACCCAAAUGUGUAAGUUCAUUGAUAUAAAUUUUGCCACUUGAUAAAUACUUCUAUUGUUUGUUUAGGUUAAUUUUGUUUUCCUACUUCACUGAUUUCCAGGUAUGAGCAACUGAUAGACCACACUAAGGCAUUAUCUGGGCGUACUUACAAGUUAGUUGGUCAGAUUAGGGAACAUGCUCAGACACAGGCUGCGCGUUAAGUUUGGCGGUCGAUUUCCUCAGUUAUUUCACCGUCAUUGAUCUAGACUGAUAUUUGAAUUUAUUGAGGUUUUGUUGACUUGUAAGUAGAGGUUUUCAUUAGUAACAUGAGGUUUGUCGGAUCAAACUGUAAUUUACUUUCCGCAUUGAUUUACUUGUUUGUAGCUAAUGCGUAUGGAAAUUAUUUUCUUAUUUCACAUUUUUACUUGUGCAAUUACAAAGUCACAUGACUCAAAUGCAACUAGGGAAGCAGCCUCCACUAGUUCAAAAUUGUCUGUCUAAGUUGCAUCUUUUCCUUGGCCACCAACUGGACUGGUAUGCCGGGGAGAGAAGGGAAUGUGUCGAGGCAGGGAACAAUGAUCUGAAACAAGUGCUAGGAUUUUUUUUUUUUGUACCCUGUAGCCUAUAGUGAUGUGUGCUAGUCCCUCAAAGACGUCUCCAGCAAAGAGUGGUACGCGUUGGACAACAAUCCCAAUUACUUAGAAGAAAGUUGGAACUUGGAACUCGGGUUUGCAACAAGAUAUCCUACGUAUGCCGCCGCCUGUUUUUUUCUUGGAAAAACAAGAAAUUAAUACCAGUUCGUGCAAGUCUUGCCAUAGUCUUCUUUUGUGCUCGAGGAAGGCUAAUCAUGGUGUUAAGAUACGAGGCAGCUGACUAGUGCUGAGCAUAUUUUUGUCCUGGUAGAUUAGGGGUAGAGCGUUUAUUCACAUUCCUAACAAAACACCAUCCCGAGCGUCAUAUCAAAUUCACAACCAUUUGGUCUCGGUCUUUGCACUAGUUUAUAAUAACUAGUUAGGCAAGGCAUUGAACGUUAAUAUUAACCCACUGCUCUCAUAUGGGCAUAUAUCUUGUAUUGAGCAACAACUAAGACUGAAGAUUGCCAAUACUCCGAUUUGUAAAUCUAUAACCCUUUUGUCAAUUCCCUCUCAAAUGACGGAUGUUAGUUGACCAAUGUUCCUUGAGCACUUUAAUGUAUAAAACGAAACUUCCCUUCAAGUGUGUACAUAAUACGACUCCAUAAUGCUCAAUUAUUAGUGGUCUCAAAUGAUCAGAUUGGAUGUAUGGCUCAAUAAUAUUACCCAUACGAGAUUUAGGGUAUACUAUUACUACCCCAUUCAGAGUAUUGGCAUUACAUGCCCAUCUGCAUCUUUCACUACCGUAAAAUUUCCCUUGCCACCCAAAAUUCCCUUGUGGCCUGCAAUUCAUUGGUACUAAUGUUCUAUGCUCCGUAAACUUCAGCACCAUUAUAGGCCCCAAUUAGGCAAAGACCAAAGGUGUUUGAUAUUGACAGUGACAGUUACCUAUACACGGCCUAGAGUAACCAAAAUGAAUAAUCUACCUCUACAUUUGAACCGAGUUAUACUGGUAUAUACAACCAUACAGCUGCCUUGGCUUCUCCGUCUUUCGGCUUCCUUUGUUUCCCAGUUCCAUUGGGACCAGUGAUAAGAGUUCUGGCAAGUGAUACUCACACUCUUUACAUAAAUACUAUCUUCUUCAUUUGCAUGAUAUUAUGAAGCAGAUAAAGCCCUUGCGAUCCUUGAGAUGCCUUGCCUAGCUUCUGGUUUAAAACCCCAUAAUAUCCAAACUAAUGCGACGCUGAUAUCAGGUCUGCCUCGGGACCACAGGGGAUGCUGCUGUAAAUGCAGGUUCAAGAGUCUCAUUUACACUCUUCUUUGAUCUCUUUGGCCUCUUGGGUCUUGUAUCUUGUGGAUCAGUAUUUGGUAAGGAAUCCUCCAAUUCAUAGCCCUCUGGCUCAUCCAUACUUUGAGGAUUUUUCGGCCUCGGAGUAUGCUUGUCUGGCACAGUUUUCCUCUGCACAUAUGUUAUUAUCAUAAGCACAACUCAUAGAAACUAUAAAGUAAUAGCUGUAGCACUUCUAUUUCCCCAGCUAGCAAUAUAAGCAUGACUACAACAGUAAAAUGUAGAAUAACUUUGGUACCUUUUUAUUAUUGGAUUUUGAUCUUUCGACAUCUGGCGAUUCCUCAUUUCCAGUACCUUGUGAUGCAGCAGGGUUUGUUAAAUCUUCCAAAGAGGCAUCACCUUCUGCAUCUACCCGUAUACCCUUUGUCUGUUUCUUCUUUUGUUUAUCCUUAACCUGGCAAAACAAAAUGAUACAGAUAAAGCUACAAAUCUGUAGAAAACUGUUUUCUGAAAACAAAGAGAGCUUACAGAGAAACACUUGUACCAAACAAAAUUCAAAGAAAAAUUCUAUCCAAAAGUAGUUAAGUUUGGGGGAGAAUGCAACACCUGUAACGGAGCUUCUCUUAAUUUCUGCUCCAACUGGGCAUCAUCAAGAAGUAGAGACACAACAUCCUCAGGGGCCAAAAGGUCACCCUGAACAUGACCACCCAUCAUUACAAGCUGCUGGACAGUAUUUUUCUGACUUGCUCUUUGCAGAAUCUUCUCCUCAACCGUUUCUUUACAAAUUAGGCGGUAGACAGUAACCUACACCAUGAGGAAGCGAGAAUUUGUAAAAACUGAAUAGUAACACCAAAUAGAACAGAGAACUCAUACGUUUAGGAACAACAAAAGCUCUUAUGUAGAAUCCAUAUAAACAAGCAAUAUAUCUUUGAAGCACCAUACAGACAGCUCAACCAUUUGGGAGCGGUUGGUUUUUGGAUUUUAGCAAAAAGAAACUCACAUCUUUGGUUUGACCCAACCGAUGAGCUCUAUCCAUUGCCUGUAGAUCAAGGGUUGGAUUCCAAUCACUUUCAUAAAAUAUGACAGUAUCUGCAGCUGUCAAGUUAAUGCCUAGUCCACCAGCUCUUGUACUCAGCAAGAAAACAAAUAUAUCAUUUCUGCGAGAUAAUCAUGUAAAAGACAUUAAUGAAGUAGUUCAUUAUAAUAGCAAUUGGAACAGAUCCAGCUUUUUAAAACCAUUUCAGGGUGAUAAAGUCUACCGUUGCUGGAAGUCUCUAACCAUGUCUCUACGAUCCAUUAUGGUGGAGGACCCAUCAAGUCUAAGGUAUCUAUAUUUCCUGUAGUUCAUGUAGUCCUGCACAUUUAGAAUCAUCAGAAAAAAGCUCUCCAUAGACUAUCACUCCUAUGGUGUUCCAUAAUAUUUUACCAAAAAAAAAAAAAAAAAAAAGUUAAGCAAGUGAGUAACUGGAAUGACAUGAGCUUAACUAAAAGAUUUGAUGAAGGUAUAAGCUUCUCGUGCCCCCCCUUUUUCCUUCUACUUUCUAUUCUUGGCUUUUGGGUUUGGAUAUGGAAAAAUCAAAAGCCAUCACAUUGUUUCCAACUAACAAGAUAGUCUGCAAGUAACAAAUGAAUUAUUAUAUACCUCAAGAAUAUUUAGCAUCUUUGUCAUCUGGGCAAACAAGAGAACGCGAUGAUUUUCUGCCCUCAAGCGUUUCAAUAAUAUAUCAAGUGUCUGAAGUUUCCCCGAAUCCUGUAUAAAAAAAUAAAAAAUAAACUCAUCUUGAUAUAUAUACACAUACACAUACUAAAAAAUAACUGGUAACUAUACAAUUAAAAGAGAGUAAGCACUCUUACAGUGAGCAUUUUUGCUGGGUCAAAGCUUUGCAUUGGAGGACAAGACCCAAAAAUUCUGUAUGUUAACUGAAGAGCUGAAUGUGAAACAGGCAGUUCAGAAUCAAUCUCUUGUAUUAAAUGAUGAGGAGUGUCAGGUUUUCUAGGUCCAUUGUAGUCGGAUGUUCGCGCAAAGCCAGAAAACAACCUCUUCACCCAGGGGUACUGUUGUUCUUCACUCAUUUUGUAAGAAAAGUUCCGGUCUGAACUAUGGGCAUUAACCUGGAAACAUAAAACAAGUUCUUGAGAAAGGAAAUAAUUUCAAACUGUUCACGGAGAUUUUAUUCUGCCAUAUGAGAGUCUGUUUGCCUCACCACAAAAAGAAAAAGAAAAAAAGAAGAAGAAGAACACACACAGAUCUGGAUAUACAUAAUUAAUGAUUGGAAACAUACUGGGGGAGCUCUAGUACGGGGGAUGAAUGUGUAUGUCGAACGGAGAAGCCUAAUAUUAGAGAGAAGCCUGUCCUGAUGAGAGACAACUAGACCCUCAAAUGGAGUACCACCAGCACCGGUGGCCAAUUUCUUCUGAAAAACGGUAGUUAUAGAUCUUGAAGGCAUAAGCAACAUUCGUGUAACAGCUCUCACUUUUCCACUUUCAAGAUAGCUGCAUUCAGGAUCAUCAUCCACAGUUUCCAUUAGUGUGUCUAUCAAUCCAUCCAAAAAUUUCCGGUCCCAUCUCAUAAUGGAAAACAUUAGCCGCUCCAUAAAAGAACCAGUGCCUACAAAUGCAACCUCUGCAGGGGACAGAUCCAUCAGAUGAGUAAAACCAAACGUUCCACUUCUAACUGACAACUCAUCAGAGUCAUUCUCUUGGUAGAAUAUUGAUCGAUGCACAUUUUGUGGUGAAUAUAUGUUAAAAUGUUUCUGAAAAGAUUCAAUGUAGACCCCGUGCCGAACUGCGGAGCAGAACGUUUCAGAACUCUGGAGAAUUUCUCGAUACAAGAGUUUGGGGACCUGGAGAAACAAAGAAAUUCCAAUUAUCAUUCAGUUAAGUAGUUCAGUUACUUGAAACUAAGCACAGUAUAAAAGUGCAACAAGUUAAAUUUAUUCUAGGGAAUAAACAGAUCAAAGGUAUAUGGGUUACUGAAGCAAUGAAUAUGCUAACAAUUCUAUAGUAAAUAAGGUUCAAAACCCGUAAAUGGAGCUUUAUUACAAGGUAGCAGUCCUCUCAGUAAUGCUUUGAAAGGUCUUCACAAUUCUACACGGUUCUCUGAUGUGCAUUACAAAAUUUUAAAUAGGAACAAAAUCUAAGAUAUCAUAACAACUUUUUCAAGUAGCUUUACAAUCUUCAUAAUCCAUCAUAGUUGUUAAAAUAUAAUUAAUGGAGGAAAAAAACUUCAAACCUUCUUAAGAGUUUAUUGAGGUAUUAUAGCACAGAUUCAAAACUUAUGAACUGAACAAUGGAUCCAAAUUAGUCUGGAAACUAUGACCCAAAUUGAUCUAGACUCCAUGGCUGGAAAACAAUGGUUCCCAAACCCACACUACAGCAGCAGCUAGGUAAACCUAGACAGUCCUUGAAAACCCACAAAUACACACCAGCACAACCAAUAGGCAAGAUAGUGGUCAUUCCAGGUAUUCAAUGAUCAAAGAUAAUUCUGUGUGCAGAGUGCAUAUGAGGGAAAAAGGGUCUGGAUUGUACCAGGUAUGUUAUAGGAUUUUGACCUCCCGAGUAGUGUACAUCCUCUAACUCCCCAAAUGGAGGAGGAAGAAGAGAAUUUGAAAUUACACCGAAGUGAAGAUAUGUGCUUCCUUCAUUCCUCUCAAAUAAUUCAGGAUGGUUGCAGACCUAUCAUUAACAAAUAAAAUACUUGUGACAAUUGUUAAGAUUAAACAUCACAAUAACAUUGCGUCCCACCCUAAAGUGUACUAAUGAUUCUGGUUGUUGCCAAAAGAAAAUUGCAAUGGAAUAGACAGCAUACUUUUCUUAGCUGAAUGACAAUAUUCAUCAAGUUCAAAAUUUUCUUCUCAUUAAGAUGCCCACGGUUGUUGUCAAACAACUCAGCAAGAGAUAUCUUGUUCUUGAUAGCUUGAUAAAAAGCUUGUUGCCGAGAACUCAACUUGCAGUGCACAGUAACUUCAGUUUUCCUGGUCAGCUCAGAAAUAACAUCUGUCUUAACUCGACGGAGCAUGAAUGGCUUCAAUAUGGAAUGCUGUAAGAAGAAUGACAGUAGUAUUAAGUCAGAAAGAUUAAAAUAAAAAAUAAGAGAGUAUCAAAUAUCACAGUUCCAAGAUGUUCAGGGCUACAGGAUGAUGAAAUAAUAUAGUAGGUCGCCUAACGAUUUGUCAAUUAUUAAAAGUUAAAUCAGGCAUUACGGUCGGAAAAAACAACAUUAUCCAAUAUUUUCCUGCAAUAAUAUCACACUUCAAUGCAUAACUUAACCUUUGUCCAGGCACAAUUUAAGUCUCCAAUCACUAGAUGAUUAUCCUUCCAUCAAAAUAACCCACUGACGCAAUAAUUUCACUUUUCUAAACUGACCGGCCAGUCGGCCACACGGCCACACUAAACCAAUCAGUAUCCUUUGGUCCUCUCUUUGGAUCAAAUUUGCCCAAAACCCCAUGUUGAAUCCCUCUCUGGGUUUGAAUGCUCUCAAAUAACAUACAGGUGAAACAGAACAUGACUAGAUUGAUUGUAAACAUGCAGCCCAAUCACAAUUGACAGUUCUAACUAACUGGAGAAUAUUUGACAAAGCAGCAUAUUUCAAGGAUCAAUACCACAGAAGCUCAUCAGCAACAUUCAACCAGGUCAAGAGAAUAUAAAUAAAGUGCAAAGGAAUUAAUAAAAGCAAUCAUCAGAAUCUGGGUACUAACCAAUCUGUUAAGCUGGUGCUCGUUUAAAGUUCCCCCAUGUUCUGCAUGGUUUUCAAUUCUGAUAAUUUGAUAAUAUUUAAAUGUUAAUAAGAAAACUUAGUGAGUAGGUAGGAGUUUGUGAUAUGAAAUGCAUACCCUUUCGAGAACCACUCAUUGAAUUGUUCAUGACUGUCAAAUAAGGUAGGCAUAAUGAAAUGUAGUAGGGCCCACAACUCUGCCAUAUUAUUCUGGAUAGGUGUACCAGUAAGCAGCAAACGAUUUCGACAAUUAAAGCUAAGCAGUGUCUUCCACCUUAUACUGCGAAAUAAGAAUAUCCAACAUAGGGAUGAGAUAGGAACAAAUAUGAUUUUAACUGAGAAAAUAUAUGAAAAAAACAAUCUAAUUGGCUAUGCAACAUUUUUGUCAAUGGUUGCUAUUAAAAAAAUAUUGUUAUAAUAGUGUCAUGUAAGACCGAAUGAGCAGUUUCAAACACCUUGCAGUAAUUCAUAAAGCAAAAUUUUAGACCGAACCUGUUUGAACUUUUGAUAGCUUGUGCUUCAUCUAAUACCAUAUAUUGCCAUUUCACACGCCGGAAACACUUCUCAUCAGCCACUAGCAACUGGUAGCUGGUAAUGAGAAUGUGAAACCCAGCAUCCCUAACAAGAAAUAGAACACAAGGUUUAAUAUAAAUUACAAUUUACCAAGUCAUGGCAUUAUGCAGGUACUAACAUGUUUCAAGAUACUAUGAAUCACUUAAAAGUUGAUCUCCUUUCCAAAAAAUCCAUCUUUAGUUUCGCUCAAAGGCAUCGAUAAUCCCUAGUUAUAAACUGAAAAGACAAUCUCAUAUCUUGACAUUUUUUUUCUGCAUAAAAUAUGCCAAUAUGCCAACAAAAAAGUUUCAGGAACAAUGUAUUGCUUUAAAUAUCUUUAUGCAGUUAGGCCUAGUAACAUAGAAUCCAUAACGAUAACCAAUCUACAUAACAAGUUAUAUUAUCAAACAUGACAACAUUCAUAGCCAGCUCAAGGGUACAGCCACAAACAUGUACCUCCCUAGACUGUCCCUUGAUAAAUGGGAGGUGGGGCUUCAGCUAGACUCAUAUUAGGGUAUAUUUUGUGUGACGAAGGGCAGUGUUUUGCUUCUACUUUUCUUUCUUCCAUCUCUAAGAGAGAAAACAAGUUUUUUCAUUUCCUCGUUUGUGAAGACAGGACAAACUCUUGGUUAGACCUCAUACAAUUUCUGAAGUACCCAUUCUGCAUACUGAGUUGAUAUUUGUCAACUGCAGUACCAUCUAAAACCCUGUACCAAAGAAACCCUUAAUGUACUGCAGCGUUUACAUUAACUCCGUCUCUUUCUCAUCUGUGUUAUUGUCAUUUGUAAUUUUAUAGAGGUUGUUGUAUGUGUGAACUCUUCUACAAAAUUUUUACCAUUAAUAAUUUUAUGGAGGUAAGAGCUUAUGUGUCAUCUCUGCUAAAACAAUGAAUUACAAUGACUCUUCCACUCCUUGUCAAAUCUUGUUUCCACCGUCAUUCCUGCUAACAGUUCCAUAAAUUUGUAUUCCUAUAAUCUAUAAGUAUCAUAGCUGAGACUCUUUUUUGCAUAAGAAACAUACAAGUAUUAUUUAAGCAAAUAGAGGUUAAAGUUAAAUUUUCAAAAUACCAAAUAAUGCCCUUCGUGGAGUAAACUUCAAAUAUAAGAACUUAAGCAUGGGUAGAGGUGGAAAAAACUGAAAAUAGAAUCAAAUAAAAUUGUAAAAUAAAAAAGAAAACAGAUGAAUGUUAUUUAGAAGUGGGACAUAGUUGGCAAUACAACUGCAAAUUCAGUUUUUUUAAAUUGCACCUUUUUUCUUUGAGAACUUUUUUAUAUGCAAAUAUAUUAUUAGAAAAAAAAUUAAAAUUAAAAUUAUUUCACACAUAAGAAGACUAAAGGAGAUGGUAACUGAGAUUGAAAAAAGAGGCUACUUUCCAUUGAUGGAAAUUGUAUAUGAGACUGACUAUAACACUGGCUUUUGAAGAGCUAAAUGAAUAAUAAAUGCAAGAAAAAUAUAUAUACGUUUUGAACUUACUUUUCUGUGAUUGUUACCCAUUUAUAGGUUAUAGUUUUAUAUUAUUUCCAAAUUAUUUUGCAAAGGCGCCUUUUUAUCAUAAAGAUGUCUGCAAGAGAGCAAGACUCAGAUUCUCAGAUAUGAGAAACUAAAUUUAUAUCUAGUAAACCAGUUAAUUAUCACUAUUUUUCUUGUUCUUGGAAGUGUAGAAGUAACGGUAAGGGCAUAGCAAUUACCUACGGUAAAGUUUCUUAGCGUUGAUCUUUUUCCUAAGUACCGUACGCUCUUGAAGACCACCCCAAUACGGAAGAGUUUUCAAGUCAGGGCAGAAACGACUAAUUUCAUCAGCCCAGUUGUUCAAGACAGAAGCAGGAGCAACAACAAGAAAAGGCCCCCAUAUAUUUUUUUCCUGAAUGAGACAACCAAACCAAGUUACCACGGAAACAAAUGAUAGGAGUAAAAUACCAAGUCAAAUAAUUACCUCAGCCAAAUGAGCCAAAAACGCCAUGGCCUGAAUUGUCUUACCCAGGCCCAUCUCAUCAGCAAGGAUGCCAUUUAAACCCUGAAAGACAAGAAAACUUCUAAACAGUCUAUCGGAAAAAAUAAUAAUAAUAAUUCAACUGAUUUAUUGUAUGGGUGUUGUGUCCAUACAGGUUACCAACCUGCUCGUAACAAUUAACCAGCCACUGGAGGCCUUUUAGCUGGUAUUCUUUUAGGGAACCUUUGAACAACUCUGGUGUCUGAACAGUUGAUGUGACGGGCAUAGUGGAUCUGCAAUUGGAAACAGAAACUUAAUCAGCUUGACUAAAAACGCUUGCCAUUAAUUUCCCGGUACAACCAAGAAGAAAAAUAAUAUGAACAACAAGAAAAGACCAAGAGACUGACGGGUUAUGCAGAUCUAUGUUAUUAGCUCCAGCAAAAUCCUGUGGUGCCUCAGGUUCAGCAGCUUCACGCAGUCUCAGACACUCAUCGUCGAAUGCACUAGUUAACUUUUUCUGCUUUGAAACUGCAUCUUGAGCAGCUUUCAAUGCCUCCUUCUUCAGUUCAGCUUCCUCAGAAUCUUCUUCAAUAUUCUUAAUAUCUGAGGAGCUAGGAGAUACAUCUUGGUUUUCAUCUCCUACAGGCAGGUCUCCGGCUGGCUGAAAACUCGGCUUGUUCUGCAUAAAGUGACUGUAAAGUUCAGUUUGUUGAAUGAGAAAAUUGAGUUUUUGCUCAUGUCUCUUUGCUUCUCUUUCCUCCUCCAAACGCUUGCGAAUUUCAAUAGCUUCUCUUUCCUCUUUCUUCCUCACUUCUGCCUGCCAGAGUUUCAACAACACAAAUAGAACAAUGAAAGAUCAGUUGAGUUUUAAUAAAAAAGAAACAAAUAUACGCAUUCAGUGUCAUGCUGAAUAACAGAAGAUAGCACACUAAUACUACUGAAUAUAGUGAAAGAAGCCUCAUGCAUAAUUUUAAGAAAAUAAUAAUAAUAACACUUUCAAACCAACAAAUAUCUAUAGAUGUAACUACAUUAAGGCCAGCAGGAUAAUGCACUUUUUAUAUGUUCUAGCAAUGUAUCACUUUGUAGUCGAGCAUAAGCAUUUUUCAAAAAGAAAGAAAGCAUACCAUUUCUUUGUCUAUUCUCUUCCAAAGCAGUAGCAUAUCCCUGGCUAGUUUUCUUGUGCGAAUUGCAGCACCCCUUGUCACUUUAAGUGAUCUACUCACCUUCAUUUUAACCUAAGAGAAAAAAAAAUCAUAGCUUCAGUAGAUUGUACAACCGUCAGAUGAUAAAAAGCACUCAUCAGGAAGUUCAGAGAAUCAGUCUCAACAAGGUCAGACAGGACAAAAAACCCUGUGCAAGAAAAAUAAUCAGAAGACUAAAUUGCCCUUACAAAUCAUAAGUACCUCUCUUUGACAGUUCUCUGAGACCCUCUUGGCAUCAAUUAGUUGCUUGCGGUGAAAAGUAGUGAAAAAUCUCUGAUGCUUUGGUAUGUCUCUUCUUACUAUGUUUACCCAUACUCUUCCAAUCCUAUCCAUUUCCUCCUUCUCAAUUAGAGAGGGAUCUUUCUCUACCUUUUGCUUCUUGGGUAGGCUUCGUUCAAUGAUCUGCAAAAUGCUUAGUAAAAGCCCGCCCCCUUGAAAAAAUAUAUAAUAUAUAUAUAUAUGAACCAAUCAUAAUUUAAGCAGAAUACAAACCUCAUAUGUGUCUCCUUUCUCCAAAACCUUCACAUAGUAGGGUUGCAAGACACCACCGUCGGACAAAAUAAGCCUCUUUAUCCUUCCAGCAGCCCCCUCUGGGAUGGAGGAAUUCAACCCAAUAUCAGAAACUUUGAGGCUGAAAUUUUGAUCAGAGGUAGAAGUGGACAAGGCCUUCAAUCUUGCCUGAAGGGAGUCAUACAGGGGAUAAGGCUCCCCCAUUCCUGCCCCAUUUUUUGGACCAAACUUCUUAUCGCUACCCAUCAUUUCUGCUAAGGAUCCCAAAUCCAAUGUGCCUUUUAAGUAAACUUCCUCCACCCGAAAAUCAGAAAAGCUAGGCAAGUGUAAAGAUGUCACCAGUUUAUCAUAAAUUGGUGGAAUCCUGUAUGUGAAACCAUCUCCAAUAUCGAGAUAAGGAGGUUCAUAUAUUACUCUGCAUAAGUAAAUGAAGAAACAAUAAUUAGAUAAUUAACCUAUGUGAAUAUAAUGGCAUUCCCAUAAUGGCAUAUGGCCCAUGGCAGAAUAUAAGCCAUUCUCACAGGGAAAACCAGAAGAAGAAAACAAACCUAUCAACGGUACUUUGAGGUGAAAAAUCAGCAUCGUGGUAGUUCCCUGGUUUCUGAGCAAUAGCAUCAUUGAGCCACUCGGACGUGGUUUCCAUUUCAUAAAACCCUCCUCGGUUCUCAUUUGCCAGCUUUCUAGAUUUUGAACCCUUAUUCCCCUUGGGAACUGGAAUCCCCAUAUGCAUCGGUGCAGGACUCGAUGACGAAUCCUUGAACCUUCUCUUGUACUUUUGAAUGUGUUCUCCAAGCAUUGAUCUGUACUUCUCCUCCGUAAUGUGCGUACGGUAAUAACUGUCAUCCUCCUCGUAAUCACUAUUCUGCGACCGCCUCCUUUUCUUUACUGAACUCAGUUCGCGGUCGGACAUCAUCCCAUUACCAGCAGCUCCACCUAUCCAUACAAACUAUCAGCAUAUAUACAAAGUCCACACCUUUCCUGCUCAACUUUUCUAACCAAUCUCUCUACUUAUACAUAUACACACACACACAGUCUCUAUUAUGCAAAAAUAAGGUGCAUUUACUCUAAAAUACCGAAAUCAAAUUCGUCUGAUUAAGCUUAAGCUAAAGAUUAAGAGGAGGAAUUAAAGAACCUUGGCUACCUCUGCUCUCAUCCUGACUACUGUUGCCGUAAUAAUCAAAAUCAUCAUCAGGCUGUGGAAGUUGAAAGUUCAUCAAAGGCUACAUUACAUCAAACAAUCGCAAUCAAAUUCGAGAUUACGGAGUACGCCGCGGCGAACCAGAAAGCAAAGAAGGAGAAGAGAAUUGAGGUACCUCAAGGUUGAAGAGGUUGGAGUAGGAGAGAGAAUCCUUGGAUUGGCGCCGGUGGUGGUCCAUGUGGUUAUGACAGAAGCAAACCCUAGGAGUUCAAGAAACCCAAAGCUCUAGGAACAACCCAGACUCCAUUGCGGGCACCCGACUUUGUUUUAUACCGUUUUCUUUGCAAACUUGCCUCCAAGCUUCGUCCGCCAUUAGAUUUUGCUCUUUUUUUCCUUUGACCCGAGUUACAUGUAAACACCAUUUUCAUGUCAAUUUUCUUUUUUACUUUUUUGUUUUUUCGAAAAGGUUGCACCAACAUAUUGGAAUUUUGAUUUAUUUUUUUUAGCAAACUAUGUUGUACCAAAUUUGAAAAAUAUUAAAUACACAAAUAAGGACAUUAAAAAGUCAACAGCGAGGAAAUCAUGGUUAAUCAUGUUUGGAUGUAAAUUUAAUGAUGGAAAACAAAACAACUUAAUUUUAAAAUAAUAAUUCACACCAUUGGAUUUACAUCCAACGCUAUUUGUUCUCACGCCAUCUUACUGUUCCUAAGGGAACUUUUUGCGCGGGCGAUUUUGCCCCUGUGUUUUCUAGGUUUCUACUCUUCUUGCCAUGCCAACUGUCGAUGUGCAGAGCCUCCACCUAUUCUCCACAGCUUCAAAUUCUUGGUCUCGAUUGUUUGCUUAACACAGAGAGAGUGAUUGACACAAAGAGAGUGAGACAGAGCAAAGGAAACAAGAGAAGAAGAUGGUAAACCUGAUCGCUGUCGUUAUUGUUUUUAUUUUCGUCGAUUUUCUCAUCGGCCAAGGGAUCUGAAAAUACUGGAGAGUUGUUGUGAACUUGUGAUCGAGCUCUAGAGGAGUGAUCUUUCUCCGGGUAUGCUUUACUUCUGCUAAGUUUUUGAUUUUGGUUUGCAUUUCAUUUGAUUUUUUUUUUGUUCUGAAAUUGCUUCUUGGUUCUUCGUUUUGUUUUUGUCAAAUGUGGGUGUGGGCGUUAGUUGUUUUUGGGUGAUUGCUUCAAGUAAGCUUCUUGUUCUUAGUGUCCUUCGUAGUUAAGUUGUUUAGUUGUCCUUCAAGGAUGUGAAUUAUUAUUUUAAAGUUAAGUUGUUUUGUUUUCCAUCAUUGGAUUUAUAUUCAACGGUGAUUGACCAUGAUUUCCUUGAUCACUAAGUGACUAUGUGAACACCUUCUCGGGGUCUCUGGCAAGGUGACCCUCUCUCUCCCUACUUGUUUUUGUUAUGUGCGGAGGUCUUUAGUCUAUACAGGUUUGCUAGAUAAGAAAGUCAUUGAUGGUUCCUUGCAGGGGAUAACAAUUUGUGAAGGUGCCCCCGUUAUUAAUCAUCUAUUAUUCCUAGAUGACAGCAUACUUCUUGGGAAGGCUUCGGUGGAGGAAUGUAUGACUAUGAAGCCUCAGUUUGGUAUUGCAGUGAAAAUAUGCAACGGUUAAAAAACUCAAUUAUUAAAAUAAUCAACUUUAAAAAUAAUCAGUUCAGUGUUUGGUAAACUGUGUAUUGAAAUCGAUAAACUCAACCAAACCGUUUGGUAAACUGUAACACAAAUCUGAUAUGACAUUGUCUAAUGACAAAAACAGACACAUUGAUCGAAGAGAAAUUUUAUUCACACAUGGUUAUUUUCUAGAUACACAUCCCAAAUUUUUGUUAAAUUAUAUAUUUCUAUUUUACCCCUCUCCAAACAAAAUACAAAUCAUAAUUUCAAUUUCAAUAAAAAAAUGAUCAUUUCAACAUCUACUCGACAACAAGGAGCACCGUAGCCACCGGGGUUGCAACUGUUGGGAGGCCAGUGAUUGAUUUGGGUGGAGAGAGGGUUGCUCACUGAAGGAAUCUUGCUUGUUGAGUCAUAACUUACAAAAGAUGGGUUUAGGGAGAAGAGAGGUUGGCAAAUGAGCUUGCAUCUCUUGGUUGAGGAUAUGAAUUGAAUGGAUCUUUGAGCAUAUUUGAGGAGUCAGGUGGUGUGGUGUUAGAAUUGUGAGAGGUCCUUGAGUUUCAAUGCCAAUCUAUCAAAGAUUUAACUUUGAUUUGGAUAGUACUUUUUGCUUGGCAUAAAGGAGAAGGAAUUGAGGUAAAAAGACCCAUAAGUUUGACCAUAGAUUGACAGAUUUUGGGUAAUGGCGGUCAAGAAUAUACUAACAGGGGAAGAAGAAAUAUGAGGAAGGCAAAACAAUUAAACAAAAAUCACAUAAUUAGUAGGGAAAGACAAAUUUAUUUUUAAUCGAAAUAUCACACAAGUGACACGUGUUUGCUAAGUCAGUUUUUUAACGAGUCGUCACAAAAAAUGGACUGAAAUAUGUGAUUAAUAUCAUAAUAAGACUUCAAGUGUCACAUUGAUAAUAAAGUUGAGAAUUUUUGCAUCAACUUUAAAUUAAACUGUGAUGCAUCUGUUAUUGAUGAUGGGAGUUGUGUUGGUGUUAGGGCUGUGCUAAGGAAUGAUUCUGGUGAGUUGGUGGUGGCGUUGAGAGAGAGAGAGUUGUGGAUAGGCUGAGACCUUGUGCUGCUGAAUUGGUUGCAUUGAUUAAACGUCUUGAGAUGGUGAUUCAAGGAGGAUGGCCUUUGGAGAUGGUUGAAACGGAUUGCCUUGAGGCUGUGAGGUUAGUAAAUGGGGAGACUGAUUGUUUCGCUGAAGAAGGUGUGUUGAUUGAGAAGAUUAGGCUGCUAUUAGCUACUGUCAAUGUUGUUGAGAUUCAGUAUGUCUUUAGGAAAGCUAACAUGGUAGCUGAUUCUAUUUUAAAGUUUGUAGCCCGAUUGCAGGGGCGUUAUUCUUGGUUAGGGGUUGGGCCCGAUUGGCUCAUGGAUGUCAUUGUUAAUGACGGACCCGUGACUUGUUCGAGUAGGAGGGAUGAGAGUGGAGAAGUUGAUUCCACCACCGAUAAUUCCCAAGCGUUGUAAUUUUUUUUUGUUUUUGAAUAANNNNNNNNNNNNNNNNNNNNAAAAUCGAAAUGUUAGAAUUUAAACCUGAAAAUUGAGCACAAGGUCUGAUUUCUACCGAUCUACCCUGCGUAGCUAAAGCUACCGACUAGCCCUUGCUUCUUCCUUUUCUUCUUCCAAAUUCCGCAACUGUAAGUCUCUGUAUUUGAAUUCCUUUCUUCUUGUUCCUUGCAUUCAUCAUUUGUGAAGCUUGUACGCAUUUCUUUGCCUCUAUUGUUUGAACCAGAACCAGGGCUCUUAUCUAAUUUGGCUUUAGGAUAAACAAAAAUCAGGAAUUAGUUGAUAUUUGUAAUUGCCCAUUUCUCCAUUGCUAAGUAUCAAUGCUGAAAGCCACCCAGGAUCAUGAUUCAUUGAUUACAAAAGUUUGAAGCUUUUGGGUCUUUUGGGGUUAUAUUCAUUGCAUUGCACUGUGAUUUGUUCUUUACUUGUCAAAUUUGUAGUUUUCUCUAUACGAUUAGAUAUACAAUUCUGGGGUAAUGCUCACCAAUUUGUAUCUUUUUCUUGAAAUUGAUGAAGUUCUCUAACACAGUCGAGAUUAAUUUGUUUGUUUUGUUUUCGUUUCACUAAGAAGUUUUAGGUUUUUACUCCUGGAUCCCAACACUGGACAAAGCCAAUGGCUAUUAUUUGCAGCAACAUUUCCCUUAGCCGUGUAUUAACAAUGCUCGUGCUUAUGACAAUUCUAGCGGCUGAGAAACGGGUGUGCAUCCGGAUCCCGGAUCAGAUCACUGAAACUACAAAGCUAGGGAUCCACCCAACAACCGCCGCCCCGUCUUUGAAAUCAGCAAUUUUUGCUCUUGGUAGCUUUUGGAGGACGGAGGCUGUGUUUGGGUGCUUGAAUGGGGUCCUUCAGACCACUGUGGGUUAUGCUGGAGGAUCCAAAACCAAUCCUGAGUACAGAAGUUUGGGUGAUCAUGCCGAGUCUGUGCAGGUGGUCUCCCUUCUUUUAGUGAUUGAUUUUGUUUUCCUCUUGUCUACCUUCAUCUGUGCAUUUAAGCCUGAAUUGGAUAGCUUUCACAUUUCAAACUGGUGUCUCUUUUAAAUGGAGAAUUUUGUCUGGAUGGUUCUAAGAAUAGGAUCAUUUAUUCAAUCUACUGCAAAAUCUGAUCUCCCUAUUCUUCUCUCUCUCUCUCNNNNNNNNNNNNNNNNNNNNNNNNNNNNNNNNNNNNNNNNNNNNNNNNNNNNNNNNNNNNNNNNNNNNNNNNNNNNNNNNNNNNNNNNNNNNNNNNNNNNNNNNNNNNNNNNNNNNNNNNNNNNNNNNNNNNNNNNNNNNNNNNNNNNNNNNNNNNNNNNNNNNNNNNNNNNNNNNNNNNNNNNNNNNNNNNNNNNNNNNNNNNNNNNNNNNNNNNNNNNNNNNNNNNNNNNNNNNNNNNNNNNNNNNNNNNNNNNNNNNNNNNNNNNNNNNNNNNNNNNNNNNNNNNNNNNNNNNNNNNNNNNNNNNNNNNNNNNNNNNNNNNNNNNNNNNNNNNNNNNNNNNNNNNNNNNNNNNNNNNNNNNNNNNNNNNNNNNNNNNNNCAUUUUGAGAAGCAUGCUUCGGCAGUUGGGGGAAAAGAAAAAAAAUGGAUAAUAACAUGUAGGUCCUGAAAGUGGACAUAAAUUUUAAACUCCCUUUUUCAAGCUGCUCUGCUAUUUCUCUAAGAGAAAUAGGUGUGCCAAAUUAUUGGGUCUUGUAUUGUUUCUUUUUGUUUGCGGGCGGGUUCCUUAAGUCCUGGCGUCUGAGAGCAUGCUUGGGAAUCUGAAAACAACAAAGAUAAAAAGAGAGAUAAUAGCAUGGUUGGUCCCGAAGGUGAAUUUAAAUUUUGACCUCCAUUUUUCAAGGUGCUGCUAUUUCACUAAGAGAAAUAGAUGUGCCAAAUCAUCUGGUCUCGUAAUGCUAUGUGUUGGAAACUAAAAGUCUAGUGGAUGAGACUGGUCAUGAGUGUAGCAUAUUGAAAUGGAUUUUUUGCUAUACUUGAAAAUUUGGUUGCUUACUGGUUUUUUUUCAUUUACAAGUCAGAUCUGCAUUUUCUACUUGGUAGUCCCGAAUUGUUGAAUGACAGACCUAUCAUUUUUAACAUGCAGAAGUUUGAGCUGAAACGUAGACCAUUCCUUCUUCAACUAAUGGGAAACUUGCCUGAAGAGGAACUAGAGAGGUCGCAUUUGGCAGCGAAACUGAAUAGCUAUGCAGCAGAGCUUUGCCCUCCAAAUAUUCAGAAGAAGAUUGAUGUAAAGAUCAACGACAUUAUUAAAAAAGGGUGGCCAAUUUUGAGCAAUUUGUAGGUCACCAUUGCGGUUAAUUUUUUUUUUUUGUUUUUUUUAACGUGUGCACCAUUUAUUUUCCUAACUUGUUUCUUGAGAACCUUCUGUACAAUAGGAAAUCGAAUUCACCAGCGUUCUUUUCCCGGUCAGGCUUGUCAUUUAUGUAUCCAUAUUGAAAUAUCCUAUCACAUAAAGUCCAAAAAUUCUGGUAUGCAUUGCUGUUAAAAACGCGCUCGUAAGUUAUAUGUGCCCAAUAACCACCAACAUUUGUGAUCAGUUGAAGUUUGCCUUGGUUACCUUAUGUUAACCAUCACAUGACCACAAGACUGAAACAAUUUCCAAUGGGCAGUUGUUGAUGCAGCAGAUUGAUUGAAAUGGGUCCAAAGAAUAACUGGAAACAGAGGCCUCAGAAAAUUAGCCGAAAUUGAAAACUAAUUAGACCACUAUGUGGAGCACACCGAGUAAACGAAGUUCAUAAUCCAUACAUCAUGCAUGGCUAAUCGCCUAAUUGUCGCCGAAAAAUGCUUGAAAACCAUCUGAAAGUUGAAAGCUUUGAAGCUCUGAGUUUAAAGGCGCACUUGUUUGCCUCCAUGAUGUAGCUCGCAGUCGGAAUUAUGAUCGGGAAAAUGUCACCUAACACUGUCAGAGACGGCGAGAACCAAAAUCUAGUUGGGGUCACAACUUGGGGUACUAUGUGAUAGUUUCUAUAAGUGAGGUAUGAAAGUUGAGAACUGAUAGUUCCCACCUUAUAGAGAAGAAAAAAUUAAUCCUCAAAACUCGCUACUUUCAUCAAAGAAUGUAGAAGGAUCAAAAUUAAAAGUAUAGUGAUCAAGUUGUCGACCAAGCCAUAAUUGGGCGACCACAUUGAUAUGCAAAAGCCAGCAAUGAUGAUUAACCUUAACAUAUCAGAAGCAGUCCUAAUCAUCCGAAUGGGAAACAGAAAUACAUAAAGUUGACAUUUCAUAGGAAAUCCGAAGUUCCAAAUCACAACCACCAAAUUCCCAUUAUAACAUGUUAUCAAAAUAAGUGUUCAAAUCCAUCUAGUGCUCAAUUUCGGUAGUCAUUGGCAAUAAUAAUAAUAAUAAUAAUAAUAAUAAUAAUAAUAAUAAUAAAAAAGCAACAAUCCAUAGGGUUUCGCUAAACCCUACAUACAUAUAUUACUGAUAACUUGGCUGCUCAAAAAUGAACAAGUUUCACUUCCAACUACUCAACCAGUCCUCAGGAUAAUAUGAACUCCACUGUCUGUAUCCACAAUUUCACUUAUCUCUCCAACCUUGAGAGAGAAUGUUGCUUCCUCGAAAGGCUUCUGCAUCUGGCCACGGCCAAAAGGGCCUGCAAAAAAAGUUCACCAUACAUUAUCAAUGCUAUCCAUUUAUAUAAGAUGAGGAACUGUUGCCAAGAAAUAAAAUCAUGGAAAUACAUGCUUGUUCUAGGAACAAUCCAGUAAUCCUUCUGGCUUUUUAAAACAACAAAACCAACUGAUAACUUGUGAGACUAAAAGAAAUUGGUUGUGAGAGAAGUCUAUUUAUGUCAUCCAGCUAUUACAGAGUUCAGAAACGUAAUGUACAUAAAGAAUUUCAAACUGUUGACCUUUAAUUCAUAUCUCAUCAAGUAAAAACUAUAUGCCCUAAAUAAAAGACAGAAUGGACUGUUUUCUGUGAAAUCUAAAAUUUUGUGCCUUGUUUAAGUGUUAGGCACAACCGCACAAGGCUUUGUGGAAGAUAGAGGAGAGAGGUGUAAUGCUUAGUUUUGUGGUAAGAUUGACAGGUCUUUGAGAGACUUCCAAGGAGAGGAAUUGUAGGCUAUAAAUUUUAUAGAUAUCGAUCAGGCUUUCCGUUUCUUCUUAACUAGAUUUUAUGGUUGUUGUUUGAUAGCUAAAGCUAAAUUGUAUUAGCUGCUUUGUGGUUUCUAUCAAAACUACAAUAUAUAGUAAAAAGAAGCUUCAAUUUACUAUAGUCUCCACAGCUAAGUAAAUACGGCUAUUCCAAAUAUAAAUACCUUGUGUGAACUUGCAAAUGUAAUACUAAACCAUGAUUUUUAAAACUUGAGAGUUAAGUAAGGAGCUGACCAAGAUCACCACCACGCUUGGCAGAGCUGCAAUCAGAGACACGAGUAGCAACUUGGUCAAAUGUGGACUUGCCAGAGACAAUGUCCUCGCGAAGUGACUUGAGUUGAGUGACAGCUGCAUCUCGGGUGGUGUUACUGAUAACUAGACCAUCUGGAUCCUUCCAAGAGGCCUUUCUUCUCGAACCUUGGUGCUUGAUCAGUAUGUGGGAUGCCCUGACCUGAUUUGAAGAAGACAUUUUCGUCUUUUUGCUCUUAGUGUGUCCCUGCUUUUUGUCUUUGUUAGUGUCCAAACGAUCUGCUGAGAGGGAAGAAGCUGCUUUCUUUCUUUUACGGUCGGAUGGCUCUAUCUUUGCGGCUUUGAGUUUUCUGCAUGUGAAAACACAAUUUAGAAGGAAUCGUUAGUUCAUCAAAUAUCACCAAUGGUAAAUUACCUAAUCUCUUGGAAUACAAAUCUGAAAUGUUAUCAUCUAUCAAGACUGAAGAGUUGUAUAACAUUCCGUAAACAAAAAAAAGAAGAAAAAUUUUGUGCUUCUUGGAGUUAAUUUAGAAGGAAUCAUUAGUUUGUCAAGUAGUUAAUAUGGGAAGUUACCUAACCACAUGGAAUACAAAUCCCAUAGGUUAGCAUAUAUGAAAAACAAAUAGUUUUAUAACAUUCCUUAAAAAAAACACAGAAACUUGUGCUUCUUUGGAAUAUAUAGAAAGCCAUUUUCCCCAGAAUUGGAAAUUUCUAAUAUCUGAAAUAAAUUUCAGCAACAAUCAUAUUCCCCAAGGUAAUAUGUAUAAAUCAAAAGCCAUCAACAAACAGAAAUCCAAAUAUAUUCCCCAAGAAAGACAAAUUUGUAUAUGUGUUGCCACCAACAACAUUGACUACGAUUAGAGUUACGGUUGUGCUCAGCCCUAAACCAAUUGGUCUGAAGGAAAGAAACAUUCUACACUAGUCCUACAAGUGGCAGAUCCAACAAUGAAUACCUGGGCUAAAAGUUCUUAGUAGAUUGAAUCAAAAAAUUUACAUAUAACCCGAAAACGAAACGAGAAAACUUUGUUGAUUCCAAAGAAACAUACACAUACUCAGUUAGUAAGCCUUGCUCCUCAAAUCUAAGAGAAUAAACAACAAAUAGACAUGCAACAUAACACUCAGAAAAAAAAAAAAUCUAACCCUACGAGUCACUAAAGCUUCAAACUCAAUGAUCGAUGAAUCAUCAAACUCGAGCAGAUCAGAUCAAUAAACAGAUGAGAAUCGCAGCGAAAAUUAAACUGAUCCCAUAAAAUUGUCGGCAAUCUGAAUCCAAAUGAAAUGGAUACUUACAGAGUUGGGGAGAUUAGUCGACUCAAGGAAAGAGGAGUGGAGACGCCGACUCUAGCUGUGGAUAUGCUUACACUACCAGACGUCUUUCUGCUUUAUAUACUUUCUUUCUCAGGAGUCUGGGCUGGGCUUGGGUCUAAUCAGCCCGUGAUUAAAUCCCCUAAAAGUCAACAUUAUGUACAUUACCCUAAACUCUAAACCCAAACCUGACUUCAUAUAUGUACACCACGUCAAUAACGUCGUUAACCGUUAUGUCACUAUCCAUUUCCCUUCCAACUUCCAACAACGGGAGCUGAAGUUUUGGAUUGCGAAAUCUAACAGCAAAAGUGGUUCCAUAAAAAGAAAAAUAACAAAGCAUAACAAAUAGUCAUUGAUUUUUAAUCCAUUAAUCAUUUUACUCGUUUCAAAAAUAUCACCUAACUCACUCACUUUUAACUUUGUCUCUCACUUAACUCACUGUUGUUAACUCGACUGUUAGGACCCGUUAACAUCGAGGAUAUAUUUGUCUAAACACCAAAAAAGAAUUUCCAAUUAGUUUUUUUUUAGGAAACAAAAUAUAAAAAUGUUGUUUCUUCAUCAGAUUUUAAUUCUAAAAUAUUUGUUUUGUAUCAGAAAUUCCUGAUUUUUUUUUAAAGAAAGUUGAAAAUUAUUUAAUAACUUUCAAAUUAGAAAAAUAUGCAUUAAUAUUUUUUAUUACGAAGAAAAUAACUACAAAUAACCUCUAUUCAAAAAAAAAUUAACUACGAAUAAUCUAUUUUUUCAAAAUAAUUUCAGAUUUUUUAAAGUUAUCUUUUUCAUAGAAAUUUCAAGAAAAAAUAAUUGGAAAAUGAUCUAAUAACUUUAGAAAUAAGUUAGAAAUGCAUUUUAUGUGGUUAGACAAAUAUACACCCUCAAUUUUAAUGGUUCAUAACAGUAAGUUUAACGGCAGUGAGUUAACUGAAAGACUGAAUUAAAAGUAAGUGAGUUAAGUGAUAUUUUUGAAAUAUAAGUGAAUAAAAUGAUUAAUGGGUCAAAACUGAGUGACCAUUUAUGAUUUUUUUAAUAGAAAAUUUCAUAUAAGUCACAUUCUGAACAUUUUCUCCUGCAUAAGUCCACCAUAACAGUUUUACUCAUAUAAGUCCACUUUUAAGGCUAAAUCUGUUAUUUUACUUUUACGAUGUACCUAAAAUGCCCUCCUCUCCUUUACACCAAUUCUCUCUCUCUCUCUNNNNNNNNNNNNNNNNNNNNNNNNNNNNNNNNNNNNNNNNNNNNNNNNNNNNNNNNNNNNNNNNNNNNNNNNNNNNNNNNNNNNNNNNNNNNNNNNNNNNNNNNNNNNNNNNNNNNNNNNNNNNNNNNNNNNNNNNNNNNNNNNNNNNNNNNNNNNNNNNNNNNNNNNNNNNNNNNNNNNNNNNNNNNNNNNNNNNNNNNNNNNNNNNNNNNNNNNNNNNNNNNNNNNNNNNNNNNNNNNNNNNNNNNNNNNNNNNNNNNNNNNNNNNNNNNNNNNNNNNNNNNNNNNNNNNNNNNNNNNNNNNNNNNNNNNNNNNNNNNNNNNNNNNNNNNNNNNNNNNNNNNNNNNNNNNNNNNNNNNNNNNNNNNNNNNNNNNNNNNNNNNNNNNNNNNNNNNNNNNNNNNNNNNNNNNNNNNNNNNNNNNNNNNNNNNNNNNNNNNNNNNNNNNNNNNNNNNNNNNNNNNNNNNNNNNNNNNNNNNNNNNNNNNNNNNNNNNNNNNNNNNNNNNNNNNNNNNNNNNNNNNNNNNNNNNNNNNNNNNNNNNNNNNNNNNNNNNNNNNNNNNNNNNNNNNNNNNNNNNNNNNNNNNNNNNNNNNNNNNNNNNNNNNNNNNNNNNNNNNNNNNNNNNNNNNNNNNNNNNNNNNNNNNNNNNNNNNNNNNNNNNNNNNNNNNNNNNNNNNNNNNNNNNNNNNNNNNNNNNNNNNNNNNNNNNNNNNNNNNNNNNNNNNNNNNNNNNNNNNNNNNNNNNNNNNNNNNNNNNNNNNNNNNNNNNNNNNNNNNNNNNNNNNNNNNNNNNNNNNNNNNNNNNNNNNNNNNNNNNNNNNNNNNNNNNNNNNNNNNNNNNNNNNNNNNNNNNNNNNNNNGGGUUUAGUCCAAGUGGUGAAGGCGGAAGGGUGUAACAAAAAAUUAACAAAAAGAAGAAGCAAUAAACAAAUAGCUUAUAGAUCUCGUCUCAAGUUUAAAAUGUAAACUCUCCACCUCACGUUUUAAAUACCAAAUAAGAAAAGAGCAUAGAAACAAACGUAACAAAACACUUAUUUGAGAUGUCAAGUUUUAAAACAAAAUGUAAACUUGAAAUCUCACCUGAUAUUCAUAAUAUGAAACCUAGCUCAAUCUUUCGAUGGAUCUGCCAUGCCAACGUCAAUUGGUACAAUACCAGACUCUCCAAUCAAAGAAAGGUUCAAGAAAACUAGGUUUUGAUUAUCUGUAUCAUCUUGACUUAGUUUUGCAUGAAUAUCUGCACAAAAUCUUGACUUGGUUUAAUUUGCAUUAACUUAAUAUAUACCAUUUAUAUGCACAUCCAUGAUAUCAUAAAAUUAAAUGACGAUGAGAAGCAAAGUCAUUUGGCUGACGAUCGAUUGAGUCAAUAGAUUACAACUCACAACUACUGGGAUAUGAAAAGAAAAUAAAAAGGACAUACAAGUUGGGUGGUGGUUUACAAUUACACAAUAUUGGAUUCCAGACAAAUAUUUUCACCCUUGAUCGAUUACGUCAAAGAAGUUAUCAAUGUACAGGAUGCAUAAACCUACUGUAUAUCCAAAGUGGGAGGUCGUCAGUCUAGCAUUUCAGUUGUUUAUGGAACAAAAAAAAAAUAUAAACCUACUGUAUAUUCUUUUACAUGAAGUCAAUAAUGAAUCACAAUUAGCUUCUCCUUAUUCAUCACGUACACAAUUGCAAUGAAACUUAACAACUACAGAAGAUCCCCCAUAUAGAAAUACAAGCAGAGUUUAGAUGGAAGUUGACUUGAUGAUGAGACACGUGCCGGAUUAGAAGGAAACUAUGGAAGCUUUUCAUGUGCAGAGAGUCUCGUAUAGGGAUGGGCAUAAAAAACUGUAAUCAUAAACCCGUCCUGGGUCAGUCCCGAAAUUUACUGGGACGGGACGGGAUUUAAAUCUCAAAACGUCUCGUCCCGUCCCGUUUAUAUAUAACGGGUCCCGUCCCGUUUAUAUAUAACGGGACGGGACAUGGGAUAGAUAAUUCAAGUCUCGUUUAGGCCGUCCCGUCUCGUCCCGACUAUUUUAAUGAUUGAUAUUUUAUUGAUUAAAAUGUGAUUUGAGCAUUUCAUUUAAAUGUUUUGAUCUUAGCUCUUUGUUUCUUUAAGUUACUAGGUUGUCUUCAAUUUAAUAACAAUGAUGCUUAAUACUUUAAUUUGUUGUUUGUUGAUUGUUGUAGACUAUUUUCAUGCACCCUACUAGUGAUGACAAAUUUAGAGAAAUUAAGUAGUAUAAACUCUCUUAUUACACCGUGUUGUAUUUGUAAAUAUGUUACAAGUACUUGUUAAUAUAUAAUAAAGUAGAAAACACUAUAAAACUAUAGAACUCUUUCUUUCGCUUAUAAGUUUAUUUUCAAUUUUUUUUAUUCGCAAUUGGGCCCGUCCCGUCCCAACCGGGAUAGAGCUCGGGUGGGAUGAAAUCUAAAAAACACAAAACCCGUCCCGUCCCGAUUUCAAUGUCCGGGACGGGCCGUGGGAUUAGCUCUAUCUCGUCUCAUCUUGUCCCAUGCCCAGCCCUACUCUCAUAAUAUCAUUCUACGACGUGCUCUAAGUUCUGUUUAAAGGAAACUAUUGCCCAGUCUUUUCUUCAAGUCAAUUCCUAUUUUAAAACUAAAGAAUAGUUAGUCUGCUCUCUCUAUUAAAAUAUAGAAUAAGAAAGUGAUUCUGUGUUCUAGGACACCGAUGAUUAUUGAGAAUUUGAGAUUGUCCAAGUCAGAUCAAGUAAGGGACAUUUUAGGGCGCGUUUACUUAGGGGCAAUGGAAAUGGUUCUCUUGAGAUUCAUUCUCAUUUCGGGUUCAUAGGGUGUUUACUAACCUUCAGGCGGAAUCAGAUGUGUGUGGGCCCCAACUUUGAACCCGGAUUCAUUCCCCCUUUUCCACUCCGGAGGAAGGGGUUGGUAUUGAUUCUCAUUUACCCAUGAUCGAUUGGUCAACGUUCUAUCCAUAGACAAUGAUUUAACUGAUCUCCAAUCAAGACUUGAUUGGGAGUUGAGCAAAAUGGAAUCCCUAACCCCGAUUCAAGUGUUCCAUGUCACAAAUAUUUUGGCACAUAAACAUGAUCUUUUCAGGAUGUUCUUUACCAUGAAUGAUGAAAGGAAAGCAUCAUAUGAGAGGAACCUACUCGAAUUUGGCUUACCAUGAUCGAAGAUGAAUGUUUUUGCUGAACUUACUUUGCUGGACUUAUUAUGCUAUGGGUUAAUAUGUACUCUUGUUAUGGUUUUACUUUGCUGGACUUAAUAUGUUAUGGUACUAUUGGACUUAUUUUGUUUUAUGUUAGCAUUAAUACAUGUAUUGGAUGAACCUAAGUUUGUUAUAUGAGCGCAUCAGUGAGUGUGUUUUCCAGGUUUACGUAUUGGAUUCUAUUGAAUACUUUUUUUUUUCUUUCUCUUUUGCAAAUUGAAGCUUAUUAUCUUGUAUAGAAUCACCUUUUUUUGGGAGGGUAUUAUUGUCAUGAUAGAGUUAUGAUUCUCAUUCCUAAAGUUUUGUAAACACAUGAAUGAGAAUGAAUCCUACUUCUAUUUCUCAUUCCGGAUGACAAGUAAUUUUUUUUCUCUUUUGCAGAUUGAAGCUGAUUAUCUUAUAUAGAAUCACAUUUUUUUUAGGAGGGUAUUAUUGUCAUGAUAGAGUUAUGAUUCUCAUUCCUAGAGUUUUGUAAACACAUGAAUGGGAAUGAAUCCUACUUCUGCUUCUCUUUCCAGAUGAUAAGUAAACAAAGGAAUGAGAAUGACUCAUUCUCUCUCCCAUUCAUCCUCUAUCCCAUUCACCCUUAAUCCCAUUCAUGUUUAGUAAACACGAUGUGGAGACUAAAUUGGUAUAACUUAUCACUAGUAAAAUUAGGAUGGCGAGACUCCCAUUACCUUUUAAGAUUAAAACUUUUGCGUGACUUCUUAUUCGUAAUGGGUUGCAAAGCAGAGUUUCCUUCUCAAUUCAAUCCACAUAUUGCUCCUCUUUGUCUGUUUUGUGACACUCAUAUUGAGACAAUGUCUCAUUCGCUUCAGAAAUAGCUUCUUUACUAAGACCCAAUUUGGUAUUGUUUUGAGAAAUAAAAUCACUUAAUCACUAUUUUCAAUAGAUUUUUUGUUUGGUAAAAUCUUAUAAUCUGUUUAUCUAAAUAACCACGUUGGGGUGGUUUUUUUAAAAUGAUUUUUUUUAUUUAUAUUUAAUUGAGUAUUCUCACAACAAUACUAAAUUACUAAACGUAAGAAAGUUUUGGAUUCGACAUUGGUACCUAAUCCUUUACAGUGGCAUAGAUCUUUUCUUAAUAGGCUUUAAUAUGUUUGUGAACAUGAGUCUGUUGAUCAGCUCUUUGUUAUUUUCCUUAAUUUGGAAUUCCACAAAUCACCUAAUUUUUCGAAAUACCACUCCUCAUCCUAAUUAAACUAGCUUAUUAUCGUGAAGUGACACUUGCAGCUAGGGCUAGGAUCGGGCCCAGACCGGCAAGGAUUUUGGAAGGACCGAGACUGAACCGGUGACUAUUAAACUAGGCCGGUUUCUGCACAAAAAAUCGUCGGGACCGGCAAGAGCCCGGACUGGCAAAAGCCUGGCCGAUCUGUCAGUUUUUCGGGCCUCAAAGCAUUCUUCAAAUAUGCAAAUGCCUUUUCAUUUACCAAUUCAAUCACCACCAGAUCUGAUUUCAAAAGAAGCUGAUAAAUUAUCAAAUGAAGAAAAGAAUCGAAUACUUGGGUGGUGAAUUAACGUUGUUGAUGUUGUGUGAGGUGCAGAUACAGUGAGGUGGAGAGACCAGAGCGGUAGAGGAAGAGUCAACUCACCAUAAGUUACCCGAUGAAACCAACGACGGAGAAAGACUCUAAUCUCGUUGUGCGGCGCAUGCAACAGAUGUCUCUCCACUUGUAGUUUCAUCGUUGGAGAUUCUAAGAGCAAAAGGCUUGACCUUCUGAGAUCAACAACCAUUCCGCUAUGUUGGUGAGAUCCGGCGAAGUACUUCACGAUUCUGGAAUUCGCUGUGCGCAGCGUUGAGUUUUAUACGGCGACGAACUGAGAUGUGGUCGACAUGUCUCUCACUCGAUUGAGAUCAAGAUGAAAGAGAGACAUAGAGAUGAGUGACCUCAAACAAUCAAACCUCAAUGAAGUUAGAGACAGACUUUUGCGAUGGUGAGACAGUUGAGGUGAGGGGCUGUGGGCCCGAAAUGUUGUGUAUCUACAAAUCAAUAGCUAGCCACUUGAGUUUUAUAAGUUGGAGGUGGAUGUGGGUGUCUUUCAGUGGGUAAUAUUGGGUUAAUACUAACUGCCAAGCUUUUGGACCACAAUAUUUUUCUAAUAUUAGGGACCGGGCCUGACCCGUCUGUUAUUGGGACUAGACUGAACCGGAAAAAAAAAAAGUCUAGGACCGUGGAAAAGCCCGGCUCGAUCAGGCCAAUCGGUCUGGUUCGGUUAUGCCCACCCUUGCUUGCAGCUUCUUAUUGGCAGGCUAACAAUUUGCCUUCAAAAUCUAUGGACAGAAGAGCUAGUACCAUUACUUGGCAACCACCUUGAGACCAUAAAUUUAAACAAAAUGUCAACAAAUCGGUACGGCAUAAGAGUGCAACGAUUGGCUUUAUGUUAAUAGAUCACACGGUACAGGUAUUCCUUUGGUGUCCGCAAGUAGAGGAAUUACAUAAGUAUGAGUUUUGAUAGAAGAAGCCACUGCCUUGCGUGAAGGUUUUACACAGUGCUGGUCUUAAUGGCUGUAAACAUGUGGUGGUCGAAGAUUCCAAAAUUUUGGUGGAUUGUCUAAAUAGCAAAAUGACUACACCAUGGAGAAUCAAAUUGCUCGUAAAAGACACUCGCAAACUUGCAAGCCAAUAGCUUGAUUUCACUUUGUUUCGGUAUGUUUACCGUGAGGCUUAUUUUGUUGCCGAUCAACUAGCGGAUAGUGCAAAUACACAUCCUGCGCGCUCCAACUAUUUGAUGAUAUUAUCUCCCCAUGGUCCUGUCCCCAAUGUUCCAUUUAGAUCAGCUAGGAGGAGGAUAUGUCCGGAUGGUUUGUUUAAUAUUUCUAUUGUUUUUAAGUUGUCGAAAAAAAGAGUAAAUGUGAUGGGAAAACUAUUUUGUGAUGAAAUUUAUUGAGAUCUAAGGAUCAAUUACAAAACCUAUUGUUCACCCCACCUCACCAAUUGCUUAUGUUAGUAAGGUUUGAAUGCACCACCUCCGUAUUUAGUUUGGUCACAACGUACUCAAGCACUAAAAACCUUUAACGUCAAAAAAGGAGCUAAGUGCUACCACUCCAGGGCCUAUUCCUAGACCUGGAGCAAUUUAGGUACGACCGCUCCUCAAAAGAUUUUUUUCACAAGCUGGGGUUCGAAUAAAGAACCUUAUAUUACCAAAUUAUAAUCCUUGCAACGUCUUUCCCACUUGAAUGAUUUUUUUUUUCAUAUGUAAAUUUCAUCCAAAAAUAACAAUAACUGUACAUAAUCUGUUUUAUUUAUUUAUACAUAAUCUGUUUUUGGUUACCGACCGGUUGAACACGUUUUCUACUUGUUCCCAUAUAUGGGGUAGCUAAAAAUUUGAAAAUAUAUAUACAUAAGGGCAACAUUGUAAAUUCACAUGAACGCUGAGCCUAUAUAGAUUCACACAGAGCUGGAUUAAAUUCCCAAUUUCACUCUUCUGAGUUUCUCACAGUCUAUACAGAGCAACCAACCCAAAGAAACACCAUGUCAGGAUACCCACACCCACCGCCUAACUACGGCUACGGCAGCGCCCCUCCCCCCGGCAAACCCUACUCCUCCGCCCCUCCUCCCUACGGCGCCCCUCCUCCCGGCUCAGCUCCUCCAAACCAACACCAGCCCUCCCCCUACGGAGCUCCUUCCGCCCCCUACGCCUCUCCUCCUCCUCCCCAAGGCAGCGGCGGAUACGGCGCUCCCUACGCGGCCCCACCCCAAGGCGGCGCCGGAUUUCCAGCCCCUGGCCCACCACACGGCGGCGGAGGAGGAGGCGGAUACCCGUCCCCGGCUCCUGGUUACGGAAGCCCGUUCGCGGCUCUGGUGCCGUCGUCGUUCCCGCCAGGAACCGACCCGAACGUGGUG
rnacentral:lncRNA from 1 species